rnacentral:lncRNA from 1 species
UGAACCUGUUAUCUACAUAUAAAAGCUAAAUGCAGUCAAACCAGUGUCAGCUAUUUGAGCCUCAUGAACCCCUGGCUAUACUUGUUGAGUACGAUAUGUGCUCACUCUUGCAAUUACACCCACAUCCUUCAGGAAAAGUUUUGGGCUUGUGAUCAACCAGUCAGUGGGAUCCUGUAGAGUGAAGUUAAUACCCAAAGUUGGAGUUAUCUUCCGUUGUUUGCUGCUUAAGGUUAUCUCUUUUAUACUAAGUAUGUUAUAUAUUUAUGCAUUGUCUUUUGAUAUUACCCCUCAUUUGUAGCUAUAUGUGAGACUUGGCUUCUAAAACUCACAUAUGGUGCAUAUCUGGUUUUGUCCUUAAAAUCGGGUAUUACAAUACACCUCUGCCACCUGCUAGCUGCAUCAAAAGAAAUUACGUCAAAAUCCAGCUUGGGGGAGAGCACCCCCAUUUAUCCAGCUAAGUGUUUCUAUCUAAUUUUAUACUUAUACUUUGUUAAAAUAAUAUAAAGAUGUAUAAUCAUAAAAACCCAAAUAAAUAUUGUGUGCUUAUAUCUUUGCUUAGUUUGCUAAAUAAAUAAAUAAAGUGUUUAUGCCAAAUUGAACUCCAAUGAUAAACUCUUACAUGGAUAUGAUGAAUAGGUGCUCUGCCAAGUACCUAGUUUUCAAAUUUGAGCUCUCUCUCUCAAGUUUAGACAAAACUGUUAUAAUUUAAAGAUUGCUCUAAACCUGAACUUGUGGAAGAGAACUUGAUCUAAAGUCUAAGUCGUUAAUGGAUAUGAUAUGGAAAGGUUGAGCUGCUGUUUAUCUGUUCCUAGAGAUGCUAGAAUUCUGGAGAAUUUUAUCUUUGAAAAUCUUUAAAAUAUUGCAUGAUAAGUUCCUGUAUGAUGAGAGUUUAAAUUCCUACCAUGGCCAUUCAUACAUACUUGCUAGACUAUGAACUAUACAUUUACUUCUUUUUACUACUUAUGAGCAUUGAGUGUGGUCAAGCUGUGUAGACCCUUAGGAGCUUGUCAUGCGGUUAAAAUCAAGAUUCACUUGCACGUUCACUCAUACAAGCUACUUCUACUCCGGAAGUACGGAUCCACAUACAUCCACUCAAUUCCAUCUCUAGGUUCACCUAAAAUAAUUCUACUCCUAUCCGGGAGAGAAUAGCCAAAAGCAUUAUCCCAUUCCUAUUUUUCCCUAUGAAAUAAAUGCUCGAGAUAUUUUGGUUACUACCACUUGCUACAUUAUUCUAGGAUGGUGAGUGCUCUAAAAAAAGAGAAGAAAAAGGAAAAAAUACGAGGAAAUAAAAAGGGGCAAGUGCCCGGAACCUCGAAGAAAAGGAAAAGUGAGACGAGAGGUAAAAAUGGACAAGUGUCCGAUAGUAGAAUUAGGGGUACCAGAUACCCACCUGAGAGAAAAGAAAAAGAAAAUAUAGAGCAUCUCAUCCACCUCAAAAAGCUUCAAAGUGCAAGAAAGGUAUGUAUCCCCUCAAAAGAGCAAAAGUAGAAUUAGACUUUCACCAUUGUUUUCACCAUUAUCACCAUCAUUACCAUACACAAUUCAUUCGCCACACAUGCACAUCUUGAUAUUGACUUGUUUCUCUGAAUCCAUGGUUUGACUAUGCAACAAAUGUCUUGUAAGUAUGUAUACUUUAUCUCUCACCUAUGAGCUCCAGAUAUCAAAGCCUUAUUAGAGUAGGGUGAGAGAGAAGGCAAUGUCACUAUGCCUUAUACCACAAAUACUACAUACUGCCUUGGUAAGGAUCCAAAAAUACCACAAAAGAGAGAUCUGAGAGAGUCAUACAAAGGAAUCUCUGAGUUUUAUUUGAAAAUUUGCAAAAACUCCAGAGCUAUAGCUAAUCAAAGAACAAGAGACAUGGCGCUUGACUGGACCAUUCUAUCUUUUAACUGCUCAGGACACAAGUAAUGGUUGCAAGCCCCAUGGUGAAAGGUAAAAUGACUAAGUUUAAGUCUUAAUAGUUACUCUAACUCAGAGAUAAGACCUUGUUUGAAAGCAUGUGUACCGUCAACUUUCUAAGGCAUUGCAGCAACUUCUGAUCCAUAACUAAGUCUAUCCUUGCUUAGGGAUGAGCAAGAGGUAAGCAUGGGGGAGUUUGUUGACGGUUGUGGGGGUAUAAACCCCUAUACCAUUACGGCUAGACUUGGGCCAGGAGGCUUGGUCCAUCACGAGGACAGUUCGAGGCUUAAUCCAACUGCUCGGAGUUUUGCGCAAGGAAACAGGACGUAGAGAUUAAGCCGGAUUCUAGUCGGUUAGAAUAGGAAUUGAUAUCAUGCUAUCUAUGGCAAUUGUAACCGACUAGGAUUAGUUUCCAGAUUUGUAACCUUGCCCUCCGGACUAUAUAAGGAGAGGCAAGGGACCCCCCUAGGACACUGUUGACACUUGCUAACACCUCUUGAAUACUAGGUUGUCAUCCCCAGCAUGGCACUAGAGUGUACUAUGGUAUUUAUACGCACACAGAUAAUACGCAAGCGCACGGAUACCGUUGAAGCUUUUACUCGAUUAAAGGUUUUAUCGUAUCCACAGGGAAACAGGAGAACCAACUACGCUCUAACUUAACCAAGAUAGAUAGAUAGGUGUAAAUAGGAAAGAUGAUAGAAUCGAAUAAGAACAAUAUUAAAGGUAAGAUAACAGUGAGUGAUAAUAUGGGAAUAGAGAAUAGAGCAAUUCUAGUAUAUGGGAGAUGGUAGCAGAAUAGAGAGGAUAACUAUGGUUUCUCUACUUCAAAGGGGUAUGUCUAUGUCUGGGACGAACCACGUGAUAAGAGUACACCACAAAGGAUGCUUAUCCAUAGGCCGAUAAACCCUAACCGUCCUGCUAACGAGAGGUGGACUACAGGGGACCAACGUAACUGUCACCUACGCGGCCUACCACACGAUCCAGCUAGUCAGAGGAUAUCCACAAGUAAUCUAGGUCUAAGCACCACGCUUACACCUAUACUACAACUCUAACCUAUAGGGUCCUAUAGAUUAGAAGUACUCAAAAGAGUUGUGAACCAGAACAUACAUGAUUAGUAAUUGCAUAAUGAAUUAGAAGUAGAUUACCAGAGUCAUCCCAUGAGCAAGCUUGAUUAGAGCUUGAUCAUGGCGAAGUAGAACCGGAGGAAGAACCGACAGGCCGGCCUCUCCUCUAAUCCUCCUUCGCUCUCCAUCUCGCUACUAUCUAGAUCUAUUCUAGUUUAGAGAAGAGAGGAGAGCUCUCAUCUCUAAACCCUAGCUUUUGCUCUGUCUAUGAAUAAUGAAUAAUGAUCAAGGGGUGCCUCCUCCAGGGGCCAGGGGGUCUGGUUAUAUAGUCCCCUCAAGUGAACCUGGGCCGUCGGAUCAAACCGACAUUGAUUGAACGGUUAUUCUUGAUCCUUUAGGUUGGUGGAGCAUAAUCCGCGAGGUUGAACGUGAUUGGCCACUGUAGCAGGGCGGGCGCCCUAAGGACUUGGGCGGGCGCCCAGGUCCUGGCUCCGUUCGGUCUCCGCUUCCUUCCCGUGGCUUCUGGAGUCUUCUAGAUGUAAGAUAAUUGCGCGGCACGUUGAUAUCUCUAUGUAAUCCCGACGUGUGGGCCUUUCUUCCUUAUUUCCUGAUAACCCCCUGCAGAAAUAGACAAACACCAAAACUCGUGGAAUUCUGUCAGAUAAAACCCUAAGUCUCGAUGUUGAUUUCAUUUGGAUCCUUUUCUUUGUUUAUUUGAUAGUUAAAUUUGAUACUUAAGGACCGUCAACAAACUCCCCCAAGCUUACCUCUUGCUCGUCCCUGAGCAAGGAUAGACUCAGCUAUGGAUCAUAAGUUGUUGCAAUAUCUUUAAAAAUUGACGGUACACAUGCUUUUAGAUGAGGUCUCAUCUCUGAGUUAGAGUAAACUGUCAAGAACUAAAACUUACUUACUUUACCUUUCACCAUGGGACUUGUAACCGUCACUUCUGUCUUUAGUAGUUAAAAGAUAGAACAGUCCAGUCAAGUGCCAUGUCGCUUAUUCUUGAUCAGCUAUAGCUCUGGAGUUUUUGCAGAUUUUCAAAUAAAACUCAGAGAUUACUUUGUAUGACUCUCUCAUAUCUCUCUUUUGUGGUAUUUCUGGAUCCUUACCAAGGCAGUGAUGGUAAAUGCCUUCUCUCAAAAUAUGUGGUAUUUAUGGUAUAAGGGAUAAUGACAUUGUCUUCUCUCUCACCCUACUCUAAUAAGGCUUUAAUAUCUGGAGCUCAUAGGUGGGAGAUAAAAUAUACAUACUUACAAGACAUUUAUUGUAUAGUCAAACCAUGGAUCCAAAGAAACAAAUCAAUAAGCCAAAUCAAGAUGUGCAUGUGUGGCGAAUGAAUAGUGUAUGGUGAUGAUGGUGAUAACAAUGGUGAAAGUCUAAUUCUACUUUUGCUCUUUUGAGGGGAUACAUACCUUCCUUGCUUUUUGAAACUUUAUGAGGAGAAUGAGAUGCUCUUCUUUUUGUUUUCUCUCAGAUGGGUAUUCUAUACCCCUAAUUCUACUGUCGGACACUUGUCCAUUUUUACCUCUCGUCUCACUCUUUUUCUUUUCUUUCGAGGUUCCGGGCACUUGCCCCUUUUUUAUUUCCUUGUUUAUUUUUUUUCUUUUCUUCUUUUUUUUUCAGAGCACUCAUCUCUUGAGAUAAUAUAGCAAGUGGUAGUAGCAAGAUAACUUGAGCAUUUAUUUCACAAGGUAAAAACACAAAUGUUUUUGGCUAUUCUCUCCCGAAUUAGGAGUAGAAUAUUUUUAGGUGAUUCUGGAGAUGGAAAUGGAUGGAUAUAUGUGGAUGGUACUUCUGGAGUAGAAGUAGCAUAUAUAUGAGUGAACGUGCAAGUGAAUCUUGAUUUAACCACAUGACAAGCUCCUAAGGGUCUACACAGCUUGACCACACUCAAUGCUCAUAAGCAGUAAAUAAUAAAUGUGUGGCUCAAAGUCUAGCAAGCAUGUAUAUAUAUGGUUGUGGUAGGAAUUUAAACUCUCAUCAUACCGGAACUCAUCAUGCAAUAUUUUAAAGAUUUUUCAAAGAUAAAAUUCUCCAGAAUUCUAGCAUCUCUAGGAACAGAUAAACAGCAGCUCAACCUUCCCAUAUCAUAUCCGUUAACAACUUAGAUUUCAGAUCAAGUUUUCAUCCCACAAGUUUAGAUCUAGAGCAAGCUUUAAAUUAUAACAGUUAUGUCUAAACUUGAGAGAGAACUUCAAAUUUGCAAAUUAGGCAGAGCAACUAUUCAUCAUAUCCAUGCUAGAGUUUUAUUAUUAAGAUUCAGAUUAGCAUAGCCACUUUAUUUAUUUAUUAAACACACUAAACAAAAGAUAUAUAUAUAUAUAAGCACAAAAUCUUUAUUUGGUUUUUCAUAGUUUAUGUAUUUUAAUAUUCUAAUAUAAUAUAAGUAUAAAGAUAGGUAGAAAUACUUAGCGAGAUAAAUGGGGGUGCUCUCCCCCAAGCUGAAUUUUGACGUAAUUUCUCUUGAUGUAGCUAGCAGGUGGCAGAGGUGUAUUUGAAAGUCAGCAGCAUUCUGACAGCGAUUAGAAUGUCCUCCGUCUGCUAGUCUUCUUGAUUCUUAAAUUCUGUGGAGCUCAAAUAGACAACAAAGCUUGUGGAACUAAUUAAGUGUUAGCAUAAAUAUCUAGCCUUCAUCACGUUGAGCUUCCUCAAUAAAUAUUACUCCUUAUUUUUAUAUUUUUAUUUUAUAAAGUAGAAAAGAAAUAUUUAUUUUAUUUUUAUGCCACCACAGUGAAGGUACUUAUGGGUUUUAUGCCACUCGUAUACUCACAUGGGGCUUAGUAUUUUUUAACAUUUUUAUUUUCUUUUCAAGAUAGCAUGAUUAACUAAUAAUCUAUUUAAGGAAAGUAAAUAAUUAAAUGAAAAAGGGAAUGCAGAAAGGAUAAAUAUGGAUAACUACCAAUCUUACCUUUCGGUGAGGGUUCAAUGUUUUAAGUCUUCUUGUCAAGACUUCUCAUCGUGUUCAUUCUUCAGGUGCGUCAUUUGAUUCAGGUGCGGACCUUGACAUCUGCACCUUUUAAUACGGUGUCACCCAUGUUCUUCGUUUGCCCAGCAGUUCGAAGUGAGGUGUUAGCAGUAUCUUGCUCAGUGUGUUUGUGCUCGUAGUGUAGCUGCUCAUAGAGACAAGGCAGAGAUCAAGUGCAUGGGCCCUGUUGGUGGAAAACACCAACAGAACCAAAAGUGUAUUUGUUCUUCUCUAACCUUAAGCAUAGUGAGCAAGACAAAGUUGAUGGAUGAUAAGUUUAUGAGUGUAGCACUUAUAACAUUUGUCAGAUCAGAUCGCUCAACCUUAUGGAAAGAUAAUCUAUCUGUGUAUAUGUCUUUUUUCUUUAUAUCUCUCAAUGAUUGAAUGUGUAACAUUUUAGCUCAUAUGAUUAGGAGUGUGGGAUCAUGGAGGUAGUACUAAGAACAAGGAUUAAAGUACUAAACAUGUUGAAUCAGUUGGGUUGGUUAAUCUAGAGUUGUAAAUCAUACACGUUUGUCUCUUUUAUUUAUAUGAACGCCAGAACCAAGGAGAAGCUUAUAAAAGUGAUAGUCAAGUACCUUAAGAUGUUACCUUGCUCGAAGAGUGAUGGUACAGUAUCAUCUUGUGGAAGCAUUCCUUUCUUAGCGGUUGUGCAUCGUGUUUGUGGCACCCUCCAUGGAUCAUGUCUCUAUGAUGAAUGAGCUAUGUCCUUCUUGUACAAAUUGUUAAACUUCAUGUGUCACUCUCUUCGUCUCUGAUGUGAGUUUAUCUCAAGACUUCCCAAAUCGAUAUUGAAAGUUUUUCUGCAGGGGUUAGUCCGACAAAAAUAUACCAAUGUCUACACAAGCAGUUUUUAGUUCAAUAACCGAACUAGACUCCAUGUCUAAUCAGAUUAAGGAAGGCUGCUUAACCUAAGCACCAUGCUUAAUUUAAAAGCCAAUGGAAGUAUGGCGAGUACUUCCAAACCAAUACUUGCUAGUAAAUAGACAAAGGUAGCAUGACAGCAUUUAUAGAGAUCUACUCAAGUGGAGAUGAAGUAGUGUGAUUAGUAUUUAACAAAUUGAGCAUGUCUCAAAGGUAGGGACAACCAACAUAGCAACAUGGCAAAGGAUGUUUUUAUGUAAAGUACUCCCCCAAGCUUGAAUUUUGCAGAAUUCAAGUUUGGAUGAAUUUAAUUCAGUGUUGCAUGAUGAUUGGUUGGACAUACCUUGUGCUUGUCAUUCAUCCGAUCUUCUUGCUCCAAUCCUAGAAAGGUUAGUGACAAGAAUACCUGAAGGAAUAUUUUUACAAUUAUCCUUAUAUGCUCAAUACACAAGGUAAUGUUGCAAAUAAUUAAAAACUCAUGUUACGAUCUGAUCAGCGCUUAUUUUAGGACACCAAGCUUGUCCUUGGGAAACCAUCAAUUUAUGUCGGCGAAGUGGUUUCCCUUCCAACGCUGACCUAAAUCAAGAUCAACUCAACGAGAUCUGCAAUAUUUAUUAUAGACAUAUGCAUCGACAACCGCCCUUUUGAAGUUUUUAUAAAUAGAAAGGAAGAGGGGGUUGGAGAUCUCAAAUGUGGUGAUGUUGGAGAGACCAAUAGAUUGGGAAGAUGUUGCAUAUGAGCAUGGAGAAAACAAAGUGGCUAUGAAAUAAAUUCCAUGCUCAUUAAUGUUAUCUUCGUCUCCAAUCUGAAUGUUCAUAGUUUCUCUUGGAUUGGUCUCACUUAUGUCCUCUUCUAUAGUUGGAUGAAUCCCAUCUUCAAAGGGAGUCAAGGACUCACCAUUUGAAGUUGAGCCAAAGUCAGAAUCCAUUAAGGCUUCUUCCUUAUCCAUCCAUUCUACACAUUCUAGCCAUUUGGAACUUGAGAUCAGGAAAGGGGAGCUGUUAGAAUUUUCUAUAUGGCUUAGCUCUCCUUCACUUGAUAUGUCAUCCUCGACUUCUUCAUAAUAGGAACCAGGACAUUCUCUAAGAGAAACAUUAUUGCAAGGAUUUGAAUUAUCCUUGCUUGAAGGUCUCUUAUGGAACCAGAAGUCUAAACCAUCAAUAUCUGAAAGAUUUAAGGUCGGAAUUCCUUCCUCCCUUGGAGAAUUUUGGGGUAUUGAUGGUUUAGGAUCGAUAGCUAAAGUUUGGGAUUGAAGUGGUUGUGGUCUGGCUAUCGAAACUUCUUCUUCUUGUUUAGGAACUGGUUCUUUCUCUUUCUUAGGGAUAUAAAAGCUAGGAGACUUUCCGCUCAUUAAAUCAAUCAAAUUCCAAGCUUCACUAGCGGAUAGGUGGUGGAAAGAUCCUCCAGAGGCCGCAUGAAGGGUUUGCUUAUUUUCCAUACUAAGGCCCUCAAAAAAGUGCAUUAGAAGAACUUCUUCUGUAAUAGAAAGCUUUGGGCCAGUGAGAGUAAGGUUAAUAAAGCGGUCCCAUGAUUUGCCAAGAGAUUAUUCUUCCAGUUGUCUAAAAGAAAGAAUCUCACGCCGAAGUUCCACCACUUUGGAGAUUGGAAAAUAUUUAGAAAGAAAACUACUAUAUAACUCCUUCCAAUCUCCAUGAACACUCCCUACUUUGAGUUUAUACCAAUGUCUAGCUUUUCCCGUUAAAGAGAACGGAAAGAGCUUCCAUUUAAAGGUCUCAUCGGACAUGCCUUCUAUGCGAAGGAGGUCACAGACUCGAUAAAACUCUCCUAGGUGUGUGUAUGGGUUUUCCUCACCUUUUCCUGAGAAAGGUUGUUUUUGAAUAAAUUCUAUGUAUUCGGGGUCUAUCUCAAAACUAGAUGCUAUGAUAGGCUUUGAAGAUUUUGGUGGUUCAAGAUGUGUGCCCGUAGGUCUAUGAAAUUCAUAGAUAGACAUGUUUGAAUUCAUGAUAGACCAGAGAUCAAGGAUUAGAUAAGAAGAAAGAUUAGCAGAGAUGAGGCAAAGGAUAAAAGGAAUAUAUAUAUAUAUUUUUAUUAUUUUUUUUAGAAAAUGAUUAAGCUAGUUCGUAGUCAAUUCAGCAACCGUUUCCCCGGCAACGGCGCCAAAAAUGCUUGUUGACACUUGCUAACACCACUUGAAUACUAGGUUGUCAUCCCCAGCAUGGCACUAGAGUGUACUAUGGUAUUUAUACGCACACAGAUAAUCCGCAAGCGCACGGAUACCGUUGAAGCUUUUACCCGGUUAUAGGUUUUACCGUAUCCACAGGGAAACAGGAGAACCAACUACGCUCUAACUUAACCAAGAUAGAUAGAUAGGUGUAAAUAGGAAAGAUGAUAGAAUCGAAUAAGAACAAUAUUAAAGGUAAGAUAACAGUGAGUGAUAAUAUGGGAAUAGAGAAUAGAGCAAUUCUAGUAUAUGGGCGAUGGUAGCAGAAUAGAGAGGAUAACUAUGGUUUCUCUACUUCAAAGGGGUAUGUCUAUGUCUGGGACGAACCACGUGAUAAGAGUACACCACAAAGGAUGCUUAUCCAUAGGCUGAUAAACCCUACCCGUCCUGCUAACGAGAGGUGGACUACAGGGGACCAACGUAACUGUCACCUACGCGGCCUACCACACGAUCCAGCUAGUCAGGGGAUAUCCACAAGUAAUCUAGGUCUAAGCACCACGCUUACACCUAUACUACAACUCUAACCUAUAGGGUCCUAUAGAUUAGAAGUACUCAAAAGAGUUGUGAACCAGAACAUACAUGAUUAGUAAUUGCAUAAUGAAUUAGAAGUAGAUUACCAGAGUCAUCCCAUGAGCAAGCUUGAUUAGAGCUUGAUCAUGGCGAAGUACAACCGGAGGAAGAACCGACAGGCCGGCCUCUCCUCUAAUCCUCCUUCGCUCUCCAUCUCGCUACUAUCUAGAUCUACUCUAGUUUAGAGAAGAGAGGAGAGCUCUCAUCUCUAAACCCUAGCUUUUGCUCUGUCUAUGAAUAAUGAAUAAUGAUCAAGGGGUGCCUCCUCUAGGGGCCAGGGGGUCUGGUUAUAUAGUCCCCUCAAGUGAACCUGGGCCGUCGGAUCAAACCGACAUUGAUUGAACGGUUAUUCUUGAUCCUUUAGGUCGGUGGAGCAUAAUCCGCGAGGUUGAACGUGAUUGGCCACUGUAGCAGGGCGGGCGCCCUAAGGACUUGGGCGGGCGCCCAGGUCGUGGCUCCGUUCGGUCUCCGCUUCCUUCCCGUGGCUUCUGGAGUCUUCUAGAUGUUAGAUAAUUGCGCGGCACGUUGAUAUUUCUAUGUAAUCCCGACGUGUGGGCCUUUCUUCCUUAUUUCCUGAUAACCCCCUGCAGAAAUAGACAAACACCAAAACUCGUCGAAUUCUGUCAGAUAAAACCCUAAGUCUCGAUGUUGAUUUCAUUUGGAUCCUUUUCUUUGUUUGUUUGAUAGUUAAAUUUGAUACUUAAGGACCGUCAACAGACACAUUAUUCUCUCAACACAAUCCAAUACAAUCAGACGCAGGACGUAGGUAUUACGCCCACACGGCGGCCGAACCUGGAUAAAAACCUUGCCUGUGUCUUGCGUCACCAUCGAGUUCGUAGCUUGCGCACCGUCUACCGAUAAACUACUACCGUGGGUAUACCCCAAGGUAGACUGCCGACUAGCUUUGGUCGACAACGGUCCUUAAGUAUCAAAUUUAAUCAUCCAAUAAAUAAAGAAAAGGAUCCAAAUGCAACCAACACCUAGACUUAGGGUUUUAUCUGACAGAAUUCCAUGAGUUUUGGUGUUUGUCUAUUUCUGCUGGGGGUUAUCAGGAAAUAUGGAGGAAAGGACCACACGUCGGGUUUACAUAGAGAUAUUAACAUGUGCGCCAAUUUUCUAUCUUCUAGAAGAGUCCAGAAGCCACAGGAACGAACGGGAGGCCGAGCGGGCCGGGGGGCAGGGCGCCCGCCCUGCUCUGACAGCCAAUCAGGCUCCGCCUCACGGAUUAUGCUCCACCGACCGAAAGGAUUAAGGAAAACCGUGCGAUUAAGGUCGGUUUGAUCCGACGACCCACGUUCAUUUGGAAUGGCUAUAUAAGCAGGCCCCCUGGCCCCUAGAGAAGACACCUUUGCAUCCCCUAUUCAUUAUUCAUAGACAGAGAAAAAGCUAGGGUUUGGAGAUAUGAGCUCUCCUCUCUUCUCUAAACUAGAGUAGAUCUAAAUAGUAGCGAGAUGGAGAGCGAGGGAGGAUUGGAGGAGAGGCUGGCCUGUCAGUUCUUCCUCCGGUUGUACUUCGCCAUGAUCAAGCUCUAAUCAAGCCUGCUCAUGGGAUGACUUUGGUAAUCUACAUCUUAUUUCAUUAUACAAUUACUAUCCAUGUAUGUUCUGGUUCACAACUCUAUUGAGUACUUUAAUCUAUAGGACGAUAUCGGUGAGAGUUGUAGUAUAGGUGUAAGUGUGGUGCUUAGUCCUAUAUUACUUGUGGAUAUCCCCUGUUAGCCGGAACGUGUGGUAAGCCGCUUAGGUGAUAGCUACGUAGUCCUCUGUAGUCCACGUCCCGUUAGCAGGACUGGUACGAGUCCUUGACCUUAGGUAUAAGCAUCCUCUGUGUUGUUUUAUACUUAUGGUACGCCACAGACAGACAUACCCCUUUGAAGUAGAGAAACCCUAGUUAUCCUCUCUAUUCUCCUAUUAUCGCCCAUAUAUUAGAUUGCUCUACUCUAUAUUCUCCCAUUAUCAUUUUACCUUUAAUAUUGUUCUUAUUCAAUUCUACUAUCUUUCCUAUUUACACCUAUCUAUCUAUCUUGGUUAAGUUAGAGCGUAGUUGGUUCUCCCAUUUCCCUGUGGAUACGAUAAAACCUUUAACCGGGUAAAAGCUACAACGGUAUCCGUGCGCUUGCAGAUUUAUCUGUGUGUAUAUAAAUACCAUAGUACACUCUAGUGCCAUGCUGGGGAUGACAACCUAGUAUUCAAGUGGUGUUAGCAAGUAUCAACACACACCACCAUGGCAGACACCAUGGAUAUUGUCUGAACCUGUGAAGGUUGCCAGUUCUAUGCACGACAGACACACCUCCUGGCUCAGGCUCUGCAGACGAUCCCCAUCACUUGGCCCAUUGUUGUAUGGGGCCUCGACCUUGUCGGGCCUCUACAGAAAGUGCUUGGGGGCUUCACCCAUCUGCUGGUAGCAAUUGACAAGUUCUCCAAGUGGAUUGAAGCUCGCCCCAUCACCGAAAUCAAGUCUGAGCAAGCUGUGCUAUUUUUCACUGACAUCAUCCACCCAUUUUGAGUCCCAAACUCCAUUAUAACGGAUAACGGUAUGCAAUCACCGGAAGAAAAAUUUUGGACUUCUACAAUGAGCACCAAAUACGUGAGGACUAGGCAGCAGUAGCUCAUCCAAAGACCAAUGGGCAAGUAGAACGUGCCAAUGGCAUGUUCCUCUAGGGUUUGAAGCCUAGAAUUUUCAACCGGUUGAAUAAGUUUGAAAAAAGGUGGCUCAAAGAACUCGUUGCUAUCAUCUGGAGCUUGAGGACUUCCCAAAGUCGAGCCACGGGAUUCAUGCUCUUCAUGGUCUAUGGCUCCGAGGCCAUCCUCCCCACGGACUUGGAGUAUGGCUCCCCGAGAGUACAACCCUACGACGAGGACAACAACGUGACCCUGUGAGAAGACGAUGUGGACCAGCUGUAUGAGGCCCUGAUGUAGCCCUCCUACACUCGGCUAAGUACUAGCAAGCUCUCCGAUGCUACCACAAUCGACAUGUCCGAGGCCAAGCAUUCAGGGUCAGCAACCUAGUGUUAAGGCUCAGACAGAGUAAUGGAGGCAGCCACAAGCUCAGCCCUCCAUAGGAGGGCCCAUUCGUCAUCGCUGAGGUGCUCGAACCAGGGACCUACAAGCUUGCCAAUGAAGAGGGAGAAGUCUAUGCUAACGCCUAGAACAUAGAACAACUAUGUCACUUCUACUCUUAGCAUUUCAAAAGAGCAUUGUUGACGGUCGAUAACGUCAAAUAUUAUUAAACAUUACACCCAAAGGAAAACACGAAUACACACUAGUAUUCGGAUUAAACUGACAAUUUCCAUGAGUUUAUCAUAUUUUGUGAUUUUCAGGGAUUAUUUCAAAAAGCGCCGAGAAGAGGGAUUAAGGUGUUAAUUGGCCACGAAACUUAUCUGCAACGGAAGGGUGACACUAAAAGAUUCAGGAAGACUCCAGAAGACACCAGCGCAAUGGGGGAGCGAAUGGCUACCAGGUGGGGCUGGCCGGCCCCACCCUAGUGCCAGCCGGCCCCCUGCAGUUAGGGUUCACCCCCCCUUCUGGAAGCUUCUUCCACCGCCUCUGAGGAGCCAUCUCGACCGCUCGUUAAGUCGGUUUGAUCCAACAGCGUGUGUGCACUCCACCAGGCUAUAAAUAGAGGGGCAGACCCCCCUCCCAAGAAACAACCCUAGAUUCAAUUCAUUCCUCCUGCUUCAUUUAUAAAGAGUAGUCAGAAGUUAGGGUUUCUAGAGAUUAGAAGUAGAGCUCUAGUUCUUCAAGUUCUUAGUAUAGGGGUCUAGCGAGGUUCAAGUAGAGAUCGGGCGCUCCGCUUGGGAUUCUAGAUCUGUCUUCUAGAAAUUGGUAAUAUUAUCUUGUAUUUCAUUAUGACUUUGCUCUACUUAAAUAUAUUGCUAUUUAUUCAAUUCUUAGUUUAUUCUAGUUGCAUAUUCGAUAUAGAUGUACUUGAUGAUGAUUAUUGUUAUAUGAUCGUAAAGCGCCUAAUUCAGUACUUGAGUGAGUCAGGUGGUGCACAUUAUGUAGACGUGGUGUCUAGAUAUUUUGUGUACCUACAGAGGUGUCCUGACGUGCCGGGUCGUGUGGUAGUUUGCAUAGGUGACAGCUGCGUUGGUCCUCUGUAGUCCACCCCCCAUACGUAGGACUAGCAGAGCGUGGUCGCGAAGGAGGUGACGGUUGCGUCUUAAAACCCUCAUUAGUUGAUGCUCCUUAUUAUGUUUUCUGAGUUUAUCACACUACAGAUGAAAAUGUGUAGCAUGGCGUAGGCUGUAGACUUUAUAUUAGUAAUUACAUAGGUUUCUUUUAUUUAUUUGAAUAUCAUAAUUGUCUUGCUACAUUAGUGAGUCUUUAUUUUCAAUCUCUGGAAUACCAUUUACUUCACUACUCAGUUAUCAUUUAUGAUAUUUUAUCGAUUAUCUAUCGCUACAACAUUAGUACUAUUGGUUAUGAUAGAUUUACAUAAUUAUAAUUUCCUUAGUUCAUAUAAGAUCACCUAAGUCUAAUAAAUAGAAUGCUGCUUUAUCCUUUUGGCAUUAAGUAAACCAACGAUACUCAGAAUACUUCCUGGUUGAAAUGCUGCAACGAGAGAAUUAUCUGUGUGCUUGCGGAUAUAUUCUAAUUAGAGUAAUUGCGUGUAAAUUAUUUUUAUCCUUGGCUUUGGCAUCAUGUUAGGGAUGACAACUUAAUUUGAAGUGAUGCUAAAAAUACCAACAAGCAUUUCUGGUGCCGUUGCCGGGGAUGGCAAUUUUAUUUAUUAGGAUAGUUUUAAAAGGAUUUAUUGAUUAGCCAUAAUUUAUAUACUUUCUAGAAUUUCAUACAAGUAAAUCUUUCAUAGAACCAUCCAUAGGAAAUCAAAUUUAGAUAUUUUUAGGACAUACUCUUUUGCUUCAGCAGACUUACCCAUGUUUUAUGUAGCAAUUCUUUAUAGGGUAAGUGCAGGAUUGGUUGUAGAAUUUUAACUCUUAUCACGAACAACCAUAGGAAGAGGGUCUUACAUCAUUUUGAGAAGCGAUGGUGAGAAGACUCUGCGUGAAUUCUCUGCUCCAAGCACUGAGAAUAUUCACGUAGGUCCAACAUUUGACCUUGGGGAAUAUGAUUAUGAGAUCAAGCCAAGCCUCAUCAAGAUGGUGCAACUUAUCAUAUUCAGUGGAAAGAAGGAUGAAGAUGCCAUUGCACAUUUGUAGAAUUUUCUAGAGAUUGGCAAUACCAUUGACAUUCCAGGCAUUCCUCAAGAUAUCAUGCUACUUCGUUUGUUCCAUUUCUCAUUAGAAGGAACAGCGAAGCAGUGGUCUUAUCAGAGUAAAGAUCAAUCCAAGACAUGGAGAGAAUGUUCGAAGGCUUUCCUAGAGAAGUUGUUCCCAAUAGGCAGAACAAAUAUCUUACGAGGGAAGAUUUCAGAAUUCCAGCAGCAGAAAGGUGAAUCUAUUCCAGAAGCAUGGGAACGUUUUCAAGGAUACAUAUCAGACUGCCUGCAUCAUGAAAUGGAGAAGUGGUUGCUCUUGCUGACAUUUUACUAUGGACUAACUCAAAGGUCAUGUGAGCAAUUGGAUGCCACUGCUGAAGGAUCAUUUCUGUCACUCACCCCUAGAAGAGCUAAAGCUAUUAUGGCAAAAAUGGAAGAAAAUCAUAAUGGGACAUUCAACACUCAGACAUGCCAUGGAAGUAAAGAAGUUCCGGAGGAGUUGUGUGCACUAUCAACCAAGAUGGUUGUAUUAUUUAGCUGGCUAGAGUAGAGGGAUUAUUAUAAAAGAAAUCGUCAAGCCAUUCAAGAUACAUUCAAUUCUCAAGAUCAACAUGAAGAAGAUAUCAGUGUAAUCACAAAGAAGCAAGGAUGGAGUCAACCUCAGGCAACAAGCCAAGGUAAGUAUCAAAAUCAGAGACAACCACUCUUGAGAGAAUUAAUAUUUGAACAAGCUAGAAUUAAUGAGAGUAUUUAUAAGAAGCUUUCUUUUAAUGAUGAAAUGUUAGAAGGAAUUAAUUCAAAAUUGAACAAUUUUUCUCUAGCAGUUAAGGAACAAAUAAUAUUCAAUAAAAAGAUAGAAUCAGAAAUUACACAUCUAGCCUCUAUUUUGUCUGCCACUAACCAUGAAUAGAUUAAAGGAAUAUCUACUAGAGGAGGUAAGGCUACACGUGAUCCGCCUUACCCAGAAAGGGCACGCAGACCUUCACAAUCAGUGUAGGUAGACAAAGAAGCUAGAGAAAACAAUAGAGAAAGAGAAGUUGAAGUACCUUCACCACCAGUUGAUGCACAAGAGCCCAAAUUAAUGAAAGAUUUCCAUGAUACUACUCUCCUACCAUUCCCACAAAGGAGAAGGAGUACCACCACUGAUGAGUGGUUCAGUAAGUUUGUAAAUGUCAUUCAGAAAUUAUAUGUCAACAUUCUGUUGUUAGAUGCUAUGCAGGUACCUACAUACGCAAAGUACCUUCGGGCCAUCCUCAACAACAAGGGACCACUUCCGUCAACCGAAGUCAUCAAGCUAACAGAGGCAUGUAGUGAAGCAAUCCUACAUUCUUCCCCCAUCAAGAAGAUGGACCCAGGAUGCCCCACUAUAGAUUGCUCUAUAUGCAACCAGAUGUUCGAGAAGGCCUUAUGUGAUCUUGGAGCAAGCGUCAGCGUUAUGCCCAAGACAGUCUUUGACAAACUUGACUAUCUCACGCUCACUCCAACAACAAUGUGCUUGCAACUAGCUGACCAAUCAGUCGCUAGCCAGUAGGGAUAGCAGAAAACAUUCUAGUAAGAAUCCGUGACUUUUUCAUUCCUGUAGAUUUUGUGGUACUUGACAUGUAGGAAAAGAGGAAGAUACCUCUUAUCCUAGGGCGACCAUUCCUAAACACUGCAAAUGCAACCAUCAACGUUGGAGCUGGAGAAAUAAUAUUCACCAUUAAUGGGCCAGAAGAGCGAUUCGCAUUCAUGCCAAGGCCUGAGCAAUGCAAGACUCUGAAGGAUCAAGAAGAUCAAGAUGCAUCAACAUCUUUGACAGCGGAGAUCAAUCAUGAAGAAUAAUUCAACUGGAGAAGUCCAAGUCGGUGGACUUAAAAACCCCGAACCUUCACCGGGAGGUAACUCGGUAAUUAUCAGUAAAUUAAAUUCUCACAUUAAAUUUUAGCACAUUUAUUUUCAAAAAUUGCAUUAUUAAAAGAAUAUAAAAAUAAGCAUGUCAUAAUUAAAACUUAAAGCCCCAUGUGAUUACUACUGACAGAGCAUAAAAACCCAGUCAGCGAAAUUUACAGUGGUGGCAGAAAAUUAUAAAAAUACUGUCAUUAGAAUUCUAAUUUCUCAUAGAUUCAUAAAAGUAAUUUAGCUUUUCAUCUUUGUGUCAUUAUAUGGUAUAAAUACGGGAAACAUGUGGGACCUACACCUAUCAUAUAAAGUCAUUUCACAUCACAUCACCACCCACCAAUUAUUCACUACACUCCACUUUCUUUAAUCACAUGCAUGUCUCCUCUUUCUCACCCCACUGCAUCCUGGUGUCAUGAACAAGUACCAACACAUGCACCAACAUAUUCUACACAUGCAAAUGUCGACACUCAUCAAAGUUGGUGGCCAAAGGGGCCAAGGUGGGGCUGGUCGGCCCCACACCCACGCCGGCCGACGCCCACUAUUUACUCUCCGUCUCUCUCUUCACUCAUUCCCUCCUCUUCCAUUCUUCAGUCUAGAGACCUUGCUCCAUAGCCAGUGCCAACUUCGAGUUUCAUUCCAUCAAUUAACACUCUUAAUUAGAGAAGAAAAGAAGAGAGAAAAGAAAUAUCAAGGGCAUCAAUUGGAAAUUCCCUCUUCUCUCUCUUUUAUUUCACUAAUUUUUGAGUUCUUGUGUUCUUGUUGUUCUUGUUUUUGUUCUUCGUGUUCUUAAUACAGGAUGAAUCACAAAGUUGGAGGAGCUCUUAGGAGCAUCGGAAGACACUUUCAUUCUGCAGCACCUGGAGCCAUUCAUCAUCUCAAGCACCUUCACGUAUAGGUUCUGGGAUGGACAUCGAUCUGCCAUCACCUUCCGAGCAUCACACCCCAUCAUCCUCUUCCCAAUGGAAAGAGAGGUAUGAAUUAACAAGCCUUAAUCAAAUUCUAUUACCACUUAGGCCGCAAGUUGAAAUAUUAAAUGUGAUAAAGACCAAAGAGUUUACGCAUACACCCAUAUUUGAUAGUACCUUGCUCCAUGAAACCAGAAUGGAUUCCGUGUUUGUGCUGAUUUUUAGGAUGAUUGGAUGGGAGGAUGAUUGGGAAAUUACUGAACAUGGAUGGAAAAUUACUCACUAUGGAAUUUAUUAGCUCCCUGGAUUUUGAUGAUGACAAUGUUUCUUUUAGAAUGUUCCACAAACCAUUUACUCUUAUAUGGAAAACUGUAAGUUUAGCACUAGGAUUUUUGGAUCAGUGUGUAGUAAAUAUAGCUGAUGUUCUUAAAGAUUUUAAUAAAAAUGACUUUUGGAAGAACAUCACUGCUAAGCAACCUGAACACAAACAAAAAUAUACCACUGAGAAAGUCCAUCCCACACUGAGAUUUAUGCUUAAAUGGUUAGCUUAUACUUUCUUUCCUAGAGAGGAGUUGCACACUAUUAGACAGGAUGAACUGCAUUUGCUAUAUAUCAUGAUUAAAAAGAGAAAAGCAUCACCUGUAAAAUCAAUGUUGAGCUACUGGAAAACUAUACCUACCAUGAGAAAAUGCAGCAUUUCUUUCACCUCUUGGAUCACACGCCUAGCUGCAAGUCUAGAAUUACUGUCUAAAGUCACGCUCACAUUUAUUCUUGAUGAUCGUAGAAUUAUUGGAUAUGAUUUCUUCUUCCGUGCUCAUAUGAUAAAAAGAUGAAACAAUAAAAUAAUCAUGAUCUAUAAGAAAUACAACAAUGAGUACGAGAUGCCUGACUGGGACUGGGAAUUUAUUCUGUUAAUAGUUUUACUUUCCAAGAAAAUGCUAAUAUUGGCAGGUGUACAUCAGCACGCAUCAGCAGGCUGCCUAGAACUAUUUAUACUGGAUCGGACCCAGCACCAUCGGGUCCAGCUCAUUUUUAUUACACUAACUUUGAUGACCCAGGUGCGUCACAUGAGCCACAUCAGCCAUGGUCCAACCACUCAGGAUGGGAGGACCAAGCCACGUAUGAGCAAGGAGAGCUGUCUACAUCCAUAGGAUGGGGAACAUUCCCCACACAGGAGCCAAAUGAGACCAGGAAAAAUUUUCAGACGGGCCAUGCAUCAUCUUCUGUGUGCGGAAAUACGGACCACAUCACUGGUGGACCAUACCUGUUCCAUGCACCACCAGCAGAUGAAUGAAUGUGCCCUCAUGAACAACACUUCGGGGCUUCUAUUAAUGAUUAUCUUGCUAUGUCUUUGCAUCUCAUUAACCUUCAGCAGGGACAGCAGGCGAUGAACGACACUUUGCGCCGACAUGAGCAGUGGCAGCAUCACAUUGAUGAUACGUUUCAGCAACACGAGCAUUGGCAGCACCAGACGGAUCAGCAGUUCAGGCAGUUACAUGAGGGACAACAGCAUAUACAGACCGGAUUAGAGUACCUGAUAGAGCUUAUGGGGUUCCAACCACCACCUCCACCACAUUUCUGAGCCCGGUAACAUUCAGCUAGGGGGAGAGCCCCCGCAAGGUGAGCACUCUUUUACCACUGUAAAUAUUCUAUCUUUAGCAUUUAUUUCAGUAUUUACUUUCUAGCACUUAAUUUUCGUCAUCAAAUGAGAAUAAUUAGAAUUAGUCUUUAAUUCUGCUAUUUAUUAAUUUUUUUUUGCAAUUACUCAGUACUAGAAUUUAAAAUUCUUCUUUGAAUUACAUGAAGUUUAUCUAUCUAGACAAUUGAUUCCGAGAACUAACAUAUGUGGGUAGCAUAAAACUUGUAAUUCAGUCUAUGUAAUUGGUGGAUAUGAUAUAAAAAGGUUUUGAGCUAGUAUCUAUUUUAUUCUAGGUGAUAGCUAAGCUCCAGACAUUUUGUAUGAAUUAAAUCAGUCAAUCUAUAAUUCAUUCUGCUGAUAAGAUUCGAGUAGACUAUUUUGUUAUACAUUCAUGAUUGAAUCCACAGGCACAAAAAUAGGUUUUACUCUAUGCAACAAAUUCUCUCUUAGAAGUCUAAAGGAGAAUGUGGGCUAUAAAAUUAAAGAUGUCAUACCAGAGAAGUAUGAGCCUAAAAGAUUUCAUACCAAAAAGGUAUGGGCCAAACUAAAAAGAAAGAGAGUAAAACAAUGGGUGCAAAGACACUCGCCUGAGAGAAAAAAAUGGGUGCAAAAGGUAUCCGCUGGGGAGGUAGCCCACAUCUCUUAAAAAGACAGAAAAGAGAGAAUAUUGCAUAAGAGUUUGAAAAUAUAAAUUUAAAUCACUAGCACAUUCAAUCAUGAUGUAUAGCUUAGUUGAUGCGACUCGUUGUUCUCAUCUUCAUGAUGUAGGAUGAACACCGAUAACUAGCGGAAGAACAGCCAGAUAACUUGCUGCAAGCAGUGAUAACUAGUGCAACCUGGCAAAUAAAACUCGAAGCCAACCACCGUCUUUGAUGUGCCACAUUGUCCCAAUCUUCACGACGUAGGAAGAACACCGAUAACUAGCUAAAGAACAGUCGGAUAACUUGCUGCAAGCAACAAUAACUAGUGCAACCUGGCAAAUAAAACUCGAAGCCUAAAUUGAGGAUUCGCCCAACCACACUCUCAAAGAACCAAACAACACAACCUACAAUCAAUCAAGGAAUACCUUGAAGGGAGUAGGAGCACCAAUUGGGAGCAGAUGAAGUCGCCGCCUAUGUAAUCCCGCGAGGAAAUCACAAGAGCAAAAAGGGGUAGAGAUCAGUCUCUGAAUUUGUUAGCACACAGCUGAACAAAAGGGGUUAUGUAUUUCAAUUAUCAAACGUCUGAGAUUACAAAGAGUCUUAGGGGGUAUUUAUACUAGCAACAGCCCUGCUAGAUAGGCAAUGGCACAAGAACUGGCUUCACGUGAAAGGUCCCCUUGGAAUAGAUUUCCAAACUGGCUUCGCGUGACUGUUGGCCUCCAGAGUAGUUUCCAAUAAACUGACCAUACCAUCUUAUUGGGAAGUCCAAAUGAUGAACCAUUUCUCUGGUGUGAAACUAGACUCAAAGGGCAUUCCAGCAAUGUAUGCCAACCAGCACGAAACAUUAUAGAUUGGUACAGUUUUACUUGGCAAGUUGUACCAAUAUUCUAUCACGAAAGACUGUUGACCUUCUGAGCAGUCUGUACUAAUUCUGGUCUGCAGGCAAUAUGGAGUAUCUAAACUGGUCACCACUAGAUUCAUUGGAAACUAGACUCGACAAGCUUUCCAACAAGUCCUCAUGGACCUUCAUAGCUUUUGUGAGUAAAAAGUUAUGAAGAUUUAUUUGCACUGGUCCAUUUCUGACUUCCAUUGGUCCGUUUUUUACUUCUUCUAGUCUGGUUUGAUAGUGUCUUCUAGGACUUGCACUGGUCUGUUCUUCAUGGUCUGAUUCAUUCUUCUCUUCUUCUAUAUACCUGAGUACAAUCAAGGUACAACACUUAGGUAGUAUAUAAUUCUCAUUAAUGUUAAAAUGAAUCUCACAAAGUAGCACGUGGACCUCUUGUUGUAGCUUCUUUGCACGACUACGUGUAAUCGGUCCAUUGAUGACUUGGGCUGGUGUCGAUGUAGGUGAAACUUGUGUGGGUGUAGCUUGACUUGGAGCUUGUGACAUCUUGGUUGGUGGCAUGGUCAUAUCAUCCUCCCCCUUGAAAAGGAGUCGUCCUCGACUCUGAAUUAUCUUCACUUGUGAAUGGUGAGAGAUCAGCAAAAUUUAUAGAGUUGCUCACGCCAUAACUUGUAGGAAGAUCAAUAUUGUAUGCAUUGUCAUUGAUCUUCUCAAGAACACGAAAUGGACCAUGUCCUCGUGGUAGCAAUUUUGAUUUGCGCUGCUGAGGAAAGCGAUCCUUGCGAAAGUGUAUCCACACCAAGUCCCCGGGUUCAAAUAACACCUUCUUCCUAUGUUUGUUCAUACUUGCAGCCUUGCGUCCUGCAUUGAGUUCAAUUGCUUCCUUGGUCUUCUCGUGUACCUUCUUGAUGUAUGCAGCACGCUUGGAGGCUUCCAUAUUGGUUCUUUGGAAGGGGCAACAAAUCUAAGGGAGCAAUAGGUUUGAACCCAUAUACAAUUUCGAAAGGACACAUAUUAGUGGCAGACUGUACUGCCCUGUUAUAUGCAAACUCUACAUGUGGCAAGCAUUCCUCCCAAACCUUUAGGUUCUUUUUCACUAUUGUUCGUAGCAACAUUGACAAUGUGCGAUUCACCACUUCAGUUUGUCCAUCGGUUUGAGGGUGACAAGUGGUGGAGAACAAAAGCUUGGUUCCGAGCUUUGCCCAUAAUGUUUUCCAAAAAUAUCUCACAAACUUGACAUCACGAUUGAUACAAUGGUUCUAGGCAUUCCAUGCAGCCACACAAUUUCCCUGAAAAACAAAUUAGCAAUAUGUGAAGCAUCAUCGAUCUUGUUACAAGGAAUAAAAUGAGCCAUCUUUGAAAAUCUAUCAACCACAAGAAAAACUGAAUCUUUUCAUUUGUGAGUUCUAGGAAACCCCAAGACAAAAUCCAUGCUUAUGUCUUCCCAUGGAGUUUUAGGAGCAAGUAUAGGAGUAUAUAAACCAUGAGGGUUCAGUUUAGACUUAGCUUUGUGACAGGUGACGCAUUGCUCCACAAAUCUGAUGACAUCUCUUCUCAUCUUGGGCCAAUAAAAUUGGUCACCUAGCAGUUCAAAUGUUUUAUUUUGUCCAAAGUGACACGUUAGCCCACCUCCAUGUGAUUCCUAUAACAAAAGCAAUCUAACCGAAGAAUUUUGAACACACAGUUUGUUAGCUCUAAACGGAAAACCUUCAUGUAUGUGAUAAAUUUUCCAACCUUUCCCGUCUUGGCAAUGAUUAUAUGGUUCUGAAAAUUUAGCAUCAUUAUUAUAUAGAUCUUUUAGACUUUCCAGACCCAAAACUUUUACCUCAAGUUGGUUCAACAACACACUCUUUCGAGACAAAGCAUCAGCAACAACAUUGUCCUUACCUUUCUUAUAUGUCACAAUGAAUGGAAUUGUUUCGAUGAACUCAACCCAUUUGGCAUGACGUCGGUUCAGUUUUGCUUGUCCUUUCAAGUACUUCAAAGCUUCAUGAUGAGAGUGAAUAACAUAUUCUUUUGGCCAUAAGUAGUGCUGCCAUGUUUCAAGCACACGCACCAAAGCAUAUAAUUCUUUAUCAUACACAGAAUAAUUCAGUUGAGCACCAAAGCACCUUUUGUUGGUGGGUCAUAGGCUUGAGAACAAACUUCUUCCCUUUUAGAUUGAUAGUGAACUGAUUUGUUCUCCCACAAUGUUGGCUAUAUCGAUCAUAUUGCCAUGGUCUUCCAAGCAGCAAGUGACACACCGACAUAGGUGCCACAACACACUCUACUGUGUCAACAUAUUCACCAAUCUUGAAUGGAACGUUUACUUUAUAUCCAAUCUUGAUAUCUCCCAAAUCAUUCAGCCACUGUACAUGAUAUGGAUGAGGGUGUCGUAGCAGCUUUAGGCCAAGUUUAUCAACCAUCUCACGACUAGCAAGAUUAUUGCAGCUCCCUCCAUUAAUAAUCACCUUCACCACUUUAUCAUGCACCUUUGCUCUAGUUUGAAAUAAAUUAUGUCGCUGCCCAUUUUCAGCUUCUUUCAUUUGAACACUCAAGAUUUGAGACCGGCAACCUGAAUCGAGGAUUCGCCCAACCACACUCUCAAGGAACCAACCAACACAGCCUACAAUCAGUCAAGGAAUACCUUGAAGGGAGUAGGAGCAUCAAUUGGGAGCAGACAAAGCUGCCGCCUAUGUAAUCCCGUGAGGAAAUCACAAGAGCAAGAGGUAGAGAUCACUCUCUGAAUAUUUGCUAGCACACAGCUAAACAAAAAGGGGUUCUGUAUUUCAAUUAUCAAAAGUCUGGGAUUAUAAAGAGUCUUAGGGGGUAUUUAUACUAACAACAGCCCUGCUAGCUAGGUAUGAAAAUGAUAUAGAGUUUCUAAGGGAAGGCAAUAUGAAAGGUCCCCUCGGAAUGGAUUCCCAAACUGGCUUCGCGUGACUGUUGGCCUCCAGAGCAGUUUCUAAUAAACUGACCAUAACUUCUUAUUGGGAAGUCCAAAUGAUGAACUGUUUCUUGGGUGUGAAACUAAACUUAAAGGGCUUCCCAACAAUGUAUGCCAACCAGUAUGAAACGUUGUAGAUUGGUACAGUUUUACUUGGCAAAUUGUACCAACAUUCUGUAACGACAGACUGUUGACUUUCUGAGCAGUCUGUACUAAUUCUGGUGUGUAGGCAAUAUGGAGUAACCAAACUAGUUGCCACUAGAUUUAUUGGAAAGUAGACUCGACAAGCUUUCCAACAAGUUCUCAUGAACCUUCAUAGCUUUUAUGAGUAAAAAGGUAUGAAGAUUUCUUUGCACUGGUCCGUUCUUGACUUCUACUGGUCUGUUUUUGACUUCUUGUGGUCCGUUUUGCUAGUGUCUUCUGGGACUUGCACUGGUCCAUUCUUCAUAGUCCGAUUCAUUCUUCUCAUCUUCUAUAUACCUGUUGGGUAUUUUAAACGCAAACAGAAAAAUCCGCAAGCGCACGGAUACCGAUGUAGCCUUCACCCGGGAGUACUCCAGAGUAUCGAUUUUCCACAGAGAACGUGAGUGUACUAAUUAAGAUCCAAGAUCCCCCAAGGAUAACUAUAUAAUUAUUUUUGGUGGGAAGAGAGGAAGUUUCCUGAGAGUUCUCUAGUUGAUCUAAGAAUCAAGAAUUACUUCAGAGAUUAUUUAUAUCGGGACAUCAGAGCACUAACCACAGAAAGAGAUGAGAAGGGGGCUCGGAAGGUCUGACUACGGUCCUACAAACACCGAUCCGAACGAGAUGGAAUACGUCGACCGUUAGGGCUAUCACUACCCUAAGGCUACCACAACAAUCCGCAGGAUUGGGUGCAAUUCCAGGUAAUUGCAAGACUAAACACCACGUCUAAUCUAUUAAUUACUACUCUAGCGUUAUAAAGACUAGAGCACUUGAUGCAAGCGGGAAUCCAAUAAAUAACUUGAAUGUAAAUAAAAGUAAUUAGAGAACUCAGGAAUUAUAAAUUGAAGAACCUGGAGAACGAUGAAGAAUGAACCAGUUGCUGCAAAAGUACAAUGUUGAGGAAGAUCCGACAGAUCCGGCUCCUCCUCCGCUCUCCUCUUCUCUCUCCCUAUUUUCUAGAUUACAACUAGAACUAACUAGAACUAGAGGAACUAGAACUAGAACUAGAUGAACUAGAACUAGAUCUAGAUGAACUAGAGAUAGAACUAGAAGAACUAGAGGGAUCCUCUCUACUUGGAUGAAGAAUUGAAACCCUAACUUUGAUUCUGUAGAAGAGGUAUGAUCUCCAGGGGCCAGGGGGUCUGGUUUUAUAGUCCCUUCAAGUGAAUAUGGGCCGUUGGAUCAAACCGACAUUGAUUGAACGGUUAUCCUUGAUCCUUUAGGUCGGUGGAGCAAUAUCCCGAAAGAGAGUCCUGAUUGGACUCUAUGUGAGGGCGGGCGCCCAGGAGAGGAGGGCGGGCGCCCUGUCCCUGAGUCCUCUCGGCCUCCGCUUCGGUCUCGUGGCUUCUGGAGUCUUCUAGAUGAUAGAAAAUUGCGCGGCACGUUAAUAUCUCUAUGUAAACCCGACGUGUGGGCCUUUCUUCUGUAUUUCCUGAUAACCCCCUGCAGAAAUAGACAAACACCAAAACUCGUGGAAUUCUGUCAGAUAAAACCCUAAGUCUAGGUGUUGGUUGCAUUUGGAUCCUUUUCCAUGAUUAGUUGAUGGUUAAAUAUGAGCAUUAAGGACCAUCAACAAGCUCCCCCAAGCUUAACCUUUGCUCGUCCCUGAGCAAAGAUGGACUCAAGAGUUUCUGUAGUGGUUUUAUGCCUUAAAAAUACACAUUCGUUCAAACAAGAUCUCAUCUCUGGGUUAGGUUAAACUGUUAAGAUUUAAAACUUACUCAUUUUACCUUUCACCAUGGUACUUGUAACCGUCACAUCUGUCUUGAGUAGUUAAAAGAUAGAACGGUCUAGUCAAGCGCCAUGUCUCUUGUUCUUCGAUUAACUAUAGCUCUGGAGUUUUUUUGCAGAUUUUCAAAUAAAACUCAGAGAUUCCUUGUAUGACUUUCUCUAGUCUCUCUUUUGUGGUAUUUCUGGAUCCUUACCAAGGCAGUAAUGGUGUAUGCCUUCUCUCAAAGUAUGUGGUAUUUUUGGUAUGAGGCAUAGUGGCAUUGCCUUCUCUCUCACCCUACUCUAAUAAGGCUUUUGAUAUCUGGAGCUCAUAGGUGGGAGACAGCUAAUACAUACUUACAAGACAUUUAUUGUAUAGUCAAACCUUGGAUCCAGAAGAAUAAGUCAAUAAGUCAAAUCAAGAUGUGCAUGUGUGGCGAAUGAAUGGUGUAUGAUGAUGAUGGUGAUAACAAUGGUGAAAGUCUAGUUCUACUUUUACUCUUUUGAGGGGAUACAUACCUUUCUUGCUCUUUUCAAACUUUUGGAGGAGAAUGAGAUGCUCUGUAUUUUCUUUUUCUUUUCCCUCAGGUGGGUAUCUUGUACCCCUAAUUCUACUGUCGGACACUUGUCCAUUUUUACCUCUCGUCUCACCUUUUCUUUUCUUCGAGGUUCCGGACACUUGCCCCUUUUUAUUUCCUCGUAUCUUUCUCUUUUUUUUUCUCUAUCUUCUUUUUUUAGAGCACUCAUCUCAUGAGAUGAUGUAGCAAGUGGUAGUAACCAAGAUAACUUGAGCAUUUAUUUCACAGGGGAAAACAGAAAUGUUUUUGGCUAUUCUCUCCUGGAUUAGGAGUAGAAUAUUUUUGGGUGGUUCUGGAGAUGGAAAUGGAUGGAUAUAUGUGGAUGCGUACUUCUGGAGUAGAAGCAGCAAGUGUGAGUGAACGUGCAAGUGAAUCUUGAUUUAACCACAUGACAAGCUCCUAAGGGUCUACACAGCUUGACCACACUCAAUGCUCAUAAGCAGUAAAAAGUAAAUGUGUGGCUCAAAGUUUAGCAAGCAUGUAUAUAUGGCUAUGGUAGGAAUUUAAACUCUCAUCAUACAGGAACUCAUCAUGUGUUAUUUUAAAGAUUUUCAAAGAUAAAAUUUCCUAGAAUUCUAGCAUCUCAAGGAACAGAUAAACAGCAGCUCAACCUUCCCAUAUCGUAUCCGUUAACGACUUAGACUUUAGAUCAAGUACUCUCCCCACAAGUUCAGGUUUAGUGCAAAUCUUAAUCAAUACCAGUCAUUCCUAAACUUGAGAGAGAUUUCAAUUUUGAGAACUAGUCAUGGCAGAGCAACUAUCCAUCAUUUCCAUGUGAGAGCUUAUCAUGAGGGUUCAUAGCAAACUUUAUUUAUUUAUUUAUUUAGCAAACUAAGCAAAGAUAUAUGUAAAAGCACAAAAUCUUUAUUUGGGUUUUUAUGAUUAUGCAUCUUUUUAUUAUUAGAGUAAAGUAUAAACGUGAGUAGAAUACUUAGCUGGAUAAAUGGGAGUGCUCUCCCCCAAGCUGGAUUUUGACGUAAUUCCUUGUGAUGUAGCUAGCAGGUGACGGAGGUGUAUUUGAAUGUCGGCAGCACCCUGACACCGAUUAGGAUGUCCUCCGUCUGCUAGUCUUCUUUGAUCCUUGAAUUCUAUGGAGCUCAAAUAGACAACAAAGCUUUGUGGAACUAGUUAAGUAUUAGCAUAAAUAUCUAGCCUUUAUCAUGUUGAGCCUACUCAAUAAAUGUUACUCUCUUUAGUAGGAUCACAAUCUUAUUUUUAGAUUUUCAUUUUUAUAGGACAAGAAUAUAUUUAUUUUAUUUUUAUGCCACCACAGUGAAUGUACUUUUGGGUUUUAUGCCAUGAGCAUACUCACAUGGGGCUUACUAUUUUUAACAUUUUUAUUUUCUUUUCUAGAUGAUAUGAACCUGAUUAACUAAGCAAAUUGUUUUAAAUAAUUGAAAGGGAAGGAUAACUACCAAGUUUACCUCUUGGCAAGGCGUUUGGUGUUUUUAAGUCCUCCGAACGGGACUCUCUGCUUUCUCAAUCGUCCUGGGAUUCGCUGGAUGGCGUAGUCGGUGGUUCCGGCGGCGCCUGCUCUUCAUGAAUAACUAUCUUCUCUCUACACCUGCCUCGGUGUACUUCUCCUUCGUACUCCACCCAUCCAUCCUUGAUGAUUUGCCUCCUCUGGUUGCAGUUGCGUCGUCUUCUUCUUGUCCUGACCUGCUUAGAGUCUUCAACUAUAUAGUUAGGGUCAGUAAAAUAGCGGCGUACCUUCUCAGAGGGGUAGUGUAUGCGGACUUCUCCGGUUCCAAUGUAGAUGAUUGCUUCAACGGUGCUGAGGAACGGUAUUCCAAGGAUGAUGGGUGGAUUGUAUUCGUCUUCUCCCAUGUCAAUAACCUUCAAAUCAUCUGGAGCUGAAUGUAUUUUUGUUGUAGGGGCAUGGUUCUAAACAGGAGCUGAUAGGUGACUGCGGCCCUUAUGUUGACGUCAGAUCCGGUGUUGUAGAGUGUCUUCUGAAAAGAAUAUCCGUUGAUUGUGCACUUGAUGCUUGGAACACCAGGGUCGUCCUUCUUGAUCAAGAAAGGCGAUUUGAGUUGACGAUCUUGACCUCUUUGAACUGCAGUGACCAUCUUAGCUGACUCGGUCCACACUUGCUUGUUCCUGUUCCUCCUGUUGGUCUUCUUCCUUGGUUCAUGUCAGGAAUGCUCUGAGAUUUGUGUAGUCUUGUUCUUGAAGGAAAACGUCUCCUUCCUACCCUUGAUGUAGAAACUGAUCUUGGUAGCACUAGCGUAGAUGACAGCCCCUGAGGUGUUUAGGAAUGGCCUCCCUAGGAUGAUGGGUGCCCUCUCAUCAGUACCAGUCUCUAUCACCACGAAGUCUACUGGGGCGUACAAGGUACCAACUCGGACGUAUAGGUUCUUCAACAUUCCCUUUGGGAAACUUAGCGCACGAUCUGCAAGCUGCAAACACAUGGUUGUUUCUAGUAAAGGAUGUGUAAAGAAUUAUUCAUAAAGUACCCUGGGCAUAAUGUUGACGCUGGAGCCAAAGUCGUAGAGUGCUUCUGGGAAGUCCACCAUGCCGAUGGAGAUCGGGAUGACGAGGCGUCCUGGGUUGUCUCUCUUGACCGGCAGAAGGUCAGUAAUUACUUCCACAACGGGGUUACUCCAGUAGUUACGUCCUCAAGCAUCUCUGGGCAGUGAUUGCCUGAGUGUCCAGUAUCUCCAGUGUGUUUGUGCUCGUAGAUCUAGGUUCUUCACUUGGUGGAGUCUGGGAGUUGUAAAAGUCCUUCAUAUUUUGCUCGAAGUGUACCUGCUCAUAGGGACAAGGCAGAGACCAAGUGCAUGGGCCCUGUUGGUUGAAAACACCAACGGAACCAAAAGUGUAUUUGUUCUCUCUAACCUUAAGCAUAGUGAGCAAGACAAAGUUGAUGGAUAAUAAGACCAUGAGUAUAACAUUUAAAACAUUUGUCAGAUCAAAUCGCUCAACCUAAUGGAAAGAUAAUCUAUCUAUAUUUAUGUUGUUUUUUUCUAUUUAUAUAUCUUCCAAAGAUUGAGUGUGCAACAUUUUAGUUCAUAUGAUUAGGAGUGUGGGAUCACAAAGGUGGAAGGACUAAACAUGUUGAAUCAGGUUGGUUAAUCUAGAGUUGUAAAUCAUACAUGUUUGUCUCUUUUGUUCAUGUGAACGCCAGAACCAAGGAGAAGCUUAUAAAAGUGAUAGUGAAGUACCUUAAGAUGUUACCUUACUUGAAAAGUGAUGGUACAGUAUCACCUUGUGGAAUCUUUCCUUUCUUAGCGGUUGUGCAUCGUGUUUGUGGCACCCUCCAUGGAUCAUCUUUUAUGAGCUAUGCCUUCCUUGUGUAAAUUGUUAAACUUCAUGUGUCUCUCUCUUUGUCUCCAAUGUGAGUUUAUCUCAGGACUUCCCAGGUCGAUAUUGAAAGUUUUCCUGUAGAGGUUAGUCCAACAAAAUAUCCAAUAUCUACUAUAGCAUACUAUUGGCUCAAAGAUCAACCUAGACACCAUGUCUAAUUUGAUUUAGGAGGGCAUUUUAACCUAAGCAUCAUGCUUAAUUUAAACUCCCUUGGAAGUAAGAUCAUCAGCCCUAAACUAAGCACUAUGCUUAAUUAAGAGAUAAAUGAAACUACUCCAAACCUAGACAUAUACUAAAGCAAAUAAAGGUGGUAUGAGAGCAUUUAUAGAGUUCUACUCAAGUGGAGUUAAAGUAGUGUGAUUAGUAUUUAACAAAUUGAGCAUGUCUCAAUGGUAGGGACAACCAACAUAGCAACAUGGCAAAGGAUGUUUUUAUGUAAAGUACUCCCCCAAGCUUGAAUUUUGCAAAAUUCAAGUUUGGAUGAAUUUAAUUCAAUGUUGUAUGAUGAUUGGUUGGACAUACCUUGUGCUUGUCAUUCAUCCGAUCUUCUUGCUCCAAUCCUGAAAAGGUUAGUGACAAGAAUACCCAAAGGAAUUUUUUUACAAUUAUCCUUAUAUGCUCAACACAAAAGGUAAUGUUGCAAAUAAUUAAAAGCUCAUGUUACAAUCUGAUCAGUGCUUGUUUUAGGACACUAAGCUUGUCCUUGGGAAACCAUCAAUUUAUGUCAGUGAAGUGGUUUCCCCUCCAACGCUCACCUAUAUCAAGAUGAACUCAACGAGAUCUGCAAAAUUUAUUAUAGACAUAUGCAUCGACAACCACCCUUUUAAUGUUUUAAUAAAUAGAAAGGAAGAGGGGGUUGGAGAUCUCGAAUGUGGUGAUGUUGGAGAGACCAAUGGAUUGUGAAGAUGUUGCAUAUGAGCAUGGAGUAAAUGAAGUGGCUAUGAAAUAAAUUCCAUGCUCAUUAAUGCUUAGAGUGAAAUCCAUGUGGUGUGGUGAAAAUGGUAAGGUGAGUGUGGUAAAAAAGGGAAAGAAAAAGGAUACACGGACGACUUGGUUCGAAACUAGCACAGCUACCGUUCCCCGACAACGGCGCCAGGAAGCUUGUUGGGUAUUUUAAACGCAAAUAGAAAAAUCCGCAAGCACACGGAUACCGAUGUAGCGUUCACCCGGGAGUAUUCCAGAGUAUCGAUUUUCCACAGAGAACGUGAGUGUACUAAUUAAGAUCUAAGAUCACCCAAGGAUAACUAUAUAAUUAUUUUUGGUGGGAAGAGAGAAAGUUUCCUGAGAGUUCUCUAGUUGAUCUAAGAAUCAAGAAUUACUUCAAAGAUUAUUUAUAUCGGGACAUCAGAGCAAUAACCACAUAAAGAGAUGAGAAGGGGGCUAGGAAGGUCUGACUACGGUCCUACAAACACCGAUCCGAACGAGGUGGAAUACGUCGACCGUUAGGGCUGUCACUACCCUAAGGCUACCACAACAAUCCGUAGGAUUGGGUGCAAUUCCAUGUAAUUGCAAGACUAAACACCACGUCUAAUCUAUUAAUUACUACUCUAGCGUUAUAAAGACUAGAGCACUUGAUGCAAGCGGGAAUCCAAUAAAUAACUUGAAUGUAAAUAAAAGUAAUUAGAGAACUCAGGAAUUAUGAAUUGAAGAACCUGGAGAACGAUGAAGAACGAACCAGUUGCUGGAAAAGUACAAUGUUGAGAAAGAUCCGACAGAUCCGGCUCCUCCUCCGCUCUCCUCUUCUCUCUCCCUAUUUUCUAGAUUACAACUAGAACUAACUAGAACUAGAACUAGAGGAAUUAAAACUAGAACUAGAUGAACUAGAACUAGAUCUAGAUGAACUAGAGGUAGAACUAGAAGAACUAGAGGGAUCCUCUCUACUUGGAUGAAGAAUUGAAACCCUAACUUUGAUUCUGUAGAAGAGGUAUGAUCUCCAGGGGCCAGGGGGUCUGGUUUUAUAGUCCCUUCAAGUGAAUAUGGGUCAUUGGAUCAAACCGACAUUGAUUGAAUAGUUAUCCUUGAUCCUUUAGGUCGGUGGAGCAAUAUCCCGAAAGAGAGUCCUGAUUGGACUUAUGUGAGGGCGGGUGCCCAGGAGAGGAGGGCGGGCGCCCUGUCCCUGAGUCCUCUCGGCCUCCGCUUUGGUCUCGUGGCUUCUGGAGUCUUCUAGAUGAUAGAAAAUUGCGCGGCACGUUAAUAUCUCUAUGUAAACCCGACGUGUGGGCCUUUCUUCUGUAUUUCCUGAUAACCCCCUGCAGAAAUAGACAAACACCAAAACUCGUGGAAUUCUGUCAGAUAAAACCCUAAGUCUAGGUGUUGGUUGCAUUUGGAUCCUUUUCCAUGAUUAGUUGAUGGUUAAAUAUGAGCAUUAAGGACCGUCAACAAUACCUAGGUACAAUCAAGGUAUAACACUUAGGUAGUAUAUAAUUCUCAUUAAUGUUAAAAUGAAUCUCACAAAGUAGCGCGUGGACCUCUUAUUGUAGCUUCUUUGCACGACUACGUGUAAUCGGUCCAUUGAUGACUUGGGCUGGUGUCGGUGUAGGUGAAACUUGAGUGGAUGUAGCUUGACUUGGAGCUUGUGACAUCUUGCUUGGUGGCGUGGUCAUAUCAUCCUCCCCCCUUGAAAAGGAGUCGUCCUCGACUCUGAAGUGUCUUCACUUGUGAAUGGUGAGAGAUUAGCAACAUUGAAGGAGUUGCUCACACCAUAACUUGUCAGAAGAUCAAUCUUGUAUGCAUUGUCAUUGAUCUUCUCAAGAACAUGAAAUGGACCAUCUCCUCGUGGCAGCAAUUUUGAUUUGCGCUGCUGAGGAAAGCGAUCCUUGCACAAGUGUAUCCGCACCAAGUCCUAGGGUUCAAAUAACACCUUCUUCCUAUGUUUGUUCAUACUUGCAGCCUUGCGUCCUGCCUUGAGUUCAAUUGCUUCCUUGGUCUCUUCUCGUGUACCUUCUUGAUAUAUGCAGCACGCUUUUAGGCUUCCAUAUUGGUUCUUUCCUGCAUUGGAAGGGGCAACAAAUCUAUCGGAGCAAUAGGUUUGAACCCAUAUACAUCCGCUCCCAAUUGGUGCUCCUACUCCCUUCAAGGUAUUCCUUGAUUGAUUGUAGGUUGUGUUGGUUGGUUCUUUGAGAGUGUGGUUGGGCGAAUCCUCGAUUCAGGUUGCCGGUUAAAGACGGUGGUUGGCUUCGAGUUUUAUUUGCCAGGUAGCACUAGUUAUCGCUGCUUGCAGCAAGUUAUCCAACUGUUCUUCAGCUAGUUAUCGGUGUUCUUCCUAUGUCGUGAAGAUCGGGACAACGAGUCGCAUCAUCUGGAGAAGAUAGUGUUGAAAGAAGAGGAGGUCAGAGGAACCAGAGGGCUGCACAUGGUAGAGGAAGAAGACAUAGUCGAAGAAAUGAUGGAUGAUGCGACGCUGUUGACAGUCCUUAAGUAUCAAAUUUAAUUAUCAAAUAAACAAAGAAAAGGAUCCAAAUGAAAUCAACAUCUAGACUUAGGGUUUUAUCUGACAGAAUUCCACGAGUUUUGGUGUUUGUCUAUUUCUGCAGGGGGUUAUCAGGUAAUACAGAAGAAAGGCCCACACGUCGGGAUUACAUAGAGAUAUUAACGUGCCGCGCAAUUAUCUUACAUCUAGAAGACUCCAGAAGCCACGAGACCGAAGCGGAGGCGAAACGGGGCCAGAGGCAGGGCGCCCGCCCUCCUGCCCUGGGCGCCCGCCCCCUCUGGGAGUCCAAUCAGGACUCUGCUUCGUGGGAGAUUUCCACAGACCUAAAGGAUGAAUCUAAACCAUACAAUCUAUGUCGGUUUGAUCCAACGGCCCAUAUUCACUUGAAGGGACUAUAAAACCAGACACCCUGGCCCCUGGAGGAGAGAGCCUCUCAACCCUAAUUCAUUGUUCUUCAAGGGAGAAGAAGCCUCUGAUCAAGAUUAGAGCCACCACAUCAAUUAGAUAUCUAGAUUAGCAUAGCUACAUAGGAUUAGAACUAGAAGGAGUCAAUCUUCGAUUGGUUUCCGGAUCUGUCAGGAGGAUUCUUGGUAAUUCUCUAAUUGUGCUUCUAAUUUCUUUCUAAUUAUCUUUGUUCGUCAAUAUUAUGAAUAUGACUUUGUUCUACUUCAAUAUAUUGCUUAUGACUUUGCUCUUCUUGCUUAUAUUCAAGAUUAUAUUGUUCUUGGUUUAUCAUAGUUAUGUACUUGGCUUAGUUAGAUUGGAUCUAUAUACAUGCUUAGGAUCGUAUAGCGUUUAUCCAUCAGAUCCAUAGGAAAAUGAUAGAUAUUGUGUAGGCGUGGUGCUUAUACCGUAUUUAUCUGCGAUUGUACCCAAUAUGCCAGAUCGUGGGGUGGUUCGUGAUAGUGACAGCUUCAUUGAUUCUUAUAUAGUCCCCCUCUCAUGUAUUGGGCUGGCAGAGCAACAUUGUUACAGGGGAGUGAUUGCUAUGUUUCUCAUAGUCCUUGCUAAUAUCACUAUGCAUGGGCGUAGUCUUGUCUCACAAUGAUUGCUAAGUAUACUUGCACUAACUAUGAUAUGCUAGACUAUAUAGUUGAGAAUAACUUAGGGAAUAUUCUUGUAGUUCAUUCUAAUACCAUGCUAAUGACUCUCUAGAGUAUCUAAUUGAGGUGCUUAUCGUAUUUAUUAUGUGGCUAGAUCAGAUUAGUUAUCCUUGUCACUAUUAUUAUUUCAUAUAUCUUUUAUGUGACACUUAUCCCUGUAUGAAGAGUUAGAUAUAAUGUUCUCAAUUAUACAUGCAAUGAUAGAUGCUCAAUCUCAUAUUCUAUUCUGUAAUCAAUAGUGAUGAUUGUUAAUCCCUUCCUGGUGGUAAAAAUAUAAAUAACGAUACCUGGAAUACUUCCCGGUUAAAAUGCUACAUCGGUAUUAAUCUGUGCGCUUGCAGAUCCCAUUCAUUAUUUAUUUAGAAGAGCAAUUGCAUAUUUCAAUACCGCGUCUCUCAUGUCAUGCUGGGGAUGACAACUUGGCUUAAGUGGUGUGAGGGAUAGGUUUGGCAUUUUUGGCACCGUUACUAGAUUUAGAGAACUUAGUCUACUUUUGGUAAUGAUGUUAAGAAUACCCAACAAGCAUUUUUGGCGCCGUUGCCGGGGAAGGUUGAUUACUAAUCAGGAAUGGAAUAAAGGAUUUUGAGUUAUCAUUCGCAUUACUAAUAUGAUUGAGCUUAUCUAUUCUCUCAUACAGUUUUACCCCAAUAUUUUUCUAUUUUAUCUUAUGCAGGGGAAUGUAUGAAUAGAAGACAUCUUCCAGGAAAUUUUGUUGACAAUCCCGAAGCAUUAUUCAAGAAGACGAGAGCCAAGCUCAAGAAGAGAUCAUCAACACUUCAGCAAGAAGCUUCAUCCAAUCAAAAAGAUCACCGGAACUUGUCUUCAGAGUUCGAGGCCAUGGCGAACAAAUCAAUCCGCGAGUUCUCAGCUCCCACUACGGAUAACAUUCGCACUGGACCUGCUGCAGAGAUCGACGGCAACUUUGAGCUCAAGCCUGGACUUAUCAACAUGGUGCAAUCCAACCAGUUCUGUGGGAAGGCACAUGAAGAUGCUAGUGCUCAUUUACAACACUUUCUGGAGAUUUGCAACACAUUCACCAUAUCAGGAGUUUCCAAAGAUGCUAUACUACUUCGCCUCUUCCCAUUCUCACUGUUAGGAAGAGCGAAGCAGUGGUUCUACGCUACAAAGGAGAAGAAUACUACGUGGGCACUCUGCUCAACAAACUUCCUGGCAAAGUUCUUUCCCAUGGGCAAGACCAAUGCUCUCCGUGGGAAGAUUACAAGUUUUCAGCAACAAAAUGAUGAAUCUGUUCCAGAAGCAUGGGAGCGCUUCCAAGACUACAUCCUAGAAUGUCCCCAUCAUGGAAUGGAGAGUUGGCUACUGAUGCAGACGUUUUAUCAUGGACUCGGCAACAGUGCCCGAGAGACCAUGGAUGCUGCAGCUGGAGGAGCAUUCUUAUCACUUACUAUACCACAAGCCACAGCUCUUGUGGAGAAGAUGGCGUCCAAUCAAAGCUGGAAUGAAGAGAGGACCCAGACACGCAAUAGAGGUGGAGGUAUGCAUCAGCUGAAGGAGGUAGACAUGCUGUCUGCAAAGCUAGACCUGCUCAUGAAGAAGCUCGACGAUAGAGCUGGAGACAAGAAAGAAGUUAUGCACAUCUAUGACUCUCACAUGACUUGUGAGGAGUGUGGAGACACUGGACACUCAGGCAAUCACUGCCCUGAGAUGCUUGAGGAUGUGAACUACAUCAACAACAACAACAACUACUACUACUACAACCGUCCUCAACAAAAUCAAGGUUGGAAUCAACAGAGGCCUAACUACUUAGGUAAUUAUCAAUGUAACAAUUCUUACAACAAUAAUAAUAAUUUUGCACCUUUGAGAGAGUUAGUGUCUAAUCAAGGAAAGCUAAUGGAUAACCUAUCUAAGAAAUUGGCAUCUAAUGAUAAAAUGCUAGAAAAUAUAAAUAAUAGAAUGGAUAAUUUCUCUACUGCCAUCAAGAAUCAAAUUAGCUUUAAUAAAAUGAUUGAAUCUCAGUUAAAUCAAAUAGCUGCUGCUGUUCCUGCUACUAACCCCGGUAUACCAUCACAACCGGAUGGAUUAGAAUCUGCAAAUCUUGUAGACAUGUUUGAUGUAGGUAAUAAUUGGAGUAACCCCGUCACUGAAUUCUCUACUGACCUUCUGCCGGUCAAGAGAGGCGAUCCAGGACGCCCGGUCAUCCCAAUCUCCAUCGGCAUGGUGGACGUUCCAGAAGCACUCUGCGACUUUGGCUCCAGCGUCAACAUUAUACCCAGGGUACUCUAUGAAAAAUUCUUUACAUAUCCUUUAUUAGAGACAACCAUGUGUUUGCAGUUUGCAGAUCAGAUGAUAACUUUUCCAAAAGGAAUAUUGAAGAACCUUUGUGUCUGAGUUGGUACCUUAUAUGCUCUAGCAGACUUCGUAGUGGUAGAGACUGGAAAUGAUGAGAGGGCACCCAUCAUCUUAGGGAGGCCAUUCUUAAACACCACGGGAGCUAUCAUCUACGCAAGUCCUGCCAAGAUCAGUUUUUACUUCAAAGGGAGGAAGGAGACAUUUUUCUUCAAGAACAAGACUACACAAAUUCCAGAUCAAUCCAGACGUGAAUCAAGGAAGAGGACCAACAGGAGGAACAGGAACAAGCAAGUGUGGACCGAGUCAGCUAAGAUGGUCACUGCAGUUCAUGGAGGCCAAGAUCACCAACUUAAGUCACCGCUUUUGACCAAGAAGGACGACCCAGGAAUGCCAAGCAUCUACUGCUCCAUAAAUGGAUACAACUUCUACAAGGCAACUUGUGACACCGGAUCGGGCGUCAACAUAAUGGCCGCAGUCACCUAUCGGCUCUUGUUCGGAACCAUGCCACUAAGACCAACAUACAUUCAGCUCCAGAUGGCAGAUCAGACAUUUCGAGAAGUUAAAGGAAUAGUAACUGAUGUCCCAGUCAAAAUAGACGAUCACUUUGUCUACACAGACUUUCAAGUUAUUGACAUGGGAGAAGACGAGUAUGAUCCACCCAUCAUCCUUGGAAGACCGUUCCUCAGCACCGUUAAAGCAAUUAUCUACAUUGGAACCGGAGAAGUCCAUAUGCACUUCCCCUCAGAAAAGGUACGCCGUUAUUUUACUGACCCUAGCUAUAUCAUUGAAGAAUCUAAGCAGGUAAGAAAGCGACGCAACCGCAACCAGAGGAGGCAAAUCAUCAAGGACGGAUGGGCAGACUAUGAAGGAGAAGUUAUAAGGUCAGAAGACGUAGAGUUUAAAUAGAAUUAUCCAGAGGAGAUCGAAGCACCGAGUCAGGUAUGGAAAAUGAAGAUAACUAUACAUGAAGAGGAGGCGCUGCCGGAAGUACUGACUACGCCACCCAACGAACCUCAGGACAAUUGAGAAAAUGGAGAGUCCCGUUCGGAGGACUUAAAAACACCGAACGCCUUGCCAAGAGGUAAACUUGGUAGUUAUCCUUUCCCUUUCAAUUAUUUUAAACAGUUUGCUUAGUUAAUCAUGUUCAUGCUAUCUUAAAAAUAAUUAAAAAAAUAUGAAAAAACAGUAAGCCCCAUGUGAGUAUACGAGUGGCAUAAAACCCAUAAGUACAUUCAUUGUGGUGGCAUAAAACUAAAAUAAAUUUCUUUUCUGCUUUAUAAAAAUGAAAAUGAAAAACAGGGAGUAAUAUUUAUUAAGGAGUCUCAACAUGAUAAAGGCUAGAUAUUUAUGCUAACCCUUAACCUGUUCUACAAGCUUUGUUGUCUAUUUGAACUCCACAGAAUUUAAGAAUCAAGAAGACUGGCAGACGGAGGACAUUCUAAUCGCUGUCAGAAUGCUGCUGACUUUCAAAUACACCUCUGCCACCUGCUAGCUACAUCAAGAGAAAUUACGUCAAAAUUCAGCUUGGGGGAGAGCACCCCCAUUUAUCUCGAUAAGUAUUUCUAUCUAUCUAUCUUUAUACUUAUAUUAUUUUAGAAUAUAAAUAUACAUAACUAUGGAAAACCAAAUAAAGAGUUUGUGCUUAUAUAUAUAUAUAUAUAUAUAUAUAUAUAUAUAUAUCUUUUGCUUAGUGUGUUUAAUAAAUAAAUAAAGUGGCUAUGCUAAUCUGUAUCUUAACAAUAAAACUCUAGCAUGGAUAUGAUGAAUAGUUGCUCUGCCUAAUGUGCACAUUUUAAGUUCUCUCUCAAGUUUAGAUAUAACUGUUAUAAUUUAAAGCUUGCUCUAGACCUAAACUUGUGGGAUGAAAACUUGAUCUAAAGUCUAAGUUGUUAACGGAUACGAUAUGGGAAGGUUGAGCUGCUGUUUAUCUGUUCCUAGAGAUGCUAGAAUUCUAGAGAAUUUUAUCUUUGAAAAUCUUUAAAAUGUUGCAUGAUGAGUUCCUGUAUGAUGAGAGUUUAAAUUCCUACCACAGCCAUAUAUACAUGCUUGCUAGACUUUGAGCCACACAUUUACUAUUUACUGCUUAUGAGCAUUGAGUGUGGUCAAGCUGUGUAGACCCUUAGGAGCUUGUCAUGUGGUUAAAUCAAGAUUUCACUUGCACGUUCACUCAUAUAUGCUACUUCUACUCCGGAAGUACCAUCCACAUAUAUCCAUCUAUUUCCAUCUCCAGAAUCACCCAAAAAUAUUCUACUCCUAAUCCGGGAGAGAAUAGCCAAAAAUAUCUCUGUUUUCCCCUUGUGAAAUAAAUGCUCAAGUUAUCUUGUUACUACCACUUGCUAUAUUAUCUCAAGAGAUGAGUGCUUAUAAAAAAAGAGAAAAAAAAAUAAAUACGAGGAAAUAAAAAGGAGCAAGUGCUCGGAACCUCGAAAGAAAAAAAAAUGAGACGAGAGGUAAAAAUGGACAAGUGUCCGACAGUAGAAUUAGGGGUACAAGAUACCCACCUGAGAGAAAAGAAAAAGAAGAGCAUCUCAUUCUCCUCAUAAAGUUUCAAAAAGCAAGGAAGGUAUGUAUCCCCUCAAAGAGCAAAGUAGAAUUAGACUUCCACCACCAUUGUUUCCACCAUUGUUAUCACCAUUAUCACCAUACACCAUUAAUUCGCCACACAUGCACAUCUUGAUUAAACUUAUUGAUUUGUUUCUUUGGAUCCAUGGUUUGACUAUGCAAUAAAUGUCUUGUAAGUAUGUAUACUUUAUGUCCCACCUAUGAGCUCCAGAUAUUAAAGCCUUAUUAGAGUAGGGUGAGAGAGAAGGCAAUGUCACUAUGCCUUAUACCACAAAUACUACAUAUCUUGAGAGAAGGCAUAUACCAUCACUGCCUUGGUAAGGAUCCAGAAAUACCACAAAAGAGAGAUCUGAGAGAAUCAUACAAGAAAUCUCUGAGUUUUAUUUGAAAAUCUGCAAAAACCCCAGAGCUAUAGCUGAUCAAGAAUAAGAGACAUGGCACUGGACUAGACUGUUCUAUCUUUUAACUACUCAAGACAGAAGUGACGGUUACAAGUCCCAUGGUGAAGGUAAAGUAAGUAAGUUUUAAGUCUUGACAGUUUACUCUAACUCAGAAAUGAGAUCUUAUUUAAAGCAUGUGUACCGUCAAAUUUUAAAGAUAUUGAAACAACUUAUGAUCCAUAGCUGAGUCUAUCCUUGCUCAGGGACGAGCAAGAGGUAAGCUUGGAGGAGUUUGUUGACGGUCCUUAAGUAUCAAAUUUAAUUAUCAAAUAAACAAAGAAAAGGAUCCAAAUGAAAUCAACAUCUAGACUUAGGGUUUUAUCUGACAGAAUUCCACGAGUUUUGGUGUUUGUCUAUUUCUGCAGGGGGUUAUCAGGUAAUACAGAAGAAAGGCCCACACGUCGGGAUUACAUAGAGAUAUUAACGUGCCGCGCAAUUAUCUUACAUCUAGAAGACUCCAGAAGCCACGAGACCGAAGCGGAGGCGAAACGGGGCCAGAGGCAGGGCGCCCGCCCCCUCUGGGAGUCUAAUCAGGACUCUGCUUCGUGGGAGAUUUCCACCGACCUAAAGGAUGAAUCUAAACCAUACAAUCUAUGUCGGUUUGAUCCAACGGCCCAUAUUCACUUGAAGGGACUAUAAAACCAGACCCCCUGGCCCCUGGAGGAGAGAGCCUCUCAACCCUAAUUCAUUGUUCUUCAAGGGAGAAGAAGCCUCUGAUCAAGAUUAGAGCCACCACAUCAAAUAGAUAUCUAGAUUAGCAUAGCUACAUAGGAUUAGAACUAGAAGGAGUCAAUCUUCGAUUGGUUUCCGGAUCUGUCAGGAGGAUUCUUGGUAAUUAUCUAAUUGUGCUUCUAAUUGCUUUCUAAUUAUCUUUGUUCUUCAAUAUUAUGAAUAUGACUUUGUUCUACUUCAAUAUAUUGCUUAUGACUUUGCUCUACUUGCUUAUAUUCAAGAUUAUAUUGUUCUUGGUUUAUCAUAGUUAUGUACUUGGCUUAGUUAGAUUGGAUCUAUAUACAUGCUUAGGAUCGUAUAGCGUUUAUCCAUCGGAUCCAUGGCUAAAUGAUAGAUAUUGUGUAGGCGUGGUGCUUAUACCGUAUUUAUCUGUGAAUGUACCCAAUAAGCCAGAUUGUGGGGUGGUUCGUGAUAGUGACAGCUUCAUUGAUUCUUAUAUAGUCCCCCUCUCGUGUAUUGGGCUGGCAGAGCAACAUUAUUACAGGGGAGUGAUUUCUAUGUUUCUCAUAUUCCUUGCUAAUAUCACUAUGCAUGGGCGUAGUCUUGUCUCACAAUGAUUGCUAAGUAUGCUUGCACUAACUAUGAUAUGCUAGACUUUAUAGUUGAAUAUAACUUAGGGAAUAUUAUUGUAGUUCGUUCUAAUACCAUGCUAAUGACUUUCUAGAGUAUCUAAUUGAGGUGCUUAUCAUAUUUAUUAUGUGGCUAGAUCAGAUUAGUUAUCCUUGUCACUAUUAUUAUUUCAUAUAUCUUUUAUGUGACACUUAUCCCUGUAUGAAGAGUUAGAUAUAAUGUUCUCAAUUAUACAUGCAAUGAUAGAUGCUCAAUCUCAUAUUCUAUUCUGUAAUCAAUAGUGAUGAUUGUUAAUCCCUUCCCAGUGGUAAAAAUAUAAAUAACGAUACCUGAAAUACUUCCCGGUUAAAAUGCUACAUCGGUAUUAAUCUGUGCGCUUGCAGAUCCCAUUCAUUAUUUAUUUAGAAGAGCAAUUGCAUAUUUCAAUACCGCGUCUCUCAUGUCAUGCUGGGGAUGACAACUUGGCUUAAGUGGUGUGAGGGAUAGGUUUGGCAUUUUUGGCACCGUUACUAGAUUUAGAGAACUUAGUCUACUUUUGGUAAUGAUGUUAAGAAUACCCAGCAGACGCGUUGUCCCGAUCUUCACGAUGUUGGAUGAACACCGAUAACUAGCUGAAGAACAGCCGGAUAACUUGCUGCAAGCAGUGAUAACUAGUGCAACCUGGCAAAUAAAACUUGAAGCCAACCACCGUCCUUAACCGGCAACCUGAAUCGAGGAUUUGCCCAACCACACUCUCAAAAAACCAACCAACACAACCUACAAUCAAUCAAGGGAUACCUUGAAGGGAGUAGGAGCACCAAUUGGGAGUGGAUGAAGCCGCCGCCUAUGUAAUCCCAUGAGGAAAUCACAAGAGCAAAGGGGUAGAGAUCACUCUCUGAAUUUGUUAGCACACAGCUGAACAAAGGGGUUCUGUAUUUCAAUUAUCAAAAGUCUGAGAUUACAAAGAGUCUUAGGGGGUAUUUAUACUAGCAACAGCCCUGCUAGAUAAGUAUGAAAUCAAAAUAGAGUUUCUGAGGGAAGGCAAUGCGAAAGGUCCCCUCAGAAUGGAUUCCCAAACUAGAUUUGCGUGACUGUUGGCCUCCAGAGCAGUUUCCAAUAAACUGACCAUAAGUUCUUAUUGGGAAGUACAAAUGAUGAACCAUUUCUUGGAUGUGACUAGACUCAAAGGGCUUUCCAGCAAUGUAUUCCUAUCAGCAUGAAACAUUUUAGAUUGGUAUAGUUUUACUUGGAAAGUUGUACCAACAUUUUGUCACGACAGACUAUUGACCUUCUGAGUAGUUUGUACUAAUUCUGGUAUACAGGCAAUAUGGAGUAUCCAAACUGGUCACCACUAGAUUCAUUGGAAAGUAGACUCGACAAGAUUUUCAACAAGUCCUCAUGGACCUUUAUAGCUUUUGUGAGUAAAAAGUUAUGAAGAUUUCUUUGCACUGGUCCGUUCUCGACUUCCACUAGUCCAUUUUUGACUCUUCUGGUCCGUUUUGCUAGUGUGUUCUAGGACUUGCACUGGUUCGUUCUUCAGGGUCUGAUUCAUCCUUCUCUUAUUCUAUAUACCUCAGAACAAUCAAGGUACAACACUUAGGUAGUAUAUAAUUCGCAUUAAUGUUAAAAUAAAUCUCACAAAGUAGCGCGUGCACCUCUUGUUGUAGCUUCUUAGCUCGGCUACGUGUAAUUGCUCCAACAAAGACUUGAACUAGUGUUGAUGUUGGUGAUACUUGAGUUGAUGUAGCUUGGCUUGCAGGUUGUAAUAUGUUGUUGGAUGGCGUGGUCAUAUCAUCCUCCCCCACUUGAAAAGGAGUCGUCCCCGACUCUAAAUGAUUUUGACCUAUGGACGGAGAGAGAUCAACAACAACAUUGUCCUUACCUUUCUUGUAUUUCAAAAUGUAUGGAAAUGUUUUGAUGAAUUCAACCCAUUUGGCUUGACGAUGGUUCAAUUUUGCUUGCCCUUUCAAGUACUUCAAGGCUUCAUGAUCAGAGUGAAUAACAAAAUCUUUUGGCCAUAAGUAAUGUUGCCAUGUUUCAAGCACGCGCACCAAAGCAUAUAAUUCUUUAUCAUACACAGAAUAAUUCAGUUGAGCACCUCGUAGUUUUUCACUAAAAUAUGAUAGAGGUUUUCCUUGUUGCAUUAAAACUCCUCCUAUCCUAAUUCCACUAGCAUCAUAUUCUAUUUCAAAAGUUUUAGUGAAAUCAGGAAGAACAAGUACAGGUGCUUCAGUCAAACGUAUCUUUAAUUUUUGAAAUGCAUUUUGUUGUGAUUUUCCCCAUUUAAAGUCAACACAUUUCCUUGUCAAUUCAUUUAAAGGAGCAACGAUCGUACUGAAAUCUCUCACAAACCUCCUAUAAAAACUAGUAAGGCCAUGAAAACUUCUUACUUGACUUACAUUCGUUGGAGUUGGCCAAUCCUUGAUGGCUUUCACCUUGGUCUCAUCCACUUCUAUUCCCUUUCAUAAAACAACAAAGCCAAGAAACACAACAUGGUCUGUGCAAAAACUGCACUUCUCAAGAUUAGCAAAUAAUUUCUCCUUUCUAAGCUCUUCCAAGACUUGCUGAAUAUGAUUCACAUGUUCCUCAAAAGACUUACUGCAAAUUAAGAUAUCAUCGAAGUAGACAACAACAAAUUUUCCAAUAAAAGCUCUCAAGACAUGGUUCAUUAAUCUCAUGAAAGUACUAGGAGCAUUAGUCAAACCAAAAGGCAUAACUAACCAUUCAUACAGCCCAAAUUUUGUUUUAAAUGCAGUUUUCCAUUCAUCCCCUAUUUUCGUUCUUAUCUGAUGGUAUCCACUUCUCAAAUCAAUUUUAGUGAAUAUGGUGGAACCACUUAAUUCAUCAAGCAUGUCAUCUAAACGUGGAAUAGGAUGGCGAUAGGGAACAGUGAUGUUAUUUAUAGCUCUACAAUCAAUACACAUCCUCCAAGAACCAUCUUUCUUAGGCACUAAAAUUAUAGGAACAGCACAAGGACUUAAAUUUUCACGAACAAAACCUUUAUCAAGAAGUUCUUGCACAUGCCUUUGUAUCUCCUUUGUUUCUUCUGGAUUGGUUCGGUAUGAUGGUCGAUUAGGUAGUGCAGCCCCUAGAAUUAGAUCAAUUUUGACGGUCCUUAAUGCUCACAUUUAACCAUCAACUAAUCAUAGAAAAUGACUUAUAUGCAACCAACACCUUUACUUAGGGUUUUAUCUGACAGAAUUCCACGAGUUUUGGUGUUUUUCUAUUUCUGCAGGGGGUUAUCAGGAAAUACAGAAGAAAGGCCCACACGUCGGGUUUACAUAGAGAUAUUAACGUGCCGCGUAAUUUUCUAUCAUCUAGAAGACUCCAGAAGCCACGGGACCGAAGCGGAGGCCGAGAGGACUCAGGGACAGGGCGCCCGCCCUCCUCUCCUAGGCGCCCGCCCUCACAUAGAGUCCAAUCAGGACUCUCUUUCGGGAUAUUGCUCCACCGACCUAAAGGAUCAAGGAUAACCGUUCAAUCAACAUCGGUUUGAUCCAACAGACCAGAUUCACUUGAAGGGACUAUAAAACCAGACCCCCUGGCCCCUAGAGAUCAUACCUCUUCUACAGAAUCAAAGUUAGGGUUUCAAUUCUUCAUCCAAGUAGAGAGGAUCCCUCUAGUUCUUCUAGUUCUACCUCUAGUUCAUCUAGAUCUAGUUCUAGUUCAUCUAGUUCUAGUUCUAGUUCCUCUAGUUCUAGUUCUAGUUAGUUCUAGUUGUAAUCUAGAAAAUAGGGAGAGAGAAGAGGAGAGCGGAGGAGGAGCCGGAUCUGUCGGAUCUUCCUCAACAUUAUACUUUUACAGCAACUGGUUCGUUCUUCAUCGUUCUCCAGGUUCUUCAAUUCAUAAUUCCUGAGUUCUUUAAUUACUUUUAUUUACAUUCAAGUUAUUUAUUGGAUUCCCGCUUGCAUCAAGUGCUCUAGUUUUUAUAACGCUAGAGUAGUAAUUAAUAGAUUAGGCGUGGUGUUUAGUCUUGCAAUUACCUGGAAUUGCACCCAAUCCUGCGGAUUGUUGUGGUAGCCUUGGGGUAGUGACAGCCCUAAUGGUCGACGUAUUCCACCUCGUUCGGAUCGGUGUUUGUAGGACUGUAGUCGGAGCUUCCUAGCCCCCUUCUCAUCUCUUUCUGUGGUUAGUGUUCUGAUGUCCCGAAAUAGAUAAUCUUGAAGUAAUUCUUGAUUCUUAGAUCAACUAGAGAACUCUCAGGAAACUUCCUCUCUUCCCACCAAAAAUAUUCAUAUAGUUAUCCUUGGGCGAUCUUGGAUCUUAAUUAGUACACUCACGUUCUCUGUGGAAAAUCGAUACUCUGGAAUACUCCUGGGUGAAAGCUACAUCGGUAUCCGUGCGCUUGCGGAUUUUUCUGUUUGUGUUUGAAAUACCCAACAAGCUUUCUGGCGCCAUUGCCGGGGAACGGUAGCUGUGCUAGUUUCGAACCGAGUCGCCCGUGUAUCCUUUUUCUUUUCCUUUUUUACCACACUCACCUUACCCUUUUCACCACACCACAUGGAUUUCACUCCAAGCAUUAAUGAGCAUGGAAUUUAUUUCAUAGCCACUUCAUUUACUCCAUGCUCAUAUGCAACAUCUUCACAAUCCAUUGGUCUCUCCAACAUCACCACAUUCGAGAUCUCCAUCCCCCACUUCUUUUCUAUUUAUAAAAACUUUAAAAGGGCGGUUGUCGAUGCAUAUGUCUAUAAUAAAUUUUGCAGAUCUCGUUGAGUUGAUCUUGAUAUAGGUCAGCGUUGGAGGGGAAACCACUUCACUGACAUAAAUUGAUGGUUUCCCAAGGACAAGCUUAGUGUCCUAAAACAAGCACUGAUCAGAUUGUAACAUGAGCUUUUAAUUAUUUGCAACAUUACCUUGUGUGUUGAGCAUAUAAGGAUAAUUGUAAAAAAAAAUUCCUUCGGGCAUUCUUGUCACUAACCUUUCCAGGAUUGGAGCAAGAAGAUCGGAUGAAUGAAAAGCACAAGGUAUGUCCAACCAAUCAUCAUACAACAUUGAAUUAAAUUCAUCCAAACUUGAAUUUUGCAAAAAUCAAGCUUGGGGGAGUACUUUACAUAAAAACAUCCUUUGCCAUGUUGCUAUGUUGGUUGUCCCUACCUUUGAGACAUGCUCAAUCUGUUAAAUACUAAUCACACUACUUCAUCUCCACUUGAGUAGAUCUCUAUAAAUGCUCUCAUGCUACCUUUAUUUGCUUUAGUAUAUGUCUAGGUUUGGAGUAGUUUCAUUUAUCUCUUAAUUAAGCAUUGUGCUUAGUUUAGGGCUGAUGAUCUUACUUCCAAGGGAGUUUAAAUUAAGCAUGAUGCUUAGGUUAAAGUGCCCUCCUAAAUCAAAUUAGACAUGGUGUCUAGGUUGAUCUUUGAGCCGAUAGUAUGCUAUAGUAGAUAUUGGAUAUUUUGUUGGACUAACCCCUGCAGGAAAACUUUCAAUAUCGACCUGGGAAGUCCUGAGACAAACUCACAUUGGAGACAAAGAGAGAGGCACAUGAAGUUUAACAAUUUACACAAGGAAGGCAUAGCUCACAAGAGAUGAUCCAUGGAGGAUGCCACAAACACGAUGCACAACCACUAAGAAAGGAAAGCUUCCACAAGGUAAUACUGUACCAUCACUCUUCAAGUAAGGUAACAUCUUAAGGUACUUGACUAUCACUUUUACAAAGCUUCUCCUUGGUUCUGGUGUUCACAUGAAUAAAAGAGACAAACAUGUAUGAUUUACAACUCUAGAUUAACCAACCCAAUCGAUUCAACAAGUUUAGUCCUUCCACCUUUGUGAUCCCACACUCCUAAUCAUAUGAAUGUUACACUCAAUCUUUGGAAGAUAUAUAUAAAAAAACAUAAGUAUAGAUAGAUUAUCUUUCCAUUAGGUUGAGCAAUCUGAUCUAACAAAUGUUUUAAAUACUACACUCAUGAUCUUAUUAUCCAUCAACUUUGUCUUGCUAACUAUGCUUGAGGUUAUAGAAGAACAAAUACACUUUUGGUUAUGUUGGUGUUUUCCACUAACAGAGCCCAUGCACUUGAUCUCUGCCCUGUCUCUAUGAGCAGGUACACUUCGAGCAGCAUAUGAAGGACUUUUACAACUCCCAGACUCCACGAAGUGAAGAACCUAGAUCUACGAGCACAAACACACUGGAGAUACUGGACACUCAGGCAAUCACUGCCCUGAGAUGCUUAAGGACGUAACUACUGGAGUAACCCCAUUGUGGAAGUAAUUACUGACCUUCUGCCGGUCAAGAGAGACAAUCUAGGAUGCCCCGUCAUCCUGAUCUCCAUUGGCAUGGUGGACUUCCCAGAAGCACUCUGCGACUUUGGCUCCAGCGUCAACAUUAUGCCGAGGGUACUCUAUGAAGAAUUCUUUACACAUCCUUUAUUAGAAAUAGCCAUGUGUUUGCAGCUUGCAGAUCGUACGCUAAGUUUCCCAAAGGGAAUAUUGAAGAACCACUACGUCCGAGUUGGUACCUUGUACGCCCCAGCAGACUUUUUGGUAAUAGAGACUGGUACUGAUGAGAGAGCACCCAUCAUCCUAGGGAGGCCAUUCCUGAACACCUCGGGAGCUGUCAUCUAUGCUUGUGCUGCUAAAAUCCAUUUCUACAUCAAGGGGAGGAAGGAGACGUUUCCCUUCAAGAACAAGACUACACAAGUCUCAGAGCAAUCCCGACAUGAACCAAGAAAGAGGACCAACAGGAGGGAUAGGAACAAGCAAGUGUGGACCGAGUCAGCUAAGAUGGUCAAUGCAGCUCAAGGAGGUCAAGAUUGUCAACUCAAGUCACCUUUCCUGAUCAAGAAGGAUGACCCUGGUGUUCCAAGCAACGAGUGCACAAUCAACGGAUAUUCUUUUCAGAAGACACUCUACGACAUCAGAUCUAACAUCAACAUAAUGGCCGCAGUCACUUAUCAGCUUCUGCAUGGAACUAUGUCCCUACAACCAACAUACAUUCAGCUCCAGAUGAUUUGAAGGUUAUUGACAUGGGAGAAGACAAGUAUGAUUCUCCAUCAUCCUUAGGAGACCGUUCCUCAGCACCGUUAAAGCAAUCAUCUACAUUGGAACCCGAGAAGUCCACAUGAACUUCCCCUCUGAGAAGGUACGCCGCUAUUUUACUGACCCUAACUAUAUAGUUGAAGACUCUAAGCAGGUCAGGACAAGAAGGAGACGACGCAACCGCAACCAGAGAAGGCAAAAUCAUCAAGGACGAAUGGGUAGACUAUGAAGGAGAAGUGAUAAGGUCUGAAGACAUAUAGCUUGAACAGAACUGUCCUGAGGAGACCGUAGCACCAAGUCAGGUGUGUAGAGAGAAGAUAGUUAUACAUGAAGAGCAGGCGCCGCCAGAACCACCGACUACGCCAUCCAGCGAAUCCCAGUACGACUGAGAAAAUGGAGAGUCCCAUUCGGAGGACUUAAAAACACCGAACGCCUUGCCAAGAGGUAAACUUGGUAGUUAUAUUUUUCCUUUCAAUUAUUUAAAAUAGUUUGCUUAGUUAACCAGGUUCAUAUCAUCUUGAAAAGAAAAUAAAAAUGUUUAAAAUAGUAAGCCCCAUGUGAGUAUGCUCAUGGCAUAAAACCCAUAAGUACAUUCACUGUGGUGGCAUAAAAAAUGAAAUAAAUAUAUUCCUGUCAUAUAAAAAAUAAAAUUAUAAAAAUAAAUUUAUGAUCCUACUAAAGAGAGUAAUAUUUAUUGAGGAGGCUCAACAUGAUAAAGGCUAGAUAUUCAUGCUAACACUUAACUAGUUCCACAAAGCUUUGUUGUCUAUUUGAGCUCCACAGAAUUCAAGGAUCAAAGAAGACUAGCAGACGGAGGACAUCCUAAUCGCUGUCAGGGUGCUGCUGACAUUCAAAUACACCUCCACCACUUGCUAGCUACAUUAGAAGAAACUACGUCAAAAUCCAGCUUGGGGGAGAGCACCCUCAUUUAUCCAGCUAAGUGUUUUACUCACGUUUAUACUUUACUCAAAUAAUAAAAAGAUGCAUAAUCAUAAAAACCCAAAUAAAGAUUUUGUGCUUAUAUAUAUCUUUGCUUAGUUUGCUAAAUAAAUAAAUAAAGUUUGCUAUGAAUCCUCAUGAUAAGCUCUCACAUGGAAAUGAUGAAUAGUUGCUCUGCCAUGACUAGUUCUCAAAAUUGAAAUCUCUCUCAAGUUAGGCAUGACUGCUUUUAAUUAAGAUUUGCUCUAAACCUGAACUUGUGGGAAGAGUACUUGAUCUAAAGUCUAAGUCGUUAAUGGAUAUGAUAUGGGAAGGUUGAGCUGCUAUUUAUCUAUUCCUAGAGAUGUUAGAAUUCUGGAGAAUUUUAUCUUUGAAAAUCUUUAAAAUGUUGCAUGAUGAGUUCCUGUAUGAUGAGAGUUUAAAUUCCUACCACAGCCAUAUAUACAUGCUUGUUAGACUAUGUACCACACAUUUACUUUUUACUGCUUAUGAGCAUUGAGUGUGGUCAAGUUGUGUAGACCCUUAGGAGCUUGUCAUGUGGUUAAAUCAAGAUUCACUUGCACGUUCACUCACACAUGCUACUUCUACUCCAGAAGUACCAUCCACAUAUAUCCAUCCAUUUCCAUCUCCAGAACCACCCAAAAAUAUUCUCCUCCUAAUCCGGGAGAGAAUAGCCAAAAACAUUCUCCUAUUUCUGUUUUUCCCUGUGAAAAAAAUGCUCAAGUUAUCUUGGUUACUACCACUUGCUAUAUUAUUUUAGGAGAUGAGUGCUCUAAAAAAAGAAAGAAAAAAAAAGAAUACGAGGAAAUAAAAAGGGGCAAGUGCCCGGAACCUCGAAAAAAAGAAAAAGUGAGACGAGAGGUAAAAAUGGACAAGUGUCCGACAAAAGAAUUAGGGGUACAAGAUACCCACCUGAGAGAAAAGAAAAAGAAAAUAUAGAGCAUCUCAUUCUCCUCAAAAAGUUUCAAAAGAGAAAGAAAGGUAUGUAUCCCCUCAAAAGAGCACAAGUAGAAUUAGACUUUCACCAUUGUUAUCACCAUCAUCACCGUACAUCAUUCAUUCACCACACAUGCACAUCUUGAUUUGACUUAUUGACUUGUUCUUCUGGAUCCAUGGUUUGACUAUGCAAUAAAUGUCUUGUAAGUAUGUAUUAGCUGUCUCCCACCUAUGAACUCCAGAUAUCAAAACCUUAUUAGAGUAGGGUGAGAGAGAAGGCAAUGCCACUAUGCCUUAUACCACAAAUACCACAUACUUUGAGAGAAGGCAUACACCAUUACUACCUUGGUAAGGAUCCAGAAAUACCACAAAAGAGAGACUAGAGAGAGUCAUACAAGGAAUCUCUGAGUUUUAUUUGAAAAUCUGCAAAAACUCCAGAGCUAUAGUUAAUCGAAGAACAAGAGACAUGGUGCUUGACUAGACCGUUCUAUCUUUUAACUGCUCAAGACACAAGUGACGGUUACAAGCCCCAUGGUGGAAGGUAAAAUGAGUAAGUUUAAAUCUUAACAAUUUACCCUAACCUAGAGAUGAGAUCUUGUUUGAACGCAUGUGUAUCUUUAAGGCAUGAAACCACUGCAGAAACUCUUGAGUUCAUCUUUGCUCACGGACGAGCAAAGGUUAAGCUUGGGGGAGCUUGUUGACGGUCCUUAAUGCUCACAUUUAACCAUCAAAUAAUCAUGGAAAAGGACUUAUAUGCAACCAACACCUAGACUUAGGGUUUUAUCUGACAGAAUUCCAUGAGUUUUGGUGUUUGUCUAUUUCUGCAGGGGGUUAUCAGGAAAUACGGAAGAAAGGCCCACACGUCGGGUUUACAUAGAGAUAUUAACGUGCCGCGCAAUUUUCUAUCAUCUAGAAGACUCCAGAAGCCACGGGACCGAAGCGGAGGCCGAGAGGACUCAGGGACAGGGCGCCCGCCCUCCUCUCCUGGGCGCCCGCCCUCACAUAGAGUCCAAUCAGGACUCUCUUUCAGGAUAUUGCUCCACCGACCUAAAGGAUCAAGGAUAACCAUUCAAUCAAUGUCGGUUUGAUCCAACGGACCAGAUUCACUUGAAGGGACUAUAAAACCAGACCCCCUGGCCCCUGGAGAUCAUACCUCUUCUAUAGAAUCAAAGUUAGAGUUUUAAUUCUUCAUCCAAGUAGAGAGGAUCCCUCUAGUUCUUCUAGUUCUACCUCUAGUUCAUCUAGAUCUAGUUCUAGUUCAUCUAGUUCUAGUUCUACAGCAGCCAGCAUAUGCACAGCUACUGAGGAAGCAAUUUCAGUCCAAAAUAGUUUUUUUUUUUCAGCACACAUAUCUAUUUGUCCAACAUAUAAAUUAAAGCCUAUUACAAAACAAGGUGGGGUAUUCUAAAUUCAUAUUUAUACAAAGAAUUCAUCAUCAAGAUGGUGCCUGAAGAGUUGACAGGUGCUACAUACCCAUCAUCAACGUAAGUGUCAUUAGUAUCAUCAUCUUCAUCAUCUAAGUCUUCAUCACGUGGUUCACGCACUGGUAGCACAUUUUCAAUGACGGCUGCAUCUCCGGUCACCCCUUCCAGAUCAGUCCUCCUCCAAGCUAACAUAUCUUCAUUCUGGCUUGAAAUAUUCACUGCUUCCACUCCCACCUCUAGUGAGUCAAUAUCAAGUUGUCCCUCAUUUUCAGUGUCUAGUGGUUCAGGCAUGGAAAAUAAAUUUCUUGGCUUCAUUUUUACAAGUGUGCUCCACUCUGAUUUCUUUGCACCUUUCACAUAAAAAACCUGCUCAGCUUGAGUCCCCAAGAUGUAAGGAUCAUUUAGAUAUCGAAAACGAGUUGUAUCGACAUCUAUAAUCCCAUAUUGAUCCCUGCGGUACCCUCUGCUCUUGUUCUUACUAGGAGCAGCAGGUACGUCGUACCAAUCACACUGAAAUAAUACAACUUCAUUCUCACCAGGGAAAUCAAGUGUCAAUAUCUUUUUAAUGACACCAUACCACUCCAUAGUUGCAGAACUAUCAGCACCCUUAACUGCAACACUUGAAUUUUGUGUAUUCAAGGCACUCUCUACAGAAGCCGUUCGAAAAAAGAAACCAUUGAUGAUGGACCUAUUGAAAACACAAACCCGGGGAUCAGGUCCUCGAGAAAGAGCAUAUAGUGUAUCACUAAUCCCCCCUUCUUCAUAAAGUUCACUCAUCUGCAAUCGAUUUGAAAACAACAAUAUAAAUAAAGAUAGUAGCUAUUUUUUGUAAGUCAAUUUGACAAAGUUACUCAACUUACGUUCAAACCAACCAACAAAUUGCUCCCUAUGACGUCUAUCAAUGCCAUGUGUAGUAAUAUUUUUGAGUUCCUCCUUAUGCAAACUACAAACAAUCAAAACAGUAUUAGAAAAACAUUAAUCAUGAGGAACAUUAAACACACUAGUUGUAAUUUCAUCUUAAUCCAUGGAGCAGCCUCAUCACAGUUUGUUAUUAUAUAGUGUCGCAUCUGCUUCAACUCUAAACUAGGAAUAAUCUCAGUUUUGCAGCCUUUCUUACUGUAGUCAAUGGUCUGAAAUACACUAAGCCUAGCUUCAUGACGCUCAGGGCGGUUCAGCUUUGUAUCAAUAUCUUCUAGGAACCGAGAACAAAAUGUCAUGCACUCCUCAGCGAUAUAGCCCUCUGCUAUAGAACCUUCAGGUUGUGCUUUGUUCCUCACAUAUCCUUUCAACGUACGUAGAUAUCUCUCGACAGGAUAGAUCCAUCUAUAACACACAUGUCCUCCAAUUCUAGCCUCCUCAGCUAAAUGAACUGGCAAAUGCAUCUUAAUAUCAAAAAAUGCUGGUGGGAAUAACAUCUCUAGCCGACAUAAAGUCUCUCCAAUCGAAGAGGUUAGUUUUUCAAGGUCGCUUUGCACCAGUUCCUUUGAACAUAAUGAGCUAAAGAAUGUGCUUAGCUGAAUCAAUGGGAUAGCAACAUCUUGAGGCAAUAUCUCGCGUACUACUAGUGGUAAUAGUUUCUGUAAUAUAACAUGAUAGUCAUGAGUCUUCAGUCCAGAAACCUUACAUCCCUUGACGUCCACACAUCUCUUUAUAUUUGCUGCAAAACCAUCAGGCAUCCUCACUCCUUGUAGGAAUUUGCAUAAUAUUUCCUUCUCAUCUUUGCCUAAGCUGUACAACGCUUGUGGUAAAGUAUACUUGCCAUUCUCUACUAUAGGAUGUUGAUCCUUCCUGAUCCCAAGAUUUUGCAAGUCAAGCCGAGCCUUCUCACCAUCCUUACAUUUACCAUCCAUGCCAAGCAAUGUCCCCAAUAUGCUCUCACCAAUGUUCUUCUCGAUGUGCAUGACAUCCAAAUUAUGCCUAAUAAGCAAUUUUUCCCAGUAUGGUAGUUGGAAGAAUACACUCUUCUUUCUCCAAUUAUGCCACCUAGUUUCUUCUUCUCGUUGCUUCCUCUUCCUUGUGCCUUGCCCAAAUUUUGGUUGCUCAAAACUAUCAUACUGCUGCAAAACCUCUUCACCAGUAAGUGGCACUGGAGCCUGCCUUGUUUCUACCUUGUUGUUGAAGCUACUUUUAUUCCUACGCCAUCUAUGGUUCUGUGGCAAAAAGCGACGAUGACCUAGGUAGCAAUGCUUGCAGCCAAAUUUCAACCAUAAGUAUUCUGUAUACUUAUGACAGUAAGGGCAUGCAAACUUGCCUUUUGUACUCCAACCAGACAGCAUAGCAUAUGCAGGGAAAUCAUUUAUGGUCCAUAGUAGAACUGCACGUAAAGUAAAAUUUUUCCUAACCUUUGCAUCCCAUGUGAGAACACCCUUUUCCCAAAGAUCCUUUAGCUCAUCAAUCAGUGGCUGCAAAUAGACAUCAAUGUUCAUUCCAGGAGAUUUAGGCCCUGGUAUCAACAUUGACAUCAUCCAAUAUGAUUGUUUGAAACAAAACCAAGGAGGCAAGUUAUAAGGGAUUAUGAUGACAGGCCAAGUAGUGUAUGUAACAUUCAACAUCCCAAAUGGAUUGAAGCCAUCAGAGGCAAGUCCAAGCCUUACAUUGCGAGGGUCAGAUGCAAAUUGCUCAUCUAAGGCAUCCAAAUGCUUCCAUGCUAGUGAGUCCGCAGGGUGACGCAUUUUCCCAUCAUUCACCAGUCCUUCCUUAUGCCAACGCAUAAGUGUUGAUGUCGACUCCCUCAUAAACAAUCUUUGCAGCCGAGGAGCAAGUGGGAAAUACCGCAAAAUCUUACGUGGAAAACGCUUUUGCCCGCCACCAGUGCUAGAGGAUUCAGCAUCUUUAGAAGAAUCGUUCCCUUUCCACCUAGACUGACCACAGGUUGGGCAUGUAUCCAAGUCAGCAUAAUCCCCACGAAAUAACACACAGUCAUUCACACAUGCAUGAAUCUUUUGGUAGUCGAGUCCAAGAUCUUGAACAACCUUACGCACUUUAUCCAAGGUUUCUGGGAUUUCAGGGUGGAACAAUGCGAAUAGAUCAAGGAUCGACUGUAUUCCAUUGUUACUAAAACCAUGCAUGCAUUCAUCUGAAAGAUCCUGAUAAUGAAAGAAACCUUUGUAGCCUCCUUGCAGCCUGGAUACAGUUCCUUUUGUGCCUCGGUUAAUAACUUGAAGAACUUCUUUGCACACUCAUUUGGCUCUUCAUCUCCACUUCCUGUGAGUUCACCAUGUAUAGCUCCUCUGAUUAGUGUAGAAAUCAGUUCUUUGCUAGCAGGCGCAUCACCUGUAUCACCAUCUUCAUAUUCUCCUUCAGUAGGGUUAUCCUCCUGGGGACAUGAAACCAAAUCCUGAGCAUUACCUUCUUCGAUGAAACUUUCAUCGAACCCUCUAAGGACCAAAUGACUUCGAACAUCUUUUUGAUUUCUAUAGGACAUGCAACGACAACGAGCACAUGGACAUGGAGCAGUUUCUUCUUUAGAUGUGCCUCCAAAGGUAUUCUGAAUGAAGUUCUUAAAUCCUUUUUGCCAUUCAGCAGUAUACUUUGCCAUGCGCAUCCAGCUCCUAUCUUCAAUCGACAUGCUGCUGCCUUACCUCCAGGAAACAGCCCAGCGAAUCCUCACCAUAGACCCAACCUUCCUAACAACACCAGUAUAGUAUCCGAUUACCCUGCCUGCUUCAGCUUGACACCUGCACUAAAUUUGUACGGUAAGGUUAAAGUUCCAAGUAAAGCAGACAUAGAAAAAUGAUAAGAGCUUGACACCUGCAUAAUGAUAACAGCUUGAACCAAUCCGUGAAUUUUUAGGUUAGUUUUCAGUUUUGAGGUUGUGGUGUGCUCAUAUGAGUACUUGCAUGCACACACGUUAAUAAUGUGAUCUGUACACUACCUCCUAUCAGUCAUGAUUUCAUUUUGUUCUUCUAUGUUCCUUCCUACAGACUGAUUGGUUAACUGACGCACAAGCGGCAGCUAACUGAAACCAUCAACCUAUAGGCUAACAGCAACCACAAAUUAAAGUGACUUAUGGUCCAUGUGUUUAUAAGUUAGGCAAAAAAUGAUCCUAGGAUUGAUUUGCCUCCUUUUUGUUAUGUUAGCUUUGUUCUAUGUCUACACUCCUUGAAUAUAAACAUUUGGCCAUUCUUGGUUUCCUUUCUUUUCUAUGUUCCUACUCAGACUGUCACAUGCAGGAGUGAGCUAAGUGGGUUUCUAUUUUAUUUGAUGCCUGCUGAUGAAUUCCCUAUACCUUAUUAGCACUUAGCAGCAACGGUAAUUGGCUUUGUCACAUUCCCUAAACCGAUAGGAAUUUUUUAGUUUCUAGUACUGAUACCCUCUGCCCUCUCAUGUUUUCUGUGCUUGGACAGAGAAGGUGUCUGGCAACAAAGUUUAGUUGGGCAGUAUGGAUAUGAAUAUUUCAGAUAUAUACCGUGAGUGAGAGGAUUAGAGGGGUUCCCUUUAUUUUUGCCCUACCUCAAGACCGCUGGCGCCGUCACCGCCGAACACUGGGACACGACAUCCCUCCAUGGACGUCACCUCUGGGGAUCCCAACAAGUGUGCAAUGACGGCGCCUCCAUCCAAGAAGAUGCCAUCUUCUGGUUCACAACGCGAUGGCACUGGAGAAAUCAGGAAACAUCCCGCCAGGUCAAUCGAACGGCAGCCUCAUAUUCAAGCCAUCGUCGAGGAAGAAGAUGAAGAACACACCAGGUCACUAAGGUUUCGCCAUGCCAGGUAUGCAGACGAUAUUAUAUUACUGCUCAUCUGCUAGGGUUUAUGAGUAGAACCAUUUAGAGAUAUGCUUUACGUCUUAGGGCAGGCACAUUUGCCAUAUGCACAUAGAUUACGGAUGCCAAAUACUGCUCAUGCCCACUCCCCACGUGGCCCAGGGUUUGUUUGUUUUACUUCAAUUUCUUGUUAAUUUGUGGACCAGUGAAAUUGGUUAAGAAAACGUGGAUCCAAAAGUAAAGAGGAAACAGUGUAAAAUUAUAAACAUUUUUUAUUUAUAAUAUAACUAUAUUUUCAAUUUCUCCAUACCUAGUAUUUUUAUCGUCCUCUGCCACUGCGUCCGCUCACCACUCGGCACGCAGUAGCGGCAGUGGCGGCAUCCAAGCCCAACACUGAGGCACGUAGGAUGCGUGAUAGUGCUAGGUUUGCCGCUCCCCUCCUGAUAUCGGCAAGUGGCCUUGCUAUCGGCGAGCGGCCUUGCUAGUUGCUCUUGUGCGUGACUUCGCUUAGCGCUUUGCAUGGCCGGUGCUUCCCAAUGCCGGCUCUGGGGCAGACGCCACUGGCCCCAAUUUUUUGGGACCAUCUUAAGUAUACGCUAGUGUAUAAAAGUUCACAUAUAUUAUAUUGCUAUUAUAUAUCAUAUGCAUAACUGCUCGGCACAUGUUGGAUCCAAUUAUCACUUAGUAGAUUUAUUUUGAAAUGAUAAUUGCAUGUAAUAUUUUCUUUUGUUUUGAAUCUUUCAAUAUACUGCUUUAUUGAUUUGUAACUACACGUAUUAACAUACAGUGCACCAAAGACCGGAGAAAUUUGGACAUUAUAUUUCCAAUGCAAGGGGAAGGAUCAAGAAAAUGAAUUUGUUGAUGUACAGUUAGACAAAGCUGAUGUAACAUAUUUUAACUUGGCAUGUUUUAAAGAACAGCUUGGGUAUGGACCUAGGGACUUCAUGUACUACAAGAUGCAUUGUGGUAGGGAUGUAGCAAAACUUGAAGCAAUGGGUUAUACACAAGAUGUAGAUACAGUGCUACGAAUGAAUGAGGCUGAGAGGGAAAUCAGGUUGGUACUGUCAAAGGAGCAGGAAUACGAGAUAGAUGUCACCAUAACACCAAUUAAGCGACCAAGAGAAAAGGGGAACAAUGAUGACACAAGUACACUUGAAGACAUUGAUGCCUACAAGUUGUGGCUAAAAAAGCUGCAGUCCAAGGAUCCAAGCAAUGGUAAAACUGUUCAAUGAUUCACUGAUGGAAAUUGUUAUAAAAUUUUUUGCCCUAACAAGUGGAAUUGUAUUUUCAUUACCACUCGCAGAUUUUAGGGAUGCCUUUAGGGAUGAAACCAUCGAAACAUACAAGGAAUGACUAAGGCAUACAGGCCAUCGUCGACACAUGCGUAAUUAAAUAUCUUUACUAAUUUAAAUAUGUUCACUAUUCUACAAACAAUACAAUAAUUGCUAUCAUGUGUUUCUUUUUGUAGUAUCAUUAUUAGAAGAAACUACAAAUGACGAUGACAUAACUGAAGGGGAGCAAAAUGAUAGGCCGAGUCAUGCUAGGAAACCAAAAAAUCUAGGAGAUGGUAUGUGCUGGUCCUUCAAUUUUAUAAUUUAUAUUAAAAAGACUUUUGCUGAUCAUGGAUGUUCCAUUAUUUCUUAAUGUUCAAUUAGGAGAAAGUUCAAAAAAACGUGGAAGAGGAUGUCUCAAAGGUCUAACAGUGACCAACAAGAGAAUCAGGAAUCAUACACAGAAAUUAAAAAUCGAAUUUAAUCCUAAUCCUAGGCUGGGUGGCCCGAUUGGUGAGAACCGUCGUUCGUUUGUGGAUGAGGUGGUAAUGUUUACCAGGAAAAAGGCUCCAGUUAUAGGAGUGAAAACAUGGAAAGAUGUGCAUCCAACAGUCAAAAAGUCAAUAGAAGAUGACAUAUUGGUAUGACACUAUCUUUUUUGUCCAUAUGUCUUGUUGUCACUAGCUAAAAAUUUUAUAUUAUGUUUGUCUUUACAUUGGAACAGCUUAGCUGGGACCUACAGAAUGUUGAAGAGCCUAAAGAAAAGAUAUGGGCCAUUGCAAAGGAGAGGUACAAAGGAUGGCGUGCUGCAUUUAGUGCUACAUACAGGGCUUACCGCACUGACGCUGAAAGAAUGAAACAUAAGCCUGAGGAUUUGGAUAACGUUGAGUGGUACUACUUGAUCCAGUACUUUGGAAGUGAGAGCUUCCAGGUUUGUAAAAUAGUUAAAUAUCCUUUUCUUUUUACAAAUGAUCAAUUCAGUGUUUUAGUCACAUCAUUUGUAAACCAUUAUAGAAGAAGAGCACCAAGAACACUGAGAACCGUAAGAAGCAAAAGACACAACAUCUCAUGGGAUCCAAACCAUUUUCCCAAAUAAGCUAUGAUCAGGUAACGACAAGGUUUACCGACUUAGUUAUUUUUCUACAAUAGUCAAUACCUCAUACUACAUGUGUUGCCAUCUUAGAGAGACCCAACAACUGGUGAGGAGCCUACUGAUUUAGAUCUUUGGAUGGCUACUCACACUAAGGGAGGCGACUGGUCAAACCCAGAUACAAAGGAAGUAUAUGUGAGUGAUAAAUAUAUAUAUUGUUCUGCUUCGUAACAUUUUGGAACACUUCUAAAUUUCAAUCCUUCUAAUGUGUUAAUUUUGUUUCUCUUAGGACAAUGCUUGUGUCAAAAUUUAUGAGGCAGGAAUAAUGAAAGAUAAAUUUCUUACGGCUGAAGAAGAAAAUGCAAUUUUCCAGAAAAACUACAAAGAAACCACAGGAACCAAAACGUACAGAUGUCAUGGUCUUGGAUAUAUGGCAAAAUAUCCAACACGAUUGGCUCUAUUGAAUGAGAGAGAAGAGAAUUUAGCCCGUCGCUCAGCUGCAGCCCUACAACACCAAGAGGAGGUUGAAGAUUUAAAACACAAACUUGCAGAUGAAGUUGCUGCAAGGGAAAGAGAUAAGGAAGAAAGUACUCGACAAAUACAGGAACUUAGAGAAGAACUUCGUUUGCAAGUUGCACUGCUGCAGGUAGUAAAUAUAUUAUAUGCUUGUCUUUUGUGAAUUUUCCACUAAUGUUGGUUGCCUUUUAUAUCGCGUGCAGGCUAACCCAGGAACCACCACCUAUUCACAGCCUACAAAUGGUGCAGCUAUGGGCAUGAAUGGCAUCACACCACCACGCAUAGAAGCUGAAAAACAAGAGGUAAUAAAAAUGCAGCAUGUCAACAAACCAAAUGCAUGCCCCAACAAUAUACACCAAAUGAAUGAUUAGAAUAUGCUCUCCCAAACUAAUGUCUCUACAAAUUGGUUGAGAUAAGCCCGUGUAAAUUGCAGAUCGCUUUUAUUUCAAUGUGUAGUAAUUAUAAGUAUUUGAAUACAACAACUAUUAUUUCAUAAAUGCUGCAAAUUUAGAAGUUCUAGCCUAUUGCCUUUUGAGAUUCUUCUACAGUUGUCAUUGAACAUCAUUGUUUUUUGCAAUUGAACAUAUGUGUAUUAAUGCAAAGUGUACUUAUUAUUUUAUAUGUUGGCAGGUUGAACCAACAAGCGUGAUGACCAUAGUAAAAGAAGUUGAUCCACCUACUACUCGCACCACAGCUAAUGCUACUUUAACAAGAAAUCUUUUUUCAAUAGACACCAGCAACCUAGCCGCAGGUUUAAAUUCAUCACAGGAACCGAUAUGGCCUUCUGCCAAAACUCGCUCUCAAAAAGAAAAGGCUACAGGUAUGAGUGGCUACAUGUGAAAUAUGUUUGUUCAUUUCAAUCAAUUUUUGUGCCGCAUAUUGGAAAAGGUGAGCGAGUCAUAUAUGCUAUAUUUGUUGUUAGCAAUACUUCGAGUUUCAGACUCACUAAGAUUUUGCCUAAUCAUAAAAAACGGCUGCUAUACAUUGACUAAGUAUGUUCAUGCUUAUAAAAUGUAGGCAAGCGUGGAGAGCCAAAAUAAUUGAAGUACUGUGGACUAUGCCUGCAAGUGUGCUUGUGCUGAUGGAACAUCAUGAGACGAAUAAUUGAAGCAAUACUUCAAGUGAAUGAAGAUCAAUUUCUUUUUUUAUUGCAAGCAUAGUUUAAGACUUAUAAAUUGAGAGGAUAUUUUUGUUAUUGCAAACAUAUCUAUUCUAAUUCAGACAUAAUUUUUUAUUUAUUGAAUUUCUCAUUUCAUAUAUGUGUGCUGAUGAUUCAAGUUUUUUUUAAUUUUGUUAUAUCUGUGUUGUAAAUAUAUGCAAAUAUCAGACAAAAUACGCGUACACAACAAAAUCACCUCAUCGCAAUAAAUCCAAAUGCACCAAACAUUGUUUGUCACAAUAAGCAAUAUUACAACAUAGGUUGUGCGAUGCCAGAAGAUUUAGUAACCACAACAAUGUGUUGUUGUAAUACCACUUAUGCGCAACCAAAAAAAUAUGUGGCAACAUAAGUUAUUUUAAUGAAACAUUGUGCGUUGCAAUUACAGAUAUAGCGACCAAAUGAUUUUUAUUGCAAAAGAUUUUAUUGCAAUGGAACAUAGUGUGUGGCAAUAAUUAGUUCUAUUCCCACGAAGCAAUGACAUUGUAAUAUUGUCUCGUUGUGGCAACACAUUGUUUGGUGGCAAUAUAGUGUAUUGCCACAAUAUGCGUCGUGGCAACAAUUACUAAUGCGACAAUGUUAUUGGUCGCAAUAUCUCCUAUUGCAACCAUGUCGUGUGUGGCAUUUGUUUUUUUGUGCUCGUUGCAAAAGUCAAGUAUCGCAACACACCAAAAUUCAGUCGCAAUAAUCUAUUGCAACCUAUAUAAAUGCCACGACUCACAACGAAACCAACUUCAAAGCAUUUGUUACGUAUUGCAACCAAAACACCAAUAUUGCAACCAUUCUUAGGCGUGGCUUUAGGGCAAAAUCCUUGUAGUGCACGUCCAACGUCUUCCGCAGGGCCUCGGCAGUUGAGACCUCCUCGGCCAUCUUCUCCUCCAAGGCUACAACAAAAUAAGGCACAAGGUUGAGACCCUGCUCCGGCCAAAGAAAAUCAACGUAAGUCCAAAAACAUUACAUUUGAUCUCCUUCUCCUAGGUCUUCACUCGACCUUGUUGUUGAAACUUCUUAACGCAAUUACUAAAAAUAGACUCUUAAACCUAUCUCUAGCAACGACGUCAAAAUUACUUAACAUCACUUAAGCUAGGAUGUCAUCCCUAACAUGAUGUAGAAGUGCUGGUAUUAAAUCUAUAUGCUUUUCUAGGAAUAAAUAAAUAAGUAAAAGAUCCGCAAGCACACAGAUAAUACCGAUGUAGAAUUUUAACCAGGAGUAUUCUAGUUAUCGUUAUUUCCAUUUUUACCACUAGAAAGGGACUUGAAUUGGAUAAUGAGUAAUAAACACUACAUGUAAUCAUGGAGACCUUAACCAUGUCUUUAUCUAUCUCUCAUACAUGGUAAGUGUCAAAUAAGAUAAAUAUGAAUAUGAAUAAUAAGUGACAAAGGAUAAAUAAGAUUUCAUAGCCAUAAGAUAAACAUGAUAAGCGUCAUUGUGCCAUUGGAAGGGGGGCUCUAUAUCUGCGUGCCCGGGAAACCUUGUGGCCCUAACAUGUUAGACAAACUUUUGAAAGGCUUCAUAGUGAUCCCUGCCAACCUUCCUUGAUAAUGGGUUAAGAGGCUGAUCACCUCGAGCGAAAGGGUAAAUCAUAACUCAUGGGUAAAGAUGUACAACCUCUACAGAGUGUUAAAACUAGUAUACUAGCCGAGGUCACGGUCAGGAGCGGCCUUGGGGACAUCUACACUAAGAUGAUGACGCUUAUUAACUUAUUUUGUUUAUUUUUUUAUCGUUUAAGUUUAGUAUUAAUUAUGCUUACAUUUGAUCAUGUGGUUAUGAAAUUAUUUAUGCUACCUUGACAUUUGCUAUCUAAAUAUGAACAUGCUCCAUACAUAUAAAAGCUAAAUGUAGUCAAACCAGUGUCAGCUAAUUUAGCCUCAUGAACGCAUGGUUAUACUUGUUGAGUGUGAUAUGUGCUCACUCUUGCUAUUCCCACCACUCCAGUAUACUAGAAAGAGAUGAUUAGAAGGAUGGGGGAAUCACGAAGGACGUUCUCAGGAUACAAUAAGUGCUAGGCAUAUGUUACCCCCAGUCAAUCGUCCCUGUGAAGAUUGGUCCUGAAGAUUAGUUAUUAUUCCACGAUACUCUGAUGUAAGGGUUCAUUAUAAGUACGUAUGUUUUCAUUAUAUAACAUUGUUUCUGAUAUUGUUCCUUUUUGUUGUUCUAUGUGUGGACUUCCUGGGCACACAUAUGGCUAGCAUGGUUUUGUUCUUUUAAAUCUAGUGUGACAGAGUGGUAUCAAAGCAGUGUUGACCGUAGGAGGUAUGCCUAGAUAGCACAGGUCGAUUUCUAAAUAAUACUUUACUACAAAACUAUUUUUGUAUUCUCUUGACUCCUUGAUUUUGAUUAUUUCUCCAUCCUUGUCUUGUUGUAUCCCCUCCUUGAUAGCUUCCUUUGAGCUAUUAUUGUUACUUCCUUGGUUUUUGUUCUAUGUAAUCUUACCAAAAGUUUUCUGAUCCUACCUUAUUCAAAAGUUGGAUAGCUUUUUAUCAUCUCUUGUUCACCCUUUAGGAUGACCACCAUUGUUGAAGAAACACGUGUAGUAUUGAUGUGUGUUGUGUGCUUGUCUUGUUUGGUGUGUUGCUUUUGUGUCGUCUUUGUUCUUGUGUUUUGAGACAGCCCGCAAGGUAUUGUCUUGAGAAGUAGCUCAAUCUUUUAUGAAAAAGCUUAGAACACAUCCAAAAUUUACUCACAAGCCAAAAACCAGUGCUGUUUCUACACUUAGCCGAAUUUGGCUAAGUCUAGGAAUCGGCAGUUUCGACGUAGGGUGAUUGGGAGCAUUGUAGUUUGAAAUCCAUACCGACUUAGACUGCUCGUGUAAUCAAAUUUGUAGAACUCGUGUAGCUCUAUCCAGAGGAUCAAAUCCCAGCCAAAACCACCGAGUGAGCUGAGAGUAAAACGUCGACGAACUUCGGGAUUCAGUCACUGCAAUCGAGCGAUUCAGAAACCGAUUCAGUUCGGACAGAACGCACCCGCCGCCGCAUGUCCGGCCACCUGGCAGCCGUACGCCGUCGACAGUCCCUCCUGUCAGCCCCGACGUCGUCCACAAGACACCACGCACCGAGUGGACGCCUCAGACGCGCCAUUCGCCCCUCCAGAGUGCCACAUUGCGUCCGCCUUCGUCCACGGCGAGCUCUUCCGGCCGUUCCAUCGCGUCUCCGGCCAAGCCAGUCCGCCCAGAGCUCCGCCUCGACGUCCUCUACCUCGACGUCCACUCCUUUCCCUUAGCCGAGCACCGGUGAGACCGCAUUGCCAACUCCGCCGCGAGCUCCACCUCGCCGGAGUUCACAGAGAUCACCGGCAACGUGGCCAGACCUCUCUGGUUCACCUCUGGCCGUGAUUCUUCUUCCUAUAGCUUCGCCUUGAGUCGCUCUUGCUCGUCCGCAACCUCUACCACGUCGCCAAUGCCUAGGUUCGCCGGCGUAACGCCGUGCAGCACCGCCGCUCCGCCAUUCCCGACGGCGAGCACCCUAAAGUCCAGUAGAGCGCGGGUAAAGUAGGUCACUGAGUUCGCCUUGAGGAACACAUAGAUGCCCUUGGAUCCGACCGAGACCUCGCCGUCGUCGAGUUUCGCCGGCGACGAGCGUCUCCCCUGUCUCUGUCUCUCUGUCGCGUGGGUCCCGGGUGUCAGUCUCUCCCUUUCACAUCCCUGGUUCACUGUUUUGCAGAUCCUGUGUUGAUUUUGUAAAAUUUAUAUCUCGAGUUUUAUAGAUCCAAAUGGCAUGGUUCUAAUUUUGCUUGGUUUCUGUAUGAGUCUAGUUUUUAAUAAAAAUAGGAAACAUGCCAUGUUUUGCAGAAAUAAAUAGAUAUAAUUUAAUCUUGGUUUAUUAGGAGGUAAUUAUAUCUUGAGAUCUGUUGAUCUGCUGACCAUGCAAAUUUAGGGUGUUGUUACUUAUGAUAUGAAUAGGCUCUGAUAAAUUUAUCAUGAUUUUUGGAAGCCUGAUUGUGAAGUUAUAAAUAAUUCUUGCUUAAAUAGGAGUUUCUUGUAGUAUUUUUAAUAAAUAAGCUAUAACUCUUUUUGUGGUAAAACUUGCUGAGUGUUGUACUCAUGUGUAAACAAAGCUAGUAAAAAUCUGAAAUCUGUUGUUUGACACUUUUUGAUAGGGUUUCACAUUUAUGCCUUGCAUGCCUUUACUAGCUUGUUAUUUUUGUAUCUCACAAUCUGCAUGUGCAAGUAUCCUGAAAAGUUUACAGUAACCUUGUGUUGGCAUAAGUAGCUUGCUGUAAUUUUCUCAGAAUUUUUGGAACAAUUGGGAUGCAUGUUCAUUAAAUCACCUUAAUAAUUAAAUAAAUGAAAAAGGUGAUGAUAGAAAUAAGUCUAGACCUUGCCAUGAUGUUUUAUAGUGUUUCUUAGACAUGUUCUAUCUACUGGUGCAUUUGGAUUGACCCCUUGAUACAUUCUCAAUAUGUGUAAAAUAUUAUUUUUUGCUAAUUAUUCCUUUCCUAGAGCAAUUCUGUGUAGCUGAUAGCAAUUUCUUAAGAACUAAUUGAAGAUGAUCUUUCCUGGAAAACUUGUCUACAACAAACUUGUAGCUAACUUGCUUAUCUACUUCGUGUCCAAGUUUCAUGACAUUUGGUUGAGUAGUUUAAAAUUUAUGCAUGUUACAAGUAGCUGCUGCAAAGUACUUGCUCUCUGGAUUUUCCAGGACAGCCAGCCAACUUUGUAUAUUUUAGAUUAUUUCGGUUGGGAAUCAUCCUGGGACGUCUAAACAUGAAUUGUAGACAAUUUGCUAAGCUUUCUAGAAAGUAUCUACAUGCUUAGUUUGGCCAACUGAUGCUUAAGUUAUAGCUGAAACUUGUGACAAGUUGGUUUGUCUAUGAAACCAGUGACUGAGUAGGAAUAGCUAAGGUUGAUUAACUUGUCUAGUCAGCCUCUCUACCAGAGAAGAAGUAUGCACUUACUUGUUAUUCUAUAACCCACUUAACUUUAGGAGCUUAUGCUCAUGUUUAUACCUUGUUGUGUGUUCUUUAGUUCUUCAUCAUGACAUCAUGCUUCAUAUGUGCAUUCUCUAUAUUUAUUCCCUUGUCAUGCAUACAUAGGUGUACCCAAGGGCGUGACGGUUUUGGAGUUCGAGCUGCCAGAAUCGGAAGGUCAACAAGGGGAGCCACCUCAAGGAGCUGAGGAGGAGGAGGAUUUGUCGGAGUGUCCCGACCAUCGCCCGUCCACCUACGUCGAAGGCAAGCCCCGGAGCAUUAUAAGCCUCCUACUAUUUUAUUAUCAUGUUCAACUAUCAAUUGACUAUGGUUAUAUAUUGUUGCAUUAAGUGUUAGGUGUUGAUAUGACACCCUUGUUGCAUUAUGACUACCUUGUCCACCUCAUACCUCACCUAAGUAGGUCCAGGAUCGAAUUGAUGCUUAGCCAUGCUUAGCUCGGUAGAAGCCGGGUGAUUUCCUGUCACCUGCGAGAGUUAGGUGGAUGAUGAUCACGGUUGGCUAUAUUUGCUAUCGUGGAAAUAACCAUGUGCUAAUAAUGAACUUGAGACCGGGCUGGAUGACGAUAGUGCAGCAACAAGGCAUGGAGGUCUUGGGUGUGAAUCUAUCCCCGUCUGUGUCGUUUAAGGACCGAAUCGCUGUACGUCCCCGUGUCAUGUUGAACGCAUGCCUAUCACUUAGUUGGCAGGAUAAGUCGUUCUGACCGCGAAGCCUACCAGUGCAUCUCCAGCCGGAUACCCCGUUCGGUUUAAGUGCGCACCCCGGUUGGUAGCAAGGAUGUGCGGGGAGUCAAUGACGUAAGACCGAGGUGUCAGGUUAGAGUCCUGACCCUGGCAGAUUGGCGGUCCCUGGGGGUGCGGCGCCGUAAGGACCCGCGAAUUGGUCCGGAGUUGUGCUAAAGGAGAUCCGAGCUGCCGUCAUGAAGUAUGCUUGGGUGAGUGUUAGGAAUACCCCUCCAGCUGGAUAGGAAUCGAUUCGAAUCGCCGUCUCUCCCGGAUAGUGAGAACUUGACUUGGGCAGCGGCAACGUAGAAUCCACUAAGUAAACUAAAUGGUUAUGAUGAGAAUGUUAAUAGCUAUGUGAUAAUCCGGAUAUGUUUAUUAUUGUGAUGCUUAAAUACUCAAGUGUAUGCUUAGAACAGGUGCUAAUCUAGUGGAUAGUUGUUAAGUAAUAAACCUGCUGCUGAAAUGUUAUUAAAUGGGUUACUUAUAUCAAAGGCUUUUUAUGCAAAAGGUGAGUCAAACCAGUCCACCAAGAUCAGCCUUGCAUACUCCUUGGUGUCACUUUAUUUCUGGUUUAUGACGGGUAAGUCUAGCUGAGUACCUUCUUGUACUCAGGGUUUUAUUUACCCCUGUUGCAGAUGAUGUCGUGUAUCACAGUUACUGCGCUAACUGUCAUCAUCCGGCUGCGGACGAUGAAUAGAUCAUGGGCGUGAUUACCUUCUCUAUCUUCAGUUGUGCUUUUGUUGGGUUUGACUAUGGAACUGGCAUGUAAUAUAAACUAAAUGUGGGUGAUGUUUCAAAACUACUUUGUUUCCGCUACCAAACUGGUUUGUAAUAACUUUGCUUAAACUUUGAUGUGAUGUAAAACUAUGUUAUCUGAUGAAUGUUUGUAAUCUGAAAUGGCGAUGCUUGACCAUGUACGAUCUUGGUUGUAUGUUGGUUGAAUCGAGGUCUUUUGAGAUUUCGUCGGACUACCGGGUUUAUAUGGGUUCAAGUCCAUUGGCUUGACUGCUUCCGUGGUCGCUAAUUCACUUGAAUUCUUAUAAAUUGGACGGUUCUGUUACAAUCUUCCAUCAACCGACCUAUUAAAACUUCUUGUGAAUUUUUUUCGUCAUUUUCUAGAAUUCCUUCUCGCUUAUCUAUGGGUAUAAUCUAAUUUUUAGACGCUCCUAAAUAUCUUUUCAUGAGCUCUAAAUACUUUAUUUAAAUUCCUCAUGAUCUAAAAUAUCUCUAAGAAUUUUUCUCUAAUUUUUAAGCCUUCGGAGUAGUUUUCGACACUUAAAAAUCAAUUCUGGAUUUUUUUGUAAUUAUUUUAAUCUCAGAAUUAAUUAAUUACAAAAAUAAUGGAAUAUAUAUUUUUAAUACUCAAUGCCCAUGUGAUAAAUCUUAAAGAGCCGGACAAGAGAUUAAAAGAAUUAGGGUUUCAUCCUAUUCACCAUGUUGCCGCCGUUGUGGUGUUGUAUCAAUCCAUCGCUCUGAUAACCACCUCGCUAAUACUUCCAAUGCAGGAACUCAAGUGCAACAUAUUCAAUAUCUGCAGGCUUUACAAACGACGUUAGAGCAUCUCCAAGGGUUUUGCAUUUGAGGUUUGCAUUUGAGUAAUUUGCCAAAAAGCUCCAAAAGAGGUAUCCAACAGUUUUGCAUUUGGAGUUUGCAAUUUGGGCAACUUGGCAAAUGAUGGAGCAAACUUGGCAAAAAUGCCAAGUUGUGGAUGACUUUGCAAACCCAAUCGCACGAGCAAAGUCACGCGCGAGGAAAGUGCGCGCGUCUGGAGACCUUCUAUUUUUAUCAUUUGCCAAGUCCAAAUGCCAAUUCCCUUGGAGAUGACCUAUUUUUAACCUUUGCAUUUUGUUAUGAGAGUUUGCAAAUAACAACAAAUGCCAAGUCCAUUUGCCAAAGCCUUUGGAGAUGCUCUUACCGAGCAGUAUACCAGAGGGAACCCCGAAGAUGUAUUUUUUGGGGUUAAGCUUCCACUUGUAUUUAUUCAGCGCUUUAAAAGUGCGGUCUAAGUUGUCGAUCAGGGUGCUCGUGUCCCUAGUUUUGACGACAACGUCGUCGACGUAAGCCUCGACGAGGUCAUCACGUAUCUCGUCGUGGAGGCAUUGCUGAAUAGCGCGUUGAUAGGUGGCUCCGGCGUUUUUGAGUCCAAAGGAUAUAGUGGUGUAGCAAUAUGCACCAAAAGGAGUGAUGAAGGAAGUUUUGAUCUGGUCGUCUUCCUUUCGCGAGAUCUGGUGAUAACCAGAGUAACAGUCGAGAAAAGAGAGGAGUUCACAUCUGGCUGUUGAAUCGACCACCUCGUCGAUACGAGGGAGACCAAAAGGAUCUUUAGGACAAUGUUUAUUGAGAUCAGUGUAAUCAACGCACAUUCUCCAUUCAUUAUUCUUUUUUCUUACAAGUACUGGAUUGGCAAGCCAAUCGAGAUGAUACACUUCUUUAAUAAAUCCGGCUGCUAAAAGCCAUGUAAUCUCUAUCCUAAUGGCCUCCUUUUCUUCAGGAGCGAACCGUCGUAGCUUCUGCUUGAUAGGUCUUGCGGUCUUUGAGACAUUUAAGGUGUGCUCGAUCAGGCUUCGUGGGACACCGGGCAUGUCUGCGGGUUUCCAUGCGAAAACGCUUACGUUGUCCCUUAGAAUCCUGACGAGCGCGUCUUCCUAUUUGGCGUCCAGGUUGGCCCCAAUGAGAGCCGCCUUCUCUAGGCUGCUCUCGAACAGUUGUACUUCCUUGUGGUCUUUGGACUUGGAGCUUUUUCUUGGAGUCUCCUGCUCGGGUAGCUGGAGCUGGUUGGGUGGAACUUGGGUGGCUUGUGCUACAGUUUCUGCCAUGCGAAUCGCGAGAUCGAUUGCCUCGGUGAUCUUGAAACUUCCCUCUUCGCAAGUGUACGCGGUGUAGAUGUUGCCUCUGACGGUUAGGACGCCCUUCUCGGUUGGCAUCUUGAGGACCUGGUAUGAGUAGUGCGGCACUGCCAUGAACUUGGUGAGCGAAGGGCGGCCUAGAAUUGCGUGAUAGGUUGCGUCGAAGUCGGCGACCACAAAGUUGACGAACUCAGUGCGGAAGUGGUCUGGUGUUCCAAACUGGACAGGCAGCGUUAUCUGGCCAAGGGGUACUUUGACCCGGUAGGACGCCCCAGAACUGAGCGUCGUACGGUUUCAGCUGCGCGGGAGUUAGCUUGAGAGCAGGCAAGCUGUUGUGAAAGAGGAUAUCAAUGGAUGAUAUGACCAUACUGUUGACACUAGCUAACAUCACUUAGAUACUAGAUUGUCAUCCCCAGCAUGGUGCCAGAGUGUACAAAGGUAUUUAUAAAUGUAAAGGCUCUCUAGAAAAUAAUAUAUUCUAUCCGCAAGCGCACAGAUAAAACACCUCAUUGUAGCAUUUCACCAGGAUAAGUAUUCCAGGUAUCAUUAUUUAUAAUUUUGCUCAAGGGAUCUAAGGAGAUUAAAUUAAGGGCAAAAUCUAUCAAGGCAUAGACUAGAGAUAAACUUGCAAGAACAUGAUUACUAAUGAGAAACUCAUCACACAGUCACUUACUUUAGCAGGGGGUAAACCAUAAAGAUAAUGAUAAUGAAUUAUAAGUUCAAGGGAUAAAUAACACAGCGAUUAGAAAAUAGACUACUCCUCAUAUAUGUAGGUGAUGUCGGAUUAGCUAGAGAAUGGAUUCUAAGUUAUCUACUAACUACUAAGUCAUAAUCUACUCUAGUUAUCUACAAGAUCAUAUAUAGCAUAAAAGACUCUUCAUUCAUGUAUAAGGAACAUUGAUAAAGUAAAUCAGAGCAUCGCAUGACUUACUCCACAAUACCAGUUCUGCCUGUCCUAUGAACGGAGGGUGGACUAUAUAAGAAUCAACGAAGCUGUCACUAUCGCAAACUACCACACGACCCGGCCAAUAGGAUACAUUUGCAGAUAAAUAACAUCUAAGUACCAUGCUCACAUGUGAUCUAUCACCUAACUCCCUCGCGUCAAGAGCUAAGCGCUUUGCAAACUUAUACAUAAACUCAUUAUCAAUUAGAACUAUAUCAAAUAUAGAACUAGAGCAGACUAAGAACAUAAUAAUUAGAGACAUAAUGCAAUUUGAACAAAGAAUUAGAGAAAGAUAUGAAUAAUACCAAUCUUUAUUACCGAAGAUCCGAAUCCAGAGCGUAGUGCUCUACUUCUCUAAUUGCUAUCUAAUCAAACCUCUAAACUUGAAGGAUUAGGGAGUAGCUAAUUCUAAUUCUCUGUGGGAGAGAAGCUCUAAACCCUAACUUUGAUGGCUACCUCUGCAUAAUGAUUUCUUCUCUUCUCCUCUCUCCUCCAGGGGCUAGGGGGUCUGGUUUUAUAGUCCCCUCAAGUGAACGUGGGCCGUCAGAUCAAACCGACAUAGAUUGUAUGGUUUAGAUUGAUCCUUUAGGUCGGUGGAGUUUAGCCCCAAAGCAGAGUCUGCACUUAAAUCUUAAGUGAUCGAAAGACAAAAUAAUUAAGUCAAGCACUAUUCCUCCUGUCUAUACUUCACCUUUGUUCUAGAGUUUUUCAUAAGUUUUCAAAAUAAAACUCAGAGUUCCCAGCAAUAUUCUCUCAAGUCUCUCUAUAUGUGGUAUUUGUGGAUCCUUACCAUAAUGUCACUUACCUAUAGCUAAUGGAAUAUUUAAGUGGAGCUCAAAGGAGUGAAAAAACAGCUCAUACAUAUGUUGUCUAAUCGAUCUAUGGAUCCAAAAGGAACUCAGCAUAUAAUUAAAUCAAGAUGUGCAUGUGUGAUGGAGUAAAUGAUAGUGAUGAUAAAAAUGUAUAAGUAAUAAUAAAACUUGGUUCUCAUUGCUCCUCAUAUUGCUAUCUCUCCUCUUCUUUGAUCUUUGCUUUGGGAGAACAUGGGCUAUCUCUUUUUCUCUCUUUCAUUUUUUUCAGGUGGGUAGUAGAUACCCCUAAUUCUACUGUCGGACACUUGUCCCUUUUUUCCGCUCAAGUGGGCAUUUUUGUACCCCUAAUUCUACUUCGGACACUUGUCCAUUUUUACCUCUCGUCUCACUCUUUUUCUUUCUUUUUCGAGGUUCCGGGCACUUGCCCCUUUUUAUUUCCUCGCAUAUUUUUGCAUAACCCAUGCCUCUUCUACAUUGAAUCUUUUUAGAGAGAGAGAAUAACAAUAUUUGGGAUAGUGAGUGAUAAUAUUUUUAGCAAUUUUAAUGAAUGGUGAUGGAUGGUGUAGUAGAUGUGUGCAAGUGAAUAUCUUAAUUUAACCACAUGAAAAGCUCCUAAGGGUCUACACAGCUCGAUCAAACUCAAUGUGAAUAUAGUAAAAGAUGUUAUAGCAAGUAUGGCUGUGGUAGGUAAUUUGUUAUGCUAGGAACUCAUCAUGUGAUUUGUAAGUUUUCAAAAUAAAUCUCAACUUAGUGUAGUAGGAACAAGAUAAACAGCAGCUCAACUUUAUAUCAUGCCUUUCUCUUACCUAGACUUUAGUUUUAUGCUUCCCAAAGAUAGUAAUUUUAGUUUUAGUAAUUCUUGGAAGAACUCUAAUAUAAAAGCUAGGUACUUAAAAGUAAGCAAACAGAGCAACUGUUCAUUAUUUCCAUCAUGCAUCUUUUUGAUCUUUUUGUUUUUUCUAGAGAUUUGCACUUAACAGAUAAAAUAAAGCACACUUAUCUACACACUCUUUUUAUUUUGUUUUCAUGUUUAUAAAAUGCAGUAAAUUAAAGCAAGAAAAUAUUUAUUUGGUUUUCUAAGUUUUUCCUUUUUAAAAUAAAUAAAACACUAAGACAAAAUAGAAUAAAUAAGAAGAGCAAAUAAAAACUUACUUGAUAAAUAGGGGAGGAACUCCCCCAAGCUGGAUGUUGACGUCGGUCUUACCCGAUGUUCCAGAACCGCAUCAUGGUUGUGAUGUUGUCAUUCAUUGUUGUUGUAUCUUGUCUUAGUUCUUGCACUGCAGCGGCAUGGUCCUGGUUCCAUUUUUGUUGCUCUUCCAGGAGUCUUCCAUGUUCUGCUUGCGUGUUUUGGAUGUCGAGGAGGGUGUUGUCGGUACGAGUGAAGAAAGCACCGGCCUCUUGAUAGUAGUCAUUCAUGAAAGCGUAGGAGGCGUCGGAGUAUCGUCCUACAUCAAAUUGGGGCGGAGGUCUGGAUCCUGAAGCUCCAUAUGGGCUCCAUAUGGAUCAGUGGAGUACCUGCCCGUAUGAAAAGGCGGGUUUGUCCACUGGUGAUCUUGGCUCUCCGGCCAUGUCUCCUCUGUUGGCUCUUGUGGUUGCGCAUGACGAACCCAUGGGUCUCGAAGGACUCGAGGGUUGUAGUCGCAAUAAUGCAGGUGCGCUGCUUCUUCUGGUCCGAGAUCAGCUCCAUACCAGGUGCGUUCUCGGCGGGUGGUCAUCCUUUCAGAUGCCACUCGCUGUGGAGUUCUCUGGUUCACUGGUGUUGCUGCAAUCUCAAUCAAAAAGUUUUGAACAACGUAGAGGCCAAGGUUCGGGCUAGGUAACUGAAUCUUGCCUUUAUCAUCAUAUAGCAUAUACAUUACGUUCCCCUCUUUCUUUAACAUCCGAGCUUGUCUAAAUGUGUCAUAGCCAUGGUAAAUUCUUAAUUCCUCUAUGAAAUCCAAUGAUGAGUUUUCUAGUAAGUGAAGAUUAAAGGCUAGACGAGUGAUAAGUGAAGUACAUCCUACUAGUCCCUGAAGACUAGGUAUACUAAGCCAAUGAGAAACUAAAAGUGUAACAGGUGAAGUAGGUACUUUAAUAAUAGCAGCAUAUAAAAGUUGUAAAUCUCCUACUCUUACUUUCCUAAUAUCAUCACGAUAGAAAAGAUUGUACCCAAGCCAUUUGUGGAACAUCCUAAGAGUGGGGUGUUCCAUGUCGCUGGUUCGGGCUUGACUAUAAAAAUUAUCUCUAGAUAUUUCUCUCCAAAACUGGUGUCUCAAAGUUAGGUAGGUCGGAGUCAAUGUUCAGGAUGCAUCUUGAAGAGAAACCAAGAUGGUCGCUCAGCUCUCUCCAAGACAACAUAAUUUCCUGAUUGAACAUCCGAAAAACAAUUCCCCCUCAUAGUAUUGUAAGGUGCAAAGAAAUUCGAGGGUGAGAAGACGAGAACCCAGCUCAGUUAUAUUCCAAAAAUUUGUCCAACCUAUCAUCUGAAAAAUUAAGUUGAAUUCAGUGUCUGUUUCUUGUAGUAAGAUUGGAUCAAGAGUAGGGGUGUGAAUAAAAUCUUUGUUCUUCAGUUGCUGAUAGACUUCCUUCUCUCUUCGUGUCUUCAGUCCAAGGUCUCCUAUCUUGAGAAGGACCUUAACUUGCUGACUUGAUGAAGAUGAUGGAGCUUGUGUGGGUGUCGGGUCGACGCUCAUCUCUGACGGGUGUAAGGAGUGUCGGGAUGAACUCCUUGUACCAAUGUUCUUGAGAGCCUUCCCUGCUUUCUUCACCUUAUUAAACAUCCUGCAAACAAAAGUUGGCAAAAACACAACUAGUGGAAAAUGUGAGAGAAAAUGUUAGUGGUCAGCUGUCCGGAAUGUCAGUAGUCCAGGGGUUAGUCGUUCAAGACAAGUUUCUAUUUUGGUAGAGCCUCCCCCUAAACAACUUUUACUUCCGCUUAGACAACUACUUACUAGGUGAUACUCACUCUCUCACUCAAAAGAACUCCAACCUUCUCACACUCAGAGCUAUUCUCUGGAAACCGAGAACUACGAGCUUGCAAAGUUUUCUGAAGUGUGUGUGUGAAGAGAAGGGGAGCUGGAGGUGGCCUUUUAUAAGCUGAGCAGGGGACAGGGCGGGCGCCCUGGGUAGGUGGACGGGCGCCCACUUGUGAUGCCCAUCCUGGGUGUGCCUCCUCCACUUGCUUCCUUGCUUUGAUCUCACGUAGAAUAAUAUUGUGUUGGUGGUGGUUGGACGGUGGAAAGAUGUCAGGUAAGUGGAAACAUAUUGGUGGAUGAAAUAAUGUGAUGGGAUGUAUAUGAGGUGUGGUGUAUGACAUGUGGGACCCAAGGAGUGUGGGUCAUGCUUCUAGAAGAUUGCUAUAAUUAAAUAUAAUGCACGAAAAUUUAUGAGAAUUGAAACUUAAUUAAAAUCAUUAUGAAAAAUAUUUUGUGCCUCCACAAUAAUUAUACCAUGAAUAUUAUUUAUAUGGGGCUUUUGAUUAGUAUAAUAAUGCUAUGAAUAUAUAUGACUAAUGCAAGAAUUAAUUAUGCAAGAAUUUAAAUGAGAAAAUUAAUAAUGCGGAUAAAUACCGAUUUACCUCCCGGUGAGGGUUUGGGAUUUUUAGGUCCCCCAAGCUGUUGACGGUUCUUAAGUAUCAAUUUUAAUUAUCAAAUAAACAAGGGAAAGGACCAAUAUGCAACCAACACCUAGAAUUAGGGUUUGAUCUGACAGAAUUCCACGAGUUUUGUUGUUUAUCUGUUUCUGCAGGGGGUUAUCAGGAAAUAAGUAAGAAAGGCCCACAUGUCGGGAUUACAUAGAGAUAUCAACGCAUCGCGCGAUUUUACACCAUCUAGAAGAUUCCAGAAGCCACGAGACCGAAGCGGAGGCGAAACGGGGCCAGGCCCAGGGCGCCCGCCCUGAGGACCUGGGCGCCCGCCCCCUGCUGGAGCCAGAUCAGGACUCUCUUCGCUCGGGAUAUUCCACCGACCUAUUGGAUCAAGAAAAACAUAGUACCACCUCGCCUAUCGACCCAAAAAUGCAUAGAAGAGGAGGACUAUAUAAGGAGACCCCUGGCCCUUGGAGAAGACAUGAAGAAAUUAUCAUAGAGACUGAGGGGUGCCUUCGAAGGAAAACCUCUUCUCUAAUUAAUAUUUCUUUUUAGGCUUAGCAACCAAUGUAAGGUAGAAAUAGAUCUUCUAGUUUCUACUAGAUUGAGAGAGAUAGAGUGGAGGUGUAGAGUGGAGGAAGCCCGGCCUGUCGUUGUCUACUCCAAGCUUGUACCUAUGGGAUCAAGUUCUCCUAACCCGAAGCUUGCUCCUUGGAUUCUUCAGUAUUUCGACUCCUAAAUUCUAGUAAGUUCUUGUUUUAUUGUUCUUAUGGUUUAUGAGUUUACUUUAAUCUCUUCGCGUAGAGUUUAGAGUAAUCAUUGCUGGCGUAAACGUGGUGUUUAGGCUGGGGUACUCAUAGAUAUUCCCUGACUUGCUGGACCGUGGUAGUAGUGAGGAACGUGACAAUUCCGAGCUACCUUUGUAGAUCACAUCUCGUUAGCAGGAAGGAUAGGGUUUAUAGGUGCGGGUUGAACAUCCUUUGUGGUGUCUAGAUUCCGUUAGCCUCCCCAUUAGAACAGUAGAUCAUCCUUACCAAGGUUAGAAGGAGACUACGGUUGCAGUCUUCUGUAUUUAUCACUCGCAUCGAAAGACAUUCUUUGUGCCUAAAGGUUAGUAGUAAUAGACCGGUUAGUCAGAUGCACUCUUUCUCCUAGUGGUAAAAAAAUAAAUACGAUACUCUGGAUAAUUUCCCGGGUGAAGUGCCCACCGAUAUCCGUGCGCUUGCGGAUCAAUUCCUUAUUGCGUUCCCAAAUAUCAACAAGCAUUUCUGGCACCGUUGCCAGGGAGAAAGACGGUUGCUGAGAUAACCUGAGUCUUACUAUUAGCUUGUAUCUAUACUUUUAUCUUUUCUUAUCUUUUAUAUUCUUUAUUUAUUUUCUUUAUUCUUACCUUAUGGAAAACCAAAAUUCUAAAUCGAUCCAUGAGUCUGCAAUCCCUUUAGCAACUGACCUUUUAUCAUGGGAAUCAUCACAGCCUAUCCAAACAUCCCAGUAUAAGUUAAGUUCUAGGUUGAUUGCCAUGAUUCAAAACCUAUCUUUUUCGGGAAAGGAAGACGAAAACCCUUACCUUCAUAUUAGAGAUUUUGAGCAAACAUGUGAUUGUCUUCGCAUUGAAGGCAUUUCUGAUAAAACUUUACGUUGGAAGCUUUUUCCUUUUUCUUUAAGGGGAGAAGCUAGACAAUGGUACAGUCAGAAGGUAAGUCAACAACAAGGUGAAUGGGGAGUUUUACGAGCCAACUUUUGUCUAGAUUUCUAUUCCCUUGACCGUAUAGCCAACCUUAGACUCGAAGUCCUAUCUUUUAAACAAAAAGAUAAUGAAACUUUGGGAAAAUCCUGGAAACGUUUUUCUGAUCUUUUAGAAUCUGGUCCAAACCUUAAUCUUGAAGACCCUGUUCUUUUAUUUCACUUUUUUCGAGGUCUUUAGAAAAAUCAUAAACAAAUGCUGCACACAAUGUCUAGAGGUUCUUUCUUUCGCAUCCCUACUGAGGAAGCAAGAGUGAUCCUAGAUAGAAUCCUAGAAGCUGAGAUGGAUAAUACCCUUCAUGAUGAAACCUACGAAGCCGAAGUAGACACUCUGCCAAAUUCUUCAUCUACUUUCGCUAUCCCAAGUUCUGAGCCACAAGAGGAAGAAAUUCCACUACCGGACUUCAUGCUGGAUAUAGAAUCCGAUCUUUUUGCCGAUUUUGGAAAUAUUUCAAAUUACCAUUCUAUUGACAAACCCCAAAACGGCCAGUUUAGCAUUUAUUUACCAAGUGAAUAUCAAUUGAGAGAGCUUAUCUCAGUCAUGAGUAGCGAAUGGUUGGAGGAAUCAAAGCUUUCCUCUGAUGUGAUCCGUUUGGACACACCCUCUAUAACUAUACGCUGUGCUUAUAAUUCUGAUAGAUUUAAUGCUCUUUAUAAUCCUGUUGUGGGGAUCAACAUCAUGUCUGAAUCUUUUGCACUUAAACUCUUUAAAAAUCUUGUCUUAACCCCCACAACAAAGGUCAUAAAGGAAUCUUCGGGACAAUUAGUCCCCAGUCUUGGAAUUAUUAAUGUCCUACCUGUUACGGUAGAAGGCUCCAUGGUUCAUUUGAACUUCUAUAUCUUUGAUACAUGGGACUUCGACCUGUUGAUAGGACAACCUUUUAGAAGACUCCUUUAUGAAGGUCAUACUGGAAAGCUACACAUUUCUUUUGGAAAAACUUUUAAAUUCCCAAUAAUAAUUUCACACUCCUUAAACAAUAAGGCCGAGUCAUAUCUUUUGCCUGAUCCUAUGGAGGAAGUAAAGGCUGCAUCUCUAGAGCUUUUAGAUGAACCAGACUUAGAAGACGAAACUCCUUUCUUCACUGAAGAAGAAGACGAACCUUCCGAGCCUGAACCCUUAGAUGAGUUUGCAGAAACACCUAGACCUCCCAUAGAGCUUAAAACUUUACCACCCGGUCUUACCUAUGCUUUCCUAAACAAUAAUCCAGAGUUCCCUAUGAUCAUUAGUGAUAAACUCACUCAGGAUCAAACUCUGCGAUUAAUGACCAUUCUUGAGAAACAUCACUCAGUUUUCGGCUACUCACUUCAAGAUCUUACAGGAAUCAGUCCUAUGAUUUGUACCCAUCGUAUUCCAACAGAUCCUUCUGUUACACCCUCUCGAGAACCCCAACAUAGACUUAACAACACUAUGAGAGAGGUAGUUAAAAAGGAAGUCAUAAAGUUGCUGCAUGCAGGGAUUAUAUAUCCUGUGCCGCACAGUGAAUGGGUGAGCCCAGUACAAGUUGUGCCCAAAAAGGGAGGCAUGACAAUUAUUAUGAAUGAAAAGAACGAGCUAAUUCCGCAACGCACCGUCGCAGGAUGGCGGAUGUGCAUAGACUAUAGAAAACUAAACAAAGCCACAGGAAAGGAUCACUUUCCUUUACCUUUUAUAGAUGAGAUGCUAGAGCGGUUAGCAAACCAUUCAUUCUUCUGUUUCUUAGAUGGAUAUUCAGGGUAUCACCAAAUCCCGAUCCAUCCUGAUGAUCAAAGCAAAACCACUUUUACAUACCCUUAUGGAACUUAUGCUUACCGUAGAAUGUCUUUUGGGUUAUGUAAUGCACCAGCUUCUUUUCAAAGAUGCAUGAUGUCUAUAUUUUCUGAUAUGAUUGAAGAGAUUAUGGAAGUUUUCAUGGAUGAUUUCUCUGUUUAUGGAAAAACUUUUGAUAGUUGUCUUGAAAACUUAGACAAGGUUUUUGCAAAGAUGUGAAGAAAAACACUUAGUCCUUAAUUGGGAAAAAUGUCAUUUUAUGGUUAGGGAAGGAAUAGUGCUAGGACACUUAGUGUCUGAAAGAGGGAUUGAGGUAGACAAAGCUAAAAUUGAAGUAAUUGAACAACUACCUCCACCUGUGAAUAUAAAAGGAAUUCGAAGCUUUCUUGGCCAUGCUGGUUUUUAUCGUAGAUUUAUAAAAGAUUUUUCAUUUAUUGCUAGACCACUUACUCUUUUGAUAGCCAAGGAUGCUCCUUUCAAAUUUGAUGAUGCAUGUCUAACAUCUUUCAAUUUAUUAAAGAAAGCACUCAUCUCUGCACCAAUCAUUCAACCCCCUGAUUGGUCGUUGCCUUUUGAAAUUAUGUGUGAUGCUAGUGAUUAUGCUGUGGGGGCAGUAUUGGGACAAACUAAAGAUAAGAAGCAUCAUGCAAUUGCUUAUGCCAGUAAAACUUUGACAGGAGCUCAACUUAACUAUGCAACCACUGAAAAAGAGCUUCUGGCUGUUGUCUUUGCCAUUGAUAAAUUUAGAUCUUAUUUAGUUGGAGCUAAAAUAAUUGUUUACACUGAUCAUGCUGCAUUAAAAUAUUUGCUCACUAAAAAAGAUGCUAAACCUCGCCUGAUUAGAUGGAUUUUAUUACUCCAAGAAUUUGACUUAGAAAUAAAAGAUAAAAAGGGAGUAGAAAAUUCUGUUGCUGAUCACUUGUCUAGAAUGUAUUUUAAGAGUCCACAGGAAACCCCCAUCAAUGAUUCACUCCGGGACGACAUGCUCUACGGGAUUAACAGGUCUGACCCCUGGUAUGCAGAUAUUGUUAAUUUUAUGGUUUCAGGGUAUGUACCACCAGGAGCAAACAAGAAGAAGCUUAUUCAAGAAAGUCGUUCACAUAUAUGGGAUGAGCCAUACCUCUUCCGAGUAUGCUCUGAUGGCUUACUCAGGAGAUGUGUGACCACUGAGGAAGGAUGGAAGAUCAUCGACAGAUGUCAUUCAUCACCAUAUCGAGGUCACUAUGGAGCAUUCCGUACGCAUUCAAAAAUCUGGCAGUGUGGAUUCUAUUGGCCUACAAUGUAUGAAGACACAAGGCAAUAUAUCAGAAGAUGUGGGCCAUGUCAAAGACACGGAAACAUAAAUACAAGGGAUGCAAUGCCACUCACCAAUAAACCUUCAGAUUGAGCUCUUUGAUGUCUGGGGAAUAGACUACAUGGGUCCAUUUCCUCCAUCAAAGAAGUGUGAGUACAUCUUGGUGGCAGUUGACUAUGUCUCCAAGUGGGUAGAGGCAUUACCUUGCAAGCAUGCCGACAACGUCAGUUCAAAGAGGAUGUUUGAAGAAAUUAUAUUUCCAAGAUUUGGAGUCCCCAGAGUAGUGAUAAAUGAUGGAGGAGCACACUUCAUCGACAAACGCUUCAAGCAAUAUCUAUCAAGACAUGGAAUCCGUCACAACGUCUCUACCCCCUAUCAUCCUCAGACAAGUGGCCAAGCAGAGACUUCCAACAAACAAAUCAAGAAUAUUCUUCAGAAGACAGUAAAUGAAAUGGGAACGGCGUGGAAAGACAAGUUACCCGAUGCACUCUGGGCUUAUCGGACAGCAUACAAGACCCCAAUCGGAAUGUCUCCAUACCAAUUGGUGUACGGGAAGACUUGCCACCUACCUGUUGAACUAGAGUUCAAUGCACACUGGGCCAGAAAGAGAUGGAAUAUGGACCUAGAUGUUGCUGGAGAUUAUAGAAGAAUGCAACUAUCAGAAUUGGAAGAAUGGCGAGAGAAGGCAUAUCACAAUUCAAAGAUCUACAAAGAAAGAGUCAAGAGGUGGCAUGACAAGAGAAUCAAGAAGAAGGAGUUCACACCCGGAGAUAAGGUAUUACUUUUUAAUUCCAGGGUAAAGCUUUUCGGGCAUGGAAAACUCCGGAGCAAAUGGGAAGGACCAUUCAAGGUAAUCAAUUCAUCAUCCCACGGAGCUAUCACACUUCAAAAUAGUGAAGGUACGUUAUUCAAGGUAAAUUGUCAACGUCUUAAAUUAUUUUUAGAGCCCAAUGAGGAAUUUGAAGAAAUAGACGUAGUCCAUUUUUACCUUCCCAUGCAGAAUUAGAGCCCGACAAUUUUGGUCUGAUGGUUUUGGGUCAUAUAUAUUUUUUUCUAAAUAAUUCCGCAUCUAGAAACGCGCUCGGAAAAGUGGGCCCACAGAGGGGCCAGAAAGAGGGCGGGCGCCCAGCUCAGGUGGGCGGGCGCCCAGCUCCUGUUCCCCCUCGGUCCCGACUUUCUCUGUUAUGGAAAAUGCACUUAGGGUGAUACGAAUAAUCCCUCGGAUGGAAAGUUUCGCACGCACGUCGACGGGAGCAACCCGAACAACCCAUAGAGGCACCCUUUUGACCCCUAUAUAAACAGACCCCUGACCUCAGUUUUCAAACACCAAGCCACCAAGCUUUCUCUCCUUCAAUCAGAGCUUGAUUAGCUCUCCUUCAAUUAGAGCUUGAUUAGCUCUCCUUCAAUUAAAGUUUGAUUAGUUCCUUGCUGCUCCAAUGGCCGAGAAAUACCACGACGAUUGGGAAGUUGUCCCCUUCAACCUCAACAUGGAGCCUGUGGAGGACCCCGAUGCCCGUGCUCUCGUCCCGGCCAACACAGAGCAUCAGCUAGAAGCCAUGCCAUUACGCCAACGCAGCUCCGCCCAAUCUUACCAUGCUCAACCAGUUCUCACCGCACCGCCACAACCCCUACUCCUCACAGGAUCAUCAUCCAAGACGAAGACCACUAUCAAGGUGCCAACCGGCACAAGGAUCCUUCCACCAAGACCCAAUGAGAGGGUCGUUGGAGUCAAGACCAACCGGAGCGGCGAGAUCAGCAGUGUUCGCUACACUACGGAGGAGGAAAGGCCUUACUUUGAAGGGAUUAGAGCAGCCAAAGUCCGUUUCAUCCCUCUAAGGGCAGCCCCGAAGCACGCUCUCAAUGCUUUUGAGACACCUCCCAAGCGUCGCAAGACUAUAAUGGAAUUGAUGAGGAAGUUCGCAGGCUAGAUAGAGUUAUCAUAGACCUCCAGUCCUUGAUCAACUCCCUCACUAGGCAGCUCUCUAACCACAACACCAUUAUACUAGGCCUUAGGCAGGAUUUUGCCAGUGCCAACAAGAAGAUCAAAGAAUUAGAGCGCCGCUAAGUUAUCUAGAUUAGACCUUGAGGCAAUGCAUCUUAGUCAUCUAUCUUUAAAUUCGGUUUAAGUUUGCUAAUAUCAGUUUGCUAUCAGUUUGCUAUCAGUCUUUUGUAAUAAAUGCCUCAAGAUCAAUAAAGAGUAUUAUUAUUAUUAUGUCUUGUGUGUCUCUACUUUAUUUUUGUGCAAGAAAGCAGAAAACAAGUAUGGGGGAGAUCCCUCGACAUGCCAAACACACUCCAACUACACCACUCCAUGAUUCAGGUACACACUCUGCACACUUUACACAUACAUUUAUUUUGGAUUAUGCAGAUUAUUGUUCCCGACAUGAUAAGAUAAAAAGAUUAAAAUAUUUCUAAUCAUGAUUAAUCUCAAUCUAUGAUAUUUCCUGAAAAUUUGCAAUUAUUAUAAAAUCAUUUUAAAACCCUGUGUUACUUAAGUCAAUAUGGAAUAUGUGAUGGUAGAGUAUGAGUUUCUUAUUCUUGAUAUCAUUGUUACUUGGAGAAUUUAUUUCAAAAUAUUCAAAAUUCUAGCUACCAUCCUCAGUGUUUUAUAUGCCUGGUAAAACUGAAAAUAUUAAUUAUGAUUAUAAAAGCUAUCUGCUCUGUAUUGAGUUUGUUCAAAAUGAGUUAGACCCUUGUUGAGAGAUUUAUCAUGCUCCCAAGAUCAAGACAUUAUUUCAGUAAGAUUCACUCUUCCGAAGUAUUAUUGCAUUAGAGGCAUGGGCUAUGCAAAAAUUGAGAUAUUUCGAGGAAAUAAAAAGGAGCAAGUGCUCGACAACCUCGCAGAAAAAAAAUGGGCAAGUGUCCAGCAGUAGAAUUAGGGGUACCUCGGUAUCCACUUAAAAAAAUGAUAGCCCAUGGUCCCUCUAAUAAGCAAUAUGCCAGCAAGAGUUGACAAAGAUUUUAAUUUCCAAAGUCUUUCAUCUAAGAGUAUGACAUUCCUCUCCUCGGAUCCUGUUUUGAUCAGGCAAUAAAUGCAAAGUAAGAAUGCUUGAGAAUUUUUGCAAAAAUAAAACAGCCUCAGUGAGAUAUAUAUAUAAAAGAUAAUGAGUGAUCUGAGAGAACCUAUGAGGAUCAAAAGGUAUGCUAACUUUCUUUCAAAAAUAUAAAAAACUCCAAGUGAUAGGAUUGAGAAGAAAGGAUCUUUACUCUUGAUCAUAAACUUCCCUGACUAUGGUACACAGUGGGUUUUUAACACCCUGCAAUUAUAAAGAGAAUGUUUUAAAUGUUUAACCCAGAUAUUGUUCUUAACCAUCCUUUUCUCGAGGACGAGUAAAAGCCUAAGUAUGGGGGUAUUUGUUGACGGUUCUUAAGUAUCAAUUUUAAUUAUCAAAUAAACAAGGAAAAGGACCAAUAUGCAACCAACACCUAGAAUUAGGGUUUGAUCUGACAGAAUUCCACGAGUUUUGUUGUUUAUCUGUUUCUGCAGGGGGUUAUCAGGAAAUAAGGAAGAAAGGCCCACAUGUCGGGAUUACAUAGAGAUAUCAACGCACCGCGCGAUUUUACACCAUCUAGAAGAUUCCAGAAGCCACGAGACCGAAGCGGAGGCGAAACGGGGCCAGGCCCAGGGCGCCCGCCCUGAGGACCUGGGCGCUCGCCCCCUGCUAGAGCCAGAUCAGGACUCUCUUCGCUCGGGAUAUUCCACCGACCUAUUGGAUCAAGAAAAACAUAGUACCACCUCGCCUAUCGACCCAAAAACGCAUAGAAGGGGAGGACUAUAUAAGGAGACCCCCCUGGCCCCUGGAGAAGACAUGAAGAAAUUAUCAUAGAGACUGAAGGGUGCCCUCGAAGGAAAACCUCUUCUCUAAUUAAUAUUUCUUUUUAGGCUUAGCAACCAAUGUAAGGUAGAAAUAGAUCUUCUAGUUUCUACUAGAUUGAGAGAGAUAGAGUGGAGGUGUAGAGUGGAGGAAGCCCGGCCUGUCGGUGUCUACUCCAAGCUUGUACCUGCGGGAUCAAGUUCUCCUAACCCGAAGCUUGCUCCUAGGAUUCUUCAGUAUUUCGACUUCUAAAUUCUAGUAAGUUCUUGUUUUAUUGUUCUUAUGGUUUAUGAGUUUACUUUAAUCUCUUCGCGUAGAGUUUAGAGUAAUCAUUGCUGGCGUAAACGUGGUGUUUAGGCUCGGGUACUCAUAGAUAUUCCCUGACUAGCUGGACCAUGGUAGUAGUGAGGAACGUGACAAUUCCGAGCUACCUUUGUAGAUCACAUCUCGUUAGCAGGAAGGAUAGGGUUUAUAGGUGCGGGUUGAACAUCCUUUGUGGUGUCUAGAUUUCGUUAGCCUCCCCAUUAGAACAGUAGAUCAUCCUUACCAAGGUUAGAAGGAGACUACGGUUGCAGUCUUCUCUAUUUAUCACUCGCAUUGAAAGACAUUCUUUGUGCCUAAAGGUUAGUAGUAAUAGACCGGUUAGUCAGAUGCACUCUUUCUCCAAGUGGUAAAAAAAUAAAUACAAUACUCUGGAUAAUUUCCCGGGUGAAGUGCUCACCGAUAUUCGUGCGCUUGCGGAUCAAUUCCUUAUUGCGUUCCCAAAUAUCAACACAAGCUGGACCUCCAAGUCUUUUAAUCUUCUGAGUUACCUUCCUCCGGAGAUGGUGUCUCCAGUGGUUCUUCAUGAACUUCCUUCACUGUAGAGUCUCUCUCUAGUCUAGGUUUGAAUGUGCAGUGUUCUUCUUUUCCAUUUAUGUUGAACUUGAUUUCUCCUUUUCCGACAUCAAUGUGGGCAUUGGUAGUGCUCAGAAAUGGCCUUCCAAGGAUGAUGGACACUUUUGAGUCAGGACUCAUGUCCAGUACUACGAAAUCUACUGGCACCAGGAAAUCUCUGAUCUUGACUGGAAUGUUCUCGGCAAUACCCAACGGAUGUCGAACCGAUUGAUCCGCUAGUUGUAGGCACAUUGAUGUUGGUUCUAGGGUCGCAUGCUCAAGCUUUUUGUAGACUGAUGCUGGCAUCACACUGACACUUGCUCCGAGAUCACAAAGUGCAUUGUUGAAGUGUUGGUUUCCGAUCGAGCAGUCAAUAGUGGGCAUCCUGGAUCUUCCUUCUUCCUUGGUGCCUUGUUGAGGAUGGCCGCACUACAUUCUUCUGUCAGCUUGAUAACCUCAGUGGUGGGCAGUGGUCUCUUCUUGUUAAGAAUAUCUAUGAUGUACUUUGCAUAUGUAGGUACCUGUAUGGCAUCGAGUAGAGGUAUGUUGACGUAUAAUUUCUGAAUUUCCUCUACAAACUUACCAAACUGCUCAUCCGACUGCAGUCCUCUGUUUCUCCUGGGAAAUGGCAAAUAGUUGGUGUCGUAAAAAUCUUUCCUCAUUUCUCCAGUUCUUGGUUGUAGCAGAUCUUCUGCUUCAACUGGGCUUUCUUCUUCUAUCACUGCUGGUUGCACUGGUGCUGAGGUUCUUUGUUUCUCUUUUGGGUAUGGGGGAUCUCUGGUAGCUUUGCCUCCUCUAGUAGUUAUAUUCUUUACCUGCUCAAGGUUAGUAGCAACAGGCAGUGCAGCAACUAUCUUUAUUAAUUUAAGCUCUACCCUUUUAUUAAGAGUGUUUUGCUCAUCAAAGGCAGUUAGUAGAAAAUGCAUUUUAUUGUGUAUAUAUUUUAGAGAUGAUUCAUUUGUAUCUAGCCUUUGUUUAACUUCAUCAUUAAUUUUGGUUUGUUGAGCAAUUAUCUCUUUUAAUGAAAGUUGCUUGAAAGUAUUACCUGAGUUCAUACCUUUGCUAUUGGGUUGACUCAAAGUUGGUUGAUAUUUGUAUGCUGUCUCAAUGGCCCUUUGAUCUUCUUUAAACUUGGCCCUCUAGUCAAUCCAAUGGAGCAGAUUUUCCAUCUUAGUUGAUAAUGCAUUUACUUCUUCUGGUAUUUCUUCAGUUUGAUGACAUUGUUGAGCUUUAUCUUGGAACCAGCUUUGGUUUUCUGCUAUCUUAUCCAAAAGUAUCUCUGCUUUUCCAGUUGUAAGCUCCAAGAAUGAUCCUUUAGCAGAUGCAUCUAGACACUCACGAGCCUUCUGGGUUAAUCCAUGGUAGAAGGUCUGCAUAAGUAACCAUGUGGCCAUUCCAUGGUGAGGACAAUUUGAUAUGUAUCCUUGAAAACGCUCCCAUGCUUCUGAAAUGGUUUCUGUCUUCUGUUGUUGGAAACUGACAAUAUUUCCUCUUAAGGCAGUUGUUUUGCCUAUAGGGAAAAACUUUGAUAGAAAGGCAUCUGACAAGUUCGUCCAGUUGUUGAUGUUAUUUUGAUGAGUGUAGAACCACUUCCUCGCUUUCCCUUCUAGUGAGAAUGGAAAAAGGCGAAGCAGUAUGACGUCUUUGUCAACUCCGUUGAUGUGGAUUGUGCUUCCAAUCUCUAAGAAAUUCUGCAAGUGUGCACUAGCAUCUUCAUGUGCCUUUCCACUGAAUUGUGUAGCUUGUACCAAAUUGAUGAGGCUUGACUUGAGCUCAAACUCAGGUAUUCCUUCUUCUACUGCAAAUCUUGGACCAGUUGGAAUGUUCUCAAGACUUGGAGCAGAGAAUUCUUGUAGGGUCUUCUGUGCCAUAGCUUCAGCAAUUGGUAGCUAGCUUCUUCUUCUCUUGAUUGCUUUGGUUCUGAUGAUGAAGAGUUGAAUGUACCCAAAGUUAAUCCUGAUAUACCCUGUAUAAAAAUAUAAACAUAGAAAAACAACAGGGUGAACCUGCCAAAGCAGAGGUGCCUUGUUAUGAUUUCUCACUUAGUAGCUGUUUUUAUGCAAUUAUUUCUCUAUAGUCUAGUCUAAUAUUUUAUAUGAAUAACCUUGACUAAUUUUCUGGCUUUUCUUACCAUUCCUAUGUGUUACCCUUUUGUUCCCUUUAUGACUUUCUUAUGAGAUCCCCGGCAACGGCGCAAGAAAUGCUUGUUGACACUAGCUAACACCACUUAGAUACUAGGUUGUCAUCCCCAGCAUGGUGCUAGAGUGUACAAAGGUAUUUAUAAAUGUAAAGGCUCUCUAGAAAAUAAUCUAUUCUAUCUGCAAGCACACAGAUAAAACACCUCAAUGUAGCAUUUCACCAGGAUAAGUAUUCCAGGUAUCGUUAUUUAUAAUUUUGCUCAAGGGAUCUAAGGAGAUUAAAUUAAGGGCAAAAUCUAUCAAGGCAUAGACUAGAGAUAAACUUGCAAGAACAUGAUUACUAAUGAGAAACUCGUCACACAGUCACUUACUUUAGCAGGGGGUAAACCAUAAAGAUAAUGAUAAUAAAUUAUAAGUUCAAGGGAUAAAUAACACAGCGAUUAGAAAAUAGACUACUCCUCAUAUAUGUAGGUGAUGUCGGAUUAGCUAGAGAAUGGAUUCUAAGUUAUCUACUAACUACUAAGUCAUAAUCAACUCUAGUUAUCUACAAGAUCAUAUAUAGCAUAAAAGACUCUUCAUUCAUGUAUAAGGAACAUUGAUAAAGUAAAUCAGAGCAUCGCAUGACUUACUCCACAAUACCGGUUCUGCCUGUCCUAUGAACGGAGGGUGGACUAUAUAAGAAUCAACGAAGCUGUCACUAUCGCGAACUACCACAUGACCCGACCAAUAGGAUACAUUUGCAGAUAAAUAACAUCUAAGCACCACGCUCACAUGUGAUCUAUCACCUAACUCCCUCGCGUCAAGAGCUAAGCGCUUUGCAAACUUAUACAUAAACUCAUUAUCAAUUAGAACUAUAUCAAAUAUAGAACUAGAGCAAACUAAGAACAUAAUAAUUAGAGACAUAAUGCAAUUAGAACAAAGAAUUAGAGAAAGAUAUGAAUAAUACCAAUCUUUAUUACUGAAGAUCCGAAUCCAGAGCGUAGUGCUCUACUUCUCUAAUUGCUAUCUAAUCAAACCUCUAAACUUGAAGGAUUAGGGAGUAGCUAAUUCUAAUUCUCUAUGGGAGAGAAGCUCUAAACCCUAACUUUGAUGGCUACCUCUGCAUAAUGAGAUGGCUACCUCUGCAUAAUGAUUUCUUCUCUUCUCCUCUCUCCUCCAGGGGCCAGGGGGUCUGGUUUUAUAGUCCCCUCAAGUGAACGUGGGCCGUCAGAUCAAACCGACAUAGAUUGUGUGGUUUAGAUUGAUCCUUUAGGUCGGUGGAGUUUAGCCCCAAAGCAGAGUCCUGAUUGGACUCACAGAGGGGGCGGGCGCCCUGCCUCUGGCCCCGUUUCGCCUCCGCUUCGGUCUCGUGGCUUCUGGAGUCUUCUAGAUUGAAGAAAAUUGCGCGGCACAUAAUUAUCUUGUUGUAAACAUGACAUGUGGGCCUUCUCUCCAUAUUCUCUUAUAACCCCCUGCAGAAAUAGAUAAACACCAAAGCUUGUGGAAUUCUGUCAGAUAAAACCCUAAUUCUAGAUGUUUGUUUCGUAUUGAUCCUUUUCCAUGUUUAUUUGAUUAUUAAUUUUAGUACUUAAGGACCAUCAACACAUACCAGCAAGCAAGAUGUCACAAGCUCCAAGUCAAGCUACAACCACUCAAGUUUUACCUACACCGACACCAGCCCAAGUCAUCGAUGGACCGGUUACACGUAGUCAUGCAAAGAAGCUACAACAAGAGGUCCACGCGCUACUUUGUGAGAUUCAUUUUAACAUUAAUGAGAAUUAUAUACUACCUAAGUGUUCUACCUUGAUUGUACUCAGGUAUAUAGAAGAAAAGAAGGAUGAAUUGGACCAUGAAGAACGAACCAGUGCAAGUUCCAGAAGAUACUACAAAACGGACCAGAGAGUCAAAAACGGACCAGUGGAAGUCAAGAACGGACCAGUGCAAAGAAAGCUUCAUAACUUUUUACUCACAAAAGCUAUGAAAGCCCAUGAGGACUUGAUGGAAAGCUUGUCGAGUCUACUUUGGAAUGAAUCUAGUGGCGACCAGUUUGGAUACUCCAUAUUGCCUGCAGACCAGAAUUAGUACAGAUUGCUCAGAAGGUCAAUAUUCUGUCAUGACAAAAAGUUGGUACAACUUGCUGUGCAAAAUUGUACCAAUCUACAAUGUUUCGUGGUGCAUGGCAUACAUUGCUGGAAAGCUCUUGGAGUCUAGUUUCACACCCAAGAAACGGUUUGUCAUUUGGACUUCCCAAAAAAAACGUUAUGGUCAGUUUAUUAGAAACUGCUCUGGAGGCCAAUAGUCACGCGAAGUGAGUUCGGGAAUCCAUUCCGAGGGGACCUUUCACAUUACCUUCCCUCAGAAACUCUAUUUCAUUUUCAUACCUAUCUAGGGGGGUUGUUCCUAGUAUAAAUAUCCCCUACCUCUAAGCUAUUACCAACAUUUGAUCAUUUGAUAAACUACAUGAUAUUGCAGCCACGCUGCUGAGUGCCUUACUCAACCUUUGUUCUUCCUUGUUCUUCAUGGACUUGUGAAAUGAAUCCUAUGGGUUCCCCUACUUCGUGCUCUACGGCUUCUGUUCGGCUGCGCCGUAUUGUGUGGAUUAGUUCUGGAUUGUGGUUCUACGGUCGUUCGGAGAUCGAGUCGAAGUCUUCGUGGUUUCGGUGCCUCUCUCCCCGUCGCUUGGUCGCAUCCAACCUUUGUCAGGUAUAAAGCUAGUUACCGGCUGUUCGCAGCAAGUUAUCCUUGUUCUUUUGAUCUACUGUGGUGAAGAUCGGGCCACCCUAGCACCGAUUCAUAUCGGUAGGCUAUCAACUGGUAUCAAAGCUUUCGUUGUCACGGUAGAUCUCACAAGCAUCCACAUAUGUACCUAUAGUUUAUCUAUCAUUUGUUACUAUUUUGUUCAUCACCUAUAGUCUACUGAAAAAGCCACAAAAAAAUCCUAUAGCCCUUUGACGGUACUGUUAUCUUGUGUUUUUGUGUUCAUCAAGUUGCUAAUCACUCUCUUUACAUAUAUUGUGUUGUGUUUCAUUUGUUAUCCGCACCCCUGUUAGUAUAAAAAAGAGAUAAAAAAAAAGUCAGUGAAAAAAAAUCAGAGAAGAGAAAAGAGAAAGAACAAACAAAUAGAAGAAGAGGAAAAGGGGUUGUAUUGCGGUUUGCCCACUAAAAAAUUCAGUUUGCAUAUUUAGAUUCUUAGUGAUUUAUAUACCAGAAACAAUACAUCUUGUGAGCACAUCAAACCACUUGAUUUUUUAGUACCGUAGCCUCUCUUGUUUUGCCACUUAUAGCUCCACCUAAAAUUGUAACCAGGACAUUCGACUCGUAAUCCUUGUGAACUCGGAAUCACUUCUAUUGAGCUGCUACACUAGCACAAUUCACUGUCCUUGAGAACAGGAAAGAGCAUUGGUAAGUAAGAGGUGAGGUUGUGUGAUUCCACAAAUUUACCCAUUCCACUAUAUUUUGCUUUAGUGCUAACAUGGCAGGAUCCAACUCAAGUAUUCAUGGAAAUCGUCUUGGAGAAGGAGAACCCCCUGUUGCACGGGUUGAGUUGCGCCAAAUGGCAGACUCACUCUUGCAGGCCAUGGAGAGGAUGCUUGAUGCACGCCUACCUGCAGAUGGGCGGAGGGCUCCUCGGCAUCAAUAUGAUGAAUCUGGUGCUGAAAAUUCUAAUGGAGGACAUGACCGUUUUAGAGAUGGUCGUGGUGGUGGCAGGCGGGCUAGUCAUCAUGGCCAAGAUGGAGGACGAGCUCAUGGACAUGGUCGUGGCCAUUGUGUUCAUUUUGAUGAUGAAGAAUUUGAUAACUUUGAUCACAAAGAGGGGUCUGAUGAGAAUCCCUUUGCAAAUGAUGGGCUGCAUAGGCGGCGCAAUGAUCACCGGCGGCAUGCUGAUCAUGGAGAUAGAGAGCAUCAUCAUGGUCGUCAUAAUAGGGAAGAUCCGGACAGCAUUGCUCGUGUCAAAUUGAGUAUCCCAAAAUUCACUGGAAGAGAGGAUGCAGAUGCAUAUCUUGAGUGGGCUGAGCAGUGUGAUCAAAUUUUAGAGUGCAUAAUAUCUCUGAUCAGAGGUGUGUCAAUCUUGCUUCAGUGGAGUUCUCUGGUUAUGCUCUGACUUGGUGGAAUCAGAUACAAGAGAAUCAACUUGUGUUGGGCCGUGAACAUAUCAACACAUGGGAAGAGAUGAAGCAAGUGAUGAGAAGGCGAUUUGUACCGUCAAGCUAUCAGCGUGACCUUCGCAAUAGGUUACAAAAGUUGAAGCAAGGAAAAAGAUCGGUUGAUGAGUAUUAUAAGGAGAUGGAGUUGUUGUUAGUGCGGACUGGAAUUAGAGAGGAUCCAGAGUCAAAAAUGGCAAGAUUUUUGGGUGGUCUCAAUGAAGAAAUUGCUUGUUUUGUUGAGAUGUUUCCAUAUCAUACUUUGCAAGACCUUGUUGAGCAAGCUAUGCGUACUGAAAGAAAAAUUCAGCAAGAGACACGUGGAAAAUCUUAUGCAAGUCACUCUAUUGCAGCCCCAUGGCGCAAGCAGCAGUCCAGCACUUCCUUCGGUGGGGGACGGUCCCAAGGUGCUGCAGCUACGCCCUCUUCAUCUAAUGCUCCUUCGAAGAUAGUGGUUUCUACAACAUCAUCUCCUGCAUAUCAGCAGCGACCUUCUACAAGUGUAGCAGCCCCAACUGUUGCUUCCUCAGCUACUACUUCCUCUACACGUAGUAGAGAAAUUGUGUGCCACAAGUGUCAUGGUCGUGGACAUAUUGCUGCACAAUGUCCCAGUAGGAGGACCAUGAUUGUGAAUAAGAAUGGUGAAUGGGAAUCUGAAAGUGAUCGUGAGGAAGAAAGUCCAAGAUAUGAUGAGGAUCAUGAAAACAAUGAUAAUGAGAUCCAACCCGAUGAAGGUGAUAACAACUGCUUUAUUUCUCUUCGUGUGCUUAGUGUUACUACUGCAAAGGAAGAGAAUGGGCAGCAACACAAUCUUUUCCACACUCGAGGCAUGAUCAAAGAGAAGUUGUGUAGAAUUAUUGUUCACAAUGGCAGCUGCAACAAUAUUGCUAGCCAAGAAUUGGUUGAUAGAAUGGAGCUAAAACAAAGGCGUCAUCCUAAUCCAUACAAGAUGCAGUGGCUGAAUGAUUGUGGUGCGCUGCGUGUGAGCCAUGUUGUGACAGUUCCUUUCUCUAUUGGGAGUUAUAAUGAUCAUGUGGAGUGUGAUGUGGUGCCUAUGCAAGCAUGCCAACUGCUGCUAGGAAGACCAUGGUUAUAUGAUCGUGAUGUUCAGAUUUUUGGAAGAACCAACAAGCUGUCUUUUGUGUACAAAGGAGAGCGAAUUUCUUUGCUUCCUUCAAUACCGGAGGAAAUCUUGAAAGAUGAUCUCAAGAAGAAACAGAGAGAGAGAGCGAGAACCACUUAACAGUGACCCACAAAAAUAGUGAGGAAUAGUUUCCACAGCCAAAUAAAACCCCACAGCUACAAAGAACCCAAAAACUGGGAAAACAGUGUCAUGACAAAACGUUGGUACAACUUGCCGUGCAAAACUGUGCCAAUCUACAAUGUUUCGUGGUGCAUGGCAUACAUUGCUGGAAAGCUCAUGGAGUCUAGUUUCACACCCAAGAAACGGUUCGUCAUUUGGACUUCCCAAUAAAACGUUAUGGUCAGUUUAUUGGAAUCUGCUCUGGAGGCCAAUAGUCACGCGAAGCGAGUUCGGGAAUCCAUUCAGAGGGGACCUUUCACAUUGCCUUCCCUCAGAAACUCUAUUUCAUUUUCAUACCUAUCUAGGAGGGUUGUUCCUAGUAUAAAUAUCCCCUACCUCUAAGCUAUUACCAACAUUUGAUCAUUUGAUAAACUACAUGAUAUUGCAGCCACGCUGCUGGGUGCCUUACUCAACCUUUGUUCUUCCUUGUUCUUCAUGGACUUGUGAAGUGAAUCCUUUGGGUUCCCCUACUUCAUGCUCUACGGCUUCCAUUCGGCUGCGCCGUAUUGUGUGGAUUAGUUCCGGAUUGUGGCUCUGCGGUCGUUCGGAGAUCGAGACGAAGUCUUCGUGGUUUCGGUGCCUCUCUCCCCGUCGCUUGGUCGCAUCCAACCUUUGUCAGGUAUAAAGCUAAUUACCCGCUGUUCGCAGCAAGUUAUCCUUGUUCUUUUGAUCUACUGUCGUGAAGAUCGGGGCACCCUAACACCGAUUCAUAUCGGUAGCCUAUCAAUGGAGCUACCCCCGUCAACGAGCACGGCUCGAACCUAACGCUGUUGAUGCACGAGUCCAGGAUCAGAGGGAAGCGCCCUGGUUCUAGGAUGGCGGCCCACUGGUCCUGCCUGUUGAAGGAGAUCUCCCUAUGCGACCAGGGGGGAAUUUCGGAUCAGCAAUCAGGCCAUCGGUGCUGUCCACAUUUAGGCAAGCUCUCUUUAAGAGCUUUCUUUCUCGUUUGGACGGGAUGGAAACAUUGCCUCCAAAGAUGGAGUGUACCAUGUCGGUGGGACUGACAUAUUGGUGUCGUGGGUCCCUAUCUUGGUCAUCGUCUUCAUCUUCCUAACCGUGUCUAUCUUGUUUCCCAUUUUUCUUGGUGGAAUCCCCCUGAGCGGCCCGCUAUGUGUAGAUGCUUUUGAGGACACGACAUUCUUCCAUCGUGUGGUUGGACUUGGGAUGGAGUUGGCAUAGUCCUUUCAGUGUAUUGUUAUAGUCUUCCUAGUAAUCUUGCCGUCCAUUGGGACGCUUGACUGUGUUCACCUCGUGGUCGUUGUCACGAGGUCGCUUGCCUCUGAAAUCGUCACGGUUGUCGCAACGCCUGUCCCACCCUUCUCGGUGGUCGCGGUUGUUGCCGCGGUGAGGAUUCCGGUUGUCGAAGCGCCGACGACUUUCGUCUCAUCGGUGAGGCUGGUCAGCUCCUCUCACAUCUUCUCGGAUGAGUUUUUCUUCGUCAUCGGCAUCGGCGUAGUUUUUGGACGUGGCGAGGAGCUCGGCGACUGUGGUCGGCCUUUUGCGCAGUAGCUUACUUCUUAAUGUUUCAUGGAAGCGUAGGCCCUUGAUGAAGGCCGAUAUGGCCUCGUCGUGAGAAAUCUUUGGAAUCUUGAGGCAUAUAUCCGAGAAGUGUCGGAUGUAAUCGCGCAAGGGCUCAUUCUUCCUAUGCCUUAUCCUCUCAAGAUCAUAUUUGUUUUCGGGCUGCUCGUAGGUAGUAAUGAAAUUAUCAAUAAAAGCCUGGCGCAGUUCCUCCCAUGAAUUGAAAGAGUCCUCGGGUAGACCGAGGAGCCAUUGGUGGCCGGCUUGGUCGAGGACGACUGGGAAAUAGUUGGCCAUGAUGUGCUCGUCCCCUGCUGCUGACCGAACUGCGAUCUCGUAAAGAGUGAUCCAUUUUUCAGGAUUCUCCUUGCCAUCAUAUUUUUUGAGCUUCUCAAGCUUGAAGUUGCGGGGCCAUACGACUUAGCGAAGGUGUGACGAGAACUGUCUUAGGCCGGGGGGCCAUGUGCCGCAUCGUACUCGAUGUGUCGCACGUUUUCAUGUACUGCUCGUUCUGUAAUGUGCCUGUUGAUACGUUCGCAUACAUCCAUAGGAGGGAUAUGAUAUCGUAGAUCCCGGUCUUGGUUCACCUCCUGACCACGUCCGCGUCUUUGUUCAUGGUAACUGCCAGCAUCCCGACCAUGAUUGUCGCGACGAGUGUCCUUCCUUCGAUUAUUGACAGGUGAACGGCUACGAUUGUGCCCACAAGAUCGCGGUGAGGUGUGGCUGUGAUGAGUCUGGUCAGAGGUGACCUCCGUAUAGGAAACGGCUUGGACCCUUUUUAGCAGAGUAGCGGUCUGUCCCAUGGCCGCGAUCAGAUGCGCCCGUAUGUUGGUUCGAAUGUCCUGAUAUUCUGAAGUAUCGGGGAAGCGAUCUAAGUUUGCUAUGGCGACGGCCACGUUGGCGCUUGGUGUCUUGUAGACCUGGUGAUUUCCGACCAUGUCAAAAGCAUCACUGAGAUUAUGUGGGGCGAGCUGUCGUUCCUCGUCUGCUCGUCAUUGGGCCCGGUCGGCGUUGUGCUGCUCUCGUUGCUAUCUCUGUUCGUCAGUUUCUCAGUCAACAACUGGGUUGUCAUUGUUGACGUUGAGAACUAAGUCCCUUCGUCGAGGUGGAAAGACUGGGAAAUGGGAGAACCUCGGGGGUAUGCUGGUAGAUCUAAAUCGUAGUCUUCGUCCUCGGGGUGUAAGACCCCGGUAGGGAUAGAUCCUGUACUGGAGCUUGUACUGCUGGACGUGUCUUCUGGCAAAGUGCGGAUGGAGACCAUAUUGACGAAGUGACGGGCUGUUUGCCUGUUUUGGCUCAGCGACAAGCCUGCCUUCCCGAAUAGAGAUUGGGUAUGCCGUGAAAACUGAUCAGCCGCGUUGCUCAGACCGUAAGGGCAAUUCUGGUCUGGGGAGGCUGUCUUGAGCUUGACGAUCCAUCCCGCGGUGGUCGAUGUUAUGGUUAGGGACGUUCCCAGUCGUUCGUGCGUGGAGACACGAGUUGGUCGAUGGGAGUCGAAAAAAUUUGUUGUUACUGCCUGAUCGGGCCUGCGUGGCAUCGAAUCCACCAGGUUGGAGGCCUCGAGAAGCUUGUGGUCGGCGCGAUCAAGGGCUUGAAGAUGAUCCGAGUUGUCGACUUGCUUUCCCCUAUAGCGAGGGAGUGGAGGUCGGGUCCUCGGAGUCAGCGUGGUCGGAGUCGACGCCUCUGCUGUACCAGAUUGGAUCUGGAUUUCUUCCAGAGUCGUGGUCGUAAGGCCGCCGCCGUGAGUUAUCCAAGUGAUCUGUCCAACGGUGAACGUGAGACUUUCUUCCACGGACGCGGAAGCUGUAAAGAUGACCAUCUUGUUCGUCGGGAGAGCUGUACGCACACCCCCUACCUGGCGCACCACUGUCGACGAAAGCUAGUCGGCAGUCUACCUUGGGGUAUACCCAUGGUAGUAGUUUAUCGGUAGAUGGUGCGCAAGCUACAAACUUGAUGGUGACGCAAGACACGGACAAGGCUUUUAUCCAUGUUCGGCCGCCAUGUGGGCGUAAUACCUACGUCCUGUGUCUGAUUGUAUUGGAUUGUGUCGAGUUGAGAUGAGAUGUCCUAGGGGGUUCCUCGCCUCUCUUUAUAUAGUCCAGAGGGCAGGGUUAUAGAUCUAGAAACUAAUCCUAGUCGGUUACAAUUGCCAUAGAUAACGCGAUAUCAAUUCCUAUUCUAACCGACUAGAAUCUAGCUUGAUCUCCGCGUCUUGUUUCCUUGCGUGUGACUACGAGCAGUGGGAUCAAGCCUCAGACUGUGUUGUGAUGGGCCAAGCCUUCUGGCCCAUGUCUAGCCGUAAGGGUAUAGAGGUUUAUACCCCCACAGGUCACCACUAGCAAGAGGACCGGCGGCAACCUUGGAGCUUAUCUCAACAGGGACGUAGCUUGGUGGCAACCAAGUGAACCUCGGGAGAAAAUCAUCAUGUCAAUAUUGUUCUUCCUGUUGGUUUGCAAGUCCCUAACACAAGCUUGUUCUUACAUUCAUAUACUUGUGUUUGUGUAGUUGCUCUUGUAAUUAGUUAGCUUGUGUAGCUUGCUAAGUUACCUUCUUGCUUGUGUAGCUAGAAGUAGUUCCCUUGCGUGACUAAUUUGGUUUGUGUAACCUUGUUAGUCAUAUUGCUUAGUUUGUGUAGCUAAGUAAUCUGCGCUCUCUAAUUUGGCAUUGGUUGCCUUGUUAUUGAGCAUUGCUAGUGAGCUUAGGAGCUUUGUGCUUUUGCUUACUAGUUGUGUAGGAGCUCCCCGGUCUUGCAAAGUACUAGUUGCAUAGGUUUGUGUGACCUUGCUCCUAGAAAUGGUUAGGUGACCUCUUGCAAAGGUAGCACCUUGCUUGCUUGUUUAGGAUCUUUUCAAGGUGCUAGACAACUUAGAUAGAGAGGUGUAGUCUUGGCUAGACCGAUAGUUUUAAUUCCGCAUUUGUUUUCGGUUAGCCGGCGUAAUAAAUUUUAGAAAGGACUAUUCACCCUCCAUCUAGUCCGCCAUCUCGACCCUUCAAGUGGUAUCAGAGCUAGGUCUCUCUUUUGUGGUCUUCACCGACCCGAGAGGAUGGCGGCUUAUGGGCUAGAUGUUGAGUGUCCACACAUUUUUGAUGGCACACACUUUGCACAGUGGAGAAAUUGGAUGACAUGCAAUUUUAAGUUUAUUUCCCCUCAAAUGUGGUGGAUGGUAGAUGUAGGCUUUUCUCAUGUGUUGGAUGAAGAGAAUCUAACUCAAGCACAAGAGAAAUGUCUACAUCUCGACUACCAAGCUACUAACAUCUUCUAUUCAUCCAUGAAAGAUAACAUAUUUGGUGAGAUCAUGGAUAUGAAGUCCGCUCAUGAGAUUUGGAGUUAUCUCAAUAAGAAAUAUGGGGUGAUCACUAAAGAAGAUGAUGUGCCAAAGGUGGAUGCACGUGAGGAUGUUGAGCAUGACCACAACAUGGUGGUUGUGGAGGAUUGCUCCACCUCAUGGUCAAGUGAGGAUGAAGAUGAUAGCUAUGAGAGUGAUGCUUCUACAAGCUCAUCCACUUCAUCACAUUCCUCCAUGUCUCAUGGUGAUGGCAAGGUAUCUAUUGGAGGUGUGAUUGUUGAUUGUGAUGAUCCAAAUUUUGAGCUUGUAUGUAGACUCACCAAAGCUUUAAGAAAUGAGAUGGCUAAAAUAAGUAAAUUGAAAAAUGAAAACUCAUUUCUAAAGACCACAUGUGAACAACAAAAGCAUCUACUUUAUGUUACUACUUGUUCACAUGAGGAGCUUGUUGACGGUCCUUAAGUAUCAAAUUUAAUUAUCAAAUAAACAAAGAAAAGGAUCCAAAUGAAAUCAACAUCCAGACUUAGGGUUUUAUCUGACAGAAUUCCACGAGUUUCGGUGUUUGUCUAUUUCUACAGGGGGUUAUUAGGAAAUACAGAAGAAAGGCCCAUACGUCGGGAUUACAUAGAGAUAUUAACAUUCCGCGCAAUUAUCUUACAUCUAGAAGACUCCAGAAGCCACGGGAACGAAGUGGAGGCGAAACGGGGCCUGGCCCUGGGCGCCUGCCUAGGAGACCAGGGCGCCCGCCCCCCUGCUGAGUCCAAUCAGGACUCUCUUUCGGGAUCAAUCUCCACCGACCUAAAGGAUCAAGGAUAACCGUUCAAUCAAUGUCGGUUUGAUCCAACGGCCCAUAUUCACUUGGAGGGACUAUAAAACCAAACCCCCUGGCCCAUGGAGGAGAGAGCCUCUCAACCCUAACUCAUUAUUCCUCAAGGGAGAAGAAGCCUCUAAUCAAGCCUAGAGCCACCACAUCAAUUAGAUAUCUAGAUUAGCAUAGCUACAUAGGAUUAGAACAAGAAGGAGUCAAUCUUCGAUUGGUUUCCGGAUCUGUUAAGAGGAUUCUUGGUAAUUCUCUAAUUGUUCUUCUAAUCAUCUUUGUUCUUCAAUAUUAUGAAUAUGACUUUGUUCUACUUCAAUAUAUUGCUUAUGACUUUGCUCUACUUGCUUAUAUUCAAGAUUAUAUUGUUCUUAGUUUAUCAUAGUUAUAUACUUGGCUUAGUUAGAUUGGAUAUAUAUACAUGUUUAGGAUCGUAUAGCGUUUAUCCAUCGGAUCCAUGGGUAAAUGAUAGAUAUUGUGUAGGCAUGGUGCUUAUACCGUAUUUAUCUGCGAUUGUACCUAAUCUGCCAGAUCGUGGGGUACUUCGUGAUAGUGACAGCUUCAUUGAUUCUUAUAUAGUCCCCUUCUCGUGUAUUGGGCUUCAUAGAUAUUGUGUAGGCAUGGUUCUUAUACCGUAUUUCUCAUUUACCUUGCUAAUAUCACUAUGCAUGGGCGUAGUCUUGUCUCACAAUGAUUGCUAAGUAUACUUGCACUAACUAUGAUAAUGCUAGACUACAUAGUUGAGAAUAACUUAGGAAAUAUUCUUGUAGUUCGUUCUAAUACCAUGCUAAUGACUUUCUAGAAUAUCUAAUUGAGGUGCUUAUCAUAUUUAUUAUGUGGCUAAGUAUGCUGAUCAGAUUAAUUAUCUUUGUCACUAUUCAUUACUUUAUAUCCUUCAUGUGACACUUAUCCCUGUAUGAAAGAGUUAGAUAAAUGUUCUCAAUUAUACAUGCAAUGAUAGAUACUCAAUGUCAUAUUCCAUUCUAUAAUCAAUAUUGAUGGUUGCUAAUCCCUUCCCAGUGGUAAAAAUAUAAAUAACGAUAUCUGGAAUACUUCCCGGUUAAAAUGCUACAUCGGUAUUAAUCUGUGCGCUUGCAGAUCCCAUUCAUUAUUUAUUUAGAAGAGCAAUUGCAUAUUUCAAUACCGCGUCUCUCCUGUCAUGCUGGGGAUGACAACUUGGCUUAAGUGGCAUGAGGGAUAGGUUUGACAUUUUUGGCACCGUUAUCAGAAUUAGAAAACUGUCUACUUUUUGUAAUGAUGUUAAGAAUACCUUGCCGGGGAAGGUUGAUUACUAAUCAGGAAUGAAUAUAGAAUUUUGAGUUAUCAUUCGCAUCACUAAUAUGAUUGAGCUUAUCAAUUCUCUCAUACAGUUUUACCCCGAUAUUUUUCCAUUUUAUCUUAUGCAGGGUAAUGUAUGAAUAGAAAACAUCUUCUAGGUAAUUUUGUUGACAAUCCUGAAGCAUUAUUCAAAAAACAAGAGCCAAGCUCAAGAGGGGAUCAUCAACACUUCAGCAAGAAGCUUCAUCCAAUCAAGAAGAUCACCGGAACUUGUCUUCAGAGUUCGAAGCCAUGGCGAACAAAUCGGAUAGUUCUCAGCUCCCACUACGGACAACAUCCGCACUGGACCUGCUGCAGAGAUCGAUGGCAACUUUGAGAUCAAGCCUGGACUUAUCAACAUGGUGCAAUCCAAUCAGUUCUGUGGGAAGGCACAUGAAGAUGCUAGUGCUCAUCUCUAACACUUCUUGGAGAUUUGCAGCACAUUCACCAUAUCAGGAGUCCCCAGAGAUGCUAUACUACUUCGCCUUUUCCCAUUCUCACUGUUAGGAAGAGUGAAGCAGUGGUUCUACGCUACAAAGGAGAAGAAUACUACGUGGGCACUCUGCUCCACGAACUUCCUGGCUAAGUUCUUUCCCAUGGGCAAGACCAAUGCUCUCCGUUGGAAGAUUACAAGUUUUCAGCAACAACAUGAUGAAUCCGUAGGAAGAGCUAAAAUUGGUUCAUGAGGAACUUGGUGUUACUCAUGAUAGCUUGGUAAAAGAUCAUACAUUUCUCACUAAGAAGAUUUCUAAUGAAGAAAUUAAAACUAGUGAGAGCUCAUCACUUGGGUCAAAUGAUCAAUCACAUAUUGUUACUAACCCUUGUGAUGUAGGCAAGAAGCAUGUAUCCACCUAUUGUGAUGAUUUAUUAUCUAUGCCAUAUUCUUCACAUAUAGAUGCUUGUUCUACUUCUAUGUCUUGUGAGACCAACCUUUUGAAGGAGAACAAUGAGCUUAAUGAACAAGUGAAGAAUUUGAGCAACAAGUUGGAGAGGUGCUACUACUCAAAAGUCACCUUUGAGCAUAUAUUGAAGACUCAAAGAAACUAUGGUGACAAGUGUGGCCUUGGCUUCAAGAAGAAGAUGACAAAGGGCAAAAGAAAGCAAGAAAAGAGGAAGCUUUCUCAUUUCAUGUGCUAUCGGUGCCAUGAAGUGGGACAUCUUGCUAAUGGUUGCCCAAACAAAUAGAAGCUCAAGAAGAUGAACGAAGAAGAGAGGCUCAAGCAUGUCAAGUGCUUCAAGUGCCGCACUUGGGGUCAUCUCACCUCAAUGUGCCCAACCAAGCAAUUGGUGAAGCAACAAGAAAAGCCUCAACAAAAGCCACAAGUAGAGCAAGAAAAGAAGCCCCAAGAUCAAGUCAAGUUCAACCAUCACGGUGAUGACUUGAUGAUGAAGAAGAAGAAAACAAGAAGGGGUGGAAGAGCAAGGCAUCCAAUGCAAAUCCAAGAAGCCAAGAUGAUGAGCAAGGAUGAUGGACACUUUGCCUCGUGGUGUCCUACCAAGCUUGAGAAAAAGGCUCAAGCAACUCUCAAGAGGCAAGGCAAUGAGAAGCAACACAUGAGAAAAGAAGAAAAGGCUCAAUCAAAGAGAAGUUGCUACUUGUGCCGGGAAAGGGGACACAUGUUGGCUUAUUCAUGUCCCCUAGGUAAUAAUUCUAAGCCCAUUUUCAUUGAUGAUAAUACUAUGCUUAGAAAGGAUGGUAAUGGUACCUCUAUGGUUGCUAUUGCAAAACAUCCUGCUACUCAUACUAAGGCAUCGCCUAAGUAUGUUGCUCCUAACUUGAGAGGACCCAAACUAGUUUGGGUACCAUCAAAAAGUGGAUGAAUGUAUGUAGGUACCAUCGGCACUGGAGGCUUGAUUCCAUUGAUCCUAUAAUUGUUCAUCAUAUGUUUGAGUCAAGUAUUGAAGCCUAGUGCACAUCCAAACUCAAUGCCAUGACAAGAUAGUGAAGUCCAAAUGUGCUACAACAUACAAGUGUCACAUUCAAGUUGUGGUAAUUUAUUGAAUUAGUAUAUGGCUUGCAAUUACAUGAGUUGAAGCUUGCAAAUUAGAUGAUCAUGAGCUAACCAAGGUAUAUCUUUGUUGAUCACAUUCAUUUGGGUGCAUAUGAGUUGAUUGAAUUGGAUAUAUGCAAUGUUGCUUGCUAUAAGAUGAUUGAAUGGAUUAAAUGCUUAGUAAUCAAGUUUGGAUUGAUUUGAAUUGGAUAAGUUCAUGAGAUGACUUUUAGUGAGUGGAUUGAAUUGAUAUAUGUCUUGUGAAAGUAUUCAAACAAGUCUAUUUCAAGUUUGAUUCAAUUUGAAGAAGCAUAGCUCAAUUGCUUGAAAUCUGUCCAUUUUUGAAAAACUGAGCUAACAGUGAUCAAGUCUAAGUUUGAGUGAUCAAAUCUAUUUGGAAUGGCUUGAAACUUGGUAUGCAUGCUGCACAUUUAUCAUAGAAGAUGCUGUAAAAGUCUCAUAAAAAUUGGAUAAGGGAUACUACAGUUUUGUUGUAGAUCUUAUCAGCUAUAGUGCAGCAGUUUUCAGCAUGUAGCAGUGGUGUAAGAAUUGAAAUCUGGUAGCAAUCUAGAAAUCAAAUGAAGAUCAAAUUUUUAAAGCUGCUAGAUGACUUAGUUAUUCACAUCUCCACCAAAUUUCGUGGUAUUUUGAUCUGUACAUUGUGAGAUAUGGAUAUUUCUUUAAAGGGUACAUAAUCUGCCAGAAAAGUGGCAAUUACUGGAUUGAUCUAGAGUCACUUCAAUUGAAAGGUCCUCAAGUUGGAAACAUGAUUAUAAGUAUUUGAGGCACUAAGUUUGGUUUUUGAAUUGAUCUAGAAGCAUGGCAAGUAAUGAGUGCAAGGUCAUUUGAUUGAGGAAUAUACUUGGUGUACACAUUUAGUACUCAAAUUAGAAGAUCAAGAUCAAACUCAAGAUGAUGAUAAAGUUUAAGUUCUAGUAACUAUUGGAAAUCAUUUGGUAGAAAGAAAAGGACUUAAACAAGUAGAAAGAAAAGGACUUAAAGAAGGAUUCAUGGUUACUCAUCAUAUUAAGUCCAUCACUUGAAUCAAUCAAUUAAAGGCAAUUCAAGUGAGUGUCAAGAAUGGUCCUUUGGAGAGAGGUCACUUCUCCCUAUGUGAGGGGCAUGCCGCCCGAGGAGGGGGUAAACCAAGUAUGGUGCUUGGAAGGAUAACAUGGAAGUGGUGAUCCGAAGGACAUUUGAGAUGCUUAGUUGAAGCAAUCAAAAGGAUUGAUCAAGGGAGCAAGCAACAUCCAAAAGAGAGCUAGUCAUGUUAUUUCAAUUGGUAUUCUUAGUAGUUCUCUCAUGCAAGCAUUGAUCAAGAAAAGAUGAAGCAACCCAACCACAACAAAAGAUAGUGCACUUGAUCAUAAGUGGUUUUCAUUUCAUAUGGGUGAAGAUUUGAUCUAUCAAUUGGUAUUUAUAAUUGGUCUUCACCAAGCUUAUAAAUUGGACUUCACAUUGCUAUUUGGAGCUAAAUUGGAAUCUUAUUGACUAUCCUCUACUCCAAGAUAGCAAAGGUACCAUUGUAUUGUGCAUGAUCAUCUCAUCCCUUACUAGUAUGCGGUUAGUGCAUAUAGUACAUGCUUAUUACGAUCAUGCAUGAGAAAUGAAAAGUUUUAAAUUUAUAACCUACCACUAUUGCUUGAAUGAUUAGUUGAUCUAGUGGUAUGUAUAUGAGUUUAUUCAUGAGCAAGUGAACCCAAGUACUUGAUCUUUUUUGGAUUGCUAACAAGUGACAAGUACAACAUUAGCAAGAUAACCCUUAAUGAGAGGUGUGAAAAAGCUUGUCAUUGGUUCAAACCGGACUUGGAAGCUUAGGCAACUCAACUUAGUUCAAGUCAACAAUUAGAAGCUCAUGAUGAUUAGAGUACAAGAACAAGACAACAAUGCAAAUGGAUAUCUAAAUUCAAAUGUUUCUUUAAUUGGUAUCCAACAAAUGGUACUCAUGAUGAUGAUAGCAAAUGUUCAAGAUAGCAAACAAGUGGUUCCAUACUAGAAGAUCUUAAUUGGUAGAAGAAUUCCAUUUGGUAUCCGACAAGAUCUUUCAAAUGAUAUCACAUUUAUACAAAUGGUAUCUAACAUACAAGAAGGUGGUUCCACAAGUGAUCCUCAACUUUAAGUGAUCAUCAAGCAAUGAGAGUUCCCUCACCAACAAGAUUGGCAAGUGAAUGACCCAUGCUAUGACAUAGGGGGAGUGCCCCACCAAAUGGUAUCAAGGUCAAAGAUCCUAUGUGGUAUCUCAAGAGCAAUUCAAGUAAUUUAUUUCCAACAUAUAUGGUGAUGUCCAUCAAAAAUGCAAGAUUCAAGCCUCAACCAUCUAUCCCAAUGCAAUCCUCUGUCACAAUGAGAUUCACACUUUCUCAAUUGGUAUCAAGUGAUUUAAUUGGUAUCACAUACCUUUUAUGGAAAUUGAUGACAAAGGGGGAGAAGUUGGAACAAAGAUAUGAUCAUGGGAGAAGUUGGACAACAAAAUAUGGGAAGUUGUAUGGACAUGGAUAAAGAGGGAGCAACAUUAAGGAAAAGAGUUGGAUCAAAAGUCUUGGACAAAGGAAGCACACAAGUAGGGGGAGCAAGCUCAUGAACAUUGAUUGUUUGCAUUUGAUAUGUGCAUAUUCAUGUGCUUGCUUGCAUUGCAUAAGUUUUUUCAAUAUGCAUGCUUGUGUGGUGUAUGCUAGUUAUAGAACUUGAUUGAUGAUAUGAUAACUAGCAUGCAUAGGUUGGUAGCUAGACUUGUGUUCUUCAAGUAAAGACUAGACCCUUGCUCUUAAUGUUGAUCUCAUGGGGCUUCUAGUGUUUUUGUUGCCUAGCUACACAUGGUGCUAAGGAUGGUGUACAUCGAAUACUUUAAAUGAUAUCAAAUUUGGUAUCGAGCUACAAAGGUUUAUUCUAUACACCUUAGCACUUAGUAGGGUUUUAUGGUGCUUAUCCAAUUCUUGACAUAGAGCUUAAAUGUUGGAUAAGUAGCAUAAAAUCCAAUCAAGUUAGCAAUUUACACUUGUGUGAAAUGCUAGCUUGAAAAAGCUUAAAUUCCAUAUCUUUGUAGAGUUGUCAUCAAUUACCAAAAAGGGGGACAUUGAAAGGUCCUUGUUUGGUUUUGGUAAUUGAGUGACAACUUAGGUGGACUAAUAGUGUUUAUGCGAGAUACACAGGAGAUUAGUCCACAGGUGAUUAUGUGAUGAUGGAGGAUCUCAUUGCAUAUGAGACAUGACAUGGAGUCAUGUGACCAAGGUGGAGAAGAUCAAGACGAGGCUUGCCUUGAUGGACCGGUUGCAAGAGUGAAGGGCAAGUUAGAGGCUUUGAAGCGAGGGACCGCGUGUGACGGUGAAGUUUGAGCAAGACUUGGUGCCGAUGGACCAAGGCAAUGGUGAAGAGCAAGUGAGGUCAAGAUCGAUGAACUAGUACGGUCACGUGAUGAUAUGAAGUGGAUCAUAUCAUUUGGUGGUUGGUUGGUGCAUGUGUUGCAUCAACAUUGGAGGAGAUGGAAUGGAAAGCACAAGGCAAAGGUAUAACCUAGGGCAUUUCCAUUUCACUGGUCAUAGGUGUGUAGAGAAGAUUAUGACCGGAUUUAGGAUAGAUGGUCGUACUAUCAAGAGGGGCAAACUUGUUUGCAUAACAGUCAUCUAGUGCCACUUGAGCGAUCUAACUUUGCAUACGUGUUAGGAUCGAGUGGCGUCACAAGUUUGAGAGGCUAACUUCUUUAGGAAAAUUUUUGUGAAAUGCUAACACACAUGCACAUGGUGGUGUACACUUGGUGGUGUUGGCACAUUUGCAAAGGAGGUGGAGUUCCUAGGGUAGAGAGGGGUUUGGGUUCCUCUCUCCCUCCCACCGAGCUUGCGAGGUGAGAUUCGGUGCUUUUGAGAAAAUUAAGUGUAUAUUUUCUAUUGCGCCGGUGAGAUUUUUAGAGAAGUCGCGGGCACCGGACGCAUUGCGCGGAGGCACCAGACGAUGGCCUUUAGCAUCCGGUGUACUAUCGGGUAUGACCAGAGAAAGCAGACUACACUAGACGCACCGGAGUGAGUCCAGUGCUCAGCGUCCGGUGUGCGCGCAUCUUGUGACCCUCUCUACGUAUGGGUCCAGUGAGCACCAGAAGCUAUCGAUGCUUAGCGUCAGGUGACCCUGCAGGUUUGCGGAGCUCUCUGCGCACGCGUCCAGUGUGAACCAGCAGAGCGUCCGGUGGUGCUGUGUUAGGCGCGAGCGUGUGCUAGCUGUUGGCGGCAACCUUUGAGUUCAAACAGCUAGUGACACGUGGCUAUUUUUGGAGCACCAGACGCACUGUUCCAGUGUCUGGUGGCUCCCUGCAGUGAGUCCGGUGCCCACGACUUUUGCACAGUGAAGGGGCAACGGCUAGUUUAGCCCUUGGGGCUAUAAAUAGAAAUGGUGGCCGGCCUUGGCGAGUGCUUAGCAGCCUUGGGACUUAGUGUCCAUGCUUGGGGAGUGCUAGGAAAGCCUCUAACUCACUUGUGCUUGCAAGAGUGCGAAUCAAUAGCGAGUGAGUGAUUCUAGUGCGUUGCAUUGAGAGAUUCCAUCGAGUGGCACUAGGUGUUCGUGUUGCAAGCCGGUGGUGCUUGUUACCCUUGGAGGUUGCCACCUCCUAGAUGGCUUGGUGGCUUGUGACUCCGUCGAAGCAUGCAAGGAGAUUGUGCGGUGCUCCGGAGAAGAGAUUGUGAGGGGUACGGUGCUCACCCCGCGGGGAUCGCGAAGAGCAACUCUAGUUGAGCGACACGUUGUUGACACCAUUUUUGGACACAUACCCAGGAUCGGUGGAGUGUAGAUCGGCAAGAUAGGGCAAUAGUAACUGGUCUGUAGAAGAGUUGCCGAUGAGGGUGGUUGCCGAUGAAGGGACAGCUGGAUGUGACUAAGUCCAUGGGUGGUGAUGUGUUUAUGCUGAUGGCCAGCAUUAACCUGUGCCGAUGGCUACGAUGAGGGGUCUGCCGAUGAUUCGGAAGAAGAACGUGAAGGUUGCUGAUUGGCCUAUGGUGGUGUCCUAGUUUGUCACGGGAGGAUAGUUUUAUGUUUUCCUUAGUUAUUUAAAUCGUUUUGUAUACGGAUUCUGUUUAAUUUGGAAUUCGAGUUCUAGUCGUGUCUGAUUGUAGCUCUUUGAGCAGGGUAUAAAUGUAGACCCUAGGGCCUUGUAAUCGACAGAAUCUAUCAAUCAAUCAAACACAAGUUUUUACUCAUAUUCCAGCAUCUACUUUUUCGACGACUUCGUCAUAUUUUUCCUUUUAUUACGAGUUCUUAGGAGUUCGUUGACUUAAGAUCGGCGUAUUCUUGAGUUCCGCGUGAAUACCUCUUGGCUGUGACAUCCGGGCGCAUCGCUGUUGUCGGGACCAAAGUAUUCGAGUUAUCACCUUUGCCGAUAGUAAGAUCAAAUCGGCUAGCACGCCUUAACGUUUAAAUCGGGUAUUAGCCCUUCGUGUUUGCAGAUCAGCUUUUGCAUCAACACAUCUUUUGGCACGCCCAGUGGGACCAGAUUCAAGAUCAAGAUCAACAUGUCGACUACCGAGUUCGACUUGGAGAACGUCAUCCCCGUGACAGAAGCUAGCCUCAAAGAUGAGCAGAAGCAAGCUAUUGCGAAGGCUAUGGAGGAUUACAAGCAACAAAGUCUCAAGGCCUUCAGCAUAAACAAGAGUGGCGAGGUGAUCCAGAAGGAAGCACUGCUGAUGCCUCAGCAAGUUACUUUUGAAGCCAAUCCUGGUAAACUUCAAGAUAUGGUUGAUAAUGCUAUUAACCGUGCCUCGAUCAAUCAAGCUGGUGUGCUGUCCAAUAUGAUUUUCAAUGUCGUGGCUAGAACUUUCAAAGAAGGACAAUUGCCACCAAAUUAUGUGGGCCCUUCUCAUCAUCAACCAGGAUCACCGGUGGUCACAGCUCCAUCGGCUGCUACAGCCGCUGCGGGCACAGAAACUACUGUUCCUCCAAGCACGCUAGGAGUCUCUAAUGCGCAGUCCACGCCGAUGCCGUCCAAUCUAUCAACAUCAGAUGAGUCGAUCAAGCUUACUACAGAUCUAUUGGCAUCGGCAAUAUCGGGAUCUGUUCCUCCUAAUUGGUGGGGUUUUGGUAUGCCCCCAGAAUACUUGUUGAAGACACCUGGCACAUCUCAGGCAGCUGAUAUGGGAGGCAAUGCUCUAUGGCAUCAGCACCUCCAAAUAUGCCGAUGAAUCAGAGUCCCCAGUAUACUACAACUACUACUACAAGACCUUACACUGGGAAUUCUCAAGCUCCAACGUUCCAGAUGCCUAAUGCAUCGGCAGAUUCAAUGCCGACGCAACAGAGAUUUAUGACUCAGCUAGGGUAUGUCAAUUCAAUGAUGAUGCCCAAUUACCAGUCAUCAUCAGGACCUACGCCGAUGAAUGCUAAUAGUGGAUGGCUUGGGCAGCAAGUCUUUCCACAAAUGCCCCAACAGAAUCAUGAGGUUACAGGGUUUCAACAAGGCCAGAUCUACCCUGGAUUCCAGAACCAAGGGGUGGUCAAUCAGCCGAUGAAUCUCGGCCAGCAGGUUGGUGGUCAGCAGAUCGGUGGUCAGCAAUUUGGUGGUCAACAUCUUGGUGGUCAGCAGAUCGGCGGUCUGCAGGUUGGUGGCCAAAUGAUUAACCCAAUGUUCCAUGCAGAUCAUGCACCGUACAGACACGUGGAAGCUUACCAGCAGGUGCUAGAUCCACAACCGCCUCAUCGGCAAGAUGCCGAUGCUUAUUGGGCCAAUAAGAUUGCUGAAGUGAUGAGAGACCAAUUUGGGAUAAAACCCAAAGUCAAUACUUACUCUUAUCGGACACCGUAUCCUCCUGCAUAUGAUUUAAUCCCACUUCCAAAUCGGUACAAAGUGCCGGAUUUUACUAAUUUUUCUAGGCAGGAUGAUACAUCCACCAUGGAGCACGUCAACAGGUUCAUCAUUCAGUGUGAAGAAGCUGCUAACAGGGACGAGUUAAGGGUUCACUUGUUCUCAUCAUCAUUAUCUAGAUCGGCUUUCACUUGGUUUAUAUCCUUACCUCCUAACUUAGUGAUUACUUGGGCCGAUCUAGAGAAGCAAUUCCACAAAUACUUCUUUUCUGGAGUCCAUGAGAAGAAGAUCACCGAUUUGGUCAAAUUGAAGCAACGCAAUGAUGAAUCGGUUGAAAGUUUCGUGCAGAGAAUACGGGAAGUCAAGAACAAAUGCUAUAGCCUGGUUUUGGAUGAUCGGCAGCUAGCCGAUUUGGCUUUCCAGGGUUUGUUGCCACAUAUCAGGGACAAGUAUGCAUCUCAAGAGUUUGAAAGCUUAUGUCAUUUGGUGCAGAGAAUUUCUGAUCAAGAUAUCAAGCCUUUUGAGCCCAAGAGAGCAUGGAACAAAAAGGUAUCAUUUGUGGAUGAAGCAGCAAGCUCGGACUCUGAUGAGGAACCAGUCAUCGGCUUGGCAGAGUGGGUAAAGAACAAGAAGCCGAUGUCUUGUCCUUUUGGGCACAAAGAGCCAGAGAAGUUCGCAUUUGACAUCACCAAAGCCGAUAGGAUAUUUGACUUUCUACUUCAGGAAGGUCAGAUCAAAUUGUCACCCAAUCAUGUAAUCCCAUCGGCUGAAGAAUUAAAGAAGAUGAAGUACUGCAAAUGGCACAAUUCAACUUCUCACAGCACCAAUGAGUGCAAAGUUUUUAGACAACAGCUGCAAUCGGCUAUAGAAUCUGGAAGGAUCAAAUUUGACAGCUCCAAAACUCAGAAGCCGAUGAAGAUUGAUCGACAUCCUUUCCCAACAAACAUGCUGGAUGCUAAGGGAAAGGCCAAGGUCUUGACAUCAGAAGCAGCUGAAAGAAGUGCAUCGGUGGAUCCUCAGCAUCAGAUCACUGCUGCCAAUGCAAAAGGAAAAGGCUUGAUCCAGGAGGGAACUAACUCGGGAAGGCCUCCCCGAUCUGGUAUUCUGAUAACUCAUAGAAGGCCUCGGGAAACUUGGCAGCAACGUGAGGAUCGGUAUCGGCGCCAGCAAGAAGACUAUCAUCGGGAAGAAGAAAGACGCCGACAAGAGUGGAAUCGGCAUAGAGAUCACUGGAAUUGUCCGUUCUUCAUCCAUUGUUGGGAGGAAAAUAUCAAGCUUCCUACUGUUAGAGGCUGCCCGGAAUGUAAUGGUUAUGAUCGGUAUGACAGAUCAAAUCGGCAGUACCAGAACAAUAACCGCCGGUUUGAUGGGCCAAUUAGGGGGAGAGCGUCAGUUCAUGAUCGGCUGGGGGCAGGCUCAGUGUGCAUGAUAGGCUUGGUGAUCGUGUUGAAUAUUUUCCCAGGAACCAGGAAGAACUUGAAGAGAUGGCUAAUGCACGGGUUCCCGAUGAGUUCAUAUUUUGCAGGGAUGCCAAUACUUAUCGGAUGGAGUCAAGGGAAAAUCGUCACCCAUCGGUAAGGCAGCAACAACUUCCUCCAUGGUGUCCAGAGGGGUUGACUAGGACACAGAAAAGGAGGCUGCAGCGCGAAGGACGAGAAAAGUUGAACAAGGGCGAGAACUCUGGCCAGUCUAGGGAUCAGCAACAAUCAGAUCCUAAGGGAAAAAGUCCAUCGGCAGAUGUCAACAUGGUAUUUGUGUUGCCGAUGGAAUUCCUUGCGCCGUCCAGUGAUGAUGAGGAGUUAGAAUUUUCUGACUAGAUACCUCAGUUGGCUCUGGAUCCGAUGACAGCCAUCCUUGAAAAGCCUGCCGACAUUGAAAGGCAGCAUCUUAAAGCCUUGUUUGUCAAAGGAAGGGUUGACGGUCAGCCGAUGACCAAGAUAUUGAUUGAUGGUGGAGCAGCUAUCAUCAUCAUGCCUUAUACAGUAUUUCGGAAGCUUGGAAAAGGGGAUCAAGAUUUGACCAAGACCGAUAUGAUGUUAAAAGACUUUGAGGGCAACGUGUCUCCGGUUAAGGGGGCAAUAUGCGUUGAGUUGUCCAUCGGCAGGAAAACCUUGCCGACAACUUUCUUCGUGAUCAGUGGAAAGGGUGGUUAUAACUUGCUGUUAGGGAGAGAUUGGAUUCAUGCCAAUUGUUGCAUCCCAUCUACAGUGCACCAAUGCUUGGUCCAGUGGGUAGGUGAUAAAAUUGAGAUUGUCCUAGGAGAUUCUUCUUAUGUCAUCGCAUCGGUAGAAGCAGAUACCUAUGAAAGAACUAGGUGCAUCUCGGGAGAAAUUUGGGAGAAGGAUUUUCUCAAAGUUGCCGAUUAUGAAAUUCCACCGAUCCAAGCAGUCUGUUCUGAUGAAGGUUUUUAAUGGAUAGGUUCGCCGAUGAUGGAAAAUUAGGCCAGGGAUUCACAUCGGCCGAUGAUUUGGUAGAGAUAGAUUUAGGUAGUGGUGAUAAGCCUAGACCUACUUUUAUUAGUGCUAAAUUAGAUUCUGAGUGUAAGCAAUAGUUAACCAAUUUGUUAAAGGAAUAUAAAGAUUGCUUUGCUUGGGAUUAUACUGAGAUGCCUGGUUUAGACCAAUCAAUUGUUGAACAUCAGUUACCUAUCAAGUCUAGAUUUUGGCCACAUCAACAGCCAGCUCGCCGAUGUAAUCCUAAUAUUCUUCCUAAUAUUAAGGCCGAAAUAACCAAACUUAUUGAAGCUAAAUUUAUUCAGCAGUGUCGGUAUGCCUAGUGGAUUUCCAAUGUGGUUCCAGUCUACAAGAAAAAUGGGAAGCUUCGGGUUUGCAUUGAUUUCAGGAAUCUCAAUAAAGCUACGCCGAUGGAUGGCUACCCAAUGCCAGUUGCCGGUCUAUUAGUUGAUGCUGCGGCUGGGCAUCGGAUCAUCAGCUUUAUGGAUGGUAAUGCAGGAUACAAUCAAAUAUUCAUGGCUGAAGAAGAUAUUCCGAAGACUGCAUUUAGAUGUCCUGGUCAUGUUGGGUUGUUUGAAUGGAUAGUCAUGACCUUUGGCUUGAAAAAUGUUGGUGCUACUUAUCAAAGGGCUAUGAAUUUUAUAUUUCAUGAGUUUAUCGGCAAGCUGGUGGAAAUUUAUAUUGAUGAUGUGGUGGUUAAAUCUGGAGACUUCACAAAGCAUCUUGCCAAUUUGCGAAAGGUGUUGGAAUGCACAAGGAAGCAUGGUUUAAAGAUGAAUCCCAAUAAGUGUGCAUUUGGUGUAUCGGCAGGACAAUUUCUUGGCUUCAUGGUGCAUCAAAGGGGGAUUGAAAUUAGUCGGAGAUCCAUCGAUGCUAUCAACAAAAUAGUUGCCCCUACCAACAAGAGUGAGCUCCAAUCCUUGAUCGGCAAGGUAAAUUUUAUCAGGAGGUUUAUAUCUAAUUUAUCUGGUAAAAUCCGUGCUUUCAGUCCUUUACUUAAGUUGAAAGUCGAUCAAGAGUUUGUCUGCGGGAAAGAGCAACAAUUGGCCUUGGAUGAAAUCAAGAAUUAUUUGGUAAAUCCUCCGGUUCUGAUUCCACCUCAGCAAGGGAAGCCUUUUAGGUUGUAUUUGUCUACCGAUGGGAUGGUCAUCGGUUCGGCUUUAAUUCAAGAAUUUGAAGGGAAGGAACGUGUGAUUUACUAUUUAAGUAGGAGAUUGGUCGAUGCCUAGACCAGGUAUUCGGCGAUCGAAAAGUUGUGUUUGUGUCUUUAUUUCUCAUGUAUUAAGUUGAGACACUAUUUGUUAUCGGCCAAAUGCACUGUCAUAUGCAAAGAUGACGUGGUCCGGUAUAUGCUGUCUAUACCGAUUAUGAGUGGCAGAAUCAGUAAGUGGAUUUUGGCACUGUUGGAGUUUGAUUUGCGUUACGAAUCGGCUAUGACCGAUUUUGUGACUCAACAUUGCAGUAUAGUGGAGACUUUGGAAAUUGUGCCUUGGACGCUCUUCUUUGAUGGAUCCACAUGUGACCGGGGGGCAGGGAUCGGCAUAGUGUUGAUUUCCCCUCGGGGAAGGAAGUAUGAGUUCUCCUUGCCGAUUGUUACCACGUCAAGAAAUAAUUAGGCUGAGUAUCAAGCUUUGAUAAAGGGGUUGGAAUUACUAAGGGAAGUUCAUGCUGAUGCUGUUGAAAUCUUCAGGGAUUCUAUGCUGGUUAUAAAUCAAUUGGCUGGAAGCUAUGAAUGCCAAAGCGAGGUCCUGAUAACUUAUCACGAAAGGAGUAUGCAACUGUUAAAGGAAUUCAAGGACUUCUGAUUAGAGCAUGUUCCUCGAUUGCAUAAUGAAGAGGUCAAUCGGUUGGCUCAGCAUGCCUCGGGAUAUCAGCCCAUGAUUAAUGCAAUAUCGGCAAUCGGUGCCGAUGAUUGGAGAAAAGGAAUCAUUGAUUAUUUAAAGGAUCCAUCCAAGAAAUUUGAGAGACGUGUUUGGUUUCAAGCUACCAAGUAUGUGCUCCUUGAAGAUGAGUUAUAUUACCGAACUAUUGAUGGAAUUCUUCUCAGGUGUUUAGGUGAUGAUGAGGCUAGGAGUUUGAUGGGAGAGAUCCAUGAGGGAGUGUGUGGAGCACAUCAGUCAGCAUUUAAGAUGAAGUGUAUCAUCAGAAGAAACGGAUAUUAUUGGCCGACUAUAUUUGAGGAUUGCUUUAAGUAUUUCAAAGGGUGUCAAGGAUGUCAGAAGUUUGGCAAUAUUCAAAGGGCACUCGCAUCGGCCAUGAAUCCUAUCAUCAAGCCUUGGCCGUUCCGAGGAUGGGCUAUUGACUUGAUCGGCCAGAUUUAUCCACCAUCCAGCAAAGGACAUAAGAUUAUCUUGGUUGCCACCGAUUAUUUCACCAAAUGGGUUGAAGCUAUCCCUUUAAAGAAAGUUACAUCGGCCAACAUGAUCGAUUUUUUGUGAAAGAGCAUAUUAUUUACCGAUUCAGAAUCCCUCAAACGAUUACUACCGAUCAGGGUACUAUGUUUACAUCGGGGGAGUUUGAUGAAUUUGCAAUCGGUAUGGGGAUUAAAGUAUUAAACUCUUCUCCUUAUUAUGCUCAAGCUAAUGGGUAGGCCGAGGCGUCUAACAAAGAGAUUAUCAAGCUUAUUAAGUGGAAGAUUGAAGAAAAUCCUAGGAGGUGGCACACGUUGUUAAAUGAGGCUUUAUGGUCCUAUCGGAUGGCUUGUCAUGGAUCGACCAAGGUUUCACCUUAUCAGUUGGUAUAUGGGCAUGAUGCAGUGUUACCUUGGGAAAUUAAGACUGGGUCUAGGCGACUAUCUUUUCAAGAUCAGUUGGCUGCCGAUGAUUAUGCUACUUUGAUGACAGACGAGUUGGAUGACCUAGCAGGGCAUCGGCUAAGGGCUUUGAUGAGUAUAGAAAAGAAUAAGAAGAGAGUUGCCAGAUGGUAUGAUAAGAAGGUAAAAGAUAAGGAGUUUGCUGAUGGAGACUCAGUAUGGAAGCUAAUCUUACCGAUCGGGACUAAAAGUUUGAAAUUUGGAUAAGUCGAUCGGCUCCUGGUAAUGCCUAUAUUUUAGAAACUCUUGAAGGAGUUGAAUUUCCUAGAGCAUUAAAUGGCAAAUAUCUAAAGAAAUAUUACCCCAGCAUGUUAGUCGAUGCAUAAAGGUUUGAGUGCCGAUAACAUUCCUAUCGGCUAGAUUAAACUGUGUCUGGGACCGGACUUAAUGUUUUAAAAAGGGCCGAUAACAGUCCUAUCGGCUAGACCAAAACAUUAGGAGUGUUCAAAAGAAAGGAGCAAAUAUGUUGCCGAUGAAGAAGUCACAUAUUCAACAGCGCCUGGAUCGCCGAUAUAGCGCGCAGGCGAAUUUGGUUGGCUGCUUCUAUCUCUUUGAUGUCUUCAUCGGCAGAACCUUCCACCGGCUUCAACUUCUUCAUCUGCAGCGCUUUACGGCCAUGAACAUUUCGCUCUUGUUCAAGGAGUUUGAUCGCCUCAGGCAGCUGGUUUUCCUCUUGUUGAGCUUGGGACAAGGCUUCUUCUACUUGCUUGAGUUCUGCCAACAGGGCUUCUCUUUUUGCCAAUAGAUCAGAGAUCUUGUGCUUCAACGCAUCUCCUGAGGACUUUAAGAUGACGAUGUUCUUGUGCUUCUCAUCGGCAAGGAGCUUCACUUUCAUCAUCUCCUCAGAAAGCUGAGUCUGAGCAGCUCUGUCGGCAAGGCGCUGGGUGGCCUUUUGAUAUUGCAGCUGAUGGCUCUCUAGAUGUGCAGCUUGAAAAGGAUUUCUUUAGCAUCGGCAGGAAUUUGGCCUCUGAGGGUCUUGAACAAAGCCUUGGCUAGGUCGGAGUCAUCAACUAGUUGGGCUGUGUCUAGAUGAAGGAGGGCUGAUAAUUCUUCUAACUUGGCCCUGAUUUCUACCGAUGUAAUUCCGAUUGCUCGGGAAGAACUUGUCUCCUCGCCUUCAUCUUCAGAGAUGUCGAUGGCAAAGGAGAACAGGCUGUCAGGAGAGUCCUGUUCCUGAAAAAGAAAUGAAGUGAGUUAUUCUAUGGUCAAGUAUUGACAAAAAAUACCGAUAGAGAUUGGGUGACUUACUUGUUUCAGGGCAAUCUCUCGCCUCUGACUAGAAGAUGCCGAUGGAACCACAGGCUGAUCGGCUGGGGUUGCCGAUGGGACUAUGUCAGCUGAAAGAAUAACAGAGAUAAUUAUAAGAUAGAGAAAGUAGGUUCAUCGGCAGUGAUUUCAUAGAAAGUAUGUUACCUUGAGGGGGAGCAGUACUUGUUUGGAUGGAAGAAACUACCGAUGCUAUAAUUAAACUUGCUGGAUCGGUAGUUUGCUCAUGCACGUCAGCCGAUGUGUCUUCCGGCUGAGGUACUUCUGGCUGGGGUUCUUCUGGUUGGAGUUCUUCCACUUGGGGUGCUUCUUGUGGCUGAGAAGGAGGUGGUACCUGCUGUGUCUGGGUUUCUGGAGAAGAGGGAGAAGAUUCCACCGAGAUCUGUGAUACUGGGGGAGGAGAAGGUGUUGCUAUCCUCUGGCGCUUUGCUUGUGAUCUGGUGCUCUUGGAACCUUUCCUUUUCGCUUGACUGGACUGGCGGGCAUCGGCACUUGUGCUUCUGGUCCUUGCCGAUGCGCCGGUAUGCUGUUACAACGAAGGAAAUUCGUGAGUACAAGUGUAACAGAUGUAAGAAUGAAAUCGGUAUGGAUGAAAAAGUUUAAAAAUUUACCUUGAAGGCCUGUGCUAAGGUAGAGGCUUCUACCAAUGGAGAUGUCUUCGUCCACUUGGUGGUGACUUUCUUGAGGCGCACACCUCGAUGCAUUAUGGCAGCCAAGGUAGGAGCAUUGUUGCCGAUCGAGAAGAUCGGUCCUGAUGGAAAAAGCUCAAUCGGCUUACCACUCUUGCUAACCGAUGGGGGAAUGUUAUCAACCUGUAAUAUAACACAGAAAGUGUCGGUGUUUUCCCCACGGGGGGUCACACCAACGAGUGAAUUUGUAUGCGUGCUCCCUUUCCCAGAUGGUGAUGCAAAAAGACACACAAAGAUUUAUCCUGGUUCGGGCAAGAGAAGGCCCUACGUACAGCGGGGGGAGAGAGUUUGUAUUAUUUUGCACCUAAGUGCUUGUACAGGGGUGAAUACAAGCGUGGUAUGGAGUAUGGAAGUUCUACUGCAUAUGGGUGUGGUGUUGCGUGAUUGAUCUUUGAGUCCGCUCCCAGGCUUCCCCUUUUAUAGUUCCAAGGUGAAGCCCAGGCUACAAGCAUAGGUGUCAGAGCAGGGGUUGAUAGAGGCAUGGCGCGCGGACCAACUCGAGGCCUCCGUACCGGCGUGGUCUCGAGCCAUCCCGUCCUGGUAGUUUGAUGAUGAUUACGCGUGCCCCGAUAUCCUGCUCUGUGCGCUGUCUUGGACUGGUUCACCGGUUGCACGCCUGUACGGCACCGCGGCAGAUCCGUCGGAGUGGUUGUUGUGUUGCCAUUCGACGCCCAACCCUUCCCCAGGAAGGAAAUACGUCUAGUCGAGGGUCAGACGCCAUGUGACGCCAUGCUAUCCAGAGCGUUGACCCUGGAUGUCUCGAGGGGGUCCUGAUUAGACGUUCUAUCCCUGCUUCCCGCGUCCUGACACGCUCUGGAUUGUUUGGUGGGGAAGGCUGCAAAAAGAAUGACAGGACUGGUGCCCGUUUCCUAUCAUGCUUCCCGUGACUUGGCAUGUUAGGUGAGAACACGACAAGCGCAUUAAAUGCCCUGGUUCCCGUGCGCGUGUCAGGCGGCGGGCGGCGUCGUUGCGCUCGACGCCUCCUACUUCGCUCUAGCCCGUUUCCGUAUUCGACGGUAGCUGGCGCUCGAGCCCUGAUCGAUUCGCCCGACGCCUUUUUUGUCUUCGAGGCUGCGGUCGUCGAUGACUGUGCACGUGACUGAUUAGAGCGUCGAGGUGGGGUCCUCGACCUGCGUAGGGCAGUCUCGUUAUGUACAUCAGUUGGGAUACCCCUUACUGAUAUCCUCGACAGUAGCCCCCGGGCCUCCAUUUGAGCACUGGCGCUCGAGUGGGGGCUUUAUUCUGCGGUCGAGUUUCCAUGGGGGCACGCGAGCGACCCCGCGGUGGUAGCCCCCGAGCCCUUGGAGGAAUUUUUUACUCCUUCGAGGGUUAUAUUGCCUAAUUCUCAGAAACGCUGUCGACACCAGUGGUGGAAGGUUCUGAUUGGCUCGUUUUGCGCAGGGGUUUCGACGUACUCUCGAUAGAGCGAGCGUCAUCCACCCUAGAUUGAGCUCCUAACGGGUAGUCCAAGUGAGAACCUGUGCCCCUUUUGAGGGGGUCAGCUGUAGCCGGGAGGCGUUCUCAUAAAGCGGGGUCGACGUAGUCGGGGAUGCUGGACUCAUUCGAUAGAGUCCAGUGGCUCGAUGCCUCCCGUCGAGGGGAUUCCUCUCGACUGUCUCGACCCUACCUCGGACAUCCCCAGCGAGUUCUCGAGGCGGGCCUCGAUUGUCGACCAUUUGCUAGGCAUCCCUGACUCUGGUGCUCGAGAUCGGCUGUCGAACCCUUUCGGCGGGUCAGCCUGCGACCUCUCGAGGCUUUCGUGGGUGCGUUCCUUGGCUUACAAGGGAAGGAAGAGGCCGUGGCGGUUCGCCUUUUUGCCCGUUGGGCGCACCUUUUCAGGCUAGAGCCGUUGCGACACUGUAUCGGCGCAGAAUUCGGAGCGCCCCGUCUGUGAGGAGGAAAAAGACCGUUAGGCGGCGCAUUUAUGGGGGGAGUUACCUCAUUUAUUGGAUCCGUCCAUUGAUGGGUUGCUACCUAUAAAUAUCCCGUGGCAUCACCGCAGUUCUCCCUUCUGCCUUCUGCCUUCAUCCUUGCCUUAUCCCUCUCGCCGUCUUAGCUCUCUUGCCAUCUCACGCGCGCGCGCCCCCUCGAGCAGUAGCGAAUCCACCCUCCUUCUGUCCAAAAUGCUUGUGAGACUCGUUGCCGCCGACGACUGGCGCCCGUCGUCGAUGACAGAGCGCUGGUUGCUGGAGCUUGAGAGGGAGGGACUCCUACGCCACCGCACAUCGCUGUCGUCGCCGCCGUGGAUCGCACCAGCGGCGGACCACCGGGAGCCCAGGCCAACCAAGGGCUACGUGGUUUCGUUCGGCAAGUUCCACCGCCACGGCCUGGGCGCUCCUCCGAGCCACUUCAUGCGGGCGCUCUGCCACCAUUACGGGGUGGAGCUCUAGCACUUCUCCCCAAACGCCAUCACCGUCGCGGCGGUCUUUGCCACGGUGUGUGAGGGCUAUUUGGGGAUGAUGCCCCACUGGGAGCUGUGGCUCCACCUCUAUAGGGGCGAGCUCUUCAACGGCCCCACCAGGACCACUGGCGUGAGGAAGCUCGUGCAGGCGGGAUGCCUCAACCUUGUGCUGAAGACGGGGAAGACGACGAGGCCGCGCGAGUACAUCCCGGUGGGAUUGUCGACGAACCACGCCGGAUGGGACUCCUAGUGGUUCUACCUGAGGAACGACGACGAUCUCCAACCCGCCUACACCGGUUGCCUGAUCACGGAGCGCCCAGAGAACUGGACGCACGGCGUCGUCCAAGUUCAUCAGUCGUGGCUCGACCCCCUCCUCGAUUCCAUGAAGAAGUUGCGUGUGGAAGGCCUAGUCGCCGCUCUCGUCCUCUCGGCCGUCCAUCAUCGAAGAGUUCUCCUGUUGAUGUCUCGGCCGCUGAGGAUGGACGAGAUGGGCCCUGGCGUCUCGUCCGGGGACCUCGAGGCGUGCCGGAUGUCCAACGAGGCUCCAACGGACGACGAGGUCGCGGCCUGGGUCAGGGCGGCCAUUGCCAGUGACUUUAAGCCGGAGCACGUCAAUGGCUUCCCCAUGAGGCCUGAUGCGGGCUCGAUCGACCUGGUAUGCUCUUUUCUUGUACAUGGCUUUGAUUCUGGAUUUCUUUCGAUCCCUUUUUAAGCUUGCCUUUGUUCUGGCAGGGGCGGAUCGAUGUCCGGUCCUCGAGGCCUCCAGUACGGGAGGACGAGGUUGAUCGCGACAAGCGGCGCCAGUCCGUCGAGAAACAAAAGUCCACCAAGGACUCUGAGAAGAAAGGAAAGAAGAAGAAGAACCUCGACCGCCAAGCGCUAGAGGCGCGUCGAGCUAAGUCCAGGCAGAGGGGGGAGCCUAAAGAAGAAUCCCCCAGUGAGGAUGAUGGUGGAGACAGCGAUGAUGACAGCGACGACUCCGAGGGGAUGGCGUCUCGCCUCGAGGCGACGCCGACGCCCCCCGAACGGGAGCACAAAAGGAGGGGCCAGGCGGGUCUCACCGCCCCCGCGCUGACACCCCUCCCGCGCCUGCACCAGGUUAGGCCGUCCCGCCCCACCAACUUCCCCCUGCACCAAAGGCGGGUGGCAGGGCUAAGCCCCAGGCGACGGGGCCGUUGACCCGUGGCCGCGCUGCGGCCUCUGACAAGGGAGAUACUGGCCGCAGGAGCGCUAGCCCCGGCGCCCGCCAGAUGGGAGACGCUGGACCGAAGCCUGCGCCUGCCCACGAGGGGCUUGGAAUCUCGACGCGAGGUGGUUUGAGGCCCACCGGUCGAGGUACCGGCAGGCGAGCCAUUCUCCCUAUGGGGUAGGUUCUUCGACGCUGUGAUUCUCAUCUUCCUAUUUCCUUGCGCUUUCUCGCAUAGCGGUCUUUCUUACGCUCAUUUCUUUUUUCCUCAGGUUGAAGCGGAUGCUUGAGCAGGCCCAGCCUUCGAUGGCGAAAAGGCUCAAGGUGGGAGCGGCCUCCAAGGAUUCAGGUUAGUUGCUUAUUCCCGUUGUUAUGGGAUUUGUGCUGUUCUUACGUCAACCAUCAUAGUGACUGACCUCUGUUUUUUGCUUUAUAGGCUCCUCCGAACCUCAACCACCGACUGGUACCGAGAGUGCCCUGCCCCAUCCCCUAGCGGGUGAGUCUGCCCCGUCGUCGCCAAAACGAGUCGAGGAGCCUCAACCCUAGGGCCAGGAGGGAGCCCCCGAGCCUCCACGAUCGGGGGUCGAGGGGGAUCCCAUUACCAUAAGUGAAGGGUCUGGCGGCGACGGGACCUCGAGGGACGCCCGUCCUAUGGACGAGGAGGCCCAGACUUCUCUCGUUGCGAGACGAAUGCCCUAGCCUGCCGGGCUUCGCUCCAUCGAGGAGCAGAAGAAGAAAGAAGAGGAAGAGCGUGGGCAAGAGACGCGGCGGCAGCUACAGGAGCAGGACCGUCAACAAGUGCCGCGGGAGCUUGAGGGGCCAGCCGUCAGAGGAACCGCUCGAGCCUCCUCCUCAUAGUCCGCCCCAACCGGUACCACCGGCGCCACAAGAGCCCGGGGACCAGGAAGAGGGUCUGUCAGUUUUCGGCCCUCUGACCCCGGCGUGGCUCCGUCCAGGGGCGCUCGCCGCGAUCCCAGCAGAGUCAGGGCGGGCGGACGGCGUGGUGGCGCUCGCAUGCAUGAUGCGCACCCCCGUCGACCCUAAGUCUGAGAUCAGGAGGACGAUCUACGGCAUGGACGGGAUCGCCCCGGGGUUCCUCCGAGAGCGUCGGUCGUGGGAGGACCGUAUUCCCGCUGAGGAGGACGAGGCUAGGACGUCAGGCGGAGGCGGAGGCAGCGAAAUGGGCACCUGUAAGACGGUGGACGACGACAGGCGGUUCCCCUCCCUCGUCGACUUGUUCCUGUUCCAUGGGGGGUCCCUCAAGACCGUCGAGGAGCUCAUCCGCGGCGUCAAGGCACAGGCCGACCAGGAGAUGGAGAACUGGUGCCCUGAUCGGAUCCGCAUCCGGGCUUCCACCGAUCCAUCUGAGCCCAACAUCUUCCUGGACGAUCGAAAGGAAGCUGAGAAGUGGGAACACGUCGAGGAGCUCUGCCUCUGGAUGAAGCACACGGUGGGGCUCCUGUCGGACGUUGUAAACAACGGGCUCGGACCAGCCUACUUUGUAAGUAUUGUUCAGUCUUUUAAUCUUUAUGGAACUUGUUGGUUUUGUGUUCUAACUGCUCGGUACCCGGCUUGCAGGACCUGAAAGAGACCUCCCGCAUUAAGUCAAGCUUCAUUCACGCCACGAGAGGCGGUUGGGAGCAGCUUCCCAUCCUCAAGGACCAACUCCUGGAGUCACAGGAGAAACUCCUCAAGGCUUAUAAAGAGCUCUUAGCGCUCGAGGAGGAGAAGAAGGAGAGGGAGGCUGCCCUGGUCGAGGCUCGAGAAGCCUCAAGGAAGGCGGUGGAAGAGGCCGUGCUGCUGAGGGAGCGGGCUCUGACGGUCGAGGAGGCUACGUCUAAAUCCCGGGAGGAGGCCCUGUCCUACAAGAACAUCGUUGCUGACCUGGACAAGGAGAAGGGCCUCCUCAAGACUGACCUGGACUCCCUCCGAGAAUCCUACCAGAGGAUGAAGGUGGAGUAUGUGAACAGCGAGGUCGCCAGGAGCGCCGCUGAGGAGGCAAAGAAGAAGGCCCUUGAAGACCUCGAGGCGAAGCGGGCUUGAUCCCGCAGCCUCUCUGACGACGUCGAUUGUCUGAAGAGGGCGCUGCUGGAGAAGGAAGGAGCCAUCACGCAGGCCGGCAAGGCGAUCAAGGAUCUGCGCGUCGCCAACACCGAGCUGGCGCGCUCCAACAGGGAGGUCGAGAGGGCUAACACCAAUUUGGUUGGCGGAAACACGGCUCUGGAGGAGAGCAUCCGUGGUAUGUUUUCUAUUAUCGAGUUUCUUUUCUAAGGCAUGUUUGGUGUCAUCUAAUCCACUCACGUUGAUUCUUGCAGGGCUCAAGGACGAGCUGCUGGCUGCCCAAGUCGAGGCCCGCUCCAUUAAGACCUAGCUCGAGGGGGAGGUCGCCUUGAACGGUCGUCUAAGUACUGCGAUAAGCGACCUCUCGGUCUCCUAGGAGCUCGAGCCUGUUAACGAGUCGAGGGAGGAGGCUCGGGGCGACGCACUCGUCGACCAGCUAUGCUAUCUUGGAGCUACGCUGAGGGACCGGGUGCAGGACGCCCUCCACGUCGGAGUGAAGCGGGCGAUGGCUGUAGUCUGCUCAGGCUUCUCCUACGACAUGGAGGUGGUGUCCCACGGCUUCGUCACCGACAUCUCCAAGACUGACGCAGAGAACGAAGAGAGGCUCCACGCCUUGAUCGACGACGCAGAAGUUCCUAGAGAGAGGUUGGCUAAACUAUUCGAGCCAGAGGUACUUCCUCCUGAGACUGGCUCAGGCGUGGGUGAGGAUGGUGAGGGCCGAGACGCGAACUGAGGCCUGCGAGCCUACUCUGGGUGCUUGGGCCCCUUGUAUAGUACUCUGUUAAUUUGUAUUUACGUGAUACAGUGUCUUUUAAGUGGUUGUCGAAUGUUUAUCUGUCUUCCCGCUCGAGGCUCUUUUAUUUCCCUUUGCACCUAUAUUUGUAUUCCCCGUUUGAUCUUUCGUUUAAGGUGAUCUCAGUUGCCUCAAGGGUGAGGAAGCGAGUAGAGUUUCCGUAGCCCGAGGGCGUAGGAGUUCUCAGGCUCAUCGUCUCUUGGCCCUUAAGGGGCUCAAGGUGCCUCUACUACUCGACCAUACGAGAUUACUGAUAGGAAAGAAAGGGUUACUUGGUUUUUUCGACACCUGGGGGGUCACCCCCCUGCUAGCCCCCGAGGGGGUAUCGACAAUGAUGGGUCAUAGUCGGUACUCCCUUCUAGCGUUGAGAUUUUGACUCGUAAAAAAGUAAAUUGCUCGAGGGAAAGACUUUAUUUAUUCACGCAUUCAUUUACAAAGCCUUGGUAUAGAAUGUACAUGGGAACAUAAAGCUUUGAAAUUCUAGGGGUAGAAUCUACGUAGCUGUUCGAUGUUCCAUGCGUUGGUGAAGAUUGCCCCUUUUUCGUCCGUGAGUUUGUAUGUCCCUGGCUUCAGGACCUCGGCCACCACGUAUGGGCCCUCCCAAGGUGGAGUCAGCUUGUGGCGUCCUUGAUUGCUUUGCCGCCGUCGUAGGACAAGGUCGCCCACAUUCAAGUCCCUCUUACGCACGUGCUUGUCGUGGUAGCGUCGAAGUUUCUGCUGGUAUCUGGCAGAGUUGAGGAGGGCCAUGUCUCGAGCUUCCUCGAGUUGGUCGACCGCGUUUUCUUGAGUCUCUUUAUUUGAUUGCUCGUUGUAUGCUUUGAGUCAAGGGGAUCCAUACUCGAGGUCCAUUGGGAGCACAGCCUCAGAGCCAUAGACCAUGAAGAAUGGGGUGUAUUUUGUGGCCCUGCUCGGCGUCGUCCUUAGGCUCCAUAGGACGGAGGAAAGCUCCUCGACCCAUUUCUUGCCGAAUUUCUUCAAGCAAUUGUAGAUCCUUGGUUUGAGCCCCUGCAAAAUCAUGCCGUUGGCACGCUCGACCUGGCCGUUAGUUCGAGGGUGGGCUACCGCAGACCUGUUCACACGGAUGUGAUGCUGAUCGCAGAAGUCCAAGAACUUCUUGCCGGUGAACUGAGUGCCGUUGUCAGUGAUGAUGACGUUGGGAAUCCCAAACCGGUGGAUGAUGUCGGUGAAGAAAAGGACGACUUGCUCGGAACGGAUAUUGGUGAUGGGUCGAGCCUCGAUCCAUUUGGAGAACUUGUCGAUGGCCACUAGCAAGUGGGUGUACCCCCCUUUAGCCUUUUGUAGAGGCCCUACUAAGUCGAGCCCCCAUACCGUGAACGGCCAUGUGAUCGGGAUCAUCUGGAGAGCGUGGGCAGGCAGGUGCGUCUGCUUGGCGUAGAAUUGGCACCCGUGGCAUGAGCGUACGAGCUCGACGGCAUCAGCUACGGCCGUUGGCCAGUAGAAGCCUUAUCGGAAGGCAUUCCCUACGAGGGUCUGCGGAGCAGCGUGAUGGCCACAAGCCCCUGAGUGUAAGUCGUCGAGGAGUUUUCGGCCUUCUUCUAUGGUGAUGCAACGUUGUAGGAGCCCUGUUGGGCUUCGUUGAUAUAGCUCAUUGUCCUCGCCGUAGAUUACAUAUGAUUUCGCCCGUCGAGCGAUACGGCGGUCCUCGGAUCGAUCUUCUGGUAGCUCGCAGCGGAUUAGGCAGUCGAGGAAUGGCGUGCCCCAGUCGAACGGUCGACCGGGACGCUGUUCCACCUCCAUUACCUCAGCUGCCAUUAGUAGCGCGUCGACGGUGUCGGUUUGCUGGGUAGGAGCGGCUUCGACGCCAGCCCUCGAGCCCAAGUCGAUGGAUGGCUCGUGAAGAUCUCUCGAGAACGCGUCAGGUGGUACCGUGCCUCGAGUCGACGCGAUCUUGGCGAGUUCGUCGGCCGGCUCGUUGUAGCGUCGGGCAACGUGGACGAGCUCGAGGCCAUGGAACUUGUCCUCGAGUCGACAAACAUCCUUGCAGUACGCCUCCAUUUUCGGGUCAUGGCAGCUCGAAGUCUUCAUCACUUGUUCGAUGACGAGUUGGGAGUCACCUCGGACAUCGAGGCGUCGAACUCCUAGCUCGAUGGCGAUCUUGAGACCGUUGACGAGGGCCUCGUAUUCCACGACGUUGUUGGAGGCGGCGAAGUGAAUCCUUAUGACAUACCUCAUAUGAACGCCCAGGGGCGAGAUGGACAGUAGGCCGGCCCUAGCCCCCGUCUUCAUGAGAGACCCGUCGAAGUACAUCGUCCACAGCUCUGACUGAACCUGAUCCGGGGGAAGCUGGGAGUCUGUCCAUUCCGCGACGAAAUCCACCAGGGCUUGUGACUUGAUAGCCUUACGGGGCGCAUAAGUGAGAGUCUCACUCAUGAGCUCGACCGACCACUUGGCGAUUCUUCCCGUGGCUUCUCGACUUUGGAUGAUCUCUCCCAAGGGGAAGGAUGAGACCACUGUGAUAGGAUGGCCGAGGAAGUAGUGCUGCAGCUUGCGUUGGGCGAGGAUUACGGCGUAGAUUAGCUUCUGGAUCUGCGGGUAACGCGCCUUGGCCUCCGAGAGUACCUCGCUGAUGAAAUAGACCGGCCUCUGGACGGGCAAUGCAUGCCCCUCCUCCUGCCUCUCGACCACCACAGCUACACUGACGACCUGGGUCGUCGAGGCGACGUAAAGGAGCAGCGGUUCUGCAGGUUGAGGUGGGACCAGGACUGGUGCUGAGGUCAGCGUUUUCUUUAGGAUUUCGAGGGCUUACUCGGCCUCAGGGGUCCAAGAGAAACGCUUGACUUUCUUCAGAAGUCGAUACAGAGGCAAGGCCUUUUCUCCAAAUCUCAAGAUAAAACGGCUUAGCGCCGCUAGGCAUCCCGUGACUCUCUGCACGCCCUUGACGUCUCGAAUCGGCCCCAUUCUUGUGAUGGCCGAGUCUUUCUCGGGGUUGGCCUCGAUGCCGCGCUGGGAAACAAUGUAACCCAGUAGCAUGCCUCGAGGUACGCCGAAAACGCAUUUCUCGGGGUUGAGCUUGAUCUGGUUUGCGCGUAAGCAGCUGAAAGCGAUCUCGAGGUCCUAGAUUAGGUCCCCCCGCCGCUUUGACUUGAUGACGAUGUCGUCGACAUAGGCCUCGACCGUCGACCCUAUGUGCUUGCCAAACACGUGGAGCAUGCAACGCUGAUACGUGGCUCCCGCGUUUCGUAGCCCGAACGGCAUGGUUACAUAACAAUACAUCCCAAAAGGUGUAAUGAAAGAGGUCGCGAGCUGAUCGGACUCUUUCAUUUUUAUUUGGUGGUAACCAGAAUAUGCAUCAAGGAAAGAAAGUGUUUCACAUCCCGCAGUAGAAUCGACAAUUUGAUCAAUACGUGGUAAUGGAAAAGGAACUUUCGGACAUGCUUUAUUUAAACUCGUGUAAUCAACACACAUCCUCAUUUUCCCAUUCUUUUUCUUAACUAGUACAGGAUUCGCUAACCAGUCGGGAUGGUGAACCUCCUUGAUGAAUCCGGCCGUCAAAAGUUUUUGGAUCUCCUCGCCAAUGAUCUUGCGCUUCUCCUCGUCGAAGCGGCGCAACCGUUGCUUCACUGGCUUGGAACCGGCUUGAAUUUCCAAGGAGUGCUCGGUGACCUCCCUCGGUAUGCCCGGCAUGUCCGAGGGACUCCAUGCAAACAUGUCGGCGUUCACACGGAGGAAGUCAACGAGCACAGCUUCCUAUUUGGGGUCGAGGUCGGCGCUGAUCGUUAGCGCCUUGUCGUCAGAGUUGUUGGGGUCAAGCGGGAUCUUCUUGGUUCCUUCCGCCGGCUCGAAGCUGCCCGCGUGGCGCUUGGGCUCGGGAGCCUCUGCGGCCAGGGCCUCGAGCUUCGAGGCGAGCUCAGUGGAACUCUCGACUGCUUCCCCAUACUCGACGCAUUCGACGUCACACUCGUACGCGUGCUCGAAGGAGGAGCUGACGGUAAUGACGCCCUUGGGAUCGGGCAUCUUCAGCUUCAGGUAGGUGUAGUUGGGGAUAGCCAUGAAUUUGGCGUAACCCGGGCGUCCGAUGAUGGCGUGGUACGUGCCCCGGAACCCCAACACCUCAAAGGUGAGGGUCUCUUUCUGAAGUUGGCCGCCGUGCCAAAGGAGACCGGUAGGUCGAUUCAACCUACUGGCAGUGCCUUCUUCCCUGGUACGACGCCAUGGAAGCCAUCGGCGCUUGGUUGGAGUCGUGCCUUGUCGAUGCCUAGGAGGUCGAGGGUCUCGAGAUAGAUGAUGUUGAGGCUGCUGCCGCCAUCCAUCAGCACCUUUGAGAGCCGAGUGUUGACGAUGAUGGGGUCGACGAUGAGUGGGUAGACGCCAGGGGCAACUACCUUGUCAGGGUGGUCCUCUCGGUCGAAGGUCGGGGGUGCUCGACCAGCUGAGAUACUGGGGCACCGCCAUCCUUGCCGCGAAGACCUCACGACGUUCCCUCUUGCGCUGCCUUGCGGUCAACUGCGUCGAGGGCCCACCAUAGAUCAUGUAGCAGUCGUGGACGGCAGGGAAACCAUCGUCGUCUUUGUUGUCCUCCUUUUCACCGCCCUUCUCCUUCUUUGGUUUGUCGCGCGCGUCCUUCCUGAACCCCAGACCGUCGAAAUGCUUUCUCAGCAUACGACAGUCCUUGAGCUUGUGGUUGGCUCCUCCCUUAUGGUAAGGGCACGGCUCUUCUAGCAUCUUAUCGAAGAUGCCCCCAUCUGGGGGGCCUCGAGGCUUUUUGCGUUCCAUGGCGGCGACGAGAUCGUCGUCAAAGUCUUCCCGCUGGAACGACCGUGUUUUCUUCUUCUUCUUGUUCUUCUUGGGCCCUCGACUGGGGCCCUCAUCCUCAUCAGUGGGCUGCUUGCUUUUCCUUCCUUCACAGCUGAAGAAGGCGCCGACCGCUUCUUCCCCUGCCGCGUAGUUAGCCACCACAUCCAUCAGCUCAUUGACGGUCUGAGGGCGAUUCCGGCCUAACUCCCACACCAAGUCUUGACUGGUGGUACCAGAGACAAAGGCCAGGAUGACGUCGUGGUCGGGGAUGUGUGGCAGUUCGGUGCGUUGCUUUGAGAAGCGUUGAGCGUACUCUCGAAGAGUUUCUCCCGACUUCUGCUUGCACUUGCUGAGAUCCCACGAGUUCCCAGGCCGUAUGUAGGUCCCUUUGAAAUUACCCUCGAAUACUCUAACCAAAUCGACCCAGUCGUGGAUCUGAUCAGCUGGAAGUUCCUCGAGCCACCUGCGGGUGGUGUCGGAGAGGAAGAGCGGCAGCUGUCUGAUGAUGGCCCGAUCGUCUCCUCGGGCGCCUCCCAGCUGACAGGCCAGCCUGAAGUCUGCCAGCCACAGCUCUGGUUUGGUCUCACCGUUGUACUUUGGGAUGCUGGUCGGGGGUCGGAACGGGCUGGGCAGCGGCGUGCUGUGGAUUGCCCUGCUGAACACCCGUGGGCCUGGUGGCUCUGGAGCCAUCCGGUCCUCAUUGCUGUCGUACCUCCCGCGGCGAUGGGCACUGUAACCGCGCUCUUCCGCGUCCCCGUACCGACGGUGUCGAUUCUCUUCAAUGUCGCGUCGCGCGUCGUGUCGACGCUGAUUGUCGACGGGGAGAACGAGCGUGGUCUUUUUUCCUCGAGGGGGUGGCUGUUGAUGGACUGACACCUCCUUUUCGUUCUGGGCUGGCUCAUCGUGCUUUUCGGUGGUAGCUCCUCGACGUUGAGAAGCCGAGCUUUCGGCUUGCUGAACUGCCGCCACCUAGAGUAGAGUCUGCACCUCGUCUCGGAUGCGUCGAGCUUGGGAGUUCGACGGCUCUGGCAUGUUUUGCAGUAGCAUUGUUGCUGCCACAACGUUCUAGCCUGCUCGAGGGAAACGGCUGACGGGCUGCUCAGGCUCUGCGUCUCCGACGAUCUGCCGGUGCACCUCUCGAGCUCAUCUGCGGACACUUCCGCCAGGCGGGUAAGGUAGGUCCUGCUCGAGGAUUUGCUCAAGUAGAACAAGGCGCUCGCGAUCCUCGUCAAGCUUUGCUUUGAGCUCUCGUAGCUGCGCAAUUUGUGCGGCUCUGUCUUCUUGCGGAGGGGGGUCGACCUGAACGUCAUUCCUAGGCGUCCUGGGGUCUUCUCUCGCUGCAGGGGCUCGCCCGCCUGCAACGGCGUCUUGUGUCUCGUCAGUGGUUUCCACCGCUCCGUCGAUAUGGAAGCACUCCCUAGUAGGGUCGUGGCUGUCGGAUUCCGAGCCGGAGUCCGGCUCGGCGGCGUGGAAACAUCCGCAUCCUUCCUCCAGCAGCCGCUGCCUGAGGGAUGUAAUCGUGUACUGCCCAGGGCCUAGGCGGCAGAGGCCUUGUACCUACAAGAAGUCUGGUAGCUCGGAUGCCCGUGGCCGUGCUUCAGGGUCGCGUGGGGGGACCAUUGGUUUCUCCACGUACGUCUGGGCGUUUGGGCAUAUCGCCCUGGCGAGUGACGCUGCGGCAUUGUCCAGGCCGAACGGCAAGGCUCCUCUUGAGGCGAACAGCCCGUGUGGAAGUAGCUUGGCGGUGGGGGAGAGUGCGCGGGGCGCGUCACCUCCCGUCGUCGUGCGAUCCUCGCAGCAUUGAGCCGUCGUGCCCGUGGUGCGCAGGGCUAUCGGCUCUCGUGCCGUCUCCUGCCUGGCACGGACUGCCGGUCGUGGCGAGGCAGAAGGGCGAUGGUGGUGUUGUCCACGCCUCUUCUUGGGCGGGGAGGCAUGGUGGUGAGGACGUCUCGGGGCCCUCAUCCGGGUUGGCGCAACGCGGGCUCCUCUCGGUCCUUUGAUCGAGAGCAAGAUCAUGUCAUAGCCGGAGCCAGUAGACAUGAACUCGAGACUCCCAAACCAAAUCACCGUGGAGCACGAAAUCGGCGAAGCGAGAGUGGCCAUCUAGAAAGGAGUGGGAAAUCGGUGAAAAACACGCAGGACCCCUACCUGGCACGCCAACUGUCGGUGUUUCCCCCACGGGUGGUCACACCAAUGAGUGAAUUUGUAUGCGUGCUUCUUAUCCUAGAUGGUGAUGCAAAAAGACACACAAAGAUUUAUCCUGGUUCGGGCAAGAGAAGGCCCUACGUCCAGCGGGGGGAGAGAGUUUGUAUUAUUUUGCACCUAAGUGCUUGUACAGGGGUGAAUACAAGCGUGGUAUGGAGUAUGGAAGUUCUACUGCGUAUGGGUGUGGUGUUGCAUGAUUGAUCUUUGAGUCCGCUCCCGGGCUUUCCCUUUUAUAGUUCCAAGGAGAAGCCCAGUGUACAAGCAUAGGUGUCAGAGAAGGGGUUGAUAGAGGCAUGGCGCGCGGACCUACUCGAGGCCUCCGUACCGGCGUGGUCUCGAGCCAUCCCGUCCUGGUAGUUUGAUGAUGAUUACGCGUGCCCCGAUAUCCUGCUCUGUGCGCCGUCUUGGACUGGUUCACCAGUUGCACGCCUAUACGGCACCGCGGCAGAUCCGUCGGAGUGGUUGCUGUGUUGCCAUUCGACGCCCAACCCUUCCCCCGGAAGGAAAUACGUCUGGUCGUGGGUCAGACGCCAUGUGACGCCCUGCUAUCCAGAGCGUUGACCCUGGAUGUCUCGAGGGGGUCCUGAUUAGACGUUCCAUCCCUGCUUCCCGCGUCCUGACACGCUCUGGGUUGUUUGGUGGGGAAGGCUGCAAAAAGAAAGACGGGACGGGUGCCUGUUUCCUGUCAUGCUUCCCGUGACUUGGCGUGUUAGGUGAGAACGCGACAAGCGCAUUAAAUGCCCUGGUUCCCGUGCGCGCGUCAGGCGGCGGGCGGCGUCCUUGCGCUCGACGCCUCCUGGUUCGCUCGAGCCCGUUUCUGUAUUCGACGGUAGCUGGCGCUCGAGCCCUGAUCGAUUCGCCCGACGCCUUUUCCAUCUUCGAGGCUGCGGUUGUCGAUGACUGUGUGCGUUACUGAUUAGAGCGUCGAGUUGGGGGCCUCGACCUGCGUACGGGCAGUCUCGUUAUGUACAUCAGUUGGGAUACCCCUUACUGAUAUCCUCGAUAGAAAGUGAGUUACCGAUGGAAAUAAAAGUGAAAGGAUUGAAACAUCAGUUUAGAAAUACUUACAGUGUUGUCGGACACUUUGUACUGGGGGUCUAUCAUGCUGCGGUACAUAAGAGCCGAUUUGCAGAACAGAUGCUCCUUCCAUUCUUCCCACCAUUGUUUGUACGCCUGAGUAAUGAAGAGGGCCGGGAUCCACUCUGAUAGAUCUGCAUCUGUAUCGGCAUUUGGUGGCAGUUGGGCUACUCGGGUCCACUCGACAAGGCUAGUGAUGGUUUCCCUGGGUUUUAUCACAUCGGCAUAACAGAGUGUGGUCGGCAGCUGACCGAAAGCUAGUUGACGAGCUAGUGCCGAUGGGUUGUAAAACUCAUAGGUCUGGUUGGAGGCUUUCCCACUGCCAAAGAAGAUUAUUGGUAUGGCUCUGGGAGUGAUUAGUGCCAUCAUCACAUCGUGAUCCUUGUUGAGAGCAUCAUUGAACGGAUGGAAGACCAAAGGAAACAUGGUGUCUGGAUCUUCAUAAGGCAUCCAUGCUCGCUGUUCUCUGUUCAAGCCUUCAUAUAGGGUCUGGAAGAAUCGGCUGACCUGGUCUGCGUUGCCACCUGUACCAGGUAGAACUAUGACAGCUUCGCCAAAGUUCAGAGGAGGACGAGUUGCCGAUUCUUCUUCAUCCAAUUCAUAAUCUUCGGCUAUAUCCCUAGGGAAGCGUUGUGCGAAGAGGUUGAACUCAAGACGCUUGUGCAUAUGGAGACUGAGCCACAUAUUGAUGAACCACCAGGGACCCCCUAAGUUGCCGAUGGAUUGGCCGAGUAGGAGUUUUCUGGCUACUUGAUGGAGGAGAUGGUAGGCAGAGCCAAGCAGGUAUCGGCUGAGGGGAAAUCGGCCACCAUUAGCUAAUCUCUCAGCUGCAGAUAGGUAGACAGAGGUUGGUCCUGCCAAUCGACCACAAAACACAAAUUUGGCCAGCCACAUGUUCAGAAUGGUGGUUUGUUCCUUUAUGUUGACAGGCCCUGUUCUACGGUACUUCUGAAUAUACCCAGACCAGCCGCCGAUAGAGCGGGUUUCCACCUUGGCACUAGGUGUGGUGUCAAAUAUGUGACUACUAUCAGCAGUGCAUACAUCUAAGCCGGUGAGCAUAAGCACAUCAGCAAGAGUGGGAGAAGCAGGGCCAUGGCCGAAGACAAAAGCAUUAAGUGUGUCUGACUAGAAAUAUGAUGCAGCGAUCAGCAGUGAUUCAUUCCUAUGCAUAUCGGCAAGAGAUAGCCUAAUGCACUGGUCCAGUUUUUGUUCACCCCACUGAACCUCAUUCGAAUGGCUGACUCUCAAGAACCAAUCCUUCCAUCCUACAGUAGGACUGGGCCAGUAACGAAAGGUAUCCUUCUACAGAUCUAGAGAAAAAUUCUCGGCUCUAAAGGGGAUUAUGUUUGUUUCUGUGUUGAUCAGAUUGGUGGGAUCUGGGUUCCCUAGCGGACCGAGACAUUGAAGGUGUGGCUGAUCAGUAGGGAUGACAAUUUUAUUGGACAGAUCCUAAUGGUUUUUGGGGUAAAAAGAAGAACAAAAGAAAAAAAGAAGAAUGUUCAGUAAAAUAAAUUGCGGAUGAACAAGGAUAUGAUAAAAGUACAAGAGGUAGGGUGAUGAACUAACCUCGGGAACAACAAAGUUGAUGGCCAUCUCCUCGCGAAGAAGAUGAUCGAAGACUUUGAGGAUGGUGAAGAAGGUCUUUGUUGGAGUUCUUGGAGCUCUCGAACAGCGCCGCCGCCAGAAAAGUGAAGUUGGGGCUGUAGAAUGAAUCGAUGGAGAAGGAGUACCCGAGAAGGAACUAUUUAUAGGACAAAAUGGGCAAGGGCAAAACUGACUUAUCUCUUCGCCGUAUCCGUAAAAUCCGAGAGUACUCAGGUGGAUAUGGUAACUGUUCGCAUAGUAAUCAAGGGAUUGCGCAGGUGAUUUGACAGGAAGCGGUCAUAAUCUAGAGAUAUUCACUGUGCGGGAUUUUCUGGUCGGUCCAUCGGCAGCGCCUUGUAACGGUAAUAUUGCCGAUGGGCGAAUAAAGUGGAGAUGUCCGUUUGAGAGGUUGAGAUAUUUCACUGUGCGGGAUUUCCUGGUCGGUCCAUCAGCAGUUCCUUGUAACGGUAAUAUUGCCGAUGGGCGAUUAAAGUGGAGAUGUCCGUUUGGGAGGUUGAGGAAUUCGAGGAAUCUGCAGAAGAAUCGGGCCAAGGUUGUUCAGAUUUAGGCUGUCGGUUGCCAAUUUGGGAGAAUUAAUUGUGGAAAGGCAUUACUGCAGAGAAUUUUGGAGCAUUAAUGAUUUCAUACUCCGAAACUGGGGGCAUGUGUUGACACCAUUUUUGGACACGUACCCAGGAUCGGUAGAGUGUAGAUCGGCAAGAUAGGGCAACAGUAACUGGUCUGCAGGAAAGUUGCCAAUGAGGGUGGUUGCCGAUGAAGGGACAACUGGAUGUGACUAACUCCAUUUGUGGUGAUGUGUUUAUGCCGAUGGUCAGGAUUAACCUGUGCCAAUGGAUACGAUGAGGGGUCUGCCGAUGAUUUGGAAGAAGAACCUGAAGGUUGCCGAUUGGCCUGUGGUGGUGUCCUAGUUUGUCACGGGAAGAUAGUUUUAUGUUUUCCUUAGUUAUUUAAAUUGUUUUGUAUACGAAUUCUGUUUAAUUUGGAAUUCGAGUUCUAGUCGUGUCUGAUUGUAGCUCUUUGAGCAGGGUAUAAAUGUAGACCCUAGGGCCUUGUAAUCGACAGAAUCUAUCAAUCAAUCAAACACAAGUUUUUACUCAUAUUCCAGCAUCUACUUUUUCGACGACUUCGUCAUAUUUUUCCUUUUAUUAUGAGUUCUUAGGAGUUCAUCGACUUAAGCUCGGCGUAUUCUCGAGUUCCGCGUGAAUACCUCUUGGCCGUGACAUCCGGGCGCAUCGCUGUUGUCGGGACCAAAGUAUUCGAGUUAUCACCUUUGCCGAUAGUAAGGUCAAAUCGGCUGGCACGCCUUAACGUUUAAAUCGGGUAUUAGCCCUUUGUGUUUGCAGAUCAGCUUUUGCAUCAACACAUGUGAAAAGCGACAAGUGGUCCGGCCAGAUCAAGUGCUAGAGCUUGUGGUAAACACUCCAUGUGGGAGAGUGUGACUUGCGGGUGACCACUAGCAAGAGGACCGGUGGCAACCUUGGAGCUUAUCUCAGCGGGGACGUAGCUUGGUGGCAACCAAGUGAACCUCGGGAGAAAAUCAUCGUGUCAACAUUGUUCUUCCCGUUGGUUUGCAAGUCCCUAACACAAGCUUGUUCUUACAUUCAUAUACUUGUGUUUGUGUAGUUGCUCUUGUAAUUAGUUAGCUUGUGUAGCUUGCUAAGUUACCUUCUUGCUUGUGUAGCUAGAAGUAGUUCCCUUGCAUGACUAAUUUGGUUUGUGUAACCUUGUUAGUCACAUUGCUUAGUUUGUGUAGCUAAGUAAUGUGUGCUCUCUAAUUUGGCAUUGGUUGCCUUGUUAUUGAGCAUUGCUAGUGAGCUUAGGAGCUUUGUGCUUUUGCUUACUAGUUGUGUAGGAGCUCCCUGGUCUUGCAAAGUACUAGUGGCAUAGGUUUGUGUGACCUUGCUCCUAGAAUUGGUUCGGUGAGCUCUUGCUAAGGUAGCACCUUGCUUGCUUGUUUAGGAUCUUUUCAAGGUGCUAGAGAACUUUGAUAGAGGGGUGUAGUCUUGGCUAGACCGAUAGUUUUAAUUCCGCAUUUGUUUUCGGUUAGCCGGCGUAAUAAAUUUUUGAAAGGACUAUUCACCCCCCUCUAGUCCACCAUCUCGACCCUUCAGUAGAUCGCAAAGGUGACAGCUUCAUUGAGUCAUAUGUAGUCCACUCCUCGAAUAUAAAACUAGUAAGGCAGAGGUGUGGGGUAAUGUCUUGCUAUGUUCUUGACCUACUUUAGCAAUGUCUCUUGUGUAUGGAUUACAAGUAAAGUCAUUACUAUGAUUACUAAAUAUAAUUGCACUAAUUAAGGUAACUCAAUGACCUAUAGUUAGAAUAACCCUAGGAUUUAGUCUCUAUUUUCUAGUUCUUUAUAGAACCACACCAAGAUAGGAAAUGGUCGGUGGAAUCCAUUUGAAAUAUGUUGACUUAUUAUUAAUUUUCCUUAUUUAUGAUAUGAUUGAUCCUAGUUUCGAGUAUUGAUCUAGUGGAACUCUUAUCACAAGUGUAAGAUAUAGCUUUUAUACCUCCAAGUGCCUUCCCAGUGGUAAAAUUAUAAAUAACUGUUGACACAGUUUUUGAACACGUAUCUAGAAAGUUAAUGAAACGUGGGUCGGUGUUGACGGUCCUUAAGUAUCAAAUUUAAUUAUCAAAUAAAUAAAGAAAAGGAUCCAAAUGAAAUCAACAUCUAGACUUAGGGUUUUAUCUGACAGAAUUCCACGAGUUUUGGUGUUUGUCUAUUUCUGCAGGGGGUUAUCAGGAAAUACGGAAGAAAGGCCCACACGUCGGGAUUACACAGAGAUAUUAACGUGCCGCGCAAUUAUCUUACAUCUAGAAGACUCCAGAAGCCACGAGACCGAAGCGGAGGCGAAACGGGGCCAGAGGCAGGGCGCCCGCCCUCCUGCCCUGGGCGCCCGCCCCCUCCCUGAGUCCAAUCAGGACUCUGCUUCGUGGGAGAUCUCCACUGACCUAAAGGAUGAAUCUAAACCAUACAAUCUAUGUCGGUUUGAUCCAACGACCCAUAUUCACUUGAAGGGACUAUAAAACCAGACCCCCUAGCCCCUGGAGGAGAGAGCCUCUCAACCCUAAUUCAUUGUUCUUCAAGGGAUAAGAAGCCUCUGAUCAAGAUUAGAGCACCACAUCAAUUAGAUAUCUAGAUUAGCAUAGCUACAUAGAAUUAGAACUAGAAGGAGUCAAUCUUCGAUUGGUUUCCGGAUCUGUCAAGAGGAUUCUUGGUAAUUCUCUAAUUGUGCUUCUAAUUGCUUUCUAAUCAUCUUUGUUCUUCAAUAUUAUGAAUAUGACUUUGUUCUACUUCAAUAUAUUGCUUAUGACUUUGCUCUACUUGCUUAUAUUCAAGAUUAUAUUGUUCUUAGUUUAUCAUAGUAAUGUACUUGGCUUAGUUAGAUUGGAUCUAUAUACAUGCUUAGGAUCGUAUAGUGUUUAUCUAUCGGAUCCAUGGGUAAAUGAUAGAUAUUGUGUAGGCGUGGUGCUUAUACCGUAUUUAUCUGCGAUUGUACCCAAUAUGCCAGAUCGUGGGGUAGUUCGUGAUAGUGACAGCUUCAUUGAUUCUUAUAUAGUCCCCCUCUCGUGUAUUGGGCCGGCAGAGCAACAUUAUUACAGGGGAGUGAUUGCUAUGUUUCUCAUUUACCUUGCUAAUAUCACUAUGCAUGGGCGUAGUCUUGUCUCACAAUGAUUGCUAAGUAUGCUUGCACUAACUAUGAUAAAGCUAGACUAUAUAGUUGAGAAUAACUUAGGGAAUAUUCUUGUAGUUCGUUCUAAUACCAUGCUAAUGACUUUCUAGAGUAUCUAAUUGAGGUGCUUAUCAUAUUUAUAUGUGGCUGAUCAGAUUAAUUAUCUUUGUCACUAUUCAUUAAUUCAUAUAUCUUUUAUGUGACACUUAUCCUUGUAUGAAGAGUUAGAUAAAUGUUCUCAAUUAUACAUGCAAUGAUAGAUGCUCAAUCUCAUAUUCUCUUCUGUAAUCAAUAUUGAUGAUUGCUAAUCCCUUCCCAGUGGUAAAAAUAUAAAUAACGAUACCUGAAAUACUUCCCGGUUAAAAUGCUACAUCGGUAUUAAUCUGUGCGCUUGCAGAUCCCAUUCAUUAUUUAUUUAAAAGAGCAAUUGCAUAUUUCAAUACCGCGUCUCUCAUGUCAUGCUGGGGAUGACAACUUGGCUUAAGUGGUGUGAGGGAUAGGUUUUGCAUUUUUGGCACCGUUACUAGAUUUAGAGAACUUAGUCUACUUUUGGUAAUGAUGUUAAGAAUACCCAACAGUUGGCACGCGAGAAAGUAAUGACUGGUUGACAGAGGAAUUGCCGAUAGGUUAUGAUGCCGAUGAUAAAGCAGCAGGAUAUGACCAAGUCCAGGGAUAGUGAUUGAUCUUUGCCGAUGGUUGAUAUUAAUGGUUGCCGAUGCCGAUGGAGGGUGAUAUGCCGAUGAUGAUGGAAGAAGGCGUGGGAAUCAUCGAGACGACGAUGAUGGUGUGCCGAUCGCCUAGUAUAGAUAGAUUAUUAUUUUCCAUAAUUAUUAGAGUUUGUUUUGUACACGAAUUUCGUUUAGUUUCGAAUUAGAAUCCUAGUCGUACCUGAUUGUAACUCUUUAGAUAGGGUAUAAAUAUGGACCUAGUACCGAUGUAAGAGAGAAGACAAUCAAUCAAACACAAGUUUUUACAUCUAUUCUAGCAUCUACUUUUCGACGACUUUGUCAACUUGCAUAUUUUCUUUUUCACUUACGAGUUCUUAGGAAUUCAUCGAGUCAAACUCGACGAGUUCUCAAGUUCCGUGUGAAUACCUCUUGGCCGUGGCAUCCGGGUGCAUUGCUGUUGUCGGGACCAAAGUAUUCAAGUUAUCACCUUUGUCGGUUGUAAGAUCAAAUCGGCUGGCACGCCUUAACGUUGAAUCGGGUAUUAGCCCUUUGUGUUUGCAGAUCCACUUUUGCAUCAACACAACUUUUGGCACACCCAGUGGGACCAAGAUAUCGUCGAGAUCAACAUGUCAAAUAUUGAUUUCGACAUGGAGAACAUCAUUGCUGUAACUGAGGCUAAUCUCAGAGAUGAGCAGAAGCAAGCUAUAGCAAAAGCUAUGGAGGAAUACAAGUAGCUAUCUUUGAAGUCCUUCAGUGUCAAUAGGAGCGGCGAAGUGAUCCAAAAGGAAGCAUUGCCGAUGCCUAGGCAAAACACUUUUGAAGCCAAUCCUGGUAAAUUACAAGAUAUGGUUGACAAUGCUAUUAAUCGUGCUUUGAUCAACCAAUCCAGUGUGCUGUCCAAUAUUGUCUUCAACGCUGUGGCUAGAACUUUCAAAGAAGGACAGGUACCACCAUCAUACAUGGGCCCUGCUUAUCAUCAGCCAGGAUUAUCAUCGGUCACCGCUCCAUCGGCUCCUCCGGCCGUUGCGGGUACAGAAGUUACCUCUCCUCCAAGCACAUUAGGGAUGACUAAUGGACAAUCUACACCGAUGAAGACUAAUCCAGCAACAUCAGAGGGGCGGGUUCAACUUACCACAGAUCUAUCGACAUCUGCAAUGUCAGGAUCUGUAUUCCAGAAUUGUCAAGUUCCUCCCAACUGGUGGGGAUAUGGUAUGCCUCCAGACUUUUUUGCUAAUAGCUCUAGGACAUCUUAAGUGGCUGACAUGACAGGCAAGGCUCCUAUGACAUCGGCACCUCCAGUGUCGCCGAUGACUCAGAAUCCUUAAUAUUCUACAACCACUACUGCGAGGCCUCUUACUGGAAUCUUUCAGAUGCCGACAUUCUAGAUGCCCAAUGCAUCGGCGGAUCCACUACCGACGCACCAAAGGUUUAUGACUCAGACAGGGUAUGUUAACCCAAUGAUGACGCCCAACUAUCAGCCAUCGGUAGGGCCUACACCGAUGAAUGUUAACAAUGGAUGGACAGGGCAGUUUGUCUUUCCACAAAUGGCUCAGCAAAAUCAUCAGACUACAGGAUUCCAGCAGGGUCAGAUGCAGCUUGGGUUUCAGAAUCAAGGGCCAGUCAAUCAGCCGAUGAAUCUUGCUCAGCAGAUCGGUGGCCAAUAGGCUGUGGCUAAUGCUAUGUUCCCUAGAGAUCGUGCACCUCAGAGACACAUGGAAGCUUAUCAGCAGAUGCCAGAUCCACAACCCGCACAUCGGCAGGAUGUCAAUGCCUAUUGGGCCGAUAAGAUAGCUGAAGUGAUGAGAGAUCAGUUUGGGAUAAAGCCCAAAGUCAAUACUUAUUCUUAUCGGACGUUGUAUCCUCCUGCAUACAACUUAAUUCCACUUCCAAAUCGGUACAAGGUGCUAGAUUUCACUAAGUUCUCUAAACAAGAUGAUACAUCAACUAUGGAGCAUGUCAAUCGGUUCAUCAUCUAGUGUGGAGAGGCUGCUAACAGAGACGAAUUAAGAGUUUGAUUAUUUUCAUCAUCUCUAUCGGGAUCGACAUUUACCUGGUUUAUCUCAUUACCUCCAAAUUCGGUAAUUACUUGGGCCGAUCUAGAGAAGCAGUUCCACAAGUAUUUCUUCUCUGGAGUUCAUGAGAAGAAACUUACCGAUUUAGUGAGGCUAAGGCAACGCAAUGAUGAAUAGGUUGAAAGUUUUGUGCAAAGGUUGCGGGAUGUCAAGAACAAAUGCUAUAGUCUGGUUCUGGACGAUCAACAACUAGCUGAUUUGGCUUUCCAGGGAUUGUUGCCACAUAUCAAAGACAUGUAUGCGUCUGAAGAGUUUGAAAGUCUAAGUCAUUUGGUGUAGAGGAUUUCUGAUCAAGAUAUCAAGGCUUUUGAACCUAGGAAAGCUUGGAACAAAAAGGUGUCAUUUGUUGAUGAGGCAACAAGUUUAGAUUCUGAUGAAGAACCAGUCAUCGGCUUGGCGGAAUGGGUGAUGAACAAAAAGCCAAUGUCUUGUCCUUUCGACCAUAGAGAGCCAGAAAAGUUUGCUUUUGACAUCACAAAAGCUGAUAGGAUAUUUGACUUUCUGCUUCAGGAGGGGCAAAUUAAAUUGUCACCCAACCAUGUGAUUCCAUCGGCAGAAGAGUUGAAGAAGAUCAAGUAUUGCAAGUGGCAUAAUGCAACGUCUCAUAGUACAAAUGAAUGCAAGGUGUUCAGACAACAACUGCAAUCGGCUAUAGAGUCUGGGAGGAUUAAAUUUGAUAGCUCCAAUGCUCAGAAGCCGAUGAAGAUUGAUCAACAUCCUUUCCCCACAAAUAUGCUGGACGCUAAGGGAAAGACUAAAGUUUUAACUUCAGAAGCAGCUGAGAAGAGCGCAUCGAUAGAUCCUCAGCACCAAAUCACUGUCAAUGAUGCCAAUGGCAAAGGCUUGAUUGAGGAGGGUAGCAGCUCAGGGAGGCCUCCUCGAUCUGGCAUUAUGAUCACUCAUAGGCGGCAUCGAGAAACAUGGCAACAGCAUGAAGAUCAGUAUCAUCGUCAGCAGGAAGAUCGUCAUCGAGAAUAGGAAAGACGCCGACAAGAGUGGAAUCGGCAUAAAUAUCAUUGGAAUUGCCCGUUCUUCAUCCACUAUCGGGAGCAAAACAUCAAGUUACCAACUGUUAGUGACUGCCCUGAGUGCAAUGGUUAUAAUCGGCAUGAUAGACCAAAUCGGUGAUAUCAGGACGAUGAUCGGCGUCUUAAUGGGCCGAUUUGGGGAACGAUGUCAGUUCAUGACUGGCUGGGGGGUAGGCUCAGAGUGCAUGACAGGCUUGGUGAAUGUGUUGGCUAUUUUCCAAGAAACCAAGAGGAGCUUGAAGAGAUGGCGGAUGCACGAGUUCCCGAUUAGUUUAUAUUUUGUAGGGAUGCUAAUACUUAUCGGAUGGAAUCAAGGGAGGCUCGAUAUCAACCGGUAAGGCAAACACAGCUUCCUCAGUGGUGUCUAGAAGGAUUGACAAGAACAUAGAAAAGGAGGAUGCAGCGAGAACGGCAAGAAGAAUUGAAUAAGGAAGGAAAUUCUUCUGAGUCUGGGAAUCGACAAGAGUCAGAUCACGAGGGAAAGGGCCAUCGGUAGAUGUUAAUAUGGUAUUUAUGUUGCCAAUGGAGUUUCUUGCACCCUUUAGUGAUGAUGAGGAGGUAGAGUUUCCUGAUCAAAUAGCUCAGUUGGCUCUUGAUCCGAUGAUAGCUAUGUUUGAAAAAACUUUUGAUGAUGAAAGACAACAUCUCAAAGCUUUGUUUGUCAAAGGCAGAGUUGAUGGACAGCCGAUGGCCAAAAUACUUAUUGAUGGUGGAGCUGCUAUCAACAUUAUGCCAUACACAGACUAUCGGAAGCUUGGCAAAGGGGAUCAGGAUUUGACCAAGACCGAUAUGAUGUUGAAAGAUUUUGAAGGAAAUGUGUCUCCAGUCAAAUGGGCCAUUUGUGUUUAAUUGACCAUCGGUAGCAAGACCUUGCCGACGACUUUCUUUGUCAUCAGUGGAAAAGGUGCAUACAAUUUGCUAUUGGGGAGAGACUAGAUUCAUGCCAAUUGUUGUAUUCCCUCUACAAUGCACCAGUGCUUGGUUCAGUGGGUAGGAGACAAAAUUGAAAUUGUCCCUGGAGAUUCUUCAUAUGUCGUUGCUUCGGCAGAUACUUAUGAGAAGACCAGAUGCAUUUCACGGGAGGUUUGGGAGAAAGAUUUUCUCAAGGUUGCCGAUUACGAAAUUCCACCGAUCCCUCAGUCGGUUCUGAUGAAGAAUUUUAAUGGAUAGGUUUGCCGAUGAUGGAAAGUUAGGUCAGGGGUUUACAUAGGCUGAUGAUCUAGUAGAAGUAGAUAUAGGUAAUGGUGAUAGGCCAAGGUCUACUUUUAUUAGUGCUAAGUUAGAUUCUGAGUGUAAGCAACAAUUAACCGAUUUGAUAACGGAAUAUAAAGAUUGCUUUGCUUGGGACUAUACCAAAAUGCCUAGUUUAGACCAAUCGAUUGUUGAACAUCGGUUCCCUAUUAAGUUUGGAUUUUGGCACAUCAGCAGCCAGCGCACCGAUGCAAUCCUAAUAUUCUUCCUCAUAUUAAGGCCGAAAAAACUAAACUUAUUGAAGCUAAAUUUAUUCGGCAAUGUUGGUAUGCCGAAUGGAUUUCUAAUGUUGUUCCUGUCUAUAAGAAGAAUGAAAAACUUCGUGUCUGCAUUGACUUCAGGAAUCUCAAUAAAGCCACGUCGAUGGAUGGAUAUCCAAUGCUAGUUGCCGAUUUGUUGGUUGAUGCUACGGCUGGACAUCGGGUUAUUAGCUUCAUGGAAGACAAUGCGGGUUACAAUCAAAUAUUCAUGGCUGAAGAAGAUAUUCCUAAAAUGACAUUUAGGUGUCCUGGUCAUGUUGGAUUAUUUGAAUGGAUAGUCAAGACCUUUGGUUUGAAAAAUGUUGGUGCUACUUAUCAGAGGGCUAUGAAUUUCAUCUUUCACGAGUUCAUCGGCAAGAUAGUGGAAAUCUAUAUUGAUGAUGUGGUGGUUAAGUCUGGAGAUUUCAUGAAACAUCUAGCCGAUUUGCGAAAGGUGUUAGAAUGCACAAGGAAGCAUGGUUUUAAGAUGAAUCCUAAUAAAUGUGCAUUUGGUGUAUCGGCAGGACAAUUUCUUGGUUUCAUGGUGCAUCAAAGGGGGCUUGAAAUUAGUAGGAGAUCCAUUGAUGCCAUCAACAAGAUAGUUGCUGCCACCAAUAAAACUGAACUUCAUUGAUUGAUCAGCAAUAUAAAUUUUAUCAGACGAUUUAUAUCUAAUUUGUCUGGUAAGAUUCGUGCUUUCAGUCCUUUGCUUAAGUUAAAAGCCGAUCAAGAAUUUGUGUGGGGGAAAGAGCAACAAUUAGCAUUGGAUGAGAUCAAGAAUUAUUUGACAAGUCCUCCGGUUUUGAUUCCUCCUCAACAAGGAAAGCCUUUUAGAUUAUAUUUGUCUACCGAUGGGAUGGUCAUCGGUUCAGCUCUAAUUCAAGAAUUUGAAGGGAAGGAGCGUGUGAUUUAUUAUCUAAGUAGAAGACUGGUGGAUGCUGAAACGAGGUAUUUGGCAAUUGAAAAGUUGUGCUUAUGUUUAUACUUUUCUUGUAUCAAAUUGAGACAUUACUUGCUAUCGACCGAAUGCACUGUCAUAUGCAAAGAUGAUGUAGUCCGAUACAUGUUAUCAAUGCCGAUUAUGAAUGGUAGAAUCGGCAAGUGUAUAUUAGCGUUGUUGGAAUUUGAUCUACGCUACGAAUCGGCUAAAGCGGUUAAAGGGCAGAUUAUGGCUGAUUUCGUAACUCAAUAUUGCGGUGUAGUGAAUGCUUUGGAAAUCAUUCCUUGGAUGCUCUUCUUUGAUGGAUCCACAUGUGACCGGGGGGCAGGGAUCGGUAUAGUAUUAAUUUCUCCCUCGGGAAAGAAGUAUCAAUUCUCUUUGCCGAUUGUUGCCACAUCGACAAAUAAUCAAGCUGUGUACCAAGCUUUGAUCAAAGGAUUGGAAUUAUUGAAGGAGAUUCAUGCUGAUGUCGUUGAGAUUUUCGGUGAUUCCAUGCUCGUUAUAAAUCAAUUGGCUGGAAUUUAUGAAUGCCGAAGUGAGGUUUUAAUAUUCUAUUAUGAAAGAUGCGUACAACUGUUAAGGGAAUUCAAAGAUUUCCGAUUAGAGCAUAUUCCUUGGUUACAUAAUGAAGAAGCUAACCGAUUGGCUCAACACGCCUCGGGAUAUCAACCCAUCUUGGACAUAUUAUCGGCAGUCAGUGUCGAUGAUUGGAGAAAGGAAAUUAUUAACUAUUUGAAGAAUCUGUCCAAGAAAGUUGAGAGGCGUGUUAGAUUUCAAGCUACAAAGUAUGUACUCCUUGAAGAAGAGUUGUAUUAUCGGACGAUAGAUGGAAUCUUGCUCAAGUGUUUGAGUGAUGAUGAAGCUAAUAGUUUGAUGGGUGAAAUUCAUGAAGGAGUAUGUGAAGCACUUCAAUCGGCUUUCAAGAUGAAAUGGAUGAUUAGGAGAAACAAAUAUUAUUAGCCGACUAUACUUGAAGAUUGUUUUAAAUAUUUUAAAGGAUGUCAAGGGUGUCAGAAGUUUGGCAAUAUUCAAAGAGCACCUGCAUCGGCCAUGAAUCCCAGUAUUAAACCUUGGCCAUUCCGAGGAUAGGCUAUUGAUCUCAUCGGCCAGAUUUAUCCACCAUCAAGCAAAGGGCAUAAAUUUAUCUUAGUUGCCACUAACUAUUUCACCAAAUGGGUUGAGGCUAUUCCUUUGAAGAAAGUAACAUCAGCCAACAUGAUUGAUUUUGUAAAAGAGCAUAUUGUUUACCGAUUUGGCAAACAAUUACUACUGAUCAGGGUACUAUGUUCACAUCGGGGGAGUUUGAUGAGUUUGCAAUCGGUAAGUGGAUUAAAGUAUUGAACUCUUCUCCUUAUUAUGCUCAAGCUAAUGGAUAGGCCGAAGCUUCUAACAAAGGGAUUAUUAACCUCAUCAAAUGGAAAAUUGAAGAAAAUCCUAGGAGAUGGCACACAUUGUUAAACAAAGCUUUGUGGUCGUAUCGGAUGGUGUGUCAUGGAUCGACCAAAGUAUCGCCCUAUCAAUUGGUAUAUGGACAUGAUGCGGUAUUACCCUGGGAGAUUAAAACUGGUUCCAGACAGAUUUCUUCUCAAGAUCAGCUGGUUGCCGAUGAUUAUGCUACUUUGAUGAAUGAUGAGUUGGAUGAUUUAGCAGGGCAUCGGUUAAAAGCUCUAAUUAAUAUAGAAGAAAAUAAAAAGAGAGUUACUAAAUGGUAUGAUAAGAAGGUGAAGGCUAAAGAGUUUGCCGAUGGAGAUUUGGUGUGGAAGUAAAUUCUACCGAUUGGGACUAAAAGGUCAAAAUUUUGAAAAUGGUCUCCUAAUUGGGAAGGUCCUUAUUGGAUAAAUCGGUCUGCUCCUGGCAAUGCUUAUAUUUUAGAGACUCUCGAAGAAGUUGAAUUUCCCAGAGCAUUAAAUGGAAAAUAUUUAAAGAGAUACUAUCCUAGUAUCUGGGUUGACGCAUAAAAGUUCAAAUGUCGAUAACACUCCUAUCGGCUGGAUGAAAUAUGUCUAGAAUCAUGCAUAAUGUUUAAGUGCCGAUAACAGUCCUAUCAGGUAGACCAGAAUAAUUAGAAGUUUUCUGAGGGCAGAAUUGAACGAGCAGCCGAUGAAGAGCUCAUAGGUUCAGCAAAGCUUGAAUAGCUGAUAUGGCACGCAGACGGAUCUGGUUGGCCUCUUCUAUCUCUCGAAUAUCUUCAUCGGCAAAACCCUCCACUGGCUUCAGCUCCUCCUUCAUCUGCAGUGCUUUGCGGGCUUGGACAUCUCGUUCUUGUUGAAGAGUCAGGUAGCUGGCUUUCUUCUUGCUGGGCUUGAGUCAGGGCAUCUUCCACUUGCUUAAGCGCAGCUAGCAAGGCUUCUCUUCUUGCCGAUAGAUCGGAGAUCUUUUGUUUUAGGCCAUCUCCUGAGGACUGCAGAACGCCGAUGCUCUUGUGUGUCUCAUCGGUGGCAUGCUUUACUUGCAUCAUUUCCUCUACGAGCCAGGCGUGAGCAGCUCUAUCGGCAAGACACUGAGUGGCCUUUUGAUACUGGAGUUGACGGCUGUUGACGGUCCUUAAGUAUCAAAUUUAAUCAUCAAAUAAAUAAAGAAAAGGAUCCAAAUACAACCAACAUCUAAACUUAGGGUUUUAUCUGACAGAAUUCCACGAGUUUUGGUGUUUGUCUAUUUCUACAGGGGGUUAUCAGGAAAUACGGAGGAAAGGCCCGCACGUCGGGUUUACAUAGAGAUAUUAACGUGCCGCACAAUUUUCUAUCAUCUAGAAGACUCCAGAAGCCACGAGAACAAAGCGGAAGCCGAGAGGGCUCAGGGACAGGGCGCCCGCCCUAGUCCUUAGGGCGCCCGACCACCUAUUUCGGCCAAUCACGUUCAACUUCGCGGAUUAUGCUCCACCGACCUUAAGGAUCAAGAAUAACCAUUCAAUCAAUGUCGGUUUGAUCCGACGGCCCAGAUUUACUUGAGGGGACUAUAUAAGCUGACCCCCUCGCCCCUGGAGGAGGCACCCCUUGAUCCCUAUUCAUUAUUCAUAGACAGAGCAAAAGCUAGGGUUUUGAGAUGAGAGCUCUCCUCUCAUCGCUAAACUAGAGUAGAUCUAGAUAGUAGCGAGACGGAGAGCGAGGGUGGAUUGGAGGAGAGGCCGGCCUGUCGGUUCUUCCUCUGGUUGUACUUCGUCAUGAUCAAGCUCUAAUGAAGCUUGCUCAUGGGAUGACUCUGGUAAUCUACUUCUAAUUCAUUAUGCAAUUACUAAUCAUGUAUGUUCUGGUUCACAACUCUUUUGAGUACUUUAAUCUAUACGACGCUAUAGGUGAGAGUUAUAGUAUAGGUGUAAGCGUAGUGCUUAGACCUAGAUUACUUGUGGAUUGUUGACGGUCCUUAAGUAUGAAAUUUAAUUAUCAAAUAAACAAAGAAAAGGAUGCAAAUGAAAUCAACAUCUAGACUUAGGGUUUUAUCUGACAGAAUUCCACGAGUUUUGGUGUUUGUCUAUUUCUGCAGGGGGUUAUCAAGAAAUACGGAAGAAAGGCUCACACAUCGGGAUUACAUAGAGAUAUUAACGUGCCGCGCAAUUAUCUUACAUCUAGAAGACUCCAGAAGCCACGAGACCGAAGCGGAGACGAAACGGGGCCAGAGGCAGGGCGCCCGCCCUGUUCCCCUGGGCGCCCGCCCCCUCCCUGAGUCCAAUCAGGACUCUACUUUGUGGGAGAUCUCCACCUACCUAAAGGAUGAAUCUAAACCAUACAAUCUAUGUCGGUUUGAUCCAACGGCCCAUAUUCACUUGAAGGGACUAUAAAACCAGACCCCCUGGCCCCUGGAGGAGAGAGCCUCUCAACCCUAAUUCAUUAUUCUCAAGGGAGAAGAAGCCUCUGAUCAAGAUUAGAGCCACCACAUCAAUUAGACAUCUAGAUUAGCAUAGCUACAUAGGAUUAGAACUAGAAGGAGUCAAUCUUCGAUUGGUUUCUGGAUCUGUCAAGAGGAUUCUUUGUAAUUCUCUAAUUGUGCUUCUAAUUGCUUUCUAAUUAUCUUUGUUCUUCAAUAUUAUGAAUAUGACUUUGUUCUACUUCAAUAUAUUGCUUAUGACUUUGCUCUACUUGCUUAUAUUCAAGAUUAUAUUGUUCUUAGUUUAUCAUAGUUAUGUACUUGGCUUAGUUAGAUUGGAUCUAUAUACAUGCUUAAGAUCGUAUAGCGUUUAUCCAUCGGAUCCAUGGGUAAAUGAUAGAUAUUGUGUAGGUGUGGUGCUUAUAUAGUAUUUAUCUGCUAUUGUACCCAAUAUGCCAGAUCGUGGGGUAGUUCGUGAUAGUGACAGCUUCAUUGAUUCUUAUAUAGUCCCCCUCUCAUGUAUUGGGAUGGCAGAGCAACAUUAUUACAGGGGAGUGAUUUCUAUGUUUCUCAUUUACCUUGCUAAUAUCACUAUGCAUGGGCGUAGUCUUGUCUCAUAAUGAUUGCUAAGUAUGCUUGCACUAACUAUGAUAAUGCUAGACUAUAUAGUUGAGAAUAACUUAGGGAAUAUUCUUGUAGUUCGUUCUAAUACCAUGCUAAUGACUUUCUAGAGUAUCUAAUUGAGCUGCUUAUCAUAUUUAUAUGUGGCUGAUCAGAUUAAUUAUCCUUGUCACUAUUCAUUACUUCAUAUAUCUUUUAUGUGACACUUAUCCCUGUAUGAAAGAGUUAGAUAAUUGUUCUCAAUUACAUAUGCAAUGAUAGAUACUCAAUCUCAUAUUCUAUUCUGUAAUCAAUAUUGAUGAUUGCUAAUCCCUUCCCAGUGGUAAAAAUAUAAAUAACGAUACCUGGAAUACUUCCCGGUUAAAAUGCUACAUCGGUAUUAAUCUGUGUGCUUGCAGAUCCCAUUCAUUAUUUAUUUAGAAGAGCAAUUGCAUAUUUCAAUACUGCGUCUCUCAUGUCAUGCUGGGGAUGACAACUUGGCUUAAGUGGUGUGAGGGAUAGGUUUGGCAUUUUUGGCACCGUUACUAGAAUUAGAAAACUGUCUACUUUUAGUAAUGAUGUUAAGAAUACCCAACAAUCCCCUGUCUAGCUGGAUGGUGUGGUAGGCCGCGUAGGUGACAGUUACGUUGGUCCCUUGUAGUCCACCUCUUGUUAGCAAGACGGGUAGGGUUUAUCGGCCUAUGGAUAAGCAUCAUUUGUGGUGUAUUCUUAUCAUGUGGUUCGUCCCAGACAUAGACAUACCCCUUUGAAGUAGAGAAACCAUAGUUAUCUUCUCUAUUCUGCUACCAUCGCCCAUAUACUAGAUUGCUCUAUUCUCGAUUCCCAUAUUAUCACUCACUGUUAUAUUACCUUUAAUAUUGUUCUUAUUCAAUUCUACCAUCUUUCCUAUUUACACCUAUCUGUCUAUCUUGGUUAAGUUAGAGCGUAGUUGGUUCUCCCAUUUCCCUGUGGAUACGAUAAAACCUUUAACCGGGUAAAAGCUACAACGGUAUCCGCGUGCUUGCGGAUUUAUCUGUGUGCGUAUAAAUACCAUAGUACACUCUAGUGCCAUGUUAGGGAUGACAACCUAGUAUUCAAGUGGUGUUAGCAAGUGUCAACACGCAUUUUUGGCGCCGGUGCCGGGGAAACGGUUGCUAAGUUGACUACGAACUAGCUUAAUCAUUUUUAAAAAAAAAAAUAAAAAAAAUAUUUUUCCUUUUAUCCUUUGCCUUAUCUCUGCUAUUCUUUCUUCUUAUCUAAUCCUUGAUCUCUGGUAUAUCAUGAAUUCAAACAUGUCUAUCUAUGAAUUUCAUAGACCUACGGGCACACAUCUUGAACCACCAAAAUCUUGAAAACCUAUCAUAGCAUCUAGUUUUGAGAUAGACCCCGAAUACAUAGAAUUUGUUCAAAAACAACCUUUCUCAGGAGAAGGUGAAGAAAAUCCAUACACACACCUAAGAGAGUUUUAUCGAGUCUGUGAGCUCCUUCGCAUUGAAGGCAUGUCCGAUGAGACCCUUAAAUGGAAGCUCUUUCCGUUCUCUUUAACAUGAAAAGCUAGACAUUGGUACAAACUCAAAGUAUGGAGUGUUCAUGGAGAUUGGAAUGAGUUAUAUAAUAGUUUUCUUUUUAAAUAUUUUCCAAUCUCCAAAGUGGCGAAACUUCGGUGUGAGAUUAUUUCUUUUAGACAACUGGAAGAAGAAUCUCUUAGGAAAUCAUGGGACCGCUUUAUUAACCUUACUCUCACUGGCCCAAAGCUUUCUAUUCCAGAAGAAGUUCUUCUAAUUCACUUUUUUUAGGGCCUUAGUGGGGAAAAUAAGCAAACCUUGAAUACAGCCUCUAGAGGAUCCUUCUAUCACCUACCUGCUAGUGAAGCUUGGAAUUUGAUUGAUCUAAUGAGCGGAAAGUCUCCUAGCUUUUAUAUCCCUGAGAAAGAGAAAGAACCAGUUCCUAGACAAGAAGAAGAAGUUUCGAUAGCCAGAUCACAACCACUUCAAUCCCAAACUUUAGCUAUCGAUCCUAAACCAUCAAUACCCUAAAAUUCUCUAAGGGAGCAAGGAAUUCCAACCUUAAAUAUUUUAGAUGUUGAUGGUUUAGACUUCUGGUUCCAUAAGAGACCUUCAAGCAGGGAUAAUUCAAAUCCUUGUAAUAAUGGUUCUUUUAGAGAAUGUCCUGGUUCCUGUUAUGAAGAAGUCGAGAAUGACAUAUCAAGUGAAGGAGAGCUAAACCAUAUAGAAGAUUCUAUCUGCUCUCCUUCCAUGUUCACAAAUUCUAAAUCCAUCCUUGACCUUAGAGACCCCUCUUAUCCCUCUCCUUUUAAGUCUCAUGAUGAUCCUAGCAAUCCAUCAAGACAACCAAACCACAGGAGUCAUGAAGACCAUAAGGAUGGCAUAGAAGGAGAGCUAAGCCAUAGAGAAGAUUCUAUCAGCUCCCCUGUCUUCACAAGUUCUAAACGGCUGGAAUGUGUAGAAUGGAUGGAUAAGGAAGAAGCCUUAAUCGAUUCUAACUUUGGCUUAAUUUCAAAUGGUGAGUUCUUGACUCCUUUUGAAGAUGAGAUUCAUCCAACUACAGAAGAAGACAUAGGCGAGACCAAUCCAGGAGAAACUCCGAACAUUCAGAUUGGAGAUGAAGAUAACAUUAAUGAGCAUGGAAUUUAUUUCAUAGCCACUUUGUUUACUCCAUGCUCAUAUGUAACAUCUUCCCAAUCUAUUGGUCUCUCCAACAUCACCACAUUUGAGAUCUCCAACCCCCUCUUCCUUUCUAUUUAUAAAAACUUUAAAACGGUGGUUGUUGAUGCAUAUGUCUAUAAUAAAUAUUGCAGAUCUCGUUGAAUUGAUCUUGAUAUAGGUCAGCCUUGGAAGGGAAACCACUUCGCCGACAUAAAUUGAUGGUUUCCCAAGGACAAGCUUAGUGUCUUAAAAUAAGCACUGAUCAGAUCUUAACAUGAGCUUUUAAUUAUUUACAACAUUACCUGGUGUAUUGAGCAUAUAAGGAUAAUUAUAAAAAUAUUNNNNNNNNNNNNNNNNNNNNNNNNNNNNNNNNNNNNNNNNNNNNNNNNNNNNNNNNNNNNNNNNNNNNNNNNNNNNNNNNNNNNNNNNNNNNNNNNNNNNNNNNNNNNNNNNNNNNNNNNNNNNNNNNNNNNNNNNNNNNNNNNNNNNNNNNNNNNNNNNNNNNNNNNNNNNNNNNNNNNNNNNNNNNNNNNNNNNNNNNNNNNNNNNNNNNNNNNNNNNNNNNNNNNNNNNNNNNNNNNNNNNNNNNNNNNNNNNNNNNNNNNNNNNNNNNNNNNNNNNNNNNNNNNNNNNNNNNNNNNNNNNNNNNNNNNNNNNNNNNNNNNNNNNNNNNNNNNNNNNNNNNNNNNNNNNNNNNNNNNNNNNNNNNNNNNNNNNNNNNNNNNNNNNNNNNNNNNNNNNNNNNNNNNNNNNNNNNNNNNNNNNNNNNNNNNNNNNNNNNNNNNNNNNNNNNNNNNNNNNNNNNNNNNNNNNNNNNNNNNNNNNNNNNNNNNNNNNNNNNNNNNNNNNNNNNNNNNNNNNNNNNNNNNNNNNNNNNNNNNNNNNNNNNNNNNNNNNNNNNNNNNNNNNNNNNNNNNNNNNNNNNNNNNNNNNNNNNNNNNNNNNNNNNNNNNNNNNNNNNNNNNNNNNNNNNNNNNNNNNNNNNNNNNNNNNNNNNNNNNNNNNNNNNNNNNNNNNNNNNNNNNNNNNNNNNNNNNNNNNNNNNNNNNNNNNNNNNNNNNNNNNNNNNNNNNNNNNNNNNNNNNNNNNNNNNNNNNNNNNNNNNNNNNNNNNNNNNNNNNNNNNNNNNNNNNNNNNNNNNNNNNNNNNNNNNNNNNNNNNNNNNNNNNNNNNNNNNNNNNNNNNNNNNNNNNNNNNNNNNNNNNNNNNNNNNNNNNNNNNNNNNNNNNNNNNNNNNNNNNNNNNNNNNNNNNNNNNNNNNNNNNNNNNNNNNNNNNNNNNNNNNNNNNNNNNNNNNNNNNNNNNNNNNNNNNNNNNNNNNNNNNNNNNNNNNNNNNNNNNNNNNNNNNNNNNNNNNNNNNNNNNNNNNNNNNNNNNNNNNNNNNNNNNNNNNNNNNNNNNNNNNNNNNNNNNNNNNNNNNNNNNNNNNNNNNNNNNNNNNNNNNNNNNNNNNNNNNNNNNNNNNNNNNNNNNNNNNNNNNNNNNNNNNNNNNNNNNNNNNNNNNNNNNNNNNNNNNNNNNNNNNNNNNNNNNNNNNNNNNNNNNNNNNNNNNNNNNNNNNNNNNNNNNNNNNNNNNNNNNNNNNNNNNNNNNNNNNNNNNNNNNNNNNNNNNNNNNNNNNNNNNNNNNNNNNNNNNNNNNNNNNNNNNNNNNNNNNNNNNNNNNNNNNNNNNNNNNNNNNNNNNNNNNNNNNNNNNNNNNNNNNNNNNNNNNNNNNNNNNNNNNNNNNNNNNNNNNNNNNNNNNNNNNNNNNNNNNNNNNNNNNNNNNNNNNNNNNNNNNNNNNNNNNNNNNNNNNNNNNNNNNNNNNNNNNNNNNNNNNNNNNNNNNNNNNNNNNNNNNNNNNNNNNNNNNNNNNNNNNNNNNNNNNNNNNNNNNNNNNNNNNNNNNNNNNNNNNNNNNNNNNNNNNNNNNNNNNNNNNNNNNNNNNNNNNNNNNNNNNNNNNNNNNNNNNNNNNNNNNNNNNNNNNNNNNNNNNNNNNNNNNNNNNNNNNNNNNNNNNNNNNNNNNNNNNNNNNNNNNNNNNNNNNNNNNNNNNNNNNNNNNNNNNNNNNNNNNNNNNNNNNNNNNNNNNNNNNNNNNNNNNNNNNNNNNNNNNNNNNNNNNNNNNNNNNNNNNNNNNNNNNNNNNNNNNNNNNNNNNNNNNNNNNNNNNNNNNNNNNNNNNNNNNNNNNNNNNNNNNNNNNNNNNNNNNNNNNNNNNNNNNNNNNNNNNNNNNNNNNNNNNNNNNNNNNNNNNNNNNNNNNNNNNNNNNNNNNNNNNNNNNNNNNNNNNNNNNNNNNNNNNNNNNNNNNNNNNNNNNNNNNNNNNNNNNNNNNNNNNNNNNNNNNNNNNNNNNNNNNNNNNNNNNNNNNNNNNNNNNNNNNNNNNNNNNNNNNNNNNNNNNNNNNNNNNNNNNNNNNNNNNNNNNNNNNNNNNNNNNNNNNNNNNNNNNNNNNNNNNNNNNNNNNNNNNNNNNNNNNNNNNNNNNNNNNNNNNNNNNNNNNNNNNNNNNNNNNNNNNNNNNNNNNNNNNNNNNNNNNNNNNNNNNNNNNNNNNNNNNNNNNNNNNNNNNNNNNNNNNNNNNNNNNNNNNNNNNNNNNNNNNNNNNNNNNNNNNNNNNNNNNNNNNNNNNNNNNNNNNNNNNNNNNNNNNNNNNNNNNNNNNNNNNNNNNNNNNNNNNNNNNNNNNNNNNNNNNNNNNNNNNNNNNNNNNNNNNNNNNNNNNNNNNNNNNNNNNNNNNNNNNNNNNNNNNNNNNNNNNNNNNNNNNNNNNNNNNNNNNNNNNNNNNNNNNNNNNNNNNNNNNNNNNNNNNNNNNNNNNNNNNNNNNNNNNNNNNNNNNNNNNNNNNNNNNNNNNNNNNNNNNNNNNNNNNNNNNNNNNNNNNNNNNNNNNNNNNNNNNNNNNNNNNNNNNNNNNNNNNNNNNNNNNNNNNNNNNNNNNNNNNNNNNNNNNNNNNNNNNNNNNNNNNNNNNNNNNNNNNNNNNNNNNNNNNNNNNNNNNNNNNNNNNNNNNNNNNNNNNNNNNNNNNNNNNNNNNNNNNNNNNNNNNNNNNNNNNNNNNNNNNNNNNNNNNNNNNNNNNNNNNNNNNNNNNNNNNNNNNNNNNNNNNNNNNNNNNNNNNNNNNNNNNNNNNNNNNNNNNNNNNNNNNNNNNNNNNNNNNNNNNNNNNNNNNNNNNNNNNNNNNNNNNNNNNNNNNNNNNNNNNNNNNNNNNNNNNNNNNNNNNNNNNNNNNNNNNNNNNNNNNNNNNNNNNNNNNNNNNNNNNNNNNNNNNNNNNNNNNNNNNNNNNNNNNNNNNNNNNNNNNNNNNNNNNNNNNNNNNNNNNNNNNNNNNNNNNNNNNNNNNNNNNNNNNNNNNNNNNNNNNNNNNNNNNNNNNNNNNNNNNNNNNNNNNNNNNNNNNNNNNNNNNNNNNNNNNNNNNNNNNNNNNNNNNNNNNNNNNNNNNNNNNNNNNNNNNNNNNNNNNNNNNNNNNNNNNNNNNNNNNNNNNNNNNNNNNNNNNNNNNNNNNNNNNNNNNNNNNNNNNNNNNNNNNNNNNNNNNNNNNNNNNNNNNNNNNNNNNNNNNNNNNNNNNNNNNNNNNNNNNNNNNNNNNNNNNNNNNNNNNNNNNNNNNNNNNNNNNNNNNNNNNNNNNNNNNNNNNNNNNNNNNNNNNNNNNNNNNNNNNNNNNNNNNNNNNNNNNNNNNNNNNNNNNNNNNNNNNNNNNNNNNNNNNNNNNNNNNNNNNNNNNNNNNNNNNNNNNNNNNNNNNNNNNNNNNNNNNNNNNNNNNNNNNNNNNNNNNNNNNNNNNNNNNNNNNNNNNNNNNNNNNNNNNNNNNNNNNNNNNNNNNNNNNNNNNNNNNNNNNNNNNNNNNNNNNNNNNNNNNNNNNNNNNNNNNNNNNNNNNNNNNNNNNNNNNNNNNNNNNNNNNNNNNNNNNNNNNNNNNNNNNNNNNNNNNNNNNNNNNNNNNNNNNNNNNNNNNNNNNNNNNNNNNNNNNNNNNNNNNNNNNNNNNNNNNNNNNNNNNNNNNNNNNNNNNNNNNNNNNNNNNNNNNNNNNNNNNNNNNNNNNNNNNNNNNNNNNNNNNNNNNNNNNNNNNNNNNNNNNNNNNNNNNNNNNNNNNNNNNNNNNNNNNNNNNNNNNNNNNNNNNNNNNNNNNNNNNNNNNNNNNNNNNNNNNNNNNNNNNNNNNNNNNNNNNNNNNNNNNNNNNNNNNNNNNNNNNNNNNNNNNNNNNNNNNNNNNNNNNNNNNNNNNNNNNNNNNNNNNNNNNNNNNNNNNNNNNNNNNNNNNNNNNNNNNNNNNNNNNNNNNNNNNNNNNNNNNNNNNNNNNNNNNNNNNNNNNNNNNNNNNNNNNNNNNNNNNNNNNNNNNNNNNNNNNNNNNNNNNNNNNNNNNNNNNNNNNNNNNNNNNNNNNNNNNNNNNNNNNNNNNNNNNNNNNNNNNNNNNNNNNNNNNNNNNNNNNNNNNNNNNNNNNNNNNNNNNNNNNNNNNNNNNNNNNNNNNNNNNNNNNNNNNNNNNNNNNNNNNNNNNNNNNNNNNNNNNNNNNNNNNNNNNNNNNNNNNNNNNNNNNNNNNNNNNNNNNNNNNNNNNNNNNNNNNNNNNNNNNNNNNNNNNNNNNNNNNNNNNNNNNNNNNNNNNNNNNNNNNNNNNNNNNNNNNNNNNNNNNNNNNNNNNNNNNNNNNNNNNNNNNNNNNNNNNNNNNNNNNNNNNNNNNNNNNNNNNNNNNNNNNNNNNNNNNNNNNNNNNNNNNNNNNNNNNNNNNNNNNNNNNNNNNNNNNNNNNNNNNNNNNNNNNNNNNNNNNNNNNNNNNNNNNNNNNNNNNNNNNNNNNNNNNNNNNNNNNNNNNNNNNNNNNNNNNNNNNNNNNNNNNNNNNNNNNNNNNNNNNNNNNNNNNNNNNNNNNNNNNNNNNNNNNNNNNNNNNNNNNNNNNNNNNNNNNNNNNNNNNNNNNNNNNNNNNNNNNNNNNNNNNNNNNNNNNNNNNNNNNNNNNNNNNNNNNNNNNNNNNNNNNNNNNNNNNNNNNNNNNNNNNNNNNNNNNNNNNNNNNNNNNNNNNNNNNNNNNNNNNNNNNNNNNNNNNNNNNNNNNNNNNNNNNNNNNNNNNNNNNNNNNNNNNNNNNNNNNNNNNNNNNNNNNNNNNNNNNNNNNNNNNNNNNNNNNNNNNNNNNNNNNNNNNNNNNNNNNNNNNNNNNNNNNNNNNNNNNNNNNNNNNNNNNNNNNNNNNNNNNNNNNNNNNNNNNNNNNNNNNNNNNNNNNNNNNNNNNNNNNNNNNNNNNNNNNNNNNNNNNNNNNNNNNNNNNNNNNNNNNNNNNNNNNNNNNNNNNNNNNNNNNNNNNNNNNNNNNNNNNNNNNNNNNNNNNNNNNNNNNNNNNNNNNNNNNNNNNNNNNNNNNNNNNNNNNNNNNNNNNNNNNNNNNNNNNNNNNNNNNNNNNNNNNNNNNNNNNNNNNNNNNNNNNNNNNNNNNNNNNNNNNNNNNNNNNNNNNNNNNNNNNNNNNNNNNNNNNNNNNNNNNNNNNNNNNNNNNNNNNNNNNNNNNNNNNNNNNNNNNNNNNNNNNNNNNNNNNNNNNNNNNNNNNNNNNNNNNNNNNNNNNNNNNNNNNNNNNNNNNNNNNNNNNNNNNNNNNNNNNNNNNNNNNNNNNNNNNNNNNNNNNNNNNNNNNNNNNNNNNNNNNNNNNNNNNNNNNNNNNNNNNNNNNNNNNNNNNNNNNNNNNNNNNNNNNNNNNNNNNNNNNNNNNNNNNNNNNNNNNNNNNNNNNNNNNNNNNNNNNNNNNNNNNNNNNNNNNNNNNNNNNNNNNNNNNNNNNNNNNNNNNNNNNNNNNNNNNNNNNNNNNNNNNNNNNNNNNNNNNNNNNNNNNNNNNNNNNNNNNNNNNNNNNNNNNNNNNNNNNNNNNNNNNNNNNNNNNNNNNNNNNNNNNNNNNNNNNNNNNNNNNNNNNNNNNNNNNNNNNNNNNNNNNNNNNNNNNNNNNNNNNNNNNNNNNNNNNNNNNNNNNNNNNNNNNNNNNNNNNNNNNNNNNNNNNNNNNNNNNNNNNNNNNNNNNNNNNNNNNNNNNNNNNNNNNNNNNNNNNNNNNNNNNNNNNNNNNNNNNNNNNNNNNNNNNNNNNNNNNNNNNNNNNNNNNNNNNNNNNNNNNNNNNNNNNNNNNNNNNNNNNNNNNNNNNNNNNNNNNNNNNNNNNNNNNNNNNNNNNNNNNNNNNNNNNNNNNNNNNNNNNNNNNNNNNNNNNNNNNNNNNNNNNNNNNNNNNNNNNNNNNNNNNNNNNNNNNNNNNNNNNNNNNNNNNNNNNNNNNNNNNNNNNNNNNNNNNNNNNNNNNNNNNNNNNNNNNNNNNNNNNNNNNNNNNNNNNNNNNNNNNNNNNNNNNNNNNNNNNNNNNNNNNNNNNNNNNNNNNNNNNNNNNNNNNNNNNNNNNNNNNNNNNNNNNNNNNNNNNNNNNNNNNNNNNNNNNNNNNNNNNNNNNNNNNNNNNNNNNNNNNNNNNNNNNNNNNNNNNNNNNNNNNNNNNNNNNNNNNNNNNNNNNNNNNNNNNNNNNNNNNNNNNNNNNNNNNNNNNNNNNNNNNNNNNNNNNNNNNNNNNNNNNNNNNNNNNNNNNNNNNNNNNNNNNNNNNNNNNNNNNNNNNNNNNNNNNNNNNNNNNNNNNNNNNNNNNNNNNNNNNNNNNNNNNNNNNNNNNNNNNNNNNNNNNNNNNNNNNNNNNNNNNNNNNNNNNNNNNNNNNNNNNNNNNNNNNNNNNNNNNNNNNNNNNNNNNNNNNNNNNNNNNNNNNNNNNNNNNNNNNNNNNNNNNNNNNNNNNNNNNNNNNNNNNNNNNNNNNNNNNNNNNNNNNNNNNNNNNNNNNNNNNNNNNNNNNNNNNNNNNNNNNNNNNNNNNNNNNNNNNNNNNNNNNNNNNNNNNNNNNNNNNNNNNNNNNNNNNNNNNNNNNNNNNNNNNNNNNNNNNNNNNNNNNNNNNNNNNNNNNNNNNNNNNNNNNNNNNNNNNNNNNNNNNNNNNNNNNNNNNNNNNNNNNNNNNNNNNNNNNNNNNNNNNNNNNNNNNNNNNNNNNNNNNNNNNNNNNNNNNNNNNNNNNNNNNNNNNNNNNNNNNNNNNNNNNNNNNNNNNNNNNNNNNNNNNNNNNNNNNNNNNNNNNNNNNNNNNNNNNNNNNNNNNNNNNNNNNNNNNNNNNNNNNNNNNNNNNNNNNNNNNNNNNNNNNNNNNNNNNNNNNNNNNNNNNNNNNNNNNNNNNNNNNNNNNNNNNNNNNNNNNNNNNNNNNNNNNNNNNNNNNNNNNNNNNNNNNNNNNNNNNNNNNNNNNNNNNNNNNNNNNNNNNNNNNNNNNNNNNNNNNNNNNNNNNNNNNNNNNNNNNNNNNNNNNNNNNNNNNNNNNNNNNNNNNNNNNNNNNNNNNNNNNNNNNNNNNNNNNNNNNNNNNNNNNNNNNNNNNNNNNNNNNNNNNNNNNNNNNNNNNNNNNNNNNNNNNNNNNNNNNNNNNNNNNNNNNNNNNNNNNNNNNNNNNNNNNNNNNNNNNNNNNNNNNNNNNNNNNNNNNNNNNNNNNNNNNNNNNNNNNNNNNNNNNNNNNNNNNNNNNNNNNNNNNNNNNNNNNNNNNNNNNNNNNNNNNNNNNNNNNNNNNNNNNNNNNNNNNNNNNNNNNNNNNNNNNNNNNNNNNNNNNNNNNNNNNNNNNNNNNNNNNNNNNNNNNNNNNNNNNNNNNNNNNNNNNNNNNNNNNNNNNNNNNNNNNNNNNNNNNNNNNNNNNNNNNNNNNNNNNNNNNNNNNNNNNNNNNNNNNNNNNNNNNNNNNNNNNNNNNNNNNNNNNNNNNNNNNNNNNNNNNNNNNNNNNNNNNNNNNNNNNNNNNNNNNNNNNNNNNNNNNNNNNNNNNNNNNNNNNNNNNNNNNNNNNNNNNNNNNNNNNNNNNNNNNNNNNNNNNNNNNNNNNNNNNNNNNNNNNNNNNNNNNNNNNNNNNNNNNNNNNNNNNNNNNNNNNNNNNNNNNNNNNNNNNNNNNNNNNNNNNNNNNNNNNNNNNNNNNNNNNNNNNNNNNNNNNNNNNNNNNNNNNNNNNNNNNNNNNNNNNNNNNNNNNNNNNNNNNNNNNNNNNNNNNNNNNNNNNNNNNNNNNNNNNNNNNNNNNNNNNNNNNNNNNNNNNNNNNNNNNNNNNNNNNNNNNNNNNNNNNNNNNNNNNNNNNNNNNNNNNNNNNNNNNNNNNNNNNNNNNNNNNNNNNNNNNNNNNNNNNNNNNNNNNNNNNNNNNNNNNNNNNNNNNNNNNNNNNNNNNNNNNNNNNNNNNNNNNNNNNNNNNNNNNNNNNNNNNNNNNNNNNNNNNNNNNNNNNNNNNNNNNNNNNNNNNNNNNNNNNNNNNNNNNNNNNNNNNNNNNNNNNNNNNNNNNNNNNNNNNNNNNNNNNNNNNNNNNNNNNNNNNNNNNNNNNNNNNNNNNNNNNNNNNNNNNNNNNNNNNNNNNNNNNNNNNNNNNNNNNNNNNNNNNNNNNNNNNNNNNNNNNNNNNNNNNNNNNNNNNNNNNNNNNNNNNNNNNNNNNNNNNNNNNNNNNNNNNNNNNNNNNNNNNNNNNNNNNNNNNNNNNNNNNNNNNNNNNNNNNNNNNNNNNNNNNNNNNNNNNNNNNNNNNNNNNNNNNNNNNNNNNNNNNNNNNNNNNNNNNNNNNNNNNNNNNNNNNNNNNNNNNNNNNNNNNNNNNNNNNNNNNNNNNNNNNNNNNNNNNNNNNNNNNNNNNNNNNNNNNNNNNNNNNNNNNNNNNNNNNNNNNNNNNNNNNNNNNNNNNNNNNNNNNNNNNNNNNNNNNNNNNNNNNNNNNNNNNNNNNNNNNNNNNNNNNNNNNNNNNNNNNNNNNNNNNNNNNNNNNNNNNNNNNNNNNNNNNNNNNNNNNNNNNNNNNNNNNNNNNNNNNNNNNNNNNNNNNNNNNNNNNNNNNNNNNNNNNNNNNNNNNNNNNNNNNNNNNNNNNNNNNNNNNNNNNNNNNNNNNNNNNNNNNNNNNNNNNNNNNNNNNNNNNNNNNNNNNNNNNNNNNNNNNNNNNNNNNNNNNNNNNNNNNNNNNNNNNNNNNNNNNNNNNNNNNNNNNNNNNNNNNNNNNNNNNNNNNNNNNNNNNNNNNNNNNNNNNNNNNNNNNNNNNNNNNNNNNNNNNNNNNNNNNNNNNNNNNNNNNNNNNNNNNNNNNNNNNNNNNNNNNNNNNNNNNNNNNNNNNNNNNNNNNNNNNNNNNNNNNNNNNNNNNNNNNNNNNNNNNNNNNNNNNNNNNNNNNNNNNNNNNNNNNNNNNNNNNNNNNNNNNNNNNNNNNNNNNNNNNNNNNNNNNNNNNNNNNNNNNNNNNNNNNNNNNNNNNNNNNNNNNNNNNNNNNNNNNNNNNNNNNNNNNNNNNNNNNNNNNNNNNNNNNNNNNNNNNNNNNNNNNNNNNNNNNNNNNNNNNNNNNNNNNNNNNNNNNNNNNNNNNNNNNNNNNNNNNNNNNNNNNNNNNNNNNNNNNNNNNNNNNNNNNNNNNNNNNNNNNNNNNNNNNNNNNNNNNNNNNNNNNNNNNNNNNNNNNNNNNNNNNNNNNNNNNNNNNNNNNNNNNNNNNNNNNNNNNNNNNNNNNNNNNNNNNNNNNNNNNNNNNNNNNNNNNNNNNNNNNNNNNNNNNNNNNNNNNNNNNNNNNNNNNNNNNNNNNNNNNNNNNNNNNNNNNNNNNNNNNNNNNNNNNNNNNNNNNNNNNNNNNNNNNNNNNNNNNNNNNNNNNNNNNNNNNNNNNNNNNNNNNNNNNNNNNNNNNNNNNNNNNNNNNNNNNNNNNNNNNNNNNNNNNNNNNNNNNNNNNNNNNNNNNNNNNNNNNNNNNNNNNNNNNNNNNNNNNNNNNNNNNNNNNNNNNNNNNNNNNNNNNNNNNNNNNNNNNNNNNNNNNNNNNNNNNNNNNNNNNNNNNNNNNNNNNNNNNNNNNNNNNNNNNNNNNNNNNNNNNNNNNNNNNNNNNNNNNNNNNNNNNNNNNNNNNNNNNNNNNNNNNNNNNNNNNNNNNNNNNNNNNNNNNNNNNNNNNNNNNNNNNNNNNNNNNNNNNNNNNNNNNNNNNNNNNNNNNNNNNNNNNNNNNNNNNNNNNNNNNNNNNNNNNNNNNNNNNNNNNNNNNNNNNNNNNNNNNNNNNNNNNNNNNNNNNNNNNNNNNNNNNNNNNNNNNNNNNNNNNNNNNNNNNNNNNNNNNNNNNNNNNNNNNNNNNNNNNNNNNNNNNNNNNNNNNNNNNNNNNNNNNNNNNNNNNNNNNNNNNNNNNNNNNNNNNNNNNNNNNNNNNNNNNNNNNNNNNNNNNNNNNNNNNNNNNNNNNNNNNNNNNNNNNNNNNNNNNNNNNNNNNNNNNNNNNNNNNNNNNNNNNNNNNNNNNNNNNNNNNNNNNNNNNNNNNNNNNNNNNNNNNNNNNNNNNNNNNNNNNNNNNNNNNNNNNNNNNNNNNNNNNUGCAGCUGGUCUCACCCGGUGUGACACCGCCCUCCCCCCUCGGGUGGCCGCCCUGGCCAGGCCACCAAUCAGGUUCAACUUUGCGGAUCAUGCUCCACCGACCUAAAGGAUCAAGGAAAACUGUGUGAUUAAUGUCGGUUUGAUCCGACGGCCCACAUUCAUUUGGAAGGACUAUAUAAGCAGACCCCCUAGCCCCUAGAGGAGAGGACAUCUAUCCCUCAGAAACCCUAAUUCAUUAUCCAUCUCGGGAGAAGAAGCCUCUGAUCAAGCCCUAGAGCCACCACAUCAAUUAGAUCUCUAGUUUAGCAUAGCUACAUAGGAUUAGAACUAGAAGGAGUCAAUCUUCGAUUGGUUUUCGGAUCUGUCAAAAGGACUCUUGGUAAUUCCUCUACUGUUCUUCAAUUGUUCAUCAUCGUUCUUCAAUAUCAUGAAUAUGACUUUGUUCUACUUCAAUAUAUUGGUUAUGACUUUGCUCUACUUGUUUAUUUUUGCAAUUAUAUUGUUCUUAGUUUAUCAUAGUUAUAUGCUUGGCUUAGUUAGAUUGGAAUUAAUACAUGUUUAGGAUCGUAUAUCGUUUAUCCAUGUGUACAGUGGGUAAAUGAUAAGUAUUGUGUAGGCGUGGUGCCUAUACCGUAUUUAUCUGCGAUUGUACCCUAUAUGCCAGAUCGCGGGGUAGUUCGUGGUAGUGACAGCUCCAUUGAUUCUUAUAUAGUCCCCCUCUCGUGUAUAGGGCUGGCAGAGCAACAUUAUUAUAGGGGAGUGAUUGCUAGGUUUCUCAUCUUCCUUGAUAAUAUCACUAUGCAUGGGCGUAGUCCUGUCUCGCAAUGAUUGCCAAGUAUAAUUGCACUAACUAUGAUAUGCUAGACUUUAUAGUUAGGAAUAACUUAGGAAAUAUUCUUGUAGUUUGUCCUAAUUCCAUGCUAAUGACUUGCUAGAAUAUCUAUUGAGGUGCUUAUCAUAUUUAUAUGUGGCUAAGUUAUGCUGAUCAGAUUAUUUAUCUUUGUCACCAUUCAUACUUUAUCUAUCUUUUAUGUCACAUUUAUCCCUGUAUGAAAGAGAUAGAUAACUGCUCUCAAUUAUACAUGCAAUGAUAGAUACCCAAUCCCAUAUUCCAUUCCAUAACCAACAUUGAUGUUUAGCAAUCCCUUCCUAGUGGUAAAAAUAUAAAUAACAAUACCUAGAAAACUUCCCAGUUAAAAUGCUACAACUGUAUUAAUCUGUGUGCCUGCAGAUCUCAUUUAUUAUUUAUUCAGAAGAGCAAUUGCAUAUUUCAAUACCGCGUCUCUUAUGUCAUGCUGGGGAUGACAACUUGGCUUAAGUGGCAUGAGGGAUAGGUUCGGCAUUUUUUGCGCUGUUAUCGAAUUAGAAAACUAAGUCUACUUUUGGUAGUGACGUUAAGAAUGACCAACACUUGCCGGCACGCUACGUCCCCGUUGUGUCGACCAACACUUGGUGGUUCGGUGUCUAAGAGGUGUAGCACGAACCUCGUCCUCACUAGGACACCACAAGAACCAACCCACAAGUGAGGUAACUCAAUGACACGAGCACUUUACUAGAGUUACCUUUCGGCUCUCCGCCGGGGAUGGUACAAGACCCCUCACAAUCACCGAGAGAUGGCCACGAAUAAUCACCAAUUCGUGCCAAAGCUCCUCCGUUGCUCCAAGCCAUCUAGGUGGCGGCAACCACCAAGAGUAACAAGAAAACCGCAGCUAGAACGAUCCCAAAGUGCCACUAGAUGCAUUCACUCAAGAAAAUGCACUUGGAAUCACUCCCAAUCUCACAAAGAUGUAUAAUCUAUGAAGGAGAUGAGUGGGAGGUGUUUGCUUAGGCUCACAAGGAUGUCUAGUAGUCAAGAAUGCCAAGAGGGUGAGCCCUAAGCCGGCCAACAACUAUUUAUAAGCCCCUCAAGCAAAUAGAGCCGUUGGCUCUUUCACUGGGCAAACUGUGGGGUCACCGGACGCUCUUAAAGGGGCACCGGACGCUCAACACCUGCGUCCGGUGCUCCAAAGUCAGCCGCGUGUCAGGGUCUAACGGUAACCUACAGAGCACCGGACGCUGAGCAAGUUACCACCAGACGCGUCCGGUGUACACCGGUCCUAAAGUCAGAGAGGUCUGCAAACGCGCAGGGUCACCGGACGCUGAGCACCGGACCGUCCGAUGCUCACCGGACUUAAACUCAGAGAGCUUUGCAAAAUGCUCAAGGCACUGGAUGCACACCACCGGACGCUCCCUGAGCGUCCGGUGCUUCUAGUCAAACACACCGGCCAAAGUCAGAUAGCACCAGACGCAUGAACAUGAGCUCCCCUGUGUCCGUUGUUCACCGUCCGGUGCUUAACCCUAGCACCACAACACACCGGAUGCACAGCCACUGCGUCCGGUGCCUCAGCGGCCAGCGUCCGAUGAGUGUUUCUUAGCGAGAAACACUCUCGUGACUUCUCCAAAGUUUCCCACUGGCGCAAUAGAAAAAAAUGCACUUCAUUUUCUCAAAAAGUGUCGAAUCACAAUGUGUAAACUUGCUCAGAGUGCUCAAUGUGUAAACCCAUCCUCUCUUUACCCUUCAAACUCCACCUCCUUCUCAAAGUGUGCCAACACCACAAUGUGUAAACCAACAAGUGCACGUGUGUUAGCAUUUUCACAAUCAUUUUCUUCGAAGGAGAUAAGUUAGCUCACUAGGUUCUAAAUGCAUGCUAAUGAACAAUGACACCUAGUGGCACUUCAUAACCGCUUAGCCAAAGAAUUCCCCUCUUAUAGUACGACUAUCUAUCCUAAAUGUGAUCACACCUUCUAUGGUGUCUUGAUCACCAAAACUAAAACCCCAAGCAAUACCUUUGCCAUGAUCUCCAUAGGGUUUUGUUUUUCUCUUUCUUCUUUUCCAAGUUGAGCACUUGAUCAUGUUGUGGUCAUCACCAUCAUCACAAUGAUCAUCUCUUGCUCCAUCAUUUGGCAUGUACCAACCUUAUUAAGUCUACACACACUUAGUAUAGAGGUUAGUACUAGGGUUUCAUCAAUUAUCCAAAACCAAACUAGGUCUUUCACCAGAGCAUGGUUUGGAACGUAAACGUGCUUGGUGCGCACAGUCCCCGACCAAAGCGUAGAGACUGGUGGACAAGUCCCUGAGCAUGGUUGGGAAUGUAAAUGUGCUCGGUGGUCCAUACAGUCUUAGAGCACAGCAUAGAGACUAGUCGACAAGUCCCCGAGCGUGGUUGGGAACGUAAACAUGCUCGGUGGUCGGAGCAGUCCCCGAGCACAGCGUAGGGAAUAGUCGACAAGUCCCCGAGCGUAGCUUGUUGAUUGGGCCAAACUCCUGAAAAAUAAUAUAGAGAAUAGGUAGUACAUGAUGUAUAAAUAAACUCUAGAUAAAAAAUCAGCACUGAGAUAAGUUUUAGAUUUUUGUUAUAAAAUUAGCACGAGUAGUUAACUCAUCCUAUAGCUUGUACCAGCUCUGGUCUACCCAACAAUCAGCAUGAGGUGCGGAACUUAGGCACGCGUAGGAUUACCAGCCUCGCCAGAGAGCUACUGCCGACCACCCGGAACGCAGAGGGCGGAUCUCAUGCAUGUGUAGGGAGUCGGAGAUAGUGCCGGCUCUGGAAAACUUGUGUAGCAGAAAAAACUAGUCGGCUAAAAAAAGUUGUUUUGAAGGAUAAUAAUAUUAAAAAUAUUAUGCCAUAAAUAAAUAAAAUAUUAGAAGUGUACUUAUCUUUGGAUGAAAGUUUGGUCAGUGGUGACAAAUUUGUCUGGCCCUCGAGCUUUUUGACUUGUUGUCAAGACGGUGGUCGCGGUUGUCGUAGAGCCGUUCUUCGCGGCGAUUAUUAUUGCGACUGGUGACACAUGUUUUGGACACGUACCUUUUGACACAUACCUAGAGUUAGUGAAAUGUAGAUCGGUAGAUGGAGCAAUGGUGACUAGUCUACAGGGAAGUUGCCGAUGAAGGUGGUUGCCAAUGGGGAGACAACCGAAUAUGACUAAGUCCAGAAGUGAUGACAUAUUCAUGCCGAUGACCUGUGCCGGUGUUUGCCGAUGGCUGUAACAGGUAGUCUGCCGAUGACUCUGCAGAAAAGCGUGGAGGUUGCCGAUUGAUUCGUGGUAGUGACCCGAUCGGUUACGGGGGAUAGUUUAAUGUUUUCCUUAGUUAUUAGAAUUCGUUAUGUAUACGGGUUCCGUUUCAUUUGGAAUUCGAGUCCUAGUCGUGUCUGGUUGUAGCUCUUUGGACAGGGUAUAAAUGUAGACCCUAGGGCCAUGUAAUGACAUCUAUCAAUCAAUCAAACACAAGCUUUUACUCAUAUUCCAGUAUCUACUUUUUCGACGACUUUGUCAUAUUUUCUUUUUACUACGAGUUCUUAGGAAUUUGUCGAGUCAAUCUCGGCGUGUUCUCAAGUUCCGCGUGAACACCUCUUGGCCGUGACAUCUGGGCGCAUCGCUGUUGUUGGGACCAAAGUGUUCGAAUUACCACCUUCAUCGAUUGUAAGGUCAAAUCGGCUGGCACGCCUUAACGUUUGAAUCGGGUAUUAGCCCUUUGUGUUUGCAGAUCAGCUUUUGCAUCAACACAUAUUUUGGCACGCCCAGUGGGACCUAUUCAAGAUUAAGAUCAACAUGUCGAACACCGAUUUCGACUUCGAGAACGUUAUCCCCAUGACGGAAGCCAAUCUCAGAGAUGAGCAGAAGCAAGCUAUGGCAAAAGCCAUGGAGGAAUACAAGCAGCAAUGCUUGAAAUCCUUCAGUAUCAACAGGAGCGGCGAGGUGACCCAAAAGGAAGCAUUGCCGGCACCUCGUCAGAUAACUUUUGAAGCCAAUCCUGGUAAACUUCAAGACAUGGUUGACAGUGCUAUUAACCGUGCCUUAAUCAAUCAAGUUGGCGUGCUGUCCAACACGGUUUUCAAUGCUGUAGCUAGAACUUUCAAAGAAGGACAAGUACCACAAACUUAUGUGGGUCCUGCCUAUCAUCAGCCAGGGUCAUCAUUGGUCAUGGCUCCAUCGGCUACUACAUUCGUUGUGGGUACAGAAGCUACUUCUCCUCCAAGCACAUUAGGGAUCACUAAUGCGCAAUCUACACCGAUGACGACCAAUCCAUCAACAUCAGACGGGCAAAUCAAGCUUGCCACAGAUCUAUUGGCAUCGGUAAUGUCAGGGUUUGUUCCUCCCAACUGGUGGGGUUAUGGUAUGUGUUGAUGCAAAACUGAUCUGCAAACACAAAGGGCUAAUACCCGAUUCAAACGUUAAGGCGUGCCAGCCGAUUUGACCUUACUAUCGGCAAAGGUGAUAACUCGAAUACUUUAGUCCUGACAACAACGAUGCGCCCGGAUGUCACGGCUAAGAGGUACUCACGCGGAACUCGAGAACACGCCGAGCUUAAGUCGACGAAUUCCUAAGAACUCGUAAUAAAAAGAAAAAAAAGUAUGACGAAGUCGUCGAAAAGUAGAUGCUGGAAUAUGAGUAAAAACGUGUGUUUGAUUGAUUUCUUGAUUGAUUAUUACAAGGUCCUAGGGUUUAUAUUUAUACCCUGCUCAAAGAGCUACAACCAGACACGAUUAGAAUUCGAAUUCCAAAUUACACGGAAUCCGUAUACAAAACGAUGCAAAUAAUUAAGGAAACAAUAAAACUAUCCUUCGUGACAAACCGAAACUCCUCCACAUGACAACUGGCAGCUUCCGGACUCCUCCUUUGCAUCAUCGGCAAUCCCCUUGCCAUAGUCAUCGGCAGACCUUUUUAUCCAGCCAUCGGCACCAUAUUACUGCCUGUGGACUUAGUCACAUUCAACCUCUCCCUCAUCGGCAACCAUCCUCAUCAGCAACCCGCAUCGUACUGUCACCCUAUCUUGCCAUCCUAGACACGUGCCCAAAAACGGUGUCAACACAUGCCCCCCAGUUUCGGAGUAUAAAACUACUAAUGCUCCGAAAUUCUCUGCAGUAAUGAUGCCUUCUUCGCAAUUAAUGCUCCUAAUCUGGUAACCAACAACCUCAAUCUGGACAACUCUGAUCCUAAUCCUCCGCAGACUCCUCGAAAUCCCCAACUUCCUAAAUGGGCAUCUUUCUUGGUCGUACAUCGGCAACAAUACCGUUACAAAGAUCUGCCGAUGCUCUGACCAGGAUAUUCGCAAAAACAGUUACCUCCCCUCUAUCCGCCCAUCGGCAAGAUGACCGUUAUAGAAUAUCGCCGAUGGACCGACCAGGAGAUCUCGCACAGUAAAACAUCUUCAGAUAAUGACCGCUUUCCGUCAAAUCACCUGCACAAUCCCUGAAUUACCGUGCGAACAGUUACCAUAUCCACCUGAGUACCCUCGGGCUUCUCGGAUGCGGCAAAGAGAUAAGUCGGAUUUGCCCUUGCCCAUCUUGUCCUAUAAAUAGUUCCUUCUUGGGUACUCCUCCCCCAUCACACCAUUCUACUAUCCAACUUUGCUUUUCCAGCGGCGGCGCCAUUUACAACCUUCAAGAUCUCCGACAAGCACUCCUCUUCAUCAACUCCGGUGCCCUCCAACGUCCUCUUCACGACAAGAUGGCCAUUGGCUUCGUCGUCCCUGAGGUCAGACUCCCAUCUCAUCUUCUGUGUAUAUUCCUAUUCAUCCGCGAUUCAUCUUACUGAAUAUUCUCCUUUUCCUUUUUCUUUGUGUUUUUAUUCCCCCCAAAAUCACUAGGAGUUGUCCAAUAAAAUUGUCAUCCCCACCGAUCAACCACACCUUCAAUGCCUUGGUCCUCUAGGGGAUUCAGAUCCAACCAAUCUUAUCAACGCAGAAACCAAUAGAAUCCCCUUUAGGGCUGAAAACUUUUCUGUAGAUCUAUGGAAAGACACUUUUCGCUCUUGGCCCAGUCCUACCGUAGGAUGGAAAGACUGGUUCUUGAGGGUCAGCAAUUCUUAUGAAGUCCAGUGGGGUGAGAGGAAGCUAGCCCAAUGCAUUAGGCUAUCCAUUGCCGAUAUGCACAGGAACGAAUCACUGCUGAUAGCUGCAUCCUACUUUUGGUCAGACACUCUCAAUGCUUUUGUUUUUGGCCACGGCCCUGCUUCUCCUACCCUUGCCGAUGUAGCCAUGCUCACUGGGCUAGAUAUAUCUUCUGCCGAUAGCACCCACUUUUUUGAUACUGCCCCCAGUGCCAAAGUGGAGACUCGCGCUAUCGGCGGUUGGUCAGGGUACAUCCAGAAGUACCGCGGGAGAGGGUCUGUCACCAUAAAGGAGCAAACCACCUUUCUGAACAUGUGGCUGGACAAGUUCGUAUUCUGUGGUCGAUCGGCAGGACCGACUUCUGUCUAUCUAUCGGCAGCAGAAAGACUAGCUAACGGUGGCCAAUUUCCUCUCGGCCGAUAUUUGCUCAGCGCUGUUUACCACCUUCUUCAUCAGGUAGCCCAGAAACUCCUGCUUGGCCAAUCCAUCGGCAACUUGGGAGGCCCCUGGUGGUUUAUUAAUAUGUGGCUCAAUCUGCACCUGCAUAAGCGCCUUGAUUUCAACUUGUUCUCACAGCACUUCCCAAGAGAUAUAGCCGAAAAUCAUGUGUUGGGUGAAGAGGAAUCGGCAACGCGUGCCCCCUUGAACUUUGGCGAAGCCGUUAUAGUCUUACCCGGUUCAGGGAACAAUCCGGAUCAGAUCGGCCGAUUCUUCGAGACUCUGUAUGAGGGUCUGGUCAGAGAUGAACGACCAUGGCUGGCUUAUGAUGACCCAGAUAGCAUGCUCCCUCUGACCUUCAAUCCAUUUGAUGAAGCUCUCGACAGGGACAAUGAGGCGAUGAUAGCAAUUGUGACUCCCAGAGCCAUUCCAGUGAAUUUCUUCGGUAGCACGAAAACUUCUCCCCAAACCUAUGAAUUUUACAAUCCAUCGGCAUUAGCUCGCCAGCUAGCUUUCGGCCAGUUGCCGAUUGCACUUCCUUAUGCCGAUGUGAUAAAGCCCAGAGAACCCAUCACCAACCUUCUCGAGUGGACUCGAGUAGCCCAGCUACCACCAAAUGCCGAUACAGAUGUAGAUCUGUCAGAAUGGGUUCCAGCUGCCUUUAUCACUCAGGCAUACAAGCUAUGGUGGGCAGAAUGGAAAGAGAAUCUAUUCUGCAGAUCGGCCCUCUCAUACCGCGGCAUGAUCGACCCCGAAUACGAAGUCCCUGAUGACACUGUAAGUAUUUUAAACCGAUGUCUCAUUUUCCAAUACUAUUUCCAUCGGUAACUUACCCCUGUAUUCCUUUUUCAGGUUGACAACACCCCCCCAUCGGUUAGCAGGAGUGGCAAGCCGAUCGACUUGUUCCCAUCAGGCCCGAUCUCCUCAAUCGGCCACAAUGCUCCCACUCUGGCUUCCAUCGUGCAUCGGGGUGCGCGCCUCAAGAAAGUUAUCACCAGGAAAACUCAGACAUCGCCAACGGUAGCUGCUUCCACUCUGGCGCAAGCUUUCAAGGCAAUUUGUCAAACCCUUUUCAUUUAUGCUGACUAUCUUUGUAUCGGCUAUCUGUGCUCAUAAACUCCUUUUUGUUGUUGCAGCAAACUGGUGCAUCGGCAAAAGCCAAACGCCAAGGUACCGAUGCCCCCCAGUCUAGCCAGCCAAAGAGGAAGGGCACCCAAGGUGCUAAGGCUGGAACAAAGCGCCAGAAAGUGGCAACUCCCCCUCCUCCUCCGGUGUCUCCAAUCCCGGUGGAAUCUUCCCCUUCUUCUCCAGAAGUCCAGACACAACAAGCACCAUCUCCCCAACCAAUGCAGGAAGCACCACAGAUGGAAGAACCCCAGCAGGAAGAACCUCAAACAGAAGGUACAUCAGCUGACGUGGGUGAACAAACAACUGGCCCGGCAGGUCCAGUUAUAUCAUCGGCGGUUUCCCCGAUUCAGACAACUGUUGUUCCUCCUCCGGGUAACAUAUUUCAACAAUACUUCCGCCGAUAAACUUAUUCUCAUUUAGUCUCAUAACCCUUCAUGUCUUCUUUCAGUCGAUACCGUUCCAUCGGCAACAUUUGCCGAUCAACCUGUAGCUCCAUCGGUAUCUUUGAGUCAAAGGCAAGAAAUUGCCUUGAAACAAGUAAGUCAUCCAAUUUUUCCACCAGUAUCGUCUGCCGAAGCUUUGACCAUAAAAAUGACUUAUUUCAUUCUCAUUUUCAGGAACAAGAUUCUCCCGAUAGCUUAUUCUCCUUCGCCAUUGAUAUCUUCGAAGAAGAAGGUGAGGAAGCAAGCUCCUCUCGGGCAAUUGGGACUGUAUCGGCAGAAACCAGGGCUAAGCUGGAGGAGCUAUCGGCCAUACUUCAUCAAGACACAGCUCAACUGGUCAACGAUUCUGACCCAGCCAAGGCCCUGUUCAAGACCCUUAGAGGCCAAAUUCCUGCCGAUGCUGAAGAAACCCUCUUCCAUGCUGCACACCUAGAAAGCCGCCAGCUACAGUACCAGAGAGCCACUCGACGCCUUGCCGAUAGAGCCGCUCAAAUCCAGCUUUCUGAGGAGAUGAUGAAAGAAAAACUCUUAGCCGAUGAGAAACAUAAGAACAUCGGCACCUUAAAGUCCUCAGGUGAUGCACUGAAGCAGAAAGUAUCUGAUCUAUCGGCAAAAAGAGAAGCUCUACUGGCCGAACUCAAGCAAGUAGAGGAUGCUCUGUCCCAAGCCCAGCAAGAAGAGAGUCAACUGCCGGAGACCAUCAAGCACCUUGAACAAGAACGAAACGUCCACGGUCGCAAAGCGCUGCAGUUGAAGAGGAAGCUGAAGCCGAUAGAAGGUUCUGCCGAUGAUGAUAUCAAAGAGAUAGAGACAGCCAAUCAGAUCCGGCUGCGCGCCAUAUCGGCAAUCCAAGCGCUGCUGAACAUCUGAAGCUUUCAUCGGCAACACACCUUUGUUUUCCCGCUUUUAGCUUUUAGUCUAGCCGAUAAGACUGUUAUCGGCAUCUUUUGAAACAUUAAGUCUGCCCCCAAACAUUUAAAUCCAGCCAAUAGGAGUGUUAUCGGCACUUAAACUUCUAUGCAUCGACCCAUAUGCUGGGGUAGUACUUCUUUAAAUAUUUGCCAUUUAAUGCUCUGGGAAAUUCAACUCCUUCGAGAGUUUCUAGAAUAUAGGCAUUACCAGGAGCCGAGUGUCUUAUCCGAUAAGGACCUUCCCAAUUAGGAGACCACUUCCCAAACUUCGAACUUUUGGUCCCAACUGGUAAAAUUAAUUUCCAUACCAAAUCCCCAUCGGCAAACUCUUUAGCCUUCACUUUCUUAUCAUACCAUCUAGCAACUCUUUUCUUAUUUUCUUCUAUACUCAUUAAAGCUUUUAACCGAUGCCCUGCUAGAUCAUCCAAUUCAUCGGUCAUCAAAGUGGCAUAAUUGUCGGAAGUUAAUUGAUCUUGAAAAGAUAAUCGCCUAGAUCCAGCCUUAAUUUCCCAAGGCAACACGGCAUCAUGUCCAUACACCAAUUGAUAGGGUGAUACCUUGGUCGAUCCAUGACAAGCCAUCCGAUAAGACCACAAUGCUUCAUUUAAUGAUGUAUGCCACCGCCUAGGAUUUUCUUCAAUCUUUCGUUUAAUAAGCUUGAUAAUUCCUUUGUUAGACGCUUCGGCCUGCCCAUUGGCUUGAGCAUAAUAAGGAGAAGAAUUCAACACUUUAAUUCCCAUACCGAUUGCGAAUUCAUCGAACUCCCCCGACGUGAACAUGGUGCCCUGAUCGGUAGUAAUCGUUUGGGGAAUCCCAAAUCGGUAAAUAAUAUGCUCCUUCACAAAAUCAAUCAUAUUGGCCGAUGUGACUUUCUUCAAAGGAAUAGCUUCGACCCACUUAGUGAAAUAGUCAGUGGCAACUAGAAUGAACUUAUGCCCUUUGCUAGAUGGUGGAUAAAUCUGGCCGAUCAGAUCGAUGGCCCAUCCCCGGAACGGCCAAGGUUUUAUUAUAGGAUUCAUAGCCGAUGCGGGUGCUCUCUGGAUAUUACCGAACUUUUGACAACCUUGACAUCCCUUGAAAUAUUUAAAACAAUCUUCAAGUAUGGUUGGCCAAAAAUAUCCAUUCCUUCGAAUCAUCCACUUCAUCUUAAAAGCUGACUGAUGCGCUCCACACACUCCUUCAUGGAUUUCCCCCAUCAAACUUCUGGCUUCAUCAUCACCCAAGCAUCGGAGAAGAAUUCCGUCGAUAGUUCGAUAAUACAAUUCAUUUUCAAGGAGCACAUACUUGGUUGCCUGAAAUCGAACCCGUCUUUCAACUUUUUUGGAUGGAUCUUUUAGAUAAUCAACAAUUUCUUUCCUCCAAUCACCGGCACCGACUGCCGAUGUCGCAUUAAUCAUUGGCUGAUAUCCCGAGGCAUGCUGAGCUAACCGAUUAGCGUCUUCAUUAUACAAUCGGGGAAUAUGCUCCAAUCGGAAGUCCUUGAAUUCCUUUAACAGUUGCAUACUUCUCUCGAAAUAGGUUAUGAGAACUUCACUUCGGCAUUCAUAGCUUCCGGCCAAUUGAUUUAUAACCAACAUAGAAUCCCCGAAUAUUUCAACAGCAUCAGCACGAACUUCUCUUAACAACUCCAAUCCCUUGAUCAGAGCUUGAUACUCAGCCUGAUUAUUUGUUGAUGUAGCAACAAUCGGCAAGGAAAACUCAUACUUCCUCCCCUUAGGAGAAACUAAUACAAUGCCGAUUCCUGCCCCCCGGUCACAGGUAGAUCCAUCAAAGAAGAGCGUCCAGGGUGCAAUUUCCAAGGUUUCCACUAGACCGCAAUGCUGAGUCACAAAAUCGGCCAUAAUCUGCCCUUUGACUGCCUUAGCCGAUUCGUAACGCAAAUCGAACUCUGACAGCGCUAAAAUCCAUUUACCGAUCCUACCACUCAUAAUCGGCAUAGAUAGCAUGUAUCGGACCACGUCAUCUUUGCAAACAACAGCACAUUCGGCCGAUAAUAGGUAAUGUCUCAGCUUGAUACAUGAAAAAUAUAAGCAUAAGCACAGUUUCUCAAUGGCCGAAUACCUGGUUUCAGCAUCAAUCAACCUCCUACUCAAAUAAUAAAUUACCCUCUCUUUCCCUUCAAAUUCUUGAACUAAAGCUGAACCGAUAACCGAUCCAUCGGUAGAUAAAUACAAUUUGAAGGGCUUCCCUUGUUGAGGUGGAACUAAAACUGGAGGAUUUACUAGAUACUUCUUGAUUUCAUCCAGAGCCAACUGCUGUUCUUCUCCUCAAACAAACUCUUGAUCGGCUUUCAAUUUAAGAAGAGGACUGAACGCACGAAUCCUCCCAGAUAAAUUCGAUAUAAAUCUUCUGAUAAAAUUUACCUUGCCGAUCAAGGAUUGGAGCUCGGUUUUAUUGGUAGGGGCCACUAUUUUAUUGAUGGCAUCAAUAGAUCUUCGACUAAUUUCAAUACCCCUCUGAUGUACCAUGAAACCAAGAAACUGCCCUGCCGAUACGCCAAAUGCACACUUGUUGGGAUUCAUCUUCAAUCCAUGCUUCCUUGUGCACUCCAACACUUUUCGUAAAUCGGCAAGAUGCUUUGAGAAAUCUCCAGACUUAACCACCACAUCAUCAAUAUAAAUCUCUACGAGCUUACCGAUGAACUCAUGAAAUAUAAAAUUCAUAGCCCUUUGAUAAGUAGCACCAGCAUUCUUUAACCCAAAAGUCAUGACUAUCCAUUCAAAUAGUCCAACAUGACCAGGACACCUGAAUGCGGUUUUUGGAAUAUCCUCCUCUGCCAUGAAUAUUUGAUUGUAACCUGCAUUACCAUCCAUGAAGCUGAUGACCCGAUGGCCAGCCGCAGCAUCAACCAGUAGAUCGGCGACAGGCAUUGGGUAUCCAUCCAUCGGUGUAGCUUUAUUGAGAUUCCUGAAAUCAAUGCACACCCAAAGCUUCCCGUUCUUCUUGUAAACCGGAACAACAUUGGAAAUCCAUUCGGCAUACCGACACUGCCGAAUAAACUUAGCUUCAAUAAGUUUAGUGAUUUCGGCCUUAAUAUCAGGUAGAAUGUUAGGAUUACAUCGGCGGGCUGGUUGCUGAUGUGGCCGAAAUCCAGACUUGAUGGGUAACCGAUGUUCGACAAUUGAUCGGUCUAAACCAGGCAUCUCUGUAUAAUCCCAAGCAAAGCAAUCUUUAUAUUCCUUUAACAAACUAAUCAAUUGUCGCUUACACUCAGGAUCUAAUUUAGCACUAAUAAAAGUAGGCCUAGGCUUAUCACCACUACCUAUAUCUACUUCUACCAAAUCAUCGGCCGAUGUGAAUCCCUGGCAUAAUUUUCCAUCAUCGGCGAAUCUAUCCAUUAAAAACCGUCGUCAGAACCGACUGCUUGGAUCGGUGGAAUCUCAUAAUCGGCAACUUUGAGAAAAUCUUUCUCCCAAACUUCUCCUGAAAUGCACCUGGUCCUUUCGUAAGUAUCCGCUUCUGCCGAUGCGAUAACAUAAGAAGAAUCUCCUGGGACGAUCUCAAUCUUGUCACCUACCCACUGAACCAAGCACUGAUGCAUUGUAGAUGGGACACAACAAUUGGCAUGAAUCCAAUCUCUCCCCAAUAAUAAAUUGUAGGCACCUUUUCUGCUGAUCACGAAAAAAGUUGUCGGCAAGGUUUUGCUGCCGAUGGUUAACUCUGCACAUAUCGCCCCCUUGACUGGAGACACGUUUCCUUCAAAGUCUUUGAGCAUCAUAUCGGUCUUGGUCAAAUCUUGAUCCCCUUUCCCAAGCUUCCGAUAUACUGCAUACGGCAUAAUAUUAAUAGCAGCUCCACCAUCAACUAGGAUCUUGGUCAUUGGCUGCCCAUCAACCCUUCCUUUGAGGAACAAAGCUUUAAGAUGCUGCCUCUCGUCAUCGGCAGGUUUCUCAAAGAUAGCCGUCAUCGGAUCCAGAGCCAACUGAGCUAUCUGAUCAGAAAAUUCCAACUCAUCGUCACUGGCUGGUGCAAGAAACUCCAUCGGCAACAUGAAGACCAUGUUGACGCCUGCCGAUGGACCUUCCCUCUUAGUGUCUGACGGCUGCCGACUUCCAGAGUUCUCUCCCUUGUUUAGCUCCUCUUGCCUUUCUCGUUGCAAUCUCCUUUUCUGUGUCUUGGUUAAUCCUCGAGGGCACCAUGGAGGAAGUGGCCUUUGCCUUGCCGUCGGGCGUCGGUUCUCCCUUGACUCCAUGCGAUGCGUGUUAGCAUCCCUGCAAAAUAUGAAUUCAUCGGGAACCUGCGCAUCAGCCAUUCCUUCAAGCUCCUCUUGGUUCCUGGGAAAAUACUGGACACGGUCACUAAGUCUGUUGUGCCCACUGAAUCUGGCCCCCAGGCGGUCAUGAACUGACACCCUUCCUCUGAUCGGCCCAUUAGCUCGCCGUUCAUCAUCAUGAUAACGCCGAUCGUUCCUAUCGUACCGAUCAUAACCGUUGCAUUCAGGGCAGUCUCUGUCAGUAGGAAGCUUGAUAUUUUCCUCCCAACAAUGGAUGAAGAAUGGGCAAUUCCAAUGAUCUCUGUGCCGAUUCCACUCCUGUCGGCGUCUUUCUUCUUCCCGUUGAUAAUCUUCCUGCUGGCGCCGAUACCGAUCUUCCCGUUGUUGCCAUUUUUCUCGAGGCCUCCUAUGAGUUAUGACGAUACCAGAUCGAGGAAGCCUUCCUGAGCUAGUUACUUCCUGGACCAAGCCCUUACUUCUUGCAUCGGCAGUAGUAACUUGAUGCUGAGGAUCUACCGAUGCAUUCUUCUCAGCUGUCUCCGACGUUAAGACCUUAGCCUUCCCCUUAGCAUCCAACAUGUUUGUCGGGAAAGGAUGUUGGUCUAUCUUCAUCGGCUUCUGGGCUUUGGAACUGUCAAACUUGAUUCUCCCUGACUCUAUAGCCGAUUGCAGCUGCUGUCUGAAUACUUUGCACUCGUUGGUGUCAUGUGAAGUUGCAUUAUGCCACUUGCAAUAUCUCAUCCUCUUCAACUCUUCUGCCGAUGGGAUCACAUGGUUAGGUGACAGUUUGAUUUGACCUUCCUGAAGUAGAAAGUCAAAUAUCCUAUCGGCCUUGGCGGUGUCAAAGGCAAACUUCUCUGGUUCCUUCUGCCCAAAAGGACAAGACAUCGGCUUCUUGUUUUUUACCCACUCUGCCAAACCGAUUACUGGUUCCUCAUCGGAAUCUGAGCUUGUUGCUUCAUCAACAAAUGACACUUUCUUAUUCCAUGCCCUCUUAGGCUCGAAAGGCUUGAUGUCUUGAUCAGAUAUCCUCUGCACCAAAUGACUUAAACUUUCGAACUCCUGAGAGGCAUACUUAUCCCUGAUAUGUGGCAACAAACCCUGGAAAGCCAAAUCGGCUAGCUGCCGAUCGUCCAGAACCAGACUAUAGCAUUUAUUCUUGACCUCUCGUAUUCUCUGCACAAAUCCCUCAACCGACUCAUCAUUACGUUGCCUCAACUUGACCAAGUCGGUGAUCUUCUUCUCAUGAACCCCCGAGAAGAAGUAUUUGUGGAAUUGCUUCUCUAGAUCGGCCCAAGUAAUUACUGAGUUGGGAGGUAAUGAUAUGAACCAAGUAAAGGCCGAUCCAGACAAUGAUGAUGAAAAUAGACGAACCCUCAAUUCGUCCCUGUUACUAGCCUCUCCACAUUGAAUAAUGAACCUGUUGACAUGCUCCAUGGUUGACGUGUCGUCCUGUCCGGAAAACUUUGUAAAAUCCGGUACCUUGUACCGAUGUGGAAGCGGGAUCAAAUCAUACGCUGGAGGAUACGGUGUCCGAUAAGAAUAAGUGUUGACUUUGGGUUUUAUCCCAAAUUGUUCCCUCAUUACUUCAGCAAUCUUAUCGGCCCAAUCCGCAUCAGCAUCUUGCCGAUGAGGCGGCUGCGGAUCUGGCACUUGGUGGCGAACCUCCACGUGUCUGUUCGGGACGUGACCUGCAUGGAACAUUGUAUUGGUCACCUGUCCUCCAAUCUGCGGACCACCAAACUGCUGUCCACCGAUUGGCUGUCCUCCGAGUUGCUGUCCAAAAUUUAUUGGCUGGUUGGGAAUCCCCUGACCUUGGAACCCGGGAUAGACCUGCCCUUGCUGGAACCCUGUAGUCUGAUAACCCUGCUGGGGUGAUUGUGGAAAGGCUUGCUGUCCAAGCCAUCCAUUAUUAGCGUUCAUCGGCAUAGGUGCUGCUGAUGAUUGGUAAUUGGGUACCGUCGUUGAAUCGACAUACCCCGACUGGGCCAUAGGCCUCUGUUGCAUCAGCAUUGACUCUGCCGAUGCGUUGGGCAUCUGAAACAUUGAAUCUUGAGGAUUCCCAGUGUGAGGCCUUGCAGUAGUAGUUGUGGUAUACCGAGGACUCUGGUUCACCGGCGCAUUGGGAGGUGCCGAUGUCAUAGGAGUUUUGCCCCUCAUGUCAGUUAUUUGUGAUGUUCCCGGCGUCAACUCUGGAGGCAUACCAUAACCCCACCAGUUGAGAGGAAGAGUCAACCCUGACAUUGCCGAUGCUAACAUAUCUGUUGUCAGUUUAUGCUGCCCAACUGAAAUUUAUGGGUUGGUUGCCAUCGGCAUAGAUAGUGCACCAGUAGUCCCCAAUGUACUUGGAGGGACGGCAGACUGUGCACUUGCAUUCGUCAAGGCAGCCGAUGGAGCCGUGACCUCUGGUGCCGUUGGCUGAUGAUGGGAGGGCCCCACAUAAUCUGGCGGGAUUUGUCCUUCCUUGAAAGUUCUUGCCACGGCGUUGAAAACCAUAUUAGACAGUACACCAGCUUGGUUAAUCAACGCUCGAUUGAUGGCAUUGUCAACCAUAUCUUGAAGCUUGCCAGGAUUGGCGUCAAAGGUGACCUGCCGUGGUGCCGGCAGUGCAUCUUUCUGGACCACUUCGCCGCUCCUGUUUAUGCUGAAAGACCUCAGGCAUUGCUGCUUGAACUCUUCCAUGGCUUGGGCAAUAGCUUGCUUUUGCUCAUCCUUGAGGUUGGCCUCCGUCACGGGGAUGACGUUCUCUUGAUCGAGGUCAGAGAUCGACAUGUUGAUCUUGAUCUUGAAUCUGUCCCACUGGGCGUGCCAAAAGAUGUGUUGAUGCAAAACUGAUCUGCAAACACAAAGGGCUAAUACCCGAUUCAAACGUUAAGGCGUGCCAGCCGAUUUGACCUUACUAUCGGCAAAGGUGAUAACUCGAAUACUUUAGUCCUGACAACAGCGAUGCGCCCGGAUGUCACGGCUAAGAGGUACUCACGCGGAACUCGAGAACACGCCGAGCUUAAGUCGACGGAUUCCUAAGAACUCGUAAUAAAAAGAAAAAAAAGUAUGACGAAGUCGUCGAAAAGUAGAUGCUGGAAUAUGAGUAAAAACGUGUGUUUGAUUGAUUUCUUGAUUGAUUAUUACAAGGUCCUAGGGUUUAUAUUUAUACCCUGCUCAAAGAGCUACAACCAGACACGAUUAGAAUUCGAAUUCCAAAUUACACGGAAUCCGUAUACAAAACGAUGCAAAUAAUUAAGGAAACAAUAAAACUAUCCUUCGUGACAAACCGAAACUCCUCCACAUGACAACUGGCAGUUUCCGGACUCCUCCUUUGCAUCAUCGGCAAUCCCCUUGCCAUAGUCAUCGGCAGACCUUUUUAUCCAGCCAUCGGCACCAUAUUACUGCCUGUGGACUUAGUCACAUUCAACCUCUCCCUCAUCGGCAACCAUCCUCAUCAGCAACCCGCAUCGUACUGUCACCCUAUCCUGCCAUCCUAGACACGUGCCCAAAAACGGUGUCAACAGUAUGCCCCCAGAUUUGAUGGCAAAGAGUGCUGGAACAUCUCAAGUGGCUGACUUGACAGGCAAGGCUCCUAUGGCAUCGACACCUCCAAAUCCGCCGAUGAAUCAGAGUCCCCAGUACAAUACAACUACUACUACAAGACCUUACACUGGGAAUUCUCAAGCCCCAACAUUCCAGAUGCCUAAUGCAUCGGCAGAUUCAAUGCCGACGCAACUGAGGUUCAUGACACAGCCAGGGUAUGUCAAUUCAAUGAUGAUGCCCAAUUACCAGUCAUCGGCAGCGCUUAUGCCGAUGAAUGCUAACAGUGGAUGGACUGGGCAGUUUGUUUUUCCACAGAUGCCUCAGCAGAAUCAUCAGGCUGUAGGGUUUCAACAAGGACCAAUCCAACCUAGAUUUCAGAAUCAAGGAUUGGUCAACCAGCCGAUGAAUCUUGGUCAGCAAAUUGGUGGUCAGAUGGUUAAUCAAAUGUUCCAUGCAGAUCGUGCACCUCAGAGACAUGUAGAAGCUUAUCAGCAGGUGCCAGAUCCACAGCCGCCUCAUCGGCAAGAUGCUGAUGCUUAUUGGGCCGAUAAGAUAGCUGAAGUGAUGAGAGACCAAUUUGGGAUAAAGCCCAAAGUCAACACAUACUCUUAUCGGACACCGUAUCCUCCCGCAUAUGAUUUCAUUCCACUUCCAAAUCGGUACAAGGUACCAGAUUUCACUAAGUUUUCUGGAUAGGAUGAUACGUCGACUAUGGAACAUUUUAAUAGGUUUAUCAUCCAAUGUGGAGAGGCUGCUAACAGAGAUGAAUUAAAGGUUCGCUUGUUCUCAUCAUCUUUGUCUGGAUCAGCUUUUACUUGGUUUAUUUCGUUACCUCCCAACUCAGUAAUCACUUGGGCCGAUCUAGAGAAGCAAUUCCAUAAAUACUUCUUUUCUGGAGUUCAUGAAAAAAAGAUUACCGAUUUGGUCACGUUGAAGCAACGCAAUGAUGAAUCAGUUGAGAGCUUUGUGCAAAGAUUGCGAGAAGUCAAGAAUAAAUGCUAUAGACUGGUUCUAGAUUUGGCAGCUAGCCGAUUUGGCUUUUCAAGGACUGCUGCCACAUAUCAGAGACAAAUAUGUUUAUCAAGAGUUCGAGAGUCUGAGUCAUUUGGUGCAGAGGAUUUCUGACCAAGACAUUAAACCUUUUGAACCCAAGAGAGCAUGGAAUAAAAAGGUGUCAUUUGUUGAUGAGGCAGCAAGUUCGGAUUCUGAUGAAGAACCGGUCAUCGGCUUAGCAGAGUGGGUAAAAAAAUAAGAAGCCGAUGUCUUGCCCUUUUUGGAAUAAAGAACCAGAGAAGAUUGCAUUUGACAUCACCAAAGCCGAUAGGAUAUUUGAUUUUCUACUUCAGGAAGGGAAAAUCAAGUUGUCACCCAAUCAUGUGAUCCCGUCGGCUGAAGAAUUAAAGAAGAUGAAAUAUUGUAAGUGGCACAAUGCAACAUCUCAUGGUACAAAUGAGUGCAAGGUUUUCAGGCAACAGCUGCAAUUGGCUAUAGAAUCUGGGAGAAUCAAGUUUGAUAAUUCUAAAGCUCAGAAGCCGAUGAAGAUCGAUCAACAUCCUUUCUAAACAAAUAUGUUGGAUGCUAAGGGAAAAACCAAGGUCUUGACAUCAAAGGCAGCUGAAAGGAGUGCAUCUGUGGAUCCUCAGCAUCAGAUCACUACCGAUGACGCUAAAGGCAAGGGUCUGGUGCAGGAAGGAACCAGCUUAGGAAGGCCUCCCCGAUCUGGCAUUGUGAUAACUCAUAGAAGGCAUCGGGAGACUUGGCAGCAACGUGAGGAUCGGUAUCGGCGCCAACAGGAGGAUCAUCAUCGGGAAGAAGAAAGACGCUGGCAGGAAUGGAAUCGGCAUAAGGAUUAUUGGAACUGCCCGUUCUUUAUCCAUUGUUGGGAACAGAACAUCAAGUUGCCUACUGUUAGAGAUUGCCCUGAGUGUAAUGGUUAUGAUCGGUAUGAUAGACCUAAUCGGCAGUAUCAGAACGAUGAUCGGCGAUUUAAUGAGCCAAUUAGGGGAAGAGCCUCAGUUCAUGAUCGGCUGGGAGCAGGCUCAGUGUGCACGAUCGACUUGGCGACCGUGUUGGAUACUUUCCUAGGAACCAAGAGGAACUUGAGGAGAUUGCAGAUGCACGAGUUUCUGAUGAGUUCAUAUUUUGUAGAGAUGCCAAUACUUACCGAGUGGAGUCAAGAGGAGUUCGUCGGCAAUCGGUAAGACAGCCGCAACUUCCUCCAUGGUGUCCGGAGGGGCUGACUAGGACAUAGAAAAGAAGGUUGCAGCGCGAAAGACGAGAAGAUUUGAGCAAAGGAGAGAAUCCUGGCAAAUCUAGAGAUCAGCAGUAGCCGGAUCCCAAGGGAAAAGGACCAUCGGCAGAUGUUAAUAUGGUAUUCAUGUUGCCGAUGGGGUUCCUUGCGCCGUCCAGUGAUGAUGAAGAGCUAGAUUUUUCUGACCAGAUAGCUCAGUUGGCUUUGGAUUUGAUGACAGCUAUCUUUUAAAAGCCUGCCGACAAUGAAAGGCAGCAUCUUAAGGCUCUAUUCGUCAAAGGAAGGGUUGAUGGGCAGCCGAUGACCAAAAUAUUAGUUGAUGGUGGUGCUGCUAUUAAUAUUAUGCCGUAUGCAGUUUAUCGGAAGCUUGGGAAAGGAGAUCAGGAUUUGACCAAGACCGAUAUGAUGCUAAAGGACUUUGAAGGAAAUGUGUCUCCGGUUAAGGGGCCGAUAUGCGUCGAGUUGACUAUCGGCAGCAAAACCUUGCCGACAACUUUCUUCGUAAUCAGUGGAAAGGGUGCUUAUAAUCUGCUACUAGGGAGAUUGGAUCCAUGCUAAUUGUUGCAUCCCAUCAAUAGUGCACCAAUGCUUGGUUCAGUGGGUAGGUGACAAGAUUGAGAUUGUCCUGGGAGAUUCUUCUUAUAUCAUCGCAUCGGUAGAAGCAGACACUUAUGAAAGGACCAGGUGCAUCUUAGGAGAGAUUUGGCAGAAGGAUUUCCUUAAAGUUGCCGAUUAUGAGAUUCCACCGAUCCAAGCAGUCGGUUCUGAUGAGGAGUUUUAAUGGAUAGGUUCGCCGAUGAUGGGAAAUUAGGCCAACGGUUUACUUCGGCGAUGAUUUAGUAGGAGUAAAUAUAGGUAAUGGUGAUAAGCCAAGACCUACUUUUAUUAGUGCUAAGUUAGAUUCUAAGUGUAAGCAACAGUUAACCGGUUUGUUAAAGGAAUAUAAAGAUUGCUUUGCUUGGGAAUAUACUGAGAUGCCUGGUUUGGACCGAUCUAUUGUUGAACAUCGGUUGCCUAUCAAAUCUGGAUUUCGGCCAUAUCAGCAGCCAACCCAUCGAUGUAAUCCCAAUAUUCUUCCUAAUAUUAAGGCCGAAAUAACCAAACUUAUCGAAGCUAAAUUUAUUCGGCAGUGUCGGUAUGCCGAGUGGAUUUCCAAUGUCGUUCCAGUUUACAAGAAAAAUGGGAAGCUUCGAGUUUGCAUUGAUUUCAGGAAUCUUAACAAGGCUACGCCGAUGGAUGGUUACCCGAUGCCAGUUGCCGAUUUACUAGUUGAUGCUACGGCUGGACAUCGGGUCAUAAGCUUCAUGGAUGGCAAUGCAGGAUAUAAUCAGAUAUUCAUGGCUGAAGAAGAUAUUCCAAAGACUGCAUUUAGAUGUCCUGGUCAUGUUGGGUUGUUUGAAUGGAUAGUCAUGACCUUUGGCUUGAAAAAUGCUAGUGCUACCUAUCAAAGAGCUAUGAAUUUUAUCUUUCAUGAGUUCAUCGGCAAGCUGGUAGAAAUUUACAUUGAUGAUGUGGUGGUUAAGUCUGGGGAUUUCACAAAGCAUCUUGCCGAUAUGCGAAAAGUGUUGGAAUGCACAAGAAAACAUGGUUUAAAGAUGAACCCUAAUAAAUGUGCAUUUGGUGUAUUGCCAGGGCAGUUUCUUGGUUUCAUGGUGCAUCAGAGGGGAAUUGAAAUUAGCAGAAGAUCUAUCGAUGCUAUUAACAAAAUAGUUGCUCCUACCAACAAAACUGAGCUCCAAUCUCUGAUCAGCAAAAUAAAUUUUAUCAGGCGAUUUAUUUCCAAUUUGUCUGGUAAAAUUCGUGUUUUUAGUCCUUUACUUAAAUUAAAAUCCGAUCAAGAAUUUAUAUGGCGAGAAGAGCAACAGUUGGCCUUAGAUGAAAUCAAGAAUUAUUUGACAAAUCCUCCAGUCUUUAUUCCACUUGAGCAAGGAAAGUCCUUCAGAUUAUAUUUGUCUACCGAUGGGAUGGUCAUCGGUUCGGCUUUGAUUCAAGAAUUUGAAGGGAAGGAGCAUGUGAUUUACUAUUUAAGUAGAAGAUUGAUUGAUGUUGAGACCAGGUAUUCGGCCAUUGAAAAAUUAUGUUUAUGCCUAUAUUUUUCUUGCAUUAAGUUGAGGCACUAUUUGCUAUCGGCCGAAUGCACUGUUAUAUGCAAAGAUGAUGUGGUCCGAUAUAUGCUAUCUAUGCCGAUUAUGAGUGGUAGAAUCGGUAAAUGGAUUUUGGCACUGUUGGAAUUCGAUCUACGUUACGAAUCGGCUAAAGCGAUUAAAGGGUAGAUUAUGGCCGAUUUUGUGACUCAACAUCGCGGUGUAGUGGAGACUUUGGAAAUUGUGCCUUGGACGCUCUUCUUUGAUGGAUCCACGUGUGACUGGGUGGCAGGGAUCGGCAUAGUGUUAGAUUCCCCUCAGGGAAAGAAGUAUGAGUUCUCUUUGUCGAUUGUUGCCACGUCAACGAAUAAUCAAGCCGAGUAUGAAGCUUUGAUCAAGGGGCUGGAAUGGUUAAAAGAAGUUCAUGCUGAUGCUGUUGAAAUCUUCGGGGAUUCUAUGUUGGUUAUAAAUCAAUUGGCUGGAAGUUAUGAAUGCCGAAGCGAAGUCCUAAUAACUUAUUAUGAAAAUAGUAUACAACUAUUAAGGGAAUUCAAAGACUUUUGAUUAGAGCAUGUUCCUCGGUUACAUAAUGAGGAGGCUAAUCGGUUGGCUCAGCAUGCCUCGGGAUAUCAACCCAUAUUGAAUACGUUAUCGGCAAUCAGUGCCGAUGAUUGGAGAAAAGAGAUCAUUGAUUAUUUAAGGAAUCGAUCUAAGAAGCUUGAGAGGCGUGUCUGGUUUCAAGCUACCAAGUUUGUGUUCCUUGAGGAUGAGCUAUAUUAUCGAACAAUCGAUGGAGUUCUUCUCAAAUGCUUAGGUAAAGAUGAAGCUAAAAGUUUGAUGGGUGAAAUCCAUGAAGGAGUGUGUGGAGCACAUCAGUCGGCUUUUAAGAUGAAAUGGAUGAUCAGGAGAAAUGGGUAUUAUUGGCCGACUAUACUCGAGGAUUGCUUUAAAUAUUUCAAAGGGUAUCAAGGAUGUCAGAAGUUUGGCAAUAUUCAAAGGGCACCCGCAUCGGCCAUGAAUCCCAUUAUUAAACCUUGGCCGUUCCGGGGAUGGGCUAUUGACCUAAUCGGCCAGAUUUACCCACCAUCGAGUAAAGGGCAUAAAUUCAUCUUAGUCGCCACUGAUUAUUUCACUAAGUGGGUUGAGGCUAUUCCUUUGAAGAAAGUUACGUCGGCCAAUAUGAUUGAUUUUGUGAAAGAACAUAUUAUUUACCGAUUUGGUAUUCCUCAAACAAUUACUACCGAUUAGGGUACUAUGUUUACAUCGGGAGAGUUUGAUGAAGUUGCCAUCGGUAUGGGGAUUAAAGUGUUGAAUUCUUCUCCUUAUUAUGGUCAAGCCAAUGGGCUGGCCGAGGCAUCUAACAAAGGAAUUGUUAAACUUAUCAAAUGGAAGAUUGAGGAAAAUCCUAGGAGGUGGCAUACAUUGUUGAAUGAAGCUUUGUGGUCAUAUCGGAUGGCUUGUCAUGGGUCGACCAAAGUUUCACCUUAUCAGUUGGUGUAUGGGCACGAUGCAGUACUACCAUUGGAAAUUAAGGCUGGGUCUAGGCGAUUAUCUUUCCAGGAUCACUUGACUGCCGGUGACUAUGCUACUUUGAUGAAAGAUGAGUUAGAUGAUUUAGCAGGGCAUCGGCUCAAAGCUUUGGUAAGUAUACAAGAAAAUAAAAAGAGAGUUACCAGGUGGUAUGAUAAAAAGGUAAAGGACAAGGAGUUUAUCGAUGGAGAUUUGGUAUGGAAGCUGAUAUUGCCGAUUGGGACUAAAAGUUAAAAGUUUGGCAAGUGGUCUCCCAAUUGGGAAGGUCCUUAUCGGAUAAGCCGGUCUGCUCCUGGUAAUGCUUAUAUUCUGAAAACUAUCGAAGGAGUUUAAUUUCCCAGAGCAUUGAAUGGAAAAUAUUUAAAGAAAUAUUACCCAAGCAUAUUGGUCGAUGCAUAAAAGUUUAAGUGCCGAUAACACUCCUAUCGGCUGGAUUGAAAUGUAUCUGGGACUAAAGAUGAUGUUUCAAAAGGGUGCCGAUAACAAUCCUAUCGGCUAGACCAAACUAAUCAGCAGUCUUUGAAGAAAGAGCAAAACACGCCGCUGAUGAAAAGCUCAUACAUUUAGCAGAGCUUGGAUCGCCGAUAUAGCGCGUAGAUGGAUUUGAUCGGCUUCUUCUAUCUCCUUGAUGUCUUCAUCGACAGAACCCUCUACUGGCUUUAGCUUCUUCUUCAUCUGCAGAGCCUUGGGAGCUUGGACAUUUCGCUCUUGUUCGAGGGUCUUGAUCGCUUCGGGCAGCUGACUUUCUUCCUGUUAAGCUUGGGUCAGAGCUUCUUCUACUUGUUUAAGCUCUGCCAACAGGGCUUCCCUUUUUGCCGAUAGGUCAGACACCUUUUGUUUCAGCGUAUCUCCUGAGGAUUUUAGAAUGCCGAUGCUCUUUUGUUUCUCAUCGGCAAGAUGCUUCACUUUCAUUACCUCUUGUGAGAGCUGGGCAUGAGUGGCUCUAUCGGCGAGGCGCUGAGUGGCCUUUUGGUACUGGAGCUGGUGACUCUCCAAGUGUGCAGCCUUGAAGAGGAUCUCCUCGGCAUCGGCAGGGAUUUGGCCUCGAGCCUUAAACAAAGCCUUAGCUGGAUCGGAGUCAUCAACCAGUUGGGCUGUAUCCUGAUGAAACAGGGCCAGCAGAUCCUCCAGUUUAGCUCUGAUUUCUGCCGAUGAAAUCCCUACUGCUUGAGAAGAGCUUGCUUCCUCACCUUCAUCAUCAGAAAUUUCAAUAGCAAAAGAGAACAAGCUAUCUGAAGAGUCUUGUUCAUGGAAAAGAAAAUAAAAUAGGUUAUUUUAUGAUCAAGCACUAGUGAUGAUAAAAAUAGAGAUCAGGUAACGUACUUGUUUCAGGGCAAUUUCUCGCCUCUGGCUAGCUGAAGCCGAUGGUACUACAGGUUGACUGGCUGGAGUUGCCGAUGGAAUAAUGCUAGCUGAAAGAUAUAUGAUAGUGAAUUACAAGUUAGAAAAAGAAAAAUCCAUCGGCAAAUAAUCUUAUGAACAGAACCCUACCUUGAGGGGGUGCAGUGCUUGUCUGGAUUGAAGAGACUACCAAUGAUAUGAUUGAUCCCACUAGAUUGGCGGUCUAUUCAAGUACAUCGGCUGAUAUUUCUUGUGGCUGAGGUGGAGAUGGUACUUGUUGUGUCUGAGCCUCUGGUGAAGAAGGGGACGAUUCCACGUGAAUCGGUGACCCUGGAGGAGGGGGAGGAGGUGAUGCUGCCCUCUGACGCUUUGCUUGUGACUUGGUACUCUUGGGACCCUUUCUCUUAGCUUGACUAGCUUGGGAGGCGUCGGCACUUGCCUUGGUACUUCUGGUCUUUACCGAUUUGCCAGUUUGUUGAUACAACAAUAAAGAUUUCAUAAGUACAAGAGUAACAGAGUAUUAAUAGAAUUUUGGUCGAAACAGUGAAAGUUACUGAUGAAGUUCCCAUAGCAGCCGAUGUAUCUUGAAAAGUUUGUGUAAGUAUAGAAUGGAAUCGGUAUAAAUUGAAGAGGUGAAAGUUUUCUACCUUGAAAGCUUGCGCCAGAGCAGUAGCAGCGACUGAUGGAGAUGUCUUCGCCCGCUUGGUGGUGAUUUUCUUGAAACGCACACCCCGGUGCAUUAGAGCCGCCAAACAUGGAGCAUUAUUGCCGAUCAAAGAGAUCGGGCCUGAUGGGAGGAGUUCGAUCGGCUUACCACUUCUGCUGACUGACGGUGGUGUGUCAUCGACCUGUAUAAAACAGAAGAAGUAAGUUGCCGAUAAGGAUAAAAAUAAUGAGAUUGAAGCAUUGGUUAAAAACAUACAGCAUUUUCGGGAACCUUGUACGCGGAGUCGAUCAUACCGCGGUAUGUAAGAGCCGAUCUGCAGAACAAAUGCUCUUUCCAUUCCGCCCACCAUUGCUUGUACGCCUGGGUGAUGAAAAGAGCUGGGAUCCAGGCCGAUAGGUCAAUGUCUAACGUAUCAGAAUUUGGUGGGAGUUGAGCUAUUCUGAUCCACUCAAGACCACUUGUGAUGAUCUCCCUUGGUUUCACCACAUCGACAUAGCAGAGCGCAAUCGGCAGUUGUCCGAAGGCCAAUUGGCAAGCCAAUGCCGAUGGAUUGUAGAACUCAUAGGUAAGAUUGGAAGCUUUCCCACUGCCAAAGAAAUUCACCGAUAUAGCUCUCGGAGUGAUAAUUGCCAUCAUCAGAUCAUGGUCCUUGUUGAGAGCAUUAUCAAAGGGAUGAAAAGUCAGGGAAAUCUGGUGUCUGGAUCCUCAUAAGGCAUCCAUGCCUAUUGUUCUUUGGUCAGACCCUCAUAAAGAGUCUGAAAGAAUCGGCUGACCUGAUCUUCAUUGCCACUAGUACCGGGUAGAACUAUGGCAGCUUCGCCGUAGUUCAGAGGGGGGCGAGAUGCCGAUUCUUCCUCAUCCAACUCGUGAUCUUCGGCUAUAUCUCUGGGGAAGCGCUGUGCAAAAAGGUUGAAUUCAAGGCGCUUGUGCAUAUGGACACUGAGCCACAUGUUGAUGAACCACCAGGGUCCCCCUAAAUUGCCGAUGGGUUGGCCUAGCAGGAGUUUCUUAGCCACCUGAUGGAGGAGGUGAUAAACAGAGCUGAGCAAGUAUCGGCCAAGAGGAAAUCGACCAGGCCAGUCUUUCCGCUGCCGAUAGAUAGACAGAGGUUGGUCCCGCCGAUCGGCCACAGAAUACAAACUUAUCCAAUCACAUGUUCAAGAAAAUUGCCUGCUCCCUUUCCCCGACAGAUCCUGUUUUGCGGUACUUCUGAAUGUAUCCAGACCAACCGCCGAUAGCGCGAGUCUCUACCUUGGAACUGGGCUUGGUGUCAAACAGAUGACUGUUAUCGGCAGUGGAUAUGUCUAAACCGGUGAGCAUGAGUACAUCGGCAAGAGUAGGUGAAGCAGGGCCAUGGCCGAAUACAAAAGCAUUGAGCGUGUCUGACCAAAAGUACGAGGCAGCUAUUAACAGUGACUCGUUCCUCUCCAUAUUGGCAAGAGAUAAUCUGAUGAACUGGUCUAAUUUCCGCUCACCCAAUUGGACUUCAUUUGAAUGGCUGACUCUCAGGAACCAGUCUUUCCAUCCCUUGGUAGGACUGGGCCAGGAAUGAAAGGCAUCUUUCCACAGAUCUAAGGAAACGUUUUUGGCUUUGAAGGGGAUUCUAUUUGUCUUUGCGUUUAUUAGAUCGGUGGGAUCUGGAUUUCCUAACGGGCCGAGACAUUGGAAGUGAGGUUGAUCGGUAGGAAUUACGAUCUUUUCGGCCAAAUCCUAAAAAGUUUUGAGGAUGAAAGAACAAAAAGAAAAAAGGGGUACUCAGUAAAAGGAAUCGCAGAUGAAUAGGAGUACAGCAAAAGUGCAAAAAGAAAAAGGAUGGUAGACUGACCUCAGGAACGAUGAAGUUGAUGGCCAUUUCUUCACGAGGAAGAGGAUCAAAGACUUGGAGGAUUGGUGAAGAAGGCAUUUGCUGAAAUUCUUGAAGUUCUCAGGCAAUGCCGCCGCCAGGAAAGUGGAUUUUGGGUUGUAGAAUGACAAGAUGGAGAAGGAAGUAUUUAUAGGACAAAACGGGCAGGGGCAAAUAUGACUUAUCUCUUUGCCGCAUCCGUGAAAUCCGAGGGUGUUCAGGUGGAUAUGGUAACCGUUCGCACGGUAAUCAAGAGAUUGCGCAGGUGAUUUGACAGCAAGCGGUCAUGAUUUUGGAGAUAUUUUACUGUGCAAGAUCACCUGGUCGGCCCAUCGGCAGUUCUCUCUAACGGUAAUAUUGCCGAUGAGCGCUUAAGUCGGGAGAUUCGAUUGGAGAGGUUGAGAAAUUCAAGGAAUCUCCGGGAGAAUCGGGCCAAGGUUGUUCAGAUUUGACGGCUGAUUACCAAAUUGGGAGAAGUAAUUGCAGAAAGGCGUCAUUACUGUAGAGAAUUUUGGAGCAUUAAUGAUUUUAUACUCCGAAAUUGGGGGGCAUGUGUUGACACUGUUUUUGGACACGUAUCUUUUGACACGUACCUGGAGUUAGUGAAAUGUAGAUCGGCAGAUGGAGCAAUGGUGACUAGUCUAUAGGGAAGUGGUGGUGAAGCUAUUGAAACCGACGAUGAACGUGAAGCCGCCCGCCAUGGCCGCGAAGGCGGGGAUGAUGGUCAUCUGGUUCGUCUGGGAAGCUGUACGCACACCCCCUACCUGGCGCGCCACUGUCGACGAAAGCUAGUCGGCAGUCUACCUUGGGUAUACCCACGGUAGUAGUUUAUCGGCAGACAGGUGCGCAAGCUACGAACUCGAUGGUGACGCAAGACACAGACAAGGUUUUUAUCUAGGUUCGGCCGCCGUGUGGGCGUAAUACCUACGACCUGCGUCUGAUUGUAUUGGAUUGUAUUGAGUUGAGAUGAGUUGUAUGACCUGUCCUCUAGGGGACCUCUGCCCCUCCUUAUAUAUCUUGAAGGGACAGAGUUACAAGCAAAGUAUCCUAUUUGGUACAAUAUCUUGUAGCCUUGCGGUGCACGCCGACCAGCAUCGUGCACCACACGUCUUCAUCUUGUGGGCCGAGCCACCUCUGAUGGUGCGGCCCAUGUCAACCCAUGAGGGUAUAGGGGUUUAUACCCCCCCACAAUGGCUCCAUCAUGUAACAAUGAAGGCAAAAGAGUUUUCAGCAUAGUUAGCAAACUAAAAUUUAUUUUUGGGAAGAAGACAAAAGAUGGAAAACCAAGAAAGAAUAUCAAACCAGCUCCAGGGGCUACAUUCAAGAAUAAGUCUAUUUUCUUCAAGUNNNNNNNNNNNNNNNNNNNNNNNNNNNNNNNNNNNNNNNNNNNNNNNNNNNNNNNNNNNNNNNNNNNNNNNNNNNNNNNNNNNNNNNNNNNNNNNNNNNNAAGGCUAACAGGUUCUUUCCAGACGGCAGGCAGCUCGAGUAGGCGGGUCACGUACGACAUAACGUAUACAUAAAUAAUAUAAAGCAUUAAACAAUAAGCAAUGAGUAUCUUAGACCAACAAGAUUCAUCACCCUUAAUGCAAGAAUCCCCAAGACCGCUCUUGACCGUGAGCACGGCUAGUAUACCAGUUUAAUAAACACUCUGCAGAGGUCUUACAUCUUUACCCAUGAGUCAUGAUUUACCCUUUUGCCUGAGGUAGAUAUCCUCUUAACCCCCUUCCUAGGGAGGUCGGUAGGGAUCACUAUGAAGUCUUUCAAAGUUUCGUCUAACAAGUUAAGGCCGCUUGGUUUCUGUAGUCAGUCCGUGUGAUUCUACCACGCACGGAAUCCAUGGUCUGCUAUCCCCCAUUUGUGCCAUGUGGGUAUCCUCUAACAAGCUAGAAAACUUACUCAUACUUGACUAAAGUGAGAGCCAUUAUAGCUCUCAUGGAUGCACGGUUAUCCCAGUUAUCACUUACGGAUAAAUCCUCAAGUUGCUAAAAAGUCAUUAUUAUCGUUUGUUGCUUUACAUUAAUCUAGUCACAAGAUCAAGGUCACAGAAUUAAAACCCAAAUGCCAUACUUGCCUUGAUCCAAUUGCUCCUGCUGGUCCUGUUGGUCUUACUUGUUUCCAAGGCUCUGAUCUUGAUCACUGAAGUAAUGCUCACCGACUAAACUCAGUCACCAAUCAUCAACACACAAGCAAUUGAGGCCACCCGUACACAAAGCAAACAAAGUUACAAUUAGAAUAGUACACCAACAGUAAAUAAAUUUAAAUAAAAGUUUUUCAAAAUUAUCUACACGCUGCUACGAUCACGUCAAAGAGAAAUUCACGGAAAACGUAGUUAUGACCCAAAAUCUACUCCUUAAACGGGACAUCAAAAGCGAUAUAAGGACUCAUAUUUAUCUAAGAAAUCUAAUAGUGGUGAACCUAGACAACAAUGGUACCAAUGCGAAGCUUAUGAAAUUAUGAAACUAACGUGACUUGAACGGAACGAAUCAGAGCUUAAACGGAGAAGAUAUCAUUUUUCUAAGAUUUUCUUUAGAAAAGUAAUUUAUUAAAUAGGGUCACGAAAUUUAAAAGUUUUAAACUGGUCAAACAGUGAGACUAACAAGUAGAGCUUGUGACUACGAAUCUAACACAAUUUCAACGGGUCAAAUCGGAGUUAAAACGAAUAUUUUAAGAGCUAAAUAAAUCCAGUGGCAAACUUGUAAUUUUGUGAAGGUGUAUUUUGAAAUCAAUCCGGCGAGAAAUACAUUUUCAAACUCGGUUGGCGUAUUCUAGGAGGCGCUUUGGACCACGGGUUUAAAUCCCAUAAUUGCCAGGGACUCUUUAGCAAAAUGGCCCUACGAAGCGGUACGGGCUGCUCCUGGCCAUCGGAUUCAAGAUCGACGGCCGGGAUUAGAUCGAAGGGGAGAGAGGGCGGCGCCGGUGGUCGGAACAGGAGAGCCAGUGAUGGCGCGCCAUGAACGGCGGCGAGAAGGUCACCGGCGUGACCCGUUAGACUGUUAGACUGUAUGGUUUUCCAAACCGAGAGCACCAGGGGAUAGAGAGGGAGUCAAGGCGAGCCCGUACCGGGGCAAAACGUGACCGGAAGAGUGGCCAACGCGGCGGUCUGCGGCGAUGCCAUGGCUAGUCCUACCGAAGCUCACGAGGAAGACUCUAGGGACAUGUUUUCACAAGGGAGAAAGCCGGAUAGGGAGAAGGGAAGGAGGCGCGCUCACCACGAUGAAAAUCGGAGGCGGAGACAGCUCAGUUCAUCAGGUUGAACGCGGCGGAUCGCGGUGGUCACCAGCGGUGGUUCUCUGUGCAAGCGAGCUCACGGGAGAGAGAGGGAGUGGGGUCUAGAAGGCGAAAUGGACGGAGGGCAGAGGCACGAGCUCGGUCGCGUCUAGAGAGGCGAGGCGUGGGGCAGAAUGUGGGAGAGAUAGGAGCGAGGUUGCGGUAGUUGCGUCUCUGCUGCUGAGCGUUCGAGGGUGAAGAGGAUGGUUGUUGAAGGAGGGGGAUGACUGGCGGGCCCCACCUGUCAUUGAGCCAAGGGGAAAAGUGUGUUGUAGUUGCUGCCGAGCUGCGGACUGGGCUAGCCCAGCAAUGAGAGAAGGGGAAGGGAGCGCGUGGGCCGGGAGGAGUUGGGCCAGGCCGGCCAAAAAAGAUGGAGGGGAUAGAAUUGCCUUUUUUAACAAAAUUUUCAAAGCUCAUUUUCGAUUUGAAUUUGAGUUCAAAUCCCUUUUUCACAAAACCACACAUCACAUAAAUAAAUGUACAUCAUGAAUGCAUCAACGUGUUUCUAAACUUAUCGUAAAUUUUUAAUUUCCCAAAAUUUAUUAAUUUCCUAUAUUAUAGUGCUCACAAAAAAAUAUUUUAAUUAAAUCAAAUUCAACUAUUUAAAAGAAGAAAUUUUUUUGGGUGUUACUAUUCUACCCCCUUAAGAUGAAUCUCGUCCUCGAGAUUCGGAAGAGGCUCAGAUCCUCUCAGAGAAACUGGAAAAUAUCUUGAUAAUCCUUUCAAAUUCACAACUUGCAUACCAAACCUAAACACUCAUGUUUCAAGGUCACACCUCAUGAACAAAAUUCCCAUUGUGUAUCUAUCAUUCAUAAUUGAUCAAAGUCCAUCUUGACUACUAAUUUUUUUAGCUUACAACUCAAGGAGACAUCGAAACUUAAUAUGCAUUUGCCUCCCCAGGUAGGAGUGGACCACCGCGAUACUCAAUUCUUCUCCCUGACGGUGCUGUUAAGAGCAUUUUGUACUGGGUACCAUAGAUCACUCCUUUGUGUGCACACAACCAUCCAUUGCCAAGAACCACAGGGAUAUCGAGUGACUCUAACACUAUGCGAUUUAUAGUGAAGUUUUCCUUGUUUAUGACCAGAUUGAUAUUUGAGCAAAUCUGAUCUGCCUAUAUUUCUCCCACUAGAGUUUGAACUAACAAAGGCUUUCUGGUUGGACACUUCACCCUCUUGAUCUUCUUUACCAUGUCGGUGGAAAUGAAAGAAUGUGAAGCACCAGGGACAAACAGAGCAAAAACUUGCACUUAGUCUACUUGAAUAUAGCCUCCCACCACUUUGGUGGCUCCUUGAAUGUUAUGCCUAUCCACAUUGCUCAGUCUUCCAUUAACAUAGUUCCGCUUUUCCUUACCUCCAUGAGUAGGCUUCUUACGAGCUUUCCUUUUGUGCUUCCGUCGUUGUGGAUUCUGAUUUGUUUCAAUGCCAACUUGCUCUUCAAUAUUAUUAUUUUGAUAGUACUUAGCUUCAUCAUACUCAUAACAUCCUUCAAAGAUAAGAUGGUCAUGUUCUUCCCAUAUAUCCAUGAGAGGAGUCAUAUUGGGCUCCUGAUCCAUGGGAUACUACACUCCCUGUCCUCAAGUGACCAACGUCAGUAACACGGCAAGGAUAGAUGACCAUAAUCAUAGAAUAUCCCAAGAGACAACCCUUACAUCAAGAUAAAUUGAAAAUGCAUCAUCCCUUGAUAUCAAGAUACUACCCCCUUAAGAUGGGAUUGUAUGGGGGACACUAGCUCUUAUAUCCUUUUUAGGCGCUACACAUCAUAUAAUCUUUUAAAAUAAUUGUACCGAGUCUCUUGAUCCAAGGUUGAUUCCAUCACUAUAUUCCAACUAUUUUUACCUUUAUCACAGUUAAGUUGCUUCACUCUCACAUCCCCCAUAUAACUUUGUAGGCUUCGGUGUCAUCUGAUCCUCAUAAGCAUAACCCUCAAUCUAUGAGUAUCAACCAUGACAUAUUCCUCCAUUGAUAUUCUCCAAGUGGGACGAUAUCUUGAAACAAAAACAAAACUUAUUAAACAUUUGAUGUCCUUACAAAUUAUCCCACAUUAACCAAUACUUCUCGUUAUAACUUGAUAGGUUACCGAUAUGAAUCGGUACGAGGGUGGCCCGAUCUUCACGACAGUAGAUCAAAAGAACAAGGAUAACUUGCUGCGAACAGCGGGUAACUAGCUUUAUACCUGACAAAGGUUGGAUGCGACCAAGCGACGGGGAGAGAGGCACCGAAAACACGAAGACUUCGACUCGAUCUCCGAACGACCGCAGAACCACAAUCCGGAACUAAUCCACACAAUACGGCGCAGCCGAACGGAAGCCGUAGAGCACGAAGUAGGGGAACCCAGAGGAUUCACUUCACAAGUCCAAGAAGAACAAGGAAUAACAAAGGUUCAGUAAGGCACUCAACAACGUGGCUGCAAUAUCAUGUAGUUUAUCAAAUGAUCAAAGGUUCCUAAUAGCUUAGAGGUAGGGGGUAUUUAUACUAGGAACAACCCUCCUAGAUAGGUAUGAAAACGAAAUAGAGUUUCUGAGGGAAGGCAAUGUGAAAGGACCCCUCGGAAUGGAUUACCGAACUGGCUUCGCGUGACUGUUGGCCUCCAGAGCAGUUUCCAAUAAACUGACCAUAACUUUUUAUUGGGAAGUCCAAAUGAUGAACCGUUUCUUGGGUGUGAAACUAGACUCCAAGAGCUUUCCAGCAAUGUAUGCCAUGCACCAUGAAACAUUGCAGAUUGGUACAGUUUUGCACGGAAAGUUGUGCCAACUUUCUGUCACGACAGACUGUUGACCUUCUGAGCAGUCUGUACUAAUUCUAGUCUGCAGGCAAUAUGGAGUAUCCACACUGGUCGCCACUAGAUUCAUUGGAAAGUACACUCGACAAGAUUUUCAACAAGUCCUCAUGGGCUUUCCAACAAGUCCUCAUGGGCCUUUCCAACCAGGACUUGCACUGGUUCGUUCAUCAGGGUCCGAUUCAUCCUUCUCUUCUUCUAUAUACCUGAGUACAAUCAAGGUAGAACACUUAGGUAGUAUAUAAUUCUCAUUAAUGUUAAAAUGAAUCUCACAAAGUAGCGCGUGGACCUCUAGUUGUAGCUUCUUUGCACGACUACGUGUAACCGGUCCAUCGAUGACUUGGGCUGGUGUCGGUGUAGGUAAAACUUGAGUGGUUGUAACUUGACUUGGAGCUUGUGACAUCUUGCUUGCUGGCAUGGUCAUAUCAUCCUCCCCCACUUCAAAAAGAGUCGUCCUCAACUCUAACUCUUCUGUUCCAAAGAGUUGUGCUAGGACAUCGGUUUGUAAUGUUGUGAUAACAUCGCAAUCUUCUUGUUCCAUGAUAGCAAGGUGUUUGAAUCUAUAAUCAUAUAAACCAAGUAGUAGCCUUGAAUGUGGAAACCUAAAUGAUUUGGAAUUAUGUUUCGCUUUCACCUUGAGUGGAUGCUUGAAUGUUGAUUGCCCUGGUAUGGUCUCAUCAUCCUCCCUCCCUUCAAGCAAAGUCGUCCACGACUUUUGUUUACGUGAAAACAGCUUAGAUAAAAUCGAGGGUGGACGUACUUGAUAAUUCCAAUAAUCAUUCCUUUUGUUCUGUUCAUUUAUUUCAUUUUGAAUUAUUUUUGCAAUAUUUCCUUUUCCAUGUAAGAAAUAUUCUCUCAACUUUGGUGAACCUACAAACAGUUUAGAGGACGGUAGCACAAAAAUUUCUUCCAAUCCAAUCAUUUGAUUCAUGUUGUCAUGUUUUAUCUUUAGAAGAUCAAACUUUUCAUCAAAUGGAAGAUUGAGGAAAAUCCUAGGAGGUGGCAUACAUUGUUGAAUGAAGCUUUGUGGUCAUAUCGGAUGGCUUGUCAUGGGUCGACCAAAGUUUCACCUUAUCAGUUGGUGUAUGGGCACGAUGCAGUACUACCAUUGGAAAUUAAGGCUGGGUCUAGGCGAUUAUCUUUCCAGGAUCACUUGACUGCCGGUGACUAUGCUACUUUGAUGAAAGAUGAGUUAGAUGAUUUAGCAGGGCAUCGGCUCAAAGCUUUGGUAAGUAUACAAGAAAAUAAAAAGAGAGUUACCAGGUGGUAUGAUAAAAAGGUAAAGGACAAGGAGUUUAUCGAUGGAGAUUUGGUAUGGAAGCUGAUAUUGCCGAUUGGGACUAAAAGUUAAAAGUUUGGCAAGUGGUCUCCCAAUUGGGAAGGUCCUUAUCGGAUAAGCCGGUCUGCUCCUGGUAAUGCUUAUAUUCUGAAAACUAUCGAAGGAGUUUAAUUUCCCAGAGCAUUGAAUGGAAAAUAUUUAAAGAAAUAUUACCCAAGCAUAUUGGUCGAUGCAUAAAAGUUUAAGUGCCGAUAACACUCCUAUCGGCUGGAUUGAAAUGUAUCUGGGACUAAAGAUGAUGUUUCAAAAGGGUGCCGAUAACAAUCCUAUCGGCUAGACCAAACUAAUCAGCAGUCUUUGAAGAAAGAGCAAAACACGCCGCUGAUGAAAAGCUCAUACAUUUAGCAGAGCUUGGAUCGCCGAUAUAGCGCGUAGAUGGAUUUGAUCGGCUUCUUCUAUCUCCUUGAUGUCUUCAUCGACAGAACCCUCUACUGGCUUUAGCUUCUUCUUCAUCUGCAGAGCCUUGGGAGCUUGGACAUUUCGCUCUUGUUCGAGGGUCUUGAUCGCUUCGGGCAGCUGACUUUCUUCCUGUUAAGCUUGGGUCAGAGCUUCUUCUACUUGUUUAAGCUCUGCCAACAGGGCUUCCCUUUUUGCCGAUAGGUCAGACACCUUUUGUUUCAGCGUAUCUCCUGAGGAUUUUAGAAUGCCGAUGCUCUUUUGUUUCUCAUCGGCAAGAUGCUUCACUUUCAUUACCUCUUGUGAGAGCUGGGCAUGAGUGGCUCUAUCGGCGAGGCGCUGAGUAGCCUUUUGGUACUGGAGCUGGUGACUCUCCAAGUGUGCAGCCUUGAAGAGGAUCUCCUCGGCAUCGGCAGGGAUUUGGCCUCGAGCCUUAAACAAAGCCUUAGCUGGAUCGGAGUCAUCAACCAGUUGGGCUGUAUCCUGAUGAAACAGGGCCAGCAGAUCCUCCAGUUUAGCUCUGAUUUCUGCCGAUGAAAUCCCUACUGCUUGAGAAGAGCUUGCUUCCUCACCUUCAUCAUCAGAAAUUUCAAUAGCAAAAGAGAACAAGCUAUCUGAAGAGUCUUGUUCAUGGAAAAGAAAAUAAAAUAGGUUAUUUUAUGAUCAAGCACUAGUGAUGAUAAAAAUAGAGAUCAGGUAACGUACUUGUUUCAGGGCAAUUUCUCGCCUCUGGCUAGCUGAAGCCGAUGGUACUACAGGUUGACUGGCUGGAGUUGCCGAUGGAAUAAUGCUAGCUGAAAGAUAUAUGAUAGUGAAUUACAAGUUAGAAAAAGAAAAAUCCAUCGGCAAAUAAUCUUAUGAACAGAACCCUACCUUGAGGGGGUGCAGUGCUUGUCUGGAUUGAAGAGACUACCAAUGAUAUGAUUGAUCCCACUAGAUUGGCGGUCUAUUCAAGUACAUCGGCUGAUAUUUCUUGUGGCUGAGGUGGAGAUGGUACUUGUUGUGUCUGAGCCUCUGGUGAAGAAGGGGACGAUUCCACGUGAAUCGGUGACCCUGGAGGAGGGGGAGGAGGUGAUGCUGCCCUCUGACGCUUUGCUUGUGACUUGGUACUCUUGGGACCCUUUCUCUUAGCUUGACUAGCUUGGGAGGCGUCGGCACUUGCCUUGGUACUUCUGGUCUUUACCGAUUUGCCAGUUUGUUGAUACAACAAUAAAGAUUUCAUAAGUACAAGAGUAACAGAGUAUUAAUAGAAUUUUGGUCGAAACAGUGAAAGUUACUGAUGAAGUUCCCAUAGCAGCCGAUGUAUCUUGAAAAGUUUGUGUAAGUAUAGAAUGGAAUCGGUAUAAAUUGAAGAGGUGAAAGUUUUCUACCUUGAAAGCUUGCGCCAGAGCAGUAGCAGCGACUGAUGGAGAUGUCUUCGCCCGCUUGGUGGUGAUUUUCUUGAAACGCACACCCCGGUGCAUUAGAGCCGCCAAACAUGGAGCAUUAUUGCCGAUCAAAGAGAUCGGGCCUGAUGGGAGGAGUUCGAUCGGCUUACCACUUCUGCUGACUGACGGUGGUGUGUCAUCGACCUGUAUAAAACAGAAGAAGUAAGUUGCCGAUAAGGAUAAAAAUAAUGAGAUUGAAGCAUUGGUUAAAAACAUACAGCAUUUUCGGGAACCUUGUACGCGGAGUCGAUCAUACCGCGGUAUGUAAGAGCCGAUCUGCAGAACAAAUGCUCUUUCCAUUCCGCCCACCAUUGCUUGUACGCCUGGGUGAUGAAAAGAGCUGGGAUCCAGGCCGAUAGGUCAAUGUCUAACGUAUCAGAAUUUGGUGGGAGUUGAGCUAUUCUGAUCCACUCAAGACCACUUGUGAUGAUCUCCCUUGGUUUCACCACAUCGACAUAGCAGAGCGCAAUCGGCAGUUGUCCGAAGGCCAAUUGGCAAGCCAAUGCCGAUGGAUUGUAGAACUCAUAGGUAAGAUUGGAAGCUUUCCCACUGCCAAAGAAAUUCACCGAUAUAGCUCUCGGAGUGAUAAUUGCCAUCAUCAGAUCAUGGUCCUUGUUGAGAGCAUUAUCAAAGGGAUGAAAAGUCAGGGAAAUCUGGUGUCUGGAUCCUCAUAAGGCAUCCAUGCCUAUUGUUCUUUGGUCAGACCCUCAUAAAGAGUCUGAAAGAAUCGGCUGACCUGAUCUUCAUUGCCACUAGUACCGGGUAGAACUAUGGCAGCUUCGCCGUAGUUCAGAGGGGGGCGAGAUGCCGAUUCUUCCUCAUCCAACUCGUGAUCUUCGGCUAUAUCUCUGGGGAAGCGCUGUGCAAAAAGGUUGAAUUCAAGGCGCUUGUGCAUAUGGACACUGAGCCACAUGUUGAUGAACCACCAGGGUCCCCCUAAAUUGCCGAUGGGUUGGCCUAGCAGGAGUUUCUUAGCCACCUGAUGGAGGAGGUGAUAAACAGAGCUGAGCAAGUAUCGGCCAAGAGGAAAUCGACCAGGCCAGUCUUUCCGCUGCCGAUAGAUAGACAGAGGUUGGUCCCGCCGAUCGGCCACAGAAUACAAACUUAUCCAAUCACAUGUUCAAGAAAAUUGCCUGCUCCCUUUCCCCGACAGAUCCUGUUUUGCGGUACUUCUGAAUGUAUCCAGACCAACCGCCGAUAGCGCGAGUCUCUACCUUGGAACUGGGCUUGGUGUCAAACAGAUGACUGUUAUCGGCAGUGGAUAUGUCUAAACCGGUGAGCAUGAGUACAUCGGCAAGAGUAGGUGAAGCAGGGCCAUGGCCGAAUACAAAAGCAUUGAGCGUGUCUGACCAAAAGUACGAGGCAGCUAUUAACAGUGACUCGUUCCUCUCCAUAUUGGCAAGAGAUAAUCUGAUGAACUGGUCUAAUUUCUGCUCACCCAAUUGGACUUCAUUUGAAUGGCUGACUCUCAGGAACCAGUCUUUCCAUCCCUUGGUAGGACUGGGCCAGGAAUGAAAGGCAUCUUUCCACAGAUCUAAGGAAACGUUUUUGGCUUUGAAGGGGAUUCUAUUUGUCUUUGCAUUUAUUAGAUCGGUGGGAUCUGGAUUUCCUAACGGGCCGAGACAUUGGAAGUGAGGUUGAUCGGUAGGAAUUACGAUCUUUUCGGCCAAAUCCUAAAAAGUUUUGAGGAUGAAAGAACAAAAAGAAAAAAGGGGUACUCAGUAAAAGGAAUCGCAGAUGAAUAGGAGUACAGCAAAAGUGCAAAAAGAAAAAGGAUGGUAGACUGACCUCAGGAACGAUGAAGUUGAUGGCCAUUUCUUCACGAGGAAGAGGAUCAAAGACUUGGAGGAUUGGUGAAGAAGGCAUUUGCUGAAAUUCUUGAAGUUCUCAGGCAAUGCCGCCGCCAGGAAAGUGGAUUUUGGGUUGUAGAAUGACAAGAUGGAGAAGGAAGUAUUUAUAGGACAAAACGGGCAGGGGCAAAUAUGACUUAUCUCUUUGCCGCAUCCGUGAAAUCCGAGGGUGUUCAGGUGGAUAUGGUAACCGUUCGCACGGUAAUCAAGAGAUUGCGCAGGUGAUUUGACAGCAAGCGGUCAUGAUUUUGGAGAUAUUUUACUGUGCAAGAUCACCUGGUCGGCCCAUCGGCAGUUCUCUCUAACGGUAAUAUUGCCGAUGAGCGCUUAAGUGAGGAGAUUCGAUUGGAGAGGUUGAGAAAUUCAAGGAAUCUCCGGGAGAAUCGGGCCAAGGUUGUUCAGAUUUGACGGCUGAUUACCAAAUUGGGAGAAGUAAUUGCAGAAAGGCGUCAUUACUGUAGAGAAUUUUGGAGCAUUAAUGAUUUUAUACUCCGAAAUUGGGGGGCAUGUGUUGACACUGUUUUUGGACACGUAUCUUUUGACACGUACCUGGAGUUAGUGAAAUGUAGAUCGGCAGAUGGAGCAAUGGUGACUAGUCUAUAGGGAAGUGGUGGUGAAGCUAUUGAAACCGACGAUGAACGUGAAGCCGCCCGCCAUGGCCGCGAAGGCGGGGAUGAUGGUCAUCUGGUUCGUCUGGGAAGCUGUACGCACACCCCCUACCUGGCGCGCCACUGUCGACGAAAGCUAGUCGGCAGUCUACCUUGGGUAUACCCACGGUAGUAGUUUAUCGGCAGACAGGUGCGCAAGCUACGAACUCGAUGGUGACGCAAGACACAGACAAGGUUUUUAUCUAGGUUCGGCCGCCGUGUGGGCGUAAUACCUACGACCUGCGUCUGAUUGUAUUGGAUUGUAUUGAGUUGAGAUGAGUUGUAUGACCUGUCCUCUAGGGGACCUCUGCCCCUCCUUAUAUAUCUUGAAGGGACAGAGUUACAAGCAAAGUAUCCUAUUUGGUACAAUAUCUUGUAGCCUUGCGGUGCACGCCGACCAGCAUCGUGCACCACACGUCUUCAUCUUGUGGGCCGAGCCACCUCUGAUGGUGCGGCCCAUGUCAACCCAUGAGGGUAUAGGGGUUUAUACCCCCCCACAAUGGCUCCAUCAUGUAACAAUGAAGGCAAAAGAGUUUUCAGCAUAGUUAGCAAACUAAAAUUUAUUUUUGGGAAGAAGACAAAAGAUGGAAAACCAAGAAAGAAUAUCAAACCAGCUCCAGGGGCUACAUUCAAGAAUAAGUCUAUUUUCUUCAAGUAUUUGAAAUACUGGCCAGAGUUAGACGUACGCUACGCGAUCGAUGGUAUGCACGUUCAGAAGAACAUGUUUGAAAGCCAAAAUGGCCAUGUUAGACAUGAAGCGCAAAAUAAAGGAAGGACUAAAUUCACGCAUGGACAUGGUAUAGUCAGGCAUAAAAAAGAAUUUCACCCUAUUAGGCUAGAAAAUGGGAAGUACCACCUCCCGAUAGCAAGGCACAACCUCAACAAUGAAGGGAAACAUGUGAUGUGUGUGUGGUUGAAGAAAUUGAAAGUCCUAUCUGGAUUCUGCUAUAGCAUACGGAGUAUUGUGUCAAUGAAAGACCUUACACUCACCAACUACAACUCACAUGAUUGUCAUGUCAUGCUGACUACUUUCCUCCCUAUUGCCAUUAGGGCUAUAAACCCGGUGAGGAUCAAGGUUGUAGUUACACGGUUGUGCUACUUCUUCAACAUGAUCUCAUAGAAGGUGAUUGACCAUGAUGAGUUGGCGUCUCUUAAGGAAUUCGCAGUGCUGACAGUGUCAUAGUUUGUGAUGUGUUCCCCCUAGCAUUCUUUGAUAUGAUGGUUCACCUUGUGGUCCAGUUGGUUCCACAAAUAGAGGCAUUGGGCCCCAUAUACUUGCAUGUGGACGUAUGAGCGUUUCAUGUCAACACUAAAUGGUUAUGUAUCAACUCAUGCUCAUCUAGAGGCGUCUAUGGUAGAGGGGUACUUAACCGAAGAGGCCAUUAAGUCGAGAGGUCCAUUCUGCAACAGGGUUCUAAAAGAACAGGUUGCAAUAGGUCUGCCUUCAUCACGACACGAGGGUAGGCUGAAUGGAAGUGGGAGGAUAGGAAAGAAAUCAUGCAUCCCAAAAAUUACAAUACAAUCCUUGAGGCACAUCACAUCGUCCUACAUCAGCUCUCGAUAAUGGAGCCUUUGAUCAAGAUACACAUUGAUGAGCUUCACAAACAUAAUCAAGGGCACACAAACGAAUGGAUAAUGAAGGAACAUAAGAAUUGGUUCACCUGAUGGCUAAGGGAGCAGGACAUUCUUGAUGGGGAAACACUCAAGCAAUGCACCAUCAAGGUCUUGGUAUCUGGGCCGUCAUGCCAGGUCAUGGCUUGGCAAACCUUUGACAUUAGUGGCUUCAUGUUCUGUACCAAAUCUAAGGACCAAAAGAGCAUGGCACAAAAUAGUGGUGUUUGAUGCGACGCCUUAGACUCUGAAACUGGUGAGGCAACAACUUACUUUGGCUACGCUGUGGACAUAUGGGAACUACACUAUGGUAUAUUCCAGAUCCCUGUAUUUCAAUGUCAAUGGGUUAAUGACAAACAUGUUACAGUGGACAACUAUGGGGUCAGAGUUCUAGAUCUAGGCAAGAUAGGGUACAAACAUGAUCGAUGCAUAAUGGCUAACCGUGCUGCACAGGUCUUCUAUGCUAAGCAGAUCCUGUCUCCUAAUGAUAAGAAGAAAAUUUCUAACCAGCCGAAGCACGUAGUUUUUCCUAGAAAGCAACAAGCCAUAGGAGUUGAUGGUGUAUCUGAGCUGGACGAAUUUAAUCAGUUCAGUAACAUGUCUCUCUUUGUAGAUGACCAUCAAGCAAUGAUAAUAAAUGUUGAGUGAAGCAUCCCACGGAGUUCGUUGCCCUGUGUGCACCAUGAUGGACAAGGAAGAAUAAUAGUUGCCUAGAUUAUAUUUAACGUUUGUUGUGUAAUCAAUUUAUGUUACAAUGUGUACCUACGCUGCUAGCAGCUUUCAAGCCAUUCUAAACUAGACAAUGUAUCGACUUGGUUCAAUCCACGAAUAUUCCAAUGUCUUAUUGGUCUCAAACUUUUUCUAAGUCUUACUAGUGCCUUGGUUGUUCAAUCCACCAAGUUUGGGAUUUUUCUGACGUGGUUUGGUACUUUAUCUGGUUUAAUUGAAUUUUUGCGUGAUGUCUCUAAGUAUUAGCGACUGAACUGAGUCUACCCCAAAACAACUCUGAAUGGUGCCAAAAUUCUCUACAGGGUCUCAUCUACCCUAGGAAUCAAAACUUUGUGGAGGUUUGUGAAAAAACCAAGUUGGAUCAAGGUGUAACUCAUCAUUUUUGUCUCAUUUAGCAUGAAGAAGAAUGUAAUAAUAACUUGCAUGACCAGAAAAUCCUAAGAUCUUGUGUGGGACCAUCAUUUAGGUGUAGGUGCUUGCAAAGAAAAUUCAAGUCAUUUUGAGAUAGGCAUAACAUACAUGCUUCAUAGACGUAGAAGAGCAGUACUUCCACUAAACCAUACCCUAACACUUUGGUUACUCCGCUUUAUAUGGUGGAAUAUGUGGUGGACCAAGGAAUAUAUUUUUCGUGGCAUGUAAAUAGUACAAAGAAGCUAACAAAAUUGGAUUCAUAUUUUUUUGGUAUUUCUAUAAUUAUUUAUGUAUUAAACAAGAUAUGGGGCCUAUAUUUAAUUUAAAUCAUUUUCAAUAGAGCUACAUAUAAAAGUAUCUCAAUCAUGGUAUUUAAUAUUAUUAACAUGUAGAUCUACUCAAUGGAAACACAAUAAACUUUUUUUCACAAUAUUUGGACCAAUAUUUGUGAAGAUAUGAAUUUUUGAAGCUUUUAAAUUGUUUCUGCAAAAUAAUUAAAAAGUAUCAAAAACUCUUUUCUACAGGCAGUUGGCUUAGUUAACCAUCUAUACAAAUGUAUUUCUACAGGCAGUCCUCUUAGUAAACUGCCUAUAGCAACACAUUUUUACAAUGCCAACCGCCUGUAGCAGUCCUUUCUACAGGCGGCGGUCAAUGCCGACCGCCUGUAGAAAUAGCCACCGCAUAUAAGAUUGGAAUGGAGCCUUGAAAUUUUCUAAGUACUAAGGUGGGCUAGAUUUCCAAAAACACACCAUCAGGCUACAUGAUUUUUUCACCGCCGCCGCUGUCGCGACGCCUCGGAGAGACGCACCGGGUCGCGCCACACCAGUUCGUCGGAGAGCCGCCACAUGGAGUCAUCGAAGAAGCCUCCGUCACCUUCGUCUUUGUCUCCGCCGCACCAGGGUCUUUGUCUCCGCCACACCGGAGUCUUCAUUUGGCUCUGUCGACCUCUUCGACGACUUCCCGUGUGGUAAGGCGUCCUCUAUUGCUCUAGGUGGCGGUGGUGGCGGCGGCGGCGGUUUUGUGUGCAGUGGCUGCUAGGGUUUGGUGGCAGCUACUGCGGCGGGUGUGAAUGGCGGCAGCUAUUGCAGUGACUUCGGCGUUCCGGUGGUGGAGGCGAACGGGCCGGGAAGGGGAGAGAGGCGGUCGACCGGAGGUAGGGGAUGACCCCGAUACGAGGGCCCCACCUGGUAGAGAUAGAGGGAGAUAGGUAGAGAGAGGGACAGAGGAGAGGCGUCGUGGGCCUACUGGGCCGGCGCAGCUCAGGCCCAGUUCAUGAGAGAGAGAUAAUUGAGUUUUUUUUCUGUUAUUAACUUCUUUUUUUGUGCUAUUUUUUUAACUUCAAUUGAAUCAUAUAUGUAUGUAUGGAAAUAUAAAUAGAAAAAGUCAUAUAAAUGUAUUUAUGGAAAUAUAUGUAUGUAUGUAUGGAAUUCAAUAAAUAUUAUAAUUUAUGUAUGAUGUAUUGAAAUAUAUUUAUGUUUUUUUCAGAAAUAAUAUGUAUUAUGUCUUUAAUCCUUUAUAUAUAAAUAAUAUAUAUAUGCAUGUAUUAAUUUGUGCCUAUCCUAUAUAUAUAAUGCUAACAAAAUUUAAUUAAUUAUUAUGUAUUAUGUCUUUAAUCCUUUAUAUAUAAAUAAUAUAUACAUGUAUUUAAUCAAUUUGUGCCUAUCUUUUAUGUAAGAUCUCGACUUUGCACAUGUGAUUGAAUAUACUAUGUAAUAAUAUAAUUAAUCCUUAAUGAGGAGUAUGCAUAAUAUUUGAAAUAUACUCUUGCACCUACAGAUUCUCGCGAUGAGUUCUCCGUGCAAGGUCGAAGCACAAGGGACCGUCCAUAUGGAACAAGCCCAAGGGUCCCACCCCACGGUGCAAGUAGAAGAAAUCCAUGAAACGAGCCAAGCCCUGGGGUCGUCCGAUAAUGAUUCUUACUAUGUUCAUCAAGAAGCUAGUGACGACGACAUGGAGAUUCCCGAAGUGAGAAAGGCUCAUCAUGAAUUGGCACGUGACCCUGAUUUACAAUCUAAAAGCCGAUGUGGUAAAUUACAAAUCCAUGAUUUCAUCAAUAAGCUAGCGAUGACGACAUGAUUUCAUUUCAUAUCUAAUCUCCAUGUGAUUGAUAAUGUCUAUAAACAAGAGGGAUUGUCUCAGAUUCAAGAGCUGCUCAAGCAAUAGGAAAUGGUCUGUGAUCAGGCAGGAGAGGCACCAGAACCGACCACAUCAACAACCACUGAGAGAUCAAGGAAAGGAAGCAGAACACCGGUUUGAAACACGGUGAGAGGGGAUUGAACAAGUUUCCACAAGAAACAUAUAUCAUUGAGGAUGUGAGCCCGAAUAGAUAGCCCCUACGACUUGAGGAGUCGCUCUCCAAGUACCGAAACAAAAUUGGCUUCUAUGUUAGGGACAUCCUUGACAUCACCAUUAUGGAUUGGUCUAGUGGGCUAGAGGGUGAUAAGAGAAAAAUCUAGGAUAAAAUGAAGACGAGGUUUAAGUUUGCUAAGACAGUACCAGAGGCACUAGUACAGGUAUAUACAAUGAAGCAGUUUGCGAUUAGUUUUCGAAACUAGAUGCACAAGAUGAAUACUAGGUAUGCAAGGACAGGAAAGGACCCUACAACAAGAUAUAAGAUUUCACUAGGGUAGUGGGUGGUUUUUCUAGAGCAGAGAAGAGAUCCAGCAUUCCAAGCUAAGAGCGAAGCCAACUCCCAACUCACAAAAAAGAACAAGUACCACCACCGUCUAGGCACGGGUGGUUACCAGCGCCAGAUCCCCAAAUGGAGACAAAAAGAGGCUACAAAGAAGGUGGCAGGGUUGCCUAUGCUAUCUAAGCAAGUAGGCGAAAGGUCCGCAAAUUGGAUUCUUGCUCGAAAACCAAAGGAAACCAAGAGUGGUUUGUCCUUUGAGGACCCUAUGCUCAAAGAAGCAACAAAGAGCAUCCUGGAGGAGGCAGCGAAGACACAGGAAGGGAAAAUCAAGCCACAAAUGGAGAGGGACAUCCCUAGUGACAACAUAGGUAACCCUGAGCAUCCUAGCUACAUUCGAGGCAUCUCGUCCAAAGAAACAUGGGAGACUAGAUUCAGCCCUUAGUGGGCAAGUCAGUACAAGAAACGUGAUCGUUACAAGGAAGCAAUGGCAAGUUUCUUUCAAGAGGAGGCUAACAAAGAGUUCAUAGGGAUGAUGGAGAAAUUGCUAGAAGAUCCUCCUCCUCAGUUGAUGCAGAAACUGGCGAGCACGGUGUCAGUUCAACAAAUGAGCGCUCAGGGCCCCCCCAGAUGCAGCUAGUCCUAGUGGUGGCACAACAGUUGGUGUCAGCAUGUCCAACCGAGAUGCCAAGCAGUGUCAUGUCUAUAGGAAACAAGGCUCACUAUCCGGUUGACGACAUUGUUAAUCCCGUGCCUCGCUCCCUAGUCAUAAGGUAUGGCCUUAACAAUCAUUAUAUAAGGGAAGUAGCCACAGGCAAAGCGAUCCUAGGAGGACCGAAAUACCAUGGUGUAGACAUUCCUGAAGACUACUGCAGAGUAGAAGUAUUGACAGUGGUCCAAGGAUACAAGGACAAGAUGCUAGACAUCCUCGGUCCUGAGAACAUUGAGAAACUCAGACAGGCUAUAAAUAGUUUCAUCCUUUGGCCUUGUGGUAACGUCCAACCAAGGGAGGCACCACCAUCCUCUAAAGAGAUGCGCCUUACUUAGGAGUUGUCAACACCUAUCGAUCUUGUUCCUCAACCAUUACCAUCACCUCCCCAGUCUCUUCUUGACCAACAAGCAUCACCACCCCAUUUCUACUCUAACCCUAAACCAUUUAAUUCCCCAACACAAGCACCUACCGGCUAGUCUCCUCAUGACCCACCAACAUCAUCUCCACCAACAUUUAAUUCCCCACCUUCCCCAUAGCCCAAAGAUCCUGAGCAAACAAGCGAGCCACCAAAAAAGCCAAGGAAGAAAUUUUUGAUUCCCAGCUAGUUUCUGAAUAUGAGACUAAGAAAAAAACAACUUGCAUGGCCAUGUUUUUGAAAAGCAUUGGACCAAAAUGCACAGUAGUAGUGCAUGUUUUCAGAGCUCUCGAAGUCGAUGGAGCCUUUUGCUGAGGUAAUUCCCUAUGAAAUAAAGUUGCCAACUAAAUAAGAUUACAUGAACAUCCCUACAAAAUUUGUGGUGGGAAGGUCUCUACUCAAGUGGGAGAAACUCUUAAGGGUCCCAAACUCCCAACCAAUAUAAAAAGGCUGCAUGACUAGUACAUGAGAGCCUCUUCUGUUGGCAUCGACACUAUCAGCAUGUCUAUAACAUAUAGGGCAUUUCAGAGUAAAAAAGAUAAUGCAUGGGUAACAUCGAAGACGUGUGGUUGAUGAUGAACCUCAAGAGACUGGAUGUGCAGAUCGUAAUGAUCUUUGCAUUUUAAGUGUUACAUAUGUUACACAUUCAUUGUAUAUAGUUGCAUCAAUGUUCAAUACCUUACAUGCAUGUGCCUCGCAGGAGCUAUAUGAGCAGCAGAGUUGUAUUAUGGUCUUGAUUUGGAUUAUUGUGUCGAAGAAAGGGUUGCCUAUCUGAACCCAAUAGAAGUAUGUGAAUAACGACACACAUUCAGAAUCGGAAAGUACAACAAAGAAAGAGAGGGCUUAGAAGGUGAAGAACUGGAGGCAAAACUCAAACAGUUGAAGAUGAAGUUUUUAUCUGACUACGCCCACUACAUUGGAAAGGCACUGCUUAGGUAUCAAGACAGGUUGGCGGUAGUCAUUCUGUAUAACUUUAGGUAAGUGAAUUUGCAUAGAUCAAACUAAGUUAUUCCAAUGCACAAAUGCAUUAUGAAUUCAUGCAGGGACCACUGGAUCUACUUCUGUGUUUAUCCCACGGAAGGAAGGGUUCUAGUACAAGACUCCGCAGAUUACCCAAUAGAUAACUAUGCAAAAUUCAUUAAACUCUUAGAGCUGUAAGUCGAGAUAUGCAUGCAUACUUUUGCAUUAUUAGUGUUUGAGGAUAACAUUGUCGUUCUAUUCGACAUCUCAGGGCAUACAGGUGGUAUAAGGUAUCACGUGGGAAGUGUGCGUCCAAAAAACCAGGACAACCAUUCGAUGUUUUAUAUAACUGGCCGGUACGUUUGAAAAUUUACUCUUAUAAAAACAAAACAUAGGUGUACGAUACAUAUAUAGGACCAUAGUUGCAUGUAUAAAUAACCACUUUCCCUUUAUAUGGUGCCUCAAGCAACCACCCAGAAGUGUCUCCUGUAGAUAUUAUGUGUGCCACCACAUGAGAGAGAGCGGACGAUUUGCUAGCAACCCUUCCAAGGUAAUUAGUAUAUGAUGCUUUCCCUUCUUACAUUAAAGGUGGAUAUUUUAAGUAUAUGAUGCUUAUAAACUUUUUUUGCAGGAAUAUAAGGAACCCAAGGCGAGUAAGAUCAACGAAAAGACUUUAUACGAAAUGGUUGAGGAUGUGUGCACAUUCCUCUUGAAACAUGUCAUUCCACAUGAAGGGAAAUAUCAUGAUCAUACCAGUACAAUAUCCUUGCCACAGUACGGAGUUCUCACAGAGCUUAGUAGGCUAGGCCUUAGUAGGAAGGGUUAUUAGUAUACAAUUGUAAACUUUGAUGUAUGCAAUGUAAGCUGUAUAUACACUUGUAAUUAACUUUAUGUAUAUACAAUGUGUGAUGUAUAUUUAUAUUUAAUGUUGCUAUAUUUUAUAACACCCAAUUUUAAGAACAAAAUCAGAUAUGCACCAUAUGUGAGUUUUAGAAGACAAAUCUCACAUAUAGCUAUAAAAAAGGGGUAAUAUCAAAGGACAACAAAUAAAUUAAAUAUCGUACAUAAUAAAUCAGAAACAACCUUAGGCAGCAAAAUCACGGAAGAUAACUCCAAACUUCGGGUAUUAACUUCACUCUACAGGAUCCAACUGACUGGUUGAUCAUAAGUCCAAUACUUCUCCUAAGGUGAGGGGGAGAUAGCAAUAGUGAGUCCAAGACGAACUCCACAAGUAUAGCAACUAGAUUGUAUAAAUCCCACAAUCUCAUGAUCAAUGUGACAUAAAUAAUAUAAAGCAUUAAACAAUAAGCAAUGAGUAUCUUAGACCAACAAGAUUCAUCACCCUUAAUGCAAGAAUCCCCAAGACCGCUCUUGACCGUGAGCACGGCUAGUAUACCAGUUUAAUAAACACUCUGCAGAGGUCUUACAUCUUUACCCAUGAGUCAUGAUUUACCCUUUUGCCUGAGGUAGAUAUCCUCUUAACCCCCUUCCUAGGGAGGUCGGUAGGGAUCACUAUGAAGUCUUUCAAAGUUUCGUCUAACAAGUUAAGGCCGCUUGGUUUCUGUAGUCAGUCCGUGUGAUUCUACCACGCACGGAAUCCAUGGUCUGCUAUCCCCCAUUUGUGCCAUGUGGGUAUCCUCUAACAAGCUAGAAAACUUACUCAUACUUGACUAAAGUGAGAGCCAUUAUAGCUCUCAUGGAUGCACGGUUAUCCCAGUUAUCACUUACGGAUAAAUCCUCAAGUUGCUAAAAAGUCAUUAUUAUCGUUUGUUGCUUUACAUUAAUCUAGUCACAAGAUCAAGGUCACAGAAUUAAAACCCAAAUGCCAUACUUGCCUUGAUCCAAUUGCUCCUGCUGGUCCUGUUGGUCUUACUUGUUUCCAAGGCUCUGAUCUUGAUCACUGAAGUAAUGCUCACCGACUAAACUCAGUCACCAAUCAUCAACACACAAGCAAUUGAGGCCACCCGUACACAAAGCAAACAAAGUUACAAUUAGAAUAGUACACCAACAGUAAAUAAAUUUAAAUAAAAGUUUUUCAAAAUUAUCUACACGCUGCUACGAUCACGUCAAAGAGAAAUUCACGGAAAACGUAGUUAUGACCCAAAAUCUACUCCUUAAACGGGACAUCAAAAGCGAUAUAAGGACUCAUAUUUAUCUAAGAAAUCUAAUAGUGGUGAACCUAGACAACAAUGGUACCAAUGCGAAGCUUAUGAAAUUAUGAAACUAACGUGACUUGAACGGAACGAAUCAGAGCUUAAACGGAGAAGAUAUCAUUUUUCUAAGAUUUUCUUUAGAAAAGUAAUUUAUUAAAUAGGGUCACGAAAUUUAAAAGUUUUAAACUGGUCAAACAGUGAGACUAACAAGUAGAGCUUGUGACUACGAAUCUAACACAAUUUCAACGGGUCAAAUCGGAGUUAAAACGAAUAUUUUAAGAGCUAAAUAAAUCCAGUGGCAAACUUGUAAUUUUGUGAAGGUGUAUUUUGAAAUCAAUCCGGCGAGAAAUACAUUUUCAAACUCGGUUGGCGUAUUCUAGGAGGCGCUUUGGACCACGGGUUUAAAUCCCAUAAUUGCCAGGGACUCUUUAGCAAAAUGGCCCUACGAAGCGGUACGGGCUGCUCCUGGCCAUCGGAUUCAAGAUCGACGGCCGGGAUUAGAUCGAAGGGGAGAGAGGGCGGCGCCGGUGGUCGGAACAGGAGAGCCAGUGAUGGCGCGCCAUGAACGGCGGCGAGAAGGUCACCGGCGUGACCCGUUAGACUGUUAGACUGUAUGGUUUUCCAAACCGAGAGCACCAGGGGAUAGAGAGGGAGUCAAGGCGAGCCCGUACCGGGGCAAAACGUGACCGGAAGAGUGGCCAACGCGGCGGUCCGCGGCGAUGCCAUGGCUAGUCCUACCGAAGCUCACGAGGAAGACUCUAGGGACAUGUUUUCACAAGGGAGAAAGCCGGAUAGGGAGAAGGGAAGGAGGCGCGCUCACCACGAUGAAAAUCGGAGGCGGAGACAGCUCAGUUCAUCAGGUUGAACGCGGCGGAUCGCGGUGGUCACCAGCGGUGGUUCUCUGUGCAAGCGAGCUCACGGGAGAGAGAGGGAGUGGGGUCUAGAAGGCGAAAUGGACGGAGGGCAGAGGCACGAGCUCGGUCGCGUCUAGAGAGGCGAGGCGUGGGGCAGAAUGUGGGAGAGAUAGGAGCGAGGUUGCGGUAGUUGCGUCUCUGCUGCUGAGCGUUCGAGGGUGAAGAGGAUGGUUGUUGAAGGAGGGGGAUGACUGGCGGGCCCCACCUGUCAUUGAGCCAAGGGGAAAAGUGUGUUGUAGUUGCUGCCGAGCUGCGGACUGGGCUAGCCCAGCAAUGAGAGAAGGGGAAGGGAGCGCGUGGGCCGGGAGGAGUUGGGCCAGGCCGGCCAAAAAAGAUGGAGGGGAUAGAAUUGCCUUUUUUAACAAAAUUUUCAAAGCUCAUUUUCGAUUUGAAUUUGAGUUCAAAUCCCUUUUUCACAAAACCACACAUCACAUAAAUAAAUGUACAUCAUGAAUGCAUCAACGUGUUUCUAAACUUAUCGUAAAUUUUUAAUUUCCCAAAAUUUAUUAAUUUCCUAUAUUAUAGUGCUCACAAAAAAAUAUUUUAAUUAAAUCAAAUUCAACUAUUUAAAAGAAGAAAUUUUUUUGGGUGUUACUAUUCUACCCCCUUAAGAUGAAUCUCGUCCUCGAGAUUCGGAAGAGGCUCAGAUCCUCUCAGAGAAACUGGAAAAUAUCUUGAUAAUCCUUUCAAAUUCACAACUUGCAUACCAAACCUAAACACUCAUGUUUCAAGGUCACACCUCAUGAACAAAAUUCCCAUUGUGUAUCUAUCAUUCAUAAUUGAUCAAAGUCCAUCUUGACUACUAAUUUUUUUAGCUUACAACUCAAGGAGACAUCGAAACUUAAUAUGCAUUUGCCUCCCCAGGUAGGAGUGGACCACCGCGAUACUCAAUUCUUCUCCCUGACGGUGCUGUUAAGAGCAUUUUGUACUGGGUACCAUAGAUCACUCCUUUGUGUGCACACAACCAUCCAUUGCCAAGAACCACAGGGAUAUCGAGUGACUCUAACACUAUGCGAUUUAUAGUGAAGUUUUCCUUGUUUAUGACCAGAUUGAUAUUUGAGCAAAUCUGAUCUGCCUAUAUUUCUCCCACUAGAGUUUGAACUAACAAAGGCUUUCUGGUUGGACACUUCACCCUCUUGAUCUUCUUUACCAUGUCGGUGGAAAUGAAAGAAUGUGAAGCACCAGGGACAAACAGAGCAAAAACUUGCACUUAGUCUACUUGAAUAUAGCCUCCCACCACUUUGGUGGCUCCUUGAAUGUUAUGCCUAUCCACAUUGCUCAGUCUUCCAUUAACAUAGUUCCGCUUUUCCUUACCUCCAUGAGUAGGCUUCUUACGAGCUUUCCUUUUGUGCUUCCGUCGUUGUGGAUUCUGAUUUGUUUCAAUGCCAACUUGCUCUUCAAUAUUAUUAUUUUGAUAGUACUUAGCUUCAUCAUACUCAUAACAUCCUUCAAAGAUAAGAUGGUCAUGUUCUUCCCAUAUAUCCAUGAGAGGAGUCAUAUUGGGCUCCUGAUCCAUGGGAUACUACACUCCCUGUCCUCAAGUGACCAACGUCAGUAACACGGCAAGGAUAGAUGACCAUAAUCAUAGAAUAUCCCAAGAGACAACCCUUACAUCAAGAUAAAUUGAAAAUGCAUCAUCCCUUGAUAUCAAGAUACUACCCCCUUAAGAUGGGAUUGUAUGGGGGACACUAGCUCUUAUAUCCUUUUUAGGCGCUACACAUCAUAUAAUCUUUUAAAAUAAUUGUACCGAGUCUCUUGAUCCAAGGUUGAUUCCAUCACUAUAUUCCAACUAUUUUUACCUUUAUCACAGUUAAGUUGCUUCACUCUCACAUCCCCCAUAUAACUUUGUAGGCUUCGGUGUCAUCUGAUCCUCAUAAGCAUAACCCUCAAUCUAUGAGUAUCAACCAUGACAUAUUCCUCCAUUGAUAUUCUCCAAGUGGGACGAUAUCUUGAAACAAAAACAAAACUUAUUAAACAUUUGAUGUCCUUACAAAUUAUCCCACAUUAACCAAUACUUCUCGUUAUAACUUGAUAGGUUACCGAUAUGAAUCGGUACGAGGGUGGCCCGAUCUUCACGACAGUAGAUCAAAAGAACAAGGAUAACUUGCUGCGAACAGCGGGUAACUAGCUUUAUACCUGACAAAGGUUGGAUGCGACCAAGCGACGGGGAGAGAGGCACCGAAAACACGAAGACUUCGACUCGAUCUCCGAACGACCGCAGAACCACAAUCCGGAACUAAUCCACACAAUACGGCGCAGCCGAACGGAAGCCGUAGAGCACGAAGUAGGGGAACCCAGAGGAUUCACUUCACAAGUCCAAGAAGAACAAGGAAUAACAAAGGUUCAGUAAGGCACUCAACAACGUGGCUGCAAUAUCAUGUAGUUUAUCAAAUGAUCAAAGGUUCCUAAUAGCUUAGAGGUAGGGGGUAUUUAUACGAGGAACAACCCUCCUAGAUAGGUAUGAAAACGAAAUAGAGUUUCUGAGGGAAGGCAAUGUGAAAGGACCCCUCGGAAUGGAUUACCGAACUGGCUUCGCGUGACUGUUGGCCUCCAGAGCAGUUUCCAAUAAACUGACCAUAACUUUUUAUUGGGAAGUCCAAAUGAUGAACCGUUUCUUGGGUGUGAAACUAGACUCCAAGAGCUUUCCAGCAAUGUAUGCCAUGCACCAUGAAACAUUGCAGAUUGGUACAGUUUUGCACGGAAAGUUGUGCCAACUUUCUGUCACGACAGACUGUUGACCUUCUGAGCAGUCUGUACUAAUUCUAGUCUGCAGGCAAUAUGGAGUAUCCACACUGGUCGCCACUAGAUUCAUUGGAAAGUACACUCGACAAGAUUUUCAACAAGUCCUCAUGGGCUUUCCAACAAGUCCUCAUGGGCCUUUCCAACCAGGACUUGCACUGGUUCGUUCAUCAGGGUCCGAUUCAUCCUUCUCUUCUUCUAUAUACCUGAGUACAAUCAAGGUAGAACACUUAGGUAGUAUAUAAUUCUCAUUAAUGUUAAAAUGAAUCUCACAAAGUAGCGCGUGGACCUCUAGUUGUAGCUUCUUUGCACGACUACGUGUAACCGGUCCAUCGAUGACUUGGGCUGGUGUCGGUGUAGGUAAAACUUGAGUGGUUGUAACUUGACUUGGAGCUUGUGACAUCUUGCUUGCUGGCAUGGUCAUAUCAUCCUCCCCCACUUCAAAAAGAGUCGUCCUCAACUCUAACUCUUCUGUUCCAAAGAGUUGUGCUAGGACAUCGGUUUGUAAUGUUGUGAUAACAUCGCAAUCUUCUUGUUCCAUGAUAGCAAGGUGUUUGAAUCUAUAAUCAUAUAAACCAAGUAGUAGCCUUGAAUGUGGAAACCUAAAUGAUUUGGAAUUAUGUUUCGCUUUCACCUUGAGUGGAUGCUUGAAUGUUGAUUGCCCUGGUAUGGUCUCAUCAUCCUCCCUCCCUUCAAGCAAAGUCGUCCACGACUUUUGUUUACGUGAAAACAGCUUAGAUAAAAUCGAGGGUGGACGUACUUGAUAAUUCCAAUAAUCAUUCCUUUUGUUCUGUUCAUUUAUUUCAUUUUGAAUUAUUUUUGCAAUAUUUCCUUUUCCAUGUAAGAAAUAUUCUCUCAACUUUGGUGAACCUACAAACAGUUUAGAGGACGGUAGCACAAAAAUUUCUUCCAAUCCAAUCAUUUGAUUCAUGUUGUCAUGUUUUAUCUUUAGAAGAUCAAACUUUUCAUCAAAUGGAUGUUGAGAACUAAUGUUAUUCCAAAAAUUAUUGUGGCAGCAAAAUUUAUUUAAGGGUUUAGAAGUAUAAUUUUUAAACUCAAUGCUCCAAGGUGUGGAUGAACAACUUUUUGGUGUAUAGGUUUUGCUUUGCACAAGAUUUCUAACUUCAAGUGGAUGGUAUGAACAUGCUGACAAUAUGAAUUGAUCGAAACCAUAAGCACUAAGUAUUUGUUGCAUCUUAAAAGAUGUCUCACUUUGUUUAUCUCUCAACAUUUUUGAGUCUAAAUCAAUAAGCUUGUUAUAUGUUACACAAAUGGCAUGAACCUCGAAGGUAUCUACAACAUGUUCUCCAAUCAAGACAAAUGUAAAGUGGAAGUUAUGAAUAGUAUUCAAUGAACUCAAAGAUGUUAUGUUAGAAAUUUUCUCAAGCAUUCGUUCAAUAUUGAUAGGCAUGUUAAGCAUAGUAUAACACAAACAUUCAAGAGGAGUUAUCCUUGUAAACAAAUCAGCACAAGUAACCGACUGGAUGAGGUGUUGUUUGUUGUUAUAUGAAGUGUUGCAAGGAUCAUUCAAAGCACAAAGACUCUCAUCAAAAAAAAAUUUAGCACUUGUAUCAACAUGAGUUCUAGUCAAAUCAGCACAAAUGUUUUGGUUAUGUUUUAUUGCUAAAACAGUGAUAUCACAAGUACUCAGUAUGUGUUGAUUUAUUCUUCAUGUAUUUUAAAUCCAAUGAUUCUACAUGUACCAAGGUUUGAAUCUCUGAAUUUUUACCUUCAUUGUUGAUCUUAGAUGGUUUUGAUGAAUUAACUAAAGGGUUGAGAAAUGUGCAGCCAUCUCUAAGAUGUAUGAGUAUUGAUUGCAUCGUAUCACACAUAUGAAUGCAAAUCAUCAUGUAUAUGAACCAUAUCAAACCAUAGAAAAUAUCAUGUAUGAUUGAACUUUUGUUAUCAACUUGCAAAAUUACAUCACACAGGUGAACAUGUGAACUAAUCAAAUCAGUGCAAAUAUUUCAUGUAUGGUUAAUCCCAUUUGAACCAUAUAUAUUAUCAUAAUUACUUGCCAUUUUAUUUUGCAAACUCAAAUCUGAUUUAUUUUCAAUAACUUUUGGACUUUUUGGUGGUGCAAGUACCAAGGAUUGCACCUCUGAAAUCUUACCGUUAUCCAUGUCAUGGUUCAGGUUUUGGGCAAGACACAACGGGUUUAGUUGAAUGGCUACCUUCUCAUUUCUCUCAACAAGUAUGGUGUUGUCUUGAGCAUCAAUCUCUUUCCUAUUCUCAUCACCAACCUGCACACACUAUACCACAACACUUAAAUAGUAUCAGACGUGUGUUGCUAAAGAUAACUAUUAGCAUUGAACGGUCUGUUGCUAAAGGAUCCCCACAGAGCAUCCGUUGUUAAAUUUUAAUACUUCAAUGGACGGUCUGUUGCUAUAAUUAUUGUAAAUUUACGUUGGAUCGUCUGUCGCUAUAUGUCAUCAACUGAAUCGGACCGUCCGUCGCGAAAUAAAAUAUCCAGUGGCGCGAAGUUUUCGGCCCGUCCCGCAAAAAUUUUGGCCCAUGAUCUAAACCCUAAGGCCACUCAAGCCCCCACGCCCUGAAUCCACCCCGCCGCCCCUGCGUCUGCCUCAUCCGCUCCGACACCGUACUACCCCUCCCGACGCACGCCGACGCCCCAUCCGCCGCGGCCGACACCCGCCUCCACCCCGUCGCCCCGGCCGACGCCCGCCUCCACCUCGUCGCUCCGGCCGACGCCCGCCCGGCUGCAUCGAGCACGCCGCCCCGGCCGUCGCCCGUUCGGCUACGUCCACCGCCUCCACCCCGUCGCCCCGCCCGACGCCCGCCUCCACCCCAUUGCCCCGGCCGACGCCCGCUGGCUGCAUCCAGCCCAGGAUGCGUCGGGCACCAGUGGCGGUGGGAUCCCAUCCUAGGUGGUGGCGACGACGAGAUCCUAGCCUAGGCAGCGAUGACGGUCAGAUCCCGAUACAGGGGCGACGGCAGCGGCGGGAUCCAGGUGCGUAGUUCAUGGAUUUCAUUUGGGUAACCCUCUUCACCUGUACAUUUUUAUCACGCAAUGCUCUACUCUCAUCUCCCCCCUCCCUUCUCUGCAGACCCAUCCCAACAGCAGCAGCUCGGCUCAGUUGUGCUCCUCAUUCUUAGGUUGCAGCACUUUGGUCAGAUGAAUUGUGUUCUCUUUUCAGGUACAGAAGCAAUGUACUGCUUUUUUUAAUCAUCACAACACACUUUGGUGUGCUGAUAAAGUGUAGUUCGAAUUGCAGGUUGGGAUUUUUAAUUCCAUUGCCUAAUCAUUUUUAAUAAUUGCAGCACUUAUUAGUUCAAUUAGUUGUACAAUUAGUAAGUAAUUUAAUUCGUGCUUUGCUGCUUUGCUUCUGUGCUGCUUCAUGAUUUCCUAUAGAUGUAGCUGCAGGUUCUUGUUAUUCUUUACGACAAAAAAAAUUCAGACUUUGCACCUUUGGCUGGUCAGAUCGGUGACACCCAUGGCCGUGGUGAGUUUGUAAUCCAAAUCCCGUGGUGUUGUGUUCACCAUCGUGGGUGCAAUGCAAGAUUGAACAUGGAGGCCUUCUGCAUCCAUGCCGACCAGGUCUUUCUCCCUGCAAUCAAUUGCAAAAUUUUGUACAGGAUUUGCUUCUGUUUGGAUAGAUCAAUGUAUUAUCCCAAGUGCAGAGGCCGUGUCUAGCAUUCCGUCAAUAUGGCAAUAGCACUUCCCCAAAAAAAUUUACUGUGAAAGUACCGUUCAGAGAUUUUGACAAUUUAGAUUUAGAUACACUGAGAAAUGCAGGAAUUAUUAGGCAAGGAACACCGAGAAAUGCUGAGUUGUGCACAAUGCUUGUAUUAGGGGAAAAACUUAAUGAAGAAAACUAACACUGCCAUAGUCCAGGAAAAAGUAUCUGAAUUUUUAGAUAAUGGAAAAUUUUCAGCUUCAGCCUUCUUCUAAGAAUUCGAGCUUGUAUUGGAGGUACAGAAAGUUAUUUUUUGACAACUAGCAUUAUCCUACAUGGCUAUUAUAUAUCUGAAUUUUAGACUUACUAGAUCAUUUACCUUAUAGAUAGAUCAAUGUUUAUGGCUAUCAUACUUUUGUAUUUACUCGAGCCAGGAAGAAGUAUGGAUCAGGAAACGAGCAAGCUGCCAGAGAGGGUAUAUACAUAGUUUAAAGCAUCUUUCAUUUUUUCUUUUGUCCUUUUGUAUAGAUCAGGAAACGAGCAAGAAGUAUAGAUCAAUGUUUUUUUCUGUGCUCAAUGCAGGUCAUGCAAGGAGAUCUUUUUAGCUAGAUGCAGGGAGGUUGUGCAAGCAGAUUUCUGCUUUGAUGAUGACUGAUUUCCACGAGCCAGCAAGCACAGCCUAUGCCGAGAAGCUCCACGAGCGCCAGCACACAGGGCCCUCCUCACCUCCACUCCAACAGCGCCAGCGCCGAGAGGUCCGAGCUACUUCCCUCCGCUUCAACUGAACUAAUUAACGGUUACUGGUUUGCUUCAAAAUGUGGGUUUCAUGUAUCCUUCCCUGCUAGUUCUGCUUAACUGGGUUGCUUUAGUUAGUUGCAGCUAUGACUGCCGAUUCAGGAUGACUAUGUUCAGGAUUACAGAAUGACAGUGGAUUGAUCCAGAUUCAGAUAUGGCUGCUAAUUGAUCUUAUUUUUUAUUAGCCUACGAAUUACCUGUUUUGUGUAGUAUGCUAGUGCUGCUUUUGUAUGUGUGGGUAAUUAACAUAUCUAUAGAAGAAAACUUGUCUGCUUACCCUUUGUGUUUUCCCCAUUUUUUCUUUUGUAAAUCAUAAAUUGGCAUAUAUGAGUAGGAGGGAUCGACGGGUAGAUAGAUAUUUAUGUACAGUCUUUUAUUCCUUUGUUUACCAUGUUGAUAGCAGUGCUUCUCUCAAUGUUGCAAUAAGUGCAUAGGCUAGGAUAGGGAGCUUUGUUUCCACUGCGGCAUGCAACAAGCAAAUAGGCUAGGCUAGGAUUACAGAAAGUUCAAAUUGAUUUAAAUUGAUUACAGAAAGUUCACAGCAGGGGCUGUGACUGAGUGACUAUGAGUGAGUGAUGCCUCUUGAACCCAACACAGUGCCCUUCAUUUCAGGUUUUAGUAGGAAAUAAAUAUGCUGAUCACUUGCCUCAAGGAAUUUCAGGUUUCACAGAGAAACGUGUAACAUGUUUAGUUUUACAAAUUAAGAAUAGCACUAGCAAUACUUAACAAGUCCUUGCACAAGAGACCAUCUAUUUAUGCAAAGUUAAAAACAAAUACUUAUUAUUUCAACAUGAGCUUAUAUGAAUUUACCUAUUUGUGCUCAGGUUGUUUUUGUCCAAUAUGUAGCGAGCUAGCAGGUUUGGUUUUUGUCCAACAUGAGCUUAUACUAAUUGCAUGUUUGGUUUGGGUUUCAGGGUUUGCUAUGGUGCUAGUUAGCAAGUUGGUGGAUGAUUUACCACUCGAAGCUGAUUUAGGUGCUAGUCUCUCUCUUUUGGAUAACCAGUUACAUGAGCUUCUUAUCUUAGUUCGGGUAGUAAGUAAGUUUACUUGGAGUAUGUUGGUGGGACAUGUAAUAUGAAAUUGGUAAUUAGCAAGUGACAUGUAUAUAAGACCCAGGUAGAUCACCAUUGCCUCUUGUUGCUGCAGAUUGAUACUCAUCAUGUUUUGACUAGUUCCAUAUUAAGUGACAUUACAUAUAUAUAAUGUACUAGAUCGAUAUAAGAAUCAAUGUAUGGAUAAUUUGAUCACUUUUGUGUAUGUGAAUCAAGGUAUGGAUAAUGUUUGAUCAUCGGCUAUACGUUUAGAGCAGCUUUUAUUUUUAUUUUUACCUAUUUAAUUAAGCUCGAUGGACUGUCCGUUGCUAAAAGUUCUUAUUGCGAUGGAUUGUCCGUUGCUAAAAGCUCUAACAGGCUGUCUGUUGCUAAAGGUUGGACUGUCGAACUGUCCGUCGCUAAAUAUGAUGUCCGUCGCUGUAUACAUACAACGACGGCUUCAAUAGCAACGGCAGCAGUCCGUCGCUAUAGCCUUUAGCAACGGACUGUCCAUUAGUGUACACCCCUUUUAACAACGGAUUGUCCAUCGCUGUUUAAAGGUUGUGGUGUAGUGACAUUUGCAAAGACAAAACUAGAAGUUGAGAUGAGAGUGUUAGUUUCAAACAUAUUCUCACUUGGCCUGCAUUCUAAAUAUCUAUUUUUCUAUGGUGUAUCCCCCACACUCUUAUUGUUGACACUCUCAACCUUAGAGUGGGUGGAAUCACUUAACUCACUUUUGUUUUCACUCUCUCAUUUUGGCAAUGUGGUUCUCAUUCUCACAUAGGUUUUGAUGCACAAUUACUUCAACAUCUUGUGAAGCCACAUAUGCAUGUGUAUCGUUGUCAUUGACAAUCACUUGUUCUUCCUCAUCAAAGAUUGGGGGCUGAUCAUAAUUCACAACAUUAUUUUCUUCAUGAACCUGCAUGGCAAAAGGAACAAGAAUAGAAGGUAUUAUAAUGUUAGAAGUAAAUAAUUCCUCACAUGAUUCAUCUCUUUUUCCUCUCAAUUUUUGUGGAUCACUCUCACAUAGAGUUUGGUGGCUCUCCUUAAAUAUUGUGGAAUCUCUCAUCUUCUUAUUUUGAACUCGCACUGAAUUUUGGUUGGUGCCACUCUUUCUCACGUAUGGUGGAAUGUCUCAUCUUUUUCUUUUGAUUUCUCUCACUCAAUUUUGGUUGGUGGCACUCUUGCUGAGUUUUUGUUUUAGGGGACACGCAGUAAUCUUCAUCAUCAAUGAGCACACGGGGUUGAAUGCAAUGCCCAUAAGCACCUCCUCCAUGUUGUCCACUGUGGCCAAAGAGACCACGGCGAGAGUUGGCUGAGCUAUGUUGUUUAGCCCGACCGCGCACCACAGGAAAACGUUCAUCAAACAUUUUCUCCAUGGCCUCCACUAGUGAGUUUUGUAGUUGGCGUAACUCAACCCGCGAAACUGGUGUUUCUUUUUCUCCAUAUCGACCACUACGAACGCUCGAAUUGGAUCCUAGCAUGUUAGCACUUAUGCAAGAUAUAGUAGAAUGGGUAAUUUUGUGGAAUCACACAAUCUCACCUCUUACUUACCUAUGCUCUUUCCUGUUCUCAAGGACAGUGAAUUAUGCUAGUGCUAGUGUAGCAGCUCAACAGAAGUGAUUCCGAGGUCGCAAGGAUUACGAGUUGAAUGUCCUGGUUUCAGUUUUAGGUGGAGCUAUAGGCGGCUAAACAAGGGAGGCUACGGUACUGAAAAUCAAGUGAUUUGAUGUGCUCAAAAGAUAUAAUGUUGCUGGUAUAUAAAUCACCAAGAAUCUGAACAUGUAAAUUGUUUUCAGUGAGCAAACCGCAGUACAACCCCUUUCCUCUUCUUCUACUUUUUCUGUUCUUUUCUCUUUUCUUUUCUCUGAUUUUUUUUUUCACUGACUUUUUUUAACUCUUUUUUUAUACUAACAGGGGUGCGGAUAACAAAUGAAACACAACACAAUAUAUGUGAAGAGGGUGACUAGCAACUUGAUGAACACAGAACACAAGAUAACAGUACCGUCAAAGGGCUCUAGGAUUUUUUUUGUGGCUUUUUCAGUGGACUAUAGGUGAUGAACAAAACAGUAACAAAUGAUAGAAAAAAAACUAAAGGUAGAUAUGUGGAUGAUUGUGAGACCUACCGUGACAAUUAAAGCUUUGAUACCAGUUGAUAGGUUACUGAUAUGAAUCGGUACGAGGGUGGCCCGAUCUUCACGACAGUAGAUCAAAAGAAUAAAGAUAACUUGCUGCGAACAGCGGGUAACUAGCUUUAUACCUGACAAAGGUUGGAUGCGACCAAGCGACGGGGAGAGAGGCACCAAAAACACGAAGACUUCGACUCGAUCUCCGAACGACCGUAGAACCACAAUCCGGAACUAAUCCACACAAUACGGCGCAGCCGAACGGAAGCCGUAGAGCACGAAGUAGGGGAAUCCAGAGCAUUCACUUCACAAGUCCAAGAAGAACAAGGAAGAACAAAGGUUGAGUAAGGCACUCAGCAGCGUGGCUGUAAUAUCAUGUAGUUUAUCAAAUGAUCAAAGGUUCCUAAUAGCUUAGAGGUAGGGGUUAUUAUACUAGGAACAACCCUCCUAGAUAGGUAUGAAAACGGAAUAGAGUUUCUGAGGGAAGGCAAUGUGAAAGGACCCCUCGGAAUGGAUUCCCGAACUGCCUUCGCGUGACUGUUGGCCUCCAGAGCAGUUUCUAGUAAACUGACCAUAACUUUUUAUUGGGAAGUCCAAAUGGCGAACCGUUUCUUGGUUGUGAAACUAGACUCUAAGUGCUUUCCAGCAAUGUAUUCCAUGCACCAUGAAACGUUGUAGAUUGGAACAGUUUUGCACGUCAAGUUGUACCAACUUUCUGUCACGACAGACUGUUGACCUUCUGAGCAGUCUGUACUAAUUCUGGUCUGCAGGCAAUAUGGUGUAUCCACACUGGUCGCCACUAGAUUCGUUGGAAAGUACACUCGACAAGGUUUCCAACAAGUCCACAUGGGCCUUCAUAGCGUUUGUGAUUAAAAAGUUAUGAAGAUUUCUUUGCACUGGUCCAUUUUUGACUUCCACUGGUCCGUUUUUUACUUCCACUGGUCCGUUUUUGACGUGUCUUCUAGGACUUGCACUGGUUCGUUCUUCAGGGUCUGAUUCAUCCUUCUCUUCUUCUAUAUACCUGAGUACAAUCAAGGUAGAACACUUAGGUAGUAUAUAAUUCUCAUUAAUGUUAAAAUGAAUCUCACAAAGUAGCGCGUGGACCUCUUGUUGUAGCUUCUUUGCACGACUACGUGUAACCGGUACGUCGAUGACUUGGUCUGGUGUCGGUGUAGGUAAAACUUGAGUGGUUGUAGCUUGACUUGGAGCUUGUGUCAACGAAAGCUAGUCGACAGUCUACCUUGGGGUAUACCCACGGUAGUAGUUUAUCGGUAGACGGUGCGCAAACUACGAACUCGAUGGUGACACAAGACACAGACAAGCUUUUUAUCCAGGUUCGGCCGCCGAGUUGGCGUAAUACCUACGUCCUGCGUCUGGUUGUAUUAAUUUGUGUUGAGAGAAUAACGAUGUCCUAGGGGGGUCCCUUGCCUCUCCUUAUAUAGUCUGGAGGACAGGCUUACAGAUCUGGAAACUAAUCCUAGUCGGUUACAAUUGCCAUAGAUAGUUCGAUAUCAAUUCCUGUUCUAACCGACUAGAAUCCUGCUUGAUCUCCACGUCUUGUUUCCUUGCGCGAGCCUCCGAGCUGUCGGAUCAAGCCUUGAACUUGUCUCGUAAUGGGCCAAGCCUCCUGGCCCAAGUCAGGCUGUAAGGGUAUAGGGAUUUAUACCCCCACAGCUAGUCCCCGAGCACCAUGUAUUGUUAAGUAACACGCCAUCUUGAGCUUCUUCGACCAAUGAAACUUGACAUCUUCAACCAGCAUGAGAAUUGCCCAAAUAAUUGCAACGGUAUUUUGACCAAAUCUAAAGAUAUUUGAUCGACAUCAUCAUCGAAGAAGCCAAUUGUUCGAAGAAUGCAUGGUGCUCUUGAGAAAAAAUAUUUCUUUUUCGGUGAAGUGUGCUCACUUUACUUUUCUGAAAAGUACAGACCUUCAAAAAAGCAAGCAAGUUCACCGCUCGGUGAAGUGUGCCCACUUAGUCCCCGAGCCUGGUAGUAGGUGACGUAGGCACGUAGUGCCAGGGUCAAAAGAAAAGUCCUCAAAGUAACUUUGAAUGUGAGAUGCAUCGCCAGAUGCAUCGUACCGAUGUAGUCCCCGAGCUUGCUGGAAGGCGAAGUAUGAACCUUGUAGCAUGGUCUAAAAAAUUAAAAUUAUCCAGUCCCCGAGCAUCUCAUACUCAUUUUCUACCGGAUAGACUUAUCAAUUUGGCGAGCUAGUCAACCAGUCCCCAGGUGUACAUUGCUCGAAGAUCGGUACAACCCGCAGAUUCCCGAACUAGCAGACUGGGCGACCAGUCCCCGAGCAUCAAGUGCUCGGUGGUCGGUGCAGUCCCUGAAUUCCCGAACUAACAGACUGGGCGACUAGUCCCCGAGCAUCAAGUGCUCGGUGGUCGGUGCAGUCCCUGAACUUCCAAUUUGAUAGACUGGACGACCAGUCCCCGAGCAUACAGUGCUCGAUGGUCGGUACAGUCCUCGGAUUGUUGAGUUGACAGACUGGGCGACCAGUCCCCGACCAUAAAGUGCUCGGUGGUCGGUGCAGUCCCCGGAUUGUUGACCCUCUACCAAUUUUUGUCUGUUUAUUUUGAAAAAAUCUUACCACACAAAUGAUUGACGUGACGAGACCUCCUGACAUAAUGUCAGAUGGUUGCGUGAAAAGUUGCGCCUGAUAACUGUGCAGCCGCCCUUUACGCGGUUUGAGAAAAGGAAACCAUCAAUUUGUACGAAAACGCCGCCGCAUUAAUUGUCGAUAAUUAUUGAAAACCGAAGCGCCGCGUCUGCCGUUGGGCCCGCCCACUUCCCUAGAAUGCGGGAAGUGGGAGGGGUGGAGUUGUGGUUUAUAAAAUCCGGACAGUUACCCCCGCAUUGCUUACCCCACCAUUUCCUUCAAGCUUUCCGCUUUUGCCUUCUACAAUCACCUGCACCCUCCUAGCUCGCAACCACUCCCGCAUCUCCAAUGGCGAAGAGCGACUCCAAGAAGAGGGCCGAGCUGAUGGCCAAGGAAUGGAAGAAAUCCCGCAGCACUUCGAAGUCCCUCGGUGACCUCGUCGAUAUGGGGCUACUGCACAGCCCAGAGCUUGGUGGCUGGAGGGCGCCAGAGGGGGAGAGCUACCCCGACCCCCGCGCCGGUGAGAUCGUAGUAUUCGAGGAUUUCCUUAAGAGGGGUUUUGGGGUUCUUGUUCAUCCUUUUCUUCAGGAGCUUCUCUUGUACUAUGAGAUCGAGAUUUGCAAUCUGCACCCGAACUCCAUCCUUCUCAUCUCCACCUUUAUCCAUCUGUGCGAGGCCUAUGUUGGCAUAGAGCCGCACUUCGAUCUCUUUCGUUAUCUUUUCUGUUUAAGGAAGAAGGGAGCGGUUGGAGGCUCCAAGAUUGCAGGUGGAGUAUACCUCAAUCUUUGCGACAGGAUGAAGAACCGUUAUCUGAGCUGCCCAUGGAACACUUCCCUAACCGAAUGGUACAGGAAGUGGUUCUAUGUCAGGGAAGAACAGGGCAGCUCCACGUUCUGCGACGUGGGGUACAUCCCCGAGAAGAGGGUCAGUUGGACCGACCGCCCAGAGUUCACCGGCCAGGUAGCGGAUCUGAUGAAACUGAUCGACUGGUCGCGUUUGGACGGGCUGGGUGUGGUCGGCAACUUCGUUUGUCGUCGGGUGAUGCCCUGCCAGAAGAGGGUGCACUCGGCGUAUGAGUACGCUGGAAGCCAGGACCCGACCAGGAUGAUGCCUGAGAUCCUGGAGAAGGCGGAGGUGCAGCGGCUGUUGAACGAACUGUUCAACUUUGCAGACGGGAGCUUCAUCCGUGGUAGUGAUCAGCUGCAAGCCUUCAAGUUGGGGCGACUAGCUCCUAAGGUAUCGCUACAUACUGAUUGUACCUCCUUAGUUUUUGUUUUUGUCAGCUGCUGACUUGUCUUUGUUACUUUUGCAGAUCGGAGAUGUUGACCGGUGCACAGUGUAUGUGUCACUGGCACUUGGGAUGGAGAAUCCCGCGGGGGAGGAUCCGCCGGAGGAUGACGCUGCUCGGUGUGCUCGGUACACCAGCAGUGAGGAGGAGCAGGCCUGCCCCGUCCCGACCACCGAGGACAGAGUGGCGGGGAAAAGGCCAUUAGCAACAGACCCUUCUCCUGCGCCGACGCUGCCAGCAGAGAGCAGCCAGACGCCAAAACGCCGUCGGCUCGUCCGGAUCGCCGACGACGACGACGAGGAGGAGGAGGCCGCGCCGUCGUUGGUUCGGAGGCCUCGUAGUCGUCCGGACGUCGCGCCGGCCACCGCUGGUCGGGUGACCAGUGACCCGCCUGCUCCGCACGUCGAGCCGACGCGUGUUGUGGAGAUGGGGGCGCAGGCACCGUCCGGUAGAGUCAGGAGGCGGUUCACUGCGACGCACCGGCGCUCCGACCUGUAAGUUCGCAUUCUUACUUUCGUGCUGCGAUUUGUUGCGUUUUGUUGCUGCGUUUUGACACUGUUUAAAUGUCGCUUUAUUGUUAGUGUGGCGUCGGAUGUCGAUCCCGACCACGUUACCGGCCAGAGGGUGGCCGAGCCUGCCGAUGCCGCUGAGGACGCGGCGCCACAGACCACGGAGCAGCCUGCGGCGGCAACCGUGCCUGAGAGUGCUGAGGAGCUUCCGGCCUCAGCAAGGACCGCAGCGAGCAGCCCGACAAGGGAUGAAGAGGCUACGAGGACUCCUCCCCCGAGUAGCGUCGCGGAAGGGGAAGACAGAGCCCCGACCCCUCCCCCCGCCGAAGAGAGGGGGGUCCCAACGCCGCCCCGGGCAGGAGUCUCUUCAUCCGCAGGCUCCCCGGGCCUGGUCCAAGGGCCGGUGAUGCCUGCGACCGCAACCGGUGGCAAUGCGGCGAACGAGGAAACCCAGGCGGCCUCCGACAACGAGGUGGAGGAGAUUGAAGGUCGUCCCCGUGAUGGCCGCCACCACGUAUACGUGUGGCGCCAACGCGGGGACCACUUCAUCGGGCACGAGGAGCUCGCGGAGACGGAAGAGGCCGCCAGGGUGGAGCGCGCGGCCAAGCGUCUCGUGGACGAAGUCAAGGUAAGUGAUCCUUUGCACUGCUCGACACUUUUGUGUUAUCUUGCUGGGUCGACAUAUGUUCUUCUUGCAGGGCGCAGUGAAUACGGCGAAGUACCGGAAGAGGUGCUUCGACCAAAUAGAAGGCAUUGUGGCCGAAAACAAGGCCCUGACCGUGGAGGUGGACCGGCUGCGGUCGGAGGUUGGGGAGAAGGUGGCCGAGAUGAGCGCCAGGAAGAGCGUCGUCUCGAGCUCACUCGUCGUUUAGCCGACCAGUAUCGGCAGCGGACAUGUCAGUCAUAUAAUCCGAGCAGCAGUAUGUAGCCACGUGGUUGGUUCUGUUUGACCAGGGAAGUGUUCUUGUAGACUUGGAGGAGGAGGUCGCGCGCCUCCGACAGGAGAAGGAGCAGCUCAGCCAAGAGCUUGCCAGGGUGUUGGAAACCGGGCGCCGAGCAAGCGAGGAGCUGGGCCAGAGGAACCGGGAAUUAUCUGGUAAAUAUUCGUGCCGCCCCCCUUUAUUUAGCUGCUCAAUGUUCCUUUCAUUGUGCUUAUACUGACCUCUUGCUUGAUUUGCAGUGCUCAAGGUGAAUGCCAAGAAGCACUUAGACGAGCUGGUCAAGCACCGGGACUCCUCGAAGAAUAACUGCAUUAGGCUUUGGAAAGGAGUGGCCCCGGUCCUGGACCUGAUCAGCCCCGAGCUUCCGGAAGACCAGCCCCGCGCGCCGAAGCUGACGCCGGUCGAGAAGGCGCAACGGGCGUGGGACUGGCUCCAGCAGUUCGUGAAGGACACUGGGGAGUUCGCCGGCGCGCAUGUCCUCAGCAUGGUGCGCGCCCACUACCCCCUGGUCGACAUGUCCAGGCUGGAGAGAGGUUACCCCAAGGAGGUCGGCCCGCAGGAGGUGGACGAGCUUCGGGCCGGCUUGCUGGACUUGUCGUCGACGGUGAUCGGCGACAUCAAUCUAUGCGGGACGGCCACUCCCCCCGACCAGCCGGGUUCAGACAGGUCGGCCAGGGAGUUAUCGGGGGCGUCUAUCGCUGGAGAUGGGCGGUCGACGCCUGCGGUCUCGACCAGCCAGGCGCCGGUGGCCCCGACCCCUUCGUCCGGGCAGCAAGGCCAGGCGGGUGAUCAGCCCGAUCAGUAGUCCAGUAGGGUAGUCUGUAGGAGUAGACUAGUGACCGCCCGUCAGGGUAUUUAUUGUAAACUUUGUAUGUAAAGUUUGUAAUAAAGUUUGAUUUUGUCAUGACCAUAUUUUGAGCACUGUAAAGUUGUCUGAGUGAUGUAUCACUGUGUUCGAUUGAUAGUCGUUAAGAACUUCCAUCGCAGAGGACAUUGUUGCUCCUCGUCGAAAGCUCUGCGUGUAAACAAAGUAUAGCCAAAAAGAGAAACUUUUAUUAUUGCUAAUUAUAAGAGACUUACAAGCAAAAAUUAUUGGAAUUUAUGGAUAAAAGCGGCGCAGUUUGUCAAUGUGCCAAGAGUUAGGCACGCGUGUCCCGUCUGGAUGCGCCAAUCUGUAGGAUGUGGGACGUGUGACUUCGGCAACCACAAAGGGUCCUUCCCAGGGAGUGGACAGCUUGUGCAUUCCUUCCUGGUUUGUUUUCCACCUGAGUACCAGAUCGCCGACCAUGAAAGAACGGUCCUUGAUGUUCCUGUUGUGGUACCGUCUGAUGGCUGCAAGAUACCUUGCUGUUCGAAGGCAUGAAUUUAGACGCUUUUCUUCCAUGCAAUUUAUUUCGAGCUCCCUGGUGUUGUCGGCCAUCGACUGGUCGAAGUUUUCAACUCUUGGAGACCUGAAGGUUAUAUCAGACGGCAACACUGCCUCGGUGCCGUAAACCAUGAAGUAGGGAGACACCCCGGUGUUUCGACUAGACUGUGUUCGGAGACCCCAGACUACGGCCGGCAACUCUCUCAUCCAUCGACCAGGGGCUCUGUCAUUCUCGGUGUACAACCUUUUCUUUAGGGCAUCAAUGAUCAUCCCGUUCGCACGCUUGACUUUGCCAUUUGCUCAUGGGUGAGCUACUGACACGUAUUUUAUGACUAUGCCUCUAUCAUCGCAGAAGUCCAAAAAUGUGGUGCCAGUGAACUGAGUACCCAGGUCGGUGAUUAUACUAUUUGGGAUCCCGAAUCUGUGUAUGAUUUGAUUGAGGAACUCCACGGCCUUCUCGGAAGUUGCUUUGACCAGUGGCAUGUAUUCAAUCCACUUUGAGAAUUUGUCGAUUAAUACAAAAACAAACUUGAAGUUGCCGGGGGCCAGUUUAAAUGGCCCGAUCAUGUCGAGCCCCCAGCAGGCGAAAGGCCAGGACGACGGAAUAGUUUGAAUCUCAUGAGCAGGUACGUGGGUCCUUUUGGCGAAGAACUGACAUCCCUCACAAUGUCGGACCAGUUUUUUUGCAUCGGUGACCGCGGUUGGCCAGUAAAAACCUGCUCGGAAAGCCUUCCCGACCAGCGUUCUGGAGGCAGCGUGGUUGCCGCAGGAUCCGGCAUGUAUGUCGUCGAGGAGCUUGAUGCCAUCGUCUUGUGAUAUGCAUUUGAGCAGCACCUCAGAACUUGCGUUUUUUUGCAUAAGUUUGCCGUCCACCAGUAUAUAAUUCUUUGAUCGUCGAAUGAGGCGCUCGUUCUUUGUUUUAUCCUGAAAGCCUGACCCGUCCGAUAUAUAUCUGAUGAACGGGGUGCGCCAGUCACGGCUACUGGUUGUCGGAGUAGUGACGUCUACGAGCAUUGCCUCAGUAGGUUGCUUUUCGACCAGGGCUGAGCACACACUUGGCUCAUGGAUGUUCUGGACGAAAACACCUCGCGGGAUCUAGGCCCGGGAUGACCCUAACUUUGACAACGCAUCCGCUGCUUGGUUCUUAUCCCGGACCACGUGCAUGUAUUCUAUGCCGUAGAAGUUGGCUUCCCAUUUGCGAAUUUCUUUGCAGUACAGAUCCAUCUUCUCGUGGGUUGCGUCCCAUUCCUUAUUGAGCUGGUUGAUGACUAAAGCGGAGUCGUCGUGAACGUAGAGGCGUUUGACUCCCAGCUCAAUGGCUAGUCGUAUGCCGUGCAGGCAUGCUUCGUACUCGGUGACGUUAUUCGAUGCGAGAAAAAGGAUCCUAAGGACGUAGCGCAGUUUGUCCUUGUUAGGCGACACGAAAAGUAUCCCAGCGCCGGCACCGUUGAUGUUCAGGGACCCGUCGAAGAACAUUAACCAGUGGUCGGAGACGUCGGAAACAGGAGGCUCGUUGAGAUCCGUCCACUCUGCGAUGAAAUCGACCAGGGCCUGAGACUUGACUGUGGUGCGGCUCUGAAAAUCCAGAGAGAAUGGGCAUAAUUCCAUUGCCCAUUUUACAAUUAUGUCGUUGGCGUCUUUAUUGCGCAGAAUAUCCCCAAGAGGGAAACUGGUGGUUACCAAGACUCGAUGGCCGUCGAAGUAGUGCUUUAGCUUCCUUGACGUUAUCAGAAUGGCAUAUAUGAGCUUCUGUAUUUGCGGGUAUCUGGCCUUGGACUCGUUUAAGACUUCGCUUAUGAAAUAAACGGGUCUCUGGACCUUGUAGACGUGGCCUGGCUCGUCUCGCUCGACCACUAUUGCUGUGGAGACGACCCUGUCGGUUGCUGCAAUGUAAAGAAGUAGGUCUUCAUUGGGCUGAGGCGCCGUGAGAACAGGCGGUGGGGUGAGGAAAGUCUUAAGCUGGGUGAACGCAGCGUCAGCCUCUUCUGUCCAGGAGAAUUUUUCUGACGCCUUCAAGAGUUUGAAGAAGGGGAGGCCUUUUUCUCCUAGUCUUGAGAUGAAGCGGCUGAGAGCGGCCAUACAUCCGGUGAGCUUCUGAAUAUCCUUGACAUUCUUAGGUGGUCGCAUGUCAAGUACUGCUUUUACUUUUGAAGGAUUCGGCCGUAUGCCGUCGCGGCUGACGACGUUGCUGAGUAGUAGACCGGAAGGGACCCCAAAGAUGCACUUUUUGGGGUUAAGCUUCCACUUGUAUCUGUUUAGUGCCUUGAAGGUUCGGUCUAAGUUAUCAAUUAGGGUUCUUGUGUCCCUUGUUUUGACGACGACGUCAUCUACAUAAGCCUCGACUAGGUCAUCACGAAUCUCGUCGUGAAGGCAUUGCUGGAUGGCCCUUUGAUAUGUGGCCCCGGCGUUUUUGAGUCCGAAGGACAUGGUGGUGUAGCAGUAUGCGCUGAAAGGAGUGAUGAAAGACGUUUUGAUCUGAUCGUCUUCCUUUAGUGAGAUCUGGUGAUAACCAGAGUAGCAGUCUAGAAAAGAUCAAAAGGACAGUGUUUGUUGAGAUCGGUGUAAUCGACCACCUCGUCGAUGCGAGGGAGACCAAAAGGAUCUUUAGGACAGUGUUUGUUGAGAUCGGUGUAAUCGACGCACAUUCUCCAUUCAUUAUUCUUUUUCCGUACAAGAACCGGAUUGGCAAGCCAAUCAGGAUGAUACACUUCUUUUAUGAAUCCGGCUGCUAGAAGCCGUGUUAUUUCUGUCCUAAUAGCCUCCUUUUUGUCACGAGCGAACCGUCGCAGCUUUUGCUUGAUGGGUCUUGCGGUCUUCGAGACAUUUAAGGAGUGCUCGAUCAGGUUUUGUGGGACGCCGGGCAUGUCUGCGGGUUUCCAUGCGAAAACACUUACGUUGUCCCUUAGAAACCUGACGAGCGCGUCUUCCUAUUUAGGGUCCAGGUCGGCCCCGAUGAGGGCCGUCUUCUCGGGACUGCCCUCGACCAGCUGCACUUCCUUGUACUCCUUGGAUUUUGAAUUCUUCCUGGCGGUCUCCUGCUCGGGUAGUCGGAGCUGGUCGGGGGGUAGCUGUGCAGCUUGGGUUGCUGUUUCUGCCAUGCGAAUUGAGAGAUCGAUUGCUUCAGUGAUCUUGAAGCUCUCCUCCUCGCAAGUAUAUGCAGUGUAGACAUUGCCUCUGACGGUUAGGACGCCCUUCUCCGUAGGCAUUUUGAGGACCAGGUAUGAGUAAUGCAGGACUGCCAUGAAUUUUGUCAGCGAUGGUCAGCCCAGUAUAGCGUGGUAAGUCCCAUCAAAGUCGGCGACCACAAAGUUGACGAACUCUGUUCGGAAGUGGUCGGACGUGCCGAAUUGGACAGGUAGUGUUAUCUGUCUGAGGGGCACUGAACUCUGACCAGGCAGGACUCCCCAGAAUUGAGCAUCGUAGGGGUUUAGCUAUGUCGGAGAUAUAUUGAGAGCGAGCAGGCUGUUACGAAAGAGGAUGUCAAUGGAGCUUCCUCCGUCCACGAGCACCCGCUCGAAUCUGAUGCUGUUGAUGCAAGGGUCCAAGAUUAGAGGGAAGUGACCUGGUUCUGGGAUAGCGGCCCACUGAUCCUUCCUGCUGAAGGAGAUUUCCCUGUGUGACCACGGGGGGAAUUUCAGAUCUGCGAUCAGGCCGUCCGAGCUGUCUAUGUUGAGGCAGGCUCUUUGUAGGAGCUUUCUUUCUCGCUUAGAUUCGAUGGAGACCUUGCCCCCGAAGAUGGAGUGGACCACGUCGGUGGGACUGACAUAUUGGUGUCGUGGGUCCCUAUCUUGGUCCUCGUCCUCGUCUUCGUGAUCGCGCCCGUCUUGUUUCCCAUUUUUCUUGGCGGAGUCGUCUUGGGCGGCCCGCCGCGUAUAGAUGUUUUUGAGGACGCGGCACUCUUCUAUGGUAUUGUUGGACUUUGGAUGCAGUUGGCACGGUCCUUUCAACGUUUUGUUGUAGUCUUCUUGGUAGUCCCGCUGCCCGUUGGGGCGCUUGACUGUAUUCACUUCGUGAUCAUGGUCGCGGGGGCGCUUUCCUCUGAAAUCGUCACGAUUGUCACGCCGCCUGUCCCAACCUUCCCUGUGAUCGCGGUUAUCGGGGCAGCGGUGGUUCCUGUUGUCGAAGCGACCGCAACUAUAGUCUCGCCGACGAGGCUGGUCGGGACCUCUCGCAUCGUCCCGGAUGAGUUUUUCUGCGUCGUCGGCGUCGGCGUAAUUUUUAGCCGUGGCGAGGAGCUCGGCCAUCGUUGUUGGCCUUUUGCGCAACAGCUUGUUUCUCAGUGCUUCAUGGAAGCGCAGCCCCUUGAUGAAAGCAAAUAUGGCCUCGUCGUGGGAAAUCUUCGGGAUCUUAAGGCGCAUAUCCGAGAAUCGUCGGAUGUAAUCGCGUAGAGGCUCGUUUUUCCUGUCCCUUAUCCUUUCGAGGUCGUACUUGUUCCCGGGCUGCUCGCAUGUGGCGAUGAAGUUGUCGAUGAAAGCCUGGCGUAGCUCUUCCCAAGAGUCGAAAGAGUCCUCGGGCAGGCCAAGGAGCCACUGGUGACUAGCCUGGUCGAGGACUACCGGGAAGUAGUUGGCCAUGACGUGCUCGUCUCCUACUGCUGAUCGGACGGCGAUCUCGUAAAGAGUGAUCCAGUUUUCUGGAUUUUCCUCGCCGUCAUAUUUUUUGAGUUUCUCGGGCUUGAAAUUGCGAGGCCAUACGACCUAGUGGAGGUGUGAAGAGAACUGCCUCAGGCCCGGGGGGCCGUGUGUUGCAUCGUAUUCGAUACGACGUAGGUUUUCAUGGACUGCUCUCUCCGUGGCGCGCCUGUUGAUGCGGUCUCGGGCGUCUUUGGGGGGGAUGUUGUAUCGAAGAUCCCUGUGCUGGUUUACUUCGUGACCACGCCCGUGAUUCUGCUCAUGAUGGCUGCCAGCAUCCCGACCGUCAUCGCCACGCCGUGAGUCUUUUCGAUGAUUGUUGGGGGAACGGUUGCGGUGGUGCCCGCUAGGCUGUGGUGAGGUCCGGCUGCGGUGGGUCUGGUCGGAGGAGGCCUCUGUAUAGCAGACGGCUUGGACUCUUUUGAGCAGACUGGCUGUUUGUCCCAUCGCGGCGAUCAGAUGUGCUCGAACGCUGGAUCGGACGCCCUGGUACUCAGGAGUAUCAGGGAGUCGAUCUAAAUUGGCCAUGGUGACAGCCACAUUGGCGCUUGCCAUUUUGUAGACUGGCUGAUCCCCGACCAUGUCGAAAGCGUCGCUGAGAUUAUGCGGCGGGAGUUGGCGUUCCUCAUCCGCGCGUCGUCGGGCGCGGUCGGCGUUGCGCUGCUCGCGGAGCUGCCUCUGCUCGUCUGUUUCUCCAUCAACGGCUGGCUCGUCGGCGUUGACGUUAAAAACGAUGUCUCCUCGCCGGGGUGGGAAGACCGGGAAACGAGAGAAACCCGGAGCAUAUGGAGGCAAAUCCAGGUCAUAGUCCUCGUCCUCGGAGUUUAUGACUUCAGUGGGAACGGAACCAGUGCUCGAAUUUGUGCUGGAAGCCUGGCCGUCCCAUAGUUCUCAGACCGUCACCAUGUUGACGUAGUGAUGAGCUGGUCGACCGUUCCACUUUGGCAGCCAACCCGCCUCGUUAAAAAGGGAUUGGACGUGCCGUGAGUAGAGAGAGGCCGAGUUGUUCAGGCCGCAAGGAUACCCUUCCUCCAGAUCAGCCUUGAUCUUGACGGACCGUCCCGAGGGGGUGGAGGUUAUCGUCAGAGUCGUCCCCAGCUGUUCGUGUGUGACGACACGAGUUGGCCGGUAGGAGUUGAAAAAAUCCGUCGGUGCGGCUUGAUCAGGUCGACGCAAGAUCCCAUCUACUAGUUGGGAAGCUUCGAGAAGCUUGGAAUCAGCGCGAUCAAGUGCUCGGAGAAGAUCCAAGCCGUCGAUCUUCUUUCCCUUGUAGCGCGGGAGCGGUGGUCGGGUGCUCGGUGCCAACAUCCGUGUGGUCGGAACCGGCGCCGCCGUCAUCCCAGAUUGGAUCUGGGUUCCUUCCGAAACCGUGGUCAUGAGACCGCCGCCGUGCGUCGUCCACAUGAUCUGGCCGACGGUGAACGUGAGGCCUUCGGGCAUGGCCGCGGAAGCUGGAACGAUGACCAUCUUGUUCGCCGGAGAAGUUGUACGGACACCCCCUACCUGGCGCGCCACUGUCGACGAAAGCUAGUCAGCAGUCUACCUUGGGGUAUACCCACAGUAGUAGUUUAUUGGUAGACGGUGUGCAAACUACGAACUCGAUGGUGACACAAGACAUGGACAAGCUUUUUAUCCAGGUUCGGCCGCCGAGUUGGCGUAAUACCUACGUCCUGCGUCUGGUUGUAUUGAUUUGUGUUGAGAGAAUAACGAUGUCCUAGGGGGGUCCCUUGCCUCUCCUUAUAUAGUCUGGAGGACAGGGUUACAGAUCUGGAAACUAAUCCUAGUCGGUUACAAUUGCCAUAGAUAGUUCGAUAUCAAUUCAUAUUCUAACCGACUAGAAUCCUACUUGAUCUCCACGUCUUGUUUCCUUGCGCGAGACUCCGAGCUGUCGGAUCAAGCCUUGAACUUGUCUCGUAAUGGGCCAAGCCUCCUAGCCCAAGUCAGGCCGUAAGGGUAUAGGGAUUUAUACCCCCCACAGCUUGUGAUAUCUUGCUUGCUGGCAUGGUCAUAUCAUCCUCCCCCCCCCUUCAAAAAGAGUCGUCCUCGACUCUAACUCUUCUGUUCCAAAGAGUUGUGCUAGGACAUCGGUUUGUAAUGUUGUGAUAACAUCGCAAUCUUCUUGUUCCAUGAUAGCAAGGUGUUUGAAUCUAUAAUCAUAUAAACCAAGUAGUAGCCUUGAAUGUGGAAACCUAAAUGAUUUGGAAUUAUGUUUCGCUUUCACCUUGAGUGGAUGCUUGAAUGUUGAUUGCCCUAGUAUGGUCUCAUCAUAACUCCUUUAACUAGGCUACCGCCUUAAGAAAAGGUCAACUAGGAGGCACAAGAAAGGUAGCCUGCACUGUUUAUUGACAAGUUAUCUAGCAUUGAGACCUUUUGACAUCCCAAGGAACUUAUGUGUAAGGGAAGAAACAAAUAUCCUGAAAUUUUCUUGCGAUAUGAAAAACACCAGCGUAGUAAAAUAGACAUAACUCUUGUUCUGUUAAUCCAAUAGGGUUAUAGCUUAUACCGUUAGAAAGCUUAGAAACUUAUCUAAAACUUUUCUAUAGAACAUUUUUCCAAAUUCUAUAGGUACAUUUGUCCCAAAUAGAAAGCAACCGAAACUGGUCCAGGUUCUUGACAACACAAUUGUAUCAUCUUAUGAUUUUGAUAACUUCAAUACCAAAAUAGCUAUCAGGGUGAUUCUUGAGGUCAGAAAAAGAUCUUGAAGUCCACUUUCAUCCAAAAGUUUUCUUAUGAUUUUUGGUCAUCCCAGAUCAAAGAUAUGAACGGAUAAAGAAGUAUUACUCUGGAAAGGCAGGAUAAGAUAACAAGAAUAAACCAAAACCCGACUAAUUAUUUCAUUAAUCCUUAUAGCUUAGGCCUAUAAACUAAUGAAAUUGUGGAGAAAACCCCAUAAGAUCAUUGCACUCAUUACAAAGAUCCAAAUCAAACAUAAACAUAAAGACAAUUCAACCAAGUAGUAAAGGUUCACAAGGCACACAAACUCGACUUUUGCUACUAGUGUUUAUAUUACACAAGGGCACAAUCUCCUAUCUCUUGGACUCGGUGUGGCUACUUUCAUGAUAAAACUGUUUGUUCUUCUAUGGAUAAGAAUUUACAUAGUGUCCUUCCUGUCGGCAGUGAUAACACUUUCUCUUAGCUGGAUCCUUUGUGAUGUCAUUUUCCAUUGAGGUGUUGCUCAGUGUGUUAUCAGCUCGCUGACUUUGAAGGUUUAUCUUUGGCUAGUUAGCUUUCUACCUGACUUGGUUGAUCCUUUGAGGUUGAAACUCUUUAUAAGUGAUUGUCCAUCCAUCUAUGCAUACCUCAUGAGUAGUGGGGUUAGCUUGAGAAAUUUCUUCAUCUCCAAGGUUUAGAUUUUCAUGACACGAGUUUAAAGCUAAAUGUGAAAACUUAGGAUUUGAAUGUUGAUCACUUCCCAAUGCUGGCUCUAAUGAUUUUGCCUUCCUCUUCUUAUCCACAUUGGUCACACAAUUUGGUUUUAUCUUAACUUUCUUUUUAGAUGACCUAUUUCGAAGACAAGGGAGACCAUAAUUCCUACAACAAUGGCAUUGAUCCUGAUAUCCCACUGUGUUACUACCAACACCUCUGUGGGCUCUCAUAUUUUUCUAAGCUUUUGCUACUUGUCUCUUCACUAGUCCUGAGAUGCGCUGUUGAGAGUUCCCAUUCUGAGUAAUUCCUUCCACUGCUUGUAUUUGCAUGUCCAGAAGCUUCUCCUUGUCGAAUGCUUUCACAAGUGGCAUCUCUGGGUCCUUUUGUUCAUUCAUGCCAAAGGUCUCCUCGUUAUGAGCCAUCUAAAUAGACAAUGAGGGAGGAUUUAGAAUAGAGACAAAGUUUUAUAAUAUAAUAGGGCAGAGGUAAGCAUAAAUGUUAGCAAUUAUCAAGGUUAAAGAGAAAAGCAAGAAGUAAGCAAAAAUAGGAGCAUGCUAAAACGUCUGGUUCUAACUAGGCUUGCAUCCUACAAUCAGCAUUGCUUUGAUACCACAUUGUAACACCUGAUUUUAAGAACAAAAUUAGAUAUACACCAUAUGUCAGUUUUAGAAGACAAAUCUCACAUAUAGCCACAAAAAGGGUAAUAUCAAGGGACAAUGCAUAAAUUAAAUAACAUACAUAAUAAAUUAGAAACAACAUUAGGCAGCAAACCACGAAAGAUAAAUCCAAACUUCGUGUAUUAACUUCACUCUACAGGAUUCAACUGACUGGUUGAUCACAAGCCCAAUACUUCUCCUGACGUGAGGGGGAGAUAGCAAGAGUGAGUCCAAGACGAACUCCACAAGUAUAGCAACUAGAUUGUAUAGAUCCCACAAUCUCAUGAUCAAUGUGGCAUAAAUAAUAUAAAGCAUUAAACAAUAAGCAAUGAAUAUCUUAACACAACAAGAUCCAUCACCCUUAAUGUAAGAAUCCCCAAGCCGCUCUUGACCGUGAGCACGACUAGUAUACCAGUUUAAUAAACACUCUACAGAGGUCGUACAUCUUUAUCCAUGAAUCAUGAUUUACCCUUUCGCCCGAGGUAGCUAACUUCUUAACCCCCUUCCUAGGGAGGUCGACAGGGAUCAUUAUCAAGUAUUUCAAAGGUUCGUCUAACAAGUUAAGGCCGCUUGGUUUUCGUAGUCAGUCCGUGUGAUUCUACCACGCAGGGAAUCCACGGUCUGCUAUCCCCAUUUGCGCCACUUGGGUAACCUCUAACAAGCUAGAAAAAUUACUCAUACUUGACUAAAGCCAGAGCCAUUAUAGCUCUCAUGGUUGCACAGUUAUCUUGGUUAUCACUUACGGAUAAAUUAUCAAGUUGCUAAAAAAUCAUUAUUAUCGUUUGUUGCUUUACAUUAAUCUAGUCACAAGAUCAUGGUCAUAGAAUUAAAACCCAAAUGUUAUACUUGCCUUGAUUCAAUUGCUCCUGCUAGUCCUGCUGGUCUUAUUUGUUUCCAAGGCUCUAAUCUUGAUCACUGAAGUAAUGCUCACCGACUAAACUCGGUCACCAAUCAUCAACACACAAGCAAUUGAGGCUAAAUGUACACAAAGCAAACAAAGUUACAAUUAGAACAGUACACCAACAGUAAAUAAAUUUGAAUAAAAGUGUUCUAAAAUUGCUUACAUGCUGCUACGAUCACGUCAACGAGAAAAUCACGAAAAACAGAGUUACCACCCAAAAUCUACGCCUUAAAUGGGACAUCAAAAGUGAUCUAAGGACUCGUAUUUAUCUAGAAAAUCUAAUAGUGGUGAACCUAGACAAUAAUGGUACCAACGCGAAGCUUAUGAAAUUAUGAAACUAACACAACUUGAACGGAUCGAAUCGGAGCUUAAACAGAGAAGAUAUGAAAUUUCUAAGAUUUUCUUUAGAAAAGUAAUUAAUUAAAUAAGGUCACGAAAUUAAAAAGUUUCAAACUGCCAAAACAGUGAGACUAACAAGUAGAGCUCGUGAUUACGAAACUAACGCAAUUUGAAUGGGUCAAAAAGGACUUAAAACAAAUAUUUUAUGAGCUAAAUAAAUCUAGUGGCAAACUUGUAAUUUUAUGAAAGCGUAUUUUGAAAUCAAUCCGGCGAGAAAUACAUUUUCAAACUCGGUUGGCAUAUUCUAGGAAGCGCUUUGUACCGUGGGUUUGAAUCCCAUAAUUGCGAGGGACUCUUUAGAAAAAUGGCCCUACGAAGCGGUAUGGGCCGCUCAUGGCCAUCAAAUUCAAGAUCGACGGCCGGGAUUAGAUGGGAGGGGAGAGAGGGCGGCACCGACGGCCAAAACAGGAGAGCCAGUGGUGGCGCGCCAUGAACGGCAGUGAGAAGGUCAAGGCGAGUCCGUACCAGGGCAAAACGUGGCCGGAAGAGUGGCCAGCGCGGCGGUUUGCGACGACGCCAUGGCCGGUCGUACCAGAGCUCGUGGGGAAGACUCUAGGGACCACGUUUUCGCAUGGGAGAAAGCCGGAGAGGGAGAAGGGAAGGAGGUGCGCUCACCACAACGAAAAUCAGAGGCGGAGACGGCUCGGUUCGUCGGGUUGAACACGGCGGAUUGCGGUGGUCACCGGCGGCGGUUCUCUGCGCAAGCGAGCUCAAGGGAGAGAGAGGAAGUGGGGUCUAGGAGGCGAAAUGGACGCAGGGCAGAGGCACGGGCUCGGGUGCGUCGAAAGAGGCGAGGCGCGGGGGAGAACGUGGGAGAGAUAGCAGCGAGGUUGCGGCAGUUGUGGCUCUGCCACUGAGCGUCCGAGGGCGAAGGGGACUGUUGCUGAAGGAGGGGGAUGACUGGCGGGCCCCAACUAUCAUUGAGCCAAGGGGAAAAUGGUGUUGUAGUGUCUGCCGAGUUGCAGACUAGGUCGGCCUAGCAAUGAGAGAAGGGGAAGGGAGCACGUGGGCCGAGAGGAGUUGGGUGAGGUAGGCCAGAAAAGAAGGAGGGGAUAGGGUUGCCUUUUUUUAACAAAAUUUUCAAAGCUCAUUUGAUUUGUUUUCACAAAACCACACAUCACAUAAAUAAAUGUACAGCAUGAAUGCAUCAACGUGCUUCUAAACUUAUCGUAAAUUUUUAAUUUCCCAAAAUUUAAUAAUUUCCUAUAUUGUAGUGCUCACAAAAAAACCUAUUUUAAUUAAAUCAAAUUCAACUAUUUAAAAGAAGAAAUUUUUUUGGGUGUUACAUAUUUGAACACCAUCAAUAUAGACAUAUAAUGUAAAAUAAUUAAUGAAUUACCUAAACCCCAAACGCAUUUGUACGGACGGUUCACUUAGCUAACCGCGUAUGUAAAUCGUCUAUUUACACUAUUUCUACAGUCCCCGACGCACAUGCGCUGGAAUCCGCCUAUACAAAUUGCUUUGGAACAAAUAUGCUUGGCAAUUCGUCACACUGUUUCUUAAUAUCCUUGCGCUCUCUUACAUUGCUCUGGUUGGUAGUACACGCUUGGCAUCAAAUAAACAAAUAUAAGGUGAUCUUGAUGGCUAUGGUACUGACGCACGCGUCAUUAUCCUUGGAUAAGCUCUGCGCUGUUCCCCGUUGCGAAUCCUCGCGUGAACGCACCCACGACGACCAAAGCAAGGAGACAGAUCAUGUACGCUAUCUUGCCACCAUGCAUUUAAAGAUGAGGACAUUGCUUUAAAUAGAUACCCAUAAUUUUUCUGUAGUCUAACUUAAUAAACAAAAUAUUUACGGUUCUUCUUUAGUCCAAUUUAAUGAAUUAAAGUUUAUUUAGUUUAUUAAAUUAAACUAGAGAAAAAACACAAUUACCCAUUUAGAAUACCAUCCCUAUCCUUACAUGCAUCCAAGCCAAGCGAGGUAGCGUCAAAAAAGAUCCGACCUCGCUUUCACUCUCCGUUCGCACUUUAUCCCCAUUAGCGCCAGCAGCAUUGAACUGACCCACACACACCACUACUUUCGAUCUGUAUGUCUUUGCUAGGUGCAGAAAUUUAAACAUAUGAGGCCUCGUUUAUUGUGUCGCAGAUCAUCAACGAAAAAGGCCAGUUUCAUGGGGGCAAUCAACCAUGAUCACAUGUUAUAUAUAUAUAUAUAUAUAUAUAUAUAUAUAUUCAUUCAAUCUGUGUUUUUUGGAACUAUGUGUUUGGAGCUGAGAAACAACUGGAAUUUAAUUAGAGAUAAGAUACAAUCUAUGAACUGUGUGUGAUGAACAAUUCGUGACUCGGUGAUGAAAAAUUGUGAUCGUUCUUGUAUGUAUAUGUGAUAUUAGUAUAUGUUUAUAUAUAUGAUACUCUAUGUGUAUCAGUGUUGUGGGGGCUGUUUUGUGGGUUACAGACGUGUAGGCAUAAAACGCAUCUGUAGUAUUUUCCUUCCUAUGGAUGUGUCUCUAGACUAGGUACGUCUAUGGUAAGGAUAAUAAUACAAACGUGCGUAUAUAAUAGGAGUAUAUAGUAUAUAUGCUCCUCACUAUGGACACAUGAACUGUACAUGCGUUGCUACUAUGGUCAUUCAUACAUACAUGUUUAAAGAUGGCAUCUGUAGUACUCCCUCCAUCAAGUGACGUUUUUUACUUUUAGAAAUCGUGUUUGACCAUUUGUUUUAUUCAAAAAUUUUAUGUAAAUUAUAAAAUAAAUAAAUCAUUAGUAAAGUAUCUCUAAUGAUAAAAUAUGUCUUAACAAAAUAUAUAAUAUUUAUGUAAAAAUUUUGAAUAAGACGGAUGAUUAAAUAAGAUGUCUGAAAUUCUAAAACGACACUUUUUUUUGGAAGGGUGCGUAGCGUAUACACGUCUGGAUCGUGGUCAUUGAAACAAGCGCACUCACCCAUCUCAUCUGUAGCAGUAUCCUUAGUACAGACUCGUUGAGGGUAUAUGAGUUUGAACUAUGAUAUUCACAAUGACAUGUGUUCAUUUUAAUUACAAUUAUAUUUAAGUACUGUAGUUAUAUUCUUACUAUAGAUACUUAUUCUGUGUGUCUAUGAUAAGCCUUUUUACGCAUACAUUAUUACCGACAUGCGCAGGCGCAUCUAUGACGCGCCUAAACGCGCGUCUGUGAAGUGUUUUUACGAACAUAUUAUUGCUGACACGCGCGGGCACAUCUAUGACGUACCUAAACGCAGCACACAUUGCUUGUCUUUAGUUAUAAGGAAGCAGAGAAACAAAACUGAGCAAAUUUAAAUAGAUUGUGUGUGUGAAUAUAUACUCGUUUUUUAUCAAAUACAUGUUGAAGUAACAAUAAUUGUCUGAAAAAAAGCAGACAAGCCUACAUAUUGUAGAACCACGUUAAAAUGUGGGCACUCUAGAUUUUCCGUGUUUAUGAGAUUUGUGCCAGGGUAACCCGAAACACCAUACAUGUGGUUGCAACACCAUUAUCAUUCAGCACGAGAAGCAAUUGCAACCCGCUGGACCGGACGAUAUUGUCAACUUUGGGAUCUCGCUAUGGCCUUUGCAGAUAACAUAGCUAGCAGUAUUGGACAGAACUGCUAACCAAAUAUGAGUUUUAGAUGCAAAUAUAUCCAUAUGUUGUAAGGGAACAUAAACCAUAUUGAUCAGUAUCAUGCUAAUAACAUUGAGCUUGCUAUCACUACUAUAAAAGCAUGUAUCAUCAUCAUUAUCAUCACUCUCGGUUCUGAGCUACAAACCAACAUUGAUAAGUGGCAUGUCACUACGGUUAUAGCCUCGAGCCAGCCGUGAAAUACCACUGCGGCUAUGUAACACCCUAAAAAUUCCCUUCUUUAAAAUAGUUAAAAUUUGAUUUAUUGAGUCAAUUUUGUGAGCAUUAAAAUAUAAGAAAAAUAAAUAAAUUUUGGGAAGCUAAAAUUUAAUAUAAGUUUAGAAUAACAUUUUCGAUGCAUGCAUGCUAGGGCAUUUUUAUUGUGAUGAUUGUUUUAAAAAUAAAAUGUCAAUUUGCUCAAAAAUUCAAUUAGAAAAAUGUGUUUGGAAAAUUUAUUUCAAAAAGAAAAUGGCAAAAAAAAACACUUUUCCUCCCCUUUCCCUCUCUUUCUCCUCUCGGCCUUUUCGGCCCAACCCUCCCCCGCGCCCUUCUUUCUUUGGGUCUGGCCCAGCCGGCCACACCCCUCUCUCCCCCUCUCUCUCCCGCUGACAGGCCGGGCCCGCCUGUCAGCUCCUUCUCCUCCAACUGCCUCCAUCCUCUCCAUUCGCAUGAAUGGAAACCGACGCUGCUCCCCGCUCCCACUCUCCCAUGUUCUCCCCGUGCCUCGCUCCCUUUCAGCCGUGCCCGAGCCCGCAUCGUUGCCCCGGUUCAUUUCUCACUCCCAGACCCCGCUCCCUCUCUCUCUCUCUCUCCCGGCACUUUGCAUAUCGCCAAGCCACCCACCGUUGCCAUUAGCGCCCGAUGCUCCUCUGGGGCCAUCAAAGAUUGCUUGCCGAGCUCCGCAGCGUGAUCACGAAACUGUAGGUGCACUUUUCCCUCUGUUUCCCGGUCUCGGGGUUGCCCUAAACACCGUUGAACUCGUGCAGGGAAGCGCCGCCCGCCAUCUCGCGACGCACGCCUACACUGAACCUUCCCCGGCCUCGUAAACUCCCUGGGUGAGUUCCCUGUGUUCCCCUCUUGCUUCCCGUGCUUUCGGUUCAACGAAUCGUGCUUUAAAUCACGUGAUUGCCGAACUCCGGCGAGAGGCGUGGCCUUCCGGCCAUGGCGCCGCCGCCCAGACCACCGGCGGUCAGCCGGACUCCCCCUCAUUUUAUCCCAAUUUAAUCCGAGCCAUCCGCGUGAGAUCCAACGGCUCACGAUGGACAAUACCCUUUCGGCAUGAAAUUUUGUUAAAGAGCCCCUCAACUUUUUAAAUAUAGAACCCGCGGUCCCUGGCGCCUUCGAAAAAAUACGCCUUGCUAUGUUGAAAACGUAAACUAUCGGGGCUUGCUUCAUAAUACAUUUUCAGUAUUUACUAAAUUGCCACUGAACUUGUUUUGGCUAUAAAAUAUUCAUUUUAACUCCGAUUUGACCCAUUCAAAUUGCGUUAAGUUCGUAUUUGAAAGAUAUACAUGUUAGUAAUACGGUUUUCUCAGUUUGAAACUUUUUCAUUUCGUGACACUAUUUAAUUAAUUUAUUUUCUAUAUAAAAUCUUAGAAAAUUCAUAUCUUCUCCGUUUUAGCUCUGAUUCGAUCCGUUCAAGUUGCGUUAGUUUUAUAAUUUCAUAAGCUUCGCAUUAGUACCAUUUUUGUCUAGAUUCACCACAGUUAGGUUUCCUAGAUAAAUAUAAGUCCGUAGAUAGCCCUUGCAGUCGCGUUUAAUGCGUAGAUUUCACAUCGUGACUCCGUUUUCCGUGAAAUUCUCGUUGACAUGAUCGUAGCAGCGUGUAGAUGAUUUUGGAAAACUUUUAUUUAAAUUUAUUUACUGCUGGUGUACUGUUCUAAUUGUAAUCUUGUUUGCUUCGUGUAUGUCUGUCUCCAAUUGUUUAUGUGUUGAUGAUCGAUGAUCAAGUUUAGACAGUGGGCAUUACUUCAGUGAUCAAGAUCAGAGCCUUGGAAGCAAGUAAGAUCAGCAGGACCAGCAGGAGCAAUUGGAUCAAGGCAAGUAUAGCAUUUGGGUUUUAAUUCUAUGACCAUGAUCUUGUGACUAGAUUAAUAUAAAGCAACAAAUGAUAAUAAUGACUUUUUAGCAACUUGAGGAUUUAUUCGUAAGUGAUAACCGGGAUGAAAGUGCAACCAUGAGGGCUAUAAUAGCUUUGGCUUUAGUCAAGUAUGAGUAACUUUUCUAGCUGGUUAGAGGUUACCCACGUGGCGCAAAUGGGGGAUAGCAGACCGUGGAUUCCCUGUGGGGUAGAAUCACAUGGACUGACUACCGAAACCAAACGACCCUAACUUGUUAGACGAACCUUUGAAACACUUCAUAGUGAUCCCUGCCGACCUACCUUGGUAGUGGGUAACGAGGCUGAUCCCCUCAGGUGAAAGGGUAAAUCAUGACUCAUGGGUAAAGAUGUACAACCUCUACAGAGUAUUAAAAACUGGUAUACUAGCCGUGCUCACGGUCACGAGCGGCCUUGGAGAUUCUUACAUUAAGGGUGAUGAAUCUUGUUAUGUUAAGAUACUCAUUGUUUAUUGUUUAAUGCUAAUAUAUGUCACAUUGAUCAUGAGACCGUAUGAUCUAUACUAUCUAGUUGCUAUACUUGCAGAGUUCGUCUUGGACUCACUCUUGCUAUCUCCCCCACACCUCAGGAGAAGUAUUGGGCUUGUGAUCAACCAGUCAGUUGGAUCCUGUAGAGUGAAGUUAAUACCCGAAGUUUGAAGUUAUCUUCCAUGGUUUGCUGCCUAAGGUUGUUUCUGAUUUAUUAUGUACGCUAUAUAAUUUAUGCGUUGUCCUUUGAUAUUACCCCUUAUUUGUAGCUAUAUAUGAGGUUUGUCUUCUAAAACUCACAUAUGGUGCAUAUCUGAUUUUGUUCUUAAAAUCGGGUGUUACAAAGUGGUAUCAAAGCAAUGCUGACUGUAGGACGCAAGUCUAGUUAGAACCGGACGUUUUAGAAUGCUUCUAUCUCUACUUACUACUUGCUUUCACCUUAACCUUGAUAAUUGCAAAAAAAAUUAUGCUUACCUCUGCCCUAUUCUAUUAUAAAACAUUGUCUCUAUUCUAAAUCCAACCUCCUUGUCUAUUUAGAUGGCUCAUAACGAGGAGAGCUUUGGCAUGAAUGAACAAAAGGACUCAGAGAUGCCACCCAUAAAAGCAUUGGACAACGAGAAGCUUCUAGCCAUGCAAAAGCAAGUAGUGGAAGGAAUGACUCAGAAUGGGAACUCUCAACAGUGCAUCUCAGGACCAGUGAAGAGACAAGUAGCAGAAGCCUGGAGAAAUCUGAGAAGCCAUGGAGGUGUUGGUAGUAGUACAUUAGGAUAUCAGGGUCAAUGCCAUUGUUGUAGGCAUUAUGGUCUCCCUUGUCUUCGGAAUAGGUCUUCAAAAAACGAAGUUAAGAUAAAACCAAAUUGUGUGACUAAUGAGGAUAAGAAGAGGAAGGAAAAAUCACUAGAGCCAGCAUUGGGAAGUGAACAACAUUCAAAUCCUAAGUUGUCACAUUUAGCUUUGAACUCUGGCCAUGAAAAUCCAAACCCUGGAGAUGAAGAAACUUCUCAGGCUAACCCCACUGCUCAUGAGGUAUGCAUAGAUGGAUGGACCAUCACUUAUAAGGAGUUUCAACCUUAAAGGAUCAACCAAGUUAGGAAGAAAGCUAGCCAACCAGAGACAAACCUUCAGAGUCAGUGAGCUGAUAACACACCGAGCAACACCUUAGUGUAAAAUGAUAUCACAAAGGAUCCAGUUAAGAGAAAGUGUUAUCACUGCCGACAGGAAGGACACUAUGUAUACUCUUGUCCACAGAGGAAUCAAUAGAUGCAUCAUGAAAGAAGCCACAAUGAGUUUAAGAUAUAGGAGUUUGUGCCCUUGUGUAAUAAAAACGCUAGUAGCGAAAGUCGAGUUUGUGUGCCUUGUGAACCUUUACUGCUUGGUUGAAUUAUUUUUAUGAUUAUGUUUGAUUUGGAUCUUUGUAAUGAGUAUAAUGAUCUUGUGAGUUUCUUCAGAAUUUCAUUUAGUUUAUAUGUCUAAGGCAUAAGGAUUAAUGACAUAAAUAGUUGGGUUUUGGUUUUUCUCUUGUGACCUUAUCCUGCCUUUCUAGAGUAUCUCAUCUUUAUCAGUUUAUGUCUCUGUUCUUGGAUGACCAAAAAUCAUGAGAAAAUUCUAGAUGAUAAUAGACUUCAAUAUAUUUCUCUGACCGCAAGAAUCACCCUCAUAGCUAUUAUGGUUUGGAUGUUACAAAAAUCACAAGACGAUAUAGAUAUGCUGUCAAGAAUCUGGACCAGUUUUGGUUGCCUGCUGUUUUGGACAAAUAUAACUAUAGAAUUUGGACAAGUGUUCUAUAGAAAGGUUGUAGAAAAUUUUCUAAGCUUUCUAACGGUAUAAGCUACGGCCCUAUUGGAUUAACAGAACAAGAGUUAUGUCUAUUUUACUGCACUGGUGAUUUUCAUAUCACGAGGAAAUUUCAGGAUAUAUGUUUCUUCCUUGCACAUAAGUUCCUUGGCAUGUCAAAAGGUCUCAAUGCAAGAUAACUUGUCAAGAAAAAGUGCAAGCUACCUUCCUUGUGCCUCCUACUCGACCUUUCUUAAGGGGGCUAGAACCUUGAUAUCACGGGUUGAUGCAUUUUCAACUUAUCUUGAAGUGAGAGUUGUCUCUUGAGAUAUUCGAUGAUUAUGAUCAUCUCUCCUCGUGUUAUUGACGUUGGUCACUUGAUGAUAGGGAGUGUAGUAUCUCAUGGAUCAGGAGCCCUAUAUGAUGCCUCUUACUGAUACUUGGGAAGAGAAUGAUGAUCCUACGCUUGAUGGAUGUUAUGAAUGAUGAAACUGUGUACUAUCAAAAUAAUGAUACUGAAGAGCAAGUUAGAAGUGAAUCAAAUCAGAAUCCACAACGGCGAAAGAGAAAAAGGAAAAGCCGUAAGAAGUCUGCUGAUGGAAGUAAGGUGCAACAAGACUAUAUGAAUGGAAGACUGAGCAAUGUGGAUAGGCAUAACAUUCAUGGAGCUACCAAAGUGGUUGGUGGCUAUAUUCAAGUAGACUCAGUGCUAGUUUUGCUCUGUUUGACCCGGGUGCUUCGCAUUCUUUCAUUUCUGCCGACUUGGUAAAGACGAUCGAGCGGGUGAAGUGCCCAACGAGGAAGCCUUUGUUAGUGCAUACCCCAAUAGGAGAAAUACAAGCAGAUCGGGUGUGCUCAAAUAUCAAUCUGGUCAUAAACAAGGAAAACUUCACUGUAAACCUCAUUGUGCUAGAGUCACUUGGUAUUCCCUUGGUCCUUGGUAAUGAUGGUUGUGUGCACACAAAGAAGUGAUCUAUGGUACACAGUACAAAAUGCUCUUAAUAGCACUGUUAGGAAAAAGAAAUGAGUAUCACGGUGGUCCACUCUUACCUGAGGAGGCAAAUGCAUAUUAAGUUUCCAUGUCUCUUGGAGUUGUAAGCUAAAAGAAACUAGUAGUCAAGAUGGACUUUGGUCAAUUAUGAAUAAUAGUUAUUCAAUGGAAUUAUGUUCACGAGGUGUGACCUUGAGACAAGUGUUUAAGUUUGGUAUGCAAGUUGUGAAGUUGAAAGGAUUAUCAAGAUAUUUUCCAGUUUCUCUUAGAGGAUCUGAGCCUCUUCCGAAUCUCGAGGACGAGAUUUAUUUUAAGGGGAUAGAAUUGUAACACCCUAAAAAUUCCCUUCUUUAAAAUAGUUAAAAUUUGAUUUAUUGAGUCAAUUUUGUGAGUAUUAAAAUAUAGGAAAAAUAAAUAAAUUUUGGGAAGAUAAAAUUUAAUAUAAGUUUAGAAUAACAUUUUCGAUGCAUGCAUGCUGGUGCAUUUUUAUUGUGAUGAUUGUUUUAAAAACAAAAUGUCAAUUUGCUCAAAAAUUCAAUUAGAAAAUGCGUUUGGAAAAUUUAUUUGAAAAAGAAAAUGGCAAAAAAAACUUUUCUUCCUCUUUCCCUCUGUUUCGCCUCUCGGCCUUUUCGGCCCAACCCUCCCCCGUGCCCUUCUUUCUUUGGGCCUCGCCCAGCCGGCCACACCCCUCUCUCCCCAUCUCUCUCCCGCUGACAGGCUGGGCCCGCCUGUCCGCUCCUUCUCCUCCAACUGCCUCCAUCCUCUCCCUUCGCGUGAAUGGAAACCGACACCGCUCCCCGCUCCCACUCUCCCGUGUUCUCCCCGUGCCUCGCUCCCUUUGAGCCGUGCCCGAGCCCGCGCCGUUACCCCGCGUUCAUUUCUCCCUCCCAGACCCCGCUCCCUCUCUCUCCUGGCACUUUGCAUAUCGCCAAGCCACCCGCCGUCGCCAUUAGCACCCGAUGCUCCUCUGGGGCCAUCAAAGACUGCUUGCCGAGCUCCGCAGCGUUGCAUACGUUUUCAGUAUUUACUAAAUUGCCACUGAACUUGUUUUGGCUAUAAAAUAUUCAUUUUAAAUCCGAUUUGAUCCAUUCAAAUUGCGUUAAGUUCGUAUUUGAAAGAUAUACAUGUUAGUAAUACGGUUUUCUCAGUUUGAAACUUUUUAAUUUCGUGAAACUAUUUAAUUAAUUUCUUUUCUAUAUAAAAUCUUAGAAAAUUCAAAUCUUGUCCGUUUUAGAUCCGAUUCGAUCCGUUCAAGUUGCGUUUGUUUUAUAAUUUUAUAAGCUUCGUGUUUAUACCAUUGUUGUCUAGAUUCACCAUUGUUAGAUUUUCUAGAUAAAUACAAGUGUGUAGAUAGCCCUUGGAGUCCCGUUUAAUGCGUAGAUUUCACGUCGUAACUCCGUUUUCCGUGAAAUUUUCGGUGACGUGAUCGUAGCAUCGUGUAGAUGAUUUUGGAAAACUUUUAUUUAAAUUUAUUUACUGCUGGUGUGCUGUUCUAAUUAUAAUCUUGUUUGCUUCGUGUAUGUCUGUCUCCGAUUGUUUGUGUGUUGAUGAUCGAUGAUCGAGUUUAGACAGUAGGCAUUACUUCAGUGAUCAAGAUCAGAGCCUUGGAAGCAAGUAAGAUCAGCAGGACCAGCAGGAGCAAUUGGAUCAAGGCAAGUAUAGCAUUUGGGUUUUAAUUCUAUGACCAUGAUCUUGUGACUAGAUUAAUAUAAAGCAACAAAUGAUAAUAAUGACUUUUUAGCAACUUGAGGAUUUAUUCGUAAGUGAUAACCGGAUAAAAGUGCAACCAUGAGAGCUAUAAUGGCUCUAGCUUUAGUCAAGUAUGAGUAACUUUUCUAGCUGGUUAGAGGUUACUCGCGUUGCGCAAAUGAGGGAUAGCGGACCGUGGAUUCCCUGCGGGGUAGAAUCACAUGGACUGAGUACCGAAACCAAGCGACCCUAACUUGUUAGAUGAAUCUUUGAAAGACUUCAUAGUGAUCCCUGUAGACCUGCCUUGGUAGUGGGUUACGAGGCUGAUCACCUCGGGCGAAAGGGUAAAUCAUGACUCAUGGGUAAAGAUGUACAACCUCUGCAGAGUGUUAAAAACUGGUAUACUAGCCGUGCUCACGGUCACGAGCGGCCUUGGGGAUUCUUACAUUAAGGGUGGUGAAUCUUGUUGUGUUAAGAUACUCAUUGUUUAUUGUUUAAUGCUCUAUAUUAUUUAUGUCACAUUGAUCAUGACACCGUGGGAUCUAUACUAUUUAGUUGCUAUACUUGCGGAGUUCGUCUUGGACUCACUCUUGCUAUCUCCCCCACACCUCAGGAGAAGUAUUGGGCUUGUGAUCAAUUAGUGAGUUGGAUCCUGUAGAGUGAAGUUAAUACCCGAAGUUUGAAGUUAUCUUCCAUGGUUUGCUGUCUAAGGUUGUUUCUGAUUGAUUAUGUACGCUAUAUAAUUUAUGCGUUGUCCUUUGAUAUUACCUCUUAUUUGUAGCUAUAUGUGAGGUUUGUCUUCUAAAACUCACAUAUGGUGCAUAUCUGAUUUUGUUCUUAAAAUCUGGUGUUACAGGGUACGUGGCUAUGCCCAGCAGUGAUAACCCUCUUGUACAUAAGACAAAAAACAUAACAUCUAUCAGAUGAAGAUAUAAACUUUAUAUGAAAAUAUAAACCGGAGUGUAAAACAUUGUAGUUAUGCACUUAUUUUAGUUUAGAUGUCCAAAUAUUUAAUAUAAGUAGACAUAAUAAACGGUUUUCAUUGGAGACAACGUCUUUGUCAAAGUUGUAGCACAUGAUGAAAUCUACAACCUUCUAGUUAACAACUUUUUCAUCUAAGGUCAUUUAUAGAAUAAAAUAUAAAAGAUCCAUACAUGUGAAGUUAAAAGAAUAACAUUAACUAUAUAGCCAUUCUAUGUUAGCUGAGAUAUUAUUAGUUGAUGGAACUUAGUUCGAAUCCACCAUAGAAAUGCAUAUUUUCCUCUUUCUUUAAUUUUAAAUAUUUUCACUUCAGAUUCUAGCCAUGAGAAUGAUAUCACCGGUACUAGUAGUUUGUAUAAAGAUGAGCUAUAUGCCCCGGUGCAUCAUGCGUGUGAUACUAAAGUUUUGUUGUACUAGAUCCAAACUUGUAGUAUAUACGUGUGAGAAGCAGACACUCCAAAAGUAAAAGUGACAGAUUAGUUUUUUUUUUUUUUACAACAAAGUGACACAUUAGUUGGAGCGGGUAUCAGAGUGAGAAACAAAACAGAACAAAAAGUUAAUUAUUGUUUUAAAAUUAAAUAUACUUGCGCAUAUAGAUAACAGCUAAUUAACCACAUAUACGUUGGGUUGGUGGUUGGUUAUUAGCAUGUACGGAGUACACUCAAAUGGCGCCACAGUGGCGUGUCCGGCAACGCUGGCUGGCCGGGCCUGAGUGGAGUGUGUGUAUAUAAGCAACAUGUAUGCAUGUCGAGCAUGCAUGCCUAGCAGACAAGGCCAGUGGCGUGAGCGAUCGAGCUAUAUAUAUAGGGCAGGGUGAGGCCGGCCGGAGACGCCUGAGCUGAGAGAAGAUCGAUCGGAGGGUGUGAUCUUGAGGUCACAUGGAACUUGCCGGGACAUGGAGGAAGGUGAUGCCUUAUAUGGCCAUGGUCUUUCUUCAGUUGGGCUUCGCCGGGAUGUUCCUCAUCUCCGUCGCGUCCCUGCGGCAGGGAAUGAGCCACUACGUCCUUGUUGUCUACCGGAACGUAGCCGCAGCCAUUGUUAUGGCUCCAUUCGCCCUCUGGUUUGAGAGGUGAUUAUAUUCAUCUAUCCAAAUCCAUUCUGAUAGCACUCACAUCACGUUUUUUUUUUAGAGAUCCUAGCAUAUAUACUUGAUAUGCAGUUCUACAUACAUGUCGUGUUAUGAAUAUCGAAGGGAUGAUUAAGGGCAUGUUUUGCAUAUAGCUUUUUUACGGCUCCUCAACUUGUGGUACAUCUUAUCAUACUGUAGUAGCACUGUUGACAUGAGGUAUUUUAUUUUGUCUCCCCUUACAAAAUGAACAUAGAGCUAGAAAAAAGCCAUGAUUUGUCGCUCAUCUAAUAUAUUUGUUCUGCCAUAAAUUCCAUUAAUAAAUAUUCCAAAGUCAUUAAUUGGCAUCUUUGUAUUCAAAAUUGUAAGAUGUCAAUUGUAAAAAUUUUCGUUCCUUUUUUUUCUGCCUGAUGAGAGACUUGCCUUCAAAUAUAUUGAUUGACCAACAAUUAUAUAUUAGUUAACAGUUUUUAUCACACAUAAUCAUACGGACUAGACACUGCAUGUAUUCUGGCAUAUCACGCUACUACAUUUUCGUUGGGUCCUGACGAUGCAUUCAUAUGGAAACAAAAAACUAAUUAAGUUAGCGAUAUAAUCUCAUCUCAUGAAUUUCAAAAGAAGGGUGCCUUUCCUUGGACAUCGCUUAUUUUUGGUGAGGCCAAUUGGCAACCGCAUCUCCAAGAGACUAUGUAAAAUUAUACUCUAAACUAUAAGAUUUUGCCAUUGUGUAAAAUAAAAACUCAGUCAAAACAUAGAAUUCGACAACAGCCUUUAUAUAGGAUAGCUAGUGAGGACGACAUGCUAUAUAUGAUAAGCGAAAGUUUAGGAAUAUCAAACUUGUUAUUUUAGUAAACCAAAUAGCACACCAGUUGAAUUUUAAUUUUUGUUUUAAAAAUGUAAAAAUAGCCUAGAUAACAUGAAUAAUAUAUGUGCUGGAGUUGCUCUUAAAAUACAUAAUGGAGAGGCACCUCCUUCAGUUGGCUUCGGGUAAAAGCAGAGUUUUCUCAAAAUAAAAGAAAGAGAAACAAAAGUAGCUUUCGGUGUGUCGAUGUUGCUAAAAAGUUUAUCCCUAUCAUGAGAGUUACUGAUUGAUCGUUCAAAGACGAAAAAUAAAUAACGACUCUUGUACAUGGCCAGCGUGCGUUGGUCGAUGUGCACUAGUACUUUUUUGUGUGACUAAAGUUGGUAGUAAAGAAUCGGAAAGCAAGAAAGCGACCUCGUAUUCAUUAUUAACAGUAUCGUCCUUUCUCGUGACAGGAAAACAAGGCCUAAACUGAGCCUAUCAGUGUUCAUCAAGAUCCUGGCUUUGGGAUUACUCGAGUUACGAUUAACACAAUUACCCUUUUUUAUAUCAUCUUUCACUUUGUCUAUACAUGACAUACGAAUUAUUUAUUAACAAGUGUACUUUUCUUUGAAUUACUCAAGGCCCGUGCUCGACCAAAACUUCAUCUAUAUGGGAGUGAAUAGCACAUCAGCAAGCUUCGCCUCGGCAUUAACCAACAUAUUGCCAGCUCUAACUUUUGUAAAUGCCAUCAUACUCAGGUGAAGCUACGCUACAAUACACACAAAAACACACAGGGUUUGUUUGCCAUAGCUCAACUUCAUUAAUAAAGCUGUUUUUUUAGAAAAUAAUUGCAUAAGCAACUUUAUUUAAAUUAAAGCUAAGCUAUUUUAGAAAAAAUGUUUAGUAAAAAUAGCUUCACCAACUUUUUUAUGCAUAAAUGAGAGAGAGAAAUGGAUGAGAGAGCUGUAAUAAACUACUUUUUUUAAUUUUAUCCCAACUUAUAUUUUUAUGAGAGGAGAAGAAAAACAACUUCACCCGUAAAUUUGUUUUAGAAAUAACCAUUUGGCAAAAAAAACAGCUCACAACAGCUUAUGAAGCUGUUGUGAGCUGUUUUUUUUUUUUUUGGUAAACACUUGUUUUCAAAACAACUUCAUGGGUAAGCUGUUUUUCUUCUUCUCUCAAAAACAUGAGUAGGAUGAAACUGAAAAAAAAGUAGUUUAUUGUAGCACUCUCCCUCAUUUCGUUCUCUCAUCUAUGCAAGAUGUAGUUGGUGAAGUUAUUUUAUCAAAUAUUUUUUCCAAAGUAGUUUAGCUUCAUUUAGGAUUUAGAGAGAUGCUGAUGAAGCUAAUUUUUUUUUUAAAAAAAACUGAUUUACUAAUGAAGUUGACGUGUGCCAAAUAAGGCCUUUGUAGAAAUGGCCGUACUAAAAACUAAACAUGCAAUGGUUUCAUGCUCCACGUACGUGAUGAUCAUAACCAAGGAUGGAGAGAAUAGAGACUAAGGAGCGACGGAGCCUGGCUAAGAUUGCUGGAACGGCCAUAACCGUCGGGGGUGCCUUGCUUAUGAUACUUUUCAAGGGCCCCAACGUCAACUGCCCAUGGAGCAAGCACGUCAUCAACGACUCCGUAUCCGACAGCGGUGCCCACAACAGCGGGCACUGGCUCAUGGGCACGUUCAUGAUCCUGUUAAGCUGCUUCUGCUGGUCGGCCUUCUUCAUACUCCAAGUAAUUAUUACCUAAAACUCGAGGCUUUUUUUAGCUUGCUAGCUACUUAUAUACUACUCCCUCCGUAUCGAAAUUUAUUUAGAACAGCGAUAUAGUUUUCAAAACAUAAAUUGGACCUUUUAUUUUUAUAAAAAUAUUUAGACAAAAAUAAUAUAUGUAUAUUUUUUGGAAGUAUUUUUUAAGAUAAAUGUAUUCAUAUAAUUUUCACAUAUGUAAACUCAACAAUUUAAAAUUUAAAAGUUACUGAUGAUUUAUAUUGUAAAUAUUUGACUCAAAUCUUAUUCAAAACGACUUCUAAAUCUGCUUAGAAUUAAUGCCUCGUGUGGCUGGCGCGCUAUCAUAUAUGGACCGAGACAUACACUUUUCUUGGUGCAAAGCUAAUCCUAAUAAGAGGAUGUAAAUUUUCAGUCAUACACGUUGAGGAGUUACCCAUGUGGACUCUCCUUGACCACUCUGAUAUGCGCAACGGGUGCCAUGGAGAGCGGCGCGGUCGCCCUAGUCAUGGAGCGUGACACUAAAGCCUGGUCCAUCGGGUUUGACAUAAGACUCUUCACGGCCGUCUACUCUGUAAGUCGUAUCAGUUGUCCUAUAGCUUGUACUGCAUGUACGAUUGAUUAAUUGGCUCACAAUUGCUGCAGGGAAUAAUGUGCUCCGGAGUUGCUUACUACGUGCAAGGGAUAGUGAUUAAGGAGAGGGGACCAGUAUUUGUGACUGCGUUUAGCCCACUCUGCAUGAUUAUAGUGACUGUGCUAGGCUCCUUCAUUCUUUCUGAGGUGGUUACUUUAGGAAGGUAUAUAAACACACACACACACAUGUCUGAUCCAGGAUUAACUACAUUAAUUAUUUCAUUAAUUAUUGUCUAAUUUACAUGGACAAAGCUAGAGCAUCUUAAUUAGUUGAUGUGAUCGUCCACAUGUGUAGGCUGAUUGGUGCGACAGUCAUUGUUGUUGGCCUCUAUGCGCUCAUCUGGGGCAAGAACAUGGACCAUCUGAAGUCUAUUGAUAAUAAUAAGGAAGAAAACAGUUUUGAGAAGCACAAGAGUUUUGAGCUAUCGUUCUCAACUUCUGACGUUAACAAAACAAGCAGUCUCGGCAACAUCUAGAAGCUACUGAAGCGGCAUAUAGUAAGGAAACACAGUGCGCUGACGUCACCGGUUUGUGUCCGUGUGUGUCAUGAUGUCUCUGCUGGUCUGCUUAUCGUAGGGCCUGUUUGGUUCGUGUUUCUUAGGAGCCUGGUUCGUAUUAAGGAGCCGGGCUGGUUGGAGCCAGGCUGAUGUCAUGCAACUCGGUCUAUUUGGUUGGUUGCAUAAGCUGAGUCCGUAUGAGAAGAGAUGUUGUUUGGUUGCCCGCAUAAACAAAUGUUGCAUAACAUAAAAAAUAUUAAAUAAUUAUCAAAAUGAUAUUUACGUUACAUAAAUACACUCAAAUACAUCUUAUUUAUCUUAAUAUUUGCUAAUCUUCUUUAAAAUAUACUAAUAUCACUUAAUACAUACUAAUUAUACUGUAAUAAGGUAAUUAGGAGAUUAACACCCGCACCCGGCCAGCCAGGCCUGCCAGAAACGCUCGAUUUGGGCGUUCUCUGCGAGCCUGGCUCGCCUUGUACGGUUGCAUGGCAGCAGCCUGGCUCUGCCGCUUGAUCAGGCAACCAAACGCAUGCAAGUUGCAUGCGGCGAGCCAUGCAUGGCGUGAUGCAGGCAACCAAACGCCUACCUAUCGAACCCAUUGAUUUAACGCUAGCGGCCGGCCUAGCAUUGCAGUGAAAAAUGCAAUUUUAGCAUGCUCUAUGUCCCCGUUCUACAUAUUUGUGGUGACGAAACGUCAAAUUCAAGGGAAAAGAAAUUAUUCUAGUCUAUGCAUGAAUUGAGCACCUAACGACGUUCAAAAACGGUUUUCCUAAUAUGUUUUUAAAACCACAAUAUGUUUACUGGGUGCGCCUUGUUGUUCGAGGGCUUCGGUAACCACGUGUUAGCAUCCCCUAGGGUGUUGCUUUAUCAAACUCUAUUAUAAGCUUAAUGAAUAACGUGCCAGUCGUGAUCGCAAAAAAAAAAACAUCGUUAAAAAAUGUGACAUUUGCAUUGUCGGGCUUCUCAAUGCCGUCGCAAAAUCAUUUCUAGAGUUUGGUGCGCUAACACACCUGCCCCACACCAAAUACAUAUGCAGCCAACCGUCCAUAGAAGCUGAUUUCUAAUUAUGGUUGCCUUCGGCAAUGACCUUUGAAAAUCUGUUUUCAGGGUUGUUGGCUAAAAAGAACUGCUAUUGGAAGCAGUGGGGGAUCUAGGACAAAAUCGGACUAUGGCGAACUUUAGACUACUACUAGCUUUUUCCACGAAGCGAUUGUAUAGAAGAUAAAAGAUAAUAGCAUGAAAAGAUAUAUUUAUAUAUAUAUCCAUAAACCAUGUGUCCAUGCAUGUCACAAUCUCAUAUAAUUGAUGUUUUAAAACUAUAAAAGAUGAAACCAAAUGGUAUCAGUACCCAUAGCUGCAACUUCAAUUGUUUUUUCAGGUGUAGUAUUAAUUAUCUGUACCGGUACUUGACCAAAAACGGGACUAAAGUAUCGCUUUAAUCCUACAACUAUCCAUAAAAAAUAGUAAAUCAAUUGCUCAACUAUAGGCCAAUCAAAUUCGCAAUAAAUGGAAUCAGUUUAACUUAAUAUUUCUGUUUCGCCCCCUAUGUUGCUGCUGCACCAGAAUUUUACCCGUUGAAUACCUGAACUUGACAGCAGCAACAUUCCAGCAUCUAGCGGUGCAACGCAGCAGCAACCGGCGACCAGUAGUGCGAUGCACGUGCACCGAUGCCUACGGACCAAGUUCAGGUAGCAUUGUAGCAUUUCAACCCGUGAGUAUUCAGGGGUGUCGUAUUUAUAAUUUCCCGUAGAAAGGCAUUGUGAACGCAUCUAGCUUUGGUUAUAAACAUGAUUACUUAUUGAAAUGCAUGGUAGACAUAGUAUAAACAGGGGUAAGUAUAUAGUUGAUUUGAUAGCGGACACACAUCGGAGCAACCUCAAGGAAUAAAGGGAAAACAAAGAAUAAAAGAACAACUACGCGAGCAGGCAUGGUCGUAUACAAGUUAUACAACAGAUCUGUUAGCAGGUCAUCUAGCUAAUAAGAACAAGUUAGAGCUAAGUCUGAGAUACUGGGGAGAUCUCCAUAGCUGGUCUGCCAGCAAAUAGAGACUAUACAUGACUCCGACCGAAUAUCCGAACGUGGGGGAAUACGAAGGAUGACAGGGCUGUCACCACCCUGCCACCUACACCUCUGCCCGUGGGAUACCCGCAUAUCCUCGAGUCUUCGCAUACCUGAGCACCAUGCCCGUGUACUUGGAAACACCCCCUAGCCUCCCGGGAUCCCAACCCUUCGGAUUGACGGGCUCGGCUAAGGGUGACCAUUACAGCCCAGAGAACCAUUAUCUCAUCCCUAGUUCUUCCUCUAUUCAUAUUAAUUUGAUGAAUGAUGAAGAACUGUGAUGAACAUAUCAAGAACAUAGAGCUAGAACUAUGAACUAGCUCAUAAACUAUGAUCAUGAUAUGAACAAGACUAUACUCUAGAUCAAAAGCAUAACUGUAUAAAGAAUAUAAGAACUUGCUCAUGGAGGAAAGCAUAAUUGUAUUCAUACGAAGACACUCUUGAUCCUCCAAGGAGACAAGCUCUCCUUGCUAGCUUUGUCUUGCUCUACUACUAGUACUAAACUAAAGAGAACAAGUGUAGAAUGUGAGGUGUGUUGCUCUAAAUGAUGGUGUGUGUUAUAAAUGAGAGGGGAGCUAUCUAUUUAUAGCUCAACUAGGACGGUUUGUGGGAACUAAAUAUAGUAGUAGGUGAAACCGUCCUAUGCAUGUCGCCAUGCAACCGCCGGAAGAAGGUGGGGCCGGGGAACCGCCACCAGUGUUGCGCCCGCACUUGGUUGCGCCCGCAACCUGGGUGGGCCCCCUUGGCCACCACCUUCGCGUGGUCGGUUGUGCUCUGGGCCCUGAUCCUCCUCGUGGUUGUUGGGUAUUCUUAACAUCAUUACCAAAAGUAGACUUAGUUUUCUAAUUCUGAUAACGGUGCCAAAAAUGCCAAACCUAUCCCUCAUACCACUUAAGCCAAGUUGUCAUCCCCAGCAUGACAUGAGAGACGCGGUAUUGAAAUAUGCAAUUACUCUUCUAAAUAAAUAAGGAAUGGGAUCUGCAAGCGCACAGAUUAAUACCGAUGUAGCAUUUUAACCGGGAAGUAUUCCAGGUAUCGUUAUUUAUAUUUUUACCACUAGGAAGGGAUUAAUCAUCAAUAUUGAUUACAGAAUAGAAUAUGAGAUUGAGUAUCUAUCAUUGCAUAUAUAAUUGAGAACAUUUAUCUAACUCUUUCAUACAGGGGUAAGUGUCACAUGAAAGAUAUAUGAAGUAAUGAAUAGUGACAAAGAUAAUUGAUCUGAUCAGCAUAACUUAGCCACAUAAUAAAUAUGAUAAGCACCUCAAUUAGAUACUCUAGAAAGUCAUUAGCAUGGUAUUACAACGAACUACAAGAAUAUUCCCUAAGUUAUUCUCAACUAUAUAGUCUAGCAUUAUCAUAGUUAGUGCAAGCAUACUUAGCAAUCAUUGUGAGACAAGACUACGCCCAUGCAUAGUGAUAUUAGCAAGGAAUAUGAGAAACAUAGCAAUCACUCCCCUGUAAUAAUGUUGCUCUGCCAGCCCAAUACACGAGAGGGGGACUAUAUAAGAAUCAAUGAAGCUGUCACUAUCACGAACUACCCCACGAUCUGGCAUAUUGGGUACAAUCGCAGAUAAAUACGGUAUAAGCACCACGCCUACACAAUAUCUAUCAUUUACCCAUGGAUCCGAUGGAUAAACGCUAUACGAUCCUAAGCAUGUAUAUAGAUCCAAUCUAACUAAGCCAAGUACAUAACUAUGAUAAACUAAGAACAAUACAAUAUUGAAUAUAAACAAGUAGAGCAAAGUCAUAAGCAAUAUAUUGAAGUAGAACAAAGUCAUAUUCAUAAUAUUGAAGAACAAAGAUGAUUAGAAGAACAAUUAGAAGAACAAUUAGAGAAUUACCAAGAAUCCUCUUGACAGAUCCGGAAACCAAUCGAAGAUUGACUCCUUCUAGUUCUAAUCCUAUGUAGCUAUGCUAAUCAGAUAUCUAAUUGAUGUGGUGGCUCUAAUCUUGAUCAGAGGCUUCUUCUCCCUUGAGGAAUAAUGAACUAGGGUUGAGAGGCUCUCUCCUCUAGGGGCCAGGGGGUCUGGUUUUAUAGUCCCUUCAAGUGAAUAUGGGCCGUUGGAUUAAACCGACAUUGAUUGAAUGGUUAUCCUUGAUCCUUUAGGUCGGUGGAGAUCUUCCCCGAAACAGAGUCCUGAUUGGUCUCAGCAGGAGGGCGGGCGCCCAGGGCAACUGGGCGGGGGCCUAGUGCCUGGCCCUGUUCGGCCUUCGCUUCCUUCCCGUGGCUUCUGGAGUCUUCUAGAUGUAAGAUAAUUGCGCGGCACGUUAAUAUCUCUAUGUAAUCCCGACGUGUGGGCCUUUCUUACGUAUUUCCUGAUAACCCCCUGCAGAAAUAGACAAACACCAAAACUCGUGGAAUUCUGUCAGAUAAAACCCUAAGUCUAGAUGUUGAUUUCAUUUGGAUCCUUCUUUGUUUGUUUGAUAAUUAAAUUUGAUACUUAAGGACCGUCAACAAACUCCCCCAAGCUUACCUCUUGCUCGUCCCUGAGCAAGGAUAGAUUAGAAGUUGCUGCAAUACUUUAAAAAAAUUGACGGUACACAUGCUUUUUAAAUAAGGUCUCAUCUCUGAGUUAGAAUAAACUGUCAAGACUUAAAACUUACUUACUUUACCUUCACCAUGGGACUUGCAACCGUCACUUGUGUCUUGAGCAGUUAAAAGAUAGAACAGUCUAGUCAAGUGCCAUGUCUCUUAUUCUUGAUCAGCUAUAGCUCUAGAGUUUUUGCAGAUUUUCAAAUAAAACUCAGAGAUUCCUUGUAUGACUCUCUCAUAUCUCUCUUUUGUGGUAUUUCUGGAUCCUUACCAAGGCAGUGAUGGUAUAUGCCUUUUCUCAAAAAGUAUGUGAUAUUUUUGGUAUAAAGCACAGUGACAUUGCCUUCUCUCUCACCCUACUCUAAUAAGGCUUUAAUAUCUGGAGCUCAUAGGUGGGAGAUAAAGUAUACAUACUUACAAGACAUUUAUUGUAUAGUCAAACCAUGGAUCCAAAGAAACAAAUCAAUAAGUCAAAUCAAGAUGUGCAUGUGUGGCGAAUGAAUGGUGUAUGGUGAUGAUGGUGAUAACAAUGGUGAAAGUCUAAUUCUACUUUUGCUCUUUUGAGGGGAUACAUACCUUUCUUGCUUUUUGAAACUUUAUGAGGAGAAUGAGAUGCUCUUCUUUUUCUUUCCUCUCAGGUGGGUAUCUUGUACCCCUAAUUCUACUGUCAGACACUUGUCCAUUUUUACCUCUCGUCUCACUUUUUCUUUUCUUUCGAGGUUCCGGGCACUUGCCCCUUUUUAUUUCCUCGUAUCUCUCUUUUUUUUAUUAGAGCACUCAUCUCUUGAGAUAAUAUAGCAAGUGGUAGUAACAAGAUAACUUGAGCAUUUAUUUCACAGGAAAAAAACAUUAAUGUUUUUGGCUAUUCUCUCCCGGAUUAGGAGUAGAAUAUUUUUGGGUGAUUCUGGAGAUGGAAAUGGGUGGAUAUAUGUGGAUGGUACUUCCGGAGUAGAAGCAGCAUAUGUGAGUGAACGUGCAAGUGAAAUCUUGAUUUAACCACAUGACAAGCUCCUAAGGGUCUACACAGCUUGACCACACUCAAUGCUCAUAAGUAGUAAAUAGUAAAUGUGUGGCUCAAAGUCUAGCAAACAUGUAUAUAUGGCUGUGGUAGGAAUUUAAACUCUCAUCAUACAGGAACUCAUCAUGCAAUAUUUUAAAUAUUUUCAAAGAUAACAUUCUCCAGAAUUCUAGCAUCUCUAGGAACAGAUAAACAGCAGCUCAACCUUCCCAUAUCAUAUCCGUUAACAACUUUGACUUCAGAUCAAGUUUUCAUCCCACAAGUUCAGGUUUAGAGCAAGCUUUAAAUUAUAACAGUUAUGUCUAAACUUGAGAGAGAACUUAAAAUGUGCAAAUUAGGCAGAGCAACUAUUCAUCAUAUCCAUGCUAGAGUUUUAUUUAGAUACACAUUAGCAUAACCACUUUAUUUAUUUAUUAAACACACUAAGCAAAAGGCAAAUAUAUAAGCACAAAAUCUUUAUUUGUUUUUCCAUAAUUAUGUAUAUCUAUAUUUUAAUAUAGUAUAAGUAUAAAGAUAGAUAGAAAUACUUAUCGGGAUAAAUGGGGGUGCUCUCCCCCAAGCUGAAUUUUGACGUAAUUUCUCUUGAUGUAGCUAGCAGAUGGCAGAGGUGUAUUUGAAAGUCAGUAGCAUUCUGACAGCGAUUAGAAUGUCCUCCGUCUGCUAGUCUUCUUGAUUCUUAAAUUCUGUGGAGCUCAAAUAGACAACAAAGCUUGUGGAACUGAUUAAGUGUUAGCAUAAAUAUCUAGCCUUUAUCAUGUUGAGACUCCUUAAUAAUUAUUACUCUCUAUUUUUAUAUUUUCAUUUUAUAAAGCAGAAAAGAAAUUUUUAUUUUAUUUUUAUGCCACCACAGUGAAUGUACUUAUGGGUUUUAUGCCACUCGUAUACUCACAUGGGGCUUACUGUUUUUCAUUUUUAUUUUCUUUUUAGGAUAGUAUGAACAUGAUUAACUAAGUAAACUAUUUUAAAUAUUUGAAAGGGAAAGGAUAACUACCUAGUUUACCUCUUGGCAAGGCGUUCUGUAUUUUUAAGUCCUCCGAACGGGACUCUCCGUUUUCUUAAUUGUCCUGAGGUUCGUUGGGUGGCGUAGUCGGUACUUCCGGCGGCGCCUCCUCUUCAUGUAUGAUUAUCUUCUCUUUCCACACCUGACUCGGUGCUAUGGUCUACUCUGGAUAAUUUUAUUUAAACUGUACGUCUUGUGACCUUACAACUUCUCCAUCGUAGUCUGCCCAUCCGUCCUUGAUGAUUUCCCUCCUCUGGUUGCGGUUGCAUCGUUUUCUUACCUGCUUAGAUUCUUCAAAUAUGUAGUUAGGGUCAGUACAAUAACGGCGUACCUUUCUGAGGGGAAGUGCAUAUGGACUUCUCCGGUUCCAAUGUAGAUGAUUGCUUUAACGGUGCUGAGGAACGGUCUUCCAAGGAUGAUGGGUGGAUCGUACUCGUCUUUUCCCAUAUCAAUAACCUGAAAGUCUGUGUAGACAAAAUGAUCGUCUAUUUUGACAGGGACAUCAGUUACUAUUCCUUUAACUUCUCGAAACGUCUGAUCUGCCAUCUGGAGCUGAAUGUAUGGUGGUUUUAGGGGCAUGGUUCCAAACAAGAGCCGAUAGGUGACUGCGGCCAUUAUGUUGACGCCCGAUCCGGUGUCGCAAGUCGUCUUGUAGAAUUUGUAUCCAUUUAUGGAGCAAUAGAUGCUUGGCAUUCCUAGGUUGUCCUUUUUGGUCAAAAAUGGUGACUUAAGUUGUUGAUCUUGACCUCCAUGAACUGCAGUGACCAUCUUAGCUGACUCGGUCCACACUUGCUUGUUCCUGUUCCUCCUGUUGGUCCUCUUCCUUGAUUCAUGUCUGGAUUAAUCUGGGAUUUGUGUAGUCUUGUUCUUGAAGAAAAAUGUCUCCUUCCUCCCUUUGAUGUAGAAACUGAUCUUGGCAGCACUGGCGUAGAUGACAGCUCCCGAGGUGUUUAAGAAUGGCCUCCCUAGGAUGAUAGGUGCCCUCUCAUCAUUACCGGUCUCUAUCACCACGAAGUCUGCUGGGGCAUAUAAGGUACCAACUCGGACACAAAGGUUCUUCAAUAUUCCUUUUGGAAAACUUAUCGUCUGAUCUGCAAACUGCAAACACAUGGUUGUUUCUAAUAAAGGAUAUGUAAAGAAUUUUUCAUAGAGUACCCUGGGUAUAAUGUUGACGCUAGAGCUAAAGUCGCAGAGUGCUUCUGGGACGUCCACCAUGCCGAUGGAGAUUGGGAUGACGGGGUGUCCUGGAUCGCCUCUCUUGACCGGCAGAGGGUCAGUAGUGAAUUCAGUGACGGGGUUACUCCAGUUAUUACCUGCAUCAAACAUGUCUACAAGAUUUGCAGAUUCUAAUCCUUCCGGUUGUGAUGGUAUACCGGGGUUAGUAGUAGGAACAGCAGCAGCUAUUUGAUUUAAUUGAGAUUCAAUCAUUUUAUUAAAGCUAAUUUGAUUCUUGAUGGCAGUAGAGAAAUUUUCCAUUCUAUUAUUUAUAUUUUCUAGCAUUUUAUCAUUAGAUGCCAAUUUCUUAGAUAGGUUAUCCAUUAGCGUUCCUUGAUUAGACACUAACUCUCUCAGAUGUGGAAAAUUAUUAUUAUUAUUGUAAGAAUUAUUACCUUGAUAAUUACCUGAGUAGUUAGGACUCUGUUGAUUCCAACCUUGAUUUUAUUGAGGACGGUUGUAGUAGUAGUAGUAGUUGUUGAUGUAGUUUACAUCCUCAAGCAUCUUAGGGCAGUGAUUGCCUGUGUGUCCAGUAUCUCCACACUCCUCACAAGUCAUGUGAGAGUCGUAGAUGUGCAUAACUUCUUUCUUAUCUCUGGCUCUAUUGUCGAGCUUCUUCAUGAGCAGGUCUAGCUUUGCAGACAGCAUGUCUACCUCCUUGAGCUGAUGCAUACCUCCACCUCUCUUGCGUGUCUGGGUCCUCUCUUCAUUCCAGCCUUGAUUGGACGCCAUCUUCUCCACAAGAGCUAUGUCAUGUUAUAUGGUGAGUGAUAAGAAUGCUCCUCCAGCUGCAGCAUCCAUGGUCUUUCGGGCACUGUUGCCGUGCCCAUGAUAAAACGUCUGCAUUAGUAGCCAACUCUCCAUUCCAUGAUGGGGACAUUCUAGGAUGUAGUCUUGGAAGCGCUCCCAUGCUUCUGGACCAGAUUCAUCAUUUUGUUGCUGAAAACUUGUAAUUUUCCCACGGAGAGCAUUGGUCUUGCCCAUGGGAAAGAACUUAGCCAGGAAGUUUGUUGAGCAGAGUGCCCACGUAGUAUUCCUCUCCUUUGUAGCAUAGAACCACUGCUUCGCUCUUCCUAACCGUGAGAAUGGGAAGAGGCGAAGUAGUAUAGCAUCUCUGGGGACUCCUGAUAUGGUGAAUGUGCUGCAUAUCUCCAGGAAGUGUUGGAGAUGAGCACUAGCAUCUUAGUGUGCCUUCCCACAGAACUGGUUGGAUUGCACCAUGUUGAUAAGUCCAGGCUUGAGCUCCAAGUUGCCGUCGAUCUCUGCAGCAGGUCUAGUGCGGAUGUUGUCCGUAGUGGGAGCUGAGAACUUGCAGAAUUAUUUCUUCGCCAUGGCUUCGAACUCUGAAGACAAGUUUCGGUGAUCUUCUUGAUUGGAUGAUGCUUCUUGCUGAAGUGUUGAUGAUCUCUUCUCGAGCUUGGUUCUUGUUUUCCUGAAUAAGGCUUCGAGAUUGUCAACAAAAUUUCCUGGAAGAUGUCUUUUAUUCAUACAUUCCCCUGCAUAAGAUAAAAUAGAAAAAUAUCGGGGUAAAACUGUAUGGGAGAAUAGAUAAGCUCAAUCAUAUUAGUGAUGCGAAUGAUAACUCAAAAUCCUUUAUUCAUUCCUGAUUAGUAAUCAACCUUCCUCGGCAACGGCGCCAAAAAUGCUUGUUGGGUAUUUUUAACAUCAUUCCCAAAAGUAGACUUAGUUUUCUAAUUCUGAUAACGGUGCCAAAAAUGCCAAACCUAUCCCUCAUACCACUUAAGCCAAGUUGUCAUCCCCAGCAUGACAUGAGAGACGCGGUAUUGAAAUAUGCAAUUACUCUUCUAAAUAAAUAAUGAAUGGGAUAUGCAAGCGCACAGAUUAAUACCGAUGUAGCAUUUUAACCGGUGAGUAUUCCAAGUAUAGUUAUUUAUAUUUUUACCACUGGGAAGGGAUUAAUCAUCAAUAUUGAUUACAGAAUAGAAUAUGAGAUUGAGUAUCUAUCAUUGCAUAUAUAAUUGAGAACAUUUAUCUAACUCUUUCAUACAGGGGUAAGUGUCACAUGAAAGAUAUAUGAAGUAAUGAAUAGUGACAAAGAUAAUUGAUCUGAUCAGCAUAACUUAGCCACAUAAUAAAUAUGAUAAGCACCUUAAUUAGAUACUCUAGAAAGUCAUUAGCAUGGUAUUAGAACGAACUACAAGAAUAUUCCCUAAGUUAUUCUCAACUAUAUAGUCUAGCAUUAUCAUAGUUAGUGCAAGCAUACUUAGCAAUCAUUGUGAGACAAGACUACGCCCAUGCAUAGUGAUAUUAGCAAGGUAAAUGAGAAACAUAGCAAUCACUCCCCUGUAAUAAUAUUGCUCUGCCAGCCCAAUACACGAGAGGGGGACUAUAUAAGAAUCAAUGAAGUUGUCACUAUCACGAACUACCCCACGAUCUGGCAUAUUGGGUACAAUCGCAGAUAAUACGGUAUAAGCACCACGCCUACACAAUAUCUAUCAUUUACCCAUGGAUCCGAUAGAUAAACGCUAUACGAUCCUAAGCAUGUAUAUAGAUCCUAAGUCAUAUUCAUAAUAUUGAAGAACAAAGAUGAUUUGAAGAACAAUUAGAAGAACAAUUAGAGAAUUACCAAAAAUCCUCUUGACAGAUCCGGAAACCAAUCGAAGAUUGACUCCUUCUAGUUCUAAUCCUAUGUAGCUAUGCUAAUCAGAUAUCUAAUUGAUGUGGUGGCUCUAAUCUUGAUCAGAGGCUUGUUCUCCCUUGAGGAAUAAUGAAUUAGGGUUGAGAGGCUCUCUCCUCUAGGGGCCAGGGGGUCUGGUUUUAUAAUCCCUUCAAGUGAAUAUGGGCCGUUGGAUUAAACUGACAUUGAUUGAAUGGUUAUCCUUGAUCCUUUAGGUUGAUGGAGAUCUUCCCCAAAACAGAGUCCUGAUUGGACUCAGCAGGAGGGCGGGCGCCCAGGGCAACUGGGCGGGCGCCCAGUGCCUGGCCCUGUUCGGCCUCCGCUUCCUUCCCGUGGCUUCUGGAGUCUUCUAGAUGUAAGAUAAUUGUGCGGCACGUUAAUAUCUCUAUAUAAUUCCGACGUGUGGGCCUUUCUUACGUAUUUCCUGAUAACCCCCUACAGAAAUAGACAAACACCAAAACUCGUGGAAUUCUAUCAGAUAAAACCCUAAGUCUAGAAGUUGAUUUCAUUUGGAUCCUUUUGUUUGUUUGUUUGAUAAUUAAAUUUGAUACUUAAGGACCGUCAAUAGUGGUUACGGAUGGGUCCAGUUCAUCUUUUGUGGGCUUUUCUCUAUUGGAGUUGGUUUGCGUCUUUUCUAAAUACGAAUUCUUGCAGUGCGCAUUUCUUGUAUCUUUUGCACUUUUCCACGUGUCAUACCUGAAAAUAGCAUAUACACCAAGCCCUAUUUUCUAUUUAUUUUUAUUUAUAAAAAGAUAUUUAUUUUUAUAUAAUAAGCAUCGCCAACAAGCAUCCACAGCCGAAUCCCCUUCCCCCCGCUACCGCCCACAUCCACCUUCGCCACCAAUACACCCCCGCCCAGCUCAAAGAUGGAACACACCCCUGGGUUCUCUUCCGACCACUGGAUGCUUGGUCGCAUGACCUUUGUGGCGAUGGACGCCUUUUCCCAUGAGGCGGUGCGGCUCCUGGCACAUGCUAUUGAGGUGAGCAUGUGAGAAGAGGGCUACCGCCCACCACCCUGGUGGUGGCCUAUGCCCUGAGUAGCUAGCUCCGCGUCGCGUGCCACAACCUUUGGGUGUCUCGACGCAACUCCGAGACUUGCCUCAUGGAGUUAAAGAUUGCCCCUGAGCGAGAUAGAGCAGUUGGCAGAGGUUCGAUCAACAUCGGCGGCUCCUCCCUCCCUAUCCAGCCUUGGCGUUCUGCAGUGGAACCAUGGAGCGCGUCUGGUGGCACCACGCCAAGGUCACCUUAGACAAGGUCCCUAUGGAGGCGUGGAACGUAGAUGGUGUCUGGCUCAUCCUGGGGGACUCCUGCAUCCUUGACCACCUCGAUAGCCACUCCAUCGAGCUAGAGUAGUCAGAGUUCCUCACCUGCUAGGUGUGGAUGGAGGACCCUAACGAUCUACCCAGGGCAAUGGAGUUCUUCCUCUUUGCGGCUGGUGAGGGGCACGCCUUUGACAUCAAUGGCUUUGUAGGAUGUCCUAGAACAUAAAAGGAGACCUAGAGGGGAGGUGAAUAAGCGUGUAAAAAUUUAACUCAAAACCCUGUUAGAACAGAAGGCAGCACUGCCGAUCUUAUAGGGCAGCACUGCCAGCCUACAAGAGAUAAUGAGAUAGAGGUGAGAUUUUGCAGAGAGUAAACUAAAACUAUAAACUACAUAGUCCUGCAAAAUCAACACAAACUUUAGUUCGAAGACUAAAUGCCACAAAAAAACUCCCAUGGAUCUAGAUCGAGUCUCCAAACCCUAGAAAGGGUUAGACACAAGAAAUAAUCUUCAAUAGCACACAAGAAAGAGUGAUUUAUCUCAUGGUUCAGCUCACCACUAAGGUUUGCCUAGAUCCACAUUGUUGAGGAAGCCACCAAAGGCUUAGGCUUGCCACAAAGGCUUACCCUACUCUCGUUCUCAAGUCAAGAGUGAACUUUUGAGGUGAGGGGUAAUUUCUUAGCAGCAAGAGUGAGGUUACGAACCUCCCUAGGCUGCCACAUGAGAGGGCAAGCUCAAGGGCGACGCAUAGGAGGCUAGGAUGAUGAGGACAUCACCACGCCAGAUACGUCGACACCAUCGUCUUUCUCAAGUUGCAAUUCAUCUCCAACUCAGCUACCACAUCACUCUCAGAUUCAGCAGACACGUCGUUAGUGUUUCGAUCAUAACUUCUUCAUUCGACAUCAAAACGGGGUGAUCUUCGAAUUGUUGGAAAGGGAAAGACGACACCGUCGUUUUGGAUCUAGUCCUAGCUUUAGAUCGUCCGUGGAUUAAUCUGUAUGACCAUGAUAAUGUGCUGCAUCACCUAUUUUGGGCCAUCUUGGCCUUAAGCCCAAGUUGUGGGCCCCUCUCCCUGGUCACCUCCAACCCUAGAACGCCUCUCUUUUAUAUUCCAUGCAGCCGCCUCUGUUUAUACUUUGGUUUUUAUUAGAGUUUAGUUUUCCAUCGAGAAACUGAAUCGUUCAUUGUAACUGUGGUGACAAAUUCUUUUACAGUGAUCCAGGGCCCAUGUUCUUGAUCUCCUCCACUGUGUUGAUUAGUCCUUUGGAACUGAGUUCUCAAACACUCCAUUGAUAUUUGCGUCAUUCAUAUUUGCAAUUUUAGAUUGCGUGUUUAUACCUUCUUGCUUGUGUUCAUCAAUUUGCUUGCAGGAAUGGCCUUCUUGACGAGGUGAAUCAAGUUGUGCUUGCUUGAUAACCAACGGAGCAGUGGUGUAACAGUUGCAGGAUUCAAAAUCGUGUAUGAUUUGAAGGCGGAUCGCCAACGUCGAGAUCUCCACAAAUCAAACUUACUGGUUACCUCUCGGAAGGUUGGGCCUAAACCUCAUCAAUUGGUAUCAGAUAUUUCAUGUUUAUCGUGUAGUAUAAUCUCAUUUGCCCUAGAUUCAUAUUUGUUCACAAAAAGCCCAAAAAAAUAUUUCAAUUUCCGCUUUCCUAUUACCCAUUGUGCCUUGCAAUUUCGUUUUCAGAUUUGCUUUGUUGAGUUUGUGUCCAUGGUUGAGUCUAGUUGCUGGUUUUGAUUGUGUUUGUCAUCGUAGUUCAAUUGCACCGUUGCUGUUCUAGGUUUUUGUCGCUAUCCUAUCCACUGUUUUCAAAGAACAAGUUGAAGAUACCAUAUUAAUCGACUUGCCCCCGCUAGCCGCCAUGUGUGAUCUCUCGCCGCCGCGCUAACCCUAGAUAAUAGGUUGCCAGCCGCUAUUAUUUUGAAUGCAUUGCAGCCCUCCUUACAUCAUUAGACGAAUACCUACUUAUGUUAGUCACAGGGAUGAUUCAUCCUAUGAUCGGUGUUGGAGUUUAGGGAUGCUUUACCCUAACUGCCACCGCCGCCGUGUUGUGCCUUCCGAAAAAACAUAACUUGAGAUACCUUCAGUAAAACAGGCAUAUCUUUUCGCUCGUUUAUCAGAAAAAUCUGAAAUUUUUACAGCAGCUUCUUAACAUCAUUUGGACCCAACCUAAACUGGGAAAGCCCUGUUUAGUCUCAUCAAAAUUUCCAAAAAAUCAAGAAAAUAAAGAAAAAAAGUUGUCAAGGGUUUGCACGUUUUUCACAAAACUUGCUGAAUUUCUGUAGACCACAUCCCACCUCAGUUGUAGGUGCCAAUUUUUUUGGUUACAUCUUUUGUGAUCCUUGUUCAAAGAAAAAAAUAGUGAAUUUUUUUUUGAUUCAUACUAGUGCCUUUCAAGAAAAUUCGGGGUAAAUUCAGGAAAAAGGGAAAAUCCACCCUAUUUGCUUGUUCGCUGAGUUCUUUCCAUCGUAUUUUAUUUGACCUUGUUGCACUAGGUCUAGACACGUCUUAGCCAAUAAUUAUGAUUUGUCAUUUGGAUACUUAUUGAACUUAGCUAAAUCUGUAUUCAUUAAUUGCUAAUCCUUAUUGUACAUAGUGUGCCUUUCCAAAGCUCCACAUAUACUUCUGUCAGCACAUAUUCAUCUUGCAACUGUUAGCCACGCUCAACAACAGAUUGCUUUGCCAAUUUAGUUUUGCUCCUGUUUGGCUUUGGUAAGAACACUUGUAAGACGGUGGUAAGCCGCUUCUGAUUUUGCAUUCUACUUUCACCACCACCAUCAUUUGGUUCCUGUUAGUUGAUAGGGAUAAUACUUUGGUGUUGUCUUUUUCUAUUUUCAAAUAAUGGCAGGAUCUCCGACGGAUUUUAAUGAUUGUGUGUCUAAGGGUGAACUUACAACAUUCAUCACGGAACAGCACAAUCUUAUGAACGAGCUGACACGCAACGUGAACAAUCUGGUCAUUCGCAUUGAACAGAUUGAGCAACGCCCUCCAUGUCAUUGUGGUGAUGAUGAAGAUGCUGAUGCAGAUGGAGAUCUAUCUGAUCAUGAAGAUGCGGAUGCUGACGGAGAUGCACACAACCGUCGCCGCUACAACUUUAAUAGUCGCGGUAUAUGAGGUAAUAAUCAUGGUAAUAAUGAUCCUUUUACUAAAAUUAAAUUUAGUCUAUCUCCUUUUGCUGAUAAUAUUGAUCAUGAGGCAUAUUUAGAUUGGGAGCUUGCUAUUCAACAAAAAUUUGAUUCUCAUAAUGUUUCUGCUGAGCAUAGAGUUAGACUUGCUACUAGUGAGUUUACUAAUUUUCCUUUGUUUUGGUGAGUGAUCUUUGUAAUGCUAAUGAUGCUGCUGCCGUGCCUCAAACUUGGAAUGCUUUAAAACAACGUAUGAAAUCUUGUUUUGUUCCUCCUUAUUAUCAACAUAAUUUACGUCUUAAAGUGCAAACUUUAAAACAAGGAGGUAAAGGAGUAGAAGCAAACUAUCAAGAAUUGCUUAUUGGUUUAGCACGUUGUGGUAUAAAUAAAGAUGAUGCUGAUGCUAGUGCUAGAUUCUCUGGUGGUUUAAAUCGUGAUAUACAGAAUAUUCUUGAUUACAAAGAAUGACGUUCCCAGUUGUAUUAUCUUGCUACUAAGGCAGAACGCGAAGUAUAGGGACGCAAAUAAUACCAGUCUUUCAGGUCUAAUAAUGGGAGGAAUUUUCAGCAGCGUUCCGAGCCGGAGAUGCCCAAGAUUUCUGUUGCACCGCAACCAUCUACACCUGCAUUUUCUUCUAGAGUAAGUAAAUUAUCUAAUGUGCAGCCCCCUCAGCUGAAGAAAAGUGCCACAACGGGUGCUUCUACUAGCUCCUCACCGCCCAGCUCUAAAAUCAUUUGCGACCGAUGCAAAGGCACUGGACAAGCUAUGAAGGAUUGCCCCAAUCGUCGCGCUUUCAAUAGUACCGAGGAUGAAUAUGUAAGUGCUAGUGAUGUUGAAGAUGAUUUAGCCCUUGCUGCUAACGUUGCUGUAGAUUCCACCGAGGGCGAUCAAAACACGGAGACCAUCGUCAUCGAUUCUGUGGCUGCCUCCGUGGGCUAUCCUAGCCUUCUUCUGCAGCGUGUGUUGAGUUCAUGUCUGGGACAUAAAGAAGAGAUGUAGAUCCAGCGCCACAAUUUGUUUCACAUGUAUCUCAUUGUGUAGGGUUGUCGUAUUCUCACCAUCAUUGAUAGCGGGAGUUGCAACAGAAUACUGAGUUCAGAUUUGGUUGAGAAGCUUGGUUUGACCACACGACAACAUUUGUAUCCAUACAAACUUUAAUGGUUCAACAAUAGUGGUAAGACUAAGGUAACCAAAUCAGCCCGCAUUAGCUUUUUCACAGUGCUGGUUUUGAUGUUGUAUCUAUGCAAGCUUGUUCAAUUUUGUUAGGACAUCUAUGGAAAUUUGAUAAUGAUGCUUUAUACCAAUACAUACACUCUCAUGCAUAAGGACAAGAAAAUUACUUUGCUGCCUAUGUCACCUAUGGAUAUUGUUAAUCAUGCUAAAGAGAUUAACAAAAAACCUCCAAUAGACAUUGAUAAAAAUAAUGAGAUUAAGUUACAAGGAGGUGCUUUACUUGCUACAACUUCUACUACUGCUGAGUUAUGUGAUAAUCUAGAUGCACCAUGUCUUAUGCCUGCUGUGACAAACCUUUUGUAGGAGUUUGUUGAUGGGGAAGAGUCGAGAACGACUCCGAUUCUAGAAGGUGGGGAUGUUAAGGACAUCACAAAGAUGGAGUCGAGGAUGACUCCAAUUCAAGAAGGGGAGGAUGAUGAGGACAUCGCCAUGCUAGACACGUCGACACCAUCGUCUUUCUCAAGAUUCAAUUCAUCUCCAACUCAGCUACCACGUCACUCUCAGAUUCAGCAGACACGUCGUCGGUGUUUCGAUCAUAACUUCUUCAUACGGAUCAAAACGGGGUGAUCUUGGACUUGUUACAAAGGGGACGACGACGCCUUCGUUUUAGAUCUCGUCCCAGCUCUAGAUCAUCUGUGGAUUAAUCUGUAUGAUAACGACAAUGUGUUGUGUCAUCUAUUUUAGGCCAACUUGGCCAUGUAUCAAGUCGGGCCUUAAGCCCAAGUUGUGGGCGCCUCUCCCUGGUCGCCUCCAACCCCAGAACGCCUCUCUUUUAUAUUCUAUGCAGCCGCUGCUGUUUAGACUUGGGUUUUGAUUAGGGUUUAGUUUUCCAUCGAGAAACUGAAUCAUUCAUUGUAACUGUGGUGAGAAAUCAUUUUACAGUGAUCCAGGGCCCCAUUCUUGUUCUCCUCCACUGUGUUGAUUAGUCCUUUGGAACCGAGUUCUCGAACGCUCCAUUGAUAUUCACGUCAUUCAUAUUUGCAAUUUCAGAUUGUGUGUUUAUACGUUCUUGUUUGUGUUCUUCGAUUCGCUUGCAGGAAUAGCCUUCUUGGCGAGGUCAAUCAAGUUGUGCUUGGUUGAUAACCAACGGAGCAGUGGUGUAACGGUUGCAUGAUUCGAAUCGUGUAUAUCUUUCUUCUCUUUUCUUCAUCUUUGGAUGGCCUUGAUUCUCUAGUACACUUUACGUUCCCCGUAGAAAUCGAUACUCUGGAAUACUCCCGGGUGAAAGCUACAUCGGUAUCCGUGUGCUUGCAGAUUUUUCUGUUUGCGUUUAAAGUACCCAACAGGCACGCAGACACAAAUUCACUAGUUGGUGUUAGGGGUCACAGGUCUUAAACACCGACAAUAGUCAUCCAAACAACAGAAUUUGAAUUGUGGCCAAAUCCAAUACCAAGGCUGAUUUGGUAUUGAGAACCCAGUACAAUUCCAUGUCCCUAAGUAUCUACAUGACUACAUCCAAACAAACCCUGAGCAUCAAUAUUUGAGAGAAUUGAAAUUCUUUGCUCUAAUGUAAAUUAUAUGCAAAUGCUUAGUGAAAAUCAUUUUAAGCUUCAUUGCAUUUAUUUUAUAACAGUUUAGUUCAAUGAAAAGUGAUUUUAAUCAAUUGCCAUUAAAUACAGGUUAAUGACAAGACCAGAAAUGUCAGGGCUUAGAAAAUGACCAUGAAGCUGCAAAAAUUAUAUUUUUUUGAGGAAACAGGAGGGGCUGCACCCCUACUAGAAAUUUAUUAACAAAAAUUUACAAACAAAGUCUAACUCAAGCAAUCUCAUGAACCAAAAAAGGUAAGUAAAAAAAUAGCUAAAAUUACAGAAAGUUGUCUAUCCAUUGAACAAUGAAGUGGUGAUAGCGUGUCUUUACUCUUAAAAUAACUAGAGCAAACUCAUUCCUGAAAACUGCUCUGCAUCUUUGAACUGAAUGCGCCAAGUUUCUGAGAAUAAUAUCAUUUCACAUCAUCCAAAUUGCCCAGCACAUCGUGAUGAUGAUUUCUAUAGAAAAGGUACCCUCAACUGAGCCUUGAGACUUUCCAAGAUGGUUGGAAUAUCUUCAGAAUUUGGUAUGAAGAGUUGCAAACUGUACCAACAUGCCAUCGCGAAAGGACAGUGAAAAAGCAUGUGGAGAAGAUCUUCUUCAAUGCUGAGGGAACAGAAAACACAAUUACCCUUUUAAUUAAACAAUUGUAAAGCUUUAGCCUUCAAGAGGUUCGAGAUUUCAGUGUAUCUACUACUACACACUUUACUUCCACCCGCAAAUAAAGCUUCUGUAUUACACUAAAAGAUCCUAACUUCCUUGCUAUAGAAUCCAUCAAGGAUUUGAUGGCUGCUUUUAGCAUCAUACUCUAAGAGAAUGAAAUUCUAAAAUGUCAAGGGUUUAAGGCUCCAACCAUAAUUUAUAUGUCAAAAUAUCAAAGAUGGAAAACACGAGUGCUGAUGUAAAUUCUGUGCUCAGGUAUCAACGCAGGGCUUUAUGCAAGAGAACUAAUGGAUGGUUGUAAGAAGUUCAUUACUUAGAAUCAAGGGGCUCCAGAUCUUAGACCAGAGAAAAUUCUUUCCAAAGCAGCAGAUGAAGCAUGUUCACCUGGUUCUUCCACUGUAUUAGUUGCUCACUUUGAUGGCCAGGUCUGUUUUUUUCUUAUUGACCUUUUUCAUGGUGCUCACUGCACUUAUCAAUGUUACAGGUCCUUCAAGCAUCAAAUAUUGGGGACUCUGGAUUUAUGGUGAUAAGAAAUGCAGAAGUGUUAAAAAAGUCUAAACCUAUGGUUUAUGGUUUCAAUUUCCCACAAAUUGAGAAGGUAGAUGACCCCUUAAAGCUUGUAUAGGUGCAAACAAUGACCAACCUUGGUAAUCGUAUUCAACCACAUGAUUAGUUAAAUAUUAACGUUUGGACUAAUAUUUCAUUCUUAUUUCAGAAUUAUACUAUUGAUCUAAAGGAAGGUGAUGCAACUGUGACGGCAACCGAAGGCCUUUUGGAUAAUGUAUACGAACAUGAAAUAGCUGGAAUUAUCUCCAAGUCGUUACAGGCAGAUCUAAAACCAGCGGUCAGAAUCAACUAUCUUCAUAAAUAAAAAUGUCCAAUGUGAAACAAAAUUACUCAAUUGCAAUGUCUAUUCUAUUUGCAGGAGAUUGCAGAAAAAAUGGCUGCGAAUGCCCAGGAAGUUGGGAGGUCCGGAGCUGGGAGAAGCCCAUUUUCAGAUGCUGCUGUGAUGUUUGGGUACCUUGGCCUGAGGUGGGGCAAAUUGGAUGACAUUUUCAGAUGCUGUUGUAUCAAUUGUCUGGACAUAUGAAACUUAAGUUAUAGUUUAUAAGAUAAGAUGACUACAUGCAGAGAAGAAGCCCAUGUUUUGUGGAAGCUCAACACCAAGCGGGUCGCCCCAUCAGUAUUCUAUGCUGCUAGAAGUAAGCUAUGUGGUGAUUUCUCAAAAGUUCAGGGCCUUUGCAUGAGCAUCAUACAUUGUGGUCGAUCUUCAAUAGGUGGGCCAAUAGCCAAUGGACAACAGCAUUGUAGCGAAGCUCCUCCCUGUUGCCCUUACCGUGCAGCAUCUUGAUUUUUGGUUUCGCUGUGAAAAUAUAGGGCAUUUAGAUGUUGCCCUUGCCAGUGUACCAAUGUCAGGUAUGCAGGAACAUGUCGAUAGGAACUGAACAUUCAUAAGCAAUACUGAUUGCAACUUGCAAAGUUAAAGUAAAAAAGUUUGUAAUACCGUAGUUUUGACAUCCCCUUCUGCAUUUAUCAUUCGUAUCGGUUUGACAAUGGAUGGACAGAUACUGCGAUCUUAUAAGCAAAGGUGGAUCAUAGGGUCCUUACUCCUGAGCCAUGUCUGGUAUGGAUGCUGCCAUGCUGGCACUAUGAAGAUAGAUGUUGGUGUAAAUGUUGUGUUGUAGAGGGACUUAUAUGCAAAAAGUAAGAAGAAAAAAUAUACAUCCUCUGAUCUGGAAGUUCCCAGACAGAGCUUUCCCAAACACAAUAUGGUAUCUAGAGCCAGAGUUAGGGUUUCGCAUACCGUCGGCGGCGUGGCCGCCUGAGCUGGACUCGGCGGCGCAGAAGCAAGGGAGGUGCGUCUCAAGGUGCUGCGAGGCUGCGCAGCAUGCGGUGCUGCACGAGAGCUGCGCACGCCGCGAGCAGGAGAGGCGGCGGUCUGCGGUGCUGCACGAGAGCGGCGCGCGGCGCGGGCAGGUGGCGCGCCAAGCGGAGGCGGGCUGCGCGGGCAGGCGGCGCGUCCUGCGGAGGUGCUGCGGCGCCGAGUGCCUGCCUGGGCACAUCGUCCCCCUUCGGGAGGGGACGGUAAGUGGAUUUGGUGUCUGAGAAUAGAGAGAGAGGAGUGCGGUUGCUAAAAAAAAGAGGAAGUUUGUGCGGCCAGAGAGUAAAAGGGAGCUGGUGAAGUGUUGUGUGUUGUUGCUGUUGAGGAGUGUAGGAGGAGAUGGAUCCAGAGGAGGAAAGGAGAAAAGCAGCAGAGGCUGCAAAGAAAACAACAAUUGAGCAAGGAAGUGAUGGUAAAGGUGGAGGUGAUCCACUAAUUACCAAGAGUGAGUUGAGAGAUGAGAUGAGAUCCUGGGUUCAAGGACUUAUGUAGAUGGAUCUGAUUGGUCCUAGGGAGGUGUGUGAGCUCAAAUUGGAACUCAUUCCAAAUGAUGUGAAGUUGGAAGGAAGUAAGAAUUAUUUAAGUUGGUCUAGAAGGGUGCAGGUGAUACUAGGAGGAAAGGGGAUAGAACACUAUCUGAGAGAGGAUUGUGUUGAGCCGGCUAACAAGGUUAGCCUUGAGUGGAGAGUUUGGCACACGACAAACUCCACCAUAGUAGCAUGGUUAUUGGCAUCCAUGUCACCGUUAGUUAGUAGAGUGGUGGAAGCUAUGCAUACUGCGGCACAGAUUUGGAAAUCUUUGAGUAUCAGGUACUCCAAGCGGGGGAAUGUGAUGGUGAUGAUGGAAAUUUAGAACAAGGUUGAUGAAGUGAAACAGGCAGGGCGGACAGUGGAGCAAUAUGCUUGUGAGUUGCAGCAGUUGUGGGGAGAGCUGGAUCACUAUGCUCCACUUCGUAUGAGGGAUCCACACGAUGCCCAUGAUGUUCAAAAGUGGAUUGAGGAUAGAAGGGUGAAUCAUUUCUUGAAGAACUUGGAUCCUCAGUUUGAGAGUAGAAGAGCUGCUUUUUGUCACCAGGAUAGUUUGCCUACCAUAGAGAAGGCUGUGGCAGCCAUGAUCACUGAGGAGAGUAGGCUUUAAAUGAUGGGUGACAAUCCUGUGAAAUCAGCAUAUACCACUGUGACAGAGAGGUUGUGUUACAACUGUGGAGAGAAGGGACACAUGAGUUACAAUUGUCCCCUUCCAAAGAACUAUGGUGAUAGGAUUGGAGGCCGUGGUGGUCGUGGAGGACGUACUGGAGGACGUGGAAGAUGCCGUGGUGCCCCUUAGGCCAAUGCAGCCAUGGAGAGUUAUAUCACAGAUAGUAGUCCUCAGGUUAAUGUUGGGAUCAAGACCCUCACCUUAACUGGGGAACAGGUCAAACAGUGGGAACAAUGGCAAAAGUCUAAAGCAUGUGAAGGUUCCAGUUCUACUCUAGUGGGUUCUGUGAUGGCCACCACCAGUCACUUUGGUAACUUUGCCAACUAUGCCCAUAUGGGCAAAGGUACUCAGGCACAGGCACUUGCAACCACAUGUAGGCAUAACAUAUAGUGGGUUGUUGACUCAGGAGCUUCCAAGCAUGUCACAGACAUAUCUAGUCCUUUUAGAACAUACACUCCACAUUCUUACACUGAAACCAUACAAACUGCGGAUGGUACCUCUCAACCCAUUCAUGGUGUAGGAUCUAUAGAAUGCACUCCGUCUCUUCAUUUAUCUUCUGUUUUGCAUGUUCCUUCCUUCCCAGUCAAUCUCCUUUCAGUUAGUGCACUUAUUGAUCAGUUUAAGUGCAUCGUUAUAUUUGAUGAAAAUUCUUGUGUUUUCAGGAGAAGAGGAUGGGGAGAGUGAUUGGGACUGGAGUCAGGCAUAAUGGGUUGUGGUUCAUUAACCAGGAGCAGUCAGCAUUGGCAGCAGCAGCGGGAACACAAGAGAGAGAAAUCUACUUGCUUCAUCGCCGGUUAGGACAUGUACCUUUUGGAAGUUUGAAUAUAUUAUAUCCUGAAAUUUUUAGAGAUAUGAACAUAAAAAAACUUGUGUGUGAUGCUUGUGAACUUGGGAAGCAUACAAGGACAACUUAUCCUAGUAUUGGCCUUUGGAGUUGUGAACCUUUCAUGUUAGUACACUCGGAUGUUUGGGGUCCUUGCUCAAUUACAUCUGUGAGUGGAUUUAAGUGGUUUGUCACCUUUAUUGAUUGCUAUACUCGUAUGACAUGGGUUUACAUUCUUAAGGGUAAACAUGAGGUCCUUCGGUGUUUCCAGGACAUUCAUAAGUUAGUUGAAAAUCAAUUCAAUGCUAAAUUUGGAUUAUCUGAACUGAUAAUGGGAAAGAAAUAUGUGAACAAUGUUUUUGGGGCAUAUCUUUCAGAGCAUGGAAUUAUACAUCAGACCACUUGUCUAGAUACUCCAUCACAAAAUGGUGUAGCUGAGAGAAAGAAUUGACACUUGUUAGAGGUCGUAAGGUCAAUCAUGUUUCAAAUGAAUGUGCCCAAGUAUCUCUGGAGUGAAGCGGUGCUAACAGCAGCAUAUUUAAUCAAUCGUAUGCCAUCUAGAAUUCUUGGUAUGAAGUCACCUGUAGAGCUGUUGUUGGGACAACAAGAAUUUAAAGUACCUCCAAAGGUGUUUGGUUGUGUGUGCUUUGUCAGGGACCAUAGACCUUCGGUUGGUAAAUUGGACCCUCAGGCGGUGAAGUGUAUUUUUGUUGGCUAUUCUUCUACACAAAAGGGUUACAAGUGUUAGGACCCUAUUGCAAGGAAUUUGUUUGUGAGUAUGGAUGUGACGUUUAGGGAGUCUGAACCAUACUACACAAAGCCAUGUGAUCUUGAUCCGCUCUUAGAGGAAUUCUCUUCAGUCACUGAGGGUGACUAUAGAGAGGGGAGAAUGAAGGAGCUAAUGCUCAAAGAGAGGUGAUUGUUGGUACCAUCCCAUGUUCAAUGGGUAGGUCUGAAACUCAGGAGGUAACUCAUCAGGAUAAUGUGAAUAAUGGUGACUGUGAAGGAGAAGAGAUAGUUGGCGAUGAGGUGGUUGGUGAUGGGAAUGAGGAGACAACCGAUGAAGUAAGUGAAGAGGUGAAUGUUGAGAUUCAAAAGGGACCAAUCGUGUACCAGAGGAGAUGGUUCAGGAGUUAGGGGGAGCAAGUAGUUGCAAAGGAACCAAUAGUUUACCAAAGGAGAUGGAGUAAGGGGGAGCAAAUCAGUGGACCACAGCCACAAUAGCCUGCUACACUAGUCCCAAAUCAAUCCUUGGACCUCUCUCCAUCAAGUGGCAGUGUCCCUCCUAACCCUAAACAUGUAGAGCUACCUCUUGCACAACGUGGGGAUACUAGAUCUAAUUUUGGAAAACCACCUGUUCGCUAUGGUUUUGAGCAUCCUAGUAUAGAUCAUGACAUUGCCAACUUCCUCUCCUAUUUUCGCCUUUCACCUGCAUAUAGAGCAUUCGUUGCAUCUUUACAAACAGUGCCUAUUCCAAAAGACUGGAGGGGUGCAAAACAGGAUCCUAACUGGAAUCCAGCAAUGAGAGAAGAGAUGCAUGCUCUUCAGAAGAACAAGAUGUGGGAAUUGGUCCCACUUCCAAAGGGAAAAAAAGCUGUGGGCUGCAAGUAGGUCUUUACUGUGAAGCAAAACCCAAAAGGAGAGGUGGACAGAUACAAGGCAAGACUAGUAGCAAAAGGGUAUAGUCAAACAUAUGGUAUUGAUUAUGAUGAAACUUUUGCUCCAUCGGCAAAGAUGGGAACUGUUAGGACCCUAAUCUCGUGUGCAGUUAACUUUGGUUGGCCUCUGCAUCAAAUGGAUGUGAAGAAUGCAUUUCUCCAUGGUGAUUUACACGAGGAAGUCUAUAUGGAAAUUCCACCGGGAUUUGCUAAUAGUCAAACUGUUGGUAAAGUGUGCAGACUAAAGAAGUCACUCUAUGGACUGAAGCAAUCACCCAGGGCAUAGUUUGACAGGUUUAGGAGGGCGGUCUGCAGUAUAGGCUACAUUCAGUGCAAUGGUGAUCAUACGGUCUUCUACAGACAUAGAGGAACAUUUAUCACCAUUAUGGCAGUAUAUGUGGAUGAUAUUAUGAUUACAGGAGAUGAUAUAGAGGAGAUAAAAUGUUUGAAGGAGAAUCUGGGAAAGGCCUUUGAGGUAAAAGAUCUUGGACCACUGAGGUACUUUCUUGGGAUUGAGAUUGCUAGGUCACCUAAAGGGAUAGUUCUCUCUCAAAGGAAAUAUGUCCUUGAUCUAUUGACUGAAACAGGCAUGCUUGGAUGUCGGCCAUGUAGUACUCCUAUUGAUAAAAAUCAUCAAAUAAGUGCCGAAUAUGGAAAUCAUGUGGACAAAGAAACAUAUCAAAGAUUGGUGGGAAGACUGAUAUACCUGUGUCACACAAGACCUGACAUUUCCUAUGCAGUGAGUGUGGUGAGCAUGUAUGCAUGAUCCAAGAGCUGGACAUAUGGAUGUUGUUUACAGGAUCUUAAGGUAUCUGAAGGGAACCCCUGGGAAAGGGUUAUGGUUCAAGAAGAAUGGCCACCUUGAUAUAGAAGGCUAUUGUGAUGCAGAUUGGGCGAGUAGCAAAGAUGAUAGGAGGUCCACCUCUGGGUAUUGUGUGUUUGUGGGAGGCAAUUUUGUCUCUUGGAGAAGCAAGAAGAAAGCAGUUGUGGCUCGGUCUACUGCGGUGGCUGAGUAUAGGGCAAUGACAAUGAGCUUGUGUGAGAUGCUGUGGCUAAAAGGCUUGUUGAAGGAGCUGCAGGUAUUAAGAAACGAGACAAUGAUGCUUCAUUGUGAUAACAUUGCCGCAAUCAAUAUUGCAAACAAUCCAGUCCAGUUUGAUCGUACCAAGCAUGUGGAGAUUGAUAGAUUCUUCAUCAAAGAGAAGUUAGAUGGUGGAGUCCUAAAGUUAAAAUAUGUAAAAUCACGUGGCCAACUAGCUGAUUGUUUUACAAAGGGUUUAGGACCUAGUGAAGUUGAGUUGAGUUGUAGCAAGAUGGGCAUGUUAGAUAUUUUUAGCCCAUCUUGAGGGGGAGUGUUGGUGUAAAUGUUGUGUUGUAGAUGGACUUAUAUGCAAAAACUAAAAAGAAAUAUACAUCCACUGGUCUGGAAGUUUCCAGACAGAGCUUUGCCAAACACAAUAAUAAAUACAGAUCUGCACUUUCUUUCGAAGUUCCAUACUUUUGCCCGUUCAGCUUUUGACAGCGAGCCUUUCUUUGGUUCUGGGAGGAAAAGGUUCUAAGAGACGAUGCCAAUAGGGAUUUCAUCAAUGUUGGGGAAUGGCUCCCAUCUCUGUCCAAGCAGCAAGAAAAAUUCAAUGUCUCUGUUCCCACUGAAAUUUGCAGUAGAGAUGUCGUCCCCAUCCAUAUUCCAACGCCAAAAAUAAUUCCUGUAGGAUUCUUGUCCUCAUAUCGAUACACCACAGAAUAUAGAUGACAAUUUGAGUUUAGUAUAAAAGUAACUUUUACUUUUUUAACAUAAGGUGUAAUUGAUGAUUUGACACACAACACAAAUAUACAGACUAGUAUACUACACAAAAAACACACCAUAAUGCGUAUAUGAAAAAUGGGACGGCAACAUAGGGAUUUAGGACGGAGGAUAGUGAACCUUCCAUGUGUUUGAAAACCCAUGGCGAAAGAUUGCUCCUGCGUCCAUUGGGAAUUCUCCGUUAGGAAUCAAGCCCCAUUGAUAUCUCUAUCAUUUAUACUACAUAUCAAAUGUGUUCGUCAACCAUCAAUUAAAAAAAUAUAAAUCAACGAAGAGUUCAAAAAAUUAGACUUUACUUCUAUAAGCUCUAUCACACAACAAAAAAAAAGGUUUCAAGCUGCAUACAGUGGAUAGCAUGUACAGAAUCUAGCUCAUGAGUACCAACAAUGAGUCAAAUCUAAAUCUAAUACUAAAAAAGAAAGAACAGAUAGCCUUCCAAGAGAAUGUUUGUGGCAUCAUCGAUGCUUGAUCUUCCUCCUUACACUUUUGCUUCAUGUGGCCUCCUGUUAUUUCUUCAUUGGGCUCAGAGGAUGCGGAUUAUUCCCACACCUUCGCUUGAUCCCUCCUUUGCAUCCAUCCUAUCUUGUGGUCAUUAGGGGAUGUGAAACUCUUCACUUGUGCUCAAGCAUCAUGUUGUUCUCAGGGGCAAGGCCGAUGCAGGCCCGCAAGAUGUUCUCCAGCAUGGCCCUCUGCUUGGCCAGAGCAUUCACCACUGGUGUGCCAGGGGGUACCUGUUUAAGAAACCAAUUUACUAUCAAUUUCAUGAACACAUAUUGAAUUCUGAAUACAUUGUAAAUCUUUCUGAGCAUCUAAACUGCAGGAUAAUCCUAACUGUAAUUCUGCAGUUACGAACUACCUACAUUCUCAAUAUUAGAUUGAACCUAGAAGGUUCUAGGCGUUUUUCAGUAAUAAGAAGAGAAAAUAGAACCCCAAAAUGAAACCGAAAGAGGACUUAAACCUAUGUGGUUGGGUGCAUAACCACACCUUCUACCCAACCGGUUGAGCUAGGCUUACUUCCAAACGUACAUUCUCAUAUUUUACUGUUGCCUCACCAACUUCCUCUGUUCCUAAUAUAAACCAUUUGAUAACAUGCAUUAAUAGACAACAAAAACAAUUAUGAUGCUCUGAUUCUAAAUUCUUUGAUACUCCAUUUUGAGAGGCCAAUAUAAACAUGUUGACAAAAAAUUGUAUCAAUUGCAAACAAAAAGAAAAGCUUACAAGAGGAGCCUUGCUGAGAUAGCUCAAAAUUGUGGCGACGGGAUGGAAGGAGUGGAACUUAUCCUGCACAAAGAGCAAAUGGUGAACGAUGUCAAAAAUUUUCAUUCACACAUUAGUUAGUGCAGCAUUUACGCUACACAGUGAAGCAUAGAUUAAUCUGGUCUGUCAUCUGUACCUGCCCUUCGGCCUUGAGCUGAAUCCGAGUGCUGAGCUCAGCUAGGAGCACCAAGUCCAGGAUGAUCGGUGCAGCGAGAAGCGAAUCCUCGCAGGUGUUGUGCAGCACAAUGGUGUUCUUGCCACCCAUGAAGAUCUCUGAGGUAUAUUCAUCCAUAGCUCUCUUGCUAUCACCCACAUAGGGGAUGUACUGCAAAGGAGCGAUCAACUUUGAGUAACAACCAAACAUAAAGUAGCAUGGAUAGACUCAGUCAUCACACAAACAACUAGUCAACGAACCUUGAUCACGAUUACAUGAUCAGGAUGUUCAUUGAGUUUGUAGAGGAUGGGAUUGCUAGCAACCAUGUCGUCCACCACGCUGCUCUUGGAGAUCUCUUUAGACCGGAAGACUUGUGGGGCAGAGAGAUUCAUGCCGUCAUUGUUUCCUAGGUGGUUGUAGCUAGCAAUUGAGGUGGGCUACAACAGCACAGACACACAAGAAAGAUCCACCCUAUUUAUCUGAUAUGCCAAUAAAUAUCGAUUAUUCAUGAAUGUCAAAGACAAUUCAUCUUACUCCCAGGCUCCCAGCAAUAGACAAGGAAUAUAUAUGACGGUACCUUAAUCCCAGCACCAACGAGGAAAUCGACCAAUACGGACUUCAUCUUGGUCUGCCCACUCUUGAAGUCGUCGCCUCCUAUCACCGAAUUUUUUUUUAUGGCAAGCUCCAUCAGCCCUGUGCAUGAACAGAACAUCACUACAAGCAUGGAACGAGGAAUGCGACACUGGAUCGGAUACGCAUUUAGAAUUUUGUAGAGCACCAUUACGCACCGGGCACGAAUGUGUUCUGAGGGCUUCCAUUGACGAAUGGAACACCCUCAAAGACACAGGCUAUUGCAUACAAGGUGGAUGGUGAGAUCUCUGCUUCAUUCUUUUCCAACGAAGCCAAGAGGUUGUCCAUGGUGUCGUUAAGCCCACUAACUACAUUGCUAUACCUCUCGGUGUUUGCUGUCCAUAGCACGACUAUCUUGUCGACCUUGGUUUUUUCCUUGAACUCCCUACAUAGUUCAUGAACCGGCCCCAUGAUUAAGUUCAUAACAAUCCUCCUUCGAAAAAAUAGGAGUACUAAUAUUUUUCUUGAGACAAUGAAUUCACCAUUGUGGGUUUCGGUUUCUGUCUUGUGACAGUAUUCUAUGUUUUGAGUUUAAGGAUCUAUAAGUACCUGAUGUCCUUCUUGAUCUGCUCCACCUGCUCUUUCUUGGUGCCCUUGAUGAUAUUGUUAGCACGGGCACCUUGGUUUGCGGCAACGAAGUCUGGGUUGAAAAUGCCAGCGAGUGGCAGCAUGGAUUCCAUGUAGGGCCUGAGCUGCUUUUGAAGGUGAAUGUCUAGGACCUUGGCCCUGGCCAUGGCGUCAGCCAUGUUCAGAUUGCUGAUGUCCCAUCCACCAAAGACGAUGGAGUUGGGAUCAACCUGCAUGAUUCAAGCAAUACAUUACCACUACUGAAGAAAGAAAUGGGUAUCACAGUGUCACAACAAAACUGAUACUUUUUAUUGAGGAAAACUACACAUAAUUAUGUAUGGAUCCUCAUGUGCUUAGGUAAUUAAUCUGGAUCCUGAUUUGCUUGGGUAAUUAACUACCACAUCCAAACAAUUUUUUAACUUAGAAACAUUGAAGAAAGGAAUGGGUAUCAAUAUCAUAGUGUAGCAGCACGAAAAACUAACAGACGAAGGAAAAUAACACAUGGCUAAUUCAGAUCCUCAUUUGCUUGGGUAUAAUUAAUUAGGAUCCUGAUUUGCUUCAAUUGUUAACUAGUACCAUCCAUGCACUAGAAAUUAAUAAACAGAGCACUGUACAAACUUUGUGCUACUAUUGCAUUCAUGGAUUGUGCAUGUAACUGGAAUUGGUUAUUAGUAUCAAUAAUUGUGAUGCAACGAGAGAUGAGUGAUUAGGAUGUGUAGGGAGAGGAUCACACCAUAGGCACGAGGCUCUUGAAAGGCGCGUAGACCUCCUCCCCGUUGUGGCUGCCGACCCUGAUGGUGGAAGCCUGGGUCAGGGAGCCGAAGUAGUUGGCCUUGUGAACCUUCUCCUUUGUCUCCCACGAAAUUCCUCUGCAAGAAACACCAUCUGAAACGUGAAACAAUGCAAUACGGAGGAGGUUUAUUUUUUUAUUUAUGGAGAUCGCAGUUCGUCAUCAGCUGAUAGAGCUGUUGAGUCGUCUCACCCAACUGACUGCAUGCACGGAUCUGAUAAGAGCGAGGGAAAUGUGCGAUAUGACAAGCAAGGAAGUGGCAUGUAGCUACUGGAAGGAACUUACUCCCUAUUGGCGAUCACCCCGGCCGUGAGCGUCGUGCCGUUGUUGCCGCCCCAUCCGACGAGCAUCACCCUGCAUCCAUCAUUUGAAACAAUACAACUAAUAAUAAUCAAAUCAUAUAUGAUCUAUGGAUCGGAAGGAAGUAGUAGUAUAUAUCAACUGAUGAUCUGCUUAUAUGAGUAGCUAAUCGAGAACAAGGCGGUUUAUUAGGUUCUUAAAGAUCUCUCGACCGAGGUCCGAAGCAACAAUGCAAAGGCAUCAACAAAAGAAAUGAAAAGUAAUUAAAGGGGAAAAAAACAAAUUAAACCCAACAACACAUAGAAUCGAGAAAGAACAUCGCAAUCGUCGAUCACUAUCUGAACCGGAACGGAGAGGCCGCGCGCUACCGGUGGAUCCAUCGAUCGAUCGAUAUGUAUAUACAUGCAUACAGUCAAUUAUUGGUUCGCUGGGAUUGACGCGACGACGCACCCUAGCUUUGGGACGUUGGUGCUGGUCUUGAAGUUGUAGGUGACAGACUUUGGGCGCACCAUCCACCCCGCGCCACCGCCAUUCCCCGGCGGGACGACCUCGGUCGUGUCGUAGCGGUACUCCGACUGGAUCUCGCCGUCGCCGUACUGCACCAGUGGGCUGUCCACCCGGAAGCUCUCCACGAACAUCCUCCGAUCUCUUCGCGAUCUUGGCUGGGUUCUCUCUCUCUUUCUCACGAAAACACCAACGGAACGGAACGGAACGCAGAAGUCGCUGCCUCACACUCGCGAAACGCUCAACGAUACGAUGUGCACAGGGUGGGGUGGGGUGGGGAUCCGAGAGGUUCCAAAGGGUAGGGCAUUAUAUAUAGCUCUGCGCGCGGCGUCCACGUGGGGCGCGCCGCGGGAGGAGCGCGACCACUGACGAGCGGUCGUGGGCGGUGCCAGUGGCCUGGCCCGGCCGAUUCUCUCGGAUCGGAAUCCCAUCGGUUGUCUUUUCUACUAUAUAUGCAGUCAAAAUUUAGGCCAUGAUGUUAUAAUGGAUUUUCCCCUUUGCUCAUCCAAUACUACUCCUUAAUAUAAGUUGUGCAGUAAUAAUGCAGAUCCGUAUCCGCCUUUUACCCUUUACAGUAGAAUCAUGACGACAGGCCACAUUUCUAAUCGAAUCACACAAUCUUUUUUAGUCACGAAUGAUUAUCCACAUGGACCACGGGCUCAUUUAUAUCGAGCUGCAUGCAUGUAAGGUCAUAUAGCUGAAAUUAAUUAAUUUGUUACUAAAAAUAUCACUAGCUCACACCAAUUCCUCUCUGCUAUAGCUUAGAACUAUCAUAGACACCAUUUUGACAGGCAACGUUGUCCUUAUUUAUUCCAAAAAAUAACCACAUCAGCAGUACUUUUCGAUGACCGAACAGUGGACCUCCGAGAGUCUGUGUGUUAUGCGCGCAGAAAGAUGAAAGUUCAAUUCGGAUUAUCUCUCUUGUGUUCCUGCAUGUACGCCAGGGGAGUCUGGCACCUACUUCUUUGCAUCGUCGACUAGGAGUCUCUUACGCCAGGAACGGACACCAAGCUCGCAAACGGUUGGCAGCGAGCGCUGUUUGUGAGGCUGUCACACAGGCGUCUCUUCGACUCGGCAGUUCUCCUUUGCACCUGGAACAUGUGGAAGGAACGAAAUCGCAGGACCUUUGAUGGCCUCCAGAAGAUGCCUGUGCAGCUGGUUACACUAGCCUCUCUUGGCAGGUGGCAACCCGCGGCAGCUACCUUAAUUAACCUGCCGUGCUUCACUCUCCUUGCUCCUAGUCGCACAAUUGUUUUUUUUAGCACCACCAUUUAUGCUAGCUUAACCUGCCGGUGCCUUAUGUUAGUGUUCAUGCAUCGACAUGCUUGGUGGCAGCAUGCCAUCUCGCGUUGUUUGGGCGUGUAAUAUUUUUCCAAACUCCUCUUAAUGAAAAUUGUGCCAAGCAUGUUCCAAAAGAAAAACAUAAGUCUCGUUUUGCUCAAAUUUGACUUUUGUUGAUGUUUAUGCUGAUUUGUUGUGAGAAAAAAUAUUGUUCUGUCGCCGAAAGUUACUGUUGAAGAACGUAAGAACCUUAUUUUACAUGUUUAAUCAUGACACCAGUGUGAGUUCAAUUCCUUACAUGAACGAAUUGCAGUGCUAGAGAUAAAAAAAAACUCGUUUACCCCACGUUGCUAGCAAAAGCGUGGGUUUAUGGCACCGGCCAAUAGGCCCCUAUGUGCAGGGUACAAGGUUUGGUGCUUUUCUCGGACUAGAACAAGGAGUCCUCUAUCUUAAUACGAACUAGGUGAAUUCUCCGUAUAUUGCUACGGAAUUUUUUUAAAGAUAAAUCACUAUAUACAUCACAUUACUAUAUGGUAUUUAGUAUAUUAAAUAUGUAUGUAUAAAUAUAAAUUUGACUUGCAUGUAUUUUAUUAUAUAAGAUCUAGUAAAAAAUUUCUAAUCUAAUAGAAGAAAAACUAAUAUUUGAUUAGAUUAUCGAGGAAUUCAUGAUCAAACAAAUAGUGUAUGUACAUGACGUUAAUAGAUUAAAGAUUUAAAGUAUUUCACAUGAUAUCACCAGUACACAGAUGCUCUAAGCCGGCGGUGGCAAAAGUUUUCCACAGACGGUUUUAAUUAUCGUGCGCCUAUAUUGUAACAUUAUACAGCAAGGAUUAGAAACUGCCUGUGUAAAUCGAUUAACACAGACGGUUUACAUAACUGAACCGCAUGUGUUAAUGCUCCAUUACACAGGCGGUUCAGUUAUGUGAACCGCCUGUGUUAACUAAUUUACACAGACGGUUCCUUAAGCAAACCGCUUGUGCUAUUCUUUGUAUAAGUACCCCCCAGCCCCCCUUCUUCCUCCUCAGCAUAUAUAUAUGACAUGGUCAUUUUUUGUAAUUAACUAGUUGAGUGGCCAUAGGUUGCUACGGAAAUCACUUACGGAUCAGUAUUUUAAUUAAAAAAGCUCAAGUGGUUCUUUUUUUACAACAUCAUAUAUGUGAUAGACAUAUAUUCAUUUAAAAGAAGGAUAAGAUAUUAUUUGCCAAUGUAAAUAUACCAAGGAACUCAAGAGAGCAACAUAUUUCUACCAUGAGAACAACUUCUAUAUUUCACUAUGCAAGUUCAACCUACAAGUCUCACAAAAAAUGACAAAGCAGUAAAAUAAAAUUAAAAGGUCGAUCAUGUAGUUCACUCCAUCAUCAUUAAUCCCGAGAAAAAAGAAAAUACUAACUCAAUGAUAACACUUCACUUCACCUGACGCUAAAAGACCAUUUUCUUUUUUCCUCCACAAGAAAUCACUGAACUAUAUCCAAGGAUCUAAUUACUCCCCCCCUACUCCUGUCCAGCUAAGAGUUUCAACAUUACAUCAUUUAAUCAAAGACAAUAGGAUAAUCUUUCUACCAAAUCAAUCCUUGCAAUGUGACUGAAUACUCUAAAUGUGCCCUUAGCACCUUUAACUAACAAAACAGAAACUAUUUAGAUGGAAAACAGCUUGAUAACAUUGAUCAAUAUGGUUAGCAAAUGUAUAUCUUGCAAAUCUGCAAAUCCUGAGCACUAAGAAACUCCUUGCAUGGGACUAUUGCAUUCUUCAUAAUAUCUCUCUGCUUAGCAAUCUGUUGGCUGUACUCCCUGCACAUUAUUCAAUAGCAGUAGAUAGAGUAAAGUGUAAAUAGUUGUUUGUUUCAGUUUUACAGGUGACAAUGUCCUAGCUAAUCUUUAGGAGGACAGGUGUGUGGUGUUAGUGGGUGGCAAUGUCCUAGCUAAUCCUAGUUAUUAGUGGCCAGUUGCCUAAGUCGUGAAUAGUUUCUAGGAGCCACUAAGUGGUUCCUGGUGCCUAAUCAUGGCUCUUGCAUAUAUAUAAAGCUGCUUUAAAUAAUAUGCAAUAAAAACAAAAAAGUUGCAAGUUCUGCAGUAGUGCCAUAUCUCUGAGUUGAGCCUCUGAUCUUGAGUGAUCCGGUUCAUAGUGAGAUUGAUUGACUUACACCAUCUCUAGCAGAGCCACUACUGUGCCCUCUCCACCCGUGGCACAGAGAUCUCCCACCACAAAGCCAUCAAAGGAAUCAAGCAAAUCUUCGAUUGAAACCAUCAAAUAUAUCAUCAAAUUUGCUGAAAGAAAUACAUCAGCUCAGAUGAUAAUAUCCAAAUCUUGAUUUGGGUGCAUAAUAAGAAGUGCAGAAGCAAUACCAGUUAUCAUCUCAAAUUAGAAUCCUCAAAUUUCCAGAUUAAUGUUUAAGAAGUGCUGAUAAGAUGUGCAGAAGCAAUACCAAUGAUCAUCUCAAAUUAGAAAGCUUAAUUUUAUAUUUUAAUGUUUGGAACAUUGGCAAACUACUUCAGAGUCUUAAACAAGUAGUUCCCAACAAAAAAAGAAAAUCACAAAUGAAUAGGAUGUUUUAUUAUGGUAAGGAAACAACAUAAUAAUCAGACGAAUAAUUAUCUAGGAUCAUACUAAACGCUAUUUUGAUGAAAUGUAGGGAUCACAAGAGUUGCAUUAAGUCACACAUCUGCAUUACAAAAGUUGUGUCAAUAAUUCCUCAACACAAUGUAUAUUUGAAAGGUCCUUGUUUGGUUUUGGCAAUUGAGUGACAAGUUAGGUGGACUAAUGAUGUUUAUGUGAGAUACACAGGAGAUUAGUCCAUAGGUGAAUAGGUGAUGAUGGAAGAGCUCAUUGCAUAUGAGACAUGACAUGAAGUCAUGGGACCAAGGUGGAGAAGAUCAAGAUGAGGCUUGGCUUCAUGAACCGGUUGCAGGAUUGAAGGGCAAGUCAAAGGCUUUGAAGCGAGGGACCGCGUGUGACGGUGAAGCUUGAGCAAGACUUGGCAUCGAUGGACCGAGGCAAUGGUGAAGAGCAAGUGAGGUCAAGAUCGAUGAACCAAUAUGNNNNNNNNNNNNNNNNNNNNNNNNNNNNNNNNNNNNNNNNNNNNNNNNNNNNNNNNNNNNNNNNNNNNNNNNNNNNNNNNNNNNNNNNNNNNNNNNNNNNUCAUACAUUUGUGAUUGGUUGGUGCAUGUGUUGCAUCAACAUCAAAGUAGAUGGAACGGAAUGCGCAAGGCAAAGGUAUAACCUAUAGGGCAUUUCAUUUCACCGGUCUAAGUUGAGUAGAGAAGUGCUUGACCGGAUUUUGGACAGAUAACCUGUGGGGGUAUAAACCCCUAUACCCUUACGGCUAGACUUGGGCCAGGAGGCUUGGCCCAUUACGAGACAAGUUCGAGGCUUGAUCCGACAGCUCGGAGUUUCGCGCAAGGAAACAAGACGUGGAGAUCAAGCAGGAUUCUAGUCGGUUAGAAUAGGAAUUGAUAUCGAACUAUCUAUGGCAAUUGUAACCGACUAGGAUUAGUUUCCAGAUCUGUAACCCUGCCCUCCGGACUAUAUAAGGAGGGGCAGGGGCCCCUAGAGGACUGGCAUACACAUUAUUCUAUCAACACAAAUCAAUACAACAAGACACAGGACGUAGGUAUUACGCCCACACGGCGGCCGAACCUGGAUAAAAAGCUUGUCCAUGUCUUGCGUCACCAUCAAGUUUGUAGCUUGCGCACCGUCUACCGAUAAACUACUACCGUGGGUAUACCCCAAGGUAGACUGCCGACUAGCUUUCGUCGACAGUGGCGCGCCAGGUAGGGGGUGUGCGUACAGCUUCCCAGACGAACAAGAUGGCCAUCAUCCCCGACUUUGCGGCCAUGGCGGGCGGCUUCACGUUCACCGUCAGCUUCAACAGCUUCACCACCACGACCGCGAAGGAGGCGUAGAUCCAAUCUGUGCCGAUCACUUCUUCAGCGACGUCGGCUGCAGCUCCAACCACGCUGGCUACGGCUUUGACCACACCAGCAACGUCUCCGACCACGCCGACAAAGCGUCGCCGCUUCUCUGCUACAAAGGGAGGCAGAUCGACGACACCGACCUGCUCGGGCUAUCGACCAAGUUGUUUGGCCUACUUGCUCUGACCACGAGUCGCAAUAAUAAUCGCCGCGAAGAACGGCGCUACGACAACCGCGACCACCGUCACGACAACAAGUCAAAAAGCUCGAGGGCCGGACAAUUUUGUCGUCACCAACCAGACUUUCGUCCAAAGAUAAGUACACUUCUAAUAUUUUAUUUAUUUUUGGCAUAAUAUUUUUUAUUAUCCUUCAAAACAACCUUUUGGUUAGCCGACUAGUUUUUUCUCCUACACGAGUUUUCCAGAGUUGGUACUGUCUCCGACUCCUCCCUACACGUGCAUGAGAUCCGCCCUCUGCGUUCCGGGUGGUCGGCAGUAGCUCUCUAGCGAGGCUGGCAAUCCCACGCGUGUCUAGGUUCCGUACCUCAUGCUGAUUGUUGGCUAAACCAGAGCUGGUACAAGCUCUAGGACGAAUUACCUACUCGUGCUAAUUUUAUAACAAAAAAUCUAAAACUUAUCUCAGUACUGAUUUUUUAUCUAAAGUUUAUUUAUACAUUAUGUACUACCUAUUCUCUAUGUUUAUUUUUCAGGAGUUUGGCCCAGUCGACAAGCUACGCUCGGAGACUCGUCGACUAUUCACUACGCUGUGCUCGGGAACUGCUCCGACCACCGAGCACGUUUACGUUCCCAACCACGCUCGGGGACUUAUCGACUACUCUCUACGCGGUGCUUGAAGAUUGUGCCGACCACCGAGCCCGUUUACGUUCCCAACCACGCUCGGGGACUUGUCCACCAGUCCCUACGCCGUGCUCGGGGACUGUACCGACCACCGAGCAUGUCUACUUUCUCAAUCGUGCUCGGGGACUCGUCAAUCACUCCCUUCACUAUGCUCGGGGCUUGCUUCGAUCACUCUCCAACCACAGCUUGGGGACUGUUCUUCUCAGUUACAUAUGAAUUGGACUCAUAUAGAACUCAGGGGUAAUUUUAUUUUUUUAGACCUUGCUACAAGGCUCAUACUUCGCCUUCUAGAAAGCUCGGGGACUACAUCGGUAUGAUGCAUCUGGCGAUGCAUCUCAGUUUUAGAAUUUUUAUGAAGACUUUUUUGACCCUGGCACCACGUGCCUACGUCACCUAGUACCAGGCUCGGGGACUAAGUGGGCACACUUCACCUUGCGGUGAACAUGCUUGCUUUUUGAAUGUCUGUACUUUUUAGAAAAGUAAAGUGGGCACACUUCACCAGGAAAGAAAUCUUUUUUGAUUAAGAGCACCAUACAUUCUUCGAACAACCUGCUUCUUCGAUGUCAAUGUUGAUCGGAGUCUUUUGAGUUGAUUAAAAUACCGUUGCAACUGUUUGGGCAACUUUCCUGCUUAUUGAAGACGUCAAGUCUCACUGGUCGAAGAAGCUCAAGACGGCGUGUUACAUCACAAUACAUGGUGCUCGGGGACUAGCUGUGGGGGUAUAAACCCCUAUACCCUCAUGGGCUGAUGUGGGCCGCACCAUCAGAGGUGGCUCGGCCCACAAGAUGAAGAUGUGCGGCGUAUGACGCUGGUCGACGUGCACCGCAAGGCUACAAGAUAUUGUUCCAAAUAGGAUGGUUUACUUGUAACUCUGUCCCUUCACGAUAUAUAAGGAGGGGCAGGGGUCCCCUAGAGGACAGGCAUACACAUUAUUCUAUCAACACAAAUCAAUACAACAAGACGCAGGACGUAGGUAUUACGCCCACACAGCGGCCAAACCUGGAUAAAAAGCUUGUCCGUGUCUUGCGUCACCAUCAAGUUCGUAGCUUGCGCACCGUCUACCGAUAAACUACUACCGUGGGUAUACCCCAAGGUAGACUGCCGACUAGCUUUCGUCUACAGAUAACCGUUCAAUCAAUGUCGGUUUGAUCCGACGGCCCACGUUCACCUCAGGGGACUAUAUAAGCAGACCCCCUGGCCCCUAGGAGACAAGAAUCCAAUUAUUCAUUAGCAUAUUUUCCAGAGAGGAUUCAGAGAGAGAGGUUCCUUAGGGUUCCCACCUCAUCGGGCGUAGCAUCCAAUGUGAGAGUAGACUAGUUCUACUAGAUUGAGAGAGAUAGAGUGGAGGUGUAGAUCAGAGGAAGCCCGGCCUGUCGGUGUCUACUCCGAGGUUGUACCUGCGGGAUCAAGUCUUCUAACCCGAGGCUUGCUCCUAGGAUUCUUUAGUAUUUCGACUUCUAAAUUCUAGUAAGUUAUUGUUUUGUUGUUCUUUGGUGUAUGAGUUUACUUUGAUCUCUUCGCGUAGAGGUUAGAGUAAUCAUCUCUAGCGUAAACGUGGUGUUUGGGCUAGGAUACUCAUAGAUAUCCUCUGACUAGCUGGACCAUGGUAGUAGCGAGGAACGUGACAUUUUCGAGUUACCUUUGUAGCCCAUAUCCUGUUAGUAGGAUCGAUAUGAUUUAUAGGUGCGGGUCGAACAUCCUCUCUGGUGUCUAGAUUCCAUGAGCUUCCCCAACAGAACAGUCGAUCAUCCUUACCAUGGUUAGAACGAGAGUGCAGUUGUAGUCUUCUCUAUACAUCACUCACAUCGAAUCACAUUCUUUGUAGCCUAAAGGUUAGUAGUAAUAGACCGGGUUAGUCAGAUGCACUCUUUCUCCUAGUGGUAAAAAUAUAAAUACGAUACUCUGGAUAACAUCCCGGGUGAAGUGCUCUCCGAUAUCCGUGCGCUUGCGGAUUAAUUCUGAUUGCGUUACCAAAUAUCAACAAGCAUUUCUGGCACCGUUGUCGGGGAGAAACACGGUUUGCUGAGAUAACCUUGAGUCUUACAACUAGCUUGUAUCUAUACUUUUAUCUUUUCUUAUGUUUUUAUAUUCUUUAUUUUCUUUACUCUUACCUUAUGGAAAACCAAGAUUCUAAAUCGAUCUAUCAAUUUGCAACACCUUCGAAAACUGACCUUUUACCAUGGGAGUCAUCACAACCUAUCCAAACAUCCCAGUAUAGGUCAAGUUCCAGGUUGAUUGCCAUGAUUCAAAACCUAUCCUUUUCAGGAAAGGAAGACAAAAACCCUUACCUUCACAUUAGAGAUUUUGAGCAAACAUGUGAUUGUCUUCGCAUUGAAGGCAUUUCUGAUAAAACUUUACGUUGGAAGCUUUUUCCUUUUUCUUUAAGGGUGUUGACACUUGCUAACACCACUUGAAUACUAGGUUGUCAUCCCCAGCAUGGCACUAGAGUGUACUAUGGUAUUUAUAUGCACACAGAUAAUCCGCAAGCGCACGGAUACCGUUGAAGCUUUUACCCGGUUAAAGGUUUUAUCGUAUCCACAGGGAAACGGGAGAACCAACUACGCUCUAACUUAACCAAGAUAGAUAGAUAGGUGUAAAUAGGAAAGAUGAUAGAAUUGAAUAAGAACAAUAUUAUAGGUAAGAUAACAGUGAGUGAUAAUAUGGGAAUAGAUAAUAGAGCAAUUCUAGUAUAUGGGCGAUGGUAGCAGAAUAGAGAGGAUAACUAUGGUUUCUCUACUUCAAAGGGGUAUGUCUAUGUCUGGGACGAACCACGUGAUAAGAGUACACCACAAAUGAUGCUUAUCCAUAGGCCGAUAAACCCUACCCGUCCUGCUAACGAGAGGUGGACUACAGGGGACCAACGUAACUGUCACCUACGUGGCCUACCACAUGAUCUAGCUAGUCAGGGGAUAUCCACAAGUAAUCUAGGUCUAAGCACCACGCUUACACCUAUACUACAACUCUAACCUAUAGGGUCCUAUAGAUUAGAAGUACUCAAAAGAGUUGUGAACUAGAACAUACAUGAUUAGUAAUUGCAUAAUGAAUUAGAAGUAGAUUACCAGAGUCAUCCCAUGAGCAAGCUUGAUUAGAGCUUGAUCAUUGUGAAGUACAACCGGAGGAAGAACCGACAGGCCGGCCUCUCCUCUAAUCCUCCUUCGCUCUCCAUCUCGCUACUAUCUAGAUCUACUCUAGUUUAGAGAAGAGAGGAGAGCUCUCAUCUCUAAACCCUAGCUUUUGCUCUGUCUAUGAAUAAUGAAUAAUGAUCAAGGGGUUGUCUCCUCCAGGGGCCAGGGGGUCUGGUUUUAUAGUCCCCUCAAGUGAACCUGGGCCGUCGGAUCAAACCGACAUUGAUUGAACGGUUAUUCUUGAUCCUUUAGGUCGGUGGAGCAUAAUCCGCGAGAUUGAGCGUGAUUGGCCACAGGAGGUGGGCGGGCGCCCAGUAGGACAGGGCGGGCACCCUGCCUGUGGCCCCGAUUCGCCUCCGCUUCGGUCUCGUGGCUUCUGGAGUCUUCUAGAUGUAAGAUAAUUGCGCGGCACGUUAAUAUCUUUACGUAAUCCCGACGUGUGGGCCUUUCUUCCUUAUUUCCUGAUAACCCCCUGCAGAAAUAGACAAACACCAAAACUCGUGGAAUUCUGUCAGAUAAAACCCUAAGUCUAGAUGUUGAUUUCAUUUGGAUCCAUUUCUUUGUUUAUUUGAUAAUUAAAUUUGAUACUUAAGGACCGUCAACAAACUCCCCCAAGCUUACCUCUUGCUCGUCCCUGAGCAAGGAUAGACUCAGCUAUAGAUCAUAAGUUGUUGCAAUAUCUUUAAAAAUUGACGGUACACAUGCUUUUAAAUGAGGUCUCAUCUCUGAGUUAGAGUAAACUGUCAAGACUUAAAACUUACUUACUUUACCUUUCACCAUGGGACUUGUAACCGUCACUUCUGUCUUGAGUGGUUAAAAGAUAGAACAGUCCAGUCAAGUGCCAUGUCGCUUAUUCUUGAUCAGCUAUAGCUCUGGAGUUUUUGCAGAUUUUCAAAUAAAACUCAGAGAUUCCUUUGUAUGACUCUCUCAUAUCUCUCUUUUGUGGUAUUUCUGGAUCCUUACCAAUGCAGUGAUGGUAUAUGCCUUCUCUCAAAACAUGUGGUAUUUGUGGUAUAAGGCAUAGUGACAUUGCCUUCUCUCUCACCCUACUCUAAUAAGGCUUUAAUAUCUGGAGCUCAUAGGUGGGAGAUAAAGUAUACAUACUUACAAGACAUGUAUUGCAUAGUCAAACCAUGGAUCCAAAGAAAUAAAUCAAUAAGCCAAAUCAAGAUGUGCAUGUGUGGCGAAUGAAUAGUGUAUGGUGAUGAUGGUGAUAACAAUGGUGAAAGUCUAAUUCUACUUUUGCUCUUUUAAGGGGAUACAUACCUUCCUUGCUUUUUGAAACUUUAUGAGGAGAAUGAGAUGCUCUUCUUUUUCUUUUCUCUCAGAUGGGUAUCCUGUACCCCUAAUUCUACUGUCAGACACUUGUCCAUUUUUACCUCUCGUCUCACUCUUUUUCUUUUCUUUCGAGGUUCCGGGCACUUGCCCCUUUUUAUUUCCUCGUUUAUUUUUUUUCUUUUCUUUUUUUUCUUCUUUUUUUUCAGAGCACUCAUCUCUUGAGAUAAUAUAGCAAGUGGUAGUAGCAAGAUAACUUGAGCAUUUAUUUCACAAGGGAAAAACACAGAUGUUUUUGGCUAUUCUCUCCCGAAUUAGGAGUAGAAUAUUUUUAGGUGAUUCUGGAGAUGGAAAUGGAUGGAUAUAUAUGGAUGGUACUUCCGGAGUAGAAGUAGCAUAUAUAUGAGUGAACGUGCAAGUGAAUCUUGAUUUAACCACAUGACAAGCUCCUAAGGGUCUACACAGCUUGACCACACUCAAUGCUCAUAAGCAGUAAAUAAUAAAUGUGUGGCUCAAAGUCUAGCAAGCAUGUAUAUAUGGCUGUGGUAGGAAUUUAAACUUUCAUCAUACAGGAACUCAUCAUGCAACAUUUUAAAGAUUUUUCAAAGAUAAAAUUCUCCAGAAUUCUAGCAUCUCUAGGAACAGAUAAACAGCAGCUCAACCUUCCCAUAUCUUAUCCGUUAACAACUUAGAUUUUAGAUCAAGUUUUCAUCCCACAAGUUUAGAUCUAGAGCAAGCUUUAAAUUAUAACAGUUAUGUCUAAACUUGAGAGAGAACUUCAAAUUUGCAAAUUAGGCAGAGCAACUAUUCAUCAUAUCCAUGCUAGAGUUUUAUUAUUAAGAUUCAUAGCAAACUUUAUUUAUUUAUUUAUUUAUUUAUUUAGCAAACUAAGAAAAGUAUAUAUAUAUAAGCAUAAAAUCUUUAUUUGGUUUUUCAUAGUUUAUGUAUUUUAAUAUUCUAAUAUAAUAUAAGUAUAAAGAUAGGUAGAAAUACUUAGCGAGAUAAAUAGGGGUGCUCUCCCUCAAGCUGAAUUUUGACGUAAUUUCUCUUGAUGUAGCUAGCAGGUGGCAGAGGUGUAUUUGAAAGUCAGCAGCAUUCUGACAGCAAUUAGAAUAUCCUCUAUCUUUCGGCGAGGGUUCAAUGUUUUAAGUCUUCUUAACAAGACUUCUCACCGUGUUCAUUCUUCAGGUGCGUCAUUUGAUUCAGGUGCGGACCUUGACGUCUGCACCUCUUGAUACGGUGUCGCCCAUAUUCUUCGUUUGCCCAGCAGUUCGAAGUGCGGUGUUAGCAGUAUCUUGCUCAAUGUGUUUGUGCUCGUAGUGUACCUGCUCAUAGAGACAAGGCAGAGAUCAAGUGAACCAAAAGUGUAUUUGUUCUUCUCUAACCUUAAGCAUAGUGAGCAAGACAAGUUGAUGGAUGAUAAGUUCAUGAGUGUAGCACUUAUAACAUUUGUCAGAUCAGAUCGCUCAACCUUAUGGAAAGAUAAUCUAUCUAUGUAUAUGUCUUUUUAUUUAUAUCUCUCAAUGAUUGAAUGUGUAACAUUUUAGCUCAUAUGAUUAGGAGUGUGGGAUCAUGGAGGUAGUACUAAGAACAAGGAUUAAAGGACUAAACAUGUUGAAUCAGUUGGGUUGGUUAAUCUAGAGUUGUAAAUCAUACACGUUUGUCUCUUUUAUUUAUAUGAACGCCAGAACCAAGGAGAAGCUUAUAAAAGUGAUAGUCAAGUACCUUAGGAUGUUACCUUGCUUGAAAAGUGAUGGUACAGUAUCACCUUGUGGAAGCUUUCCUUUCUUAGCGGUUGUGCAUCGUGUUCGUGGCACCCUCCAUGGAUCUUCACUUUAUGAUGAAUGAGCUAUGUCCUUCUUGUGCUAAUUGUUAAACUUCAUGUGUCACUUUCUUCGUCUCUGAUGUGAGUUUAUCUCAGGACUUCCCAAAUCGAUAUUGAAAGUUUUUCUGCAGGGGUUAGUCCAACAAAAUAUACCAAUAUCUACUCAAGCAGUUUUUAGUUCAAUAACCAAACUAGACUCCUUGUCUAAUCAGAUUAAGGAAGGCUAUUUAACCUAAGCACCAUGCUUAAUUUAAAUGCCAAUGGAAGUAUGGCGAGUACUUCCAAACCAACACUUGCUAGUAAAUAGACAACGGUAGCAUGACAGCGUUUAUAGAGAUCUACUCAAGUGGAGAUGAAGUAGUGUGAUUAGUAUUUAACAAAUUGAGCAUGUCUCAAAGGUAGGGACAACCAGCAUAGCAACAUGGCAAAGGAUGUUUUUAUGUAAAGUACUCCCCCAAGCUUGAAUUUUGCAAAAAUUCAAGUUUGGAUGAAUUUAAUUCAAUGUUGUAUGAUGAUUGGUUGGACAUACCUUGUGCUUGUCAUUCAUCCGAUCUUCUUGCUCCAAUCUUAGAAAGGUUAGUGACAAGAAUACCCGAAGGAAUAUAUUUUUUUUACAAUUAUCCUUAUAUGCUCAAUACACAAGGUAAUGUUGCAAAUAAUUAAAGGCUCAUGUUACGAUCUGAUCAAUGCUUAUUUUAAGACACUAAGCUUGUCCUUGGGAAACCAUCAGUUUAUGUUGGCGAAGUGGUUUCCCCUCCGACGCCAACCUAUAUCUAGAUCAACUCAACGAGAUCUGCAAUAUUUAUUAUAGACAUAUGCAUCGACAACCGCCCUUUUAAAGUUUUUAUAAAUAGAAAGGAAGAGGGGGUUGGAGAUCUCAAGUGUGGUGAUGUCGGAGAGACCAAUAGAUUGGGAAGAUGUUGCAUAUGAGCAUGGAGUAAACGAAGUGGCUAUGAAAUAAAUUCCAUGCUCAUUAAUGUUAUCUUCGUCUCUAAUCUGAAUGUUCGGAGUUUCUCCUGGAUUGGUCUCACCUAUGUCCUGUUCUGUAGUUGGAUGAAUCUCAUCUUCAAAGGGAGUCAAGAACUCACCAUUUGAAAUUGAGCCAAAGUCAGAACCUAUUAAGGCUUCUUUCUUAUCCAUCCAUUCUACACAUUCUAGCCAUUUAGAACUUGUGAUCAAAAUAGGGGAGGUGUUAGAAUUUUCUAUAUGGCUUAGCUCUCCUUCUAUGGCAUUACUUGACAUGCCAUCCUUAUGGUCUUCAUGACUCCUAUGGUUUGGUCGUCUUGGUGAAUUGCUAGGAUCAUCAUGAGAGUGAAAAGAAGAGGGAUAAGAGGGAUCUCUAAGGUCAAGGAUGGAUUUAGAACUUGUGAACAUGGAAGGGGAGUAGAUAGAAUUGUCUAUAUGGCUUAGCUCUCCUUCACUUGAUAUGUCAUCCUCGACUUCUUCAUGAUAGGAACCAGGACAUUCUCUAAGAGAAACAUUAUUGCAAUGAUUUGAAUUAUCCCUGCUUGAAGGUCUCUUAUAGAACUAGAAGUCUAAACCAUCAGCAUUUAAAAGAUUUAAGGUCGGAAUUCCUUCCUCCCUUGGAGAAUUUUGGGGUAUUGAUGGUUUAGAAUCGAUAGCUAAAGUUUGGGAUUGAAGUGGUUGUGAUCUGGCUAUCAAAACUUCUUCUUCUUGUCUAGGAACUGGUUCUUUCUCUUUCUCAGGGAUAUAAAAGCUAGGAGACUUUCCGCUCAUUAAAUCAAUCAAAUUCCAAGCUUCACUAGCGGAUAUGUGGUGGAAAGAUCCUCCAGAGGCCGCAUGAAGGGUUUGCCUAUUUUUCCUACUAAGGCCCUCAAAAAAGUGAAUUAGAAGAACUUCUUCUGGAAUAGAAAGUUUUGGGCCAGUGAGAGUAAGGUUAAUAAAGCGGUCCCAUGAUUUGCCAAGAGAUUCUUCUUCCAGUUGUCUAAAAGAAAGAAUCUCACGCCGAAGUUCCACCACUUUGGAGAUUGGAAAAUAUUUAGAUAGAAAACUACUAUAUAACUCCUUCCAAUCUCCAUGAACACUCCCUACUUUAAGUUUAUACCAAUGUCUAGCUUUUCCCGUUAAAGAGAACGGAAAGAGCUUCCAUUUAAGGGUCUCAUCGGACAUGCCUUCUAUGCGAAGGAGGUCACAGACUCGAUAAAACUCUCUAAGGUGUGUGUAUGGGUUUUCCUCACCUUCUCCUGAGAAAGGUUGUUUUUGAAUAAAUUCUAUGUAUUCGGGGUCUAUCUCAAAACUAGAUGCUAUGAUAGGCUUUGAAGAUUUUGGUGGUUCGAGAUGUGUGCCCAUAGGUCUAUGAAAUUCAUAGAUAGACAUGUUUGAAUUCAUGAUAGACCAGAGAUCAAGGAUUAGAUAAGAAGAAAGAUUAGCAGAGAUGAGGCAAAGGAUAAAAGGAAAAUAUUUUUUUUAUUAUUUUUUUUAAAAAAAUGAUUAAGCUAGUUCGUAGUCAACUCAGCAACCGUUUCCCCGGCAACGGUGCCAAAAAUGCUUGUUGACACUUGCUAACACCACUUGAAUACUAGGUUGUCAUCCCCAGCAUGGCACUAGAGUGUACUAUGGUAUUUAUACGCACACAGAUAAUCCGCAAGCGCACGGAUACCGUUGAAGCUUUUACCCGGUUAAAGGUUUUAUCGUAUCCACAGGGAAACGGGAGAACCAACUACGCUCUAACUUAACCAAGAUAGAUAGAUAGGUGUAAAUAGGAAAGAUGAUAGAAUCGAAUAAGAACAAUAUUAAAGGUAAGAUAACAGUGAGUGAUAAUAUGGGAAUAGAGAAUAGAGCAAUUCUAGUAUAUGGGCGAUGGUAGCAGAAUAGAGAGGAUAACUAUGGUUUCUCUACUUCAAAGGGGUAUGUCUAUGUCUGGGACGAACCACGUGAUAAGAGUACACCACAAAGGAUGCUUAUCCAUAGGCCGAUAAACCCUACCCGUCCUGCUAACGAGAGGUGGACUACAGGGGACCAACGUAACUGUCACCUACGCGGCCUACCACAUGAUCUAGCUAGUCGGGGGAUAUCCACAAGUAAUCUAGGUCUAAGCACCACGCUUACACCUAUACUACAACUCUAACCUAUAGGGUCCUAUAGAUUAGAAGUACUCAAAAGAGUUGUGAACCAGAACAUACAUGAUUAGUAAUUGCAUAAUGAAUUAGAAGUAGAUUACCAGAGUCAUCCCAUGAGCAAGCUUGAUUAGAGCUUGAUCAUGGCGAAGUACAACCGGAGGAAGAACAGACAGGCCGGCCUCUCCUCUAAUCCUCCUUCGCUCUCCACCUCGCUACUAUCUAGAUCUACUCUAGUUUAGAGAAGAGAGGAGAGCUCUCAUCUCUAAACCCUAGCUUUUGCUCUGUCUAUGAAUAAUGAAUAAUGAUCAAGGGGUUGUCUCCUCCAGGGGCCAGGGGGUCUGGUUUUAUAGUCCCCUCAAGUGAACCUGGGCCGUCGGAUCAAACCGACAUUGAUUGAACGGUUAUUCUUGAUCCUUUAGGUCGGUGGAGCAUAAUCCGCGAGAUUGAGCGUGAUUGGCCACAGGAGGUGGGCGGGCACCCAGUAGGACAGGGCGGGCACCCUGUCUCUGGCCCCGAUUCGCCUCCGCUUCGGUCUCGUGGCUUCUGGAGUCUUCUAGAUGUAAGAUAAUUGCGCGGCACGUUAAUAUCUUUACGUAAUCCCGACGUGUGGGCCUUUCUUCCUUAUUUCCUGAUAACCCCCUGCAGAAAUAGACAAACACCAAAACUCGUAGAAUUCUGUCAAAUAAAACCCUAAGUCUAGAUGUUGAUUUCAUUUGGAUCCUUUUCUUUGUUUAUUUGAUAAUUAAAUUUGAUACUUAAGGACCGUCAACAAACUCCCCCAAGCUUACCUCUUGCUCGUCCCUGAGCAAGGAUAGACUCAGCUAUAGAUCAUAAGUUGUUGCAAUAUCUUUAAUAAUUGACGGUACACAUGCUUUUACAUGAGGUCUCAUCUCUGAGUUAGAGUAAACUGUCAAGACUUAAAACUUACUUACUUUACCUUUCACCAUGGGACUUGUAACCGUCACUUCUGUCUUGAGUGGUUAAAAGCUAGAACAGUCCAGUCAAGUGCCAUGUCGCUUAUUCUUGAUCAGCUAUAGCUCUGGAGUUUUUGCAGAUUUUCAAAUAAAACUCAGAGAUUCCUUUGUAUGACUCUCUCAUAUCUCUCUUUUGUGGUAUUUCUGGAUCCUUACCAAGGCAGUGAUGGUAUAUGCCUUCUCUCAAAACAUGUGGUAUUUGUGGUAUAAGGCAUAGUGACAUUGCCUUCUCUCUCACCCUACUCUAAUAAGGCUUUAAUAUCUGGAGCUCAUAGGUGGGAGAUAAAGUAUACAUACUUACAAGACAUGUAUUGCAUAGUCAAACCAUGGAUCCAAAGAAACAAAUCAAUAAGCCAAAUCAAGAUGUGCAUGUGUGGCGAAUGAAUAGUGUAUGGUGAUGAUGGUGAUAACAAUGGUGAAAGUCUAAUUCUACUUUUGCUCUUUUGAGGGGAUACAUACCUUCCUUGCUUUUUGAAACUUUAUGAGAAGAAUGAGAUGCUAUUCUUUUUCUUUUCUCUCACAUGGGUAUCCUGUACCCCUAAUUCUACUGUCGGACACUUGUCCAUUUUUACCUCUCGUCUCACUCUUUUUCUUUUCUUUCGAGGUUCCGGGCACUUGCCCCUUUUUAUUUCCUCGUUUAUUUUUUUUUUCUUUUCUUUUUUUCUUCUUCUUUUUUUUCAGAGCACUCAUCUCUUGAGAUAAUAUAGCAAGUGGUAGUAGCAAGAUAACUUGAGCAUUUAUUUCACAAGGGAAAAACACAGAUGUUUUUGGCUAUUCUCUCCCGAAUUAGGAGUACAAUAUUUUUAGGUGAUUCUGGAGAUGGAAAUGGAUGGAUAUAUAUGGAUGGUACUUUCGGAGUAGAAGUAGCAUAUAUAUGAGUGAACGUGCAAGUGAAUCUUGAUUUAACCACAUGACAAGCUCCUAAGGGUCUACACAGCUUGACCACACUCAAUGCUCAUAAGCAGUAAAUAAUAAAUGUGUGGCUCAAAGUCUAGCAAGCAUGUAUAUAUGGCUGUGGUAGGAAUUUAAACUUUCAUCAUACAGGAACUCAUCAUGCAACAUUUUAAAGAUUUUUCAAAGAUAAAAUUCUCCAGAAUUCUAGCAUCUCUAGGAACAGAUAAACAGCAGCUCAACCUUCCCAUAUCUUAUCCGUUAACAACUUAGAUUUUAGAUCAAGUUUUCAUCCCACAAGUUUAGAUCUAGAGCAAGCUUUAAAUUAUAACAUCUAUGUCUAAACUUGAGAGAGAACUUCAAAUUUGCAAAUUAGGCAGAGCAACUAUUCAUCAUAUCCAUGCUAGAGUUUUAUUAUUAAGAUUCAUAGCAAACUUUAUUUAUUUAUUUAUUUAUUUAGCAAACUAAGAAAAGUAUAUAUAUAUAAGCAUAAAAUCUUUAUUUGGUUUUUCAUAGUUUAUGUAUUUUAAUAUUCUAAUAUAAUAUAAGUAUAAAGGUAGGUAUAAAUACUUAGCGAGAUAAAUAGGGGUGCUCUCCCUCAAGCUGAAUUUUGACGUAAUUUCUCUUGAUGUAGCUAGCAGGUGGCAGAGGGGUAUUUGAAAGUCAGCAGCAUUCUGACAGCAAUUAGAAUAUCCUCUAUCUUUCGGCGAGGGUUCAAUGUUUUAAGUCUUCUUAACAAGACUUCUCACCGUGUUCAUUCUUCAGGUGCGUCAUUUGAUUCAGGUGCGGACCUUGACGUCUGCACCUCUUGAUACGGUGUCACCCAUAUUCUUCGUUUGCCCAGCAGUUCGAAGUGCGGUGUUAGCAGUAUCUUGCUCAAUGUGUUUGUGCCCGUAGUGUACCUGCUCAUAGAGACAAGGCAGAGAUCAAGUGAACCAAAAGUGUAUUUGUUCUUCUCUAACCUUAAGCAUAGUGAGCAAGACAAGUUGAUGGAUGAUAAGUUCAUGAGUGUAGCACUUAUAACAUUUGUCAGAUCAGAUCGCUCAACCUUAUGGAAAGAUAAUAUAUCUAUGUAUAGGUCUUUUUAUUUAUAUCUCUCAAUGAUUGAAUGUGUAACAUUUUAGCUCAUAUGAUUAGGAGUGUGGGAUCAUGGAGGUAGUACUAAGAACAAGGAUUAAAGGACUAAACAUGUUGAAUCAGUUGGGUUGGUUAAUCUAGAGUUGUAAAUCAUACACGUUUGUCUCUUUUAUUUAUAUGAACGCCAGAACCAAGGAGAAGCUUAUAAAAGUGAUAGUCAAGUACCUUAGGAUGUUACCUUGCUUGAAAAGUGAUGGUACAGUAUCACCUUGUGGAAGCUUUCCUUUCUUAGCGGUUGUGCAUCGUGUUCGUGGCACCCUCCAUGGAUCUUCACUUUAUGAUGAAUGAGCUAUGUCCUUCUUGUGCUAAUUGUUAAACUUCAUGUGUCACUUUCUUCGUCUCUGAUGUGAGUUUAUCUCAGGACUUCCCAAAUCGAUAUUGAAAGUUUUUCUGCAGGGGUUAGUCCGACAAAAUAUACCAAUAUCUACUCAAGCAGUUUUUAGUUCAAUAACCAAACUAGACUCCAUGUCUAAUCAGAUUAAGGAAGGCUAUUUAACCUAAGCACCAUGCUUUAUUUAAAUGCCAAUGGAAGUAUGGCGAGUACUUCCAAACCAACACUUGCUAGUAAAUAGACAACGGUAGCAUGACAGCGUUUAUAGAGAUCUACUCAAGUGGAGAUGAAGUAGUGUGAUUAGUAUUUAACAAAUUGAGCAUGUCUCAAAGGUAGGGACAACCAGCAUAGCAACAUGGCAAAGGAUGUUUUUAUGUAAAGUACUCCCCCAAGCUUGAAUUUUGCAAAAAUUCAAGUUUGGAUGAAUUUAAUUCAAUGUUGUAUGAUGAUUGGUUGGACAUACCUUGUGCUUGUCAUUCAUCCGAUCUUCUUGCUCCAAUCUUAGAAAGGUUAGUGACAAGAAUACCCGAAGGAAUAUAUUUUUUUUUACAAUUAUCCUUAUAUGCUCAAUACACAAGGUAAUGUUGCAAAUAAUUAAAGGCUCAUGUUACGAUCUGAUCAAUGCUUAUUUUAAGACACUAAGCUUGUCCUUGGGAAACCAUCAGUUUAUGUUGGCGAAGUGGUUUCCCCUCCGACGCCAACCUAUAUCUAGAUCAACUCAACGUGAUCUGCAAUAUUUAUUAUAGACAUAUGCAUCGACAACCGCCCUUUUAAAGUUUUUAUAAAUUGAAAGGAAGAGGGGGUUGGAGAUCUCAAGUGUGGUGAUGUCGGAGAGACCAAUAGAUUGGGAAGAUGUUGCAUAUGAGCAUGGAGUAAACGAAGUGGCUAUGAAAUAAAUUCCAUGCUCAUUAAUGUUAUCUUCGUCUCUAAUCUGAAUGUUCGGAGUUUCUCCUGGAUUGGUCUCACCUAUGUCCUGUUCUGUAGUUGGAUGAAUCUCAUCUUCAAAGGGAGUCAAGAACUCACCAUUUGAAAUUGAGCCAAAGUCAGAACCUAUUAAGGCUUCUUUCUUAUCCAUCCAUUCUACACAUUCUAGCCAUUUAGAACUUGUGAUCAAAAUAGGGGAGGUGUUAGAAUUUUCUAUAUGGCUUAGCUCUCCUUCUAUGGCAUUACUUGACAUGCCAUCCUUAUGGUCUUCAUGACUCCUAUGGUUUGGUCGUCUUGGUGAAUUGCUAGGAUCAUCAUGAGAGUGAAAAGAAGAGGGAUAAGAGGGAUCUCUAAGGUCAAGGAUGGAUUUAGAACUUGUGAACAUGGAAGGGGAGUAGAUAGAAUUGUCUAUAUGGCUUAGCUCUCCUUCACUUGAUAUGUCAUCCUCGACUUCUUCAUGAUAGGAACCAGGACAUUCUCUAAGAGAAACAUUAUUGCAAUGAUUUGAAUUAUCCCUGCUUGAAGGUCUCUUAUAGAACCAGAAGUCUAAACCAUCAGCAUUUAAAAGAUUUAAGGUCGGAAUUCCUUCCUCCCUUGGAGAAUUUUGGGGUAUUGAUGGUUUAGAAUCGAUAGCUAAAGUUUGGGAUUGAAGUGGUUGUGAUCUGGCUAUCAAAACUUCUUCUUCUUGUCUAGGAACUGGUUCUUUCUCUUUCUCAGGGAUAUAAAAGCUAGGAGACUUUCCGCUCAUUAAAUCAAUCAAAUUCCAAGCUUCACUAGCGGAUAUGUGGUGGAAAGAUCCUCCAGAGGCCGCAUGAAGGGUUUGCCUAUUUUUCCUACUAAGGCCCUCAAAAAAGUGAAUUAGAAGAACUUCUUCUGGAAUAGAAAGUUUUGGGCCAGUGAGAGUAAGGUUAAUAAAGCGGUCCCAUGAUUUGCCAAGAGAUUCUUCUUCCAGUUGUCUAAAAGAAAGAAUCUCACGCCGAAAUUCCACCACUUUGGAGAUUGGAAAAUAUUUAGAAAGAAAACUACUAUAUAACUCCUUCCAAUCUCCAUGAACACUCCCUACUUUAAGUUUAUACCAAUGUCUAGCUUUUCCCGUUAAAGAGAACGGAAAGAGCUUCCAUUUAAGGGUCUCAUCGAACAUGCCUUCUAUGCGAAGGAGGUCACAGACUCGAUAAAACUCUCUAAGGUGUGUGUAUGGGUUUUCCUCACCUUCUCCUGAGAAAGGUUGUUUUUGAAUAAAUUCUAUGUAUUCGGGGUCUAUCUCAAAACUAGAUGCUAUGAUAGGCUUUGAAGAUUUUGGUGGUUCGAGAUGUGUGCCCAUAGGUCUAUGAAAUUCAUAGAUAGACUUGUUUGAAUUCAUGAUAGACCAGAGAUCAAGGAUUAGAUAAGAAGAAAGAUUAGCAGAGAUGAGGCAAAGGAUAAAAGGAAAUUAUUUUUUUAUUAUUUUUUUUAAAAAAAUGAUUAUGCUAGUUCGUAGUCAACUCAGCAACCGUUUCCCCGGCAACGGUGCCAAAAAUGCUUGUUGACACUUGCUAACACCACUUGAAUACUAGGUUGUCAUCCCCAGCAUGGCACUAGAGUGUACUAUGGUAUUUAUACGCACACAGAUAAUCCGCAAGCGCACGGAUACUGUUGAAGCUUUUACCCAGUUAAAGGUUUUAUCGUAUCCACAGGGAAACGGGAGAACCAACUACGCUCUAACUUAACCAAGAUAGAUAGAUAGGUGUAAAUAGGAAAGAUGAUAGAAUCGAAUAAGAACAAUAUUAAAGGUAAGAUAACAGUGAGUGAUAAUAUGGGAAUAGAGAAUAGAGCAAUUCUAGUAUAUGGGCGAUGGUAGCAGAAUAGAGAGGAUAACUAUGGUUUCUCUACUUCAAAGGGGUAUGUCUAUGUCUGGGACGAACCACGUGAUAAGAGUACACCACAAAGGAUGCUUAUCCAUAGGCCGAUAAACCCUACCCGUCCUGCUAACGAGAGGUGGACUACAGGGGACCAACGUAACUGUCACCUACGCGGCCUACCACACGAUCCAGCUAGUCACGGGAUAUCCACAAGUAAUCUAGGUCUAAGCACCACGCUUACACCUAUACUACAACUCUAACCUAUAGGGUCCUAUAGAUUAGAAGUACUCCAAAGAGUUGUGAACCAGAACAUACAUGAUUAGUAAUUGCAUAAUGAAUUAGAAGUAGAUUACCAGAGUCAUCCCAUGAGCAAGCUUGAUUAGAGCUUGAUCAUGGCGAAGUACAACCGGAGGAAGAACCGACAGGCCGGCCUCUCCUCUAAUCCUCCUUCGCUCUCCAUCUCGCUACUAUCUAGAUCUACUCUAGUUUAGAGAAGAGAGGAGAGCUCUCAUCUCUAAACCCUAGUUUUUCUCUGUCUAUGAAUAAUGAAUAAUGAUCAAGGGGUUGUCUCCUCCAGGGGCCAGGGGGUCUGGUUUUAUAGUCCCCUCAAGUGAACCUGGGCCGUCGGAUCAAACCGACAUUGAUUGAACGGUUAUUCUUGAUCCUUUAGGUCGGUGGAGCAUAAUCCGCGAGAUUGAACGUGAUUGGCCACAGGAGGUGGGCGGGCGCCCAGUAGGACAGGGUGGGCGCCCUGUCUCUGGCCCCGAUUCGCCUCCGCUUCGGUCUCGUGGCUUCUGGAGUCUUCUAGAUGUAAGAUAAUUGCGCGGCACGUUAAUAUCUUUACGUAAUCCCGACGUGUGGGCCUUUCUUCCUUAUUUCCUGAUAACCCCCUGCAGAAAUAGACAAACACCAAAACUCGUGGAAUUCUGUCAGAUAAAACCCUAAGUCUAGAUGUUGAUUUCAUUUGGAUCCUUUUCUUUGUUUAUUUGAUAAUUAAAUUUGAUACUUAAGGACCGUCAACAAAGGGGAGAAGCUAGACAAUGGUAUAGUCAGAAGGUAAGUCAACAACGAGGUGAAUGGGGAGUCUUACGAGCCAACUUUUGUGUAGAUUUUUAUUCCCUUGACCGUAUCGGCGACCUUAGACUCGAAGUCCUAUCUUUUAAACAAAAAGAUAAUGAAACUUUGGGAAAAUCCUGGAAAUGUUUUUCUGAUCUUUUAGAAUCUGGUCCAAACCUUAAUCCUGAAGACCCUGUUCUUUUAUUUCACUUUAGAAAUACCCUUCAUGAUCAUAAACAAAUGCUACAUACAAUGUCUAGAGGUUCUUUCUUUCGCAUCCCUACUGAUGAUGCUAGAGUGAUCCUAGAUAGAAUCCUAGAAGUUGAGAUAGAUAAUACCCUUCAUGAUGAAACCCACGAAGCCGAAGUAGACACUCUACCAAAUUCUCCAUCUACUUUAGCUAUCCCAAGUUCUGAGCCACAAAAGGAAGAAAUUCCACCACCUGAUUUCAUGCUGGAUAUAGAAUCUGAUCUUUUUGCCAAUUUUGGGAACAUUUCAAACUACCAUUCUAUAGGCAGACCCCAAAACGGCCAUUUUAGCAUUUGUUUGCCAACUGAACAUCAAUUGAGAGAGCUUAUCAUAGUCAUGAGUAGCGAAUGGUUGGAGGAGUCAGAGCUUUCCUCUGAUGUGAUCCGUUUGGACACACCUCCUAUAACUAUACCUUGUGCUUAUGAUUCUGAUCGAUUUGAUGCUCUCUAUAAUCCUGUUGUGGGGAUCAACAUCAUGUCUGAAUCUUUUGCACUUAAAUUAUUUAAAAAUUUGGUCCUAACCCCCACAACAAAAGUCAUAAAGGAAUCUUCGGGACGAUUAGUCCCCAGUCUUGGAAUUAUUAAUGUCCUACCUCUUAUGGUAGAAGGCUCCAUAAUUCAUUUGAACUUCUAUAUCUUUGAUACAUGGGACUUCGACCUGUUGAUAGGACAACCUUUUAGAAGACUCCUUUAUGAAGGUCAUACUGGAAAGCUACACAUUUAUUUUGGAAAAACUUUUAAAUUUCCAAUAACAAUUUUUCACUCCUUAAAUAAUAAGACCGAGUCAUAUCUUUUGCCCGAUCCUAUGGAGGAGGUAAAGGGUGCAUCUCUAGAGCUUUUUGAUGAACCAGACUUAGAAGACAAAGCUCCUUUCUUCACAGAAGAAGAGGCCGAACCUUCUGAACCUGAACCCUUGGACGAGUUUGCAGAAACACCUAGACCUCCCAUAGAGCUUAAAACUUUACCACCCGGUCUUAUCUAUGCUUUCCUAAACAAUAGUCCAGAGUUUCCUAUGAUCAUUAGUGAUAAACUCACUCAGGAUUAAACUCUACGAUUGAUGACCAUUCUUGAGAAACAUCACUCAGUUUUUGGCUACUCACUCCAAGAUCUGAUAGGAAUCAGUCCUAUGAUUUGUACCCAUCGUAUUCCAAUAGAUCCUUCUGUUUCACCUUCUCGAGAGCCCCAACGUAGACUUAACAACGCGAUGAGAGAGGUAGUUAAAAAGGAAGUUAUAAAGUUGCUGCAUACAGGUAUUAUAUAUCCUGUGCCGCACAGUGAGUGGGUGAGCCUAGUUCAAGUUGUGCCUAAAAAGGGAGGCAUGACUGUUGUUACGAAUGAAAAGAACGAGCUAAUUCUGCAAUGCACCGUCACAGGGUGGCAGAUGUUAUAGAAAACUGAAAAAAACCACAAAAAAGGAUCAUUUUCCUUUAACUUUCAUAGAUGAGAUGCUAGAGCGAUUAGCGAACCAUUUCAUUCUUCUGUUUCUUAGAUGGAUAUUCAGGGUAUCACUAGAUCACGAUCCAUCCCGAUGAUCAAAGCAAAACCACUUUUACAUGCCCAUAUGGAACUUAUGCUUACCGUAGAAUGUCUUUUGGGUUAUGUAAUUCACCAGCUUCUUUUCAAAGAUGCAUGAUGUCUAUAUUUUCUGAUAUGAUUCAAGAGAUUAUGGAAGUUUUCAUGGAUGAUUUCUCUGUAUAUGGAAAAACUUUUGAUAGUUGUCUUGAAAACUUAGACAAGGUUUUGCCAAGAUGUGAAGAAAAGCACUUAGUCCUUAAUUGGGAAAAAUGUCAUUUUAUGGUUAGGGAAGGAAUAGUGCUAGGACACCUAGUGUCUGAAAGAGGUAUUGAGGUAGACAAAGCUAAAAUUGAAGUAAUUGAAUGACUACCUCCACCUGUGAAUAUAAAAGGAAUUCGAAGCUUUCUUGGCCAUGCUGGUUUUUAUCGCAGAUUCAUAAAAGAUUUUUCAUUUAUUGCUAGACCACUUACUCUUUUGCUAGCCAAGGAUGCUCCUUUCGAAUUUGAUGAUGCAUGCCUAACAUCUUUCAAUUUAUUAAAGAAUGCACUCAUCUCUGCACCAAUCAUUCAACCCCCUGAUUGGUCGUUGCCUUUUGAAAUUAUGUGUGAUGCUAGUGAUUAUGCUGUGGGGGCAGUUUUGGGACAAACUAAAAAUAAGAAGCAUCAUGCAAUUGCUUAUGCUAGUAAAACUUUGACAUGAGGUCAACUUAAUUAUGCAACCACUGAAAAAGAGCUUCUAACCAUUGUCUUUGCCAUUGAUAAAUUUAGAUCUUAUUUAGUUGGAGCUAAAAUAAUUGUUUACACUGAUCAUGCUGCACUAAAAUAUCUGCUCACUAAAAAAUACGCUAAACCUCGCCUGAUUAGAUGGAUCUUAUUACUUCAAUAAUUUGACCUAGAAAUAAAAGACAAAAAGGGAGUAGAAAAUUCUGUUGCUGAUCACUUGUCUAGAAUGUACUUUAAGAAUCCACAGAAAACCCCCAUCAAUGAUUCACUCCGGGACGACAUGCUCUAUGGGAUUAACAGGUCUGAGCCCUGGUUGCAGAUAUUGUUAAUUUUCUGGUUUCAUGGUAUGUACCACCAGGAGCAAACAAGAAGAAGCUUAUUCAAGAAAGUCGUUCACAUAUACGGGAUGAGCCAUACCUCUUCCGAGUAUGCUCUGAUGGCUUACUCAGGAGAUGUUUGACCACCGAAGAAGGAUGGAAGAUCAUCGACAGGCGUCAUUCAUCACCAUAUGGAGGUCAUUAUGGAGCAUUCCGUACACAUUCAAAGAUCUGGCAGUGUGGAUUCUACUGGCCUACAAUGUAUGAAGACACGAAGCAAUAUAUUAGAAGAUGUGGGCCAUGUCAAAGGCACGGAAACAUAAACACGAGGGAUGCCAUGCCACUCACCAACAUCCUUCAGAUUGAGCUCAUUGAUGUCUGGGGAAUAGAUUACAUGGGUCUAUUUCCCCCAUCAAAGAAGUGUCAGUUCAUCUUGGUGGCAGUUGACUACGUUUCCAAGUGGGUAGAGGCACUACCUUGCAAACAUGCUGACAACAUCAGUUCAAAGAGGAUGUUUGAGGAAGUUAUAUUUCCAAGAUUUAGAGUUCCUAGAGUAGUGAUAAGUGAUGGAGGAGCACACUUCAUCGACAAACGCUCCAAGCAAUAUCUAUCAAAACAUGGAAUCCGUCACAACGUCGCUACCCCCUACCAUCCUCAGACAAGUGGCCAUGUAGAGACUUCCAACAAGCAAAUCAAGAAUAUUAUUUAGAAAACAGUUAAUGAGAUGGGAACGACAUGGAAGGACAAGUUACUCGAUGCACUCUGGGCAUACCGGACAGCAUACAAGACCCCAAUUGGAAUGUCCCCAUACCAAUUGGUGUACGGGAAGACUUGCCACCUACCUGUUGAACUAGAAUUCAAAGCACACUGGGCCUUAAGGAGAGAAUAUGGACCUAGAUGUUGCUGGAGAUCAAAGAAGAAUGCAACUAUCAGAAUUGGAAGAAUGGCGGGAGAAAGCAUAGCACAAUUCAAAGAUCUAUAAAGAAAGAGUCAAAAGGUGGCAUGACAAGAGGAUCAAGAAGAUGGAGUUCACACCCAGAGAUAAGGUAUUACUUUUUAAUUCCAGGGUGAAGCUUUUUGGGCAUGGAAAACUCCGGAGUAAAUGGGAAGGACCAUUCAAGGUAAUCAAUUCAUCAUCCCACGGAGCUAUCACACUUCAAAAUGACGAAGGUACGUUAUUCAAUGUAAAUGGUCAACGUCUUAAAUUAUUUUUAGAGCCCUAUAAAGAAUUAGAAGAGAUAGACGUGAUCCAUUUCUACCUUCCCAUGGAGAAUUAGAGCCCGACCUUUUUAAUCUGACAUUUUUGGGUCACAUAUAUUUUUCGAAUAAAGUCUGCAUCUAGAAGCACGCUCGAGGAAGCGGGCCCACAGAGGGGCCAGGCACAGGGCGGGCGCCCAGCCCCUGCCCCCUCUCAGUCCCGAUUUCCUCCGCUACGAUAAACACAUUUAUGGUAAACCAAAUAAUCAUACAAAUGGAAAGUUUCACACGCACGACGGCGGGAGUAGCCCGAACAAACCCUAGAGGCACUUUUUGACCCCUAUAUAAACAGACCCCUGACGUCAGUUUUCAAACACCAAUUUAUUCAUGCCUUCUCUCUUUAUUCUAUUAGAGCUUGCUUAGUCCCUCACUGCUUCAAUGGCCGAAGAGUUCCAUGACAAUUGGGAAGUCGUCCCCUUCGACCUCAACAAGAAGCCCAUGGAAGACCUCGAUGCCUACGCUCUCGUCCCGGCCAACACAGAGCGAUAGCUUGAAGCCAUGCCAUUACGCCAGCGUAGCUCUGCCCAAUUCCACCAUGCUCAACCAGUUCUCACCGCACCACCGCAGCCCCUACUUCUCAAGGGACCGUCAGCCAAGAAGGAGGCCACCAUCAAGGUACCCGCCGGCACAAGGAUCCUGCCACCCAGACCCAAUGAGAGGGUCGUUGGAGUCAAGACCAACCGGAGCGGCGAGAUCAGCAGCAUCCGCUACACUACGGAGGAGGAGAGGCCUUACUUCAAGGGGAUUAGAGCAGCCAAAGUACGUUUCAUCCCUCCAAAGACAGCCCUAAAGCACGCUCUCAAUGCUCUUGAGACACCUCCUAAGCACCGCAAGACUAUAGCACAUAUCGAUGAGGACGCUCGUAGGCUAGACAGGGUCAUCAAAGAGCUCCAGUCCUCAGUUAACUCUAUCACUAGGUAGCUCUCUAACUAGAACACAAUUAUACUAGGUCUUGGGCAUGAUCUUAUUAGUGCCAAUAAGAAGAUCAGGGAGUUAGAGCGCCGCUAAGUUAUCUAAAUUAGAUCUUGAGGCAAUGAAUCUUAGUUAUUUAUCUUUAAAAUUCGGUUUAGAUCUAUUAUUAGUUUCAGUCCAUUACUAGUCAUUUGUAAUAAAUGCCUCAAGAUUAAUAAAAUUAUUAUUAUUAUGUCUUGUGUGUUUCUAUUUUAUUUUUACAAGAAAGCAGAAAACAAGUAUGGGGGAGAUCCCUCGACAUGCCAAACACACUUCGACUACACCACUCCACGAUUUAGGUACAUACUCUGCACACUUUAAACAUACACAUAUAUCUUGGUUCAUGCAGAAUAUUUUCUCUGACAUGAUAAAUGAACAAGGUCAAAAUGUUUCUAAUCAUGAUUAAUCUCACUCUAUGAUAUCUCCUGAAAACCUACAAUUAUUGAAAAAUCAUUUUUAAACCCUGUGUUACUUAAGUCAUUAUGGAAUGUAAGAUGGUAGAGUAUGAGUACCUUAUUCUUGAUAUCGUUGUUACGUGGAGAAUUUAUUUUAAAAUCUUCAAAAAAUUCUAGCUACCAUCCUCAAGUGUUUUAUAUGCCUGAUAAAACUAAAAAUAUUAAUUAUGAUAGUUACAAAAGCUAUCUGCUCUGUAUUGAGGUUGCUCAAAACAAUAUUAGACCCUUGUUGAGAGAUUUAUCAUGCUCCUAAGAUCAAGUCAUUUAUUCAGAAAGAUUCACUCUUCUGAAGUAUUAUUGCAUUAGAGGCAUGGGCUAUGCAAAAAUAUGAAUAUUUCAAGUAAAUAAAAAGGAGCAAGUGCUCGACAACCUCGUAGAAAAAAUGGACAAGUGUCCUGCGGUGGAAUUAGGGGUACCUAGUUAUCCACCUAAAAAAAGAGAAAAGAAGAAAAUGAUAGCCCAUGGUCCCUCUAAUAAGCAAUAUGCCAGUAAGAGUUGACAAGUUUUUAAUUUCCAAAGUCUUUGAUCUAAGAGUAUGGCAUUCAUCUCCUCCCCGUUUUGAUCAGACAAUAAAUACAAUGUAAGAAUGCUUGAGAAUUUCUGCAAAUUAAAACAGCCUCAGUGAAAUAUACAAAAGAUAAUGAGUGAUCUGAGAGCACCUAUGAGGAUAAAGGUAUGCUAAAUUUCUUUUCAAAAACAUACAAAAAAUCCAUGUAACAGGAUUGAGAAGAAAGGAUCUCUACUCUUGACCAUAUAUUUCCCUGAUUGGUAUGACAUUCCUCUCCUCGGAUCCCGUUUUGAUCACGCAAUAAAUGUGUUGACACCGUUUUUGGUCACAUACCCAGGGACCAGUAAAGUAUAGUUCGGCAGGUGGGGCAACGGUAACUAGUCUGCAGAAGAGUUGUCGAUGAGGAUAGUUGCCGAUGAAGAGACGAUUGAAUCCAGAGGUGAUGACGUGUUCUUACCGAUGAUCAAUAUCAGUGUUUGCCGAUGGCCAUAACAGGAAGUCUACCGAUGAUUCUAAAGGAAAGCGUGGAGAUUGCCAAUUGAUCUGUGGCGGUGUCCCGGUCGGUUACAAGGGGGUAGUUUUGUGAUUUCCUUAGUUAUUUAAAUUUGUUUUGUAUACGGAUUCUGUUUAAUUUGGAAUUCGAUCAUAGUCGUGUCUGAUUGUAGCACUUUGAGCGGGGUAUAAAUGUAGACCCUAGGGCCUUGUAAUAUCAAUCUAUCUAUCAAUCAAACACAAGUUUUUACUCAUAUCCCAGUACCUACUUUUUCGACGACUUUGUCAUAUUUUUCUUUUUUAUUAUGAGUUCUUGGGAAUUCAUCGACUUAAGCUCGGCGUAUUCUCGAGUUCCGCGUGAAUACCUCUUGGCCGUGACAUCCGGGCGCAUCGCUCUUGUCGGGACCAAAGUAUUCGAGUUAUCACCUUUGCCGGUAGUAAGGUCAAAUCGGCUGGCACGCCUUAAUGUUUGAAUCGGGUAUUAGCCCUUUGUGUUUGCAGAUCAGCUUUUGCAUCAACACAUCUUGUGGCACGCCCAGUGGGACCAAAUUCAAGAUCAAGAUCAACAUGUCAAACACCAAUUUUGACUUGGAGAACAUCAUCCCCGUGACGGAAGCCAAUCUCAGAGAUGAGCAGAAGCAAGCUAUUGCAAAAGCCAUGGACGAUUACAAGCAGCAAUGUUUGAAGUCCUUCAGUAUCAACAGGAGUGGCGAAGUAAUCUAGAAAGAAGCACUGCCAGCACCUCGGCAGGUUACUUUUGAAGCCAAUCCUAGUAAACUUCAAGACAUGGUUGAUAAUGCUAUUAACCAUGCCUUGAUCAAUCAAGCUGGUGUGCUGUCCAAUACGGUUUUCAAUGCCGUGGCUAGAACUUUCAAAGAAGGACAAUUGCCACCAAAUUAUGUGGGCCCUGUCUAUCAUCAGCUGGGAUCACCAGUGGUCACAGCUCCAUCGGCUACAACAGCCGCUACGGGUGUAGAGGUUAUUUCUCCUCCAAGCACACUAGGACUCACUAUUGCAAUCUACGUCGAUGACGACCAAUCCAUCAUCCUCAGAUGAGGAAAUCAUGCUUGCUACAGAUCUACUCGCAUCGGCAAUGUCAGGAUCUGUUCCUCCUAAUUGGUGGGGUUAUGUUAUGCCCCCGGAGAUGAUGUUGAAGACGCCCGGCACGUCUCAAACGGCUGACAUGAGAGGCAAGGCUCCUAUGGCAUCGGCACCUCCAAAUCUGCCGAUGAAUCAGAGUUCCAGUAUACUACAACUAGUACCGCAAGACCUUACACCGGGAAUUCUCAAGCUCCAACGUUCCAUAUGCCUAACGCAUCGGCAGACUCAAUGCCAACACAGCAGAGGUUUAUGACACAGCCAGGGUAUGUCAAUUCAAUGAUGAUGCCCAAUUUCCAGUCAUCGGCAGGGUUUAUGCCGAUGAAUGCCAACAAUGAAUGGACAGGGCAGCCGGUCUUUCCACAGAUGCCUCAACAGAAUCAUCAGGCUCCAAGGUUUCAACAAAGCCAAGUCCAGCCUGGAUUUCGGAAUCAAGGGUUGGCCAACCAACCGAUGAAUCUUGGUCAGCAGUUUGGUGGUCAGACGAUCAACCCCAUGUUCCAUGCAGAUCAUGCGCCUCAGCGACACGUGGAAAUGUAUCAGCAGGCGCCAGAUCCACAACCACCCCAUCAGCAAGAUGCCGAUGCUUAUUGGGCCGAUAAGAUUGCUGAAGUAAUGAGGGAAUAAUUUGGGAUAAAGCCCAAAGUCAACACUUACUCUUAUCGGACACCUUAUCCUCCUGCUUAUGAUUUAAUUCCACUUCCAAAUCGAUACAAGGUACCGGAUUUCACUAAGUUUUCUAGACAGGAUGAUACAUCGACUGUGGAGCAUGUCAACAGGUUCAUCAUCCAAUGUAGGGAAGCUACUAACAGGGAUGAAUUAAGGGUUCGGUUGUUCUCGUCAUCAUUGUCUGGAUCGGCGUUCACUUGGUUUAUAUCGUUGCCUCCUAAUUCAGUGAUUACUUGGGCCGAUCUGGAGAAGCAAUUCUACAGAUACUUCUUUUCUGGAGUCCAUGAGAAGAAGAUCACCGAUUUGGUCAGAUUGAAACAGCGCAAUGAUGAAUCGGUUGAAGGCUUUGUACAGAGGUUGCGGGAAGUCAAGAAUAAAUGCUAUAGCCUGGUUCUGGACGAUCGGCAGCUAGCCGAUUUGGCUUUCCAGGGUUUGUUGCCACAUAUCAGAGACAAGUAUGCUUCUCAAGAGUUCGAGAUUACAGAGGAUUUCCGAUCAGGAUGUCAAACCCUUUGAACCCAAGAGAGCAUGGAACAAAAAGGUGUCAUUUGUUGAUGAGGCAGCAAGCUCAGAUUCUAAUGAAGAGCCGAUCAUCGGCUUAGCUGAGUGGGUGAAGAACAAAAAGCCGAUGUCUUGCCCUUUUGGGCAUAAGGAGCGAGAGAAGUUUGCAUUUGACAUUACUAAAGCCGAUAUGAUGUUUGACUUUCUACUUCAGGAAGGGCAAAUCAAAUUGUCGCCUAAUCAUGUUAUUCCAUCGGCCGAAGAAUUAAAGAAGAUGAAAUACUGCAAGUGGCACAAUGCAACUUCUCAUAGCACCAAUGAGUGCAAGGUUUUUAGGCAACAGCUGCAAUCGGCUAUUGAAUCUAGGAGAAUCAAAUUUGAUAGUUCCAAAGCUCAGAAGCCGAUGAAGAUCGAUCAACAUCCUUUCCCAACAAAUAUGUGGGAUGCUAAGGAAAAGACCAAGGUCUUGAUGUCAGAAGCAACUGAAAGGAAUGCAUCGGUAGAUCCUUAGUGUUGAUGCAAAACUGAUCUGCAAACACAAAGGGCUAAUACCCGAUUCAAACGUUAAGGCGUGCCAGCCGAUUUGAUCUUGCUAUCGGCAAAGGUGAUAACUCGAAUACUUUAGUCCUGACAACAGCGAUGCGCCCGGAUGUCACGGCUAAGAGGUACUCACGCGGAACUUGAGAACACGCCGAGCUUAAGUCGACGAAUUCCUAAGAACUCGUAACAAAAGGAAAAAGUAUGACGAAGUCGUCGAAAAGUAAAUGCUGGAAUAUGAGUAAAAACGUGUGUUUGAUUCAUUGAUUGAUUUUUUAUUACAAGGCCCUAGGGUCUAUAUUUAUACCCUGCUCAAAGAGCUACAACCAGACACGAUUAGAAUUCGAAUUCCAAAUUACACGGAAUCCGUAUACAAAACGAUGCAAAUAAUUAAGGAAAUAACAAAACUAUCCCUCGUGACAAACCGAAACUCCUCCACAUAACGACCGGCAGCUUCCGGACUCCCUCUUUGCAUCAUCGGCAGACCCUUUGCCAUAGUCAUCGGCAGACUUUCUUAUCUAGCUAUCGGCACCAUAUUACUGCCUGUGGACUUAGUCACGUUCAACUUCUCCCUCAUCCGCAACCAUCCUCAUCGGCAACCCACUUUGUAAACAUCGUACUGCCACCUUAUCCUGCCAUCCUAGACACGUGCCCAAAAACGGUGUCAACACAUGCCCCCCAGUUUCGGAGUAUAAAACUAUUAAUGCUCCGAAAUUCUCUGCAGUAAUGAUGCCUUUUCCCGCAAUUAAUGCUCCUAAUCUGGUAACCGACAACCUCAAUCUGAACAACUCUGAUCCUAUUCCUCCGCAGAUUUCUCGAAAUCCCCAACUUCCUAAACGGGCAUUUUUCUCAGCCGUACAUCGGCAACAAUACCGUUACAAAGAUCUGCCGAUGUUCUGACCAGAAUAUUCGCACAAACGGUUACUUCCCCUCUAUCCGCCCAUCGGCAAUAUGACCGUUAUAGAAUAUUGCCGAUGGACCGACCAGGAGAUCUCGCAUAGUAAAAUAUCUUCAGAUAAUGACCGCUUCCCGUCAAAUCACCUGCACAAUCCCUGGAUUACCGUGCGAACAGUUACCAUAUCCACCUGAGUACCCUCGGAUUUCUCGGAUGCGGCAGAGAGAUAAGUCGGAUUUGCCCUUGCCCAUUUUGUCCUAUAAAUAGUUCCUUCUUGGGUACUCCUUCCCCAUCACACCAUUCUACUACCCAACUUUACUUUUCCAGCGGCGGCGCCACCAAAAACUCCCAAGGUCUCCGACAAGUACCCCUCUUCACCAACUCCGGCGCCUUCAAACGCUUCCUUCACAGCAAGAUGGCCGUCGGGUUCGUCGUCCCUGAGGUCAAAUCUCCACCCCGUCUUCUGUAUUUUUUCUUCAUAUCCCUGUUCACUCGCAAUUCAUUUUACUGAACAUCUUCCUUUUCUUUCCUCUUUGUAUUUCCUUUUAUGCCCAAAAUCACUAGGAAUUGUCCAACAAAAUUGUCAUCCCCACCGAUCAACCACACCUUCAAUGCCUCGGCCCUCUAGGGGACCCAGAUCCAACUGACCUUAUCAACGCAGAAACCAACAGGAUCCCCUUCAGAGCCGAAAAUUUUUCCUUAGAUCUGUGGAAGGAUACCUUCCGCUCUUGGCCCAGCCCAACUGUAGGGUGGAAAGACUGGUUCUUGAGGGUUAGCAACUCUAAUGAAGUUCAGUGGGGUGAAAGGAAUCUAGCCCAAUGCAUUAGAUUGUCCAUUGCCGAUAUGCAUAGGAACGAGUCACUGCUGAUAGCUGCAUCCUACUUUUGGUCAGACACCCUCAAUGCUUUUGCCUUUGGCCACGGCCCUGCUUCUCCUACUCUUGCCGAUGUAGCCAUGCUUACUGGUCUAGAUAUAUCUUCUGCCGAUAGCACCCACUUUUUUGAUACUGCCCCUGGUGCCAAAGUGGAGACUCGCGCUAUCGGCGGUUGGUCGGGGUACAUUCAGAAGUACCGUGGGAAAGGAUCUGUCACCAUAAAGGAACAAACCACCUUUCUGAACAUGUGGCUGGACAAGUUUGUAUUCUGUGGUCGAUCGGCAGGACCUACUUCCGUCUACCUAUCGGCAGCAGAAAAACUGGCUAACGGUGGCCGAUUCCCUCUCGGCCGAUACUUGCUUGGCGCUGCUUACCACCUUCUCCAUCAAGUAGCUCAGAAACUUCUGCUCGGCCAAUCCACUGGCAACUUGGGAGGCCCCUGGUGGUUUGUCAACAUGUGGCUCAAUCUGCAUCUGCACAAGCGUCUCAACUUCAACCUGUUCACACAACAUUUCCCAAGAGAUAUAGCUGAAAACCAUGUAUUGGGUGAAGAGGAAUCGGCAACACGCGCCCCCUUGAACUUUGGCGAAGCUGUCAUAGUUCUGCCUGGUUCAGGGGGUAAUCCAGAUCAGAUCGGCCGAUUCUUCCAGACUCUGUAUGAGGGUUUGACCAGAGACGAACGACCAUGGUUGGCUUAUGAUGACCCAGAUAGCAUGCUCCCUCUGACCUUCAAUCCAUUUGAUGAAGCUCUCGAUAGGGACAAUGAGGCGAUGAUGGCAAUUGUGACUCCCAGAAUCAUUCCAGUGAAUUUCUUUGGUAGCACAAAAACCUCCCCUCAAACUUACGAAUUUUACAAUCCAUCGGCAUUAGCUCGCCAGUUAGCUUUCGGCCAGUUGCCGAUUGCACUUCCUUAUGCCGAUGUGAUAAAAGCCAGAGAAACUAUCAACAACCUUCUUGAGUGGACUCGAGCAACCCAACUACCACCAAACGCCGAUAUAGAUGUAGAUCUGUCAGAAUGGGUUCCGGCUGCUUUUAUCACUCAGGCAUACAAGUUAUGGUGGGCAGAAUGGAAAGAGCAUCUAUUCUGCAGAUCGGCACUUUCAUACCGCGGCAUGAUUGACUCCGAAUACGAAGUUCCUGAUGACACUGUAAGUAACUCAAACCGACGUUUCAUUUUCUCAAUAUUACCUCCAUCGGCAGCUUACCCUUGUAUUCCUUUUGCAGGUUGACAAUAUUCCUCCAUUGGUUAGCAGGAGUGGCAGGCCGAUCGACUUGUUUCCAUCAGGCCCGAUUUCCUCAAUCGGCCACAAUGCUCCCACUCUAGCUUCCAUCGUGCAUCGGGGUGUACGCCUCAGGAAAGUCACCACCAGAAGAACCCAGACAUCACCAACGGUAGCUGCUCCCACUCUUGCGCGGGCUUUCAAGGCAAUUUGUCAAAUCUUUUCCUUUAUGCUGGCUAUCUUUAUAUCGGCUAUAUUUAUGCUCAUAAACUCUUGUUCAUUAUUGCAGCAAACCGGUGCAUCGGCGAAAGCCAGGCGUGAGAGUACCGAUGCCCCCCAGUCUAGCCAACCCAAGAGAAAGGGCACCACUGGUGCUAAGACUGGAACAAAGCAUCAAAAGGUAGCAAUUCCCCCUCCUCCUCCGGUAUCUCCAAUUCCGGUGGAGUCUUCUCCUUCUUCUCCAGAAGCCCAGCCACAGCAAGCACCAUCUCCCCCACCUAUGCAGGAAGCACCACAGAUAGAAGAACCCCAACAGGAAGGAUCUCAAACAGAAGAUACAUCUGCUGACAUGGGUGAACAAACAACUGGCCCGGUGGGUCCAGUUAUACCAUCGGCAGUUCUCCCGGUUCAGGCAACCGUUGUCCCUCCUCCAGGUAACAUACUUUAACAAUAUCGCUACCGAUGAACUUAUUCUUAUUUAGUCUCAUAACUCCUUUUGUCUUCUUUCAGUUGAUAUCGUUCCAUCGGCAAUCUCAGCCGAUCAACCUGUAGCUCCAUCGGCAUCUUUGGCCGAUCAGCCUGCAGCUCCGUCAGCACUUCUCAGUCAAAGACAAGAGAUCGCCUUGAAGCAAGUAAGUCACCGUUUACCGUUAGGACUAUUUGCCGAUUCUCUGAGUAUGAGCUAAUUUUGCUUUCCCUCCCAGGAACAAGAUUCUCCCGAUAGCCUGUUCUCCUUUGCCAUCGAUCUCUCUGAAGAAGAAGGUGAAGAAGCAAGCUCUUCUCAGACGGUCGGCAUCACAUCGGCAGAGAUCAGGGUCAGGCUGGAAGAAUUGUCAGCUCUCCUUCACCAGGACACAGCGCAAUUGGUUGAUGAUUCCGACCCUACCAAGACCCUGUUCAGAACUCUCAGAGGCCAAAUCCCAGCCGAUGUUGAAGAAAUCCUGUUCCAAGCCGCUCAUCUGGAGAGUCGCCAGCUGCAGUACCAGAGAGCUUCUCGGCGUCUUGCCGAUAGAGCCGCUCAGACUCAACUCUCCGAUGAAAUGAGGAAAGAGAAGCUUUUGACCGAUGAGAAGCACAAGAACAUUGGUAUCCUGAGAUCAUCUGGAGACGCGCUGAAGCAGAAAAUAUCCGAUCUAUCGGCAAGAAAAGAAUCCCUGUUGGCAGAACUCAAGGAAGUAGAGAACGCUCUGUCCCAAGCCCAACAAGAAGAGAGCCAAUUGCCAGAGACCAUCAGGCUUCUUGAGCACGAGCGAAAUGCUCAUGGUCGCAAGGCACUUCAACUGAAGAAGAAGCUGAAGCCGAUAGAAGGUUCUGCCGAUGAUGAUAUCAAGGAGAUAGAAGCAGCCAACCAAAUUCGGCUACGCGCUAUAUCGGCAAUCCAGACGCUGCUUAACACAUAGAGUUUCCAUCGGCAUUAUAUCUGCGCUUUCCUGCUUCCUCAGCUUUUAGUCUAGCCGAUAGGACUGUUAUCGGCACCUAAACUUUUGAAACACCAAGUCUUGUCCCCAAGCAUUUGGAUCCAGCCGAUAGGAGUGUUAUCGGCACCUAAACUUCUAUGCAUCGACCCAUAUACUGGGGUAGUACUUCUUUCAAUAUUUGCUGUUUAAUGCUCUGGGAAAUUCAAUUCCUUCGAGGGUUUCUAGAAUGUAGGCAUUACCAGGAGCCGAUCGACUUAUCCGAUAAGGACCCUCCCAAUUAGGAGACCACUUUCCAAACUUCGAACUUUUGAUCCCAAUUGGUAAAAUUAAUUUCCAUACCAAAUCCCCAUCGGCAAACUCUUUAGCCUUCACUUUCUUAUCAUACCAUCUAGCAACUCUCUUCUUAUUUUCUUCUAUACUCAUUAAAGCUUUUAACCGAUGCCCUGCUAGAUCGUCUAACUCAUCGGUCAUCAAAGUGGCAUAACCAUCGGAAGUUAAUUGAUCUUGAAAACAUAAUCGCCUAGAUCCAGCCUUAAUUUCCCAAGGCAACACUGCAUCAUGUCCAUACACCAAUUGAUAGGGUGAUACUUUGGUCGAUCCAUGACAAGCCAUCCGAUAAGACCACAAUGCUUCAUUUAAUAAUGUAUGCCACCGCUUAGGAUUUUCUUCAAUCUUUCGUUUAAUAAGCUUGAUAAUUCCUUUGUUAGACGCUUCGGCCUGCCCAUUGGCUUGAGCAUAAUAAGGAGAAGAAUUCAACACUUUAAUUCUCAUACCGAUUGCGAAUUCAUCGAACUCCCCCGAUGUGAACAUGGUGCCCUGAUCGGUAGUAAUCGUUUGGGGAAUCCCAAAUCGGUAAAUAAUAUGCUCCUUCACAAAAUCAAUCAUAUUGGCCGAUGUGACUUUCUUCAAAGGAAUAGCUUCAACCCACUUAGUGAAAUAGUCAGUGGCAACUAGAAUGAACUUAUGUCCUUUGCUAGAUGGUGGAUAAAUCUGGCCGAUCAGAUCGAUGGCCCAUCCCCGGAAUGGCCAAGGCUUUAUUAUAGGAUUCAUAGCCGAUGCGGGUGCUCUCUGGAUAUUACCAAACUUUUGACAACCUUGACAUCCCUUGAAAUAUUUAAAACAAUCUUCAAGUAUGGUUGGCCAAAAAUAUCCAUUCCUUCGAAUCAUCCACUUCAUCUUAAAGGCUGACUGAUGCGCUCCACACACUCCUUCAUGGAUUUCCCCCAUCAAACUUCUAGCUUCAUCAUCACCCAAGCAUCGGAGAAGAAUUCCGUCGAUAGUUCGAUAAUACAAUUCAUUUUCAAGGAGCACAUACUUGGUUGCUUGAAAUCGAACCCGUCUUUCAACUUUUUUGGAUGGAUCUUUUAGAUAAUCAAUAAUUUCUUUCCUCCAAUCACCGGCACCGACUGCCGAUGUCGCAUUAAUCAUUGGCUGAUAUCCCGAGGCAUGCUGAGCUAACCGAUUAGCGUCUUCAUUAUGCAAUCGGGGAACAUGCUCUAAUCGGAAAUCCUUGAAUUCCUUUAACAGUUGCAUACUUCUCUCGAAAUAAGUUAUGAGAACUUCACUUCGGCAUUCAUAGCUUCCGGCCAAUUGAUUUAUAACCAACAUAGAAUCCCCGAAUAUUUCAACAGCAUCAGCACGAACUUCUCUUAACAACUCCAAACCUUUGAUCAGAGCCUGAUACUCAGCCUGAUUAUUUGUUGAGGUGGCAACAAUCGGCAAGGAAAACUCAUACUUCCUCCCCUUAGGGGAAACUAAUACAAUGCCGAUUCCUGCCCCCCGGUCACAGGUAGAUCCAUCAAAGAAGAGCGUCCAGGGUACAAUUUCCAAGGUUUCCACUAGACCGCAAUGCUGAGUCACAAAAUCGGCCAUAAUCUGCCCUUUGACUGCCUUAGCCGAUUCGUAACGCAAAUCGAACUCCGACAGCGCUAAAAUCCAUUUACCGAUCCUACCACUCAUAAUCGGCAUAGAUAGCAUGUAUCGGACCACGUCAUCUUUGCAAACAACAGUGCAUUCGGCCGAUAACAGGUAAUGUCUCAGCUUGAUACAUGAAAAAUAUAAGCAUAAGCAUAGUUUCUCAAUGGCCGAAUACCUGGUUUCAGCAUCAAUCAACCUCCUACUCAAAUAAUAAAUUACCCUUUCUUUCCCUUCAAAUUCUUGAACUAAAGCUGAACCGAUAACCGAUCCAUCGGUAGAUAAAUACAAUCUGAAGGGCUUCCCUUGUUGAGGUGGAACUAGAACUGGAGGAUUUACUAGAUACUUCUUGAUUUCAUCCAGAGCCAACUGCUGUUCUUCUCCCCAAAUAAACUCUUGAUCGGCUUUCAAUUUAAGAAGAGGACUGAAAGCACGAAUCCUACCAGACAAAUUCGAUAUAAAUCUCCUGAUAAAAUUUACCUUGCCGAUCAAGGAUUGGAGCUCGGUUUUGUUGGUAGGGGCCACUAUCUUAUUGAUGGCAUCAAUAGAUCUUCGACUAAUUUCAAUACCCCUCUGAUGUACCACGAAACCAAGAAACUGCCCUGGCGAUACACCAAAUGCACACUUGUUGGGAUUCAUCUUCAAUCCAUGCUUCCUUGUGCACUCUAACACUUUUUGUAAAUCGGCAAGAUGCUUUGAGAAAUCUCCAGACUUAACCACCACAUCAUCAAUAUAAAUCUCCACGAGCUUGCCGAUGAACUCAUGAAAUAUAAAAUUCAUAGCCCUUUGAUAAGUAGCACCAGCAUUCUUCAAUCCAAAAGUCAUGACUAUCCAUUCAAAUAACCCAACAUGACCAGGACACCUGAAUGCGGUUUUUGGAAUAUCCUCCUCCGCCAUGAAUAUUUGAUUGUAACCUGCAUUACCAUCCAUGAAGCUGAUGACCUGAUGACCAGCCGCAGCAUCAACCAGUAGAUCGGCGACAGGCAUUGGGUAUCCAUCCAUCGGCGUAGCUUUAUUGAGAUUCCUGAAAUCAAUGCACACCCGAAGCUUCCCGUUCUUCUUGUAAACCGAAACAACAUUGGAAAUCCACUCGGCAUACCGACACUGCCGAAUAAACUUAGCUUCAAUAAGUUUGGUGAUUUCGGCCUUAAUAUCAGGUAGAAUGUUAGGAUUACAUCGGCGGGCUGGUUGCUGAUGUGGCCGAAAUCCAGACUUGAUGGGUAACCGAUGUUCAACAAUUGAUCGGUCUAAACCAGGCAUCUCGGUAUAAUCCCAAGCAAAGCAAUCUUUAUAUUCCUUUAACAAACUAGUCAAUUGUUGCUUACUCUCAGGAUCUAAUUUAGCACUAAUAAAAGUAGGCCUAGGCUUAUCACCACUACCUAUAUCUACUUCUACCAAAUCAUCGGCCGAUGUGAAUCCCUGGCCUAAUUUUCCAUCAUCGGCGAAUCUAUCCAUUAAAAACCGUCGUCAGAACCGACUGCUUGGAUCGGUGGAAUCUCAUAAUCGGCAACUUUGAGAAAAUCUUUCUCCCAAACUUCUCCUGAAAUGCACCUGGUCCUUUCGUAAGUAUCCGCUUCUGCCGAUGCGAUAACAUAAGAAGAAUCUCCUGGGACAAUCUCAAUCUUGUCACCUACCCACUGAACCAAGCAUUGAUGCAUUGUAGAUGGGAUACAACAAUUGGCAUGAAUCCAAUCUCUUCCCAAUAAUAAGUUGUAAGCACCUUUUCCGCUGAUCACGAAAAAAGUUGUCGGCAAGGUUUUGCUGCUGAUGGUCAACUCUGCACAUAUCGCCCCCUUGACUGGAGACACGUUUCCUUCAAAGUCUUUGAGCAUCAUAUCGGUCUUGGUCAAAUCUUGAUCCCCUUUCCCAAGCUUCCGAUAUACUGCAUACGGCAUAAUAUUAAUAGCAGCUCCACCAUCAACUAGGAUCUUGGUCAUUGGCUGCCCAUCAACCCUUCCUUUGAGGAAUAGAGCUUUAAGAUGCUGCCUCUCGUCAUCGGCAGGUUUCUCAAAGAUAGCCGUCAUCGGAUCCAGAGCCAACUGAGCUAUCUGAUCAGAAAAUUCCAACUCAUCAUCACUGGCUGGUGCAAGAAACUCCAUCGGCAACAUGAAGACCAUGUUGACGCCUGCCGAUGGACCUUCCCUCUUAAUGUCUGACGGUUGCCGACUUCCAGAGUUCUCUCCCUUGUUUAGCUCUUCUUGCCUUUCACGUUGCAACCUCCUUUUCUGUGUCUUGGUUAAUCCUCCAGGGCACCAUGGAGGAAGUGGCCUUUGCCUUGCAGUCGGGCGUCGGUUCUCCCUUGACUCCAUACGAUGCGUGUUAGCAUCCCUGCAAAAUAUGAAUUCAUUGGGAACCCGCGCAUCAGCCAUUUCCUCGAGCUCUUCUUGGUUCCUGGGAAAAUACUGGACACGGUCACUAAGUCUGUCGUGCCCACUAAAUCUGCCCCCCAGCCGGUCAUGAACUGACACCCUUCCUCUGAUCGGCCCAUUAAAUCGCCGUUCAUCAUCAUGAUAAUGCCGAUCGAUCCUAUCGUACCGAUCAUAACCGUUGCACUCAGGGCAGUCUCUGACAGUAGGAAGCUUGAUAUUUUCCUCCCAACAAUGGAUGAAGAAUGGACAAUUCCAAUGAUCCCUGUGCCGAUUCCACUCCUGUCGGCGUCUUUCUUCUUCCCGUCGAUAAUCUUCCUGCUGGCGCCGAUACCGAUCUUCCCGUUGUUGCCAAUUUCCUCGAGGCCUUCUAUGAGUUAUGACGAUACCAGAUCGAGGAGGCCUUCCUGAGCUAGUUCCUUCCUGGACCAAGCCCUUACUUCUUGCAUCGGCAGUAGUAACUUGAUGCUGAGGAUCUACCGAUGCACUCUUCUCAGCUGUCUCCGAUGUUAAGACCUUAGCCUUCCCCUUAGCAUCCAACAUGUUUGUCGGGAAAGGAUGUUGGUCUAUCUUCAUCGGCUUCUGGGCUUUGGCACUGUCAAACUUGAUUCUCCCUGACUCUAUAGCCGAUUGCAGCUGCUGUCUGAAUACUUUGCACUCGUUGGUGUCAUGGGAAGUUGCAUUAUGCCACUUGCAAUAUCUCAUCCUCUUCAACUCUUCUGCCGAUGGGAUCACAUGGUUAGGUGACAGUUUGAUCUGACCUUCCUGAAGUAGAAAGUCAAAUAUCCUAUCAGCCUUAGCGGUGUCAAAAGCAAACUUCUCUGGUUCCUUCUGCCCAAAAGGACAAGACAUCGGCUUCUUGUUUUUUACCCACUCUGCCAAGCCGAUUACUGGUUCUUCAUCAGAAUCUGAGCUUGUUGCUUCAUCGACAAAUGACACUUUCCUAUUCCAUGCUCUUUUAGGCUCGAAAGGCUUGAUGUCUUGAUCAGAAAUCCUCUACACCAAAUGACUUAAACUUUCGAACUCCUGAGAGGCAUACUUAUCCCUGAUAUGUGGCAACAAACCCUGGAAAGCCAAAUCGGCUAGCUGCCGAUCAUCCAGAACCAAGCUAUAGCAUUUAUUCUUGACCUCUCGUAUCCUCUGCACAAAACCCUCAACCGACUCAUCAUUACGUUGCCUCAACUUGACCAAGUCGGUGAUCUUCUUCUCAUGAACCCCCGAGAAGAAGUAUUUGUGGAAUUGCUUCUCUAGAUCGGCCCAAGUAAUUACUGAGUUGGGAGGUAAUGAUAUGAACCAAGUAAAGGCCGAUCCAGACAAUGAUGAUGAAAAUAGACGAACCCUCAAUUCGUCCCUGUUACCAGCCUCUCCACAUUGAAUGAUGAACCUGUUGACAUGCUCCAUGGUUGACGUGUCGUCCUGCCCGGAAAACUUUGUAAAAUCCGGUACCUUGUACCGAUGUGGAAGCGGGAUCAAAUCAUACGCGGGAGGAUACGGUAUCCGAUAAGAGUAAGUGUUGACUUUGGGUUUUAUCCCAAAUUGUUCCCUCAUUACUUCAGCAAUCUUAUCGGCCCAAUAUGCAUCGGCAUCUUGCCGAUGAGGCGGCUGCGGAUCUGGCACCUGGUGGCGAACCUCCACGUGUCUAUUCGGGACGUGAUCUACAUGGAACAUUGUAUUGAUCACCUGUCCUCCAAUCUGCGGACCACCAAACUGCUGUCCACCGAUUGGCUGUCCUCCAAGUUGCUGUCCAAAAUUCAUUGGCUGGUUGGGAAUCCCCUGACCUUGGAACCCGGGAUAGACCUGCCCUUGCUGGUACCCUGUAGUCUGGUAACUCUGCUGGGGCGAUUGUGGAAAGACUUGCUGUCCAAGCCAUCCAUUAUUAGCGUUCAUCGGCAUAGGUGCUGCCGAUGAUUGGUAAUUGGGUACCGUCGUUGAAUUGACAUACCCCGACUGAGCCAUAGACCUCUGUUGCAUCAGCAUUGACUCUGCCGAUGCGUUGGGCAUCUGGAACAUUGAAUCUUGAGGAUUUCCAGUGUGAGGCCUUGCAGUAGUAGUUGUGGUAUACCGAGGACUCUGGUUCACCGGCGCAUUGGGAGGUGCCGAUGUCAUAGGAGUUUUGCCCCUCAUGUCAGUUAUUUGUGAUGUUCCCGGUGUCAACUCUGGAGGCAUACCGUAACCCCACCAGUUGGGAGGAAGAGUCAACCCUGACAUUGCCGAUGCCAACAUAUCUGUUGUCAGUUUAUGCUGCCCAACUGAAAUUUGUGGGUUGGUUGUCAUCGGCAUAGAUAGUGCACCAGUAGUCCCCGAUGUACUUGGAGGGACGGCAGAUUGUGCACUUGCAGUCGUCAAGGCAGCCGACGGAGCUGUGACCUCUGGUGCCGUUGGCUGAUGAUGGGAGGGGCCCACAUAAUCUGGUGGGAUUUGUCCUUCCUUGAAAGUUCUUGCCACGACAUUGAAAACCGACAGUACACCAGCUUGGUUAAUCAACGCUCGAUUGAUGGCAUUGUCAACCAUAUCUUGAAGCUUGCCAGGAUUGGCGUCAAAGGUAACCUGCCGUGGUGCCGGCAGUGCAUCUUUCUGGACCACUUCGCCGCUCCUGUUUAUGCGGAAAGACCUCAAGCAUUGCUGCUUGAACUCUUCCAUGGCUUGGGCAAUAGCUUGCUUCUGCUCAUCCUUGAGGUUGGCCUCCGUCACGGGGAUGACGUUCUCUUGAUCGAGGUCAGAGAUCGACAUGUUGAUCUUGAUCUUGAAUCCGGUCCCACUGGGCGUGCCAAAAGAUGUGUUGAUGCAAAACUGAUCUGCAAACACAAAGGGCUAAUACCCGAUUCAAACGUUAAGGCGUGCCAGCCGAUUUGAUCUUGCUAUCGGCAAAGGUGAUAACUCGAAUACUUUAGUCCUGACAACAGCGAUGCGCCCGGAUGUCACGGCUAAGAGGUACUCACGCGGAACUUGAGAACACGCCGAGCUUAAGUCGACGAAUUCCUAAGAACUCGUAACAAAAGGAAAAAGUAUGAUGAAGUCGUCGAAAAGUAAAUGCUGGAAUAUGAGUAAAAACGUGUGUUUGAUUCAUUGAUUGAUUUUUUAUUACAAGGCCCUAGGGUCUAUAUUUAUACCCUGCUCAAAGAGCUACAACCAGACACGAUUAGAAUUCGAAUUCCAAAUUACACGGAAUCCGUAUACAAAACGAUGCAAAUAAUUAAGGAAAUAACAAAACUAUCCCUCGUGACAAACCGAAACUCCUCCACAUAACGACCGGCAGCUUCCGGACUCCCUCUUUGCAUCAUCGGCAGACCCUUUGCCAUAGUCAUCGGCAGACUUUCUUAUCUAGCUAUCGGCACCAUAUUACUGCCUGUGGACUUAGUCACGUUCAACUUCUCCCUCAUCGGCAACCAUCCUCAUCGGCAACCCACUUUGUAAACAUCGUACUGCCACCUUAUCCUGCCAUCCUAGACACGUGCCCAGAAACGGUGUCAACACUUAGCAUCAAAUAACUACUGCCGAUGCCAAAGGAAAAGCCUUGAUCCGAGAGGGAACUACCUCGGGAAGGCCUCCCCGAUCUGGUAUUGUGAUAACUCAUAGAUGUCCUCAGGAGACUUGGCAGCAGCGUGAGGAUCGGUAUCGGCGCCAGCAAGAAGACUAUCGCCGGGAAGAAGAAUGACGCCGACAGGAGUGGAAUCGGCACAAGGAUCACUGGAACUGCCCAUUCUUUAUCCAUUGCUGGCAACAGAACAUUAAAUUACCCACUGUUAGGGACUACCCUGAAUGCAAUGGUUAUGAUCGGUAUGACAGAUCCGAUUGGUGCUAUCACGAUGAUGAUCGGCGAUUUAAUGGGCCGACUAGGGGGAGAGCGUCAGUUCAUGAUCGGCUGGGGGCAGACUCAGUGUACACGAGAGGCUUGGUGAUCAUGUCGAAUAUUUUCCCACGAACCAGGAAGAGCUUGAAGAGAUGGCUAAUGCACGAGUUCCCGAUGAGUUCAUAUUUUGCAGGGAUGUUAAUACUCAUCGGAUGGAGUCAAGGGAACAUCGUCGUCCAUCGGCAAGGCAGUCACCACUUCCCCCAUGGUGUCUAGAGGGGUUGACUAAGACACAGAAAAGGACACUGCAGCGUGAAAGACGAGAAGAGCUAAGCAAGGGCGAGAACUCUGGCCAGUCUGGGGAUCAGCAACAACUGGAUCCUAAGGGGAAAGGGACAUCGGCAGAUGUUAACAUGGUAUUCAUGUUGCCGAUGGAAUUCCUUGCGCUAUCCAGUGAUGAUGAGGGGUUGGGUUUUCCGACUAGAUAGCUCAGUUGGCUUUGGAUCUAAUGACAGCUAUCUUUGAAAAGCCUGCCGACAAUGAAAGGCAACAUCUUAAAGCUCUGUUUGUCAAAGGAAGAGUUGACGGUCAGCCAAUAACCAAGAUAUUAAUUAAUGGUGGGGCUGCUAUCAACAUCAUGUCGUAUGUAGUCUAUCGGAAGCUUGGAAAAGGAGAUCAAGAUUUGACCAAGACCGAUAUGAUGCUAAAAGACUUUGAAGGAAACGUGUCUCCGAUUAAGGGGGCAAUCUGCGUCGAGUUGACCAUCGGCAGCAAAACCUUGCCGACAACCUUCUUCGUGAUCAGUGGAAAAGGUGCUUAUAAUUUGCUGCUAGGGAGAGAUUGGAUUCAUGCCAAUUGUUGCAUCCCAUCUACAAUGCACCAGUGCUUGGUUCACUGGGUAGGUGACAAGAUUGAGAUUGUCCCAGGGGAUUCUUCUUAUGUCAUUGCAUCGGCAGAAGCAGACACCUAUGAAAGGACUAGGUGUAUCUCGGGAGAAAUUUGGGAGAAGGAUUUCCUCAAAGUUGCCGAUUAUGAAAUGCCACCGAUCCAAGUAGUCGGUUCUGAUGAGGAGUUUUAAUGGAUAGAUUCGCCGAUGAUGGAAAACUAGGCCAGGGAUUCACAUCGACCAAUGAUUUGGUAAAGGUAGAUAUAGGUAAUGGUGAUAAGCCUAGACCUACUUUUAUUAGUGCUAAGUUAAAUUCUGAGUGUAAGCAACAUUUAACCGAUUUGUUAAAGGAAUAUAAAGAUUGCUUUGCUUGGGAUUAUACUGAGAUGCCUGGUUUAGACCGAUCGAUUGUUCAAUAUCGGUUACCCAUCAAGUCUGGAUUUCGGCCACAUCAACAGCCAGCUCGCCGAUGUAAUCCUAAUAUUCUUCCUGAUAUUAAGGCCGAAAUAACCAAACUUAUCGAAGCUAAAUUUAUUCGGCAGUGUCGGUAUACCGAGUGGAUUUCCAAUGUUGUUCCAGUUUACAAGAAAAAUGGGAAGCUUCGGGUUUGCAUCGAUUUCAGGAAUCUUAAUAAAGCUACACCGAUGGAUGGUUACCCAAUGCCAGUUGCCGAUCUACUAGUUGAUGCUGCGCCUGGGCAUCGGAUCAUAAGCUUUAUGGAUGGCAAUGCAGGAUAUAAUCAAAUAUUCAUGGCUGAAGAAGAUAUUCCAAAGACUGCAUUUCUGGUCACGUUGGGUUGUUUGAAUGGAUAGUCAUGACCUUUGGUUUGAAAAAUGCUGGUGCUACUUAUCAGAGGGCUAUGAAUUUUAUCUUUCAUGAGUUCAUCGGCAAGCUGGUGGAAAUUUAUAUUGAUGAUGUGGUGGUUAAGUCUGGGGAUUUCACAAAACAUCUUGCCGAUUUGCGAAAGGUGUUGGAAUGUACAAGGAAGCAUGGUUUGAAGAUGAACCAUAACAAGUGUGCAUUUGGUGUAUCAGCAGGACAAUUCCUUGGUUUCAUGGUGCAUCAAAGGGGGAUUGAAAUUAGUAGGAGAUCCAUUGAUGCUAUCAACAAAAUACUUGCUCCUACCAACAAAACUGAGCUCCAGUCCUUGAUCGGCAAGGUAAUUUUUAUCAAGAGGUUUAUAUCUAAUUUGUCUGGUAAAAUUCGUGCUUUCAGUCCUUUACUCAAAUUGAAAGCCGAUCAAGAGUUCUUAUGGGGAAAGAGCAACAGUUGGCUUUGGAUGAAAUCAAGAAUUAUUUGGCAAAUCCUCCUGUUCUGAUUCCAGCUCAACAAGGAAAGCCUUUCAGAUUGUAUUUAUCUACCGAUGGGAUGGUCAUCGGUUCGGCCUUGAUUCAAGAAUUUGAAGGGAAGGAGCGUGUAAUUUACUAUUUAAGCAGAAGAUUGAUUGAUGCUGAGACCAGGUAUUCGGCCAUUGAAAAGUUAUGUUUGUGUCUAUAUUUCUCAUGUAUUAAGUUGAGGCACUAUUUGUUAUCGGCUGAAUGCACCGUUGUAUGCAAAGAUGAUGUGGUCCGGUAUAUGCUAUCUAUGCCGAUCAUGAGUGGCAGGAUCGGUAAGUGGAUUUUGGCACUGUCGGAAUUCGAUCUGCGUUACGAAUCGACUAAAGCGGUUAAAGGACAGAUUAUGGCCAAUUUUAUGACUCAACAUUGCGGUGCAGUGGAGACUUUGGAAAUUGUACCUUGGACGCUCUUCUUUGAUGGAUCUACGUGUGACAGGGGGGCAGGAAUCGACAUAGUGUUAAUUUCCCCUCGAGGAAGGAAGUAUGAGUUCUCUCUGCCGAUUGUUGCCACGUCAACAAAUAAUCAAGCUGAGUAUCAAGCUUUAAUCAAGGGGUUGGAAUUAUUAAAGUAAGUCCAUGCUGAUGCUGCUGAAAUCUUCGGGGAUUCUAUGCUGGUUAUAAAUCAAUUGGCUGGAAGCUACGAAUGUCGAAGUGAAGUCCUAAUAAUUUAUUACGAAAAGAGUAUGCAACUCUUAAGGGAAUUCAGUGAUUUCCUAUUAGAGCAUGUUCCUCGAUUGCAUAAUGAAGAGGCCAAUCGGUUGGCUCAGCUUGCCUCGGGAUAUCAGCUCAUAUUAAACACAAUAUCGGCAAUCAGUGCUGAUGAUUGGAGAAAAAAUCGUUGAUUAUUUAAAGGAUCCAUCCAAGAGAGUUGAAAGGCGUGUUCGGUUUCAAGCCACAAAGUAUGUGCUCCUCGAGGAUGAAUUAUAUUAUCGAACAAUUGAUGGAAUUCUUCUCAAAUGCUUAGGUGAUGAUGAGGCUAAAAGUUUAAUGGGAGAAAUCCAUGAAGGAGUAUGUGGAGCACAUCAGUCGGCUUUUAAGAUGAAAUGGAUGAUUAGGAAGAAUGGGUAUUAUUGGCCAACCAUACUUGAAGAUUGCUUUAAAUAUUUCAAGGGGUGUCAAGGAUGUCAGAAAUUUGGCAAUAUUCAAAGGGCACCCACAUCGGCCAUGAAUCCCAUUAUUAAAACUUGGCCGUUCCAGGGAUGGGCUAUUGAUCUAAUCGGCCAAAUUUACCCACCAUCAAGCAAAGGACAUAAAUUCAUCUUGGUUGCCACCGAUUAUUUCACUAAGUGGGUGGAAGCUAUUCCUUUGAAGAAAGUCACAUCGGCCAAUAUGAUUGAUUUUGUGAAAGAGCACAUUAUUUACCGAUUUGGAAUUCCUCAAACAAUUACUACCGAUCAGGGUACUAUGUUUACAUCAGGGGAGUUUGAUGAGUUUGCAAUCGGUAUGAGAAUUAAAGUAUUAAAUUCUUCUCCUUAUUAUGCUCAAGCUAAUGGGCAGGCUGAGGCAUCUAACAAAGGAAUUAUCAAGCUUAUUAAACGGAAGAUUGAAGAAAAUCCUAGGAGGUGGCAUACGUUGUUGAAUGAAGCUUUAUGGUCGUAUCGGAUGGCUUGUCAUGGGUCGACCAAAGUUUCACCUUAUCAAUUGGUAUAUGGACAUGAUGCAGUGCUACCCUGGGAAAUUUAGACUGGAUCUAGGCGGCUGUCUUUUCAAGAUCAAUUGACUGCCGAUGACUAUGCUACUUUGAUAAAAGACGAGUUGGAUGAUUUAGCAGGCCAUCGGCUAAGGGCUUUGAUAAGUAUAGAAGAAAAUAAGAAGAGAGUUGUCAGAUGGUAUGAUAAGAAGGUAAAUGCUAAGGAGUUUGCCGAUGGAGACUUAGUAUGGAAACUAAUCUUACCGAUCGGGACUAAAAGUUCAAAAUUUGGGAAGUGGUCUCCCAAUUGGGAAGGUCCUUAUCGGAUAAAUCGAUCUGCUCCUGGCAAUGCUUAUAUUUUAGAAACUCUUGAAGGAGUUGAAUUUCCCAGAGCAUUGAAUGGUAAAUAUUUAAAGAGAUAUUAUCCUAGCAUAUGGCUUGAUGCAUGAAAGUUUAAGUGCCGAUAACAUUCCUAUCGGCUGGAUCAAAGUGUAUCUGGGGCCAGACUCAAUGUUUUAAAAAGGUGCCGAUAACAGUCCUAUCGGCUAGACCAAAAUAUCAGGAGGAUUUAAAAGAAAAGAGCAAAACAUGCCAUCGAUGAAGAGUUCACAUGUUUAACAGAGCCUGGAUCGUUGAUAUGGUGCAGACGGAUCUGAUCGGCUUCCUCUAUCUCCUUCAUAUCUUCAUCGGCAGAGCCCUCCACUGGCCUCAGUUUCUUCUUCAUCUGCAGUGCCUUGCGAGCCUGGAUGUUUCGCUCCUCUUCAAGAGUCUUGAUUGCUUCAGGCAGCUGGCUUUCUUCCUAUUGACUUUGGGACAGAGCUUCUUCUACUUGUUUGAGUUCUGCCAACAGGGCUUCUCUCUUUGCCGAUAGAACAGAGAUCUUUUGCUUCAGCACGUCUCCUGUGGAUUUCAAGAUGCCGAUGCUCUUGUGCUUUUCAUCGGCAUGGAGCUUUACUUUCAUCAUCUCUUCUGAGAGCUGGGCGUGAGUAGCUCUAUCGGCAAGGCGCUGAGCGACCUUUUGAUACUGAAGCUGCCGGCUCUCCAAAUGACCCACCUUGAAGAGGAUUUCCUCGGCAUCGGCAGGAAAUUGGCCUCUGAGAGUCUUGAACAAGGCUUUAGCUGGAUCGGAGUCAUCAACCAAUUGGGCUGUAUCUUGAUGAAGGAGGGCCAACAGAUCUUCCAACUUUGCUCUAAUCUGUGCCGAUGAGAUUCCAACUGCUCGGGAAGAACUUGCUUCCUCGCCUUCAUCCUCAAAAAUGUCGAUGGCGAAGGAGAACAAGCUGUCGGGAGAGUCCUGUUCCUGAAAAGGAAGACAAAAUAAGUUAUUUUAUGAUCAAGUACUGAUAACAAUAAGAAUAGAGAUCAGGUAACUUACUUGUUUCAGGGCUAUUUCUCGCCUCGGACUAGAUGAGGCCGAUGGAACCACAAGCUGAUCGGCUGGAGUUGCGGAUGAAACUAUGUCAGCUGAAAAAAUUGACAGAAGUGAUUAAUAAAGUGGAAAAAAUAGGUUCGUCGGCAAUAGAUGGAAAGUAUGUUACCUUGAGGGGGUGCAAAACUUGUCUGAAUCGAUGAGACUACCGAUGCUAUGAUUAGGCUUGCUGGAUCGGCGGUCUGCUCGUGUACAUCAGCCGAUGUGUCUUUUGGCUGAGGUUCUUCUGGCUGGAGUUCUUCUUGUGGCUGGGGAGGAGAUGGUACUUGCUGUGUCUCGACUUUUGGAGAGGACGGGGAUGAUUCUACUAGGAUCGGAGACCUUAGGGGAGGAGGAGGCGUUGCUGUUCUCUGGCGCUUUGCUUGCGAUCUGGUACUCUUGGAACCUUUUCUCUUCGGUUGAUUGGACUGGGGGGCAUCGGCAGUCGUACUUUUGGUCUUUGCCGAUAUACCGGUGUGUUGAUACAACAAUGAGAAGUUUAUGAGUACAAGUGUAAUAGGUAUGAGAAUGGAAUCAGUAUGAGUUAAAGAAUUCGAAAAUUUACCUUGAAGGCUUGAGCUAAGGCAGUGGCAGCUACUGAUGGGGAUGUCUUCGUCCGCUUGGUGGUAACUUUCUUGAGACGCACACCCCGAUGCAUUAUGGCAGCCAAGGUUGGAGCAUUGUUGCCGAUCAAAGAGAUCGGGCCCGAUGGAAGGAGUUCAAUGGGCCUACCACUCCUGCUGAUCAAUGGUGGUGUGUCAUCGGCCUGUAUAUGACAAAGAAAGUAAGUUACCGAUGGGAAAUGAAAGUGAAGGAAUUGAAGCAUCGGUAUUAAAAUACUUACAGUGUUAUCAGGGACUUUGUACAUGGGGUUGAUCAUGCCACGGUACAUGAGAGCCGAUCUGUAGAACAGGUGUUCUUUCCAUUCUUCCCACCACUGUUUGUAUGCCUGAGUGAUGAAGAGAGCUGGGAUCCAAGCCGAUAGAUCGACAUCUGUAUCGGCAUUUGGUGGAUGUUGGGCUACCCUGAUCCAUUCCAUAUUGCUGGUGAUAAUCUCCCUCAGCUUUAUCACAUCGGCGUAGCAAAGUGCAAUCAGCAAUUGGCCGAAAGCCAGUUGGUGAGCUAGUGCCGAUGGGUUAUAAAACACAUAGGUCAGAUUGGAGACUUUCCCACUACCAAAGAAGUUCACUGGUAUGGCUCUUGGGGUGAUAAUUGCCAUCAUCACGUCACGAUCCUUGUUGAGAUCAUCAUUGAAGGGGUGAAAGUCAAAGGGAAUCUGGUGUCUGGAUCUUCAUAAGGCAUCCAUGCUCGCUGUUCUCUGGUCAGGCCCUCGUACAGAGUCUGAAAGAAUCGGCUAACCUGGUCUUCGUUACCACCCGUGCCAGGUAAGAUUAUGGCUGCUUCACCAAAGUUCAAGGGAGAGCGAGUUGCCGAUUCUUCCUCAUCUAGUUCAUAAUCUUCGGCUAUGUCCCUGGGAAAACGCUAUGCAAAGACGUCGAAUUCAAGGCGCUUGUGCAUGUGGAGAUUAAGCCACAUGUUAAUAAACCACCAAGGACCCCCUAAGUUGCCGAUGGGUUGGCCGAGCAGAAGUUUUCUGGCUAUUUGGUGGAGGAGGUGAUAAGCCGAGCCAAGCAAGUAUCGGCCAAGAGGAAAUCGGCCGCCAUUGGCUAAUCUUUCUGCUGCCGAUAGGUCAACAGAAGUUGGUCCUACCGGUCGGCCACAGAAUACAAAUUUAUCUAGCCACAUGUUUAGAAAAGUGGUCUGUUCCCUUGCAUUGACUGGACCUGUUCUUCGGUACUUCUGAAUAUACCCUGACCAACCGCCGAUAGCACGAGUUUCCACCUUAGCACUGGGUUUGGCGUCGAACAGGUGGGUGUUAUCGGCAGUGGAUAUAUCUAGGCCGGUGAGCAUAAGUACAUCAGCAAGUGUAGGGGAAGCAGGGCCAUGGCCAAAUACAAAAGCAUUGAGUGUGUCUGACCAAAAGUAUGAGGCAGCUAUCAGUAGUGACUCAUUUCGCUCCAUAUCGGCAAGAGACAAUCUAAUGCACUGAUCUAAUUUCCGUUCACCCCAUUGGACCUCAUUUGAGUUACUAACUCUCAGGAACCAAUCCUUCCAUCCCUUGGUAGGACUGGGCCAGCAACAGAAGGCAUCUUUCCAUAGAUCUAGAGAAAAAUUCUCGGGUCUAAGGGGGAUUCUGUUUGUCUCUGCGUUUAUAAGAUCGGUGGGAUCUAAGUUUCCUAGUGGACCAAGGCAUUGGAGAUGGGGUUGAUCUGUAGGGAUUACGAUCUUGUUGGCCAAAUCCUAAAGAUUUUAAGGAUAAAAGAAAAAGAAAAAAGGGAAUAUUCAGUAAAAGGAAUUGCAGAUGGAUAGAAGUACAGCAAGAGUACGAAAAAGAAGGGGGAUAAGCUAACCUCAGGGACGACGAAGUUGAUGGCCAUUGCCCCGUGAGGAAGAAGAUCGAAAACUUGGGGGUUGUUGGAGGAAGCUCAUACUGGAGUUCUUGGAGUUCUCAAACAGUACCGCCGCCAGGUAAGCAGAGUUUGGGCUGUAGAAUGAUGCGAUGGAGAAGGAGUACCCGAGAAGGAAGUUUUUAUAGGACAAAACGGGCAAGUGCAAAUUUGACUUAUCUCUACACCACAUCCGUGAAAUCCGAGGGUGCUCAGGUGGAUAUGGUAACUGUUCGCACGGUAAUCAAGGGAUUGCGCAGGUGAUUUGACAGCGAGCGGUCAUGAUUUUGGAGAUAUUUCAAUGUGCGGGAUCUCUUGGUCGGUUCAUCGGUAGUUCUCUCUAACGGUAAUAUUGCCGAUGAGCGCAUAAAGUGGAGAGAUUCGGUUCGGAGGGUUGAGGAAUUCGAGGAAUCCGCAGGAAAAUCUGGCCAAGGUUGUUCAGACUUAACGGUCGGUUACCAAAUUGGGAGAAUUGAUUGCGGAAAGACAUCAUUACUGCAGGGAAUUUCGUAGCAUUAAUGAUUUUAUACUCCGAAAUUGGGGGGCAUGUGUUGACACCGUAUUUGGUCACGUACCCAGGGACCAGUAAAUUAUAGAUUAGCAGGUGGGGCAACGGUAACUAGUCUGCAGAAGAGUUGCCGAUGAGGAUAGUUGCCGAUGAAGAGACGAUUGAAUCCAGAGGUGAUGACGUGUUCUUACCGAUGAUAAAUAUCAGUGUUUGUCGAUGGCCAUAACAGGAAGUCUGCCGACGAUUCUGAAGAAAAGCGUGGAGAUUGCCGAUUGAUUUGUGGUGGUGUCCCGAUCGGUUACAAUGGGGUAGUUUUGUGUUUUCCUUAGUUAUUUAAAUUCGUUUUGUAUACGGAUUCUGUUUAAUUUGGAAUUUGAGUCAUAGUCAUGUCUAAUUGUAGCUCUUUGAGCGGGGUAUAAAUGUAGACCCUAGGGCCUUGUAAUAUCAAUCUAUCAAUCAAUCAAACACAAGUUUUUACUCAUAUCCUAGUACCUACUUUUUUGACGACUUCAUCAUAUUUUCCUUUUUUAUUACGAGUUCUUAGGAAUUCGUCGACUUAAGCUCGGCGUAUUCUCUAGUUCCGCGUGAAUACCUCUUGGCCGUGACAUCCGGGUACAUCGCUGUUGUCGGGACCAAAGUAUUCGAGUUAUCACCUUUGCCGAUAGUAAGGUCAAAUCGGCUGGCACGCCUUAACGUUUGAAUCGGGUAUUAGCCCUUUGUGUUUGCAGAUCAGCUUUUGCAUCAAUAAAAUGCAAGGUAAGUAUGCUUGAGAACUUUUGCAAAUUAAAACAGCCUCAGUGAGAUAUAUAAAAAAAUAAUGAGUGACCUGAGAACCUAUGAGGAUAAUGGUAGGCUAAAUUUCUUUUCAAAAAUAUACAAAAACUCCAAGUGACAGGAUUAAGAAGAAAGGAUCUCUACUCUUGACCAUAUAUUUCCCUGACUACAGUACACAGUGAAUUUUUACAACACCCUACAGGUAUGAAGAGAGUGCUUUACAAUGUUUUAACACGAGAUAUUUUUCUUAACCAUCCAUUUCUCGAGGACGAGUAAAAGCCUGAGUAUGGGGGUGUUUGUUGAUGGUUCUUAAGUAUCAAUUUUAAUUAUUAAAUAAACAAGGGAAAGGACCAAUAUACAAACAACACCUAGAAUUAGGUUUUGAUCUCACAGAAUUCUACGAGUUUUGUUGUUUAUCUGUUUCUGCAGGGGGUUAUCAUGAAAUAAGGAAGAAAGGCCCACAUGUCGGGAUUACAUAGAGAUACUAACGUGCCGUGCAAUUUUCUACCAUCUAGAAGACUCCAGAAGCCACGGGAACGAACGGGAAGGCAAUCGGACCCGGGGGCAGGGCGCCCGCCCUACCCUCCUGGGCGCCCGCCCACCUCCUGUAGCCAAUCACGGUGAAUCACGCGGAUUAUGCUCCACCGACCUAAAGGAUCAAGGAUAACCGUUCAAUCAAUGUCGGUUUGAUCCGACGGCCCACGUUCACCUGGGGGACUAUAUAAGUAGACCCCCUGGCCCCUGGGAGACAAGAAUCCAAUUAUUCAUUAGCAUAUUUUCCAGAGAGGAUUCAGAGAGAGAGGUUCCUUAGGGUUCCCACCUCAUCGGACGUAGCAUCCAAUGUGAGAGUAGACUAGUUCUACUAGAUUGAGAGAGAUAGAGUGGAUGUGUGGAUCGGAGGAAGCCCGGCCUGUCGGUGUCUAUUCCGAGGUUGUACCUGCGGGAUCAAGUCUUCUAACCCGAGGCUUGCUCCUAGGAUUCUCCAGUAUUCCGACUUCUAAAUUCUAGUAAGUUCUUGUUUUAUUGUUCUUUGGUUUAUGAGUUUACUUUGAUCUCUUCGCGUAGAGUUUAGAGUAAUCAUCUCUAGCGUAAACAUGGUGUUUGGGCUAGGAUACUCAUAGAUAUCCCCUGACUAGCUGGACCGUGGUAGUAGCAAAGAACGUGACAUUUCCGAGUUACCUUUGUAGCCCAUAUCCCGUUAGUAGGAUCGAUAGGGUUUAUAGGUGUGGGUCGAACAUCCUCUGUGGUGUCUAGAUUCCGUGAGCUUCCCCAACAGAACAGUAGAUCAUCCUUACCAAGGUUAGAAUGAGAGUGUUGUUGUAGUCAUCUCUAUACAUCACUCACAUCGAAACACAUUCUUUGUAGCCUAAAGGUUAGUAGUAAUAGACCGGGUUAGUCAGAUGCACUCUUUCUCCUAGUGGUAAAAAUAUAAAUACGAUACUCUGGAUAACAUCUCGGGUGAAGUGCUCACCAAUAUCCGUGCGCUUGCGGAUUAAUUCUGAUUGCAUUACCAAAUAUCAACAGGACUAUUAAACGCUACUCCGUUAGAGGGUAGUUAUAAAGGUGAUCUUUGGGUUUGUCGGGGAACAUGCUGUGAGACAUAGAUGAUCAAGAUGGAACUUGCCCCUCUCUAUGUGAGAGAGAUAUCACUGGAUCACUCAAGUGAUUGGAUCAACAAAUGUAUCACGGAACCGUCCAAGUUAUAAGAGCACAAGUACAAAAACAAUCACCGAAGUGAUCAAUUUAUCAUACUUGAGCCCAUAUAACUCCGGUAGUCCAACAAAAUCAUGAGGGAUUUCAAACCAACCAACAUACAAGCCAAGAUCGUAGUGAUUCAACAUAACAAGUCACACGUUACAUACAUUUCGCAAGUAGUUCAAAUCCAUCGGAGUUCGAUAAGGUUAUUACAACUCAAGUUUACAAAUAGCGGAAGCAAAGUAAUUUGAAACCAAUAUUACUUUUAUUUUAAAUACAUGCCAGUACCAUGGUCCAUUCCAACCAAAGCAUCAUAGAUGAGGUAAGUAAGAAGGAUCACGCCCAUGAUCUUACUCCUUCCCUAUAGCAGGAGUCAUCCAAAUCUUGCAGUAGCUAUGAUACAUCACAACCUGCAACAAGUGGGAAUAAACCCUGAGUACGAGAAUGUACUCAGCUAGACUUACCCGUCAUAAACUAGAAAUAAGUGACACCAAGGAGUAUGCAAGGCUGAUAUAUAAGUGGAGCUCGCUGGACAAUAUUUUUCAUAAAAAGCUUAAGUAUAAAUAGUUAAACCUUUCUUAUUUAGCAUCCAUUUAAUUCUCAUUAACCUAUCAACUAGAUUAGCACCUGUACUAUAGCAAUCACUUGAUUAAUAUCAAUCAAUAAUAACCAUAUCAGGUUUGUCAAAGCCCUGAUCAUCAUCAUCAUCAUAGAACCAUUGAGUUAUUUAGUGAAUGCUACGUUUGCCGCUGCUCUGUCAAGUUCUCACUAUCCGGGAGAGACGGCGAUUCGAAUCGAUUCCUAUCCAGCUGGAGGGUUAUUCCUAACACUCACCCAUGCUUCCCCCGUCAGAGAGCAAGUGGGUCACCUUUGGUACGACUUAGGAAUCGCGGCUCCGAUCAGCGCCGCACUCCCAAGGCUACCACUCUGCCAGGGAGGUCAGGACUUUUAACUCACCUGCCUUUGGUCUUACGCCAAUGGUCCCCCGCACACCGCACUUCCUCCGGUAGUGCGCACUUUAUACUUGCCGGUCUUCCGGCCUGAGUCAUACUACUAGGCUUCACGGUCGGAAUGAGUUGUCCGGCCAACUAAGUGUUAGGCAUGCGUUCAACAUGACAAGAGGACGUACAAUGAUCGGUCCUUAAUCGACACAGACGGGGAUAGAUCCACACCCAAGACCUCCAUACAUUGAUGCGUCACUAUUAUCAUCCCGCCCGGUCUCCUUUCAUAUUAUUAACACAUGGUUCUUUUCCACGAUAGAAAAUAUAGCCAACCGUGAUUUGGAAUCCACCUAUAUCCUGCAGGUGACAGGAAAUCACCUGGCUUCUACCGAGCAAGGCAUGGCUAAGCAUAGACGUGAUCCUGACUAAUUAGGAUUCAGGUUAUAUAUUUACUGGACAAGGAAGGGUAUAUAUGCAGCAAGGGUUUCAUCCAACUCCUAUACUUAAUGCAACAAUACAUAUAUAACAUAUAUAUACUCAUUCACUUUCAAAAAAAAUAGGAGGCUUAUAAUGCUCCGGGGCUUGCCUGGAAUGUGACACCGAGUCAGAUUAGUUAGCUUGCUCCGUCUUGGUGACAUCUAAGAUCAUAACACUUGCUUAAUCAUUCCAUCUCUGGGAUGAUCCACCAUCACGUCCUUCACGUGGUUCAUCUAGCAUACCUAGAUGACAUGCAAGAUGCAAGUGCAUGAACACAUGGAAGUGCAAUAGACAAAGAAUCACACACAGGAAGCAAGGCAAGAGCAGGGUUACACUAAACAUACUUAAGCACUCCUCAUUGCUUACUUAAAGAUUACACAGCCAACAUGUUAAGACAACAAAGAAUGCAACACUAAACAUAUUAGACAUGGCAUACAUGUUUCACAAGAUCUCAGGUGUAUUAACUUGACCAUUAUCAAAGACAUGAGUCAUACAUAGCAAUAUACCAAGCAACAGCAAUAAAAGACAUCUGCCAUUUUUAGAACUGUUAACAGCAGCUGAGUAAAUAAAUCAUAACUGGAGUUACACAACCCCAAAAGACAUACAAGAAGACAUUUUAGAAAGCUUAAGAAAUUAUCUACAUUUGAUAUUUAGACAUCAAAGCAUGAUUCUCAACUUAAACUGGUUGAAAUUAUAAAGCUCCAGAAUCUGUCCCUAACAAACAGAGAGCAGCCAUUUCUGGAAUCCAAAUUUGAACAGACAUAACUCACAAACCACGGGGCCAAAUACUACCAAAUUUUAACAGCAGCCAGAUAGGUGAAUUAUCUACAACUUUGCUAUCAACAAGAUUCCCAGAAAACAUCAUUUACAUACUGUAAUCCAAACAGUUCCACAAACUGUCCAGAAACAACAAUUGCAAACAAUUAAUUAUUAACUAAUGUUUCAAACAUGCAUUUGAGCAAAACCAUUGUUACCAACAGUUUGCACAUAUCUAAAGAACACCAUAAAACAUAGUGGUCAUUACCAAAUAAAUUUAUUUAAUGCAUUUCUUAAUUUAUUUGGAUAAUAAGGUGAAUUAAAGAACAUAUAACAAAAGUGUUCAAUAAAUUCUACCAAAAUUACAGUAGCUUCUAACUACUAUCCAUAGCCCACUGUAUAAAUUUCACUGCAUUUUAAUAAAGAUAUCAACAUCUAUGAAAAAGACAAAUUGCUAUUGCAAUUAACCAUGUGAGGAUAAGAUAAAUGCACAAAUCAUAUUUGCUUCAAACACAUGACCAUAUUAUAUGUCAACAUGAUACAAAAAUAUCAUAUAAUUUUACAGGACCAACAUUUUCCAUUUUCACAUUUUUAUUUAUAAUUAUAAACCAUUUAUCAAUCCCCAUGAAGACAUCUCUGAUCAAAACAUGGACAGAAUCUGUCAUGCCACAUUAAACAGCUAUAACUUGAGGUUCCAAUGUCCAUAAUUUAUGGUUGUGUACUUUAUAGAAAGCUUACGAAAUUGUGAACAACUUUGUUAGAAACAUCUGGAGCUAAAUCUAUAACUAACAAGGUCUUACAUAACAAACAAUGCAAUCCAGUCUAGGUUUAGACAGAAACUGGAACAUUAUUUUAAACCACUAUAACUAAACAUAUGCUUAACCAAAAAUUAUGCUAUUUAGCUUGAUGGAAAGAAUAUGAAAAGUACUAAAACUCAUAUAUUUUCAUCCAGGCAUGAUUCACAACUUAACUGAGCCAAAUAAUACAAACAUGCAGAUCUACUCAGAGUAGGAGCAAAGCAACACAGGGUAAUUGUUAUUUUUAUAACUCUUAAUAUAUCAUGACUAAAUUCAUGAAACUUUUACCAGACAUCCACUUUUAUAUGUGAAGCACUCCACAAAAUUUUCACAUUUAUUUGAGAAAUAAUACAGUGGUUAUGAAAAAGACAAAUAUAGCAAGCAAUUAAAACCGAACUGCACAAAUCUAUUUUUACCGUUAAAACUUCAAACUAAAACAUGCAAUAAUAUAGAUCUACUGCACAUAGAAUUUCAUAAUGAUUCCAAAGAGUCUGCAUUUUCUAUUUUACGACUUUUCUACGAAUUUCUAUGCAUUUCCAAAGUUCAUCCAUAAAAUCUGCAAAAGAAAAGAAAAAGAAAACAGAUCUUGCACCGGGGACCCUGGAUUUUCCAUGAAUCACGCCACAGCCUAGUAACACUAUUCAUAUGAGUCUUGGCUUCGCAUCUGGAACCCUGAGUUGUUUCUUAUUGUAACCCGAGGGAAGGCGAAAUCCAGCUUCGGGGUCGGGGGCGACGCCAUCGACGAGGAAGCGGCGCUGGGGUCUCCCAAACUCUCACGCGACCACGAUGGGGCUCAGCCUGGAGGACGGCCCGGCCACGAUGCUCAUCCAUGCUAGCUGCUCGGGGUAGCGGGCGGCAAUGGUGGUGUCCGUGCUCGACAGAGAUGGGGGAGCAAGUUGGAGAGACACAGAGAGCCGGAGGGAGUGGAGGGGGGUGGAGGCGAGUGAAUGAGGAAGUGGGGAGAGCUUCAGGUUGUCCCAACGCGAGAUGGAGCACCAGCACAUGUGCAGCAAUGGUGGGGGCGCGGUCACCGCAUGGAGGACACGUCCAGGACACGCGUUGCUCUUUGACGCAUUUCGCCGAGCACGUGGCAGGUGACCGUGUGGCCGACGUGGGCAGCCGAUUUGGGCCGGAUCUGGAACGAAUAUGGACAUGGACCAAAAACUAAGUUUGCUCUACUCUUACACUCUCCAACUUUGAUUAAGGUGCCAUGGUCAUUAGAGUUGCAGAUUAGUAAAUGAUUUGAUGCCAACCUUUGAGUGUCAAUGAAUUGAUAAAGAUUAGCAAAACUCAAAAUUGAUGACCAAAACGAAGUCCAACUGGUGUCAUCUUUUUAUAUGCUCUUUUCCACAAUAUGUACUCCAACUUUUAUUUUGUCACCCAAACAAGUUGUUUAAUAAAAUUUGGAGAACGCGGAAUGCCAACGUGAUGAACUGCAAUUCCACACUUAGAAAUUCGAAAUGCUGGAAAUUACAGCAGAUUCAAUUUUGUGACUAUUAUUUGACAUGCAUAGGAGAUGAUUCAGACUUGGUCAUUUUAACAAAGUUUGUAGCAUACAAACUGUACUACAACUUUUAUUAAAGGACCUUAUACUGUUUUGGCAUGGUUAGUAAGAUACAAGGCUCCCAACUAGGGUACCCGAAACUGAGCACCUUGAGGACAGCCAAAUUUCUGGGGUUCCAAAACAGCACUGCAUUGAAUCUUGUGAGCUUAAUUUGACUAGGAUAGGUACCAAACUAGCUCUUGACCUUUAAAUAAAGUUUGUUCUACAGAAGCAAAACUACAACUUUUAUUUAAGGUCCAACCUCAUAACGGGUACCAAAGUCAAACUUUCACUUUGGUCAAUGUAGCAACUUGAUAAAGCUCAAACUAGGGUUUUAGACCAAAUAAAACAUUUUCUUGGCACAAGCUCAACAUGAACCCUUCAUGACUUUUGUUGUAGAGUUCAUCUAGAGUCAUUUGGUCAAGAUUACAAGAUUAGGUUAGUAACCCAAGGUUCCGUUCAAUUAAUAAGGUCAUUCCAACAAGCAUGUAACUUAUCAUUUCAUUUGGCCUUUUGAAUCCAAACUUCAUGAAACUUUUUGAGUGAUCAACCUAGGUAGAGAUGGAGAUGAUACACACGAAAGAAGCACCAUCAACACCCACAAGCUUUAUUAUGCAGGAUCAUCAAGCAUUCACUUGUCAUGACAUCAAAGUAUGUUUCAUACUAUCAUAUAUGAACAAAUGAUGCUUAUGCUCAUAAAAUGUAAGUGCCAAAACUCAAGACAAACACCUGGGGUGUUACAAAAUACAUGGCCGUGCUUGGGUUAAGUGUUAACCUAUGAGUUGGACCAAAUAUCUUGUGGCAAGAGAAUAACAUGUAUAUGUAUGUAGUGGUUCGUCUGAUAUGAUCUUUGCGUACGUGUAGGAGUUGUCAAGCCUUGCUUGUGGCUGCUGUCAACUAUUGGGCGAGUAGGAGUACUCGGCCCAUGUCUAUAUGCACGUGAACCCAUAGGGUCGCACGCUUAAGGGGCUAGAAACCUAAUUCGGGUUGGACCCGAAUUAGACAAGGCUUAGGGUUUCUAAUUGGGUACAUAUAGAGAUAUGUGUAGUUUUAGAUGAGUCUCAUGAUCUUGGUUCAUGGUUUUGCUGUGCUGGUAAUGUAACGAUCUACUUGUACUGGUCGGAAUUCCACCAUCUGAGUUAAGUGAUGCAUGUAAACCCAGUCAUGGUGAGAUAGAGAUCAAUCAAAUUGAUCUAAUUGAACCCUAGGUCAAGUGCCGGGCGCAUGUGAUGCGCGGCGGUAGUAGAUGAGAUCUACUGCCGGGCGGCGGAUUGCCGGGCAAAGUGUUGUUCGGUAAAACAGCCGUAACUUUUGAUUCGUAACUCGGAUUGAGACGAUCUUUAAAGGAAAAUCAUAGAGAAAAAAUUUUUACAUCCGACUCUCCACCGUGAAACUAUGUUUGGGGAAAUUAGAAUUGCAAAAAAAGGCCAGGAAAAUUGAGUUUUGAGCCCUGCAAGUUUAGAUGUCCGAAUCGGUUAACUCUGUUUUGCAGGGAUUCAUGACUGGUAUAGCCCUUAUGUGUAUGUGAUGCAUGUAUGUAAUAAAUUCAUGGCUUGCACGUCAUGAUAAUGACAAUAUGGCUGGAGCCACAUAGAUAUUGUCCACCUGAUGUAAUAGCCUACAUGCCAAUCUGUGAUGAUCCUAUCUGUGACUAUGUAAUUUUAAUUCACUGCCUCACAUUAGUGAUAGCUAGUCUUGGUGGAAUUAUUACUGGAGGAUGGCGUACAUGGGUCAUGUAGAUGGAGAUCAUCAUGAUGAACAGAUAUAUGGAGAUGGAGAUGCCCAAAGUGAUAAUGGGCUAUACCAAGUCAUAUCUGUGUUAAUGUCGUUCUUACUAUGUUCUACUUUCAUAUGCGAUGAUGUUUUGUCUAUAUGCAUGCGGUAGUGAAGUAGAACGAUCCCUCAGCAAUGUUUAAGUUACAUGCUCCCCCAGACCUUGCACUGUCAUGCAUCUUGUUCAAUCGGUGGUAGGUCUAUGAAAUUAGGGUGCCACUGAUUUUCCUUGACUAGGCAGGUUCGUAUCGGAUACUUACUACAGAAGGGUUGGUUUCUUGAACAAGGUCAUCCUAACAGUUAGGGACCUUGAGCAUAAGUAGUUGGGUAACACAAGUGUAGAGAUGCCAUCCCAACAACAAGAGUCAUAUGUGAUAUGAUUAGCAAGGAGUUGCUUAUCGAUCUACCAUGUCUACUAGCGGUGAUGCUAAAGCUCACUAGUAUACUUGUUAGUUGUGGGUCUUGAAUCACUAAGUAUCAUUUGAGGGAUAUUGAUUUUAUUGGGAGUAGAUUUUAUUUAAUAUUAUUUACUCCAUCUUGGAUACGUUUUCUUAGUAUUUUGCAUUACUUUUGUUGUAGAUUAAUGGCGCCCACCAAUCAAACAUUUACUUUGCGCUCAAUUAUUGAGAAAGAUAAGUUGAAUGGAACAAACUAUGCGGAUUGGAUCUGCAACCUGAGAAUUAUUCUCAGGGCUGAGAAAAAGAAAUAGAUUCUGGACACCCCAUUACCAAAAGCACCUGAGGAUAAUGCAUCUACUGCAGAGAAGACCGCUUGCAAGAGCAUGUGAUGCUGAUCUUGAAGUGAGUUGCCUCAUGCUUGCUUGUAUGGAACCUGAGCUGCAGAUGCAGUUCGAAAAUAAUCAUGCAGCAUAUGAUAUUAGCAUAGCGCUUAAUGAUAUGUUCCAGGCUAAGGCUAGAACUGAAGGGUUCCAAGUCUCAAAAGCUUUUGUUGAUUGCAAGCUAGCAGAGGGUGCAGCAGUUGGCCCACAUGUAAUCAAGAUGGUUGGUUACACUCAGAGGUUAGAGAAGCUAGGCUUCUCAAUUGGCCAAGAGUUGGCUACUGAUUGCAUUCUCUCGUCUCUUCCACCCAGUUAUGGAAACUUCAUCUCGAACUACCAUAUGCAUGGGGCGGAGAAGGGCUUGAAUGAGUUGUGUGGCAUGCUGAAAACAGCAGAGGCUAACAUCAAGAAGAGUGUAGGCAGUCGCCAAGUGUUGGCUGUCCAAAACAAGCCUAACUUUAAGAGAAAGAAGGGCGGUGCUUGGAAGAAGAAAAAGGGCAAGGCUAAGGAUGAGAUCCAUAAGCCAAACCCACCUGCACCUAAGGCUAGCCGAAAUGCUGAUGCUCAGUGCUUUCACUGUAAGAGGAAAGGUCACUAGAAGAGAAACUAUAAAUUGUACUUGGCGUCCUUGAAAAAGGAUGGCGGCGGUAAAGGUACUUCAGCUGCUCAUACACUUGUUGUUUAUGUUAUAGAUAUUUUCCUCGCUAACUCUUAUAUUAAUUCUUGGGUAUUUGAUACCGGAUCGGUUGCUUAUAUUUGCAAUACAAUGCUGGGAAUGAUAAGAUGUAGAAGCAUUGAAAAGGGAGAAGUUGAUUUCCGUGUGGGCAAUAAUGCAAGAGUUGCUGCGUUGAACAUCAGGACGAUGCAACUUCAUCUACCAUUGGGAUUUAUUUUCGAAUUGAAUAAUUGUUAUUUUGUUCCUAAUUUAAGUCGAAACAUUGUGUCUCCUUCAUGUUUGAUGAAGGAUGGUUAUUCAUUUACGAGCAAAGACAAUGGUUGUGUGAUCUCUAAAAAUGACAUAUUUGUGGCUUAUGCAUCCAUUGUGAAUGAGUUAUUUAUUUUAAAUCUUGAUGAUGCACUUAAUGAGUUAAGUCCUACUUAUUUGUGGCAUUGUCGUUUGGGUCAUAUAAUUGAGAAUCGCAUGAAGAGGCUCCAUGAUGAUGGCCUUUUAGCUUCGUUUGAUUUUGAAUAAUUGAAGACAUGUGAGUCUUGCCUACUGGGAAAGAUGACCAAGGCACCUUUCACAGGUUUUCCUAAGAGAGCGUCUGACAUAUUGGAACUUGUACAUAAUGAUGUAUGUGGACCAAUGAGCACGACAGCUAGAGGUGGAUUCCAAUACUUCAUAACUUUCACUGAUGAUUUUAGUAGAUAUGGAUAUGUCUACUUAAUGAAACAUAAGUCUAAAACAUUUGAAAAGUUCAAAGAAUUUCAUAAUGAAGUAGAGAAUCAACGUGGCAAGAAAAUUAAGGCUUUGCGAUCUGAUCGUGGAGGCGAAUAUUUGAGUCACAAAUUUAGCAAUCAUCUAAAGAGUCGUGGAAUCACUCCACAACUUACGCCACCCAGAACGCCUGAGAGGAAUGGCGUGUCCGAGCGACGUAAUCGAACUUUGUUGGACAUGGUUCGAUCUAUGAUGAGCCAGUCGGACCUACCUUUAUCAUUUUGGGGAUAUGCUCUAGAAACAGCCGCUUUCACUUUAAACAGGGUACCAUCUAAGUCUGUAGUUAAGACACCAUAUGAGAUGUGGAAUGGUAAGUGUCCCAAUUUGUCUUUUCUAAAAAUUUGGGGUUGUGAAGUUUAUGUCCAAUGACUUAUAUUAGAUAAACUAACACCCAAAUCAGACAAGUGCUUUUUCAUAGGAUACCCAAAGGAAACUUUAGGGUAUUAUGUAUAUAAUCGGACAAAGGGCAAAGUGUUUGUUACUCAAAACGGUGUUUUCUUAGAGAAAAAGUUUCUCAAAAGGGAGAAGAAUGAACAGAAGGUUCAUCUUGAAGAAGUUCAAGAUGAACUAGUUGGGAAUGACUCUACGAGCAAUGCUAACGUAGCAGAACAAGCUGAGACGCCCGUGGUAAUUGAAGCACCACCACAACCACGAAAAUCAGCAAGACUUCACAAAUUGCGGGGGGGAUUGUUAUUGUUAGACGAUGACGAACCUACAAAUUAUGCAGAAGCAAUGAUGGACCUAGAUUCCGAGAAAUGGCAAAGUGCCAUGAGAUCCGAGAUAGAUUCCAUGGGAGACAAUCAAGUUUGGAACUUGGUUGAUCCGCUUGAUUGGGUUAGACCCAUAGAGUGCAAAUGGAUCUAUAAAAAGAAAAAGGAUAUGGAUGGAAAUGUUCACGUCUAUAAAGCUCGACUUGUCGCAAAGGGUUUUAGGCAUGUUCAAGGAAUUGACUACGAUGAGACUUUCACGCCAAUAGCGAUGCUUAAAUCAAUCCGGAUCAUUCUAGCAAUUGCUGCAUAUUUUAAUUAUGAGAUAUGGCAGAUGGAUGUUAAAACAGUCUUUCUAAAUGGAAAUUUGGAAGAGGACGUGUAUAUGAUACAGCCCGAAGGUUUUGUUGAUCCUAAUAAUGCUAGAAAAAUAAGCAAGCUUAAGAAAUCCAUUUAUGGAUUAAAGCAAGCAUCUCGGAGUUGGAAUAUUCGUUUUGAUGAACUGGUCAAAGGUUUUGGCUUUCAUCUGAAUGAAGAAGAACCUUGUGUUUACAAGAAGGAAAGUGGGAGCGCUGUUGUAUUUCUAAUCUUAUAUGUGGAUGGCAUAUUAUUGAUUGGGAAUGACAUUCCAAUGUUGCAAUUAAUAAAGACUUCAUUGAAUAAUAGUUUUUCUAUGAAGGAUUUAGGAGAAGCAGCAUACAUUUUGGGCAUUAAGAUCUAUAGAGAUAGGUCCAGAAGGCUAAUACGAUUAAGCCAAGAUACAUAUAUAGACAAGGUGUUGAAAUGGUUCAACAUGGAACAAUCUAAAAGAGGGUUCUUGCCUGUGUCACAUGGUAUGCGUUUUAGCGAUAAGUAGUGUCCUUCAUCAGAUGAAGAGCACAAACGCGUGAGUAAGGUUCCAUACGCUUUGGCAAUUGGUUCCGUCUUGUAUGCCAUGAUAUGUACUCGCCCAGAUGUCUCAUAUGCUCUAAGUGUUGCGAGCAGGUACCAGAAUAAUCCAGUUGAAAGUCACCGGACACUUGUUAAAACCAUUCUUAAGUACUUGAGAAGGACUACAGAUGUGUUCCUAAUCUAUGGAGGUGAGGAGGAGCUCGUUGUAAAUGGUUACACCGAUGCUAGCUUUCAAACUGACACAGAUGAUUCACAAUCUCAAUCAGGUUUUGUGUUCAUGAUAAAUGGUGGUGCAGUAAGCUGGAAAAGUUCCAAGCAGGCGACAGUGACUGAUUCUACAACAGAGGCCGAGUACAUCGUAGCUUCUGAAACUGCGAAGGAAGGUGUUUGGAUGAGGAGGUUUCUCAUUGAGCUUGGUGAGUUUCCGAGUGCAUCGAGCCCAUUGAAUCUACACUGUCACAACAAUUGGGUGAUUGCACAGGCUAAGGAGCCUAGGAAUCACUAGAAGAACAAACAUGUACUACAGAAGUUUCACCUCUUUCAAGAGUUCAUUAUGCGAGGUGAAAUUAAGAUGUGCAAGAUACAUACGAAUUUGAAUAUUGCAGAUCCUUUGACAAAGGCUCUUCCACAGCCUAAGCAUGAGGCAAACUUGAGGUCUAUGGGUAUUAGAUAUCUUAGAGAUUAACUCUAGUGCAAGUGGGACACUAUUGGGAAUAUGCCCUAGAGGUAAUCAUAGAGAUGAUGAUAUUACGAUUGUAUCCGUGACAUAUAUUAUGUGUUCAGUGAAUAUCCAUUAUAGACAAAGUUGUAUUGAUUAACAAUUAUGUGAAUUAUUUGUGAAACUCUUUUACUUGUAUGGUUAUUCUAAAGUUGUCCCUGAUCAGAGUUUGUGUGAGGAUACACAUGAACAUUAGAUUAGCACAUGUAUUAGUUGAUGACUUUGUUUCACAAGUCAUAAACAUAGAUGUCAAACUAAUAAUGUGGGCACAUGUAUGACAUGGGCUGGACUAACCCAACAUGAGAUGUUCUUAUAAUCUCUUUAUCAUGUACGUUAUGUCCUUCGACUUGAGAUUGUUGUAUGUUCUCAAGAUGUGAAACGACCUACUUAGAGACUAUUAAACACUAAUCUGUUACAGGGUAGUUAUAAGGGUGGUCUUUGGGUUUGUCGGGGAACAUGCUGUGAGACAUAGAUGAUCAAGAUGGAACUUACCCCUCCCUAUGUGAGAGAGAUAUCACUGGAUCACUCAAGUGAUUGGAUCAACAAAUGCAUGGCCAUGCUUAGGUUAAGUGUUAACCCACGAGUUGGACCAAAUAUCAUGUGGCAAGGGAAUAACAUGUAUAUGUAUGUAGUGGUUCGUCUGAUAUGAUCUUUGCGUACGUGUAGGAGUUGUCAAGACUUGCUAGAGGAUGCUGUCAACUAUUGGGCGAGUAGGAGUACUCGACCCAUGUCUAUAUGCACGUGAACCCAUAGGGUCGCACGCUUAAGGGGCUGGAAACCUAAUUUGGGUUGGACCCGAAUAAACUAGGCUUAGGGUUUCUAAUUGGGCCCUCGACUCGGGGCUAAUUGGAGGACGCCUAUAUAAGAGAGGGAGGGGGUGUGGCAAGGGUUAAUCCCAAGCCAUUAGGCAGCCGCCGCCGCUCACCCACGCUCGCGCCUUUUGCUCCUCGCAGACCUAGCAGCCGAAGGCGCAACGCUUCUUCCCCGCACGUGUGGGAUACCUCAGAGGUGCUGCAUCAGGAGCACAAGGACGAACCGCUGGAGAGGGAUUGCCAUGGUGGACGACCACACAACUGCACGGCACUGCUACUACACACACAACUACACCGAGUCGCUUACAUUGCAUCUGUGCAUCUAGUGGUAAUCCUAUGAUCUAUAAGUUGUAGUUGAUCCUUAUUUAUGAGGUCGAAAUUUUUGUUUCCUAGCUAGCGUAACAUCCUCAUAAUCCAUCAGUGGUAUCAAAGUCAUUACUGCAUUGUUAUAGAUUCAAUUGGGUACAUAUAGAGAUAUGCGUAGUUUUAGAUGAGUCUCAUGAUCUUGGUUCAUGGUUUUGCUGUGCUGGUAUUGUAACGAUCUACUAGUACCGGUCGGAAUUCCACCAUCUGAGUUAAGUGAUACAUGUAAACCCAGUCAUGGUGAGAUAGAGAUCAAUCAGGUUGACCUAAUUGAACCCUAGAUCAAGUGUGUUGGGCAUUCUUAACGUCAUUACCAAAAGAAGACUUAGUUUUCUAAUUCUGAUAACGGCGCCAAAAAUGCCAAACCUAUCCCUCAUGCCACUUAGGCCAAGUUGUCAUCCUCAGCAUGACAUGAGAGAUAUGGUAUUGAAAUAUGCAAUUGCUCUUCUGAAUGAAUAAUAAAUGAGAUCUCCAAGCGCACAGAUUAAUACCGAUGUAGCAUUUUAACCGGGAAGUAUUCCUGGUAUCGUUAUUUAUAUUUUUACCACUAGGAUGAGAUUGCUAAUCAUCAAUGUUGAUUAUGGAAUGGAAUAUGGAAUUGAGUAUCCAUCAUUGCAAGUGUAAUCGAGAGCAUUUAUCUAUCUCUUUCAUACAGGGGUAAAUGUCACAUAAAAUAUAGAUAAAGUAUGAAUGAUGACAAAGAUAAUUAAUCUGAUCAGCAUAACUAGCCACAUAUAAUAAUGAUAAGCACCUCAUCAGAUAUUCUAGCAAGUCAUUAGCAUGGAAUUAGGAUGAACUACAAGAAUAUUUCCUAAGUUAUUCUUAACAAUAAAGUCUAGCAUAUCAUAGUUAGUGCAAUUAUACUUGGCAAUCAUUGCGAGACAGGACUACGCCCAUGCAUAGUGAUAUUAUCAAGGAAGAUGAGAAACAUAGCAAUCACUCCCUUGUAAUAAUCUUGUUCUGUCUUCCCUAUACACGAGAGGGGGACUAUAUAAGAAUCAAUGGAGAUGUCACCACCACGAACUACCCUGCGAUCCGGCAUAUAGGGUACAAUCACAGAUAAAUACUGUAUAGGCACCACGCCUACACAAUACUUAUCAUUUACCCACUAUACACAUGGAUAAACGCUAUACGAUCCUAAACAUGUAUAUAAUUCCAAUCUAACUAAGCCAGGCAUAUAACUAUGAUAAACUAAUAACAAUAUAAUUGCAAAUAUAAACAAGUAGAGCAAAGUCAUAAUCAAUAUAUUGAAGUAGAAUAAAGUCAUAUUCAUAGUACUGAAGAACAAUGAUGAGCAAAUGAAGAACAGUAGAGGAAUUACCAAGAAUCCUCUUGAGAGAUCCGGAAACCAAUCGAAGAUUAACCCCUUCUAGUUCUAAUCCUAUGUAGCUAUGCUAAACUAGAGAUCUAGUUGAUGUGGUGGCUCUAGGGCUUGAUCAGAGACUUCUUCUCCCGAGAUGGAUGAAUGAAUUAGGGCUUCUCAGGUCCUCUCCUCCAGGGGCCAGGGGGUCUGCUUAUAUAGUCCCUCCAAAUGAAUAUAGACCAUCGGAUCAAACCGACCUUAAUCGCUCGGUUUUCCUUAAUCCCUUAGGUCAGUGGAGCAUGAUCCGCGAGGCGGAGCCUGAUUGGCUCUCAGGCCAGGGCAGGCGCCCAAGGGGGGAGGGCGGGCGCCCUACCCCCGGGUCCGCUCAGCCUCCCGCUCGUUCCCGUGGCUUCUGGACUCUUCUAGAUGUUGGAUAGUUGCGGUGCACGUUAAUAUCUCUAUAUAAACCCGACGUGUGGGCCUUUCUUCCAUAAUUCCUGAUAACCCCCUACAGAAAUAGACAAACACCAAAACUCGUGGAAUUCUGUCAGAUAAAACCAUAAGUCUGGAUGUUGGUUGCAUUUGGAUCCUUUUCUUUGUUUAUUUGUUAAUUAUAUUUGAUACUUAAGGACCGUCAACAAAGUGUCGGGCCCAUGUGAUGCAUGGUGGUAGUAGAUGAGAUCUACUGCGGGGCGGCGGAUUGCCGGGCAAAGUGUUGUUCGGUAAAACAGCCGUAACUUUUGAUCCAUAACUCGGAUUGAGACGAUCUCUAAACGAAAAUCAUAGAGAAAAAAUUUUUACAUCCAAUUUUCCAUCGUGAAACCAUGUUCGGUGAAAUAGAAUUGCAAAAAAAGGCCGGGAAAAUAGAGUUUUUGGCCCUGCAAGUUUAGAUGUCCGAAUCGGUUAACUCUGUUUUGCAGGGAUUCAUGACUGGUAUAGCCCUUAUGUGUAUGUGAUGCAUGUAUGUAAUAAAUUCAUGGCUUGCACGUCAUGGUAAUGGCCUGCGUGCCAAUCUGUGAUGAUCCUACCCGCGACUAUGUAAUUUUAAUUCACUGCCUCGCGUUAGUGGUAGCUAGUCUUGGUGGAAUCAUUACUGGAGGAUGGCGUACAUGGGUCAUGGAGAUGGAGAUCACCAUGAUGAAUAGAUAGAUGGAGAUGGAGAUCCCCAAAGUGAUAAUGGGCUAUACCAAGUCAUAUCUGUGUUAAUAUCGUUCUUACUAUGUUCUACUUUCAUAUGCGAUUAUGUUUUGUCUACAUGCAUGCGGUAGUGAAGUAGAACAAUCCCUCAGCAAUGUUUAAGUUACAUGCUCCCCCAAACCUUGCACUGUCAUACGUCUUGUACAAUCGGUGGUAGGACUAUGAAAUUAGGGUGCCACUGAUUUUCCUUGACCAGGCAGGUUCGUAUCGGAUACUAACGACAGAAGGGUUGGUUUCUUGAACAAGGUCAUCCUAACAGUUAGGGACCUUGGAGUAUAAGUAGUUGGGUAACACAAGCAUAGAGAUGCCAACACAACAACGAGAGUCAUAUGUGAUAUGAUUAGCAAGGAGUUGACAAGGGAAUAACAUGUAUAUGUAUGUAGUGGUUCAUCUGAUAUGAUCUUUGCGUACGUAUAGGAGUUGUCACGCCUUGCUAGAGGUCGCUGUCAACUAUUGGAUGAGAAGGAGUACUCGGCCCAUGUCUAUAUGCACGUGAACCCAUAGGGUCGCACGCUUAAGGGGCUGGAAACCAAAUUCGGGUUGGACCCAAAUUAGACAAGGCUUAGGGUUUGUAAUUGGGCCCCCAACUCAAGGCUAAUUGGAAGACGCCUAUAUAAGAGAGGGAGGGGCAUGGCCAGGGUUAAUCCCAGGCCAUUAGGCAGCCGCCGCCGCUCACCCACGCUCGCACCUUUUGCUCCUCGCGGACCUAGCAAUCCGGAGGCACAACGCUUCUUCACCGCACGUGUGGGAUACCUCGGAGAUGCUGCAUCUGGAGCACAAGGACAAACUGUGUUAGAGGGAUUGGCAUGGUGGACGACCAUACAACUGCACGGCACUGCUACUAUGCGCACAAGUGCACCGAGUCGCUUCCGUUGCAUCUGCACGUCUAGUGGUAAUCUCGUGAUCUAUAACUUGGAGUUGAUCCUUGUUUAUGAGGUUGAAAUUUUUGUUUUCUAGCUAGCGUAGCAUCCACAUAAUCCAUCAUAGGAGGCUCCAACUACAGUCCUACAAACACCAACCCUAACAUGGUGGAAUACGUCGGCCAUCAGGGCUGUCACCACCUGGGGCUACCAUAACUAUAUGUUGGAAUAGGUGCAAUCUCAGGUAACCUAUAGUCUAGAUGCCAUGUCUAUACUGCAUAUUACUACUCUAGUCACAAUUAAUAACUAGAGCACCCGAUGCGGGCGGAGAUCUUUUGCUAAAGUAUAACAACUAUACUAACCAAUCAAAUGUAAUGUAUAAAAGUAAAUAGAGAAGAUGAAAUAUAUUAAAGCAUAAGUCUUACAAGAAUAUAUACAAAGAUAUACCAGAACUCUGACGACUCCUCCAAAGACACCUCCAGAACCCGGGCGUAGCGCCACUCUCCCUAACUCUCAACUAGAACUAAUCUACUACAUUGGAAAGUCUAGCCCUAAUUCACUAUUGGUGAGAGGUCAUCCAUUCGAGGGACGCCUCUACAUCUCCAUAAUAAUGUGGUGCCCCCAAAGAGGGGGUCUGUCUCUUUAUUUAUAGCCUAGAAAAGCCUCCCACCUCUUCUGGACAGGCAAUGUGGGACUAAAUGUUCCACCGUUUGCUCUGUUGGGCUAUUAUACAUCAACAUGGGCCUUCCAAUGAUCCCUUAUGUGAGCCCACUCAGGGGAGCAGCUUGGGGCGCCUCUCUUGGGUCUCUAUCAUGCCAUAUGCUCUUCUCACGUCAUGGGCCUUGUUUGGGUGUGAGGCCCAUUAGUGGUAAUUCUCCUUUAUUUGUAAAAUUAAUAUCUUUUCACUCCGCACUCCAAAUAUAGCAAAUGAUAUGUCCGUUUCGAUCGCCUCGACGAGCCCAUCACAAUGGUGUAGUCUAAAUCAUCAUUUCACAUACUUUUAUUUGAUGGAAAAUUGCAUAUUCCUACAAAACAAGUGAGAACCCCAAAACUCAUGGAACUCGUUACAAUCAAACCCUACAACAAUGCUUAAUGGUUGAUAUAAUGUUAUAUUGAGCAACAGUUGAUGGUAUAAAAUAGGCAUUAAGGACCAUCAAUAAGUUCCCCAAGCUUACCCUUUGCUAGUCCCUUAGCAAAGCCUAACUAGUAAACUUGAAUGAGAAGUUGCUACAAUGCUUUCACUCCUCAAAAGUACACAUGCUUUCAAACUGAAAUUGUCACACCCAUAUUUCAAGAACAAAAUAGGAUGCAUAAAAGACUCAUAUGUGCCCCAGAAAUAGUCGCACACAUAAGUAGACAAAUCUCAAGAAUAUCAUCGCAGUGUUUAUUACAUAGCAGAACAAUAAUAAUCACAUAGUCUUAUACAAUAAUGAUAAAUAAGAAUAAAUAGCUCUCUCAACAGAAGCAUCACACAGGGACAAACAUUGACUGAUUGACUUCAAACCUAAUGCUCAUAUCGAUAGUCCUCAAUCCAUUCAUCAUCAUUUUCAUAACCUGAGGUGUUGGAAAAUUAUAAGAGUGAGCACACAUUGUACUGAACAAGUAUAACCAGGGGUUCAUGAGGCUCAAAUAGCUGACACUGGUUUAACUGCAUUUAGCUUUUAUAUGUAGAUAGCAUGUUCGUAAUUAAAUAGCAAGUGUCAAGGUAGCAUAAAUAAUCCCAUAAUCACAUGAUCAAUUGUAAGCAUAAUUAACUCAUAGCAUAAACGAUAAAUGAAUGAACAUAAUAACUUAAUAAGCAUCAUCAUCUUUAAUAUAAGAACCCCCAAUGCCGCUCUUAACCAUGAGCAUGGCUAGUAUACCAGUUUUAAACACUCUGUAGAGGUUGUACAUCUUUAUUCAUGAGUCAUGAUAUACCCUUUCGCCCGAUAACCUCUUAACCCCCUUCCUAGAGAGGUCGGCAGGGAUCACUAUGAAGCCUUUCAAAAGUUUGUCUAAAAGUUAGGGCCGCAAGGUUUCACGAGCAAGCAGAUAUAGAGCCCCCCUUCCAAAAUGGCACAAUGACACGCAGCCUAUACACAUCUAGCGCCCUUACGGGUAACCUCUAACAAGCUAGAAAAGGUCUUGAUACUGAGCUAAAGCUAGAGCCAUGAUAGCCCUCAUGGUUGCACUAUUAUCCCGAUGAUCACUUAUAGACAAGAUCUGAUAUGGUUAUCAGUCAUCUUUUAACGUUCAUUGCAUAGCGAUUAUUCAUCUUACAAGAUCAUGUAUUACAUCAAGCACUAGCAUAACUACACCAAAAUGAAUAUCAAAUAGGUAACAAGAAAUUCAGGUAACAAUUAUCUAUGAUUUUGCUAAGGUCGUCAAGGUGGACACAUGCAUAUGAUAAACAUUGUAUUAAUUUUGUAUAGGUAACAAGGAUGGUCCCAAGUAUACUUACCUUGAUCAAAGCUCUCUUGAGACUCCUGCUGGUCAUCACAAGCUUGGUCUUACUCACCAACGUAUAGAUCACCGUCUAUUCCCAAACAUCAAUCAACAACACGCAUUCCAAUGGAGACAAUCAUACACAAAGCUAACAAGCUAUAAUUAGAACAUUACACCGACAGUGAUAAAACAAAGAUAAAAGUUUAUAAAAAUAUUCUACGCAGCGCUACGACCACACAAACAUAAUGUUCAUGAAAAUCAGAAUUAAAACGUAGAAGUUAUGAAUUUUCUAAGAUUUUCUAUAGAAGAAUAAUUAAUUAAAUGCUUCUACAAAAUUUAAAAGUUUAAACUAGUGAAACAGUACCACUAACAUGUAGAGCUCGUAAUCACGAACCUAACGCAAUUUGAAUGGAUAGAAACGAAGUUAAAAUGAGUAUUUUAUAAGCAAAACAAUUUAAGUGGCAAUUCUGUAAAUACUGGAAUACGUAUUUUCUUUCAAACCGAUGAGGGUACGCUUUCAGAAAUGAAAAGCGCAAAACCUAAGGAUGUAAGUGGGGCGGCGAUGGGCAGCCCACCCCGCGUGCGCAUCAGCUCCAAGUGUUAUGUGAGCCGAUGCGGCAGCCCACAUCUCGCCGCUCUCAAUUUGUGGGUUGGAUCGGUAGCCCACAAAGUGCCGCAACGCAGGUUCGCUGCUAUCUGCUAAAACCGGCCGAGCAAGCUUCGCCUCCUUGAGGCGCCAAGGUCUGAGGCAUGCGCUCCCGCCGCCGCGCUCGCCAUGCGAAUGACUGACGAUGGUGCUUGCCUGGACCUCCACCAAUGGUCAUUGCUGCCUUGUUCUUCUCCCUCGUGCAUAGAACCGGCACGGUGGCGCCGCAUCGUCAGCAGCUCAACACAGACGCCGAGGCGGAGCUUCGUGUUGCAGCACCGUCUCAGCUUGGACGAUAGCACCAUCGUCAUCUCCAUGGACUGAUAAGAGCUAAUCCUGGCAACUCAUCGUACGUGGUGGUCCGGGUGAAACCAACACAAGCUUGGCCGCGCAUGAGGAAAUGAAAACAAAAACGCAAAAACGUGUGCAUGCUGUCUGCGGCCGCGCCACCUGUCUACUUCGCCGACUCCGUGUCGACCUGAGUCGCUCGCCACGCCGGACGACAUCGGAUGCGUCAUCAUCUAGCUCGCCGACGCGUCGCAGACACAGCAGCACGCUACCCCCAUGGGCGUGCCUCCACGUCGGCCGGCCAAACUGCUCCCGCGCCCUCGGCGAUGCCACCGUACCAGCAGGCGGACGGUGCUGGGCGGCUAUGUGGGUUGCCGCUGGGUACAUGUGGGUUCGGCAUUCCAACCCACCCUAUUUGAGUGGGCUAUCCUGAGCAGCUCAGCGGGUUAGCGGCGUGGACAGCUCAUUGGGUUGAUGCCAUGGCCCACCCCAACUUGCAUCCUUAGCAAAACCCCAAGGCCCUAAGGAUGGCGGGUUAUUUUGUAAAAAUAUCUAGGGACUCUUUAGCAAAAGUUACCCCGAAGGGGUAUCUUCUGAGUUCAGCCACUGAUUCCCGAUCUUACGGCUCAGACUACACCUGGAGGGGGACACCGGCCGGCCGGCCACCGGAGAAAGGUCCAGCACGGCGGCGCCAUGGCUGGGCGAGCCGAGCUCGCCGGAGUUCGUGGUUUCCGUGAAGCUGAGUACUAGAAAACGAAAACAAUGCACCGGGCGGAGGAGAAGCUUACACCGAGCUCACCUACGCGCUUGAUUCGGCCUGAGAGAGGACAGGGAGAGCUCGCCGUGGUGGAGAAAGAGCUCGGUCUCGGUGAGAUCUAAACCUCAGCUGAAAACGAUAGCUAGGGUUUGAUUUUUGCGACGAAAGUGGAAACCAACACAUGGGGACCCUGUUGGGAGCUUUAUAGGGCUCGGGUUGGCUCAAUCCCACGAAAUCCCGAUGAUUUGGGAUUUGGUGUUUGAGUCCGGCUCGGUUACGGAUGGGAGGAAGAAGACGGGCAAUGCUCGAUGGGUCCCUAGUGUCAGCGAGAGAGGAGUGGGGCCCGGCUGUCAGCCAAAGAAAGAGAUAGGGGGAGGACAGCGCGCGACUGGGCUGCCUGGGCCGCAAGUUGGGCCGAGCGAGGGGAGAGAGGAGGGCGCACUGGGCCGAGGCGAGGGGGAGAAGCCAGGGGGCUUGGUCGGGCCGAGCGCUGGGCCUUGGCCACUGGCCACUAGGCCGAGAGCAGGGAGUUUACUUCCUCUUUUUUUUUAUUUCUUUUCCAAAGCCUUUUCCAAAUGAACUUUUGAGUAUAAAUAAAAUAAAACCAAAAACAGUUAACACAAACAUAAUUAUGCUCCAGCAUGAAUGCAAAACAUGUUCCUAGCCUUAUAGUAAAUUUUAAUUUUGACAAAAAAUAUUUAUUUACUAGAUUAAAUGCGCACCAAAUUGCUUAAAUAAAUCUAAUUAAAUCCUAUCAUUUAAAAAUCAGAUUUUGGGUGUUACAGAAAUUCUCCUUUGAAUUAGACAAAACUGCUCUAACUUUCAAACUUACCCAUUUUACCAUUAACUAUGGAGCUUUUCAACUUCCAUGUGUGUCUUGAGUAAUUGAAAGAUAGAACAAUCAAGUAAAGCACUAUGUAUCAAAUUCUUUACUCAACCAAUAUUCUAGAGUUUUUGUAAGUUUUCAAAAUAAAACUCAGAGCUUAAUCGUAUGACACCCUCAAGUGUCUUAUUGUAUGUGGUAUUUAUGGAUCUCACUCAGGCAUUUAUGUUGUCAUGCCCUCCUACAACUAAUGAUUAUAGUGGAGCUUAUAGAAGUGGCAUUAAACAAGGCUGAGCAUACUUGCAAUUCAUAUAUUGUAAAGUCAAACAAUGGAUCCAAAGAGAGUCAAGUCAUACAAUCAAACCAAGAUAUGCAUGUGUAUGGUAUAUGGUGGAUGGGUGUAUAUAUAUGAUGGUGGCUAAUCCUAAUUCUACUUUUGCUCUUUAAAAAUAAAUCUCUCUCUUCGACUUCAAACUUUCUCAGGAAAACAUGGGCUAUCUCCAAUUUUUUUUCUUUUUCUUCUUCUCUUUUUUUUCUCUCUCUCUAUAUAUAUUUUUUAGGGAGGCGAGCAUCAAAGUACCUAUUAUUUCAAUUGCUUGGACACAUGUCUAUUUUUUUAACUCCCUCUAUUUUUUCAAUACAUUUUUCUUUUGCUCAUGACUUUUUGAGUUGGGGUCGUCUAGGGUUUCGAAAACGCGCGUGUAGCCGUGAAAAUUUGAAAUUUCAAAAUAUGAGUGGUCCAAACCCUCUUAGAUGAAAAGUUGACAAUUACACCAAAUGUGUAUCUUGAUAAGGUAGACAAACUUUGUAUUCAUGACUUUUGUAGCUGAGACCAUCUCGGUCCGGUGAAAGUACCUUUUUUAGAAAAAUCCAAGAUUUGACUUGGUCAAACUAGGUCAAACGAGGCAAUAAAAUACCUCAAAUGAAAAAAUUUUGAAUACAAAGGAGUUAGAGCUCAUCAAGGUCUACCUUUGAUACAUAGUCCAUUUUUGCAUUUGGAAAAGUUUAAGUAAACCUUUGUCACAUGUUUUAAGAAUCAAGGCUUGAGUUGGUCAAACCUAGUCAAACAAGGCACUAGAUGACCUCAAAUGAAAAACUUUUCAAUACAAGGGUGUUAGAGCUCAUCAUGAAACACAUUCCAUAUAUAGGGAAUUUUUGUGUUUGAGAAAGGGUUGAUAACUGUGGUCACAAAGUCUAGAAUCUCACACAAACUUUAUAAAACUAUAUGUGAGACCUUCAGAUUUAGAACUACACUUUCAUAACACUUUGUUAAAUGCAAAAUUGUGUUAUGUACGAAAUGUAGAUCUUGAUGAGUGGAACAAACUUUCUAUUCAUGACUUUUUGAGUUGGGGCCGUCUAGGGUUUUGAAAACGUACGUGUAGCCGUGAAAAUUUGAAAUUUUAAAAUCUGAGUGGUCCAAACCCUCUCAAAUGAAAAGUUGACAAUUACACCAAAUGUGUAUCUUGAUAAGGUGGACAAACUUUGUAUUCAUGACUUUUGUUGCUGAGACCAUCUCGGGUCCGGUCAAAGUGCCUUUUUAGAAAAAUACAAGAUUUGACUUGGUCAAACAAGGUCAAACGAGGCAAUAAAAGACCUCAAAUGAAAAUAUUUGGAAUACAAAGGAGUUAGAGCUCAUCAAGGUCUACCUUUGAUACAUAGUCCAUUUUUUCAUUUGGAAAAGAUUCAGUAAACUUUAGUCACAUGUUUUAAAAAUCAAGGCUUGACUAGGUCAAACCUGGUCAAACAAGGCACUAAAUCAUCUCAAAUAAAAAACUUUUGAAUACAUGGGUGUUAGAGCUCAUCAAGAUACACAUUCCAUAUAUAGGGCAUUUUUGUGUUUGAUAAAUGGUGGGUAACUAUGGUCACAAAGUCUAGAAUCUCGCACAAACUUUAUAAAACUACAUGUGAGACCUUCAGAUUUAGAACUACACUUUCGUAACGCUUUGUUAAACUUAAAAAUGUGCUAUGUAUGAAAUCUAGAUCUUGAUGAGUGGAACAAACUUUCUAUUCAUGAGUUUUCGAGUUGGGGACGUCUAGGGUUUUGAAAAUGUGCGUGUAGGCGUGAAAAUUUGAAAUUUCAAAAUCUGAGUGGUCCAAACCCUCUCAAAUGAAAAGUUGACCAUUACACCAAAUGUGUAUCUUAAUAAGGUGGACAAACUUUGUAUUCAUGAAUUUUGUAGCUGAAACCAUCUCAGGUCCGGUCAAACUGUCUUUUUAGAAAAAUCCAAGAUUUGACUUGGUCGAACUAGGUCAAAUGAGGAAAUAAAAGACCUCAAAUGAAAAAAUUUUGAAUUCAAAGGAGUUAGAGCUCAUCAAGGUCUACCUUUGAUACAUAGUCCAUUUUUGCAUUUGGAAAAGUUUCAGUAAACUCUAGUCAUAUGUUUUAAAAAUCAAGGCUUGACUUGGUCAAACCUGGUCAAACAAGGCACUAAAUGACCUAAAUGAAAAACUUUUGAAUACAAGGGUGUUAGAGCUCAUCAAGAUACACAUUCCAUAUAUAGGACAUUUUUGUGUUUGAGAAAGGGUUGGUAAACUGUGGUCACAAAGUCUUGGAUCUCACACAAACUUUAUGAAACUAUAUGUGAGACCUUCGAAUUUAGAACUACAAUUUAAUAACGCUUUGUCAAAUGCAAAAAUGUGCUAGGUAUAAAAUGUAGAUCUUGAUGAGUGGAACAAACUUUUUAUUCAUGACUUUUUGAGUUGGGGCCGUUUCGGGUUUCAAAAACAUGCGUGUAGCCGUGAAAACUUGAAAUUUCAAAAUCUCAAUGGUCCAAACCCUAUGAGAUGAAAAGUUGUGCAUUACACCAAAUGUGUAUCUUGAUAAGGUGGACAAACUUUGUAUUCAUGACUUUUGUUGUUGAGACCAUCUCUGGUCCGGUCAAAGUGUCUUUUCAGAAAAAUCCAAGAUUUUUCUUGGUCAAACUAGGUCAAACGAGGCAACAAAAGACCUCAAAUAAAAAAAUUUUGAAUACAAAAGAGUUAGAGCUCAUCAAGGUCUAACUUUCAUACAUAGUCCAUUUUUGCAUUUGAAAAAGUUUCUGUAAACUCUAGUCACAUGUUUUAAAAAUCAAGGCUUGACUUGGUCAAACCUGGUCAAACCAGGCACUAAAUGACCUCAAAUGAAAAACUUUUUAAUACAAGGGUGUUAGACCUCAUCGAGAUACAAAUUCCAUAUAUAGGACAUUUUUGUGUUUGAGAAAGGGUUGGUAAAUUGUGGUCACAAAGUCUUGAAUCUCACAUAAACUUUAUGAAACUAUAUGUGAGACCUUUGGAUUUAGAACUACACUUUCAUAACACUUUGUCAAAUGCAAAUUGUGCUAUGUAUAAAAUAUAGAUCUUGAUGAGUAGAACAAACUUUCUAUUCAUGACUUUUCGAGUUGGGGGCGUCUAGGGUUUCGAAAAUGUGCGUGUAGCCGUGAAAAGUUGAAAUUUCAAAAUCUAAGUGGUCCAAACCCUCUGAGAUGAAAUGUUUACCAUUACACCAAAUGUGUAUCUUGAUAAGGUGGACAAAAUUUGUAUUCAUGACUUUUGUAGCUGAGACCAUCUCACAUCUGGUCAAAGUGUCUUUUUAGAAAAAUCCAAUAUUUGACUUGGUCGAACUAGGUCAAACGGGGCAAUAAAAGACCUAAAAUGAAAAAAUUUUGAAUACAAAGGAGUUAGAGCUCAUCAUGGUCUACCUUUGAUACAUAGUCCAUUUUUGUAUUUGGAAAAGUUUCACUAAACUCUGGUCAUAUGUUUUAAAAAUCAAGGAUUGACUUAGUCAAACCUGGUCAAUCAAGGCACUAGAUGACCUCAAAUGAAAAACUUUUGAAUACAAGGGUUUUAGAGCUCAUCAAGAUACACAUUCCAUAUAUAGGACAUUUUUGUGUUUCUGAAAGGGUUGGUAACUGUGGUCACAAAGUCUAGAAUCUCACACAAACUUUAUAAAACUAUAUGUGAGACCUUCGGUUUUAGAACUACACAUUCGUAAUGCUUUGUCAAAUGUAAAAAUGUGCUAUGUAUGAAAUGUAGAUCUUGAUGAGUGGAAUAAACUUUCUAUUCAUGACUUUUCGAGUUGGGGCUAUCUAGGGAUUCAAAAAUGUGCAUGUAGUCGUGAAAAUUUGAAAUUUCAAAACAUGAGUGGUCGAAACCCUCUGAGAUGAAAAGUUGACCAUUACACCAAAUGUGUAUCUUGAUAAGGUGGACAAAUUUUGUAUUCAUGACUUUUAUAGGUGAGACCAUCUUGGGUUCGGUCAAAGUGUCUUUUUUACAAAAAUUCAAGAUUUUACUUGGUCAAACAAGGUCAAACGAGGCAAUAAAAGACCUCAAAUGAAAAAGUUUUGAAUACAAAAGAGUUAGAGCUCAUCAAGGUCUACCUUUGAUACAUAGUCCAUUUUUGCAUUUGGAAAAGUUUCAGUAAACUAUAGUCACAUGUUUUAAAAAUCAAGGCUUGACUUUGUGAAACCUAUUCAAACAAGGCACUAAAUGACCUCAAAUGAAAAACGUUUGAAUACAAUGGUGUUAGAGCUCAUCAAAAUACACAUUGCAUAUAUAGGACAUUUUUGUGUUUGAGAAAGGGUUGGUAAACUGUGGUCACAAUGUCUUGAAUCUCACACAAAUUUUAUGAAACUAUAUGUGAGACCUUUGGAUUUAGAACUACACUUUCGUAACGCUUUGUCAAAUGCAAAAAUGUGCUAUGUGUGAAAUGUAGAUCUUGAUGAGUGGAACAAACUUUCUAUUCAUGAUUUUUCGAGUUGGAGCCAUCUAGGGUCCCGAAAACGUGCUUGUAGUUGUGAAAAUUUGAAAUUUCAAACUCUGAGUGGUCCAAACCCUCUCACAUGAAAAUUUGAGUGGUCAAUAUACAAAUAAUAUAUAUACAUUAUAUUUAUAUAAAAAAUGAAUAAUAUAGAAAUAAUUAUGUUCAAAAGAUAUAGAAACAAUAUAAUUAUAUUAUAGUAUCAAUACACAAAUAAUAUAUAUAAACAACAUUAUUAUGUUACAAAUAAUGAAUAUAGAAAAAUUAUGUUACAAAUAAUGUAGAAACAAUAUAAUCAUAUUAUAAUAUCAAUUUACAAAUAAUAUCGUCGGUGGAAAUAGUGGCUGCGGAGGAGGCCUCGAUGCCGCUGCAAGCGGUUGCUCCUGGGGUGAGUUCAUCUGAUCAAUCGCCAUCCUCGCAUUCAUUAUCUGCAAUCCUAAUGAACCCUAGUCAUGGAGAGAAUCAUUUGGCAUCUUCUUCUCCGAGUUCGUUUCAUGCUGCUCACGGUGGUGGGCAUUCGUCAGUAGUUUCUCAACGGGCGACAUAUUCCUUCCCUGUAGUCCAUCCCCUAGAGAUCUUAGGCAAAAAUCCAUGGCGAGUAGCUUUCCCUUUCAUUCCGUUACUAAAUUGAAGGUGAAACUUCGUCAGACUCCUAUUGAACUGGUUUGGAAUCUUCGAUAAGAUUCUAAUCCAGGGUGCUCUGGUGUGCUUGAGGACUCUGCUGUGGAGAAACAUAGUUUGGGGUUGAAGACAGCCCGGCAAGUGGGGCUUGAUUGUCAGCCUCACUGGUUCCAGUUACCGCCUAAGGUGAGGAUCAUCCUGGGAAUCCUGGGGUCCUGUCCAGAGGGUGUUACACGCGGCGAACAUCCGCCGACUAGUAUCGACGGUGAGCAUAAGGGUAUCAGUGAACUCGAGUCAAGACACCUAUCUCCCUUACAAAAUACGUCUUCCUCAGCUAGCGUUUCGAGUCCAAACCCUAUCCCCAAGUCCUUUCCAAAUCUCCGCCGGAUUGUUGGUCACCUGUGGCAGAUCCCAUCCACAAAAUCGUUUGCGGCGGCCGUGAGGACCGAGCCGGCACCUACGGUCGUUGUAACGAUGCAACCAAGAGGUGGAGGAAGGAGGACGGGGUGGAGGGACCGGGGGGCCGAGAUUAGGGAGGAUAUGGUUGCAAUCAUCAAGAAGGAAGUGGAUCUGGUGAAGGUAAUCUGAAUCGUGGUGGCUUUGGUGGGGGUAGGCAUGAUUGGGGUCGUGGAAGGACUGGUGCUCGCAUAAAUGUGGGGCAAAUGAAACAACUCAGUGCUGAGAACAAUCCGGGUGAGGAGUUGGAACACUCACAGGUCUCUAACAGUGAGGACAAAUGGGAGCGGCGUGAGGAAAAGAAAGAAGAAAAGGAAAAUGCUUGGGCACCAAGGUCCAACAAAUAGCUUGCUCAAACUAAUAAUGCAGCUCCACCUGAGGAUUCGUCCAAGAAAAAUUUUGAGGUAAUGCAGUCUAACAAUGCCCGUGUUGCUUGUGAGAUAUGUGGUUUCACCAAUCAUGUCACUAGAGAUUGUCGUAAGAUGUAUUGUGAGAUCUGCAAUAGUAACACUCAUAUUACUUAUGAUUGUGUGAACUGUCUGCCCUGGAAUUUUGGUCCAGAACUGUGUGCUGCACAAGUAGAAGGGCAUAGUUUUUUCCAUAUUAAUGAAAUCAUUGAUUCCAAGAUCUCUAGGGAAAGGGCUAGUACUGCUGUUAUUUCUGUGAUUCAGGGUAAGGUGUUUGCUAAGGAGAUUGAACACAUGUUUAUGAAUUUGUUGGGGGCAAACACUUGGAGGUGGACAUCAGAAACAUCUUAUGUCAUGAGAUUCCCAUCUGCUGAAAUGGUGAUGGAAUGGAGUCACAUUAAGACUAUGUCUAUGAAGGGAGGUGGUGCCAAGAUACAAAUUGAGAACUGGUCGUCAUAUGGUGGCAGUAAAGGUGUGCUUCAGCAGGCCUGGUUCAGAGUUACAAACAUCCCUGAUGAUCAGAGAUCCAUUGUUACUCUAGCUAAGGUGGGAGGUCUAGUUGGCAAAGUUAUUGAGAUUGAUGAAAAGUCCAGAUUCAGAAUUGAUUAUGUCAGGAUGAAAAUUGCAUGUAGAGACAUUUCCAAGAUCCCUAAAACCGCUGAGGAGUUCUAGGCCUGUCAAUAUAUGAUUUUGGCUUCGAGAGAGAGGUUCUUGAUGAUGGGAAAGGAAAGGUUCUUAAAAGUGGUAUCAGGAUUGGAGAAGAUGAGCCACCUAACAAGAAAUUCAGAAAUGAGAGUGGACAAGAUUUUUCAAUCAUAAACAGGAAAGUUGGUGACAAUGAUGGUCGUGAUUCCAGGCAAGUGCAGAAUUUUGGAAAACAAGUGAUGGCCUCUGCUCCAUCAAAACUGCAGUCUUCAUCAGUCAUUGACAGUGAUGCUAAGCUGUUGAAAGAUGCUCAAAACGGUCUGUCUAGUCAGAUUAUGCUUGGAGGGGAAGGCAAAGUAUAUAUACCUGAAAGUAUGGAGGAAUCUGAUUCUGAGAGUGACUCUUUUGGGGAAAGGCUUAGGAAACUAAAUGAGGAGGGACAGUCUUCUAAACUAGGAAAGAAUCAAGAACAACUUUGGUUUAUGGAAGUGAAUGAGAACAAGGCAGUUUUAUAUGAUGAAACAGUAGCUGAUCCAAUGAAAUGCAUAAGUGUGACAACUCCUAAAAGUGUUGAAGUUCAGAAGAGCAACAAUGCUGACAAGGUUUCUGUAUCACCUGAGAUUUUUAUCACUGAUGAUAAUAUUGUCAACACACAAGAAAGUUUGGCUUUACCUGAAGAAGUUCCUAUGGAGAUGGAGAUUCCUCAAGAUGAUCAAAAGUCCUUGAAGGGAAACAGGAAGGUGUUGGAAAAAACACAAGCUGUCCAUCCCAUUGCCAGGAGGAGGAGUGAGAGGCUGGCUAAAGAAAUCACUAUUUGCACCAAGGAGAAGACUAAGAUGAUGGCCAAGAAGAGAAAUCUGGAAGGUAUUUGCUCUAAUCAGAAUAUGUUUUAUGUUCUUCCUAUUGAUGAAAUGGCUGAACUGUCUUCUAAUAUGGGGGUUGUAAUUGAACCAUCUAACUUUGGUACUUUUGAAUUAUUAAAAGAUUUGGAAUGUGCUAGACAUGAUUUGUUCAUUAAGCAAAGAGAUGGUGGUCAAACAUCCCAAUCAUCUCAAGCUGACUCAGCUGGGAUUGUUGAAUCUUCUGACCAUCCUUUGCCAAUUGAAUGGUUACAUGAAGAGGACUCUGACUCAGAGGACUUCAUUUUAGUCUCAUCAAAAAAGAAAGAAAAAGAGAAAAGAAAGAGUUUAAAGAUCUCGCCCAAUAUAACAAAAAAAAAGCAGGCUCUGGAAAAUCCAGAUCUGCAUAUCAGUAAGCGUAGAAGAUCUACCUUACAAUUGCCAAAAAGACCAAAAAAAGUGAAUAUGUCAUUACAAGGUCUAAUUUGGAACUGUCGUGGUCUCAGGAAAAAGGGGGUUGCUACUUUUCUUAAGUCAGUUUUUUUGAGUAUAAUCUUCAUUUUGUUGGUCUUCAAGAGACAAUGGUUGAUGAAUGUUCAGAAAGUAUUCUUAGGAAAUUUGAUCCUAAUCAAGAUUUUCUUUGGCUUUGGAAUCCAGCUAAAGGGAAGUCUGGGGGUAUCCUUGUUGGAAUAAGGAAAGAGUUUUAUGAUGUGGGAGCUUUUAAACAAGGGGAAUAUAUGCUUCAAACCAAUCUUUGGGAUAAGCAGAAUAAAAUCAAAUGGAAUCUCUUAGUAUUAUAUGGAGCUGCUCAGGAUGAGAACAAAACAAAAUUCCUAUCUGAGUUAGCUCAAUUUUGUUCUCACAAUAAGGAACCUAUUUUGAUUGGAGGUGAUUUUAAUAUCAUUAGAUAUGCUAAUGAAAGCAACAAGAAUAAUGGGGUUCAUAGACACAUUGGUAUGUUUAACUCCUUGAUUCAGCUAUAUGAGCUAAGAGAAUUGAUUAUGACUGGAGGAUGCUUCACCUGGUCCAAUAAUCAAGAGAUCCCUACAUUAGUCAAGCUUGACAGGAUUCUUAUGUCCAAAGAUUGGGAGACAUAUUUCCUUUAGCUAUGAUAAAGAAACUUCCUAGAGAAAUAUCUGAUCGUAAUCCUUUACUCUUGUUAUCUGGAUCCCAGAAACAUAGCAAAAGUAUUCAGUUUAAGUUUGAAGUAAGCUGGUUCAAAAAUCCUGACUUCUUCAUUCAUGUGGAAAGAAUUUGGAGCAAACCUUGUAGAGCAUCUUCUGCAUUGGAUAAAAUUCAACAAAAGCUUAAACUGUUAAAACAAUAUUUUAAAGGGUGCGAUCUUAAUCUUCAAGGUGAGCUCAGAAGGCUUAGGAAAGAGUUAUGUGAAGAGUUGAGGGUUCUUGAGAAUAUAGAAGCAACAUCUAGUCUUUCAUGUGAACAAUGGCUCAGGAAAAAUUGGAUUAUGUGUGAAAAUUUGAGAAUCCUUGAACAAGAAGAAGUAUAUUGGUACUCUAGGUCCCAUGAAAACUGGUUGUUACAAGGUGACUUGAAUACCAAAUUUUUUUCAUAGAGUUGCUAGUGGCAGAAAAAGGAAGAAUACUAUUCUAAGUCUAGAAGAUAAUGGGGUCAUCUUUGAAGGAGAUGAAAAGUUGUUGGCUCAUGCUACUGAUUUUUAUUCUAAUCUGUUUGGACCCACACCUAAUUUUGAGAUUCAGAUUGAUGAUUGUAUCUGGGAAGAUGCUGCUUGUUUGUCUGAUACAGAUAAUGAACAACUAUGCAAACCUUUUUCUGAGGCAGAAAUCAGGUAUGCAUUAGAUCAAAUGGAAAAGAAUAAAGCAAUAGGCCCUGAUGGUAUUCCCAUAGAAUUUUAUCAAGAAUGUUUGCGUAUCAUCAAAAAAGACAUAGUGUCGUUAUUUGAUGAUUUUUAUCAAGGCAAAGUGGAUAUUAGUAGAUUAAACUAUGGGAUUAUCACUUUGUUGCCUAAAACUGAUGAUGCAUCGAAAAUUCAACAGUUUAGGCCUAUAUGUAUUUUGAAUUGCUUAUAUAAGCUGAUCACGGAAACUCUUACUAUAAGAAUUGAGUCUCUUGCUGAUAAAUUGAUUCAUCAAGCCCAAUCGGCCUUUAUGAAAGGAAGGAACAUUAUGGCUGGGGUACUCACCUUGCAUGAAAUUUUGCAUGAAACAAAGAGGAAAGGUGAAUGUGGGGUCAUUUUGAAACUGGACUUUGAGAAAGCCUAUGACAAGGUUAAUUGGUCCCUCUUAUUUGAAUGCUUAAAGGCUAGAGGUUUUUGUGAUCAAUGGUGUGAUUGGAUAAAAGAGGUGGUGUCUGGUGGAACAGUCAGUGUCAAGAUUAAUAACCUUUUGGGACCUUACAUCAAGAGUUAUAAAGGAGUGAGACAGGGUGAUCCUCUAUCCCCUAUUCUGUUCAAUUUUGUUGCUGAUUGUUUGACUUGAAUGAUCCAUCAAGCACAAAAAAGUGGUCUGACUUUGGGUUUGGUUGAGCAUAUCGUACCAAAUGGUGUUGCUAUCUUACAAUAUGCUGACAAUACAAUCAUAUGUUUGAAAAAUGAUCUGAAUAAAGCUAGGAAUCUUAAGUUUCUUCUAUAUCUAUAUGAAAUGCUGGCUGGUCUUAAGAUCAAUUUUAAUAAAAGUGAGGUGGUGAUGAUUAAUGAUCAUUCGAAUGUUGCUAACUCUUAUGCUGAGAUAUUCAAUUGUCAAAUUGGCUAUUUCCCUAUCAAAUAUUUGGCGGUCCCUGUGAGCCCAAGUAGAUUGCAUGUUGCUGAUUGGAGGCCCCUCUUGGAAAAAAAUGCUAAGAGGCUAGAUGUGUGGAAAGGAUCUUCGUUAUCCAUUGCUGGCAGAUCUACUCUUAUUUCUUCCAGUCUUAAUAAUACCCCUAUCUAUCACAUGGCAAUUUACUUACUCCCUAAGACUGUGAUCAAGGAGUUAGAUAAGGUGAGAAGAACCUUUUUUUGUUAAGGUGGACAUACAAAAAGGAAGUACCAUUUAGUUAAAUGGACUAAAAUUUGUAAGAGCAAAAAGAAAGGCGGUUUGGGGAUUAAAGAUAUCAGGAAAACAAAUUUGAGCCUUCUUUGUAAAUGGUGGUGGAAGCUUGAAAAUGAAUCUGGUAUUUGGCAGGAUAUUGUGAAGUUCAAAUAUCUUCAAACAAAUUCAGUUGUGUCUAUAAAACAUAAGCAAUCUGAUUCCCCUGUGUGGAGUGACUUACUCAAAAUAAAAGAAAUUUAUCUCCAAGGAAGGAAACUAAAAGUUAAUAAUGGUGCUUCAACCUUGGUUUGGAGAGAUACAUGCUUAUAUAAUGACCCUUAUGUUCUAGAUCCCCUGAUUUGUUUAAACUUUGUGAUCAGAAAGACAUUUAUGUCUCCCAGUUGAUCAGUGGCUUGGUUACUAUUUCCUUUUGUAGAUGGCUCACUCUUGAGUUGAGCAAUUGUAGCACCCGGUUUUAAGAACAAAACCAGAUACACACCAUAUGUGAGCCCAGGAAGUCAAAUCUCACAUAUAGCCACAAAUAUGGGUCCAAGGCCAUUAGUGAUCAUUUAUUCUAUAUUGGUGAUCAUUUAUUCUAUAUUGGUCCAAGGCCGCUCGUGACCGUGAGCACGGCUAAUAUAUCAAUUUUACAAUCUGCAGAGGUUGUACACUUUCACUGUGAGUCAUGAUUUACCCUUUCGCCCGAGGUAGCUAAUCUCUUAACUCCCAUCCUAGGGAGGCCAGCAGGGUUCACUAUGAAGCCUUUCAAAGGUUCGUCUAACAAGUUAGGGCCGCUUGGUUUCAUUACUCAGUCUAUGUGAUUCACCCGCAGGAAUCCACGGUCUGCUAUUCCCCAUUUGCACCACAAGGGUAACCACUAACAAGCUAGAAAUGGUCCUCAUACUGAGCUAAAGCCAGAGCCAUGUAGCCCUCACAGUUGUACUAUAUGUCCCGAAUGGUCAUAUACAGAUAAGUCCUUAGGGAGAGAAACUAGAGCACCAUAGGAUAGCCCAAUGCUCUAGCCCUCUUUUCCAAAGUUGCUAAAAAGUCCUCUUUUAAUGUUUAUUGCAUAUUCCAUUAAUCAAAUUACAAGAUCAUUGUUUAGUGGAGCACUAGCAUAAGCUACCCAAUGCAAAACCAUAGGUGACAAGGUACAAGAUCAAUACUAGGAAAUCCUUAUCAAGGAGACACAUGAAAUAUGAAUUGUGUGAUUAAAGUUGUUAGGAAACAAGGAUGAUCCCAUGCUAUACUUGCCUUGAAUUUUAGAUCCUUCUUUUAGUUCCAAAACUUCCACAAACUGUUUCUUGAUCACCACGUAAAAGCUCACCGUCUAAACUCAGCCAUCACAUCAACAUCAAUCAUCCAGAGGCAAUCAUACAAAGCAAACAAACCUAUAAUUAGAACAAUACACCAACAGUAGAAAAUAAAGAUGAAAAGUUUGUAAAACAAAACUACAUCGCACUACGAUCACACAGACGUAAAGUUCACAAUAAUCGGAGCUAUAACGAAGAAGUUAUGAUUUUCCUAAUAUUUCCUUUAAUAAAAUAAUUAAUUAAAUAGGAUCACGAAAAUAAAAAGUUGUAAACUUGUAAAACAGUGAGACUAAGACUAGAUCUUGUGAUUACGAAUCUAAUGCAAUUUGAAUUGAUCAAAUCGGAGUUAAAAUAAAGAUUUUAUGAGCUAAACAAAUCUUGCGGCAAUUUUAUAAUUACUGAAAACGUAUUUUGAUUUAGAAACCAAGGUAAACUAAUUGGAGCAGAGCACACGCCUGGCGGCCAGCCAUUGGCAGCAGCGAGCUCCUAGCCGGCAAGCAUGAAACUUAAGCCUACAGCCACGAUUUGAUGCUGGGAAAAUAAACUCACCAAUAGAGAUUUAAAUUGUUAAGAUCUCAUUUCUAGGUUAGGGUAAACUGUUAAGAUUUAAAUUUACUCAUUUUAUCUUUCACCAUGGGGCUUGCAACCGUCAAUUAUGUCUUGAGCAGUUAAAAGAUAGAACGGUCUAGUCAAGCACCAUGUCUCUGGUUCUUCGAUUAACUAUAACUCUGGAGGGUUUGCAGAUUUUCAAAUAAGACUUAGAGAUUCCUUGUAUGACUCUCUCUAGUCUCUUUUUUGUGGUAUUUCUGGAUCCUUACCAAGGCAGUAAUGGUGUAUGCCUUCUCUCAAAGUAUGUGGUAUUGUUGGUAUGAGGCAUAGUGACAUUGCCUUCUCUCUCACCCUACUCUAAUAAGGCUUUAAUAUCUGGAUCUCAUUAGGUGGGAGACAGCUAAUACAUACUUACAAGACAUUUAUUGCAUAGUCAAACCAUGGAUCCAAAAGAACAAGUUAAUAAGUCAAAUCAAGAUGUGCAUGUGUGGCGAAUGAAUGGUGUAUGGUGACGAUGGUGAUAACAAUGGUGAACGUCUAAUUCUACUUGUGCUCUUUUGAGGGGAUACAUACCUUUCUUACUGUUUUGAAACUUUUUGAGGAGAAUGAGAUGCUCUAUAUUUUCUUUUUUUUCUUUUCUCCCAGGUGGGUAUCUUGUACCCCUAAUUCUACUGUCGGACAUUUGUCCAUUUUUACAUCUCGUCUGACUUUUUCUUUUCUUUCGAGGUUUCAGAGAACUUGCCCCUUUUUAUUUCCUCGCAUUCUUUCUUUUUUUUUCUUUUUUUUAGAGCACUCAUCUCCUGAAAUAAUAUAGCAAGUGGUAGUAACCAAGAUAACUUGAGCAUUUUUUUUUCCAGGGAAAAACAGAAAUAGGAGAAUGCUUUUGGCUAUUUUCUCCCGGAUUAGGAGUAGAAUAUUUUUGGGUGGUUCUAGAGAUGGAAAUGGAUGGAUAUAUGUGGAUGGUACUUCUGGAGUAGAAGUAGCAUGUGUGAGUGAACGUGCAAGUGAAUCUUGAUUUAACCACAUGACAAGCUCCUAAGGGUCUACAUCGCUUGACCACACUCAAUGCUCAUAAGCAGUAAAAAGUAAAUGUGUGGCUCAAAGUCUAAUAAGCAUGUAUAUAUGGUUGUGGUAGGAUUUUCAACUCUCAUCAUACAGGAACUCAUCAUGCAACAUUUUAAAGAUUUUCAAAGAUAAAAUUCUCCAGAAUUCUCGCAUCUCUAGGAAUAGAUAAAUAGCAGCUCAACCUUCCCAUAUCAUAUCCAUUAACGACUUAGACUUUAGAUCAAGUACUCUUCCCACAGGUUCAGGUUUAGAGCAAAUCUUAAUUAAUACCAGUCAUGCCUAAACUUGAGAGAGAUUUCAAUUUUGAGAACUAGUCAUGGCAGAGCAACUAUUCAUCAUUUCCAUGUGAGAGCUUAUCAUGAGGAUUCAUAGCAAACUUUAUUUAUUUAUUUAUUUAGCAAACUAAGCAAAGAUAUAUAUAAGCAUAAAAUCUUUAUUUGGAUUUUUAUGAUUAUGCAUCUUUUUAUUAUUUGAGUAAAGUAUAAAUGUGAGUAAAACACUUAGCUGGAUAAAUGAGGGUGCUCUCCCCCAAGCUGGAUUUUGACGUAGUUUCUUCUAAUGUAGCUAGCAAGUGGUGGUGUAUUUGAAUGUCAGCAGCACCCUGACAGCGAUUAGGAUGUCCUCCAUCUGCUUGUCUUCUUUGAUCCUUGAAUUCUGUGGAGCUCAAAUAGACAACAAAGCUCUUGGCAAGGCGUACGGUGUUUUUAAGUCCUCCGAACGGGAGUCUCCAUUUUCUUAGUCGUCCUGGGAUUCGCUGGAUGGCGUAGUCGGUGGUUCCGGUGGAGCCUGCUCUUCAUGUAUAACUAUCUUUUUUUUCUCCACAACUGACUCGAUGCUACGGUCUCCUCAGGAUAGUUUUGUUCAAGUUAUAUGUCUUCAGACCUUACAACUUCUCCAUCAUAGUCUACCCAUCCGUCCUUGAUGAUUUUGCCUUCUCUGGUUGCGUUGCGCCAUCUCCUUCUUGUCCCGACCUGCUUAGAGUCUUCAACUAUAUAGUUAGGGUCAGUAAAAUAGUGGCGUACCUUCUCAGAGGUGAAGUGCAUGUGGACUUCUCGGGUUCCAAUGUAGAUGAUUGCUUUAACGGUGCUGAGGAACGGUCUCCUAAGGAUGAUGGAGGAUCAUACUUGUCUUCUCCCAUGUCAAUAACCUUAAAAUCAUCUGGAGCUGAAUGUAUGUUGGUUGUAGGGACAUGGUUCCAUGCAGGAGCUGAUAAGUGACUGCGGCCAUUAUGUUGACGUUAGAUCCGGUGUCGUAGAGUGUCUUCUCAAAAGAAUAUCCGUUGAUUGUGCACUCGAUGCUUGGAACACCAGGGUCGUCCUUCUUGAUCAAGAAAGGUGACUUGAGUUGACGAUCUUGACCUCCUUGAGCUGCAGUGACCAUCUUAGCAGACUCGGUACACAUUUGCUUGUUCUUGUUCCUCCUGUUGGUCCUCUUCCUUGGUUCAUGUCAGGAUUGCUCUGGGAUUUGUGUAGUCUUGUUUCUUGAAGGAAAACGUCUCCUUCUUCCCCUUGAUGUAGAAACUGAUCUUGGCAGCACUAGCGUAGAUGACAGUUCCCGAGGUGUUCAGGAAUGGCCUCCCCUAGGUAUAAUGUUGACGCUGGAGCCAAAGUCCCAGAGUGCUUCUAGGAAGUCCACCAUGCCGAUGGAGAUCGGGAUGACGGGGCGUCCUAGAUUGUCUUCCACAACAGGGUUACUCCAGUAGUUACAUCCUCAAGCAUCUCAGGGCAGUGUUUGCAUGAGUGUCCAGUAUCUCCAGUGUGUUUGUGCUCAUAUAUCUAGGUUCUUCACUUGGUGGAGUCUGGGAGUUCUAAAACUCCUUCAUAUUUUGCUCGAAGUGUACCUACUCAUAGAGACAAGGCAGAGAUCAAGUGCAAGGGCCUUGUUGGUGGAAAACACCAACAGGACCAAAAGUGUAUUUGUUCUUCUCUAACCUCAAGCAUAGUGAGCAAGACAAAGUUGAUGGAUAAUAAAAUCAUGAGUGUAGUAUUUAACAUUUGUCCGAUUAGAUUGCUCAACCUUAUGGAAAGAUAAUCUGUCUAUAUAUAUGUUUUGUUUAUAUCUUCCAAAGAUUGAGUGUGCAACAUUUUAGCUAAUAUGAUUAGGAGUGUGGAAUCACAAAGGUGGAAGGACUAAACAUGUUGAAUCGAUUGGGUUGGUUAAUCUAGAGUUGUAGAUCAUACAUGUUUGUCUCUUUUAUUCAUGUGAACGCCAGAACGAAGGAGAAGCUUAUAGAAGUGAUAGUCAAGUACUUUAAGAUGUUACCUUACUUGAAGAGUGAUGGUACAGUAUCACCUUGUGGAAGCUUUCCUCUCUCAGCGGUUGUGCAUUGUGUUUGUGGAACCCUCCAUGGAUCGUCUUUUGUGAGCUAUGCCUUCCUUGUGUAAAUUGUUAAACUUCAUGUGUGUCUCUCUUUGUCUCCAAUGUGAGUUUAUCUCAGGACUUCACAGGUCGAUAUUGAAAGUUUUCCUGCAGGGGUUAGUUCAACAAAAUAUACCAAUGUCUACACAAGCAGUUUUUAGUUCAAUAACCAAACUAGACUCCAUGUCUAAUUAGAUUAAGGAAGGCUGUUUAACCUAACCACCAUGCUUAAUUUAAAAACCAAUAGAAGUAUGUACAGUACUUCCAAACUGACACUUACUAGGAUAAACAAAGGUAGCGUGAUGGCUUUUAUAGAGAUCUACUCAAGUGGAGAUGAAGUAGUGUGAUUAUUAUUUAACAAAUUGAGCAUGUCUCAAAGGUAGGGACAACCGACAUAGCAACAUGGCAAAUGGUGUUUUUAUAUAAAGUACUCCCCCAAGCUUGAAUUUUGCAAAAUUCAAGUUUGGAUGAAUUUAAUUCAAUGUUGUAUGAUGAUUGGUUGUACAUACCUUGUGCUUGUCAUUCAUCCGAUCUUCUUGCUCCAAUCCUAGAAAGGUUAGUGACAAGAAUACCCGAAGUAAUUUUUUUUACAAUUAUCCUUUUAUGCUCAAUACACAAGGUAGUGUUGCAAAUAAUUAAAAGCUCAUGUUACGAUCUGAUCAGUGCUUGUUUUAGGACACUAAGCUUGUCCUUGGGAAACCAUCAAUUUAUGUCGGCGAAGUGGUUUCCCCUCCAACGCUGACCUAUAUCAAGAUCAACUCAACGAGAUCUGCAAUAUUUAAUAUAGACAUAUGCAUCGACAACCGCCCUUUUAAAGUUUUUAUAAAUAGAAAGGAUGAGGGGGUUGGAGAUCUCGAAUGUUGUGAUGUUGGAAAAACCAAUGGAUUGGGAAGAUGUUGCAUAUGAGCAUGGAGUAAAUGAAGUGGCUAUGAAAUAAAUUCCAUGCUCAUUAAUGCUUAGAGUGAAAUCCAUGUGGUGUGGUGAAAAUGGUAAGGUGAGUGUGGUAUAAAAGAAAAAGAAAAAGGAUACACGGACGACUUGGUUCGAAACUAGCACAGCUACCGUUCCCCGGCAACGGCGCCAGAAAGCUUGUUGGGUAUUUUAAACGCAAACAGAAAAAUCCGCAAGCGCAUGGAUACCGAUGUAGCUUUCACCUGGGAGUAUUCCAGAGUAUCGAUUUUCCACAGAGAACGUGAGUGUACUAAUUAAGAUCCAAGAUCGCCCAAGGAUAACUAUAUAACUAUUUUUGGUGGGAAGAGAGGAAGUUUCCUGAGAGUUCUCUAGUUGAUCUAAGAAUCAAGAAUUACUUCAAGAUUAUCUACAUCGGGACAUCAGAACACUAACCACAGAAAGAGAUGAGAAUGGGGCUAGGAAGCUCCGACUACGGUCCUACAAACAAUGAUCCGAACGAGGUGGAAUACGUCGACCGUUAGGGCUGUCACUACCCUAAGGCUACCACAACAAUCCGCAGGAUUGGGUGCAAUUCCAGGUAAUUGCAAGACUAAACACCACGUCUAAUCUAUUAAUUACUACUCUAAUGUUUCAAAGAUUAGAGCACUUGAUGCAAGCGGGAAUCCAAUAAAUAACUUGAAUGUAAAUAAAAGUAAUUAAAGAACUCAGGAAUUAUGAAUUGAAGAACCUGGAGAACGAUGAAGAACGAACCAGUUGCUGCAAAAGUACAAUGUUGAGGAAGAUCUGACAGAUCCGGCUCCUCCUCCACUCUCCUCUUCUCUCUCCCUAUUUUCUAGAUUACAACUAGAACUAACUAGAACUAGAACUAGAGGAACUAGAACUAGAACUAGAUGAACUAGAGGUAGAACUAGAUUAACUAGAGGGAUCCUUUCUACCUGGAUGAAGAAUUGAAACCCCAACUUUGAUUCUGUAGAAGAGGUAUGAUCUCCAGGGCCAGGGGGUCUGAUUUUAUAGUCCCUUCAAGAGAAUAUGGGCCGUUGGAUCAAACCGACAUUGAUUGAACGGUUAUCCUUGAUCCCUUAGGUCGGUGGAGCAUAAUACGCGAAGUUGAAGCUGAUUGGUUACUGUAGCUGGGCGGGCACCCAAGGGACUUGGGCGGGUGCCCUGCCCUCGGGCCCGAUCGGCCUCCCGUUCGUUCUCGUGGCUUCUAGAGUCUUCUAGAUGGUAGAAAAUUGCGCGGCACGUUAAUAUCUCUAUGUAAACCCGACGUGUGGGCCUUUCUUUCAUAUUUCCUGAUAACCCCCUGCAGAAAUAGACAAACACCAAAACUCGUGGAAUUCUGUCAGAUAAAACCCUAAGUCUAGGUGUUGGCUGCAUAUAAGUCUUUUUCCAUGAUUAGUUGAUGGUUAAAUAUGAGCAUUAAGGACCGUCAACAGUAAGCCACCUCGUUCCAUAUUUCUUAUAUCUUGAAAGGCCCGACAUACCUUAGUGCUAACAUUCCUUUCAUAUUAAACCUCCACUCACUUCUCAUAUGUGCCACUUCCAAAAACACAUAGUUUCCCACUUCAAAACUUAUUCUCUUCUCACAUGUCAGCAUAUCCCUUCUGUCGAGAUUGUGCCACCCUUAAGUUAUCUUUGAUCACUCUAAUUGUUGUUUUGCAUCACUUAGAACUUCUAGCCCAAACACUGGUGUUCUCCUGUUUGAUUUCAAAUCAACAGGGUUCUACACUUACAUCCAUACAAGCUUUCAAAAGGCCCCCACUGAAGGCUCUUCUACUAACUGUUGUUCUAAGAAAACUUCACAUACGGUAACCUCUUUGUACCAUACUGCAGUACACAAGCUCACCACAUAUCUUCUAAGUAAUCUUUUCAGUUCCUGUGGUUCCCAAAUGAGUAAUUAGUAGAGCUCCUUUGGCAGUACUAGUGACAUCACCCAGUUCAACACUCAACCCUUCAAAUUUCAGUGUCAUUUGAACUCCUCUAGCACACUCUUUAUGCUCUGAGCAUUCGCAAAGGCUUUUUCUUCUUCAAGUGAUAGCAUUUUUUUCCAACCAUAACUCUUGUUUCACUCAAAUCCAUCGACAAUGUGACCAGCUCAAAUCCAACUUCCUAAAGAUGCCCUUUAGAUUCUUACAUUCUACACAGAUAUCACUCCUUAGACCCAAGAAGGCAGUAUCUCCAUGCUCCACUAUGGAUACCUCCACAUCACACGAUAGUUAAUCCAACCCACUUAGUUGACUUAUGCACAAGCCACUACUUUUCUUGUAUGGAGCACAUCUAAGGUCUUGAUGGAAUAGAAUAACCCUAUAUGUUGAUCUUUAUAACACCUUCAGUGAACCACUGAUAGAAUCUUUUCAUUCCAAGUCAAUCUCUUAUUCACUCUUAUGUCAAGAUCACAUUGGCCCCAGCAAACCUAUGAUAGCCUCUUGCCAUAUCUAUAAAUCUCUAAGUCUCAUUCACUUUCCUUUGGUGGUUUCCAACUCUUGCAUCUUUAACUUUCUUAAGUCCAUAAUUAAAGAUGACAUCUCCUAGAUGAGAACUUCCAUCGACUAGAACAUACUAGUCGUGCUCCAUUUAGUAAUGAAGUCUUUUGAGUCUCCGUAGAAUCAACAGUAGAUGUAGCUUAUCCACUUCCUAAGUUGUCAAGUGACAAAUUUCACUAACUUGAGCCAGGAUAGAUGAUUAUAAUCAUGGGAUAUCUCCAGAGACACUUCUUACUUCAUGGUGAAUUGAAAGGGCAUUAAUCUAUCAUAUCAAGGUACUACCCCCUUAAGAUGAGAUAGGUCGGUGGACAGUUUGGACUAGCUCUCACAUUCCGUCUUAGAUGAUACACAUCAUAUGGUCUUUUAAAUUCAUUGUACCAAGUCUCAUGAUCCGGAGUGGGUUUAAUCACUAAGUUCCAACUAUUGGUACCUCUAUCAUAGUUGAAUUGCUUUGCUCUCACAUCCCAUGUAUAACUUCGUAGACUUUGGUGUCACCUGAUUCUCAUAAGCACCACUUCCAAGCUAUGAGUACUAGCAAUGACCUAUAUCUCCAUCCAUAUUAGCACACUUCAAUGGAACUAUUUCUUGCAUCAAAAACCAAAUUUACCAAACACUUGAGGUCCUUAUCGAUGAUCCAACAUUAACCAAUUCUUCUCCUUGUAACUCCUUUGAUAAGACUACCCCCCUUAGAAAAGGUAACUAGGGGUUUAAAUGGGUAGUUUAGUCCACGUCUCAAGUGUGUUUCUUAUCAUAAAAUCUUCUAAUACCGAAGAGAAACUCAUGUGCACUAAUGUGUACAAGAAAUCUGAAUUUCCUCACGACACGAGAAACACCAGCGCAGUAAAAUAGAAAUAACUCCUUUUCUGUUAAUCCAAUGAGGUCUUAGCUUAUACCGUUAGAAACCUUAUCAAAAUCCCCACAACUUUCAUAUAGAAGGCUUCCUUAGUUUCUGUCUUUAAACCUAGGUAAAACAGCCCAACAUGAUAUCCAUCCCGACAAUGUCUCAGCAUCGAUACAACAAUUUGCAGAAGUCAUAUCUCGAGCUACUUAGAUCAUAUGGGGACGAGUCUUACAUGGUUGAAAAUCUUAUGAAGUCCUCCACAACUUCUGUAUAUCCCACUUUUCUAGAUUCUGAUGUUAAGUUGGCUGAAAAGUAGGAAUUAACUAGAACUGUCCAGAUUUUGAAACUGUGCGGAAGCAUUAAAUUGUAGAGGUCAUAACUCAAGUUCUAUUGAUCCGGUAAAGUUGCAGCUUGUACCGUUGGAAAGCUUAUCAAAUGAUCUACAACUUUAUUAUAGAACCCUUUUCCAAAUUCUAUAGUUACAUUUGUUCAAAACAGUAGGCAACUGAAACUGGUCCUGAUUCCUGACAGCUAAACUGUACCAUCUUGUGAUUUUCAUAAUUCCCAAACCACAACAGCUAUGGGGGUGAUUCUUGCGGUCAGAGAAGGACCUUGAAGUCUACUAUCACCCAGAAUUUUCACAUGAUUAUAUGGUCCUCCGAGAAUAGGGAUUUGAACUGAAUCAGAUAAGUUGCUCCCAAAAGACAGGACAGAGAAACAAGAGAAACUAAAACCCAACUAUUUAUUCACUAGUCCUUAUAUCUUAGACCUAUAAAUUAAAUGAAAUUGUGGAAAAACCCACAAGAUCAUUGCACUCAUUACAAAAAAUCCAGCUCAAACAUAAGCACUAAGACAAACCAACCAAACAUUAAAGAUUCACAAAGCACUCAUAUUUGACUCAGCUUUCCCUACUAACGUUUAUUACAAAGGGGGACUUCCUACUUCUUAAACAUGGUGUGACUGCAGUGGCAUCCAGGGUAGCAUCUCUUGCGUGGAGUUAAGCGAGGUAUGUCCUCCACCUCAUUGAUCUUAGGUAAUCCACCACGACUUCUCCACUCAUCAAUCUCAUCAAGGGCUUCCUCAUAGUGUUGCCUUACUUCUGCCAAUUCCAGUUGACUGUCUUCCAACUUUUGAUGCAUGACUUGGAUAGUCAAGGCCAUCUCCUUUAGUUGUUCAUUCUUCUCCAUGUAGGGGUCAGCCAUCACACAUUGCAAGGUGCCUGGUGGACGACGAGGAAGAUAUUUUUGUUUGUCAUUCUUCCUCUCUUCGUAGUGCUUUCCAUGAUAUGCCAGAAGAGCUUGAUGGGCAGCAUCAGAUAUGCUAGCAUGCUUACUGAAGCGGUCACUAAGAGACGAGUGAAUGGAUUCCACCACGCGUGAACCAGUAAACUCAUUCCACCUUGUGAUGUGUGCUUCUGUGCUCCAGAGGCUCUCAUACUUAGGAUGAGUCCACUUAGUGCACUUAUAUUCCACCUUGGCUUGCUAUUUAGGAUAGUGGUCUUGUAGUAUACACACAAGCCGAGGGUGAAAGAAAUCUUUGCCACUAAAGGAUGUGGUAAAGUACUCCUUCCACCAACAAGUAUGUCUUGAUGGGACAGGGCAAGCUUCUUCAUACUCUGGUUCCGUUAAGCCAUAGAUACCCCGAGUUAAGCAUGGUCUUCCAGAGUUGCUGCGAGCAAUCUUUUCAUUACGAGCCAUCUACGGAAUUAGACCAAGAGGGAGUUAGAAUAGAAGCAAUACUUUUAGAAUAUAAUUAGAUGAUAGAAGCAUAAGAAUUUUAGCAAAUAGAAAGGGUGAGAUAGUAAGCAUGAAUGUAGUGAAGCCAAGAUGACUAACACGACCAUUACUAUCUAGGCUUGCGUCCUACAGUCAGCAUUGCUUUGAUACCACUUUGUAGCACCCGGUUUAAAGAACAAAACCAGAUACACACCAUAUGUGAGCCCAGGAAGUCAAAUCUCACAUAUAGCCACAAAUAGGGGUAAUAUCAAUAGACAAUGCUUAUAUAAAACGAACUUAGUAUAAAAGAUAUAACCUUAGAUAGCAAAUAGCAGAAAGACACUUCGUUCUUCAGGCAAAAGCUCCAAAUCCACAGGGACGACUGACUGGUUGAGCACAAGCCUAAACUCUUCUCCAAGAUUGCAAUCUGGUACCCAUCUGGGAUUUUUAUCCAAAUAAAAUGUAAAGACAAGCGUAAGUAAUCUCGUACUCAGCAAGAAUAACAUAGGGUUCAUGAGGCUCAAAGGCUAGACACUGGUUUAACUACAUGUAGCUUUUAGUUGUCACAAUUUUAGCAUAUGAGUAGCAUCAAGUUGUCAAGUCCCAUAGUAAACUCAUGAUCAAGUAAAGUGAAUAAAGAAUAGCAUAAGCAACAUAUUAACAACAGUAACUUUAAUAAUCUGCCAUUAGUGAUCAUUUAUUCUGUAUUGGUCCAAGGCCACUCGUGACCGUGAGAACGGCUAAUAUAUCAGUUUUACACUCUGCAGAGGUUGUACACUUUCACUGUGAGUCGUGAUUUACCCUUUCGCCUGAGGUAGCUAAUCUCUUAACCCCCAUCCUAGGGAGGCCGGUAGGGUUCACUAUGAAGCCUUUCAAAGGUUCGUCUAACAAGUUAGGGCCGCUUGGUUUCAUUAGUCAGUCCUUGCUAUUCACCCCUAGGAAUCCACGGUCUGCUAUUCCCCAUUUGCACCACAAGGGUAACCACUAACAAGCUAGAAAAGGUCAUCAUACUGAGCUAAAGCCAGAGCCAUGUAGCCCUCACAGUUGUACUGUAUGUCCCGGAUGGUCAUAUACAGAUAUGUCCUUAGGGAGAGAAACUAGAGCACCAUAGGAUAGUCCAAUGCUCCAGUCCUCUUUUCCAAAGUUGCUAAAAAGUCCUAUUUUAAUGUUUAUUGCAUAUUCCAUUAAUCAAAUUACAAGAUCAUGGUUUAGUGGAGCACUAGCAUAAGCUACCCAAUGCAAAACCAUAGGUGACAAGGUACAAGAUCAAUACUAGGAAAUCCUUAUCAAGGAGACACAUGCAAUAUGAAUUGUGUAAUUAAAGUUGUUAGGAAACUGUUGACGGUCCUUAAUGCUCACAUUUAACCAUCAACUAAUCAUGGAAAAUGAUCCAAAUGCAACUAACACCUUGACUUAGGGUUUUAUCUGACAGAAUUCCAUGAGUUUUGGUGUUUGUCUAUUUCUGCAGGGGGUUAUCAGGAAAUACGGAAGAAAGGCUCACACGUCGGGUUUACAUAGAGAUAUUAAUGUGCCCCGCAAUUUUCUAUCAUCUAGAAGACUCCAGAAGCCACAGGAACGAAGCGGAGGUCGAGAGGACUCAGGGACAGGGCGCCCGCCAUCCUUUCCUGGGUGCCCACCCUCAACCAGAGUCCAAUCAGGACUCUCUUUCGGGAUAUUGCUCCACCGACCUAAAGGAUCAAGGAUAACCGUUCAAUCAAUGUCGGUUUGAUCCAACGGCCCAUAUUCACUUGAAGGGACUAUAAAACCAGACCCCCCUGGCCCCUGGAGAUCAUACCUCUUCUACAAAAUCAAAGUUAGGGUUUCAAUUAUUCAUCCAAGUAGAGAGGAUCCCUCUAGUUCUUCUAGUUCUACCUCUAGUUCAUCUAGAUCUAGUUCUAGUUCAUCUAGUUAUAGUUCUAGUUCCUCUAGUUCUAGUUCUAGUUAGUUCUAGUUGUAAUCUAGAAAAUAGGGAGAGAGAAGAGGAGGGCGGAGGAGGAGCCGGAUCUGUCGGAUCUUCCUCAACAUUGUACUUUUGCAGCAACAGGUUCGUUCUUCAUCGUUCUCUAGGUUCUUCAAUUCAUAAUUCCUGAGUUCUUUAAUUACUUUUAUUUACAUUCAAGUUAUUUAUUGGAUUCUCGCUUGCAUCAAGUGCUCUAGUCUUUAUAACGCUAGAGUAGUAAUUAACAGAUUAGACGUGGUGUUUAGUCUUGCAAUUACCUGGAAUUGCACCCAAUCCUGCGGAUUGUUGUGGUAGCCUUAGGGUAGUGACAGCCCUAACGGUCGAUGUAUUCCACCUCGUUCGGAUCGGUGUUUGUAGGACCGUAGUCAGACAUUCCUAGCCCCCUUCACAUCUUUUUCUGUGGUUAGUGCUCUGAUGUCCCGAUAUAGAUAAUCUUUGAAGUAAUUCUUGAUUCUUAGAUCAACUAGAGAACUCUCAGAAAACUUCCUCUCUUCCCACCAAAAACAAUUAUAUAGUUAUCCUUGGGCGAUCUUGAUUCUUAAUUAGUACACUCACAUUCCCUGUGGAAAAUCGAUACUCUGGAAUACUCCCGGGUGAAAGCUACAUCGGUAUCCGUGCGCUUGCGGAUUUUUUUGUUUGCGUUUAAAAUACCCAACAAGCUUUCUGGCGCCGUUGCCGGGGAACGGUAGCUGUGCUAGUUUCAAACCAAGUCGUCCGUGUAUCCUUUUUCUUUUCCUUUUUUACCAUACCACAUGGAUUUCACUCUAAGCAUUAAUGAGCAUGGAAUUUAUUUCAUAGCCACUUCAUUUACUCCAUGCUCAUAUGCAACAUCUUCACAAUCCAUUGGUCUUUCCAACAUCACCACAUUCGAGAUCUCCAACCCCCUCAUCCUUUCUAUUUACAAAAACUUUAAAAGGGCGGUUGUCGAUGCAUAUGUCUAUAUUAAAUAUUGCAGAUCUCGUUGAGUUGAUCUUGAUAUAGGUCAGCGUUGGAGGGGAAACCACUUCACUGACAUAAAUUGAUGGUUUUCCAAGGACAAGCUUAGUGUCGUAAAAUAAGCACAGAUCAGAUUGUAACAUGAGCUUUUAAUUAUUUGCAACAUUACCUUGUGUAUUGAGCAUAUAAGGACAAUUGUAAAAAAAAAUUCCUUCGGGUAUUCUUGUUACUAACCUUUCCAGGAUUAAUGACAAGCACAAGGUAUGUCCAACCAAUCAUCAUACAACAUUGAAUUAAAUUCAUCCAAACUUGAAUUUUGCAAAAUUCAAGCUUGGGGGAGUGCUUUACAUAAAAACAUCCUUUGCCAUGUUGCUAUGUUGGUUGUCCCUACCUUUGAGACAUGCUCAAUCUGUUAAAUACUAAUCACACUAAUUCAUCUCCACUUGAGUAGAACUCUAUAAAUGCUCUCAUGCUACCUUUAUUUGCUUUAGUAUAUGUUUAGGUUUGGAGUAGUUUUAUUUAUCUCUUACUUAAGCAUGGUGCUUAGUUAGGAAUGAUGAUCUUACUUCCAAGGGAGUUUAAAUUAAGCAUGAUGCUUAGGUCAAAAUGCCCUCCUAAAUCAAAUUAGACAUGGUGUCUAGGUUGAUCUUUGAACCGAUAGUAUGCUAUAGUAGAUAUUGGAUAUUUUGUUGGACUAACCCCUGCAGGAAAACUUUCAAUAUCGACUUCGGAAGUUGAAAGGUCCUUGUUUGGUUUUGGUAAUUGAGUGACAACUUAGGUGGACUAAUAGUGUUUAUGUGAGAUACACAGGAGAUUAGUCCACAGGUGAUGAUAUGAUGGAGGAGCUCAUUGCAUAUGAGACAUGACAUGGAGUCAUGUGACCAAGGUGGAGAAGAUCAAGAUGAGGCUUGGCUCGAUGGACCGGUUGCAAGAGUGAAGGGCAAGUUGGAGGCUUUGAAGCGAGGGACCGCGUGUGACGGUGAAGCUUGAGCAAGACUUGGCACCGAUGGACCGAGGCAACGGUGAAGAGCAAGUGAGGUCAAGAUCGAUGAACCAAUACGGUCACGUGAUGAUAUGAAAUGGAUCAUAUCAUUUGGUGAUUGGUUGGUGCAUGUGUUGCAUCAACCUUAGAGGAGAUGGAAUGGAAUGCGCAAGGCAAAGGUAUAACCUAGGGUAUUUCCAUUUCACCGGUCAUAUGUGUGUAGAGAAGUUUAUGACCAGAUUUAGGAUAGAUGGCCGUACUAUCAAGAGGGGCAAACUUGUUUGCAUAUCGAUCAUCUAAUGCCACUUGAGCGAUCUAACUUUGCAUACGUGUUAGGAUCGAGUGGCGUGGCAAGUUUGAGAGGCUAACUCCUUUGGGAAAAUGUUUAUGAAAAGCUAACACACUUGCACAUGGUGGUGUACACUUGGUGUUGGCACAUUUGCAAAGGAGGUGGAGUUCCUAGGGUUGAGAGAGGUGUGGGUUUCUCUCUCCCUCCCACCGAGCUUGCGAGACGGGAUUCGGCGCUUUUGAGAAAAUUAAGUGCAUAUUUUCUAUUGCGCCGGUGGGAAUUUUUUGGAGAAGUCACGGGAGUGCACCAGACGCUCUGUGCGGAGGCACCGGACGCUGGCCUUGAGCGUCCGGUGUGCUGUCGGGUGCAGCAGAGUGCACCGGACGCACCGGAGAGAGUCCGGUGCUCAGCGUCCGGUGUGUCGGCUGUUUGGCGACCCUCUCUGCACAUGAGUCCGGUGAGCACCGGACGCUCUGGGUGCGUCCGGUGGCUUGCGUCCGGUGACCGUGCGAGUUCGCGGAGCUCUCUGCGCACGGGUCCGGUGUGGACUAGUUGAGCGUCCGGUGGUGCUGUGUCAGGCGCGAGCGUGAGGUAGCCGUUGGCGGCAACGGUCGUUUUCAAAUGGCUAGUGACACGUGGCCGACGCCUGAGCACCGGACGCUGGGAGUUGAGCGUCCGGUGGCUCCCUGUGAGCGUCCGGUGCCCACGUGUUUUGCCCAGUGAAGGGGCAACGGCUAGUUUAGCCCUUGGGGCUAUAAAUAGAAGUGGUGGCCGGCCUUGGCCGGUGCUGAGCACCCUUGGGACUUAGUGUCCAUGCAUGGGGAGUGCUAGUAAAGCCUCUAACUCACAUAUGCUUGAUAGUGAUCAUCCGAUUGUGUGAGUGAGCGAUUCUAGUGCGUUGCAUUGAGAGAUUGCAUCGAGUGGCACUAGGUGUUCGUGUUGCAAGCCAGUGGUGCUUGUUACUCUUGGAGGUUGCCACCUCCUAGACGGCUUGGUGGCUUGUGACUCCGUCGAAGCACGCAAGGAGAUUGUGCGGUGCUCCGGAGAAGAGAUUGUGAGGGGUACGGUGCUCACCCCGCGGGGAUCGCGAAGAGCAACUCUAUUGGAUCGUGUGUGUCAUUGAGCUACCUCACUUGUGGGUAGGUUCUUGUGGUGUCCUAGUGGGGACGAGGUUCGUGUAACACCUCUUAGCCGCCGAACCACCAAGUGUUGGUCGACACAACGGGGACGUAGCUUGGUGGCAACCAAGUGAACCUCGGGAGAAAAUCAUCGUGUCAACUUUGUUCUUCCUGUUGGUUUGCAAGUCCCUAACACAAGCUUGUUUUUACAUUCAUAUAUUUGUUCUUGUGUAGUUGCUCUUGUAACUAGUUAGCUUGUGUAGCUUGCUAGUUACCUUCUUGCUUGUGUAGCUUGAAGUAGUUCCCUUGCGUGACUAAUUUGGUUUGUGUAACCUUGUUAGUCACAUUGCUUAGUUUGUGUAGCUAAGUUAGUUGCGCUCUCUAAUUUGGCAUUAGUUGCCUUGUUAUUGAGCUUGCUAGUGAGCUUAGGCUUUGUGCGCUUUGCCUCACUAGUUUGUGUAGGAGCUCCCCCAGUUUGCAAAGUACUAGUGGCAUAGGUUUGCUCCUAGAAUUGGUUAGGUGAGCUCUUGCUAAGGUAGCACCUUGCUUGCUUGUUUAGGAUCUUUUCAAGGUGCUAGAGAACUUACAUAGAGGGGUGUAGUCUUGGCUAGACCGAUAGUUUUAAUUCCGCAUUUGUUUUGGUUAGCCGGCGUAAUAAGUUUUAGAAAGGACUAUUCACCCCCCUCUAGUCCGCCAUCUUGACCCUUCAGAAGUCCUGAGAUAAACUCACAUUGGAGAUAGAGAGAGAGACACAUGAAGUUUAACAAUUUACACAAGGAAGGCAUAGCUCACAAGAGAUGAUCCAUGGAGGGUGCCACAAACACGAUGCACAACCGCUAAGAGAGGAAAGCUUCCACAAGGUGAUACUGUACCAUCACUCUUCAAGUAAGGUAACAUCUUAAGGUACUUGACUAUCACUUCUAUAAGCUUCUCCUUGGUUCUGGCAUUCACAUGAAUAAAAGAGACAAACAUGUAUGAUUUACAAUUCUAGAUUGACCAACCCAAUCGAUUCAAUAUGUUUAGUCCUUUCACCUUUGUGAUCCCACACUAAAUGUUGCACACACAAUCUUUGGAAGAUAUAUAUAAAAAAAAGAGAUAAGUAUAGAUAGAUUAUCUUUCCAUUAGGUUGAGUGAUCUGAUCUGACGAAUGUUUUAAAUGCUACACUCAAGAUCUUAUUAUCCAUCAACUUUGUCUUGCUCACUAUGCUUAAGGUUAGAGAAGAACAAAUACACUUUUGGUUUUGUUGGUGUUUUCCACCAACAGGGCCCAUGCACUUGAUCUCUGCCUUGUCUCUAUGAGCAGGUACACUUCAACCAAAAUAUGAAGGACUUUUACAACUCCCAGACUCCACUAAGUGAAGAACCUAGAUCUACGAGCACAAACACACUGGAGAUACUGGACACUCAGGCAAUCACUGCCCUGAGAUGCUUGAGGACGUAACUACUGGAGUAACCCCAUUGUGGAAGUAAUUACUGACCUUCUGCCGGUCAAGAGAGACAACCCAAGACGCCCCGUCACCCCGAUCUCCAUCGGCAUGGUGGACUUCCUAGAAGCACUCUGCGACUUUGGCUCCAGCGUCAACAUUAUGCCUAAGGUACUCUAUGAAAAAAUUCUUUACACAUCCUUUACUAGAAACAACCAUGUGCUUGCAGCCUGCAGAUCAGACACUAAGUUUCCCAAAGGGAAUAUUGAAGAACCUCUGCAUCCGAGUUGGUACCUUGUACGCCCCAGCAAACUUCGUGGUGAUAGAGACUGGUACUGAUUAGAGGGCACCCAUCUUAGGGAGGCCAUUCCUGAACACCUCGGGAGCUGUCAUCUACGCUAGUGCUGCCAAGAUCAGUUUCUACAUCAAAGGGAGAAAUGAGACGUUUUCCUUCAAGAACAAGACUACACAAAUCUCAAAGCAUUCCCAACAUGAACCAAGAAAGAGGACCAACAGGAGGAACAGGAACAAGCAAGUGUGGACCGAGUUAGCUAAGAUGGUCACUGCAGUUCAAGGAGGUCAAGAUCAUCUAUUUUAGUCACCAUUCCUGACCAAAAAGGACGACCCAAGUACGCCAAGCAUCCAGUGCUCCAUUAAUGGAUACAACUUCCAGAAGAUGCUUUGCGACACCGGGUCAGGCGUCAACAUAAAGGCCGCAGUCACCUAUCAGCUCUGGUUUGGAACCAUGCCCCAAAAACCGACAUACAUUCAGCUCCAGGUGGCAGAUCAGACAUUCAGAAAAGUUAUUGACAUGGGAGAAGACGAGUACGAUCCACCCAUCAUCCUUGGGAGACAGUUCCUCAGUACCGUUAAACAAUCAUCUACAUUGGAACCGGAGAAGUCCACAUGAACUUCCCCUCUGAGAAGGUACGCCGCUAUUUUACUGACCCUAACUAUAUAGUUGAAGACUCUAAGCAGGUCAGGACAAGAAGAGGACGACGCAACCGCAACCAGAGAAGGCAAAUCAUCAAGGAUGGAUGGGCGGACUACGAAGGAGAAGUGGUAAUGUCUGAAGACAGACAGCUUGAACAGAACUGUCCUGAGGAGACCGUAGCACCAAGUCAGGUGUGGAGAGAGAAGAUAGUUAUACAUAAAGAGGAGGCGCUGCCGGAAUCACUGACUACACCAUCCAGCAAAUCUCAGGAUGACUGAGGAAACGGAGAGUCCCGUUCGGAGGACUUAAAAUACACCGAAUGCUUUGCCAAGAGGUAAACAUGGUAGUUAUCUUUUUCCUUUCAAUUAUUUUAAAAAUAGUUUGCUUAGUUAAUCAGGUUUAUAUCAUCUUGAAAAGAAAAUAAAAAUGUUAAAAAUAGUAAGCCCCAUGUGAGUAUGAUCAUGGCAUAAAACGCAUAAGUACAUUCACUGUGGUGGCAUAAAAAUAAAAUAAAUAUAUUCCUGUCCUAUAAAAAUAAAAUUAAAAAAAUAAAUUUAUGAUCCUACUAAAGAGAGUAACAUUUAUUGAGGAGGCUCAACAUGAUAAAGGCUAGAUAUUUAUGCUAACACUUAACUAGUUCCACAAAGCUUUGUUGUCUAUUUGAGCUCCACAGAAUUCAAGGAUCAAAGAAGUCUAGCAGACGGAGGAUAUCCUAAUCGCUGUCAGAGUGCUGCCGACAUUCAAAUACACCUCCAGCACCUGCUAGCUACAUUAGAAGAAAUUGCGUCAAAAUCCAGCUUGGGGGAGAGCGCCUCCAUUUAUCCAGCUAAGUAUUCUACGCACGUUUAUACUUUACUAUAAUAUGCUUAUAUAUAUAUCUUUGCUUAGUUUGCUAAAUAGAUAAAUAAAUAAAGUUUGCUAUGAACCCUCAUGAUAAGCUCUCACAUGGAAAUGAUGAAUAGUUGCUCUGCCAUGACUAGUUCUCAAAAUUGAAAUCUCUCUCAAGUUUAGGCAUGACUCUUAUUAAUUAAGCUUUGCUCUAAACCUGAACUUGUGGGAAGAGUACUUGAUCUAAAGUCUAAGUCGUUAAUGGAUACGAUAUGAGAAGGUUGAGCUGCUGUUUAUCUGUUCCUAGAGAUGCUAGAUUUCUGGAGAAUUUUAUCUUUGAAAAUCUUUAAAAUGUUGCAUGAUGAGUUCCUGUAUGAUGAGAGUUUAAAUUCCUACCACAGCCAUAUAUACAUGCUUGUUAGACUAUGAACCAUACAUUUACUUUUUACUGCUUAUGAGCAUUGAGUGUGGUCAAGCUGUGUAGACCCUUAGGAGCUUGUCAUGUGGUUAAAUCAAGAUUCACUUGCACGUUCACUCAUACAUGCAGCUUCUACUCCGGAAGUACGCAUCCACAUAUAUCCAUCCAUUUCCAUCUCCAGAACCACCCAAAACUAUUCUACUCCUAAUCAGGGAGAGAAUAGCCAAAAACAUUUCUGUUUUCCCUUGUGAAAUAAAUGCUCAAGUUAUCUUGUUAUUACCACUUGCUAUAUUAUCUCAUGAGAUGAGUGCUCUAAAAAAAGAAAAGAAAAAAAAGUAUACGAGGAAAUAAAAAGGUGCAAGUGCCUGGAACCUCGAAAGAAAAGAAAAAGUGAGAUGAGAGGUAAAAAUGGACAAGUGUCCGAUAGUAGAAUUAGGGGUACAAGAUACCCACCUGAGAGGAAAGAAAAAGAAAAUAUAGAGCAUCUCAUUCUCCUCAAAAAGUUUCAAAAGAGCAAGAGAGGUAUGUAUCCCCUCAAAAGAGCAAAAGUAGAAUUAGACUUUCACCAUUGUUAUCACCAUCAUCACCAUAUACCAUUCAUUCGCCACACAUGCACAUCUUGAUUUGACUUAUUGACUUAUUCUUCUGGAUCCAUGGUUUGACUAUGCAAUAAAUGUCUUGUAUGUAUGUAUUAGCUGUCUCCCACCUAUGAGCUCCAGAUAUCAAAACUUUAUUAGAGUAGGGUGAGAGAGAAGGCAAUGUCACUAUGCCUUAUACCAUAAAUACCACAUACUUUGAGAGAAGGCAUAUACCAUUAUUGCCUUAGUAAGGAUCCAGAAAUACCACAAAAGAGAGAUCGGAGAGAGUCAUACAAGGAAUCUCUGAGUUUUAUUUGAAAAUCUGCAAAAACUCCAGAGCUAUAGUUAAUCGAAGAACAAGAGACAUGGCGCUUGACUAGACCGUUCUAUCUUUUAACUGCUCAAUGACAUAAGUGACGGUUGCAAGCCCCAUGGUGGAAGGUACAAUGAGUAAGUUUAAAUCUUAACAGUUUACCCUAACCCAGAGAUGAGAUCUUGUUUGAACGCAUGUAUAUCUUUAAGGCAUGAAACCACUGCAGAAACUCUUAAGUUCAUCAUUGCUCAGGGACGAGCAAAGGUUAAGCAUGGGGGAGCUUGUUGAUGGUCCUUAAUGCUCACAUUUAACCAUCAACUAAUCAUGGAAAAGGAUCCAAAUGCAACUAACACCUAGACUUAGGGUUUUAUCUGACAGAAUUCCAUGAGUUUUGGUGUUUGUCUAUUUCUACAGGGGGUUAUCAGAAAAUACGGAAGAAAGGCUCACACGUCGGGUUUACAUAGAGAUAUUAAUGUGCCGCGCAAUUUUCUAUCAUCUAGAAGACUCCAGAAGCCACAGGAACGAAGCGGAGGUCGAGAGGACGCAGGGACAGGGCGCCCGCCCUCCUUUCCUGGGCGCCCGCCCUCAACCAGAGUCCAAUCAGGACUCUCUUUCGGGAUAUUGCUCCACCGACCUAAAGGAUCAAGGAUAACCGUUCAAUCAAUGUCGGUUUGAUCCAACGGCCCAUAUUCUCUUGAAGGGACUAUAAAACCAGACCCCCCUGGCCUCUGGAGAUCAUACCUCUUCUACAGAAUCAAAUUUAGGGUUUCAAUUCUUCAUUCAAGUAGAGAGGAUCCCUCUAGUUCUUCUAGUUCUACCUCUAGUUCAUCUAGAUCUAGUUCUAGUUCAUCUAGUUCUAGUUCUAGUUCCUCUAGUUCUAGUUCUAGUUGUAAUCUAGAAAAUAGGGAGAGAGAAGAGGAGAGCGGAGGAGGAGCCGGAUCUGUCGGAUCUUCCUCAACAUUGUACUUUUGCAGCAACUGGUUCGUUUUUCAUCAUUCUCUAGGUUCUUCAAUUCAUAAUUCCUGAGUUCUUUAAUUACUUUUAUUUACAUUCAAGUUAUUUAUUAGAUUCCCGCUUGCAUCAAGUGCUCUAGUUUUUAUAACGCUAGAGUAGUAAUUAAUAGAUUAGACGUAGUGUUUAGUCUUGCAAUUACCUAGAAUUGCACCCAAUCCUGCGGAUUGUUGUGGUAGCCUUAGGGUAGUGACAGCCCUAAUGGUCGAUGUAUUCCACCUCGUUCGGAUCGGUGUUUGUAGGACCGUAGUCAGACCUUCCUAGCCCCCUUCUCAUCUCUUUCUGUGGUUAGUGCUCUGAUUGUCCCGAUAUAGAUAAUCUUUGAAGUAAUUCUUGAUUCUUAGAUCAACUAGAGAACUCUCAGGAAACUUCCUCUCUUCCCACCAAAAACAAUUAUAUAGUUAUCCUUGGGCGAUCUUGAUUCUUAAUUAGUACACUCACGUUGCCUGUGGAAAAUCGAUACUCUGGAAUACUCCGGGGUGAAAGCUACAUCGGUAUCCGUGCGCUUGCGAAUUUUUUUGUUUGCGUUUAAAAUACCCAAUAGAAACAAGGAUGAUCCCUUGCUAUACUUGCCUUGAAAUUUAGAUCCUUCUUUUAGUUCCAAAACUUCCACAAACUGCUUCUUGAUCACCACGUAAAAGCUCACCGUCUAAACUCAGCCAUCACAUCAACAUCAGUCAUCCAGAGGCAAUCAUACAAAGCAAACAAACCUAUAAUUAGAACAAUACACCAAUAGUAGAAAAUAAAGAUGAAAAGUUUGUAAAACAAAACUACAUCGCACUAUGAUCACACAGACGUAAAGUUCACAAAAAUCGGAGCUAUAACGAAGAAGUUAUGAUUUUCCUAAGAUUUCCUUUAAUAAAAUAAUCAAUUAAAUAGGAUCACGAAAAUAAAAAGUUGUAAACUUGUAAAACAGUGAGACUAACAUGUAGAUCUCGUGAUUACGAAUCUAACGCAAUUUGAAUGGAUCAAAUCGGAGUUAAAAUGAAGAUUUUAUGAGCUCAAAAAAUCUGGUGCCAAUUUUGUAAUUACUGAAAACGUAUUUUGAUUUAGAAACCAAGGUAAACUAAUUGGAGAAGAGCACACGCCUGGCGGCCUGCCAUUGGCAGCAGCGAGCUCCUAGCCGGCGAGCAUGAAACUUAAGCCUACGGCCACGAUUUGAUGCGGGGAAAACAAACUCAUCAAUAGAGAUUUUGCAGAUAGGUACGAAGCGGAGAUGGAAAGCAGGGCGACGGGCGGAUCGACACCGGACUGAGGGCGAUCACGUUGUAGAGAAGAAAAUAUAAUUUUAUUUUACUACCUUAGGAAUUCUCAAAUUAGAGGCUUCCCAUAUGGUAGUCUUUGGUGUGCUUUGCCUAAGGGGUUGGUACAUAUAUAUAGGAAGAAAAACUCCCCACCUCCACGUCAACUAGCGAUAUGGUACUAAUUCAUUUGCACCCUUUAUCUUUACUAAUAGGCCUAAAUAAACAUUAAAGCCCAUUAAUAAAUAAAGACAUGGGCCUUGAGCGUUGAGAAAAAUGAGAGAUUUAUUAUUUUUGGAAUUAAAUAAUUUCAUGGAUAAAAUAAUUCUAGAAAAAUCCAGAAUUAUUCUUUAAGUCACGAAAAAUACUCCGAAAGCUCCAAAAAUUGGAGGAAAAUUCUCAUAGACUUUAUGGAAUAUGAGGAAUCCAAAUAAAGUAUUUGGAGCUCAUGAUGAGAUAAUAUGGAGUAUCUAAAAAUUAGAUUAUGCUCACAGAAGAGUGAGAACAAAAGCUGAAAAAUUUUCCGAAAAGUUUGUAGAGAUUGCUUGAUGGACGAGAAACUAAAAGAAGUGCUUUGAGUGAUAAAGAAAAGAUUUUUCGAAGCUCCUAAUAAAACUUGAGCUAAGAAACAAGGAAUUUAGUUGUAGAUAAAGAUAAAGACGUACCAAUCAAGGAAGAUUGAUCUACUAAACGCAUUUCAAAAACUUUGCUCACUCUCAACACACAAAGGAGUAACAAGCAAACAUUACAUUAAAUCUUAUACACCAACAUGUAUGCACAACAAUGUUGCUAAGCCUUACGAUAAAUUUAAUUUAAUGAAAAAUAUUAAUUUUCCUAUAUUUUCAUGGGCACAAAAAUAUAUAAUCAAAUUGUUUUAACUCUAUUUCGAAAGGAGUAGAUUUUAGGGUGUUACAGCAAUGAAUGGGAAAAGAUUAUGGAAGAUAUAUUUGAAAUCAAUCUAGUUGAUGAAAAAGAUAAAGUGGUAUGGAAAUUAGAGAGUAAAGGCACUUUUUCUGUUAAAUCUACAUAUAAUGCUUUGACUAGUUCUGAGGGUGGUCUGAGUCAUAAGUGCAUUUGGAAAGGAAAAAUUCCUCUAAAAAUCAAAAUCUUCUUGUGGCUGGUUGCUAACAAUGCCAUUUUGACCAAAGAUAAUAUGAUUAAAAGACAGUGGAAGGGAGACCCUUCAUGUUUUUUCUGUCAGUCCCUAAAUCACUUAUUGUUCAUAUGCUCUGUUGCAAAAUCUGUUUGGGCUAUCAUAGCAACUAGUUUGGGAGCAUCUAAUAUUCCCAUUUCUUUUAAUCAAAGUUGGCUUUGGUGUGACAUGUGGAUUCCAAAUGCCAAACAGUUUCAUGCAGUGGGGAUUGGAGCUGUCUGUUGGGCUAUUUGGAAGAUGAGAAAUAACAUCAGUUUUGAAGGGAAAACUCUUAAAAGUCCCCUGGAAAUUAUAAGUCAUGCUUGUGCUUUGAUGAAAUACUAGGCAGGUUUAUAGAGUGAUGUGGACAAGGAAGCGUUGAUCGAUGGAGUGGCGACUAUGUUCAAGAUUGUUGUGCAGAUUCUAGCCAAGAAACGCCGUGGAGACAAUCAGACAGGCGCAGUGAAGGACUCUGUCAAUGAAGAUGAGGCAAGCCAGGAUCCAGAUCACUGAAUGCGACCUGAAGAACAUCCGUGUGUCGUCUGGAAGCUUUUGUUGGGCUACUGUUAUGUCCUUUGCUUUCGCUAUGAUGUCAAACGUUCUUAGGCUGGUUUCGCUCUUUUAGUUCUCUUUUCUGUUCUGAAUUGUCUGGCUUUCCUGUCUGUUCAAACUCUGUUCACAAUGUAUUUCCGUUAUCAGUAAUGGAAAUGGGAUAACCCCUAGUUCGGAAAAAAUUUACAAAUAAUAUAUAACAUUAAAUAAAAAUAGAAAUGAGCCACCAAAAAUAUUGAAAAUAUAGAAAAUAUUUUGUACAGGCGGGACCGCCUGUAUAAUUCUAUUUCUUCAGCCAGUGGUUAAUGCCAACCGCAUGUACAAAAGCAUUUCUACAGGCGGUUAGCAUUGAGACCGCCUAUAGAAAUGGUUUCUACAAGCGGUUCUCAAUGCGAAACGCCUGUAGAAAUGACGCCCAAGGCCGCGCCAACCCCCCAAAAAAUUUCAAGUCUCAAGACGCGAGUUCACUUCAAACUACGCCGUCAGGCUGCCGAAUUUGUCGCCUUCUCCGCCACCACUCCGCCACUGGUCUGCGCUGUUGUUCCUCUGCUCCCGACCACGAGCCCACUAGGUAUGCCCGCCCCCCUCUCUUCUCCGACCCCGACCCUGACCCCGGCUGUGCGGCCGUCACCGCCAGCACAACCUCCCCACCACUGCCGCCGCCCGCACUCCCAAGAGAGGACGCCUGACCCUCCUCACUCUCCUCUCCACUCCCUCUGCAUUCCCUAUCGCCAUUCUCGCUCUCCUAACAAGCUCCAAGGUAAUAGCCGCGAGUGCCCAUGGCCAUGGCCACUGUGGGCGAGCUCUUGCCGAGUUGAGCCGCUCCCUGCGUGCGCCCGGGCCCCCUAAGGCUCCCCAUCAACUUCCAUACCACCGACGAAGUCCCUGCUGGCCGGAACUAGCAAUCCGCCUCCACUUCCUCUGUUUUCCUAUUGACCAGGGAUCUUGGAUAUAAAUUCGACUAAUGGCAGGGGGCUAAGUGCACAGCUCAAGACUUAGAUGAAUAGUGUCUGUAGGACCUGUUCGGUUAGGUUGAUUUAAGUUUCUUCCAGCGUCCCCGUUUCAAAGUCGUUUAACUUUGUUUUGGCAGAUUUUUAGUUGAACUUUGAUAAUUCAUAGUAAAUGCUAGAAAAGUCGUAAAAUAGUAAAUGAAUGAUUUUUGGAAUAUUUGUAAAAUUGUCUAUCCAGUAGAUUUAUAAUAUGGCAUGUUUUAGUUUGAAGGUUUAGCUGUAAAAAUAAUUUUAUGCAGUUAGGUUUUAAUUGCUUAUUGUAUUUGUCUUUUUCAUAACUGUAGUAGUAUUGCUCGAAUAAAUAUGAAAUUAUUGUGAUAUGCGUCUCAUAUGAUAUUUGAGGUCUAGUAAUUGUUUCAUGAAUUUAGUAAUAAUAGAUUAAGAUCUAUAGAAAUAACAAAUGUCCUGUGUUGCUUUGCUCUUAUUCUGAGUAGAUUUGCAUAUUUAUUUUAUUUGGCUCAGUUAGGAUGUGAAUCUUUCCUUAUGGUAAAUAUAUGAGCUGUAGUACUUUUCAUAAGCUUUCCCAAAAGCUAAAUAGCACAAUUUUUGGUUAAGCACAUGUGUAGUUAUAGUGGUGUCGGUGUUUUCCCCACGGGGGGUCACACCAACGAGUGAAUUUGUAUGCGUGCUCCCUUUUCCAGUGAUGCAAAAAGACUCAAGGAUUUAUCCUGGUUCAUGCAAGAGAAGGCCCUACGUCCAGCGGGGGGGAGAGUUUGUAUUAUUUUGCACCUAAGUGCUUGUACAGGGGUGAAUACAAGCAUGGUAUGAAGUAAGAUGGAGAUGGAAACUCUACUGCGUGUGAGCGUUGUAUGUUGUGGUGUAUUGCCUCCUGUGUUCGCUCCCGGGCCUCACCUUUUAUAGUUCCAAGGAGAAGCCCAGGGUACAAGUAUAGGUGUCAGAGUAGGGGUCGAUAGAGGUAUGGCGCGCGGACCUACUCAAGGCCUCCGUACCGGCGUGGUCUCGAGCCGUCUCGUCUUGGUAGCUUGAUGAUGAUUACGCGUGCCCCGGUAUCCUGCUUUGGGCGCCGUCUUGGACUGGUUCAUCGGUUGCACGCCUGUACGAUAUAGUGGUAGAUCCGUCGGAGUGGUUGCUGUGUUGCCAUUCGACGCCCAACCCUUCCCCAGGAAGGAAACGGGUUUGGUCGAGGGUCGGCCGCCGUGUAGCGCCUUGCAAGCCAGAGUGUUGACCUUGGAUGCCUCGAGGGGGUCUUGAUUAGACGUUCCGACCCUGCUUCCUGCGUCCUGACAUACUCUGGAUUGUUUGGCGGGGAAGGCUGCAAAAAGAAUGACGGGACGGGUGCCUGUUCCCUAUCACGCUUCCCGUGACUGGCAUGUUAGCUGAGAACGCGACAAGCGCAUUAAAUGCCCUGGUUCCCGUGCGCGCGUCAGGCGGCGGGUGGCGUCCUUGCGCUCGACGCCUCCCGGUUCGCUCGAGCCUGUUUCCGUAUUCGACGGUAGUUGGCGCUCGAGCCCUGAUCGAUUCGCUCGACGCCCUGAUCGAUUCGCUUCGAGGUUGCGGCCGUUGAUGACCAUACACGUGACGGGGUAGUACGUCGAGUAGGGGGCCUCGACUUGCGUACGGGCGAUCUCAUUACAUCAGUUAGGAUACCCCUUACUGAUAUCCUCGACAGUAGCCCCCGAGCCUCCAUUUGAGCGCUGGCCCUCGAGUGGAGGCUAUAUUUUCGUGGUCGAAUUUCUGUGGGGGCGCAAGAGCGACCCCGCGGGGGUAGCCCCCGAGCCCUUGGAGGAGUUUUCGACUCCUUCGAGGGUUAUAUCGCCUAAUUCACAGAAGCGCUGUCGACACCAGUGGUGGAAGGCUCUGUUUGGCUUGUUUUGCGCAGGGGUUUCGACGUACUCCGGAUAGAGCGAGCGUCAUCCACCCUAGAUUGAGCUCCUAAUAGGUAGUCCGAGUAAGAACCUGUGCCCGUUUCGAGGGGGUCAGUUGUAGCCUGGAGAUGUUCUCAUAAAGCGGGGUCGACGUGGUCGGGGAUGCUGGGCUCGUUCGAUAGAGUCCAGUGGCUUGAUGCCUCCCAUCGGGGGGAUUCCUCUCGACUGUCUCAACCCUACCUCGGACAUCCCUAGCGAGUUCUCGAGGCGGGCCUCGAUUUUCGACCACUCGCUGGGCAUCCCUGAGUUUGGUGCUCGAGAUCGGCUGUCGAACCCUUUCGGCGGGUCAGCCUGUGACCUCACGAGGCUUUUGUCGGUACGUACCUUGGCUUUCAAAGGAAGGAAAAGGUCGUGGCGGUUCGCCUUUCUACCCGUUGGGCACGUCUUUUCAGGCGGGAGCCGUUGCGACACUGUAUCGGCGUAGAAUUCGGAGCGCCCCGUCUGUGAGGAGGAAAAAGACCGUUAGGCGGCGCAUUUAUGGGGGGAGUUACCUCAUUUAUCGGAUCUGUCCGUUGGUGGGUUGCUGCCUAUAAAUAUCCUGUGGCCUUGCCGCCGUUCUCCCUUCCGCCUUCUGCCUCCAUUCUUGCCUUAGCUCCCUUGCCAUCUCACGCGUGCGCACCCCCUCGAGUAGUAGCGAGUCCGCCUUUCUUCCACCCAAGAUGCCUGUGAGACUUGUCGCCGCCGAUGACUGGCGCCCGUCGUCGAUGACGAAGCGCCGGUUGCUGGAGCUCGAGAGGGAGGGACUCCUGCGCCACCGCACAUCGCUGUCAUCGCCAGAGUGGAUUGCACUACCAGCGGACCAUAGGGAGCCCAAGACGCCCAAGGGCUACGUGGUUUCGUUCGCCAAGUUCCACCGCCACGGCCUGGGCGCUCCUCCGAGCCGCUUCAUGCGGGCGCUCUGCCACCAUUAUGGGGUGGAGCUCCAUCACUUGUCCCCAAAUGCCAUCACCAUCGCGGCGGUCUUUUCCGCGGUGUGUGAGGGCUAUUUGGGGAUGAUGCCCCACUGGGAGCUGUGGCUUCACCUCUACAGGGGCGAGCUCUUCAACGCCCCCACUAGAACUACAGUCGUGAGGAAACCUGUGCGGGUCGGGUGCCUCAACCUGGUGCUGAAGACGAAGAAGACGGAGAGGCCACGCGAGUACAUCCUAGUGGGGUUGUCAUCGAACCACGUUGGGUGGGACUCCCAGUGGUUCUACCCGAGGAACGACGACGGCCUUCUCCCUGCCUACACCGGCCGUCUGAUCACGGAGCCCCCAGAGGACUGGACAUACAGCGUCGUCCAAGUCCACCAGUCGCGGCUCGAUCCCCUCCUCGACGCCCUGAAGAAGCUACUCUUGGAGGGCCUGUCCGCCGCUCUCGUCCUCUCGGCCGUCCAUCAUCGGAGAGUUCUCCCGUUGAUGUCUCGGCCGCUGAGGACGGAUGAGAUGGGGCCCGAUGCUUCGUCCCGGGACCUCGAGGCAUCCCGGAUGUCCAACGAGGCAAUGGCGGAUGAUGAAGUUGCGGCCCGGGUCAGGGCGGCCGUCGCCGGCGACUUCCAGCCGGAGCACGUCAAUGGCUUCCCCAUGAGGCCUGAUGCGGGCUCGAUCGACCUGGUACGUUCUUUUCUUGUAUAUGGCUUUGAUUCUGGAUUUCCCUGGCUUCCCUUUUUAAGCUUGUCUUUGUUCUCGCAGGGACCGAUCGACGUCCGGUCCUCGAGGCCUCUAGUAAAGGAGGACGAGGUCGACCAUGACAAGCGGCGCCAGUCCGCUGAGAAACAGAAGUCCGUCAAGGACUCAGAGAAGAAAGAGAAGAAGAAGAAGAAUCUUGACCGCCAAUCGCUGGAGGGGCGUCGAGCUAAGUCCAGGCAGAGGGGGGAGCCUGAAGAAGAAUCCCCCAGUGAGGAUGACGGCGGAGACGGCGAUGACAACAGCGACGACUCCGAGGGGAUGGCGUCUCGCCUCGACCGGAUCCUCGAGGGUCCGCCUAAGGCGACGUUGACGCUCUAUGGAUGGGAGCGCCAAAGGAAGGGCCAAGCGGAUCUCACCGCCCCCGCGCUGACACCCCUCCCGCGCCCGCGCCGAGUCGUGCAGCCCCACGCCCCCAACCUCCCCCUGCACCAAAGGCGGGUGGCCGAGCUAAGCCCCAGGCAACGGGGCCGUUGACCUGUGGCCGCGCCGCGACCUCCGAAAAGGGAGAGACGGCCGCAGGAGCGCUUGCCCCGGCGCUCACCAGGUGGGAGACGCUGGACCAAGGCCUGCGCCUGCCCGCGAGGGGCCUGGAGCCUCGACGCGGGGCGGCUCGAGGCCUGCCGUUCGAGGUACCGGCAGGCGGGCCGUGCUCCCUGUGGGGUAUGUUUUUCGACGCUGUGAUUCUCAUCCUCCUAUUUCUUUGUGUUUUCUCGUAUAACGGUCUCCCUUACGUCCAUUUCUCUUUCCUCAGGUUGAAGCGGACGCUCGAGCAGGCCCAGCCUUCAAUGGCGAAAAGGCUCAAGGUGGGAGCAGCCUCCAAGGACUCAGGUUGGUUGUUUAUUCCCGUUGUUAAGGGAUUUAUGUUGUUCUUACGUCGACCAUCAUAACGACUGACCUUUGUUUUGCGUUUUAUAGGUUCCUCCGACCCUCGACCAUCGACUGGCGCCGAGAGUGCCCCGCCCCGUCCCCUGGCGGGUGAGUCUGCCCCGUCAUCGCCAAAACAGGCUGAGGCGCCUCAGCCCCAAGGGCAAGAGGGAGCCCCCGAGCCUCCCCGAUCGGGGGUUGAGGCGGAGCCGAUCACUAUAAGUGACGGGUCUGGCGGCGACAGGUCUUCGAGGGACGCUCGCCCUAUGGACGAGGAGGUCGAGGCCUCUCCCACUACGAGACAGAAUCCUUGGCCCAUCGGGCUCCACUCUGUCAAAGAGCAGAGGAGGAAAGAGGAAAGAGAGCGUGAGCAGAAGACGCGGCAUCAGCCGUAGGAGGAACAGCAGCUGCUGCCAACAGGUGGAGAGGUGGGGCAGCCGUCAGCAGGUCCCCGCUCGAGGAGCUGCUGGAGCGGGACCGUCGCCAGGAGCCGCAGGAGCUCCAGGAGCAGCGCCAGUACAGGGGCCAGCCGUCGGAGGAGCCGCUCGAGCCUCAUCCUCGUAGUCCGCCCCAACCGGUACUACCGGCGCCGCAAGAGCCCGGGAACCAGGAGGAGGGUUUGCCAGUUUUCGGCCCUCCGACCCCGGUGUGGCUCCGUCCAGGGGCGCCCGCCGCGAUCCCAGCAGAGUCGGCGUGGUGGCGCACGCCUGCAUGAUGCGCACCCCCAUCGACCCUGAGUCCGAGAUCAGGAGGACGAUCUACGGCAUGGACGGAAUCGCACCGGAAUUCCUCCGGGAGCGUCGGUCGUGGGAGGACCGUAUUCCCGCCGAGGAGGACGAGGCUGGGACAUCGGGCGGUGGCGGAGGCAGCGAAACCGGCACCUAGAAGACGGUGGAUGACGACAGGCGGUUCCCCUCCCUCAUCGACUUGUUCCUGCGCCACGGGGGGUCACUCGAGACCGUCGAGGCGCUCAUCCGUGGCGUCAAGGCGCGGGCCGACCAGGAGAUGGAGAAUUGGUGCCCCGAUCGGAUCCGUGUCUGGGCUUCCACCGAUCCGUCUAAGCCCAACAUUUUUCUUGACGAUCGGAAGGAAGCCGAGAAUUUGGAGCACGUCGAGGAGCUCUGCCUUUGGAUGAAGCACACGGUGGGGCUCCUGUCGGACGUUGUUAAUAACGGACUCGGGCCGGCCUACUUUGUAAGUAUUUCCCAGUCCUUUAAUCUUUAUGGAACAUUUGGUUUUGUGUUUUAACUGCUCGAUCGCCGGUUCGCAGGACCUAAAAGAGACCUCCCGCAUUAAGUCGAGCUUCAUCCACGCCACGAGAGGCGGCUGGGAGCAGCUCCCUAUCCUCAAGGACCAACUCCUGGAGUCGCAGGAGAAACUCCUCAAGGCUUAUAAAGAGCUCUUGGCGCUCAAGGAGGAGAAGAAGGAGAGGGUGGCUGCCCUGGCCGAGGCUCGAGAGGCCUCAAGGAAGGCUGUGGAAGAGGCUGCGCUACUGAGGGAGCGGGCCAUGACGGACGACAUGGUCGGGGAUGCUGGGCUCGUUCGAUAGAGUCCAGUGGCUUGAUGCCUCCUGUCGGGGGGAUUCCUCUCGACUGUCUCAACCCUACCUCGGACAUCCCUAGCGAGUUCUCGAGGCGGGCCUCGAUUUUCGACCACUCGCUGGGCAUCCCUGACUUUGGUGCUCGAGAUCGGCUGUCGAACCCUUUCGGCGGGUCAGCCUGUGACCUCUUGAGGCUUUUGUCGGUACAUACCUUGGCCUACAAAGGAAGGAAAAGGUCGUGGUGGUUCGCCUUUCUACCCGUUGGGCACGUCUUUUCAGGCGGGAUCCGUUGCGACACUGUAUCGGCGUAGAAUUCGGAGCGCCCCGUCUGUGAGGAGGAAAAAGGCCGUUAGGCGGCGCAUUUAUGGGGGGAGUUACCUCAUUUAUCGGAUCUGUCCAUUGGUGGGUUACUGCCUAUAAAUAUCCUGUGGCCUUGCCGCCAUUCUCCCUUCCGCCUUCUGCCUCCAUUCUUGCCUUAGCUCCCUUGCCAUCCCACGCGUGCGCAACCCCUUGAGUAGUAGCGAGUCCGCCUUCCUUCCACCCAAGAUGCUUGUGAGACUUGUCGCCGCCGAUGACUGGCGCCCAUCGUCGAUGACGGAGCGCCGGUUGCUGGAGCUCGAGAGGGAGGGACUCCUGCGCCACCGCACAUCGCUAUCGUCGCCAGAGUGGAUUGCACUGCCAGCGGACCAUUGGGAGCCCAAGCCGCCCAAGGGCUACGUGGUUUCGUUCGCCAAGUGCCACCGCCAUGGCCUGGGCGCUCCUCCGAGCCGCUUCAUGCGGGCGCUCUGCCACCAUUAUGGGGUGGAGCUCCAUCACUUCUCCCCAAAUGCCAUCACCAUCGCGGCGGUCUUUGCCGCGGUGUGUGAGGGCUAUUUGGGGAUGAUGCCCCACUGGGAGCUGUGGCUUCACCUCUACAGGGGCGAGCUCUUCAACGGCCCCAAUAGAACUACAGUCGUGAGGAAACCUGUGCGGGUCGGGUGCCUCAACCUAGUGCUGAAGACGAAGAAGACGAAGAGGCCACGCGAGUACAUCCUGGUGGGGUUGUCAUCGAACCACGCUGGGUGGGACUCCCAGUGGUUCUACCCGAGGAACGACGACGGUCUUCUCCCUGCCUACACCGGCCGUCUGAUCACGGAGCCCCCGGAGGACUAGACAUACAGCGUCGUCCAAGUCCACCAGUCGCGGCUCGAUCCCCUCCUCGACGCCCUGAAGAAGCUACGCUUGGAGGGCCUGUCCGCCGCUCUCGUCCUCUCGGCCGUCCAUCAUCGGAGAGUUCUCCCGCUGAUGUCUCGACCGCUGAGGACGGAUGAAAUGGGGCCCGACGCUUCGUCCCGGGACCUCGAGGCGUGCCGGAUGUCCAACGAGGCAAUGGCGGACGAUGAAGUCGCGGCCCGGGUCAGGGCGGCCGUCGCCGGCGACUUCCAGCCGGAGCACGUCAAUGGCUUCCCCAUGAGGCCUGAUGCGGGCUCGAUCGACCUGGUUCGUUCUUUUCUUGUAUAUGGCUUUGAUUUUGGAUUUCCCUGGCUUCCCUUUUUAAGCUUGUCUUUGUUCUCGCAGGGACCGAUCGACGUCCGGUCCUCGAGGCCUCUAGUAAAGGAGGACGUGGUCGACCGUGACAAGCGGCGCCAGUCCGCUAAGAAACAGAAGUCCAUCAAGGACUCAGAGAAGAAAGAGAAGAAGAAGAAGAAUCUUGACCACCAAUCGCUGGAGGCGCGUCGAGCUAAGUCCAGGCAGAGGGGGGAGCCUGAAGAAGAAUCCCCUAGUGAUGAUGACGGUGGAGAUGGUGAUGACGACAGCGACGACUCCGAGGGGAUGGCGUCUCGCCUCGACCGGAUCCUCGAGGGUCCGCCUAAGGCGACGUCGAUGCUCCGUGGAUGGGAGCGCCAAAGGAAGGGCCAGGCGGAUCUCACCGCCCCCGCGCUGACACCCCUCCCGCGCCCGCGCCGAGUCAUGCAGCCCCACGCCCCCAACCUACCCCUGCACCAAAGGCGGGUGGCCGAGCUAAGCCCCAGGCAACGGGGCCGUUGACCCGUGGCCGCGCCGCGGCCUCCGAAAAGGGAGAGACUGGCCGCAGGAGACGCUGGACCAAGGCCUGCGCCUGCCCGCGAGGGGCCUAGAGCCUCGACGCGGGGCGGCUCGAGGCCUGCCGUUAGAGGUACCGGCAGGCGGGCCGUGCUCCCUGUGGGGUAUGUUUUUCGACGCUGUGAUUCUCAUCCUCCUAUUUCUUUGUGUUUUCUCGUAUAACGGUCUCCCUUACGUCCAUUUCUCAUUCCUCAGGUUGAAGCGGACGCUCGAGCAGGCCCAGCCUUCAAUGGCGAAAAGGCUCAAGGUGGGAGCAGCCUCCAAGGACUCAGGUUGGUUGUUUAUUCCCGUUGUUAAGGGAUUUAUGUUGUUUUUACAUCGACCAUCAUAACGACUGACCUUUGUUUUGUGUUUUAUAGGUUCCUCCGACCCUCGACCACCGACUGGCGCCGAGAGUGCCCCGCCCCGUCCCCUGGCGGGUGAGUCUGCCCCGUCAUCGCCAAAACGGGCUGAGGCGCCUCAGCCCCAAGGGCAAGAGGGAGCCCCCGAGCCUCCCCGAUCGGGGGUUGAGGCGAACCCGAUCACUAUAAGUGACGGGUCUGGCGGCUGUUGACGGUCCUUAAGUAUCAAAUUUAACUAUCAAAUAAACAAAGAAAAGGAUCAAAAUGAAAUCAACAUCGAGACUUAGGGUUUUAUCUGACCGAAUUCCAUGAGUUUUGGUGUUUGUCUAUUUCUGCAGGGGGUUAUCAGGAAAUAAGGAAGAAAGGCCCACACGUCGGGAUUACAUAGAGAGAUCAACGUGCUGCGCAAUUAUCUUACAUCUAGAAGACUCCAAAAGCCACGGGAAGGAAGCGGAGACCGAACGGAGUCAGGGACAGGGCGCCCGCCCAAGUCCUUAGGGCGCCCGCCCACCUAUUUCGGCCAAUCACGCUCAAUCUCGCGGAUUAUGCUCCACCGACCUAAAGGAUCAAGAAUAACCGUUCAAUCAAUGUCGGUUUGAUCCGACGGCCCAGGUUCACUUGAGGGGACUAUAUAACAAGACCCCCUGGCCCCUGGAGGAGACACCCCUUGAUCAUUAUUCAUUAUUCAUAGACAGAGCAAAAGCUAGGGUUUAGAGAUGAGAGCUCUCCUCUCUUCUCUAAACUAGAGUAGAUCUAGAUAGUAGCGAGAUGGAGAGCGAAGGAGGAUUAGAGGAGAGGCCGGCCUGUCGGUUCUUCCUCCGGUUGUACUUCGCCAUGAUCAAGCUCUAAUCAAGCUUGCUCAUGGGAUGACUCUAGUAAUCUACUUCUAAUUCAUUAUGCAAUUACUAAUCAUGUAUGUUCUGGUUCACAACUCUUUUGAGUACUUCUAAUCUAUAGGACCCUAUAGGUUAGAGUUGUAGUAUAGGUGUAAGCGUGGUGCUUAGACCUAGAUUACUUGUGGAUAUCCCCUGACUAGCUGGAUCGUGUGGUAGGCCGCGUAGGUGACAGUUACGUUGGUCCCCUGUAGUCCACCUCUCGUUAGCAGGACGGGUAGGGUUUAUCGGCCUAUGGAUAAGCAUCCUUUGUGGUGUACUCUUAUCACGUGGUUCGUCCCAGACAUAGACAUACCCCUUUGAAGUAGAGAAACCAUAGUUAUCCUCUCUAUUCUGCUACCAUCGCCCAUAUACUAGAAUUGCUCUACUCUCUAUUCCCAUAUUAUCACUCACUGUUAUCUUACCUUUAAUAUUGUUCUUAUUCGAUUCUAUCAUCUUUCCUAUUUACACCUAUCUAUCUAUCUUGGUUAUGUUAGAGCGUAGUUGGUUCUCCCGUUUCCCUGUGGAUACGAUAAAACCUUUAACCAGGUAAAAGCUUCAACGGUAUCCGUGCGCUUGCGGAUUAUCUGUGUGCAUAUAAAUACCAUAGUACACUCUAGUGCCAUGCUGGGGAUGACAACCUAGUAUUCAAGUGGUGUUAGCAAGUGUCAACAAGCAUUUUUUGCGCCGUUGCCGGGGAAACGGUUGCUGAGUUGACUACGAACUAGUUUAAUCAUUUUAUAAAAAAAUAAUAAUAAAAAAAAUAUUUUCCUUUUAUCCUUUGCCUCAUCUCUGCUAUUCUUUCUUCUUAUCUAAUCCUUGAUCUCUGGUCUAUUAUGAAUUCAAACAUGUCUAUCUAUGAAUUUCAUAGACCUAUGGGCACACAUCUCGAACCACCAAAAUCUUCAAAGCCUAUCAUAGCAUCUAGUUUUGAGAUAGACCCCGAAUACAUAGAAUUUAUUCAAAAACAACCUUUCUCAGGAGAAGGUGAGGAAAACCCAUACACACCCCUAAGAGAGUUUUAUCGAGUCUGUGACCUCCUUCGCAUAGAAGGCAUGUCCGGUGAGACCCUUAAAUGGAAGCUCUUUCCGUUCUCUUUAACGGGAAAAGCUAGACAUUGGUAUAAACUCAAAGUAGGGAGUGUUCAUGGAGAUUGGAAGGAGUUAUAUAGUAGUUUUCUUUCUAAAUAUUUUCCAAUCUCCAAAGUGGUGGAACUUCGGCGUGAGAUUCUUUCUUUUAGACAACGGGAAGAAGAAUCUCUUGGCAAAUCAUGGGACCGCUUUAUUAACCUUACUCUCACUGGCCCAAAACUUUCUAUUCCAGAAGAAGUUCUUCUAAUUCACUUUUUUGAGGGCCUUAGUAGGAAAAUAAGCAAACCCUUCAUGCGGCCUCUAGAGGAUCUUUCCACCACCUAUCCGCUAGUGAAGCUUGGAAUUUGAUUGAUUUAAUGAGCGGAAAGUCUCCUAGCUUUUAUAUCCCUGAGAAAGAGAAAGAACCAGUUCCUAGCCAAGAAGAAGAAGUUUCGAUAGCCAGAUCACAACCACUUCAAUCCCAAACUUUAGCUAUCGAUCCUAAACCAUCAAUACCCCCAAAUUCUCCAAGGGAGGAAGGAAUUCCGACCUUAAAUCUUUUAGAUGCUGAUGGUUUAGACUUUUGGUUCUAUAAGAGACCUUCAAGCAGGGAUAAUUCAAAUCAUUGCAAUAAUGUUUCUCUUAGAGAAUGUCCUGGUUCCUAUCAUGAAGAAGUCGAGGAUGACAUAUCAAGUGAAGGAGAGCUAAGCCAUAUAGACAAUUCUAUCUACUCCCCUUCCAUGUUCACAAGUUCUAAAUCUAUCCUUGACCUUAGAGAUCCCUCUUAUCCCUCUUCUUUUCAGUCUCAUGAUGAUCCUAGCAAUUCACCAAGACGACCAAACCAUAGGAGUCAUGAAGACCAUAAGGAUGGCAUGUCAAGUAAUGCCAUAGAAGGAGAGCUAAGCCAUAUAGAAAAUUCUAACACCUCCCCUAUUUUGAUCACAAGUUCUAAAUGGCUAGAAUGUGUAGAAUGGAUGGAUAAGGAAGAAGCCUUAAUGGGUUCUGACUUUGGCUCAAUUUCAAAUGGUGAGUUCUUGACUUCCUUUGAAGAUGAGAUUCAUCCAACUACAGAAGAGGACAUAGGUGAGACCAAUCCAGGAGAAACUCCGAACAUUCAGAUUGGAGACGAAGAUAACAUUAAUGAGCAUGGAAUUUAUUUCAUAGCCACUUCGUUUACUCCAUGCUCAUAUGCAACAUCUUCCCAAUCUAUUGGUCUCUCCGACAUCACCACACUUGAGAUCUCCACCCCCCUCUUCCUUUCUAUUUAUAAAAACUACAAAAGGGCGGUUGUCGAUGCAUAUGUCUAUAAUAAAUAUUGUAGAUCUCGUUGAGUUGAUCUAGAUAUAGGUUGGCGUCGGAGGGGAAACCACUUCACCAACAUAAACUGAUGGUUUCCCAAGGACAAGCUUAGUGUCUUAAAAUAGGCAUUGAUCAGAUCGUAACAUGAGCUUUUAAUUAUUUGCAACAUUACCUUGUGUAUUGAGCAUAUAAGGAUAAUUGUAAAAAAAUAUUCCUUCGGGUAUUCUUGUCACUAACCUUUCUAGGAUUGGAGCAAGAAGAUCGGAUGAAUGACAAGCACAAGGUAUGUCCAACCAAUCAUCGUACAACAUUGAAUUAAAUUCAUCCAAACUUGAAUUUUGCAAAAUUCAAGCUUGGGGGAGUACUUUACAUAAAAACAUCCUUUGCCAUGUUGCUAUGCUGGUUGUCCCUACCUUUGAGACAUGCUCAAUUUGUUAAAUACUAAUCACACUACUUCAUCUUCACUUAAGUAAAUCUCUAUAAAUGCUGUCAUGCUACCUUUGUCUAUUUACUAGCAAGUGUUGGUUUGGAAGUACUCGCCAUACUUCCAUUGGCAUUAAGCAUGGUGCUUAGGUUGAAUAGCCUUCCUUAAUCUGAUUAGACAUGGAGUCUAGUUUGGUUAUUGAACUAAAAAAACUGCUUGAGUAGAUAUUGGUAUAUUUUGUCGGACUAACCCCUGCAGAAAAACUUUCGAUAUCGAUUUGGGAAGUCCUGAGAUAAACUCACAUCAGAGACGAAGAAAGUGACACAUGAAGUUUAACAAUUAGCACAAGAAGGACAUAGCUCAUUCAUCAUAAAGAGAUGAUCCAUGGAGGGUGCCACAAACACGAUGCACAACCGCUAAGAAAGGAAAGCUUCCACAAGAUGAUACUGUACCAUCACUCUUCAAGCAAGGUAACAUCUUAAGGUACUUGACUAUCACUUUUAUAAGCUUCUCCUUGGUUCUGGCGUUCAUAUAAAUAAAAGAGACAAACGUGUAUGAUUUACAACUCUAGAUCAACCAACCCAACUGAUUAAACAUGUUUAGUCCUUUAAUCCUUGUUCUUAGUACUACCUCCAUGAUCCCACACUCCUAAUCAUAUGAGCUAAAAUGUUACACAUUCAAUCAUUGAGAGAUAUAUAGAAAAAGACAUAUACAUAAAUAGAUUAUCUUUCCAUAAGGUUGAGCGAUCUGAUCUGACAAAUGUUAUAAGUGCUACACUCAUGAACUUUGUCUUGCUCACUAUGCUUAAGGUUAGAGAAGAACAAAUACACUUUUGGUUCUGUUGGUGUUUUCCACCAACAGGGCCCUUGCACUUGAUCUCUGCCUUGUCUCUAUGAGCAGGUACACUACGAGCACAAACACACUGAGCAAGAUACUGCUAACACCGCACUUCGAACUGCUGGGCAAACGAAGAACAUGGGUGACACCGUAUUAAAAGGUGCAGACGUCAAGGUCCGCACCUGAAUCAAAUGACGCACCUGAAGAAUGAACACGGUGAGAAGUCUUGUCAAGAAGACUUAAAACAAUGAACCCUCGCCGAAAGGUAAGAUUGGUAGUUAUCCAUAUUUAUCCUUUCUGCAUUCCCUUUUCCCUUUAAUUAUUUACUUUCCUUAAAUAGAUUUUUAGUUAAUCAUGCUAUCUUGAAAAGAAAAUAAAAAUGUUAAAAAAAUACUAAGCCCCAUGUGAGUAUACGAGUGGCAUAAAACCCAUAAGUACCUUCACUGUGGUGGCAUGAAAAUAAAAUAAAUAUUUCUUUUCUACUUUAUAAAAUAAAAAUAUAUAAAAACAGGGAGUAAUAUUUAUUGAGGAAGCUCAACGUGAUGAAGGCUAGAUAUUUAUGCUAACACUUAAUUAGUUCCACAAGCUUUGUUGUCUAUUUGAGCUCCACAGAAUUUAAGAAUCAAGAAGACUAGCAGACGGAGGACAUUCUAAUCGCUGUCAGAAUGCUGCUGACUUUCAAAUACACCUCUGCCACCUGCUAGCUACAUCAAGAGAAAUUACGUCAAAAUUCAGCUUGGGGGAGAGCACCCCUAUUUAUCUCGCUAAGUAUUUCUACCUAUCUUUAUACUUAUAUUAUAUUAGAAUAAUAAAAUACAUAAACUAUGAAAAACCAAAUAAAGAUUUUAUGCUUAUAUAUAUAUAAAUCUUUUCUUAGUUUGCUAAAUAAAUAAAUAAAUAAAUAAAUAAAGUUUGCUAUGAAUCUUAAUAAUAAAACUCUAGCAUGGAUAUGAUGAAUAGUUGCUCUGCCUAAUUUGCAAAUUUGAAGUUCUCUCUCAAGUUUAGACAUAACUGUUAUAAUUUAUAGCUUGCUCUAGAUCUAAACUUGUGGGAUGAAAACUUGAUCUGAAAUCUAAGUUGUUAACGGAUAUGAUAUGGGAAGGUUGAGCUGCUGUUUAUCUAUUCCUAGAGAUGCUAGAAUUCUGGAGAAUUUUAUCUUUGAAAAAUCUUUAAAAUAUUGCAUGAUGAGUUCCUGUAUGAUGAAAGUUUAAAUUCCUACCACAGCCAUAUAUACAUGCUUGCUAGACUUUGAGCCACACAUUUAUUUACUGCUUAUGAGCAUUGAGUGUGGUCAAGCUGUGUAGACCCUUAGGAGCUUGUCCUGUGGUUAAAUCAAGAUUCACUUGCACGUUCACUCAUAUAUGCUACUUCUACUCCGGAAGUACCAUCCACAUAUAUACAUCCAUUUCCAUCUCCAGUUUUACCCAAAAUCAUUCUACUCCUAAUCCGGCGGGAGAGAAUAGCCAAAAACAUUUUCCUAUCCCUGUUAUUCCCUGUGAAAUAAAUGCUGCAGUUAUUUUGGUUACUACCACUUUCUACAUUAUUUCAGGAGAUGAGUGCUCUGAAAAAAAAGAGAAAAGAAAAGAAAAAAAAAUAAUAAACGAGGAAAUAAAAAGGGGCAAGUGCACGGAACCUCGAAAGAAAGAAAAAGUGAGACGAGAGGUAAAAAUGGACAAGUGUCCGACAGUAGAAUUAGGGGUACAAGAUACCCACCUGAGAGGAAAGAAAAAGAAGAGCAUCUCAUUCUCCUCAUAAAGUUUCAAAAAGCAAGGAAGGUAUGUAUCCCCUCAUAAGAGCAAAAGUAGAAUUAGACUUUCACCAUUGUUAUCACCAUCAUCACUAUACACCAUUCAUUCGCCACACAUGCACAUCUUGAUUUGGCUUAUUGAUUUGUUUCUUUGGAUCCAUAGUUUGACUAUACAAUAAAUGUCUUGUAAGUAUGUAUACUUUAUCUCCCACCUAUGAGCUCCAGAUAUUAAAGCCUUAUUAGAGUAGGGUGAGAGAGAUGACAAUGUCACUAUCCCUUAUAUCACAAAUACCACAUAUUUUGAGAGAAGGCAUAUACCAUCACUGCCUUGGUAAGGAUCCAGAAAUACCACAAAAGAGAGAUAUGAGAGAGUCAUACAAAGGAAUCUCUGAGUUUUAUUUGGAAAUCUGCAAAAACUCCAGAGCUAUAGCUGAUCAAGAAUAAGCGACAUGGCACUUGACUGGACUGUUCUAUCUUUUAACCACUCAAGACAGAAGUGACGGUUACAAGUCCCAUGGUGAAAGGUAAAGUAAGUAAGUUUUAAGUCUUGACAGUUUACUCUAACUCAGAGAUGAGACCUCAUUUAAAAGCAUGUGUACCGUCAAUUUUUAAAGAUAUUGCAACAACUUAUGAUCCAUAGCUGAGUCUAUCCUUGCUCAGGGACGAGCAAGAGGUAAGCUUGGGGGAGUUUGUUGACGGUCCUUAAGUAUCAAAUUUAACUAUCAAAUAAACAAAGAAAAGGAUCCAAAUGAAAUCAACAUCGAGACUUAGGGUUUUAUCUGACAGAAUUCCACGAGUUUUGGUGUUUGUCUAUUUCUACAGGGGGUUAUCAGGAAAUAAGGAAGAAAGGCCCACACGUCGGGAUUACAUAGAGAUAUCAACGUGCCGCGCAAUUAUCUUACAUCUAGAAGACUCCAGAAGCCACGGGAAGGAAGCGGAGACCGAACGGAGUCAGGGACAUGGCGCCCGCCCAAGUCCUUAGGGCGCCCGCCCACCUAUUUCGGCCAAUCACGCUCAAUCUCGCGGAUUAUGCUCCACCGACCUAAAGGAUCAAGAAUAACCGUUCAAUCAAUGUCGGUUUGAUCCGACGGCCCAGGUUCACUUGAGGGGACUAUAUAACCAGACCCCCUGGCCCCUGGAGGAGGCACCCCUUGAUCAUUAUUCAUUAUUCAUAGACAGAGCAAAAGCUAGGGUUUAGAGAUGAGAGCUCUCCUCUCUUCUCUAAACUAGAGUAGAUCUAGAUAGUAGCGAGAUGGAGAGCGAAGGAGGAUUAGAGGAGAGGCCGGCCUGUCGGUUCUUCCUCCGGUUGUACUUCGCCAUGAUCAAGCUCUAAUCAAGCUUGCUCAUGGGAUGACUCUGGUAAUCUACUUCUAAUUCAUUAUGCAAUUACUAAUCAUGAAUGUUCUGGUUCACAACUCUUUUGAGUACUUCUAAUCUAUAGGACCCUAUAGGUGAGAGUUGUAGUAUAGGUGUAAGCGUGGUGCUUAGACCUAGAUUACUUGUGGAUAUCCCCUGACUAGCUGGAUCAUGUGGUAGGCCGCGUAGGUGACAGUUACGUUGGUCCCCUGUAGUCCACCUCUCGUUAGCAGGACGGGUAGGGUUUAUCGGCCUAUGGAUAAGCAUCCUUUGUGGUGUACUCUUAUCACGUGGUUCGUCCCAGACAUAGACAUACCCCUUUGAAGUAGAGAAACCAUAGUUAUCCUCUCUAUUCUGCUACCAUCGCCCAUAUACUAGAAUUGCUCUACUCUCUAUUCCCAUAUUAUCACUCACUGUUUUCUUACCUUUAAUAUUGUUCUUAUUCGAUUCUAUCAUCUUUCCUAUUUACACCUAUCUAUCUAUCUUGGUUAAUUAGAGCGUAGUUGGUUCUCCCGUUUCCCUGUGGAUACGAUAAAACCUUUAACCGGGUAAAAGCUUCAACGGUAUCCGUGCGCUUGCGGAUUAUCUGUGUGCGUAUAAAUACCAUAGUACACUCUAGUGUCAUGCUGGGGAUGACAACCUAGUAUUCAAGUGGUGUUAGCAAGUGUCAACAGCGGCGACGGGUCUUCGACGGACGCUCGCCCUAUGGACGAGGAGGUCGAGGCCUCUCCCACCGCGAGACGGAAUCCUUGGCCCAUCGGGCUCCACUCUGUCGAAGAGCAGAGGAGGAAAGAGGAAAGAGAGUGUGAGAAGAAGACACGGCAUCAUCCGCAGGAGGAACAGCAGCUGCUGCCAACGGGUGGAGAGGUGGGGCAGCCGUCAGCAGGUCCCCAGCUCGAGGAGCUGCUGGAGCGGGACCGUCGCCAGGAGCCGCAGGAGCUCCAGGAGCAGCGCCAGUAGAGGGCCCAGCCGUCGGAGGAGCCACUCGAGCCUCCUCCUCGUAGUCCGCCCCAACCGGUACUACCGGCGCCGCAAGAGCCCGGGAACCAUGUGGCAGAACCCCCUAAGUGUUUGGGCCCACCGGCACCUGCCAUUGUCCUCAGGACCUCUGACGGUGAUGCCGGGAGUCCUCCCACUUUAGAAGUCCGAUGAGCAUUGCUGGGCGCUCAUUCCACUGCUACCCGUGGCGUACCAAGCUGGCUCGUCCUGACCACUGGUAAUGGUCAAACAACGAGAACUGUUUCUUCUCGCCCUUACAGGAUAGCAAGUGGCCACCUUAACACCAGGAUCAUUCGUUGCGAAGAUAAAGCAGUAACUCAACAACACAAGACCAAAUAAUAUUUCAGAGUGAAACAGCGGAAGUAUUACAUAACUUAAUUUACAAAAGGAGUUCUUCCAAAUAGUAGAGUGUUAUUACAAGCCUGGUCCAGCGGAGCAACUGAAACUUUAGUAUAGACAGAAUAAAUUUACAGACCCUGCCCAUGGGUCACGCUCACUCUUCUUCGUCGUCAACCUCGACGACGGUCACACAACAGGGUCCGAAACAAGUCGGCUCCUGUGCUUCACCUGCAACAGGGGUAUUGAAACCCUGAGUACGGGAGUACUCAACAAGACUUACCCGAUGAGAAAAAGAGGAGAACUAAGGGAUGCAGGCUUAGGGUAGGCAAGGGGUGGUUGAGCAAGGAGCCAAAGUGUUUUGCGUAAAAAGCUUACUAGUAGUGCAUCCUUAUUUUCAAGUUUUACCCACGAAUUCCUCCCUCGCAGAGGCCGAGGAGUUCGAGGACAGUCUAACUGGUUGUUCCUCACAGACGAAUCCGUGAGUUCCUAGUCCUAUCAUAAAGUAAUAGUUAUCGAUGGCCAUAGCUUCAUGUCGCUAUGAGUCCGGGAAUUGGGAUCCGAACCUCAUGAGACAUUUUCCCCUUUCUCAUUUUAUCACUUAGUUGCAUAUUUAACUACGAUGAGGGUCGAAGGAAUUGAGUCUCCCAAUCGGGGAGCAACGACGAUUCGAAUCGCUUAGCAAUCCAGCUGGAGUUCCUAACCACCCGACAUAUGUAGAACCAAAUCUUGCAUAUAUCAACCCAAAUCAAGCUCUCCCCAAAUUUGACCAGGUUCGCGGCACCCGAGAGCACAGUACUCCACCAUCCUACAGCCGAUCUAGAUGUUUUCCGGUCAUCUCAGAUCCGUAAGGUGGGUACACACUACUCUCGCCAUCUUUCCACUCCCAGUGCGCGAGUAGCUGUUCGCGUCGAGGGAUCACAAGACCGGGCUUACCGAAGGCAAGUGGCUAGUACUAUAAAUUCUCAACCCAGCAGGCCAUCAACGGAACGGUCCUUAAUCAACACAGUCGGAGACACUACUUUAAGACUCCAUUCUCAGAGCAAGUCCACCGACCGGUUUCAAAUUGAAACAUCAUUGAUCGUAAGUGUAUCCCACAACAACCCUUCAAACUUUCUUGUUUAAAAACCUAUCUAGUAGCAGGGCUAAGCAUCGCUACGCAGUUUUAAAAUAAAACAGGUGUCAAUGACAGGAUAUAGAUAUCAAGGUAGUAAAUGCAGCAAGUAGGUUAACCCAAUUCUCAACUAUCUAAUGCAGCAUUUUCAAACCAUAAGUGAUAAAAGAUUCAAAACAUUCAAGGAGGGGUUAAUGCAUCCGGGGCUUGCCUUGGUUGCAGGGCAGAGAGGGACCCUCGGAGACUUCCCAAGUCUCGGAUCCGACUUCCUCGAACGGAGCACCGACCUCGGGGUUCGGUUCAACGGGCGCUCCUUCGGUCACGGACACUAUACGCAAAAUGAUGAAUGCUUAUGAUAUGCGUAUGACAAAUAUGCAAGAAGGACCAAAUCGAGUACAACUCGCCUUCUUGAUGCAAUACAGAAUUAUCGCUAAAUAAAGUUGUUUAAUAACUUAAUGAUUUUACCCAAGAGAUUGCAUCUGUAAACUAAAACUCUAUUUAAUUCACACUUAUCUUAAAUUAGUUAAUUAUUAAUCCUAAUUACCUUAAUUAACUCUUAAUUAAUUACUAAUGACAGUAAUUAAGCAUUAUGGCUAAACAAUAAUCAAAUGCCAAAGGUCAUUAGGGUUAAUGACCUUAGGUUAUCACACAAUCCAAAAUCACUCAACCCUAAUUAUGAGGAUCUAAAUAAUCACCAUUUAAUUAUUUUGGAAUUAUUAUUUAAGUGCUAAAUAAGGGUUUAUUAAUAUUUUAAUCAAACAUUAUCCAAAUGCCACCAAAUUUUGUGUGGAGCCAGGGAAUACCACUCAGAGGCUCUCCACAAUUUUUGGUGAUUUUUGGACCUCCUAAUAAAUUACUAAAAUUCCUAGAAGUUUUAUUCACUAAUUAAAGAGCCAAUUUUUAUAGACAUGUAAACUACCAGAAAAAUAGAAUCUACUAUUUUUCUUGUGUUCUACCCACUUUAUGGAACCUAUACAAAAACUUUCAUCAUUUUUGGAUUAGCACACCAUUUAUCAUAUAAUUUCAAACAUCAAACAAAAAUUGCAUAAAAAGAAAAAGAAAAGGAUCUCUGCGCAGUGGGCGGCCUGGAUCUUGGCCCGCAGGUCGGCCCACAACCGCGCUGCGCAGACGGCCUGCUUGGACACGGCCCAAAUCGGCCCGGGGGCGCUCCCCUGCGCGGACGGCGCGUGCUGCCCCCUCUCCUCACGUUGCGGGACGCUGACAGGCGGGUCCCGCCUGUCAGCUUCGCCUCCCUCGCUCACGGCGGUGCUGCCGCCGCUCCGGCGACCGUUAGCGGGUUCCGCGGCCCCCGCGCGCGCGCGCACCAGCACCGUGCCAACCCUGCGACUCCAAAGUUACCACUCACGGACGCUCUCUCGCUCUCUUUCCACCUCAACCACGCAAAUGGCGGACGGCCGCGUCGGUCGCCGAGGACCGGGCACGAAGGUUCGGUAGAGCGCGAACCAGUAGGUCCGGGAGGUCCGGGAAGAAGUGGGGAUCAUGAUGCUCACAUCACCACGGCGGGAGAAGCGGUAGAGAAGCUUGGCGACGGUGGCCGUGCGGUCGGGCGGAUGCUCCGGCUCCGGCGAGGUUGCUCCGGUGAUUCUGUUGGCGUCCAGUGAGAAAUAGCGAGCGCAUGAGUAUCGGGGAAACAAGAAGAAUUCGGAACGACCGCCUUCAAGGCGUGGUACCGACUGGAGCAGCGUGCUCACGUGAAGGGUUCCACGGCGGCGACGCCGGCCGGACUUAGAGAAGAAGGAGAAGUUCUGGCGUUUGAGGGGGUUAGGGCGUGAGCUCGGGGGUGCUCUGGGUCCGCAAGGAGGUGGCGAAAACGGCAGCGUGCUCAAAUUGGCUCGAAAGGAACGGAGUGCGGUGGAUUUCAGAGAGAGGGAGGUCGAGUUUCUCCGGCCGUGGACAGUGAAAACGGACGGCGUCGUCCACGUCGGUGCUCAAGUGGAGGGGAAGGCAAGCCUGAGGCAUCCACGUCGCCUGGCGACCCUGGCAGCAAGCAGCUGCGUGCACUCACGCAUGCGCGCGGCGCUGCUCGCGCGGCAGCUGCGCUGGGCAGGGAGCCGGUGAUCCCUAUCGGAUCACUGUAGGAGACCCCUAUCCCCUCUUUUCAGAACUUUGCGAAAAUCAACCGAAAUUUGAACUGGAGUCAAAUUUUUGUCAAAACAAAAGUUGUUCCAAAUUUUGUAAGCUACAAAUCAUAUUUAGGUGUCCCAAGCUGAUUCUCACUGGAAAUAAGUUAAUUUUGCCAGACAGUUUGAAAAUCAGACUCAAUUCAAAAGAAAUUCAAAUUUUUGAAUUGGGGCAAAUCAGGAUUUCUAAAAUUACUUUUGAUUUUGCAUAACAGCUUGAAAAACUCCCAACAUGAAAGUUGCUCAACUUUUUGUGCUCUACAACUUUCAUGUUGACCACUUUUCAAAAUUCCAAAUGGAUUUUGAAUUGGGGGUUUAAGUUGGAAAAGGGGACACUUUCUAGAAAUCUGUAUUUUCAAAAUUACUUUGAAUUUUGUAUUGAAACUUCAAAAACUCAAAACACCAAAGUUGUACAUCUUGCCAAGAGCUACAACUUUGCUUUUGAACUCAACCUCAAAUUUUGCUUAGUUUUUGACUUAUGCAAAAGGGGACAAAUCUAGGAUCCAGAAAUCAGGGUUUUCCCCCCCUUAGCUUUUCGGAAAACUUCCACCCUAGGGUUUUAGCAACCACACAAGCAACAACACACCACAGAAGCACACUCUACUUCCCUAAGCUCAAGCAAUCAAGGUAAACUUAUUUUAAGUUGAUGCAUACUAAUGUGCUUUAACAAAUAUGCUUUGCAAUGCUUAUGAUGACAUGAUCCGUUUUUAGUAACCGUAACAUCAGGGAUGUUACAGCCCUUCCCCCUUAAAGAAAUCUCGUCCCCGAGAUUUAAAACCUUAGGGUAAGUAAUGGAAAAGGAAAUUUGUCAAAACUCUUUCAUCUUCAACUUUUCCAUAAGGCAAGGAGUUGGGGAAAAAAAUACUUCAUUAUAAGCAUAUAUGUACAUUAAGUACAUGGCUUUGGUGACUCUUUUCCUUCACUAGAGUACACUCUCUGGUUAUCAUAUGCUGUCCUGAAGGUUAGCAUGGAAUUCAGGAAAAUUCUCUAGCAAGUAAUCUUCAGAUUCCCAGGUGGCUUCUUCUUCAGAGUGCUGGCUCCAUUGUACCUUAUACCAUUUGGUGGUUGUCCUUCGAGUAACUCUAGCUUUUUGAUCCAGUACUCGGAUAGGGUAUUCCGAAUAAGUUAGAUCUGGUUCAAGCUUUACAUUUUCAAUAUCUUGAACUCGAUCUGGUACCCGAAGACACUUUUUCAGUUGAGACACAUGGAACACAUUAUGUACCCCGGAUAAUCGUUCGGGCAGUUUAAGGCGGUAAGCGACCUGCCCACAUCGGUCGAUAAUUGGAAAUGGACCAAUGUAACGAGGCGCUAACUUGCCUUUAACACCAAAACGAUUUACUCCUUUCAUUGGGGAUACUUUCAAAUACACAUGAUCACCUUUGGCGAACUUUAAUGGUCGAUGUCUUUUAUCAGCGUAACUUUUCUGUCGGGACUGAGCAACUUUCAAGUUAUUUUGGAUUUGUUUCACUUUGUUCUCAGUCUCUUUCACUAAGUCAACUCCGAAGAACCAUCUUUCUCCAGGUUCCGACCAGUGUAACGGAGUUCGACAUCGGCGACCAUACAGUGCCUCAAAGGGAGCCAUUUUGAUACUCUCUUGAUAGCUAUUAUUGUAGGAAAAUUCUGCUAGAGGCAAGCAGUCAUCCCACUUAUCUGGAAAAUUCAGGGCACAAGAUCUUAAUAGAUCUUCUAGGGUUUGAUUCACCCUUUCAGUUUGCCCACCGGUUUGAGGGUGGUAGGCUGUGCUGUAUAAAAGAUUAGUGCCCAGGGACUCAUGUAAACAUUUCCAGAAUUGGGAGACAAAUUGUGUGCCUCUAUCUGACACUAUUGUCUUUGGCACCCCAUGCAGACUUAGGAUACGGUCGAAAUAAAUCUUAGCAUAGGUGGAGGCAGGAUACAAUAGCUUUACUGGCAGAAAAUGUGCUGUUUUGGUGAGACGAUCUACUAUGACCCAAAUGGAAUCAAAGCCCUUGGCCGUCUUGGGCAAUCCUACUAUGAAAUCCAUACUUAUGUCGUCCCAUUUCCAUGCGGGGAUAGGCAAAGGUUGCAACUCCCCAGCGGAUUUGAGAUGAAUGGCUUUGACCUUUCGACAGGUGUCACAUUGGGCCACAUAGCGAGCUAUUUCUAUCUUCAUUUUUGUCCACCAAAACCUUUGCUUCAGGUCCUGAUACAUCUUAUUGCUUCCCGGAUGAAUGGAAUACCUCGUGGUAUGAGCUUCAUCCAGGAUUUGCUGACGUAGCUUAGGUACCUUUGGAACCACUAACCGGUUCUUGAACCAGAUUACUCCCGCAUCAUCCACCUUAAAGUCUGUGGGUGCUCUAUUAGAAAUCUUCUCUUUAAGAUGUCUCAUGCUUUUGUUUUCUUUUUGUGCCUUUAUGAUUUGAGCCUCGAGAUUGAAAUCAAUCUUUAAAUUGGAAAGGCUUCCUUGGGAAAUCAUUUCUAUUCCCAAAUUCUCUAGCUCUUGGCACAAAGUUAUAUCCCUAGGCGUCACUGUUAAGCAAUUACAGUGAGCCUUACGACUGAGGGCAUCCGCUACUAUAUUUUCCUUGCCAGGGUGAUAAUGCACCUCAAGGUCGUAAUCUUUAAUUAGUUCUAGCCACCUUCGCUGGCGCAUAUUAAGCUCAGCUUGAGUAAAGAUAUACUUCAAGCUUUUGUGAUCUGUAUAUAAAUGACAUGUGUUCCCCAACAAAUAAUGACGCCAGAUCUUUAAUGCAUGUACCACGGCGGCUAGUUCAAGAUCAUGGGUCGGGUAAUUCUCUUCAUGGGGUUUGAGUUGUCUGGAAGCAUAUGCAAUUACACGACCCUCCUGCAUCAGCACACAGCCUAACCCGAUCCCUGAUGCGUCACAAUAUACAUCAAAGGGUUUUUCAAUAUCUGGCUGGGCUAAGACAGGUGCAGUUGUCAACAACCUUUUCAGAGUCUGAAAGGCUUGCUCACAUUGGGGUGACCAAACAAAUUUUGUUUGACUUUUGAGCAAGGUUGUGAUUGGUUUGGCGACUCUGGAAAAGUCCGGGAUGAAACGACGGUAAUAUCCCGCCAUGCCCAGAAAACUACGGACCUCAUGUACCGUAGUCGGGGGUUUCCAAUUCAACACAUCUUCUACCUUGCCUGGGUCUACAGCGACUCCUUCCGCUGAUAAUACAUGACCCAGGAAAUGAACUUUGUCCAACCAGAACUCACAUUUGCUGAACUUGGCAUAUAGUUGAUGCUCCCUGAGACGGGUCAGCACGACUCUUAAGUGUUCAGCAUGUUCUCUCUUAGUCUUGGAGUAAAUCAAAAUGUCGUCAAUAAAGACAACAACAAAUUUAUCUAGUUCUGGCAUGAAGACAGAGUUCAUCAGGUACAUGAAAUGGGCCGGUGCGUUAGUCAACCCAAAAGACAUCACCAAGUAUUCAUACAGCCCGUAACGGGUUGUGAAAGCGGUCUUGGGCACAUCUUCCGGCCUAAUUUUAAUUUGGUGGUACCCUGAUCUCAAAUCAAUUUUUGAGAACACUUUGGCCCCAGCUAGCUGGUCAAACAAUAAGUCAAUGCGGGGCAAUGGGUACUUGUUCUUAAUCGUUACCUCAUUUAGAGGACGAUAGUCGACACACAGCCUUAAUGUCUGAUCUUUCUUUUUCACAAACAAGGCUGGGCAACCCCAUGGAGAAGAACUGGGCUGAAUAAAACCCUUCUGCAACAACUCUUGUAAUUGGGUUUUUAAUUCGGCCAGCUCUUUCGGUGCCAUUCUGUAGGCCCUUCGAGAUAUUGGGGCCGUUCCUGGUUUCAAUUCUAUACUGAAUUGUACAUCCCGGUCCGGAGGCAGACCUGGUAAGUCUUCAGGAAAUACAUCCGGAAAAUCUCGAACUACCGGAAUAUCUUUGACUUCAGACACAUUUGCGGCAUGAACUUGCCCAAUUGUCCGUUUGGGAGUAACUAAUUGGAUUAGCAAAUAAGAAUUCUCAUUGGGCAAUGGGAUUUUAAUGGUUCGGUGCAAAGUGUCUAGCACAACCCCUCGUUGCGCCAUCCAGUUCAUGCCUAAGAUGACAUCAAUUUCUUGGUCCUUAAGAACAAUCAUGCUAGUAGGAAAAUUGUGCCCACCAAAUUCGAUGGGUACUUGGUGAACCAUUUCUUUAGACAUCAGCCGUCCUCCUGGCGACUGUAUAUAAAAAUGAUCUUGUGUUUCCCCAAUGGGUAUGCCAUGCUUUAACACAAAGGUGCGAUUGAUGAAUGUAUGAGAUGCACCAGAAUCAAAGAGCAUUAAAGCAGGAUGCUUCGCAACAGGAAACGUACCCAUCAUCACUGGUUCACCCUCUGGAAUUGUCUCCACUUCAGUAUGGAAGACUUGCCCUGUCUUCUUUACCGGUCUACCUUUCUGUACCUGUUGCCCUUUUUGAACCCCAGUUCUGAACUGACCCGGCUGGGGUUGGCCCAUAGGUGGCCUUGGAAAGGUAGGGUUGGUUUGGCGGGGAAAAGGGCACUCUUUAGAGAAAUGCCCAGGUUUACCACAAUUGAAGCAAGGGUAAUUGUGGCUGGGCGGAGCAGUAGGGCGAACACCCGGGGCGUUCGGCUGGCGUGGUGCAAAAGCGAUGGCAGUAGGUCGAGAAUAUACCUGCUGCCCGGGUCUGUACUGUGGAGGGGAGAAAGGACCACGAUAAGGUGACGGCGUUUGGAAACGUCCGUGGCCCUAUGGAUGAUAAAUGAUCCUCUGGCGCUUUUGACCGCGACCAGAGAAAGAAGAGGAAGCAGCCUUCUUCUUGGCUUCCUUAUGUUUCCUAUUCUUUUCCUCUGAGGCGAUAGCAAUAUUUACCGCCUCAUAGAAAGUAGCAUUUUGGCAAGUGGUCAUCAUGGUCUGAAGUUUAGUAUUUAGACCACGCAUGAAACAGGCUUUCCUCUUUCUGUCAGUGUUCACAUGAUCCGUGGCAUAUUGAGAGAGAUGAUUAAACCUUGCCACGUAUUCCAUAACACUUUUAUCGCCUUGCUGCAAGGCGAGAAACUCUUCGGCCUUCAUGGCCAUGAGCCCUUCGGGGAUGUAGUGGGCGCGGAACGCGUCCUUAAAUUCGGUCCAAGUGACUUGGUGUCCGGGAGCUUGAAUAGCUAAGAAGUUCUCCCACCAGGCACCUGCAGCUCCCCGAAGCUGCUGAGCUGCAAAUAAGGGUUUCUGAGUUUCUGAACAUUGAAUCAAACUGAACUUAUGCUCCAUGGUUCGGAGCCAGUCAUCCGCUUCUAAAGGCUCAUCGGCCUUAGUGAACACCGGGGGCCUGGUCUCGGUAAAGUCCACAUACCGAGCCUCUCCGUCCCCGUUGCGCGGUGCCCUGAAGUUUGGAGCAGGGUGUGGUUGACGCUGUGCUAGCUCGCGCAGCAAGCGAGCAUUGUCAGUAGUGGCACUUAACAAAACAGCAAUGGCGUCAGCCAAAGAAGGUGGAGCAGGUGGAGGGUUGGGGAUAUCAUCCCCUCCCUGGGAUGUCCCAGCUCCAUUGGAGCCGCGAGUACGCAUCGGCAUCUGUUACAAGAAUCGUAGAUACCUGUUACCACGUAAAAUUCAUAACACAGAACAUAUCUUACAUUCUUUCAUUCACUUAUUAAACAUUAGUUAGAUACACACCAAGAGUAAGCAAGUACAACUUUUCAAACCAAAAGAGAACUUAUAUACAAACCCGAACCCCACUACGGCAAGCUAAGACCCCUACAACGACGUUGCCCUCGGUUUCACCGAACUAAUCGGUGUGGCCAGAGCUGUAGCCCGGGUCGUCAUCGCCAUCAUCCUGAUUACCCCCUGGGUUGUUGUUAUCGGGGUCGGACUCCUCUUCAUCAUUGAGGCCUGGGUCAGGUUCUCCAUCGUCUGCCAACUCGCCAUCCGUAUCCAUUUCUCCUUCGCCGGGAGGUGGGUGGAGUUGAUGAUACAGAUCAAAUGCAAUAUCACGAUAUUGCAUAGCCAGGUCAUUGACUGUAUCUAAGUGAUGUGCCAGCUCCAGUUUCUCCAGCUGGAGCUGGUCCUCUCGUUGCCACGCGACAUCCCGUUGUGCGGUGACCGUGGCCGCCAUCUUCACAUACAAAUCCUUAAGAUACCUUGCCUUGCCCAACUUUGCGUUCAUCCUAGUUAGCUCAUGCCUAUGGGUGCUCCUAGCUUCUUCCUCUCGGGCAAUGGCUGCAUUCCGCUCGUCCACCAUCCGGGACAACAUAGCUUCACAGUUUUCCGUAGCUUGUUUUUCUUUGGCCAGUUGAACUUUAAGUUUGCCAAUCUCCAUAAUAUUGUACAUUCUCUCUCUCAUCACCUCAGUCAAUUCGGCGGACAACCUGUCCACCUCCUGCUGAGGCGGUGAACGGCUACUACUGGCUUGAUCACUGCGUGGAGCUAGCUGAUGUCGGGGAACUCCUUUUGGACCGGUCCGCUUACGCGGGGUCUGCUUCUGACGAGCCAUCCUGUAGAGGGUAAGUUUAGAUUAGUAAGAGAGACCUUAAAGGUUAGCAAGAAUAGGAUUGAUUCUAUUCACCCAACCCAACAAGGAGGAAGGAACUUAACCAGUUAAUACAUCAUGAUGCAUGCACGAACUUACGAUUCCUACUAACAAUUCGUAACAACAGUACCUUAAAUUUUUACAACAUAGGGCAAUACUUUAGGUUGCUCCUCCAUACCACUUCAAAAAUUCUCAGAAAGCCUAUAGACAGGGGUAGAUUAGGACUAAGCACUUGGACUCAAAAUAGGCAGGUUCAUAAUAUUAGUUCCAAACGAAUUUUUGAAGUUUUUCAAAAGGUUCAGCAGUCAUCUUAGCAACGAAUGCUCUGAUACCAGCUGUGGCAGAACCCCCUAAGUGUUUGGGCCCACCGGCACCUGCCAUUGUCCUCAGGACCUCUGACGGUGAUGCCGGGAGUCCUCCCACUUUAGAAGUCCGAUGAGCAUUGCUGGGCGCUCAUUCCGCUGCUACCCGUGGCGUACCAAGCUGGCUCGUCCUGACCACUCGUAAUGGUCAAACAACGAGAACUGUUUCUUCUCGCCCUUACAGGAUAGCAAGUGGCCACCUUAACACCAGGAUCAUUCGUUGCGAAGAUAAAGCAGUAACUCAACAACACAAGACCAAAUAAUAUUUCAGAGUGAAACAGCGGAAGUAUUACAUAACUUAAUUUACAAAAGGAGUUCUUCCAAAUAGUAGAGUGUUAUUACAAGCCUGGUCCAGCGGAGCAACUUAAACUUUAGUAUAGACAGAAUAAAUUUACAGACCCUGCCCAUGGGUCACGCUCACUCUUCUUCGUCGUCAACCUCGACGACGGUCACACAACAGGGUCCGAAACAAGUCGGCUCCUGUGCUUCACCUGCAACAGGGGUAUUGAAACCCUGAGUACGGGAGUACUCAACAAGACUUACCCGAUGAGAAAAAGAGGAGAACUAAGGGAUGCAGGCUUAGGGUAGGCAAGGGGUGGUUGAGCAAGGAGCCAAAGUGUUUUGCGUAAAAAGCUUACUAGUAGUGCAUCCUUAUUUUCAAGUUUUACCCACGAAUUCCUCCCUCGCAGAGGCCGAGGAGUUCGAGGACAGUCUAACUGGUUGUUCCUCACAGACGAAUCCGUGAGUUCCUAGUCCUAUCAUAAAGUAAUAGUUAUCGAUGGCCAUAGCUUCAUGUCGCUAUGAGUCCGGGAAUUGGGAUCCGAACCUCAUGAGACAUUUUCCCCUUUCUCAUUUUAUCACUUAGUUGCAUAUUUAACUACGAUGAGGGUCGAAGGAAUUGAGUCUCCCAAUCGGGGAGCAACGACGAUUCGAAUCGCUUAGCAAUCCAGCUGGAGUUCCUAACCACCCGACAUAUGUAGAACCAAAUCUUGCAUAUAUCAACCCAAAUCAAGCUCUCCCCAAAUUUGACCAGGUUCGCGGCACCCGAGAGCACAGUACUCCACCAUCCUACAGCCGAUCUAGAUGUUUUCCGGUCAUCUCAGAUCCGUAAGGUGGGUACACACUACUCUCGCCAUCUUUCCACUCCCAGUGCGCGAGUAGCUGUUCGCGUCGAGGGAUCACAAGUCCAGGCUUACCGAAGGCAAGUGGCUAGUACUAUAAAUUCUCAACCCAGCAGGCCAUCAACGGAACGGUCCUUAAUCAACACAGUCGGAGACACUACUUUAAGACUCCAUUCUUAGAGCAAGUCCACCGACCGGUCUCAAAUUGAAACAUCAUUGAUCGUAAGUGUAUCCCACAACAACCCUUCAAACUUUCUUGUUUAAAAACCUAUCUAGUAGCAGGGCUAAGCAUCGCUACGCAGUUUUAAAAUAAAACAGGUGUCAAGGACAGGAUAUAGAUAUCAAGGUAGUAAAUGCAGCAAGUAGGUUAACCCAAUUCUCAACUAUCUAAUGCAGCAUUUUCAAACCAUAAGUGAUAAAAGAUUCAAAACAUUCAAGGAGGGGUUAAUGCAUCCGGGGCUUGCCUUGGUUGCAGGGCAGAGAGGGACCCUCGGAGACUUCCCAAGUCUCGGAUCCGACUUCCUCGAACGGAGCACCGACCUCGGGGUUCGGUUCAACGGGCGCUCCUUCGGUCACGGACACUAUACGCAAAAUGAUGAAUGCUUAUGAUAUGCGUAUGACAAAUAUGCAAGAAGGACCAAAUCGAGUACAACUCGCCUUCUUGAUGCAAUACAGAAUUAUCGCUAAAUAAAGUUGUUUAAUAACUUAAUGAUUUUACCCAAGAGAUUGCAUCUGUAAACUAAAACUUUAUUUAAUUCACACUUAUCUUAAAUUAGUUAAUUAUUAAUCCUAAUUACCUUAAUUAACUCUUAAUUAAUUACUAAUGACAGUAAUUAAGCAUUAUGGCUAAACAAUAAUCAAAUGCCAAAGGUCAUUAGGGUUAAUGACCUUAGGUUAUCACACAAUCCAAAAUCACUCAACCCUAAUUAUGAGGAUCUAAAUAAUCACCAUUUAAUUAUUUUGGAAUUAUUAUUUAAGUGCUAAAUAAGGGUUUAUUAAUAUUUUAAUCAAACAUUAUCCAAAUGCCACCAAAUUUUGUGUGGAGCCAGGGAAUACCACUCAGAGGCUCUCCACAAUUUUUGGUGAUUUUUGGACCUCCUAAUAAAUUACUAAAAUUCCUAGAAGUUUUAUUCACUAAUUAAAGAGCCCAUUUUUAUAGACAUGUAAACUACCAGAAAAAUAGAAUCUACUAUUUUUCUUGUGUUCUACCCACUUUAUGGAACCUAUACAAAAACUUUCAUCAUUUUUGGAUUAGCACACCAUUUAUCAUAUAAUUUCAAACAUCAAACAAAAAUUGCAUAAAAAGAAAAAGAAAAGGAUCUCUGCGCAGUGGGCGGCCUGGAUCUUGGCCCGCAGGUCGGCCCACAACCGCGCUGCGCAGACGGCCUGCUUGGACACGGCCCAAAUCGGCCCGGGGGCGCUCCCCUGCGCGGACGGCGCGUGCUGCCCCCUCUCCUCACGUUGCGGGACGCUGACAGGCGGGUCCCGCCUGUCAGCUUCGCCUCCCUCGCUCACGGCGGUGCUGCCGCCGCUCCGGCGACCGUUAGCGGGUUCCGCGGCCCCCGCGCGCGCGCGCACCAGCACCGCGCCAACCCUGCGACUCCAAAGUUACCACUGACGGACGCUCUCUCGCUCUCUUUCCACCUCAACCACGCAAAUGGCGGACGGCCGCGUCGGUCGCCGAGGACCGGGCACGAAGGUUCGGUAGAGCGUGAACCAGUAGGUCCGGGAGGUCCGGGAAGAAGUGGGGAUCAUGAUGCUCACAUCACCACGGCGGGAGAAGCGGUAGAGAAGCUUGGCGACGGUGGCCGUGCGGUCGGGCGGAUGCUCCGGCUCCGGCGAGGUUGCUCCGGUGAUUCUGUUGGCGUCCAGUGAGAAAUAGCGAGCGCAUGAGUAUCGGGGAAACAAGAAGAAUUCGGAACGACCGCCUUCAAGGCGUGGUACCGACUGGAGCAGCGUGCUCACGUGAAGGGUUCCACGGCGGCGACGCCGGCCGGACUUGGAGAAGAAGGAGAAGUUCUGGUGUUUGAGGGGGUUAGGGCGUGAGCUCGGGGGUGCUCUGGGUCCGCAAGGAGGUGGCGAAAACGGCAGCGUGCUCAAAUUGGCUCGAAAGGAACGGAGUGCGGUGGAUUUCAGAGAGAGGGAGGUCGAGUUUCUCCGGCCGUGGACAGUGAAAACGGACGGCGUCGUCCACGUCGGUGCUCAAGUGGAGGGGAAGGCAAGCCUGAGGCAUCCACGUCGCCUGGCGACCCUGGCAGCAAGCAGCUGCGUGCACUCACGCAUGCGCGCGGCGCUACUCGCGCGGCAGCUGCGCUGGGCAGGGAGCCGGUGAUCCCUAUCGGAUCACUGUAGCAGACCCCUAUCCCGUCUUUUCAGAACUUUGCGAAAAUCAACCGAAAUUUGAACUGGAGUCAAAUUUUUGUCAAAACAAAAGUUGUUCCAAAUUUUGUAAGCUACAAAUCAUAUUUAGGUGUCCCAAGCUGAUUCUCACUGGAAAUAAGUUAAUUUUGCCAGACAGUUUGAAAAUCAGACUCAAUUCAAAAGAAAUUCAAAUUUUUGAAUUGGGGCAAAUCAGGAUUUCCAAAAUUACUUUUGAUUUUGCAUAACAGCUUGAAAAACUCCCAACAUGAAAGUUGCUCAACUUUUUGUGCUCUACAACUUUCAUGUUGACCACUUUUCAAAAUUCCAAAUGGAUUUUGAAUUGGGGGUUUAAGUUGGAAAAGGGGACACUUUCUGGAAAUCUGUAUUUUCAAAAUUACUUUGAAUUUUGUAUUGAAACUUCAAAAACUCAAAACACCAAAGUUGUACAUCUUGCCAAGAGCUACAACUUUGCUUUUGAACUCAACCUCAAAUUUUGCUUAGUUUUUGACUUAUGCAAAAGGGGACAAAUCUAGGAUCCAGAAAUCAGGGUUUCCCCCCCCUUAGCUUUUCGGAAAACUUCCACCCUAGGGUUUUAGCAACCACACAAGCAACAACACACCACAGAAGCACACUCUACUUCCCUAAGCUCAAGCAAUCAAGGUAAACUUAUUUUAAGUUGAUGCAUACUAAUGUGCUUUAACAAAUAUGCUUUGCAAUGCUUAUGAUGACAUGAUCCGUUUUUAGUAACCGUAACAUCAGGGAUGUUACAAACCAGGAGGAGGGUCUGCCAGUUUUCGGCCCUCCGACCCCGGCGUGGCUCCGUCUAGGGGCGCCCGCCGCGAUCCCAGCAGAGUCGGCGUGGUGGCGCUCGCCUGCAUGAUGCGCACCCCCGUCGACCCUGAGUCCGAGAUUAGGAGGACGAUCUACGGCAUGGACGGAAUCGCCCCGGGAUUCCUCCGGGAGCGUCGGUCGUGGGAGGACCGUAUUCCCGCCGAGGAGGACGAGGCUGGGACAUCGGGCGGCGGUGGAGGCAGCGAAACCGGCACCUAGAAGACGGUGGAUGACGACGGGCGGUUCCCCUCCCUCAUCGACUUGUUCCUGCGCCACGGGGGGUCACUCGAGACCGUCGAGGAUGUCAUCCGUGGCGUCAAGGCGCGGGCCGACCAGGAGAUGGAGAAUUGGUGCCCCGAUCGGAUCCGCGUCCGGGCUUCCACCGAUCCGUCUCAGCCCAACAUUUUUCUUGACGAUCGGAAGGAAGCCGAGAAGUGGGAGCACGUCGAGGAGCUCUGCCUUUGGAUGAAGCACACGGUGGGGCUCCUGUCGGACGUUGUUAAUAACGGACUCGGGCCGGCCUACUUUGUAAGUAUUUCCCAGUCCUUUAAUCUUUAUGGAACAUUUGGUUUUCUGUUUUAACUGCUCGAUCGCCGGUUCGCAGGACCUAAAAGAGACCUCCCGCAUUAAGUCGAGCUUCAUCCACGCCACGAGAGGCGGCUGGGAGCAGCUCCCUAUCCUCAAGGACCAACUCCUAGAGUCGCAGGAGAAACUCCUCAAGGCUUAUAAAGAGCUCUUGGCGCUCAAGGAGGAGAAGAAAGAGAGGGUGGCUGCCCUGGCCGAGGCUCGAGAGACCUCAAGGAAGGCUGUGGAAGAGGCUGCGCUACUGAGGGAGCGGGCCAUGACGGACGAGGAAGCCGCGUCCAAAGCCCGGGAGGAGGCCCUGUCUUAUAAGAACACCGUUGCUGACCUGGACAAGGAGAUGGGCCUCCUCAAGACCGACCUGGACUCCAUCCGAGAAUCCUUCCAGAGGACGAAGGUGGAUUGUGUGAACAGCGGGAUUGCCAGGAGCGCCGCAGAGGAGGCCAAGAAGAAGGCCCUCGAAGACCUAGAGGCGGAGCAGGUUCGAUCCCGCAGCCUCUCUGACGACGUCGAUCAUCUGAAGAGGGCACUGCUGGAGAAGGAAGGAGCCAUCGCGCAGGCCGGCAAGGCGAUCGAGGAUCUGCGCGUCGCCAACACCGAGCUGGCGCGCUCCAAAAGGGAGGUCGAGAGGGCCAACACCUAUUUGGUUGGCGAGAACACGGCCUCGGAGGAGAGCAUCCGCGGUACGUUUCUACUAUCGAGUUUCUUUUCUGAGGUGUGUUGGGUGUUAUCUAAUUUCUUCAUGUUGGUCCUUGCAGGACUCAAAGAUGAGCUGCUGGCCACCCAAGUCGAGGCCCGCUCCAUCAAGACCCAGCUCGAGGGGGAGGUUGCCUUAAAUGGUCGUCUACGGACUGCGAUAAGUGACCUCUCGGCCUCCUGGGAGCUUGAGCCUGUUGACGAGUCCAGGGAGGAGGCUCGAGGUGAAGCGCUCGUCGACCAGCUAUGCUACCUUGGUGCUACGCUGAGGGACCGGGUGCGGGACGCCCUCCAUAUUGGGGUAAAGCGGGCAAUGGCAGUUGUCUGCUCGGGCUUUUCCUAUGAUAUGGAGGUGGUGUCUCAUGGUUUAGUCACCGACAUCUCCAAGAUUGACGUGGAGAACGAGGAGAGCCUCCACGCCUUGAUCGACGACGCAGAGAUCCCUGGGGAGAGGUUGGCCAAGCUAUUCGAGCCCGAGGUACUUCCCCCUGAGACUAGCUCAGGCGCAGGCGAGGGUGGUGAGGGCCGUGAUGCGAACUAAGGCCUGCGAGCCUGCUCUGGGUGCCUAGGCCCCUUGUAUAGUAUUAUGUUAAUUUGUCUUUAAGUAAUACAAUGUUUUUAAGUGGUUGUCAAAUGUUUAUUUGUCUUUUCGCUCGAGGCUCCUUUAUUUCCCCUUGUGCCUAUGUUUGUAUUCCUCGUUUGGUCUUUUAUUUAAGGCGAUCUCGAUUGCCUCAAGGGUGAGGAAGCGAGUAGAGUUUCCGUAGCCCGGGGGCGUCGGAGUUCUCAGCCUCGUCGUCUCUCGGCCCUUAAGGGGCUCGAGGUGCCUCUACUACUCGACCGUAUGGGAUUACUGAUAGGAACGAAAGGGUUACUUGGUUUUUUCGACACUUGGGGGGGCAUUACCCCCUUGCUAGCCCCCGAGGGGGUAUCGACUAUGAUCGGUCAUAGUUGGUACUCCCUUCUAACAUCGAGAUUUUGACUCGUGAAAAGGUAAAUUGCUCGAGGGAAAGACCUUAUUUAUUCAUGCGUUCGUUUACAAGGCCUUGGUACAGAAUAUACAUGGGAACAUAAAGCUUUGAAAUUCUAGGGGUAGAAUCGACGUAGCUGUUCGAUGUUCCACACGUUGGUGAAAAUCGCCCCCUUUUCGUCCACGAGCUGGUAUGUCCCCGGCUUCAAGACCUCGGCCACUACGUAUGGGCCCUCCCAAGGUGGAGUCAGCUUGUGGCGUCCUUGAUUGCUUUGCCGCUGUCGUAGGACGAGGUCGCCCACGUUCAAGUCCCUCUUGCGCACGUGCUUAUCGUGGUAGCGUCGAAGUUUCUGCUGGUAUCUGGCAGAGUUGAGGAGAGCCAUGUCUCAAGCUUCCUCGAGUUGGUCGACCGCGUUCUCUUGAGUCUCUUUAUUUGAUUGCUCGUUGUAUGCUUUGAGUCGAGGGGAUCCAUACUCGAGGUCCAUUGGGAGCACAGCCUCAGAGCCAUAGACCAUGAAGAAUGGGGUGUAUUUUGUGGCCCUGCUCGGCGUCGUCCUUAAGCUCCAUAGGACUGAGGAAAGCUCCUCGACCCAUUUCUUGCCGAAUUUCUUCAAGCGAUUGUAGAUCCUUGGUUUGAGCCCCUGCAAAAUCAUGCUGUUGGCACGCUUGACCUGGCUGUUAGUUCGAGGGUGGGCCACUGCUGACCAGUUCACACGGAUGUGAUGCUGAUCGCAGAAGUCCAACAACUUUUUGCCGGUGAACUGAGUGCCGUUGUCGGUGAUGAUGACGUUGGGAAUCCCAAACCGGUGGAUGAUGUCGGUGAAGAAAAGGACGGCCUGCUCAGAGCGGAUGUUGGUGAUGGGUCGAGCCUCGAUCCAUUUGGAGAAAUUGUCGAUGGCCACCAACAAGUUGGUAUACCCCCCUUUUGCCUUUUGUAGAGGCCCUACUAAGUCGAGCCCCCAUACCGCAAACGGCCAUGUGAUAGGGAUCAUCUGGAGAGCGUGGACUGGCAGGUGCGUCUGUUUGGCGUAGAAUUGGCACCCAUGGCAUGAGCGUACAAGCUCGAUGGCAUCAGCUACGGCCGUUGGCCAGUAGAAGCCUUGUCGAAAGUCGUUCCCUAUGAGGGUUCGAGGAGCUGCAUGGUGGCCACAAGCCCCCCGAGUGUAGAUCCUCGAGGAGUUUUCGGCCUUCUUCUACGGUGAUGCAACGCUGCAAGACCCCCGUCGGGCUUCGUCGAUAUAGCUCAUUGUCCUCGCCAUAGAUUACAUAUGACUUGGCCCGUCGAGCAAUACGGCGGGCCUCGGAUCGAUCUUCUGGUAGCUCGCAGCGGAUUAGGCAGUCGAGGAACAGCGUGCGCCAAUCAAACGGUCGACUGGGCCGCUGUUCCACCUCCAUUACCUCAGCUGCCAUUAGUAGCGCUUUGACGGUGUCUGUUUGCUGGGUAGGAGCGGCUUCGACACCAGCCCCCGAGCCCAAGUCGACGGAUGGCUCAUGUAGAUCUCUUGAGAACGCGUCAGGUGGCACCGUGCCUCGAGUCGACGUGAUCUUGGCGAGUUCGUCGGCCGCCUCGUUGUAGCGUCGGGCGACAUGGACAAGCUCGAGGCCGUGGAACUUGUCCUCAAGUCGACGGACCUCCUUGCAGUACGCCUCCAUUUUCGGGUCAUGGUAGCUCGAGGUCUUCAUCACUUGGUCGAUGACGAGCUGAGAGUCGCCUCGGACGUCGAGGCAUCGGACUCCUAGCUCGAUGGCGAUCUUCAGACCAUUGACAAGGGCCUCGUACUCUGCGAUGUUGUUGGACACAGCAAAAUGUAUCCUGAUGACAUAUCUCACAUGGACGCCCAAGGGCGAGAUGAAUAGCAGGCCCGCCCCAGCUCCCGUCUUCAUGAGAGACCCAUCGAAAUACAUCGUCCACACCUCUGACUGAACCUGAGCCGGGCAGCUGGGAGUCUGUCCAUUCCACGACGAAAUCCACCAGGGCUUGUGACUUGAUAGCUUUACGGGGUGCAUAAGUGAGAGUCUCACUCAUGAGCUCGACCGACCACUUGGCGAUUCUUCCCGUGGCUUCUCGACUUUGGAUGAUCUUGCCCAAGGGAAAAGACGAGACCACCGUGAUAGGGUGGCCGAGGAAGUAGUGCUGCAGCUCGCGUCAGGCGAGGAUUACGGCGUAGAUUAGCUUCUGGAUCUGUGGGUAACAUGCCUUGGUCUCUGAGAGCACUUCGCUGACAAAAUAGACCGGCCUCUGGACUGGCAGUGCAUGCCCCUCCUCCUGCCUCUCGACCACUACUGCUGCACUGACGACCUGGGUCGUCGAUGCAACGUAUAGAAGCAGAGGUUCUGCGGGUUGAGGCGGGACUAGCACUGGUGCAGAGGUCAACGUUUUCUUCAAGUUAUCAAGUGCUUCCUCGGCCUCUGGGGUCCAAGAGAAACGCUCGACUUUCUUCAGAAGUCGAUACAGUGGCAACGCCUUUUCUCCCAACCUCGAGAUAAAAUGACUCAGCACCGCGAGGCAUCCCGUGACUCUCUGCACGCCCUUGACGUCUCGGAUCGGCCCCAUUCUUGUGAUGGCAAAGACUUUCUCGGGGUUGGCCUCGAUGCCACGCUGGGAAACGAUGUAACCCAAGAGCAUGCCUCGAGGCACGCCGAAAACGCACUUCUCGGGGUUGAGCUUGAUCUGGUUGGCGCGUAAGCAGCUGAAAGCGAUCUCGAGGUCCUGGAUCAGGUCUCCCCGCCGCUUUGACUUGACGACGAUGUCGUCGACAUAGGCCUCGACCGUCGACCCUAUGUGCUUGCCAAACACGUGGAGAAUGCAUCGCUGGUACGUAGCCCCCGUGUUUUGAAGCCCGAACGGCAUGGUUACAUAACAAUACAUCCCAAAAGGUGUAAUGAAAGAUGUCGCGAGCUGGUCGGACUCUUUCAUUUUUAUUUGAUGGUAACCAGAAUAUGCAUCAAGGAAAGAAAGGGUUUUACAUCCCGUAGUUGAAUCAACAAUUUGAUCGAUACGAGGUAAUGGAAAAGGAACUUUCGGCCAUGCUUUAUUUAAACUUGUAUAAUCGACACACAUCCUCAUUUUCCCAUUCUUUUUCUUAACUAGUACAGGAUUUGCUAACCAGUCGGGAUGGUGAAUCGGCGCAACCGUUUCUUCACUGGCUUGGAACCGGCUCGAAUUUCCAAGGAGUGCUCGACGACUUCCCUCGGUAUGCCAGGCACGUCCGAGGGACUCCAUGCAAACAUGUCGGCGUUUGCACAGAGAAAGUCGACGAGCAUGGCUUCCUAUUUGGGAUCGAGGUCGGCGCCGAUCGUCAGCGCCUUGCCAUCAGAGUUGUUGGGGUCGAGCGGGAUCUUCUUGGUUCCUUCCGCCGGCUCGAAGCUACCCGCGUGGCGCUUGGGCUCUGGAGCCUCAGCGGCUAGGGCCUCGAGCUUCGAGGCGAGCUCGGUGGAACUCUCGAGUGCCUCCCCAUACUCGACGCAUUCGACGUCGCACUUGUACGCGUGCUCGAAGGAGGAGCUGACGGUAAUGACGCCCUUGGGACCGAGCAUCUUUAGCUUCAAGUAGGUGUAGUUGGGGAUAGCCAAGAACUUGGCGUAGCCCGGGCGCCCGAUGAUGGCGUGGUACGUGCCCCAGAACCCUACCACCUCAGGUGAGGGUCUCUUUUCUGAAGUUGGCCGCUGUGCCAAAGCAGACCGGUAGGUCGAUUCGACCUACUGGCAACGCCUUCUUCCCAGGAACGACACCAUGGAAGCCUCCGGCGCUUGGUUGGAGCUGCGACCUGUUGAUGUUGAAGAGGUCGAGUGUCUCGAGGUAAAUAAUGUUUAAGCUGUUGUCGCCGUCCAUCAGUACCUUUGAGAGUCUAGUGUUGAUGAUGAUGGGGUCGACGACAAGCAGGUAGACGCCAGGGGCGACCACCUUGUCGGGGUGGUCCUCUCGAUCGAAGGUGAUGGGGGUGCUCGACCAGCUGAGGUACUGAGGCACCGCCCUCCUUGCCGCAAAGACUUCAUGGCAUUCCCUCUUGCGCUGUCUUGCGGUCAACUGCGUCGAGGGACCUCCGUAGAUCAUGUAGCAGUCGUGGACGGCAGAGAAGCCAUCAUCGUCUUUGACGUCCCCUUUGUCACCGCUCUUCUCUUUCUUUUGGUCAUCGCGGGCAUCCUUCUUGAAGACCAGACCGUCGAAAUGCUUUUUCAGCAUACGACAGUCCUCGAGCUUGUGAUUGGCUCCUCCCUUAUGGUAAGGGCACGGCUCCUUUAGCAUCUUAUCGAAGAUGCCCGCCUCUGGCGGGCUUUGAGGCCUUUUGCGUUCCAUGGCGGCGACGAGAUCGUCGUCGAGGUCUUUCCACUAGAAUGGGUAUGUUUUCUUCUUCUUCUUGUUCUUCUUGGGCCCUUGACUGGGGCCCUCAUCCUCGUCGGCGGGCGGCUUUCCUUUCCUUCCUUCAUAGCUGAAGAAGGCGCCCACCGCUUCUUCCCCAGCAGUGUAGUUUGCUACUACGUCCAUCACCUCGUCGACGGUCUGAGGGCGAUUCUGGCCUAGUUCCCGCACCAAGUCCCGACUGGUGGUACCAAAGACAAAGGCCAGGAUAAUGUCGUGGUCGGGGAUGUGCGGCAGCUCGGUGCGUUGCUUCGAGAAGCGUCGAGCGUACUCUCGAAGCGUCUCUCCUGACUUCUGCUUGCACUUGCUGAGGUCCCAUGAGUUGCCGGGUCGUAUGUAGGUCCCUUUGAAGUUACCCUCAAACACCCUGACCAAGUCGACCCAAUCGUGGAUCUGGUCGGCUGGGAGCUCCUCGAGCCAUUUGCGAGCGGUGUCGGAGAGGAAGAGCGGCAGCUGUCUGAUGAUGGCUUGAUCGUCCCCUCGUGCGCCUUCUAGCUGACAGGCCAGCCUGAAAUCUGCUAGCCACAGCUCUGGCUUGGUCUCACCGUUAUACUUUGCAAUGCUGGUCGGGGGUCGGAACGGGCUGGGCAGCGGCGUGCUGCGGAUUGCCCUGCUGAACACUCAUGGGCCUGGUGGUUCUGGGGCCAUUCGGUCCUCAUCGCUGUCGUACAUCCCGCUGCGAUGGGCGCUGUAACCGCGUUCUUCCGCGUCCCCGUACCGAUGGCGACGAUUCUCUUCAAUAUCGCGUCCUGCGUCGUGUCAUUGUUGGUUGUCGACGGGGAGGACGAGUGUGGUCUUUUUUCCUCGAGGGGGUGGCUGCUGAUGGACUGAUACCUCCUUUUCAUUCUGGGCUGGCUCAUCGCACUUUUCUGUGGCCGCCCCUCGACGUCGAGAGGCCGAUCUUUCUGCUUGCUGCACUGCAGCCACCUAGAGUAGAGUCUGCACCUCGUCUCGGAUGUGCCGUGCUUGGGAGUUUGAGGGCUCGGGCAUGUUACGUAACAGCAUCGUCGUUGCCACAACGUUCUGGCCCGCCCGAGGAAAGCGGCUGACGGGUUGUUCCGGCUCCCCGUCCCCAACGAUCUGUCAGUGCACCUCUCGAGCCCUUCUGCGGACACUUCCACCAGGCGGGUAAGGCAGGUCCUGCUCAAGGAUCUGCUCGAGCAGGACGAGGCGCUCACGAUCCUCAUCAAGUUUUGUCUUGAGCUCUCGCAGCUGCGCAAGUUGCGCGGCUCUGUCUUUUUGCGGUGGUGGGUCGACCUGUCCGUCGUUCCCAGGCAUCCUGGGGUCUUCCUUUGCUGCGGGGGCUCGACCGCCAGCAGUAGCAUCCUGCGUCUCGUCGGUAGUUUCUACCGCCCCGUCGAUAUGAUAGCAUUCCCUAGUAGGGUCGUAGCUAUUGGUCUCGGAGUCGGAGUCCGGCUCGGCGGCAUAGAAACAUCCACGUCCCUCCUCCAGCAGUCGCUGCCUGAGCGAGGUGAUCGUGUAUCGCCCAGGGCCUAGGCGACGGAGGCCUCGUACUUGGGAGAGACCCGGUAGCUCGGACGUCGGUUGCUGUGCUCUAGGGUCGCGUGGGAGGACCAUUGGUCUCUCCACGUACGUCUGGGUGUUUGGGCAUAUCGCCCCGACGAGCGACGCCGCGGCAUUGUCCAAACCGAAUGGCAACGCUCUUCUUGGGGCAAACAGCCCAUGUGGGAGUAGCCUGGCUGUAGGGGAAAGCGCGCGGGGCGCGUCGCCCCUUGUCGUCGUGUCCUCCUCGUGUCGUUAGGCCGUCAUGCCCACGGUUUCGGCGUGCGGCGCUGUCGGCUCCUAUGUCGUCUCCCGCCUGGCAGGAAUCGCUGGUCGUGCUGAGGCGGAAGAGCGACGGUGGUGCUGUCCACGCCUCUUCUUGGGCGGGGAGGCGUGGUGGCAAGGACGUCUCAGGGCCCUCUGCCGUGCUGGCGCAAUGCGGGCUCCUCCUGGUCCUUUGAUCGAGAGCAAGACCAUGUCAUAGCCGGAGCCAGUAGACAUGAACUCGAGACUCCCAAACCAAAUCACCGUAGAGCGCGGAAUCGGCGAGGCGGGAGUGGCCAUCUGGAAAGGAAUGGGAAAUCGGUGAAAAACACGCAGGACCCCCACCUGGCGCGCCAAUUGUCGGUGUUUUCCCCACGGGGAGUCACACCAACGAGUUAAUUUGUAUGCUUGCUCCCUUUUCCAGAUGGUGAUGCAAAUAGACUCAAGGAUUUAUCCUGGUUCGGGAAAGAGAAGGCCCUACGUCCAGCGGGGGGGGGAGAGUUUGUAUUAUUUUGCACCUAAGUGCUUGUACAGGGGUGAAUACAAGUGUGGUAUGAAGUAAGAUGGAGAUGGAAACUCUAAUGCGUGUGAGCGUUGUAUGUUGUGGUGUCUUGCCUCCUGUGUUCGCUCCUGGGCCUCACCUUUUAUAGUUCCAAGGAGAAGCGCAGGGUACAAGUAUAGGUGUCAGAGUAGGGGUCGAUAGAGGUAUGGCGCGCGGACUUACUCGAGGCCUCCGUACCGGCGUGGUCUCGAGCCGUCCCGUCCUGGUAGCUUGAUAAUGAUUACGCGUGCCCCGGUAUCCUGCUCUGUGCGCAGUCUUGGACUGGUUCAUCGGUUGCAUGCCUGUACGAUAUAGCGGCAAAUCCGUCGGAGUGGUUGCUGUGUUGCUAUUCGACGCCCAACCCUUCCCCCGGAAGGAAACAGGUUUGGUCGAGUGUCGGCCGCCGUGUAGCGCCUUGCUAGCCAGAGCGUUGACCUUGGAUGCCUCGAGGGGGUCUUGAUUAGACGUUCUGACCCUGCUUCCUGCGUCCUGACAUACUCUGGAUCGUUUGGCGGGGUAGGCUGCAAAAAGAAUGAUGGGACGGGUGCCUGUUCCCUAUCACGCUUCCCGUGACUGGCGUGUUAGGUGAGAACGUGACAGGCGCAUUAAAUGCCCUGGUUCCCGUGCGCGCGUCAGGCGGUGGGUGGCGUCCUUGCGCUCGACGCCUACCGGUUCGCUCGAGCCUGUUUCCGUAUUCAACGGUAGUUGGCGCUCGAGCCCUGAUCGAUUCGCUCGACGCCCUUUCCAUCUUCGAGGUUGCGGCCGUCGAUGACCAUACGCAUGACAGGGUAGUACGUCGAAUAUGGAGCCUCGACUUGCGUACGGGCGAUCUCAUUAUGUACAUCAGUUAGGAUACCCCUUACUGAUAUCCUCGACAAGUGGUUUAAAGUACUGUUUCAUUUUGUGUCUAUACUCAGAUAGGGUUGCAUUGUUUGUUAUGUAAGGCCCUGUUAAUUAUAGAUUUAGCCUUAGAUGUUUAUAACAAAGUUGUUCACAAUUUAGUAAGAUUUCUAGAAAGUACAUAACCAUAAUUUAUGAACACGUUAAACGCAAGUUAUAGCUGUUUAAUGUGGCCUGACAGAUUCUGUCCAUAUUUUGGAUAGAGAUGUCUUCAUGGGGUUAAUUGACCUUGUUAACUAUGGAAUCAUCUUUAGAUGAUAAUAAGAAAGUUGUAGGUAAGUUUAUAAGCUUUCCAAAAAGAUAAGAAUCAUGUUUGCUGCAGGUCUACAACUCCAGUUAUGCUUCUUUGAAUUGCCUAUUAGUUUUCUGUUUGUAAUUGUACCUCUACUGUUUGGGCAGCUUUAGUAGUUUUGAUUGUGCAACUAAUUCCAUGAUAUAAUGAUGUUUUUUGUGAAACAUGUAUAUAGCAAAGAUGUAGAUAACUUACUAAUCUAUCUUGUGGUAAAGUUCCAUGUUAUUUGGCUAGGUUCCAUGUCUAUGUAUAUACAUGAUGCAUAUGCUAAGUAAUUAUUAUUUCUUUUUUAUAAUGUAAUUAUUUAUGAUGCAAUGCAAUUAUAUAUAUAUAAAUAAUAAAUAAUAAAUAUUUACUUUUAAUUUAAGUGUCUAUGUGUACAUGUGAUGCUUAUGCGAGGUUUAUGAUGCAACUAUUUAUAAGUCAACUAUUUAUAAGUCAACGGUUGACUUAUUAGCUUUAGGGUUUAGCACUUAGAGUUUUAUCUUCAUUGUUCAUACUAUACUGUAUAGCAUUUUUAAUAACAUAUAUGUUUUAGAAUCUCGCAAUGACGACUGGUCCAAGUGAAAACAUAGAACAGGCACAAGGGUCCGGCCCCACGGAGCAGGCACUAUGGUCCGGCCCCAUGGUGCAAGAAAAAGGGUCCGACCGCACCGAGAAGGCACCACGGUCCGGCCCCAUGGUGCAAGAAAAAGGGUUUGACCACACCGAGAAGGCACCAGGGUCCGGCCCUACGGUGCAAGAAAAAGGUUUCGACCGCACGGAGCAAGAAAAAAGUGCCCGAGCACACGUAGAAGGAACAAGGGUCCCACAACAUGGAGUAUGCAGAAGGGUCACGUGAGUCAACUCCUUCCUACGAGACCUCGGUAAGCGACAUUCCUGAUCCUCACAUAGAGAGGAACGCCCGUCUUGAGUACGCACGUGACCCCUAUUACAACAUAGAGGGAGAAGAGGUGAAUUACUCAUCCAUAAUUAUAUGUGUUCUAUACUUUUAUGCCCCUCGGUAUAUGUGAAGAAUAAUAUAUGUGUUUAUAUGAAUAGGAGGUACUAUCUCGAUUGAAAGAAAUGGAGGACAUUCUAUCCCAAGAAGAAGUUGCACAUGAAGGUGCACUUGAGCCGACGACGGAGACGACCACCAAGACCGGGAACAAAAGGAAACGAGGUGAAAGAGGAUUGAAUCAGUUUUCAAAAGUAACCUAUAGAGUUACAGAUGUGAGUGCGAUAGGACAGCCCCUAGCUCAAGAGGAGACCUUACCUAUGUGGUGUAACACAUCUUAGUUAGAGACCAUCUUAACAUCACAUUCAGGGAGUGAAAAAUGUGGACAAAGAUGAGAUCGCAAGAAUGUGGAACAGGCUGCUUAUGAGGUUUGUUUUACCUUAGGGUUUAGAAAACCUCGUAAAAGAGCACACAUUGAAGCAAUGGGCGAUCAUGUUCACGAAUUACAAGUCUGAGUUGAAUUCAAAGUGGGCAAAGAAAGGGUUGGAUCCAACAUAGAGGUAUAAAAUCUCGGCUGGUUAGUGGGCAGCGUUUCUAGAGUAGAGGAGUUCAGAUGACUUCAAAGCUUUGAGCGAAGCCAAAUCCAAACUCACAAAAAGGAACAAGUACCACCACCACCUAGGCAUAGGUGGUUACCAGCGCAAGCUUGCCUAAUGGGAGCAUGAGGAUGAAGUGAAGAGGGCUAAGGGUUUGCUGGCGCUCCCUGACCAACUUUGUCGCAGGGGCUCACGGGGGGUUCGUGCUCAGGUACCAGCAAAGAAAGCCAAUUCCGGCUUGUCAUUUGCUGACCCAAUGGUCGAAGAGGCUGCGAAGAAUAUUUUCAAGGUGGCAGCUAAGCAGCAGGCAGAAGAAUUUAAGCCACAAAGGGAGAAGGAUGUUCUUACUAUUGCUCUAGGUAACCCAGAGCAUCUUGGUCGUGUAUGAGGCAUCUCAUCCAUUGAAGGAUGGAAAGAAGGAUUCGGACCAGAGUGGGAAGGAAUGUAUAGGAAACGCGAUCGCUACAAGGAAGAAUUGUCUAAUUUUUUUAAGGAGGAGGCUAAGAAAGAAGUCAAACAUGUGAUGGAUAAAAUGCUCUCCGGACCUCCUCCUGAGUUGAUGCAGCGAUUGGCGUCUGCAAUGUCUAGCCAAUUGAGUGGUCAGCCUCGUCAAACGCAGCUAGUCGUCGCCUCGACAACAUCACAACAGGCUCCGAUGGUCCCAAGUAGUGUCGCGUCUACCGGAAACAAGGACCCCUAUCUAAUUGACGAGAUUGAAAAUCCUGUUCCUUGAUCCCUAGUCAUAAGGUACAGUCUUAACAAUAAUUGUACAAGGGAAGUAGCCACAGGACUUGCGAUCCUAGGGCGCCAGUUUCAUGGUAGCAAAAUUCCAAAGGACUCCUUUAGGGUGGAAGUGCUGACAGUUGUCCAAGGAUAUGAGGAUGACAUGCUAGACAUUCCCGGUCCUAAGGGUAUUGAGAAGCUAGGACAAGCUAUCAAGAAUUUCAUUCUUUAGCCUCGAUGGGACGUCCUGUUGUUUGAGCUACCACAAACGUCGCCCCAAGAAGUACUGCUGACUCAGGAGUCGUCCCUUCUAGAUGUGGUGGUACCACACCUCUUCCGAGUCCACCACCCUUUCCGAUCUUCCCUCCACCAUCCUCACCUAUAAUGCCUCACCCACCAUCGCCGCCACCAUCACCUAAACCACAACCUUCGCCAACACCACCAGAAUCUUCCACACCACCACCACCCAAAAAUGCCGAGACACCACCACAACCAACCAAAAAUGACGAGACAACACCACCGCCACCAAAAAAGUUAAAAUUUUUGGUGCCCAAAUUGAUUUUCCCAUACGAGCCAAAGAAGAGGAAGUCUGUUGGUAUGGCUCUAUUUUUGUCAAGAAUUGCAAUGAGCCACACGACAAAACUAGUUGACUUGGCUGAGCACGAGAAGGAAGCAAAGAAGUCUGAACCAGCUUUUGUAAAUAUCAGGCCACCCACUAAAGAUGAUUAUAAAUAUGUCCCUAAGAACUAUGAGCUGGGCAGGCCUAUACUCACAUGGGAUAAACUUAGAAAGGUCCCAGCUAGUGUAAAAAGGUUCCAUGACUGGUAUAUGAGAGCAUCUUCUAUUGGCAUCGACACUAUCAUUCUAGAUAUACCAGCAGAGGCAUUUAAUAGUGAUCGUACAAGAGCAAUUGUGACUUUCGAGGAUAUGUGGUUAAUGAUGGACCUCCGAAGACUCGACGUGCAGCUCCUAACUGUGUUUGCAUUGUAAGUGUCACUCAUACAAUGCUUUCAUGUGUUAUUAUUUGUGAGUUGCAUUAAAAUUUAAUACUAACAUACAAGUGCACGUUGCAGAAUGCAAUAUGAAGUCCAACAUAUGUGGUACGGUCUGAAUCCGAGUACUAAUGCCAGUAAAAGGGGGGUCGCGUAUAUGAGCCCAAUGAGAAUAUAUGAGGACGAGCACACAUUCAGGAUCAGAAAAAAUCAUGACUCCUUAAAAGGUUUGGAUCCAAAAGAGCGUGGGAACGAAAUAUAGAAAAGGGAAAAGAACCAAGUAGCUCGUUACAGCCUCUAUCUAGCCAUGACAAUGCUAGAGUUUCAAGAUAGGGAAUUAAUAUUCGCACCAUACAAUUUUCGCUAAGUGUUAAUUUGUAUGCAUCGUAUUAAUAAUUAAAAUGCGCACUUUGAUCACAAAGUUGAUUCUCUCAAGGACCACUGGAUCUGCUUAAUGAUUAAUCCAUGGCUUGGACGUGUGCAUGUCCUAGACUCUGCAGACUAUGAACCAACAAUUUAUGCACCAUUCAUUACUCUCUUAGAACGGUAAGCCGAGUAAAAUAUGCAUAUAAAAUUUUAUAAGAGUUUGACAAUAACUUGCAGAAUGUUUUUGAUGUCAUAGGGCCUAUAGGUAUUAUAAGAUUAAAGAGGGAAGGUGUGAGUUAGGAAUACAGGGGUAGCCUUUGAGAUUCUUUUAUAAGUGGCCGGUACGUAUGAAAGUUUACCAAGUCAUUCUCGCUAUAUACUUAGAAUACGCAUAAGACGAUGUUACAACUAACAAAUAUGCACUUUUUCUUUAUAUAGUGCCACACGCAACCACCUGGAUCGGUCCACUGUGGAUUCUACGUUCAUGAGUUCAUGAGAAAAGGCGAAAGAUAUGUCACCAACUGUUGGGCAUUCUUAACGUUAUUACCAAAAGUAGACUUAGUUUUCUAAUUCUGAUAACGGCGCCAAAAAUGCCAAACCUAUCCCUCAUGCCACUUAAACCAAGUUGUCAUCCCCAGCAUGACAUGAGAGACACAGUAUUGAAAUAUGCAAUUGUUCUUCUGAAUGAAUAAUAAAUGAGAUCUGCAAGCCCAUAGAUUAAUAUUGAUGUAGCAUUUUAACCGGGAAGUAUUCCAAGUAUCAUUAUUUAUAUUUUUACCACUAGGAAGGGAUAGCUAAUCAUCAAUGUUGAUUAUGGAAUGAAAUAUGGAAUUGAGUAUCUAUCAUUGCAUGUGUAAUAGAGAGCAUUUAUCUAUCUCUUUCAUACAGGGAUAAAUGUCACAUAAAAUAUAGAUAAAGUAUGAAUGGUGACAAAGAUAAUUAAUCUGAUCAGCAUAACUAGCCACAUAUAAUAAUGAUAACCACCUCAACAGAUAUUCUAGCAAGUCAUUAGCAUAGAAUUAGGAUGAACUACAAGAAUAUUUCCUAAGUUAUUCUUAACUAUAAAGUCUAGCAUACCAUAGUGAGUGCAAUUAUACUUGGCAAUCAUUGCGAGACAGGACUACGCCCAUGCAUAGUGAUAUUAUCAAGAAAGAUGAGAAACAUAGCAAUCACUCCCGUGUAAUAAUAUUUCUCUGCCUGCCCUAUACACGGGAGGGGGACUAUAUAAGAAUCAAUGGAGCUGUCACCACCACGAACUACCCCACGAUCCGGCAUAUAGGGUACAGUCGCAGAUAAAUACGGUAUAGGCACCACGCCUACAUAAUACUUAUCAUUUACCCACUGUAGACAUGGAUAAACGCUAUACGAUCCUAAACAUGUAUAUAAUUCCAAUCUAACUAAGCCAAACAUGUAACUAUGAUAAACUAAGAACGAUAUAAUUGCAAAUAUAAACAAGUAGAGUAAAGUCAUAAUCAAUAUAUUGAAGUAGAACAAAGUCAUAUUCAUAAUAUUGAAGAACAAUGAUGAACAAAUGAAGAACAGUAGACGAGUUACCAAGAAUCCUCUUGACAGAUCCAGAAACCAAUCAAAGAUUGACUCCUUCUAGUUCUAAUCCUAUGUCGCUAUGCUAAACUAGAGAUCUAGUUUGUAACACCCCAGUGUUAUGGUUGCAUUGAUCAUGUGCAUAGCAUGAGCAUCAUCAUCUACUCAAAGCAUAUCAUGAUCAUCAUCUAUCUUGAGGCAUGUCAUUCUAUGCAAAAUUGUGAUUUAAAUUGCUUAAAUAGGCCUCCUAUGCUUAUAUUUGAGUGAAAAAUGCUUGUGUUUGUGCUUAAUGCCUUGGUAAUUAGUUUAUCUAUGCUUAACUUAACUUUGGGAACAAUGUUCAUGUUGAUCACUUCUCCAAAAUAAUCACUUAAGUCAUACUUAUGCAAAUAGGCCCUAGAAACCUCUUUUGCUUAGGCUUUUAAAAAGUGUUUCAUAAAAUAUUUGCAUGUCAAAACUUCCUACAGCAAAGUGGUAGAAAAUUUUAUAAGGAACAAAAGUUGUUUUAUGGCCAUCUCAUGAAAAUGAUCACAAAUAGCUCAAAAGUGGCCCACAAGGCAGUUUUGGGGUGGUUUCCUAUACUUAGAAAAAUUUCUAAGUCCUGGGUGCUUUGCAGUUUGCUCGAGGGGGUGUUCUUCAUCUUCCCGUUUGAAUUCUAGGCCGAAUCAAGCUGUGACCUUGUAAGCAAUGUUGGAGUACUCGUGUAGCUCUACAGCAUGGAGCAUUUAGCCAGCAAAAUCAUCGAGUGAUUACGGAGUAAACUGUCGUGCAAAACUGAGUUUCAGUCGGUUUGGGGGAAACUAAAUCGCGUCGUCGUCAGACAGGGGGAGCUCGCCGGUGUGCCGCGUGUCUGGACUCGUGGCGUCCGUACGUCGCCGUUGGCCCCGCCCGUCAGUCCUCCGCACGUCCUUCAGCUCGCCACGGCACCCCCGGUCGCGUGGACAGAGCCAUUCCGCCCCCGGUGUCCUCUCUCUCGCGCGCGUCGUCGUUUCCGCGUCGCCGCCGUUGCUUCGGCGAGCUCGCGCGCGCGCAUCUCCGUGUCUCCGGUCAAGCAACUCCGUCCAGUGCUUCGCAAGCCUCUCCUCUCCACCGUCGUCGAGCUGGUUGCGACUGCCGAGCCUCGGUGAGCCCGCAUUGCCUGCUCCGACGCGAGCCUACCUCGCCGGAGUUCCGCCAUGGUCACCGGCGUCGUGGCCAGGGCUCUGUAGUCCACCAUUCUUUCUCAUUCUUGUCCCAAAAGCUUCGCUAGGUCUUGCUGUUGCUCGUCCACGUUCUCUUCUGCUCUGUCUCCGGCCAGAGACGCCGGCGGUCGGCCGCGCGCCACUGCCGUGCCGCCAUUCGCGAGGGCAAGGUACCUAGGGUCCGGUAGAGUUAGGGUUUUGGGUACCGCUAGAUGCGGAAUGCAGUGGGGAGCACGAUGGUGCCCUUGGCCAGCGCCGAGACCUCGCCGUCGACGAGAUCUCCGGCGGUCAAGCCGCGCCUCUGCUUCCGGGUCACUGGCAGGUGGGGUCCGUUGACGCGCGGGUCCCCUCUGUCAGUCUCUCUUUCUCCUUUGUUUAAAUCAGGGUUUGAGCUGAUUUUGUAAAAAUCAUAUCUCUAGUUCUGCUGAUCCAAAAAUGUUGAAACAAAUUUUGUGGUGUUUCUUGAGAUGGUUAGUAUUUAAUAAAAAUAUAAAAUGAACCAUGUUUUCUGAGAAAUUAUUUAUUAAGGAUUUAAUCUUGUUAUUCUUGAAUAAAUGCAUAUCUCUAGUUAUACUGCUUAGUUUACUCUGAAAAUUUUAUGGUCGUAUCUGUUUGGUAUGGGAGUGCUUUGAUAAUUAUUUCAUUAUUUUUGGAGCCCUGCAGCUUUGUUAUGUAAAUUAUGACUGAAAUGUGGCUUGUUUCCUUAAUUAAAUCAUAUAAAAUAAUUGGUGCUUAUGCUGGUGUUCUACUUUGAUGGUAAACUUGUUUAUGGUAUUCCUAAGAUGUAAAUAAUCUGAAAUCUGUUGUUUGACACCAUAUAAGUCAUGUUUCUGAAUUUAUGAAAUAAAUGCCUUGAUACAUGUUAAAUACAUAUCUUUAUUUUGGUAUAUGCAAUUGCUGUGAAAUUUUUAUGGUGAUACUUUUAUGAUGUCCAUGUGCUUCUGUAAUUUUUAUAGGUUUUUCGGAGCACUUUGACUGGUAUCUUGUAAUUAUGCUCUUAUUUAGAAUUAAUUAAUAAAUGCCUUGUUAAGUAAAUGUUUUGGGGUUUCCAUCUGGUGUUCUGGUUGUAUUAUAAUAUGCUUAGGGUCAUAAGCCAUGUGGUUGGCAUGGUUUGUGUCUUGGUCAUGUCAUUAAAUAAUUAACUUUAGGGUUAAAUGCUGUUCUGGACAGCAAGGGAGCAAUUUAACUGUUACUUAAUGAUAACUUGACUUUCUGUGAAACUUGUCUAAAUCAAAGUUGUUCUAAAUUUGUUGAACUAGCUGUGGUUUAAAUUUGAGGUCAUUUGGCCAAGUAGUUUAAAAGUUAUAGCUGUUCCAAGUUGGGUUCCAGAAAUAGGGAUUCUCUGUUUUUCUGGGACAGAACCUGGAACUUUGUUUAAAAUGACUAGUUUAAUGUUUGAAUCUUGCUGUCAUGUUUGAAGAUGAGUUGUAGACAAUUUCAUAAGCUUUCCAGAAUGUCUUCACACAUGUUUGUUGGACCUGUAUAUCUUUAGCUAUGAUUUAAUUACUAAGUAUACUUGUUUUGUGUUGCUUGCUGUUUUGGUAGCAUGAUAGGUUUUGGGUUACACUAACUUGUUUACUUGUGUGAGCUUGUAUAACUUUUGCUCCGUAAAUGAGUGUCCAGUGAGUUGCUUGUGUUAUUAAGCAUUCAUCUGUAGCAUGUGCACCUUCUCAUUCAUCGAGCAUGCAAUAGGUGCACCGGACGUGGCAGUCUCCUUCGAGCUCCAAGCGAACCCUGAAGGCCAGGAAGGCAGCCAGGAGGUGGAGGUCCAGCAAGCCGGACUCGAGGAGCCCGAAGAAGAAGUUGAGUGCCCGAAUCACGAGCCGGCAUCGUUCGUGAAAGGCAAGCCCCGGAGCAUUCCAAGUCUCCCUCUAUUUUCGAAAGUUUACUUAAUAUGUCAUAUCUAUUGAUGCAUUACGUAUAGGAGUUGUGAUGAAACUGUUGCUGCAUUCUACUCUAUCCUUGUCCAGAUAACUCACCCUCCCUGGUUGUAGAGUUAGGAUCGAGUAGCAGCUUCGCUAUGCUUUAAUCGGUAGAAGUCGGGUGAUAUCCUGUCAUCCGCGCGAUAUAGGGUUAUGUCGGAUCACGAUGGUCUAUAUGUGCUAUCGUGGAUGGAACCUGAUUAAAUUGACUUAAGCCGGGCGGAGUUUUGCAAGUUUGUAGUAACUACGUCUGUGGCAGCUAAGGACCGAUCGUUGUACGUCCUCUUGUCAUGUUGAACGCAUGCCUGACACUUAGUUGGCCGGAUAACUCGUUCCGACCGCGAAGCCGAGUAGUAUGACUCAGGCCGGAAGACCGGCAAGUAUAAAGUGCGCACUACCGGAGGAAGUGCGGUGUGCGGGGGACCAUUGGCGUAAGUCCAAAGGCAGGUGAGUUAAAAUUCCUGACCUCCCUGGCAGAGUGGUAGCCCUGGGAGUGCGGCGCUGAUCGGAGCCGCGAUUCCUGAGUUGUACCAAAGGUGACCCGUUGGCUCUCCGGCAGGGGAUGCUUGGGUGAGUGCUAGGAAUAAACCUCCAGCUGGAUAGGAAUUCGAUUCGAAUCGCUAUCUCUCCCGGUUAGUGAGAACUUGACAGAGCAGCGGCAAACGUAGCAUUCACUAAUGAACUUGGUUCAUGAUAAUGAUGAUGGCAAGAAGAACAUAUGAUGAAUUUGAUAUGGUUAUUAUUGUUUGUAAUAAUCAAGUGAUGUGUUGUAGUACAGGUGCUAAUCUAGUGAUAGGCUGAUGAUAAAUAAAUAUGAUGCUUCCAAAAUAACUUAAUUGUAAUUUAAGCUUUUGGCAAAAGGUGAGUCAACCAGCUCCACUUAACAUUUAGCCUUGCAUGAUCUUUGGUGUCUUUUAUGUUUUACUAGACGGGUAAGUCUAUCUGAGUACAUUCUCGUACUCAGGGUUUAUUCCCACCUGUUGCAGAUGACAUCUUCUAUGACGGUUUCUGCAAGACCUGUCUCCAUCCCGCUGGGGAUGAGGACUAACCGUUGGGCACGGUUCUCUAAUCUUCUCGUCUAUGAUGCUUUUGGAAGGAUGGCAUAGACUCUGGCAGAAACAAAACUUGUGAACUGAACUUUGAACAAGUGUGUGUAAUUAUUUUGCUUCCGCUACUUCGAACUUGAGUUGUAAUAACUUAAUGACUCCGAUGUGGUGCCGCUUCGACGGCAAUGAAUGACUAUGUAACAUUCGUUGUGUUUAUGUUGAACUAUUACGAUCUUGGUUUGUUGCGAGUUGGUUUGAAGUCCUUCGUGAUUUCGAUUGACUACCGGGAUUAUAUGGGCUCAAGUUUGGAAACUUGAUUGAUUGUCGAUCGUUUCUACACUUGAACUCUUAUAAUUUGGUCGGUUCUGUGACAUAGUUGAUGUGGUGGCUCUAGGGCUUGAUCAGAGACUUCUUCUCCCGAGAUGGAUGAAUGAAUUAGGGUUUCAGAGGUGCCUCCUCUAGGGGCCAGGGGCCUGCUUAUAUAGUCCCUCCAAAUGAAUAUGGGUCGUCGGAUCAAACCGACCUUAAUCGCAUGGUUUUCCUUAAUCCUCUAGGUCGGUGGAGCAUUAUCCGCGAGACAGAGCGUGAUUGGCCCAAGUAGGAGGGCGGGCGCCCAAGGGGGGAGAGCGUGCGCCCUGUCCCCGGGCCCGCUCGGCCUCCCGCUCGUUCCCAUGGCUUCUGUACUCUUCUAGGUUAGGGAAAAUUGCGUGGCACGUAAUUAUCUCUAUGUAAACCCGACGUGUGGGCCUUUCCUCCAUAUUUUCUGAUAACCCCCUGCAGAAAUAGACAAACACCAAAACUCGUGGAAUUCUGUCAGAUAAAACUCUAUGUCUGGGUGUCGGUUGCAUUUGGGUCCUUUUCUCUGUUUAUUUGUGGAUUAUAUUUGAUACUUAAGGACCGUCAACAAACUCCCCCAAGCUUACCUCUUGCUCGUCCCUGAGCAAGGAUAAUCUUAAUGAUGGAUCAGAAGUUGUUGUAAUACCUUUUAGUUUUGACGGUACACAUGCUUUCAAAUAAGGUCUCAUCCCUGAGAUAGAGUAAACUGUCAAGACUUAAAACUUACUCAUUUUACCUUUCGCCAUGGGACUUGUAACCAUCACUUUUGUCUUGAGCAGUUAAAAGAUAGAACGUUCUAGUCAAGCGCCAUGUCUCUUAUUCUUGAUCAGCUAUAGCUCUGGAGUUUUUGUAGAGUUUCAAAUAAAACUCAGAGAUUCCUUGUAUGACUCUCUCAGAUCUCUUUUUUGUGGUAUUUCUGGAUCCUUACCAAGACAGUGAUGGUAUAUGUCUUCUCUCAAAGUAUGUAGUAUUUGUGGUAUAAAGCGUAGUGACCUUGCCUUCUCUCUCACCCUACUUUAAUAAGGCUUUUGAUAUCUGGAGCUCAUAGGUGGGAGAUAGAGUAUACAUACUUACAAGACAUUUAUUGCAUAGUCAAACCAUGGAUCCAGAGAAACAAGUCAAUAUGUCAAAUCCAGAUUUGCAUCUGUGGCGAAUGAAUGGUGUAUGGUGAUGAUGGUGAUAACAAUGGUGAAAGUUUAAUUUUACUUGUGCUCUUUUGAGGGGAUACAUACCUUUCUUGCUCUUUGAAACUUUUGAGGAGAAUGAGAUGCUCUACAUUUUCUUUUUCUUUCCUCUCAGGUGGGUAUCUUGUACCCCUAAUUCUACUGACGGACACUUGUCCAUUUUUACCUCUCGUCUCACUUUUUCUUUUCUUUCGAGGUUCCGGGCACUUGCCCCUUUUUAUUUCCUCGUAUCCUUUCUCUUUUUUUUUCUUUAUUUAGAGCACUCAUGUCCUGAAAUAAUAGAGCAAGUGGUAAUAACCAAGAUAACUCGAGCAUUUAUUUCACAAGGAAAAAUAGAAAUAGGAGAAUGUUUUUGGGUAUUCUCUUCCGGAUUAGGAGUAGAAUAUUUUUGGGUGGCUCUGGAGAUGGAAAUGAGUGGAUAUAUGUGGAUGCGUACUUCCGGAGUAGGAGCAGCAUGUGUGAGUGAACGUGCAAGUGAAUCUUGAUUUUAUCCACAUGACAAGCUCCUAGGGGUCUACACAGCUUGACCACACUCAAUGCUCAUAAGCAGUAAAAAGUAAAUGUGUGGCUCAAAGUCUAGCAAGCAUGUAUAUAUGGCUAUGGUAGGAAUUUAAACACUCAUCAUACAGAAACUCAUCAUGUGUUAUUUUAAAGAUUUUCAAAGAUAAAAUUCUCCAGAUUUCUAGCAUCUCUAGGAACAGAUAAACAGCAGCUCAACCUGCCCAUAUCAUAUCCGUUAACAACUUAGACUUCCGAUCAAGUUCUCUUCCCACAAGUUUAGGUUUUUAGAGCAAGCUUUAAAUUAUAACAGUUAUGUCUAAACUGAAGAGAGAACUUCAAAUUUGAAAAUUAGGCAGAGCAACUAUUCAUCAUAUCCAUGCUAGAGUUUUAUUAUUAGGAUUCAGUUUAGCAUAGCCACUUUAUUUAUUUAUUUAACAAACUAAGCAAAAGAUAUAUAUAUAUAUAUAAGCACAAAAUCUUUAUUUGGUUUUUCAUGGUUAUGUAUUUUUUUAUUUUAAUAUAGUAUAAGUAUAAAUGUAGAUAGAAAUACUUAGCGGGAUAAAUGGGGGUGCUCUCCCUCAAGCUGGAUUUUGACGUAAUUUCUUCUGAUGUAGCUAGCAGGUGGUGGAGGUAUAUUUGAAAGUCAGCAACACCCUGAGAGCGAUUAGGAUGUCCUCCGUCUGCUAGUUUUCUUGAUCCUUGAAUUCUGUGGUGUUCAAAUAGACAACAAAGCUUUGUGGAAUUGAUAAGGUGUUAGCAUAAAUAUCUAGCCUUUAUCAUGUUGAGCCUCCUCAAUAAAUGCUACUUUCUUUGGUAGGAUCACAAUUUUAUUUUUAUAUUUUCAUUUUUAUAGAGCAGAAGAAUAUUUUUAUUUAUUAUUUUUUAUGCCACCACAGUGAAUGUACUUAUGGGUUUUAUGCCACUUGUAUACUCACAUGGGGCUUACUGGUUUAAAAUUUUUAUUUUAUUUUUAGGAUUGUAUGAACAUGAUUAACUAAGCAAACUAUUUUAAAUAAUUGAAAGGAAAAGGAUAACUACCAAGUUUAACUCUUGGCAAGGCGUUCGGUGUUUUUAAGUCCUCCGAACGGGACUCUCUAUUUUCUCAGUCGUCCUGGGAUUCGCUGGAUGGCGUAGACGGUGGUUCCGGCGGCGCCUCUUCUUCAUGUAUAACUAUCUUCUCUCGCCACACCCGACUCGGUGCUACGGUCUCCUAUUCAAAAGCAAUAUAUCCUCAGAACCUUAUCACCUCUCCUUCGUAGUCUGCCCAUCCGUCCUUGAUGAUUUGCCUCCUCUAGUUGCAGUUGCGUCGCCUUCUUCUUGUCCUGACCUGCUUAGAAUCUUCAACUAUACAGUUAGGGUCAUUAAAGUAACGGCGUACCUUCUCAGAGGGGAAGUGCAUGUGGACUUCUCCGGUUCCAAUGUAGAUCAUCGCUUUGAUGGUGCUGGGGAACAGUCUUCCUAGGAUGAUGGGUGGGUCAUACUCGUCUUCUCCCAUGUCAAUAACCUGGGUCAUCCUUCUUGGUCAGGAACGGUGACUUGAGUCGACGAUCUUGACCUCUGUGAACUGUAGUGACCAUCUUAGCUGACUCGGUCCACACUUGCUUGUUCCUGUUCCUCCUGUUAGUCCUCUUCCUUGGUUCAUGUCGGGAUUGCUCUGGGAUUUGUGCAGUCUUGUUCUUGAAUGAAAAAUUCUCCUUCCUCCCCUUGAUGUAGAAACUAAUCUUGGCAGCACUAGCAUAGAUAACAACUCCCGAGGUGUUCAGGAAUGGCCUCCCUAGGAUGAUGGGUGCCCUCUCAUCAGUACCUGUCUCUAUCACCACAAAGUCUGCUGGGGCGUACAAGGUACCAACUCGGACGCAAAGGUCCUUCAAUAUUCCCCUAGGGAAACUUAGUGUCUGAUCUGCAAGCUGCAAACACAUGGUUGUUUCUAAUAAAGGACGUGUAAAGAAUUUUUCAUAGAGUACCCUGGGCAUAAUGUUGACGCUGGAGCCAAAGUCGCAGAGUGCUUCUAGGAAGUCCACCAUGCCGAUGGAGAUCGGGAUGACGGGGCGUCCUGGAUCGCCUCUCUUGACCGGCAGAAGGUCAGUAGUUACUUCCACAAUGGGGUUACUCUAGUAGUUACCUGCAUCAAACAUGUCUACAAGAUUUGCAGAUUAUAGUCCUUCCGGUUGUGAUGGUAUAACGGGGUUAGUAGCAGGAACAGCAGCAGCUAUUUGAUUUAACUGAGAUUCAAUCAUUUUAUUAAAGCUAAUUUGAUUCUUGAUGGCAGUAGAGAAAUUAUCGAUUCUAUUAUUUAUAUUUUCUAGCAUUUUAUCAUUUGAUGCCAAUUUCUUAGAUGGGUUAUCCAUUAGCUUUCCUUGAUUAGACAAUAACUCUCUCAGAGGUGGAAAAUUAUUAUUAUUAUUGUAAGAAUUGUUACCUUGAUAAUUACCUGAGUAGUUAGGCCUCUGUUGAUUCCAACCUUGAUUUUGCUAAGGAUGGUUGUAGUAGUAGUUGUUGUUGUUGAUGUAGUUCACGUCCUCAAGCAUCUUAGGGCAGUGAUUGCCUGAGUGUCCAGUAUCUCCACACUCCUCACAAGUCAUGUGAGAGUCGUAGACGUGCAUGACUUCUUUCUUAUCUCCAGCUCUAUCAUCGAGCUUCUUCAUGAGCAGGUCUAGCUUGGCAGACGGCAUGUCUACCUCCUUGAGCUGGUGCAUACCUCCACCCUUCUUGUGUGUCUGGGUCCUCUCUUCGUUCCAGCCUUGGUUGGACGCCAUCUUCUCCACAAGAGCUAUGGCUUGUGGUACGGUUAGUGACAGGAAUGCUCCUCCAGCUGCAGCAUCCAUGGUUUCACGGGCGCUAUUGCCAAGCCCAUGAUAAAAUGUCUGCAUCAGCAGCCAGCUCUCCAUUCCAUGAUGAGGACAUUCUAGGAUGUAGUCUUGGAAGCGCUCCCAUGCUUCUGGAACGGAUUCAUCAUGUUGUUGCUGAAAACUUGUAAUUUUCCCAUGGAGAGCAUUGGUCUUGCCCAUGGGAAAGAACUUAGCCAGAAAGUUCGUGGAACAGAGUGCCCACGUAGUGUUCUUCUCCUUUGUAGCGUAGAACCACUGCUUCACUCUCCCCAACAGUGAGAAUGGGAAGAGGCGAAGUAGUAUAGCAUCUCUGGGGACUUCUAACAUGGUGAAUGUGCUGCAAAUCUCCAAGAAGUGUUGGAGAUGAGUGUUGACAGUUCUUAAGUAUCAAUUUUAAUUAUUAAAUAAACAAGGGAAAGGACCAAUAUACAAACAACACCUAGAAUUAGGGUUUGAUCUGACAGAAUUCUAUGAGUUUUAUUAUUUAUCUAUUUCUACAGAGGGUUAUCAGGAAAUAGGGAAGAAAGGCCCACAUGUCGCGAUUACAUAGAGAUAUUAACGCACCGUGCAAUUUUCUACCAUCUAGAAGACUCUAGAAGCCACAGAAACGAACGGGAAGGCGAUCGGGCCCAGGGGCAGGGCGCCAGCACUGGUGUCUCCACCAAUCGGAGCCAACUUCAUGGAUCAUGCUCCACCGACCUAAAGGAUCAAGGAUAACCGUUCAAUCAAUGUCGGUUUGAUCCGACGGCCCACAUUUACCUGAGGGGACUAACCCCCUGGCCCCUGGAGGAGAACAAGUUCAUCAUAGAGUUGAGAGGUGCCCUCGAAGGAUAACCAUUCCUCUAAAUAGACUUAGGGCUUAGCAUCCAAUGUGAGAGUAGACUAGAUCUACUAGAUUGAGAGAGAUAGAGUGGAGGUGUAGAUCGAAGGAAGCUCGGCCUGUCGGUGUCUACUCCGAGGUUGUACCUACGGGAUCAAGUUCUCCUAAACCGAGGCUUGCUCCUAGGAUUCUUUAGUAUUUUGACUUCUAAAUUCUAGUAAGUUCUUGUUUUAUUGUUCUUUGGUUUAUGAGUUUACUUUAAUCUCUUCGCGUAGAGUUUAGAGUAAUCAUCUCUAGCAUAAACGUAGUGUUUGAGCUAGGAUACUCAUAGAUAUCCCCUGACUAGCUGGACCGUGGUAGCAGCGAGGAACGUAACAUUUUCGAGUUACCUUUGCAGCCCAUAUCCCGUUAGUAGGAUUCAUAGGGUUUAUAUGUGCGGGUUGAACAUCCUCUAUGGUGUAUAGAUUCCGUGAGCCUCCUCAAUAGAACAGUAGAUCAUCCUUACCAAGGUUAGAAUGAGAUUACGGUUGUAGUCUUCACUAUACAUUGCUCACAUCGAGACACAUUCUUUGUAGCCUAAAGGUUAGUAGUAAUAGACCGGGUUAGUCAGAUGCACUCUUUCUCCUAGUGGUAAAACUAUAAAUACGAUACUCUGGAUAACAUCCCGGGUGAAGUGCUCACCGAUAUCCGUCCGCUUGCGGAUCAAUUCCUUAUUGCGUUACCAAAUAUCAACAAGCAUUUCUGGCACCGUUGCUGAGGAGAAAGACGGUUUGCUGAGAUAACCUUGAGUCCUACUACUAGCUUGUAUCUAUACUUUUAUCUUUUCUUAUCUUUUAUAUUCUUUAUUUAUUUUCUUCACUCUUACCUUAUGGAAAACCAAGAUUCUAAAUCGAUCUAUCAAUUUGCAACACCUUCGGAAACUGACCUUUUACCAUGGGAGUCAUCACAGCUUAUCCAAACAUCCCACUAUAGGUUAAGUUCUAGGUUGAUUGCUAUUAUUCAAAACCUAUCUUUUUAAGGAAAGGAAGACGAAAACCCUUACCUGCAUAUUAGAGAUUUUGAGCAAACAUGUGAUUGUCUUCGCAUUGAAGGCAUUUCUGAUAAAACUUUACGUUGGAAGCUUUUUGCUUUUUCUUUAAGGGGAGAAGGUAGACAAUGGUAUAAUCAGAAGGUAAGUCAACAACGAGGUGAAUGGGGAGUUUUACAAGCCAAAUUUUAUCUAGAUUUUUAUUCCCUUGACCGUAUCGGCGACCUUAGACUCGAAGUCCUAUCUUUUAAACAAAAAGAUAAUGAAACUUUGGGAAAAUCCCAGAAAUGUUUUUCUGAUCUUUUAGAAUCUGGUCCAAACCUUAAUCUUGAAGACCCUGUUCUUUUAUUUCACUUUUUUCAAGGUCUUUAGAAAGAUCAUAAACAAAUGCUACAUACAAUAUCUAGAGGUUCUUUCUUUCGCAUCCCUACUGAUGAUGCUAGAGUGAUCCUAGAUAGAAUCCUAGAAGCUGAGAUAGAUAAUACCCUUCAUGAUGAAACCCAUGAAGCCGAAGUAGACACUCUGCCAAAUUCUCCAUCUACUUUAGCUAUCCCAAGUUCUGAGCCACAAAAGGAAGAAAUUCCACCACCUGAUUUCAUGCUGGAUAUAGAAUCUGAUCUUUUUGCCAAUUUUGGGAACAUUUCAAACUACCAUUCUAUAGACACACCCCAAAACGGCCAUUUUAGCAUUUGUUUGCCAACUGAACAUCAAUUGAGAGAGCUUAUUACAGUCAUGAGUAGCGAAUUGUUGGAGGAGUCAGACCUUUCCUCUGAUGUGAUCCGUUUGGACACACCUCCUAUAACUAUACGCCGUGCUUAUGAUUCUGAUCAAUUUGAUGCUCUCUAUAAUCCUGUUGUGGGGAUCAACAUCGUGUCUGAAUCUUUUCCACUUAAAUUAUUUAAAAAUUUGGUCUUAACCCCGACAACAAAGGUCAUAAAGGAAUCUUCAGGACGAUUAGUCCCCAGUCUUAGAAUUAUUAAUGUCCUACCCUUAUUGGUGGAAGGCUCCAUGGUUCAUUUGAACAUCUAUAUCUUUGAUACAUGGGACUUCAACCUGUUGAUAGGACAACCUUUUAGAAGACUCCUUUAUGAAGGUCAUACUGGAAAGCUACACAUUUCUUUUGGAAAAACUUUUAAAUUUCCAAUAAUAAUUUCACACUCCUUAUAUAAUAAGGCCGAGACAUAUCUUUUGCCUGAUCCUAUGGAGGAGGUAAAGGCUGCAUCUCUAGAGCUUUUAGAAGAACCAGACUUAGAAGACGAAGCUCCUUUCUUCAUAGAAGAAGCUGAACCUUCUGAACCUGAAUCCUUAGAUGAGUUUGCAGAAAUGCCUAGACCUCCCAUAGAGCUGAAAACUUUACCACCCGGUCUUGUCUAUGCUUACCUAAACAAUAAUCCAGAGUUUCCUAUGAUCAUUAGUGAUAAACUCACUCAGGAGCAAACUCUGCGAUUGAUGACCAUUCUUGAGAAAUAUCACUCAGUUUUCGGCUACUCACUCCAAGAUCUUACAGGAAUCAGUCCUAUGAUUUGUACCCAUCGUAUUCCGACAGAUCCUUCUGUUUCACCUUCUCGAGAGUCCCAACGUAGACUUAACAACGCGAUGAGAGAGGUAGUUAAAAAGGAAGUUAUAAAGUUGCUGCAUGCACAGAUAUAUAUCCUAUGCCGCACAGUGAGUGGGUGAGCCCAGUUCAAGUUGUGCCUAAAAAGGGAGGCAUGAUUGUCGUUAUGAAUGAAAAGAACGAGCUAAUUCCGCAAUGCACCGUCACAGGGUGGCGGAUGUGCAUAGACUAUAGAAAACUAAAUAAAGCCACGAGAAAGGAUCAUUUUCCUUUAACAUUCAUUGAUGAGAUGCUAGAGCGAUUAGCGAACCAUUCGUUCUUCUCUUUCUUACAUGGAUAUUCAGGGUGUUGAUGCAAAAGCUGAUCUGCAAACACAAAGGGCUAAUACCCGAUUUAAACGUUAAGGCGUGCCAGCCGAUUUGACCUUACUAUCGGCAAAGGUGAUAACUCGAAUACUUUGGUCCCGACAACAGCGAUGCACCCAGAUGCCACGGCCAAGAGGUAUUCACGCGGAACUUGAGAAUAUGCCGAGCUUAAGUCGACGAAUUCCUAAGAACUCAUAAUGAAAAAAGAAAAAUAUGACGAAGUCGUCGAAAAGUAGAUGCUGGAAUAUGUGUAAAAAUUUGUGUUUGAUUGAUUGAUAGAUGUCUUGAUUACAAGGCCCUAGGGUCUACAUUUAUACCCUGCUCAAAGAGAUACAACCAGACAUGACUAGAACUCGAAUUCCAAAUUUAGACAGAAUCCAUGUACAAAAUGAUUUAAAAAACUAAGGAAAACAUAAAACUAUCCUGCCGCGACAAGCUAGGACACCACCACGGACCAAUUGGCAAUCCCCAAAUCUUCCUUCCACGUCAUUGGCAGACUCCCCAUCGGCAACAAUCAGUACUAGCCAUCGGCAUAAACACAUCACCACCCAUGAACUUAGCCAUGUUCAACUGUCUCUUCAUCGGCAACCACCCUUAUCGGCAACUCUCCUGCAGACCAAUCACUCUUACCUUUUCUUGCCGAUCUACACUUCUACCGAUCCUGGGUACGUGUCCAAAAACGGUGUCAACAUAUGCCCCCAAUUUCGGAGUAUGAAAUCAUUAAUGCUCCGAAAUUCUCUGCAGUAAUGAUGCCUUUCCGCAAUUAAGUCUCCCAAUUUGGUAACCGACAACUUUAAUCUGAGCAACCUUGGUUCGAUUCCUCCGCAGAUUCCUCGAAAUCCUCAACUUCCCAAACGGACAUCUCCACUUUAGUCGCCCAUCGACAAUGUUACCGUUACUGAUACCUGCCGAUGGGCUAACCAGGACGUCAUGUUCAGUAAAGUAUCUUAUCCUCCCAACGGAUAUCCCCACUUUAUCCGCCCAUCGGCAAUAUUACCGUUACAUGGCGCUGCCAAUGGACCGACCAGGAAAUCUUGUACAGUAAAAUAUCUCCAGAUCACGACCGCUUCCUGUCAAAUCACCUGCACAAUCCCUUGAUUACCGUGCGAAUAGUUACCAUAUCUUCCUGAGUAUCCUCGGAUUUCACGGACACGGCGAAGUGAUAAGUCAGAUUUACCCUUGCCCAUUUUGUCCUAUAAAUAGUUCCUUCUCGGGCACUCCUUCUCCAUUGCAUCAUUCUACAGUUCCAACUCCACCUCCCUGGCGGCGGCGCUAUUCGAGAUCUCCAAGAACUCCAACAAAGCCUUUUCUUCACCAACCUCGGAGCCUUCGAUCAUCCUUUUUGUGACGAAAUGGCCAUUAAAUUCACCGUUCCCGAGGUUAGUUCUUCAUCCUACCUCCUGUACCUUUACCGUAUUCCUGUUCACCCGCACUUUAUUUUACUGAACAUUUUUCCCCUUCUUUUUUUUUGUUCUUCUUUUUACCUUCAAAACCAUUAGGAUCUGUACAAUAAAAUUGUCAUCCCUACCAAUCAGCCACACCUCCAAUGCCUUGGUCCAUUAGGGGAUCCAGAUCCCACCAAUCUUAUUAACAUGGAAACAAACAGAAUCCCAUUCAGAGCCGAGAACUUUUUUCUGGAUCUAUGGAAAGACACCUUCCGUUCCUGGCCCAGUCCUACCGUGGGAUGGAAGGAUUGGUUCUUGAGAGUUAGCCACUCAAAUGAAGUCCAGUGGGGUGAGAGAAAACUGGAUCAAUGCAUCAGGCUGUCCAUUGCCGAUAUGCAUAGGAAUGAGUCAUUACUGAUAGCUACAUCUUAUUUCUGGUCAGACACCCUCAAUGCAUUUGUCUUUGGUCACGGCCCUACUUCACCUACACUCGUCGAUGUGGUCAUGCUCACCGGCCUAGAUGUAUCCUCUGCCGAUAGCACCCACUUCUUUGAUACCAAACCCAGUGCUAAGGUAGAAACUCGCUCCAUCGGCGGUUGGUCAGGGUACAUCAAAAAAUACAAACGAACAGGCCCUGUGAACAUAAAGGAACAAACCAGCUUCCUGAACAUGUGGAUGGACAAAUUUAUAUUUUGUGGCCGAUCGGUAGGACCAACUUCUGUCUACUUGGCAGCAGCAGAAAGAUUAGCCAAUGGUGGCCGAUUUCCCCUCAACCGAUAUCUACUUGGCACAGCUUACCACCUCCUCCACCAAGUAACCAAGAAACUCCUGCUCGGCCAGUCCAUCGGCAACUUGGGGGGUCCCUGGUGGUUUAUCAAUAUGUGGCUUAGCCUCCACAUGCACAAGCGUCUCGAGUUUAACCUCUUCGCACAGCGCUUCCCCAGGGAUAUAGUCGAGGAUUAUGAACUGGAUGAGGAAGAAUCGGCAACUCGUCCUCCUCUGAACUUUGGCGAGGCUGUCAUAGUUCUGCUCGGUACAGGGGGUAAUGCAGACCAGGUCAGCCAAUUUUUCCAAACCCUGUAUGAAGGUCUGACCAGAGAACAGCGAGCAUGGUUGCCCUAUGACGAUCCAGACACCAUGUUUCCUUUGGUCUUUCAUCCGUUCAACGAUGCACUCAACAAGGAUCAUGAAGUGAUGAUGGCACUGAUUACUCCCAGAGCUAUACCAGUAAACUUCUUUGGUAGUGGGAAAACCUCCAACCAAACUUAUCAGUUUUAUAACCCAUCGGCACUAGCCUGUCAAUUAGCUUUCGGCCAGCUGCCGAUUGCACUCUGUUAUGCCGAUGUGAUAAAACCCAGGGAAGCCAUCACUAACCUCUUCGAGUGGAUUCGAGUAGCCCAACUGCCAUCGAGUGCCGAUACAGAUGCAGAUUUAUCAGAGUGGGUCCCGGCCGCCUUUAUCACUCAGGCAUACAAGCAAUGGUGGGAAGAAUGGAAGGAGCACUUGUUCUGCACAUCGGCCCUUACAUACCGUGGCAUGAUUGAUCCCCAAUACAAGGUCCCUGAUGAUACUGUAAAGUAUUUCCAAACCGAUGUUCUACUCCUUUUAUUCUCAACUUCAUCGGUAACUCACUUUCUGUGAUAUGUUGCAGGUUGAUGACACUCCUCCAUCGGUCAGCAAGAGUGGCAAGCCGAUUGAUCUGUUCCCAUCAGGUCCGAUCUCUUCAAUCGGCAACAACGCUCCCACUCUGGCCACCAUCAUGCAUCGAGGUGUAUGCCUCAAGAAAGUUACCACCAGGAGAACUCAGAUACCUCCAUCGGUAGCUGCCUCAACCUUGGCACAGGCGUUCAAGGUGCAUUUUCAAAUUUUUUCAUACCGAUCUCACUCUUAUAUCUGUUGCACUUAUACUUACGAAUCUCCCUUUUUGUAUCAGCACACCAGCUCAUCGGCAAGGACCAGAAGCAAAAGUGCCGAUGCGCCCCAGUCUAGUCAACCGAAGAGAAAAGGUGCCAAGAGUACCAGAGCACAAGCAAAGCGCCAAAGAGUAGCAACGCCUUCUCCUCCCCAAGUAUCACCAAUCCCGGUAGAAUCUUCUCCUUCCUCUCCAGAAACACAGACACAGCAGGUACCAUCCCCUUCUCAGCUACAAGAAGCACCACAAGUGGAAGAACCCCAACCAGAAGAGCCUCAACCAAAAGUACCUCAGCCAGAAAACAUAUCGGCUGACGUGCAUGAACAAACCGCCGAUCCAGUAGGUUCCAUUAUAGCAUCAGUAGUUUCUUCCAUCCAGACAAGUACUGCGUCUCCCCAAGGUAACACACUUCCUAUGAAAUCAUUGCCGAUGAACUCAUUUCUUCUGUCUUACAAUUAUUUCUAUUAUUCUUUCAGCCGACAUAGUUCCAUCGGCAACCCUAGCCGAUCAACCAGUGGUUCCAUCGGCAUCUUCUAGUCAGAGGCGAGAGAUUGCCUUGAAACAAGUAAGUUAUCCAAUCCUUGUCUGUAUUAUUUAUCAAUACCUGACCAAAGAAUAACUCAUUUUAUCUCUUUUUUAGGAGCAGGACUCUCCCGACAGUUUGUUCUCUUUUGCCAUCGACAUCUCCGAAGAUGAAGGGAAGAAGCAAGUUCCUCUCGGGCCGUUGGAAUUACAUCGGCAGAAAUCAGGGCAAAAUUGGAAGAAUUGUCGGCCCUCCUCCAUCAAGACACAGCCCAGCUAGUCGAUGAUUCCGAUCCGGCCAAGGCUUUAUUCAAGACCCUUAGAGGCCAAAUCCCCGCCGAUGCUGAAGAAGUUCUCUCUCAAGCCGCUCAUCUAGAGAGCCAUCAGCUGCAGUACCAGAGGGCUGCCCAACGUCUUGCCGACAGAGCUGCUCAGACUCAGCUUUCUCAGGAGAUGAUGAAAGCAAAGCUUCUUACCGAUGAGAAGCACAAGAACAUCGGCACUUUGAAGUCCUCAGGAGAUGCACUGAAGCACAAGAUCUCUGAUCUGUCAGCAAAAAGAGAAGCCUUGUUGGCAGAGCUCAAGCAAGUGGAAGAGGCCUUGUCCCAGGCUCAACAAGAGGAAAACCAGCUGCCCGAGGCGAUCAAACUCCUUGAGCAAGAGCGAAAUGUCCAAGGUCGUAAAGCGCUGCAGUUGAAGAAGAAAUUGAAGCCGGUGGAAGGCUCUGCCGAUGAAGACAUCAAAGAGAUGGAAGCAGCCAACCAGAUCCGCUUGCGUGCUAUAUCGGCGAUCCAAGCGUUGCUGAACACGUGAACUCUUCAUCGGCAACAUACUUGCUUCUUUCUGCUUUCCAAACUUCCUAAUAUCUAGUCUAGCCGAUAGGACUGUUAUCGGCACCUUUUAAAACACUAAGUCCGGUCCCAGAUACAUUUUGACCCACCCGAUAGGGAUGUUAUCGGCACUCAAACUUUCAUGCAUCGACCCAUAUGCUGGGGUAGUACUUCUUUAGAUAUUUGCCAUUUAAUGCUCUGGGAAAUUCAGCUCCUUCAAGAGUUUCUAGAAUAUAGGCAUUACCAGGAGCCGAUCGACUUAUCCGAUAGGGACCCUCCCAAUUGGGAGACCACUUCCCAAAUUUUGAACUUUUAGUCCCAAUCGGUAAGAUUAAUUUCCAUACUAAGUCUCCAUCGGCAAAUUCUUUAGCCUUUACCCUCUUAUCAUACCAUCUAGCAACUCUCUUCUUAUUCUCUUCUAUACUCAUCAAAGCCCUUAGCCGAUGCCCUACUAGAUCAUCCAACUCGUCUGUCAUCAAAGUAGCAUAGUCAUCGGCAGUCAAUUGAUCCUGGAAAGAUAGUCGCCUAGAUCCAGUCUUAAUUUCCCAAGGUAACACUGCAUCAUACCCAUACACCAACUGAUAAGGUAAAAACUUGGUCGAUCCAUGACAAGCAAACUGGUAUGACCAUAAAGCUUCAUUUAAUAAUGUGUGCCACCUCCUAGGAUUCUCCUCAAUCUUUCGUUUAAUAAGCUUGAUAAUUCCUUUGUUAGAUGCCUCGGCCUGCCCAUUAGCUUGAGCAUAAUAAGGAGAAGAGUUUAACACUUUAAUUCCCAUACCGAUUGCAAAUUUGUCAAACUCUCCCGAUGUGAACAUAGUACCCUGAUCGGUAGUAAUUGUUUGAGGAAUCUCAAAUCGAUAGAUAAUGUGCUCUUUCACAAAAUCAAUCAUAUUGGCCGAUGUAACGUUCUUUAAAGGAAUAGCUUCAACCCAUUUAGUGAAAUAAUCAGUGGCAACCAAGAUAAACUUAUGCCCUUUGCUAGAUGGUGGAUAAAUCUGGCCGAUCAAGUCAAUAGCCCACCCUCGAAACGGCCAAGGCUUGAUGAUAGGAUUCAUAGCCGAUGCAGGUGCCCUUUGAACAUUGCCAAACUUCUAACAUCCUUGACACCCUUUAAAAUACUUAAAGCAAUCCUCAAGUAUGGUCGGCCAAUAAUAUCCAUUCCUCCUAAUUAUCCACUUCAUCUUAAAAGCCGACUGAUGUGCUCCACAUACCCCUUCAUGGAUUUCUCCCAUCAAACUCUUAGCUUCAUCAUCACCUAAGCAUCUGAGAAGAAUCCCAUCAAUAGUUCGAUAAUACAAUUCAUCUUUGAGGAGCACAUACUUGGUGGCUUGAAACCGAACCCGUCUCUCAACUUUCUUGGAUGGACCCUUCAAAUAAUCAAUGAUUUCUUUUCUCCAAUCAUCGGCACCGACUGCCGAUAUCGCAUUAAUCAUGGGCUGAUAUCCUGAGGCAUGUUGAGCCAAUCGAUUGGCCUCCUCAUUAUGCAACCUUGGAACAUGCUCUAAUCGGAAAUCCUUGAAUUCCUUCAACAAUUGCAUACUCUUUUCAUGAUAGGUUAUGAGGACUUCACUUCGGCAUUCAUAGUUUCCAGCCAAUUGAUUUAUAACUAACAUAGAAUCCCCGAAGAUUUCCACAGCAUCAGCAUGAACUUCCCGUAGUAACUCCAAUCCCUUUAUUAGGGCUUGAUAAUCAGCUUGAUUAUUUGUUGACGUGGCAACAAUCGGCAAGGAGAACUCAUAUUUCCUUCCCCGAGGGGAAAUUAACAAGAUGCCGAUUCCUGCCCCUCGGUCACAUGUCGAUCCAUCAAAGAAGACCGUCCAAGGUGCAAUUUCCACGGUACCGCAAUGUUGGGUUACAAAAUCGGCCAUAAUCUGCCCCUUAACCGCUUUAGCCAAUUCGUAACGUAGGUCGAAUUCCGAUAGUGCCAAAAUCCACUUACCGAUUCUGCCACUCAUGAUCGACAUAGAUAGCAUGUACCGGACCACAUCAUCUUUGCAAAUAACCGUGCACUCGGCCGAUAGCAAAUAAUGCCUUAACUUAAUACAGGAGAAAUACAAGCAUAAGCAUAGUUUCUCAAUAGCCGAAUACCUGGUCUCAGCAUCAAUCAGCCUCCUGCUUAAAUAGUAAAUCACACGCUCCUUCCCUUUAAAUUCUUGAAUUAGGGCUGAACCGAUGACCAUCCCAUCGGUAGACAAAUACAAUCUGAAGGGCUUCCCUUGCUGAGGUGCAAUUAGAACUGGAGGAUUCACUAAAUAAUUCUUGAUUUCGUCCAAGGCCAACUGUUGUUCUUUCCCCAGACGAAUUCUUGAUCGGCUUUCAACUUAAGUAAAGGACUGAAAGCACGAAUUUUACCAGACAACUUAGAUAUAAAUCUUCUGAUAAAAUUUACCUUGCCGAUCAAGGAUUGGAGCUCAGUCUUGUUGGUGGGGGCAACUAUUUUAUUGAUAGCAUCAAUGGAUCUUCGACUAAUUUCAAUCCCCCUUUGAUGCACCAUGAAACCAAGAAAUUGCCCUGCCGAUACACCAAAUGUACACUUAUUGGGAUUCAUUUUCAAACCAUGCUUCCUUGUGCACUCUAACACCUUUCGCAAAUCGGCAAGAUGCUUUGUGAAGUCUCCAGACUUAACCACCACAUCAUCAAUAUAAAUUUUCACCAGCUUGCCGAUGAACUCAUGAAAUAUAAAAUUCAUGGCCCUCUGAUAAGUAGCACCAGCAUUCUUCAAGCCAAAGGUCAUGACUAUCCAUUCAAACAACCCAACAUGACCAGGACAUCUAAAUGCAGUCUUUGGAAUAUCUUCUUCAGCCAUGAAUAUUUGAUUGUAUCCUACAUUGCCAUCCAUAAAGCUAAUAAUCCGAUGCCCGGCUGCAGGAUCAACUAACAGAUCGGUGUUGAUAUUUGGUAAUGCAAUAAGGAAAUGAUCCGCAAGCGCACGGAUAUCGGUGAGCAUUUCACCCGGGAGGUUAUCCAGAGUUAUCGUAUUUAUAUUUUUACCACUGGGAGAAAGGGUGCAUCUGACUAACCAAAUCUAUUGCUACUACCCCUUUAGGCUACAAAGAAUGUCUCUCGAUGUGAGUGAUGUAUAGAGAAGACUGCAACCGUAGUCUCGUUCUAACCUUGGUAAGGAUGAUCUACUGUUCUAUUGGGGAGGCUCACGGAAUCUAGACGACACAAAGGAUGUUCGACCCGCACCUAUAACCCUACCCGUCCUGCUAACGAGAUGUGAUCUGCAAAGGUAACUCGGAAAUGUCACGUUCCUCGCUACUACCACGGUCCAGCUAGUCAGGGGAUAUCUAUGAGUACCCUAGCAUAAACACCACGUUUACGCUAGCAAGUGAUUACUCUAAUACUCAACCGGAAGAGGAUUAAAGUAAACUCAUAAACCAAAGAACAAUAAAACAAGAACUUACUAGUAUUAGAAGUCGAAUUACUGAAGAAUCUUAGAAGCAAGCCUCGGGUUAGGAGACUUGAUCCUGUAGGUACAACUCGGAGUAGACACCGACAGGCCGGCCUUCCUCCGAUCCACACUUCCACUCUAUCUCUCUCAAUCUAGUAGAAACUAGAAGAUCUAUUUCUACUUUACAUUGGAUGCUAAGCCUAAAAAGAAAUAUUAUUUAGAGAAGAGGUUUUCCUUCGAGGGCACCCCUCAAUCUCUAUGAUAAUUUCUUGUCUCCUCCAGGGCCAGAGGGGGUCUCCUUAUAUAGUCCUCCCCUUCUAUGCGUUUUUGGGUCGAUAGGCGAGGUGGUACUAUGUUAUUCUGGAUCCAAUAGGUCGGUGGAACGUCGUGUGCGAAGAGAGUCCGGAACGGAGUCCAGAGGGGGGCGGGCGCCCAGGUCCUCAGGGCGGGCGCCCUGGGCCUGGCCCCUUUCGGGCUCCGCUUUCUUCCCGUGGCUUCUGGAGUCUUCUAGAUGGUAGAAAAUUGUGCGGUGGGUUGAUAUCUCUAUGUAAUCCCGACAUGUGGGCCUUUCUUCCUUAUUUCCUGAUAACCCCCUGCAGAAAUAGACAAACACCAAAACUCGUGGAAUUCUGUCAGAUGAAACCCUAAGUCUAGAUGUUGAUUUUAUUUGGAUCCUUUUCUUUGUUUAUUUGAUAAUUAAAUUUGAUACUUAAGGACCGUCAACAAACUCCCCCAAGCUUACCUCUUGCUCGUCCCUGAGCAAGGAUGAACUCAAGAGUUUCUGCAGUGGUUUCAUUUCUUAGAAGUACACACGCAUUUAAGCAAGAUCUCAUCUCUGAGUUAGAAUAAACUGUUAAGACUUAAAACUUACUUACUUUACCUACACCAUAUGACUUGUAACCGUCACUUCUGUCUUGAGUGGUUAAAAGAUAGAAUAGUCUAGCCAAGUGCCAUGUCUCUUAUUCUUGAUCAGCUAUAGCUCUGGGGUUUUUGCAGAUUUUCAAAUAAAACUCAGAAAUUCCUUGUAUGAUUCUCUCAGGUCUCUCUUUUGUGGUAUUUUUGGAUCCUUACCAGGCAGUGAUGGUAUAUGCCUUCUCUCAAGAUAUGUGGUAUUUGUGGUAUGAAGCAUAGUGACAUUGUCUUCUCUCUCACCCUACUCUAAUAAGGCUUUAAUAUCUGGAGCUCAUAGGUGGGAGAUAAAGUAUACAUACUUACAAGACAUUUAUUGCAUAGUCAAACCAUGGAUCCAAAGAAACAAAUCAAUAAGCCAAAUCAAGAUGUGCAUGUGAAUGGUGUAUGGUGAUGAUGGUGAUAAUGGUGGUGGAAGUCUAAUUCUACUUUGCUCUUUGAGGGGAUACAUACCUUCCUUGCUUUUGAAACUUUAUGAGGAGAAUGAGAUGCUCUAUAUUUUCUUUCUCUUUCCUCUCAGGUGGGUAUCUUGUACCCCUAAUUCUACUGUCGGACACUUGUCCAUUUUUACCUCUCGUCUCACUUUUUUUUUCUUUUUCUUCGAGGUUCCGGGCACUUGCCCCUUUUUAUUUCCUCGUAUAUUAUUUAUUUUAUUAUUAUUUUUUUUCCUUUUUUUUUCUUUUUUUUAGAGCACUCAUUUCCUGAAAUAAUAUAGCAAGUGGUAGUAACCAAGAUAACUCGAGCAUUUAUUUCACAGGGAAUAACAGGGAUAGGAAAAAUAUUUUUGGCUAUUCUCUCCCGGAUUAGGAGUAGAAUAAUUUCGGGUAAAUGUGGAGAUGGAAAUGAGUGGAUAUAUGUGGAUGGUACUUCCGGAGUAGAAGUAGCAUGUAUGAGUGAACGUGCAAGUGAAUGUUGAUUUUAACCACAUGACAAGCUCCUAAGGGUCUACACAGCUUGACCAUACUCAAUGCUCAUAAGCAGUAAAAAGUAAAUGUGUGGCUCAAAGUCUAGCAAGCAUGUAUAUAUGGCUGUGGUAGGAUUUUAAACUCUCAUCAUACAGGAACUCAUCAUGUGAUAUUUUAAAGAUUUUCAAAGAUAAAAUUCUCCAGAAUUCUAGCAUCUCUAGGAACAGAUAAACAGCAGCUCAACCUUCCCAUAUCGUAUCCGUUAACAACUUAGACAUCAGAUCAAGUUUUCAUCCCACAAGUUUAGGUCUAGAGCAAGCCUUAAAUUAUAAUAGUUAUAUCUAAACUUGAGAGAGAACUUCAAAUUUGCAAAUUAGGCAGAGCAACUAUUCAUCAUAUCCAUGCUUAAGUUUUAUUAGAUACAGAUUAGCAUAGCCACUUUAUUUAUUUAUUAAACACACUAAGCAAAAUAUAUAUAAGCAUAAAAUCUUUAUUUGGUUUUUCAUAGUUAUGUGUAUUUAUAUUCUAAUAUAGUAUAAGUAUAAAGAUAGAUAGAAAUACUUAUCGAGAUAAAUGGGGGUGCUCUCCCCCAAGCUGAAUUUUGACGUAAUUUCUCUUGAUGUAGCUAGCAGGUGGCAAAGGUGUGUUUGAAAGUCAGCAAUAUUUUGACAGCGAUUAGAAUGUCCUCCGUCUACUAGUCUUCUUGAUUCUUAAAUUCAGUGGAGCUCAAAUAGACAACAAAGCUUGUGGAACUGAUUAAGUGUUAGCAUAAAUAUCUAGCCUUUAUUAUCUUGAGACUCCUUAAUAAUUAUUACUCCCUAUUUUUAUAUUUUUGUUUUUAUAAAGUAGAAAAAUAUUUAUUUUAUUUUUAUGCCACCACAGUGAAUGUACUUAUGGGUUUUAUGCCACUCGUCUACUCACAUGGGGCUUACAGUUUUUUUCACAUUUUUAUUUUCUUUCUAGGAUAAUACAAACAUGAUUAACUAAGUAAACUAUUUGAAAUAAUUAAAAGAGAAAGGAUAACUACCAAGUUUACCUCUUGGCAAGGCGUUCGGUGUUUUUAAGUCCUCCGAGCGGGACUCUCCAUUUUCUUAAUCGUCCUGGGAUUCGCUGGAUGACGUAGUCGGUGAUUCCGGUGGCGCCUCCUCUUCGUGUGUAACUAUAUUCUCUCUCCACACCUGACUCGGUGCUACGGUCUCCUCAGGACAGUUAUGUUCAAGUGGUAUGUCUUUAGUCCUUAUCACUUCUCCUUCGUAGUCUACCCAUCCGUUCUUGAUGAUUUGCCUCCUCUGGUUGCGGUUGCGAUGUCUUCUUCUUGUCCUGACCUGCUUAGAGUCUUCAACUAUAUAGUUAGGGUCAGUAAAACAGCGGCAUACCUUCUCAGAGGAGAAGUGUAUGUGGACUUCUCUGGUUCCAAUAUAGAUGAUGGCUUUGAUAGUGCUGAGGAACUGUCUUCCAAGGAUGGUGGGUGGAUCAUAUUCAUCUUCUCCCAUGUCAAUAACUUGAAAGUCAUCUAUAGCUGAAUGUAUAUUGGUUGUAGGGGCAUGGUUUCAUGCAGGAGCUGAUAAGUGACUACGGCCAUUAUGUUGACGUCAGAUCCGGUGUCGUAGAGUGUCUUCUAAAAAGAGUAUCCAUUGUUUGUGCAUUCGAUUCUUGGAACACCAGGGUCGUCCUUCUUGAUCAAGAAAGGUGACUUGAGUCGACGAUCUUGACCUCCUUGAGCUGCAGUGACCAUCUUAGCUGACUCGGUCCACAUUUGCUUGUUCCUGUUCCUCCUGUUGGUCCUCUUCCUUGGUUCAUGUCGGGAUUGCUCUGAAGUUUGUGUAGUCUUGUUCUUGAAGGAAAAUCUCCUUCUUCCCCUUGAUGUAGAGACUGAUCUUGGCAGCAUUAGCGUAGAUGACUGCUCUGGUGUUUAGGAAUGGCCUCCCUAAGAUGAUUGGUGCCUUCUCCUCAGUGCCAGUCUCUAUCACCAUGAAGUCUGCUAGAGCAUACAAGGUACCAACUCGGACGCAGAGGUUCUUCAAUAUUUCCUUUGGGAAACUGAGUGUCUGAUCUGCAACCCUGGGCAUAAUGUUGACGCUGGAGCCAAAGUCGUAGAGUGCUUCUGGGAAGUCCACCAUGCCGAUGGAGAUCGGGAUGACGGGACGUCCUAGAUCACCUCUCUGAGUAAUUAGGCCUCUGUUGAUUCCAACCUUGAUGUUGUUGAGGACGGUUGUAGUAAUAGUUGUUAUUGUUGUUGAUGUAGUUCACGUCCUCAAGCAUCUUAGGCCAGUGAUUGCCUGAGCGUUCAGUAUCUCCAGUGUGUUUAUUCUCGUAGAUCCUAGUUCUUCACUUGGUGGAAUCUGGGAGUUGUAAAACUCCUUCAUAUUAUGCUCGAAGUGUUCCUGCUCAUAGAAACAAGGUAGAGAUCAAGUGCAUGGGCCCUGUUGGUGGAAAACACCAACAGAACCAAAAGUGUAUUUGUUCUUCUCUAACCUUAAGCAUAGUGAGCAAGACAAAGUUGAUGGAUCAUGAGUGUAGCAUUUGUCAGAUCAGAUGGCUCAACCUAAUGGAAAGAUAAUCUAUCUAUAUUUAUGUUUUGUUUAUAUCUUCCAAAUAUUGCAUGUGCAAUACUUUAGCUUAUAUGAUUAGGAGUGUGGGGUCACGAAGGUAGUACUAAGAACAAAGAUUAAAGGACUAAUCAUGUUGAAUUAAUUGAGUUGGUUAAUUUGGAGUUAUAAAUCAUACAUGUUUGUCUCUUUAUUUAUGUGAAUGCCAGAACCAAGGAUGAGCUUAUAAAAGUGUUAGUCAAGUACCUUAAGAUGUUACCUUACUUGAAGAGUGAUGGUACAGUAUCACCUUGUGGAAGCUUUCCUUUCUUAGCGGUUGUGCAUCGUGUUUGUGGCACCCUCCAUGAAUCAUCUCUUAUGAGCUACGUCUUUCUUGUGCAAAUUGUUAAACUUCAUGUGUCACUUUCUUCAUCUCUAAUGAGUUUGCAUCUCAGGACUUCCCAGGUUGUUAUUGAAUGUUUUCCUACAGGGGUUAGUCCAACAAAAUAUACCAAUAUCUACUCAAGCAGUUUUUAGUUCAGUAACCAAACUAGACUCCAUGUAUAAUCAGAUUAAGGAAGGCUAUUUAACCUAAGCACCACGCUUAAUUUAAAUGCCAUUGGAAGUGUGACCAGUACUUCCAAACUAAUACUUACUAGGAUAAACAAAGGUAGCAUGAUGGCUUUUAUAGAGAUCUACUCAAGUGGAGAUGAAGUAGUGUGAUUAGUAUUUAACAAAUUGAGCAUGUCUCAAAGGUAAGGACAACCAACAUAGCAACAUGGCAAAGGAUGUUUUAUGUAAAGUACUCCCCCAAGCUUGAAUUUUGCAAAAUUCAAGAUUGGAUGAAUUUAAAUUAAUGUUGCAUGAUGAUUGGUUGGGCAUACCUUGCGCUUGUCAUUCAUCCGAUCUUCUUGCUCUAAUCCUAGAAAGGUUAGUGGCAAGAAUACCCGAAGGAAUAUUUCUACAAUUAUCUCAAUAUGCUCAAUACACAAGGCAAUGUUGCAAAUAAUUAGAAGUGCUUGUUUUAGGACACUAAGCUUGUCCUUGGGAAACCAUCAAUUAACUCAACGAGAUCUGCAAUAUUUAUUAUUGACAUAUGCAUCGACAACCGCCCUUUUAAAGUUUUUAUAAAUAGAAAAGAAGAGGGGGUUGGAGAUCUCAAAUGUGGUAAGGAUGGAGAGACAAAUUGAUUGGAGAGAUGUUUUAUAUGAGCAAGGACUGGGUGAGGUAUUUAUGAAAUAACUUCCAUGCUCACUGUUGUUUCUCUCAUUCUCAAACUCCAAGGAUGAUUCUUCAUGAAUGAUUAAAAUUCCUCUAGGAUUGUCUCUCAAGUUUGUUUUAUCUAUCCAUUCAAUGGUGAUAGCACAUGGAUUUUUAAUGCCCUCUAGCCAUUGAUGUUGCUCUUCUCGAUCCUCCUUCUUAUGCAUGGGAUGUCUAGAUAGAUUCAUAGGAUUAUCAGGAGGUUCAAGAGAAUAGAAAUUAUUAAGCUCAAGGAUGGGAUGGAUAGCCGAAUCAUGGGAUUGGAAUGUUUGGAAAUCGGCUAUUGAAACUUCCUUUCCUCGUCUGGGAGAUGAUUCCUUCUCUAUCUCUAGGAUUUUUCUAUGAAGACUAGUACAAGAAGGAUGUCCACAAAUGAAGACAUACCUUCCUUUACUAAUAGAUAAAGAAAGAAAGACUCUACCAAAUGUUAUAUGAUUAAGACCAAUGUGAAAAUAUCUAGAAAAAACAUGGUCUUGUAGGUCUAGGUCUAAACCAGAAUUUAUAGAAAGAUUAAAAGAUUCCCUAGGUGUAGCUAAAAGUGCAUUAUCUUCUUGAUUAAAAGAUAGGACCUCAGCUAUAGAAAAGGGUUGGUUUUGACCUAUUGCAAUCAACUCCGGACACAGAUCAUAAUUAGGGGCAGGACGUGUUGACUCCCAUGGUCUAUGGCUGGUCUCCGAAGGUGCAACGAAUUUAAUUAUAGGUAUGGAAUUUGAGUUAUCCAUAAAGAUAAAAAUAAAAAGAUAAAAUAAUAAAAGUAUAAAAGUAUAAUACAAGAUAAUAGCAAGACUCAAAGUUAUCUCAGCAAACCGUCUUUCUCCCCGGCAACGGCGCCAGAAAUGCUUGUUGAUAUUUGGUAACGCAAUAAGGAAAUGAUCCGCAAGCGCACGGAUAUCGGUGAGCAUUUCACCCGGGAGGUUAUCCAGAGUUAUCGUAUUUAUAUUUUUACCACUGGGAGAAAGGGUGCAUCUGACUAACCAAAUCUAUUGCUACUACCCCUUUAGGCUACAAAGAAUGUCUCUCGAUGUGAGUGAUGUAUAGAGAAGACUGCAACCGUAGUCUCGUUCUAACCUUGGUAAGGAUGAUCUACUGUUCUAUUGGGGAGGCUCAUGGAAUCUAGACAACACAAAGGAUGUUCGACCCGCACCUAUAACCCUACCCGUCCUGCUAACGAGAUGUGAUCUGCAAAGGUAACUCGGAAAUGUCACGUUCCUCGCUACUACCACGGUCCAGCUAGUCAGGGGAUAUCUAUGAGUACCCUAGCCUAAACACCACGUUUACGCUAGCAAGUGAUUACUCUAAUACUCAACUGGAAGAGGAUUAAAGUAAACUCAUAAACCAAAGAACAAUAAAACAAGAACUUACUAGUAUUAGAAGUCGAAUUACUGAAGAAUCUUAGAAGCAAGCCUCGGGUUAGGAGACUUGAUCCCGUAGGUACAACUCGGAGUAGACACCGACAGGCCGGCCUUCCUCCGAUCCACAUCUCCACUCUAUCUCUCUCAAUCUAGUAGAAACUAGAAGAUCUAUUUCUACUUUACAUUGGAUGCUAAGCCUAAAAAGAAAUAUUAUUUAGAGAAGAGGUUUUCCUUCGAGGGCACCCCUCAAUCUCUAUGAUAAUUUCUUGUCUCCUCCAGGGCCAGAGGGGGUCUCCUUAUAUAGUCCUCCCCUUCUAUGCGUUUUUGGGUCGAUAGGCGAGGUGGUACUAUGUUAUUCUGGAUCCAAUAGGUCGGUGGAACAUCGUGUGCGAAGAGAGUCCGGAACGGAGUCCAGAGGGGGGCGGGCGCCUAGGUCCUCAGGGCGGGCGCCCUGGGCCUGGCCCCUUUCGGGCUCCGCUUUCUUCCCGUGGCUUCUGGAGUCUUCUAGAUGGUAGAAAAUUGCGCGGUGGGUUGAUAUCUCUAUGUAAUCCCGACAUGUGGGCCUUUCUUCCUUAUUUCCUGAUAACCCCCUGCAGAAAUAGACAAACACCAAAACUCGUGGAAUUCUGUCAGAUAAAACCCUAAGUCUAGAUGUUGAUUUUAUUUGGAUCCUUUUCUUUGUUUAUUUGAUAAUUAAAUUUGAUACUUAAGGACCGUCAACAAUCGGCAACUGGCAUUGGGUAGCCAUCCAUCGGUGUAGCUUUAUUAAGAUUCCUGAAAUCAAUGCAGACCCAAAGCUUCCCAUUUUUCUUAUAGACCGGAACAACAUUGGAAAUCCACUCGGCAUACCGACACUGCCGAAUAAAUUUGGCUUCAAUAAGUUUGGUAAUUUCGGCCUUAAUAUUAGGGAGAAUAUUAGGAUUACAUCGGCGAGCCGGCUGUUGAUGCAGCCGAAAUCCAGACUUGAUAGGCAACCGAUGUUCAACAAUCGAUCGGUCCAAACCAGGCAUCUCGGUAUAAUCCCAAGCAAAGCAAUCUUCAUAUUCCUUUAACAAAUCGGUCAACUGCUGCUUACACUCAGGAUUCAAUUUAGCACUAAUAAAAGUAGGUCUAGGUUUAUCACCGCUACCUAUAUCUACCUCCACUAGAUCAUCGGUCGAUGUGAAUCCCUGGCCUAAUUUUCCAUCAUCGGCGAACCUAUCCAUUAAAAACCUUCGUCAGAACCAACUGCUUGGAUCGGUAGAAUUUCAUAAUCGGCAACCUUGAGAAAAUCCUUUUCCCAAACUUCUCCUGAAAUACACCUAGUCCUUUCAUAGGUGUCUGCUUCUGCCGAUGCAAUGACAUAUGAAGAGUCUCCUGGGACAAUUUCAAUCUUGUUGCCUACCCACUAGACCAAGCACUGGUGCAUUGUAGACGGGAUACAACAAUUGGCAUGAAUCCAAUCUCUCCCCAGCAACAGAUUGUAGGCACCUUUCCCACUGAUCACAAAGAAGGUUGUCGGCAAGGUCUUGCUGCCGAUAGUCAACUCAACACAGAUAGCUCCUUUAACUGGGGACACAUUGCCUUCGAAAUCCUUUAGCAUCAUAUCGGUCUUGGUCAAAUCUUGGUCUCCUUUUCCAAGCUUCCGAUACACUGCAUACGACAUGAUAUUGAUAGCCGCUCCACCAUCAACUAGAAUCUUGGUCAUCGGCUGACCAUCCACUCUUCAUUUUACAAACAGAGCCUUAAGAUGUUGCCUUUCAUCAUCGGCAGGCUUUUCGAAGAUAGCUGUCAUCGGAUCCAGAGCCAACUGAGCUAUUUGGUCGGAGAACUCCAACUCAUCAUCACUAGAUGGCGCAAGGAACUCCAUCGGCAACAUAAAGACCAUUUUGACAUCUGCCGAUGGACCUUUCCCCUUGGGAUCUGAUUGCUGCUGAUCCCCAGACUAGCCAGAGUUCUCGCCCUUGCUUAGCCCUUCUCGCCUUUCGUGCUGCAGUCUUCUCUUCUGUGUCCUGGUCAACCCCUCUGGACACCAGGGAGGAAGUUGCUGCUGCCUUACUGAUGGGCGACGAUUUUCCCUCGACUCCAUCCGAUAAGUAUUGGCAUCCCAACAAAAUAUGAACUCAUCGGGAACCCGAGCAUCAGCAAUCUCUUCAAGUUCUUCCUGGUUCCUGGGAAAAUACCCAACACGAUCACCAAGCCUGUCGUGUACGCUGAGCCUGCCCCCAGCCGAUCAUGAACGGAUGCUCUCCCCCUGAUCGGCCCAUUAAAUCGCCGAUCGUCAUCAUGAUGGCGCCGAUCAGAUCUGUCAUACCGAUCAUAACCAUUGCACUCAGGACAAUCUCUGACAGUAGGAACCUUGAUAUUUUCCUCCCAACAGUGAAUGAAGAACGGGCAAUUCCAGUGAUCCCUAUGCCGAUUCCACUCCUGUCGGCGUCUCUCUUCUUCCCGACGAUAAUCCUCUUGCUGGCGUCGAUACCGAUCCUCACGUUGCUGCCAAGUCUCCCGAGGCCUUCUGUGAGUUAUCACAAUACCAGAUUGGGGAGGCCUCCCUGAGUUAGUUCCCUCCUGGAUCAGGCCUUUUCCUUUCGCAUCGGCGGUAGUGAUAUGAUGCUGAGGAUCCACCGAUGCACUCCUUUCAGCUGCUUCUGAUGUUAAGACCUUGGCCUUUCCCUUGGCAUCCAGCAUGUUUGUCGAGAAAGGAUAUUGAUCAAUCUUCAUCGGCUUCUGAGCUUUGGAGCUAUCAAACUUGAUCCUCCCAGAUUCUAUAGCCGAUUGCAGCUGUUGUCUAAAAACUUUGCACUCAUUGGUGCUAUGAGAAGUUGCAUUGUGCCAUUUACAGUACUUCAUCUUCUUCAACUCCUCGGCCGAUGGGAUUACAUGAUUUGGUGAUAAUUUGAUCUGACCUUCUUGAAGUAGAAAGUCAAAUAUCCUAUCGGCCUUAGUGAUGUCAAAUGCGAACUUCUCUGGUUCCUUGUGCCCGAAAGGACAAGACAUCAGCUUCUUGUUUUUCACCCACUCUGCCAAGCCGAUGACUGGUUCCUCAUCAGAAUCCGAGCUUGCUACUUCAUCUACAAAUGAUACCUUUUUGUUCCAUGCUCUCUUGGGUUCAAAAGGCUUGAUAUCUUGAUCAGAAAUUCUUUGCACCAAAUGACUUAAGCUUUCAAACUCUUGAGAUGCAUACUUAUCCCUGAUAUGUGGCAGCAAACCCUGGAAAGCCAAAUCGGCUAACUGCCGAUCAUCCAGAACCAGGCUGUAGCAUUUAUUCUUGACUUCCCGCAACCACUAUACAAAGCUCUCAACUGAUUCAUCAUUGCGUUGCUUCAAUCUAACCAAAUCGGUAAUCUUCUUUUCAUGAACCCUGGAAAAGAAGUAUUUGUGAAACUGCUUCUCUAGAUCGGCCCAAGUAAUCACUGAGUUAGGUGGUAAUGACAUAAACCAAGUGAAGGCUGAUCCAGACAAUGAUGACGAGAACAACCGAACCCUUAACUCAUCCCGAUUAGCAGCUUCUCCGCAUUGGAUGAUGAACCUGUUGACAUGCUCCAUAGUCGACGUAUCAUCCUGCCCAGAAAACUCAGUAAAAUCUGGCACUUUGUACCAAUUUGGAAGCGGGAUUAAAUCAUAUGCAGGAGGAUACAGUGUCCGAUAAGAGUAAGUGUUGACUUUGGGUUUUAUCUCAAAUUGGUCUCUCAUUACUUCAGCAAUCUUAUCGGCCCAAUAGGCAUCGGGAUCUUGCCGAUGAGGCGGUUGCGGAUCCGGCACCUGCUGGUAAGCUUCCAUGUGUCUAUGCGGUGCACGAUCUGGAUGGAACAUUGGGUUCAUCAUUUGGCCACCAACUUGCUGACCGCCGAGCUGUUGACCACCCAGAUGUUGACCACCAAAUUGCUAUCCACCGACCUGUUCACCACCAACCUGUUGUCCGAGAUUCAUCGACUGAUUGACUGCCCCCUGGUUCUGAAAUCCAGGGUAGAUCUGACCCUAUUGAAAACUCGUAGCCUGAUGAUUUUGUUGGGGCAAUUGUGGAAAAACAUGCUGUCCAAGCCAUCCACUAUUAGCAUUCAUCGGCAUAGGACCUGCCGAUGACUGAUAAUUGGGCAUCAUCAUUGAAUUGACAUACCCUGGCUGAGUCAUAAGCCUCUGUUGCAUCAGCAUUGAGUCUGCCGAUGCGUUAGGCAUCUGGAACAUUGGAGCUUGAGAAUUCCUAGUGUGAGGUCUUGCAGUAGUAGUUGUAGUAUACUGGGGACUUUGAUUCAUCAGCAUAUUUGGAGGUGCCGAUGCCAUAGGAGCCUUGCCUCUCGUAUCAGCUGCCUGAGAUGUGCCAGGUGUCAUCAAGUUUUCCGGGGGCGUACCAAAACCCCACCAGUUAGGAGGAGGGGCUGGUCCUGACAUUGCCGGUGCCAAUAGAUCUGUAGUGAGCUUAAUCUGCUCAUCUGAAGUCGGUGGAUUAGUUGUCAUCGGCGUAGAUUGUGCAUUAGUAACUCCUAACGUACUUGGAGGAACAGGAAUUUCUAUGCCCGCAGCGGCUGUAGCAGCCGAUGGAGCUGUGACCACCGGUGAUCCUGGCUGAUGAUGAGAAGGGCCCACAUAAUUUGGUGGCAACUGUCCUUCCUUGAAAGUUCUAGCCACGGCAUUGAAAACCGUAUUGGACAGCACACCAGCUUGGUUGAUCAAGGCACGGUUGAUAGCACUAUCGACCAUGUCUUGGAGUUUACUAGGAUUGGCUUCAAAAGUAACCUGCCGAGGCAUCGGCAGCGCAUCCUUCUGGAUCACCUCGCUGCUCCUGUUCAUGCUGAAGGACCUCAGGCAUUGCUGCUUGUAAUCCUCCAUGGCUUUAGCAGUAGCUUGCUUCUGCUCAUCCUUGAGAUUGGCUUCCGUCACGGGGAUGACGUUCUCCUGAUCAAACUCAGUAGUCGUCAUGUUGAUCUUGAUCUUGAAUCUGGUCCCACCGGUCGUGCCAAAAGAUGUGUUGAUGCAAAAGCUGAUCUGCAAACACAAAGGGCUAAUACCCGAUUUAAACGUUAAGGCGUGCCAGCCGAUUUGACCUUACUAUCGGCAAAGGUGAUAACUCAAAUACUUUGGUCCCGACAACAGCGAUGCGCCCGGAUGCCACGGCCAAGAGGUAUUCACGCGGAACUUGAGAAUACGCCGAGCUUAAGUCGAUGAAUUCCUAAGAACUCGUAAUGAAAAAGGAAAAUAUGACGAAGUCGUCAAAAAGUAGAUGCUGGAAUAUGAGUAAAAAUUUGUGUUUGAUUGAUUGAUAGAUGUCUCGAUUACAAGGCCCUAGGGUCUACAUUUAUACCCUGUUCAAAGAGCUACAACCAGACAUGACUAGAAUUCGAAUUCCAAAUUUAGAUAGAAUCCGUGUACAAAACGAUUUAAAUAACUAAGGAAAACAUAAAAUUAUCCUGCCGCGACAAGCUAGGACACCACCACGGACCAAUUGGCAAUCCCCAAAUCUUCCUUCCACGUCAUCGGCAGACUCCCCAUCGGCAACAAUCAGUACUGGCCAUCGGCAUAAACACAUCACCACCCAUGAACCUAGCCAUGUUCAACUGUCUCUUCAUCGGCAACCACCCUUAUCGGCAACUCUCCUGCAGACCAAUCACUCUUACCUUUUCUUGCCGAUUUUCACUUCUACCGAUCCUGGAUACGUGUCCAAAAACGGUGUCAACACAGGGUAUCACCAAAUCCCAAUCCAUCUCGAUGAUCAAAGCAAAACCACUUUUACAUGCCCAUACGGAACUUAUGCUUACCGUAGAAUGUCUUUUGGGUUAUGUAAUGCACCAGCUUCUUUUCAAAGAUGCAUGAUGUCUAUAUUUUCUGAUAUGAUUGAAGAGAUUAUGGAAGUUUUCAUGGAUGAUUUUUCUGUUUAUGGAAAAACUUUUGAUUGUUGUCUUGAAAACUUAUACAAGGUUUUGCAAAGAUGUGAAGAAAAGCACUUAGUCCUUAAUUGGGAAAAAUGUCAUUUUAUGGUUAGGGAAGGAAUAGUGUUGGGACACCUAGUGUCUGAAAGAGGUAUUGAGGUAGACAAAGCUAAAAUUGAAGUAAUUGAACAACUACCUCCACCUGUGAAUAUAAAAGGAAUUCGAAGCUUUCUUGGCCAUGCUGGUUUUUAUCGCAGAUUCAUAAAAGAUUUUUCAUUUAUUGCUAGACCACUUACUCUUUUGCUAGCCAAGGAUGCUCCUUUUGAAUUUGAUGAUGCAUGCCUAACAUCUUUCAAUUUAUUAAAGAAUGCACUCAUCUCUGCACAAAUCAUUCAACCCCCUGAUUGGUCGUUGCCUUUUGAGAUUAUGUGUGAUGCUAGUGAUUAUGCUGUGGGGGCAGUUUUGGGACAAACUAAAAAUAAGAAGCAUCAUGCAAUUGCUUAUGCCAAUAAAACUUUGACAGGAGCUCAACUUAACUAUGCAACCACUGAAAAAGAGCUUCUGGCUGUUGUCUUUGCCAUUGAUAAAUUUAGAUCUUAUUUAGUUGGAGCUAAAAUAAUUGUUUACACUGAUCAUGUUGCACUAAAAUAUCUGCUCACUAAAAAAGAUGCAAACCUCGCCUGAUUAGAUGGAUCUUAUUACUUCAAGAAUUUGACUUAGAAAUAAAAGAUAAAAAGGGAGUAGAAAAUUCUGUUGUUGAUCACUUGUCUAAAAUGUAUUUUACGAAUCCACACGACACCCCCAUCAAUGAUUCACUCCGGGACGACAUGCUCUACGGGAUUAACAGGUCUGACCCCUGGUAUGCAGAUAUUGUUAAUUUUAUGGUUUCAGGGUAUGUACCACCUGGAGCAAACAAGAAGAAGCUUAUUCAAGAAAGUCGUUCACAUAUAUGGGAUGAGCCAUACCUCUUCCGAGUAUGCUCUGAUGGCUUACUCAGGAGGUGUGUGACCACUGAGUAAGGAUGGAAGAUCAUCGACAGAUGUCAUCGCCAUAUGGAGGUCAUUAUGGAGCAUUCCGUACACAUUCAAAGAUCUGGCAGUGUGGAUUCUACUGGCCUACAAUGUAUGAAGACACAAAGCAAUAUAUUAGAAGAUGUGGGCCAUGUCUAAGGCACGGAAACAUAAACACGAGAGAUGCCAUGCCACUCACCAACAACCUUCAAAUUGAGCUCUUUGAUGUGUGGGGAAUAGAUUACAUGGGUCCAUUUCCCCCAUCAAAGAAGUGUGAGUUCAUCUUGGUGGCAGUUGACUACAUCUCCAAGUGGGUAGAGGCACUACCUUGCAAACAUGCCCACAACAUCAGUUCAAAGAUAAUGUUUGAAGAAGUUAUAUUUCCAAGAUUUGGAGUUCCCAGAGUAGUGAUAAGUGAUGGAGGAGCACAUUUCAUCGACAAACGCUUCAAGCAAUAUCUAUCAAGACAUGGAAUCCGUCACAACGUCGCUACCCCCUACCAUCCUCAGACAAGUGGCCAAGCAGAGACUUCCAACAAGCAAAUCAAGAAUAUUCUUCAAAAAACAGUCAAUGAGAUGGGAACAGCAUGGAAAGACAAGUUACCCGAUGCACUCUGGGCAUACCGGACAGCAUACAAGACCCCAAUUAGAAUGUCCCCAUACCAAUUGGUGUACAAGAAGACUUGCCACCUACCUGUUGAACUAGAAUUCAAAGCACAUUGUGCCAUAAGGAGAUGGAAUAUGGACCUAGAUGUCGCUGGAGAUCAUAGAAGAAUGCAACUAUCAGAAUUGGAAGAAUGGCGAGAGAAAGCAUAUCACAACUCAAAGAUCUACAAAGAAAGAGUCAAAAGGUGGCAUGACAAGAGGAUCAAGAAGGAGUUUGCUGACGGUCCUUAAGUAUCAAAUUUAAUUAUCAAAUAAACAAAGAAAAGGAUCCAAAUGAAAUCAACAUCCAGACUUAGGGUUUUAUCUGACAGAAUUCCACGAGUUUUGGUGUUUGUCUAUUUCUACAGGGGGUUAUCAGGAAAUAUGGAAGAAAGGCCCAUACGUCGGGAUUACAUAGAGAUAUCAACGUGCCGCACAAUUAUCUUACAUCUAGAAGACUCCAGAAGCCACAUGAAGGAAGCGGAGGCUGAAUGGGGCCAGGCACUGGGCGCCCGCCCAGUUGACCUGGGCGCCCGCCCCCUCCUGGAGUCCAAACAGGACUCUCUUUCGAGAAAGAUCUCCACCGACCUAAAGGAUCAAGGAUAACCGUUCAAUCAAUGUCGGUUUGAUCCAACGGCCUAUAUUCACUUGAAGGGACUAUAAAACCAGACCCCCUGGCCCCUGGAGGAGAGAGCCUCUCAACCCUAACUCAUUAUUCCUCAAGGGAGAAGAAGCCUCUGAGCCACCACAUCAAUUAGACAUCUAGAUUAGCAUAGCUACAUAGGAUUAGAACUAGAAGGAGUCAAUCUUCGAUUGGUUUCCGGAUCUGUCAAGAGGAUUCUUGGUAAUUCUCUAAUUGUACUUCUAAUUGUUCUUCUAAUCAUCUUUGUUCUUCAAUAUUAUGAAUAUGACUUUGUUCUACUUCAAUAUAUUGCUUAUGACUUUGCUCUACUUGCUUAUAUUCAAUAUUAUAUUGUUCUUAGUUUAUCAUAGUUAUAUACUUGGCUUAGUUAGAUUGGAUCUAUAUACAUGUUUAGGAUCGUAUAGUGUUUAUCCAUCGGAUCCAUGGGUAAUUGAUAGAUAUUAUGUAGGCGUGGUGCUUAUACCGUAUUUAUCUGGGAUUGUACCCAAUAUGCCAGAUCGCGGGGUAGUUCGUGAUAGUGACAGCCUCAUUGAUUCUUAUAUAGUCCCCCUCUCGUGUAUUGGGCUGGCAGAGCAACAUUAUUACAGGGGAGUGAUUGCUAUAUUUCUCAUUUACCUGGCUAAUAUCACUAUGCAUGGGCGUAGUCUUGUCUCACCAUGAUUGCUAAGUAUGCUUGCACUAACUAUGAUAAUGCUAGACUAUAUAGUUGAGAAUAACUUAGGAAAUAUUCUUGUAGUUCAUUCUAAUUCCAUGCUAAUGACUUUCUAGAAUAUCUAAUUGAGGUGCUCAUCAUAUUUAUAUGUGGCUAAGUUAUGCUGAUCAGAUUAAUUAUCUUUGUCACUAUUCAUUACUUCAUAUAUCUUUUAUGUGACACUUACCCCUGUAUGAAAGAGUUAGAUAAAUGUUCUCAAUUAUACAUGCAAUGAUAGAUACUCAAUCUCAUAUUCCAUUAUAUAAUCAAUAUUGAUGGUUACUAAUCCCUUCCUAGUGGUAAAAAUAUAAAUAACGAUACCUGGAAUACUUAUGGUUUAAAAUGCUACAUCGGUAUUAAUCUGUGCGUUUGCAGAUCCCAUUCAUUAUUUAUUUAGAAGAGCAAUUGCAUAUUUCAAUACCGCGUCUCUCAUGUCAUGCUGGGGAUGACAACUUGGCUUAAGUGGUAUGAGGGAUAGGUUUGGCAUUUUUGGCACCAUUAUCAGAAUUAGAAAACUAAGUCUACUUUUGGUAAUGAUGUUAAGAAUACCCAACAAGCAUUUUUGGCACCGUUGCCGGGGAAGGUUGAUUACUAAUCAGGAAUGGAUAUAGGAUUUUGAGUUAUCAUUCGCAUCACUAAUGUGAUUGAGCUUAUCAAUUCUCUCAUACAGUUUUACCCCAAUAUCUUCCUAAUUUAUCUUAUGCAGGGGAUUGUAUGAAUAGAAGACAUCUUCCACGCAAUUUUAUUGAUAAUCCCGAGGCCUUAUUCAGAAAAACAAGAGCCAAGCUCAAGAAGAGAUCAUCAACACUUCAGCAAGAAGCUUCAUCCAAUCAAGAAGAUCACCGGAACUUGUCUUCAGAGUUCGAAGCUAUGGCGAACAAAUCGAUCCGUGAGUUCUCAGCUCCCAGUACGGACAACAUCUGCACUGGACCUGCUACAGAGAUCGACGGCAACUUUGAGCUCAAGCCUGGACUUAUCAACAUGGUGCAAUCCAGCCAGUUCUAUAGGAAGGCACACGAAGAUGCUAGUGCUCAUGUCUAACACUUCCUAGAGAUUUGCAACACAUUCACCAUAUCAGGAGUCCCUAGAGAUGCUAUACUACUUUGCCUCUUUCCAUUCUCAGUGUUAGGAAGAGCGAAGCAGUGGUUUUACGCUACAAAGGAGAAGAAUACUACGUGGGCACUCUGCUCAACAAACUUUCUGGCUAAGUUCUUUCUCAUGGGCAAGACCAAUGCUCUCCGUGGGAAAAUUACAAGUUUUCAGCAACAACAUGAUGAAUCUGUUCCAGAAGCAUGGGAGCGCUUCCAAGACUACAUCCUAGAAUGUCCCCAUCAUGGAAUGGAGAGUUGGUUAUUGAUGCAGACAUUUUAUCAUGGCCUCGGCAAUAGUGCCCGAGAAACCAUGGAUGCUGCAGCUGGAGGAGCAUUCUUAUCACUCACCAUACCACAAGCCACAGCUCUUGUGGAGAAGAUGGCGUCCAAUCAAAGCUAGAAUGAAGAGAGGACCCAGACACGCAAGAAAGGUGGAGGUAUGCAUCAGCUCAAGGAGGUAGACAUGAUGUCAGCAAAGCUAGACCUGCUCAUGAAGAAGCUUGAUGAUAGAGCUGGAGAUAAGAAAGAAGUUAUGCACAUCUAUGACUCUCACAUGACUUCUAAGGAGUGUGGAGAUACUGGACACUCAGGCAAUCACUGCCCUAAGAUGCUUGAGGAUGUGAACUACAUCAACAAUAACAACAACUACUACUACAACCGUCCUACACAAAACCAAGGUUGGAAUCAACAGAGGCCUAACUACUCAGGUAAUUAUCAUGGUAAUAAUUCUUACAAUACUAAUAAUUUUCCACCUCUGAGAGAGUUAGUGCCUAAUCAAGGAAAGCUAAUGGAUAAUCUAUCUAAAAAAUUGGCAUCUAAUGAUAAAAUGCUAGAAAAUAUAAGUAAUAGGAUGGAUAAUUUCUCUACUGUCAUCAAGAAUCAAAUUAGCUUUAAUAAAAUGAUUGAAUCUCAGUUAAAUCAAAUAGCUGCUGCUGUUCCUACUACUAACCCCGGUAUACCAUAACAACCGAAAGGAUUAGAAUCUGCAAAUCUUGUAGACAUGUUUGAUGCAGGUAACUGGAGUAACCCCGUCAUUGAAGUUACUACUGACCUUCUACCGGUCAAGAGAGGUGAUCCAGGACGCCCCGUCAUCCCGAUCGCCAUCGGCAUGGUGGACGUCCCAGAAGCACUCUGCGACUUUGGCUCUAGCGUCAACAUUAUGCCUAGGGUACUCUAUGAAAAAAUCUUUACAUAUCCUUUAUUAGAAACAACCAUGUGUUUGCAGUUUGCAGAUCAGACGAUAAGUUUUCCAAAAGGAAUAUUGAAGAACCUUUGUGUCUGAGUUGGUACCUUAUAUGCCCUAGUAGACUUCGUGGUGAUAGAGACCGGUAAUGAUGAGAGAGCACCUAUCAUCUUAGGGAGGCCAUUCUUAAACACCUCGGGAGUUGUCAUCUACGCUAGUGCUGCCAAGAUCAGUUUCUACAUCAAAGGAAGGAAGGAGACGUUUUUCUUCAAGAACAAGACUACACAAAUUCCAGAUCAAUCCAGACGUGAAUCAAGGUAGAGGACUAACAGUAGGAACAGGAACAAGCAAGUGUGGACCGAGUCAGCUAAGAUGGUCACUGCAGUUCAUGGAGGUCAAGAUCACCAACUUAAGUCACCGUUUCUAACCAAGAAGGACGACCUAGGAAUGCCAAGCAUCUACUGCUCUAUAAAUGGAUAUAACAAAUAGUAACUGAUGUCCCUGUCAAAAUAGACGAUCAUUUUGUCUACACAGACUUUCAGGUUAUUGACAUGGGAGAAGACGAGUACGAUCCACCCAUCAUCCUUGGAAGACUGUUCCUCAGCACUGUUAAAGCAAUAAUCUACAUUGGAACUGGAGAAGUCCAUAUGCACUUCUCCUCAGAGAAGGUACGCCGCUAUUUUACUGACUCUAACUAUAUCGUUGAAAAAUCUAAGCAGGUCAGAAAGCGACGCAACCGCAACUAGAGGAGGCAAAUCAUCAAGGACGGAUGGGCAGACUAUGAAGGAGAUGUGAUAGGGUCAGAAGACAUACAGUUUAAACAAAACUAUCCUGAGGAGACCGUAGCACCGAGUCAGGUGUGGAAAGAGAAGAUAACUAUACAUGAAGAGGAGGCGCUGCCGGAAGUACUGACUACGCCACCUAACGAAUCCCAGGACAAUUGAGAAAACAGAAAGUCCCGUUCGGAGGACUUAAAAACACCGAACGCCUUGCCAAGAAGUAAACUCGGUAGUUAUCCUUUCCCUUUCAAUUAUUUAAAAUAGUUUACUUAGUUAAUCAUGUUCAUACUAUCCUAAAGAGAAAAUAAAAAUGUAAAAAACAGUAAGCCCCAUGUGAGUAUACGAGUGGCAUGAAACCCAUAAGUACAUUCACUGUGGUGGCAUAAAAAUAAAAUAAAUAUUUCUUUUCUGCUUUAUAAAACAAAAAUAUAAAAAUAGAGAGUAAUAUUGAGGAGACUCAAUAUGAUAAAGGCCAGAUAUUUAUGCUAACACCUAAUCAGUUCCACAAAGCUUUGUUGUCUAUUUGAGCUCCACAGAAAUCAAGAAUCAAGAAGACUAGCAGACAGAGGACAUUCUAAUCGCUGUCAGGAUACUGCCGACUUUCAAAUAUACCUCUGCCACCUGCUAGCUACGUCAGAAGAAAUUACGUCAAAAUUCAGCUUGGAGGAGAGCACCCCCAUUUAUCCCAAUAAGUAUUUCUAUCUAUCUAUCUAUCUUUAUACUUAUACUAUAUUAAAAUAUAGAUAUACAUAACUAUGGAAAACCAAAUAAAGAUUUUAUGCUUAUAUAUAUAUUUUUUGCUUAGUGUGUUUAAUAAAUAAAUAAAGUGGCUAUGCUAAUCUGAAUCUUAAUAAUAAAACUCUAGCAUGGAUAUGAUGAAUAGUUGCUCUGCCUAAUUUUUUAAAUUUGAAGUUUUCUCUCAAGUUUAGACAUAACUGUUAUAAUUUAAAGCUUGCUCUAAACCUAAACUUGUGGGAAGAAAACUUGAUCUGAAGUCUAAGUUGUUAACGGAUAUGAUAUGGGAUGGUUGAGCUGUUGUUUUUCUGUUCCUAGAGAUGCUUGAAUUCUAGAGAAUUUUAUCUUUGAAAAUCUUUAAAAUAUUGCAUGAUGAGUUCCUGUAUGAUGAGAGUUUAAAUUCCUACCACAGCCAUAUAUACAUGCUCGCUAGAUUUUGAGCCACACAUUUACUUUUAACUGCUUAUGAGCAUUGAGUGUGGUCAAGCUGUGUAGACCCUUAGGAGCUUGUCAUGUGGUUAAAUCAAGAUUUACUUGCACGUUCACUCACACAUGCUACUUCUACUCUGGAAGUACCAUCCACAUAUAUCCACUCAUUUCCAUCUCCAGAACCACCCAAAAUAUUGUACUCCUAAUCCGGGAGAGAAUGGCCAAAAAUAUUUCUGUUUUCCCCUGUGAAAUAAAUGCUCAAGUUAUCUUGUUACUAUCACUUGCUAUAUUAUUAUGUCAUGAGAUGAGUGCUCUAAAAAAAGAGAUACGAGGAAAUAAAAAGGGGCAAGUGCCCGGAACCUCGAAAGAAAAGAAAAAGUGAGACGAGAGGUAAAAAUAGACAAGUGUCCGAUAGUAGAAUUAGGGGUACAAGAUACCCACCUGAGAGGAAAGAAAAAGAAAAGAUAGAGCAUCUCAUUCUCCUCACAAAGUUUCAGAGAGCAAGGAAGGUAUGUAUCCCCUCAAAAAGCAAAAGUAGAAUUAGACUUUCACCAUUGUUAUCACCAUACACCAUUCAUUUGCCACACAUGCACAUCUUGAUUUGUCUUAUUGAUUUGUUUCUUUGGAUCCAUGGUUUGACUACACAAUAAAUGUUUUGUAAGUAUGUAUAUUUUAUCUCCCACCUAUGAGCUCCAGAUAUUAAAGCCUUAUUAGAGUAGGAAGAGAGAGAAGGCAAUGCUUUAUACCACAAAUACCACAUAUU